rnacentral:lncRNA from 1 species
UCAAUUGUAGGGAAAUCGAAGCUUAUGUUGUUUAUGCUUGAGGAGAACCGCGUCCCAUUGGCCCCUCCACAUGAAUUAUUGACGCAUGGGUACGAGUUCAUAGAAACAGUGUAAAACAGGUUAGUGUUCGUGCUCAAUGGGACAUCGCAAGGAUGUUCCGCAUCUGCUAAGCUUCGGAGGCCGGCCAUGACUUGAACCGAUGCAUCUGUGUCAUUGUAUGCAGGAAGAUCAGGCAAGGAGGGAGGUGAAGAUGGAGUGUAGUAUCCCCUGUACUGUACAAUAGCUGUGGUGGUUGUGUUAUCAUAAAAGUCUUGAUAUUUCGGGGCAACAGAAUAAGUUAUAGCCGCCAUGUAAUAGUGAUCCGGGCGUUGGUUAGCUUCUAGUAAGACAUCGAAGGUUUGACCAGGAAAUAUUGUGAUAUAAUCUCGUGUCAAUGGUUUCGUGUAGCUACCAUCUGUUCCAACCACUGUCAUUUUAUGCUUAGCUAUGGCGAAGAAGAGAGCCUCGUGCAAGGCAGCAUUGAUUAUGCGAAGUAAAUAGGUCUUUCCAUGAUCCACCGUUAGCUUGAACGUGCCUACAAUUAGAAAGGGAAAGUUGUAUACUUAUGACUAGCCAAAAGAAAAAGAAAAAGUUUCCAUGAGGAUCUACCAAUCAUGAAGUGAUUGAUUGAUUAGGGGUGUAAAUUUGGCUCCAUAGUUUAAAAUUAUAUUUGGACUAGCCUUUUUUUGUGUGUUAAAUCAUGUCUUUACCAUCCUCAUAGCUAUAGCUAUGUUCAUGUUGAUAAGAAAAAGUAAUAUGGUUAAUAUACAAGAAAAUGAAAUUGUGUACAAUUUUAAAAUGGGAAGUUAAACUUUGUACCUGAUUUUGAGCAUGGAUAUAGAUCACCGGGUUGUCCAUUUAUCAAUAAAGCAUCAGAGGAGUUGGGGUCUGCUCCGGUUGCAAGCCCUUCAUCUCGAACCUCAUUCACAUCCCUUUUCCACCAUUCUCCUACAUUUCAACAACUUCAAUAAUUUUAGAUUUUGCUUUGCUGGUUAAUUCAUAAUAUGUAAAUUGACCUUUAAAAGUAACAACACUUAUACCUAAUAUGAUGGGGACUUCUGCAUUAGGUUUGUGAAAAGGAUACUUGGUUCCAUUCUUGGGAUAGAUGAUUAUAGCUCCAUGAACAGUGGCUCGGGUCCAGUCACUGUGGGCAUGCCACCAUAGAGUGCCUUCCUCAGUGGAAAGGAUGAUCUUCUGCGUAAACUUUGACCCUGGCUGAAUUGGGCAUUGUGUGAUAUACUCGGGACCAUCUGUCCAUGGAUAUCUAGGCAUGGUCACCCCAUGCCUGUGAAACCAUAACUAUACGUUAAAACUAGUACUAAUUUUCAAAGUAACAAAAGAUGACAUGCAACAAGCAUUGUAUUUCAAUGGAACUGAAGCAAAUAACCCUAAAGUAUUGUUUUAAAUUUGACCUUAUUUUCAAAGCAAUAUAUUGCAACCCCCUCUUAGAAAUAAAAGAAUGUAAGUCAUGUCUUUCUCUGAGACACGCACAAGACCUACCAGUGAAUGGUGACGUUUUCUUUUCCCCUGUUAUAAACAUCAACAAUGAUUGUCUCUCCUUUCUUAGCAUAUAUAGUUGGUCCUGGAAAUUGUCCAUUUACUGUUAACAUGUUCUUGGUACUACAAAGCCUUGUAUAUGAAGCUUCCUUCACCUGCAACCAAUUAAAAGUUAACCAUGCAACCUCAUCCCAAAAGAAAUAUUACAUGCAUGAAUAGUAGCAUCAAUACAUUCAUGUAAGUGUAUAACCAAUUAGAAAUUGAUAGCAUGCAUGAACAACUUAAUGACACCCAUAGCAUGCAUGAACGACUCAAUAACAGUAGGGUAAGGGGUCAUAUCGUAGAAAAUGAGAGCUAUGCUUCUCCCUAAAUAUCAUAAUUAGAAGGUGGCAUUAAGACUAGAAUCAUAUAUAAUAUUUACCACAAAAGUAAGCCGACGGAUUGAAGCUUGACAAUGGAUGCCGCCACCAAAAAGUAGAAACACCAAAAUUUGUAAGAGGAAAACCUUCAUGAUCAGCCACAUCUUUUUUGGAAUAAAAGCCUCGUCUCUUAUCCUAAACACAACUCCUUCAAUUUUCUUCCUAUUUUGCUGUAAUUCUUUCAUAUAUGAUUCAUUAUAUAGUCAUGAUAGUACUCUCGGGAUACAAUACUUCCUCUCCACGUGUCAAUAUAAGAGGAAGUGGUUCGACUACGUAUUGGUUUUCAACGUUCUUCCUCUCCUUCAAAAUAAUUAAUUAUGAUAUUUCUUACAAGUUACCUACACAUUAUUUUAGAAUAAAUUAAAAUAUUCUUUCACAUUCUUUCACAAGUCUAUUACUGAUUAUUUCAAGAAAUGUUAAUUAAUUAAAUAUAUGUAAAAUACUUUUAAAGCUUUGACCUCCCAGCUGAGUACCCUUAUCAAGAUUAGUAUAUUUUUCAUUGACAACUACUUUUAGGAAUUAUUUUUAGCAAACCCUUAUUAUUAGUCUUACUUGUUUUCGUGUUACUUAGGACAAUUAAUAGUGCAGAAUAUAUCGAUGACUUUGGUGGUUGGGGCAAAAGUUGUUUUCAUCUUGUUACUUAAAUACAAUUAGUCAUGAUCUUUGUUUUCGUCUGAACGGGACAAAGUUGUUUCCCAAUUUUUUUGAUUAAAAAGACAUCAUGAUGAAUUAAUUUGGUAUUCCAGAAAUUUCCAUAAAAAAUAUACAAAAAUAUAUUUUUUAAAAAGUUGAAAAUAGAAUACCAACAACCCCUUGUGAAUCACUUAAAAUUAUCUAUUGGGAAUUUGGGACUCGUACUAUCUUUUUUCUCAACAAAAACCGAUUUAAAAAAACAUUUUUCAAAACAAAUGCAAUCUAUAAUUUAUUUGUUCAUAUGAAUGUACAUCUUGAUUAAAAUGGUUUUAGCUGACUUACAAAAACUACUAUCUAAAAAAAGAAAAAUAAAAUAAAAUAAGAAAUAAUUCAAACUUCCUUGCUUGGUUUAUUGUAUCAUGUACAAAGAAAAAUCAUUAUAUAAAUAAAUUAUGGAAAGAUUUAUAUGUUUUUAAAUUAUUUAUAAACAGAAAAAAUGGUGAAUAAAUCUUAAGACUGUAAAAAUGUGAUGAAGUUAACUUAAACUCUUUUUAUUUUUUCACCUUCUUUCUCACAUUUCUUUUUAAACUUUUUGAAUAAAUUCCCAACUAUUUGUGGAUACAUAUUUAUGCAAUAUUUUGAAUGUAUAUUUUUCCCCUUACAAGAAACUUUUCUUGAAAAUGAAGAUUAUUUUUGCCUUAUUUUCAAAAUUGUGUUUCAUUUUUUUAAAUGUGAAAAUUACUAUUUUGAUUUCUAAACAAUGAACCAUUUUUAAAAUAUAUUUUAGAAAAUAAUUUUUCAGAUAUAUUAAUUGUGACACUCAAAGAUUAAAGACACCAUGGUCAUUUCACUUGUCCAACCCAAGAGUUCAACACAUGAAUCACCUUAACUAAUAAAUACAACAAGUAAUUGGUUGACAACUUCCUCAAAUUGAUUCAUAACAAUGAUUAUAGCAUAAAUAAAAAAAAAAUAUAAAUUUUUAACCAAAAACUAAUUAAAAAUAUCUAAAUAAUAAUAAAUUCAAAGAUCAUCCCAAACACUUUAAAGAGUUUUAGAAAUCAAUACUAAAUUCAAUCUUGAUUCAACUGAGAAUUUGGGUUUUUGGGCCAAAACAGGCUUUGUUUAUCAAUGGGCCACAUGCCCAUUCACGACCCAAUCCAACAUAGAAACCAAUCAGGAUACAAGCAAAAUGAGGUUUUUAAAGUAAUUUUUAUUUCCUUGCUCUUCCGAUGUGGGACAGUGCGUUUACGCUCCUAGAGCUUGAACCUUGGACCAAGGGUUCAAGGUAAGCAUUGUUGCACCAACCUAUUGCCAAUUGGUUUGUGCCAAGGAUUGUAAAAAAAUAAUAAAAGCGUCUCAAAUAUCUAAUAUUUUUUUAAUUUAUUUAAUAAACUUUAAAAUAUUAAUAUGUUUAUAUAAAAGAUAAAAAAAAAAAUACUAUUGAUUUUUAAUUUUAUCUAUAUUUAUAAUUUUUUUAAAUUAUUUUUAAUUUUAAUAAAAUAUAAAUUAUAUAUUUAUGAUGUCAUCGGUUCAACCGCGGUUCAACCACCAGUUCGACUACUAAAUCGUGAACCAGUAACUUUUCCGGUUCGCUGAUUGGUCCGGUUCUGAAAACAUUGAUUUCCCCUCAUUAAUAUCACUUGUACCCAAUGUUUGAAAUAUCAAUAAAUACGAAUAUAUUGGUAUUUGGAUUUUAUGGAUAUAUCGAAAAUAUUGGAGAAAUAUCGAUGAAUAUUUUAACAAAAAUACCCAUAAGAAAAAAAUGAUUUAAAAUUAAAUAUUUGGAAAAACUAAAAAAAAAAAUGAUAAAAUAAAUAAAAAUACACAUGUUAAAGUUACUUUUUAAGUGCAAUUGAUAUAGGUAUGGUUAAAGAGAAAAAUAUUAGUAAACAAAGGUAUGUAAUUUAUUAUUUAUCUAAUCAAAUUAAUUUUAAUUGAUAAAAUAUUUGAACUUAAUUAUUAUUAUUAUUAUUUUUAUAUUUUAGUAUAUUUUAAUAAAUUUAUAUUUUACAUAUUUUAAAAUAAAAACAUUCAAAUUAAAAGAAUAAAUAUAAAAAAUUUAAAAGUGAAGUGAUAGUAAUUUUUUAAAAUAAGAUUAAUAAGAUAAUGAUAAUAUAUUUAAUAUUAAAACUAUAAUUUAUUUAAUUCAAAUGCAUUUAAUAAUAUAAAAUAAAUGAUGCCGCAUAUAUGAAUUUUUAAUAUUUAUAUAUUUUUAUAUUUAAUUACCAUAUAAAUGAUAUUUUAAAAAAUACUUGUUAAGUGAAUAAUGGUUGUUUUUAUAUAUUUAUUUAUUUAUUAAUUAAAUUUUAAAAUAACAUAAUUAGAAUUAAUUUUUUUUGGUAAUGAACUUUAACAUAUUUAUUAUAGAUAUAUAUUAACAAAAGAGAAGAUGACCCAAUGGUAACUAAGGAAAAUAAAUAGAGUGAACUUAAAACUUAGGGAAUAAGUAGGAGUUCAUUUAAUUCAAUAAUUAAAUUCACUGUCGUGUUGCCCAUGACAAGCAAAAUUUUGCCGAAAUAGAGUGAACUUAAAAAUUAGGAAAAUAAGUAGGAGUUCAUUUAAUUCAAUAAUUAAAUUCACUUUCUUCAAAAAAUUACGCACUUUCAAUUUAAAGAUAAGCGAAAUUUCACCGAAAUAGAGUGAACUUAAAACUUAGGAAAAUAAGUAGGAGUUCAUUUAAUUCAAUAAUUAAAAUCACUUUCUUCAAAAAAUUACGCACUUUCAAUUUAAAGAUAGAACUAAAUAAUAUACUUUGCAUACUUAAAUUAUAUUAAUAAAAAAUUAUAAACAAACAUUUUACUCUGACUUAUUAACAUAAUAUUGUAAUGUCGAUAAACAUUGACAUUUUAGCUAAUCAGUAUGGAAUGUCAUGUCGACCUUGUCCAAUAAGAAAAAUUUUUCCAAAAUAGAGAGAACUUAAAACUUAGGAAAAUAAGUAGGAGUUCAUUUAAUUCAAUAAGUAAAUUCGCUUUCUUUAAAAGAUUACACACUUUCAAUUUAAAGAUAGAACUAAAUAAUAGACUUUGCAUACUUAAAUUAUAUUAAAAAAAUUAUAAACAAACAUUUUACUUUGACUCAUUAACAUUGUGCAUUGACUUUUAUUAUUUAGUAAAAAAAAAAAAAAAAACUCUCAAAUAUUUUAAAAAUAAAAAAUAAAAAUAUUUAUUUCAAACCAUGUAUAGUUUGAGUUUUUUUUCUUUUUCUUUUUUAUAAUGAAAAUAAAAAUAAUUUUAAGCUAUUGUAUAGUUAUUAUUAUCAAUUUUAUUUUCCAUUCUCAUUCUCUUUAUUACCUAACAUUGAAAUGGAAACAAACAUUCAUUUUGACUUUACAAUCCUCUCUGCUUUCAAACAUAAGAAUUGGAAUGGACAGAUUUAUUACUAAUCAAGGAAAACUAGGAAUCAAAAUAAAGGUCUUGUUUGGUAAUUGCUUUUGAAAAACAAUUUUUGAGAAUUUGUUUUUCUAAAAUUGUUCAAUAUCUUGUAAAAAAAAUAAAUGUCUAUUUGGGAACUUGAAAUGUUUUUAACCAGCUUUUAUAUUUUUACAUAUGUUUUAAAAAUAAUUUUUAUUUGUAGUGCUUUAUUUUUUUUAUCAUUCCCCAUAUUUGUAUAAUUAUUUUUAAAAUAGCCCUAAAAAAAUAACUUAAAAUAAUUUUAAAAAUGUUAUCUAAAAACAUCCUAUUAAUAGUUUUUAAAAGCAAAAAUCUAAUUUCUAUUUUUUUGUUGUCAAACAUGGUUUCCUGUUUUUUUGUUCUAAAGAAUAGGAAAUUGUUUUAAAAAAUGGUUACCAAAAAGAUCUAUUCAUUCUCAUUCCCCAUUCCCAUUUACCAAACAUGACCUUAGUGACUUAUAUUUUAGUCAGUUUUAUAUUGAUUUACAAAGAAAAAUCAUGCUUCAACUAAAUGCAUAUGAACUAAUAUUAGAAAAAUUAAUUUUAGUAGGGUUGAAAGAAAAUAAGUUAAUAUUAAGUAGUUGAACAUUGCUCAGUUGAGAAGUGUUCCUAAAUUUCAAAAGUAAUAUUUAUAGGAAAACUUCGGAUUACCUUUUUGGAAUACCCAAGAUUCGAAAAAAACAAUUGUUUUUACCAUUUAUUCUUUACCCUAAGUCAUAAAUGGAAUCACACUAAAAUCGAGAAUCACUUUGUUCCACAACACAAAGUCUUUCAUCUUCUUUUUUAGAAAACUUUUCUUCCUGAGUUCUCUCAGUCUUUCUUUUCCAAAGAAAAGUCUAUUAGGGUGAUUUUUGGGCAAUUUCUAGUAGUUUUAACUCCUAGAAACUGCUCCACCCUUGAUCUCUUAUUUGGUUGGAUCGGGUUGGGUCACCUUGACUUGAGCAUCCACCCAACUCCAACAAUAUUUAAGUAUUUAAUAAAGUAAAUGAUUGAAUUACUAUGAACAAGUAUAAUGAUCAAAACAAAAAUUUUACUCUUUGUUGUUUUAAUAUUAAAUCCAACCUCUAAUUGAACAAAUCAUUUACCAUUUUAAAAAUAUUCUUAAUAUCUUCAUUUUCAUUUUGUGUUUUUGAAAGUUCAUUUUUAUUUUAACUAGAUCAAAUAAUAUUUGCAUAAUAAUGCCUUUAAUCUACAUUUUUUAUGAGUAAUACCAAAUAAACAUCUCAACAAAUAUUAUAUGAGAUGAUCAUUAAUUUCACUAUCUUCUUUUUAUUUAUGUUAUUCUUCCUUAUCAAGUGGAUUUAAUUAUGUGUUGCAAAAUGAACAAGGACCUCUAUAGUUAUAAUCUCACCUAAAAAGUUGGGAAGUAUUGUGUGACUCACGUUUAAAAAAAAAAAAAAAAACUAAAUGGGUGGUUACCAAUAUGCACAUUUACCAGGAGUUAUAGCAUUUUUUUUUCUAGUGGUUCAGAUGGAAACAAUUUGAAAAAGAAAAAGAGAGUGCUAAGAGACACAAGGGUUAGAAUUGUUUUUCUUAAGGAUAAAAAACUAUUAAUGUUGUAUGGUGAGAUGUGUGCAUAAAAGCUCGAUUCAUAUAAGAGCUUUGAGGGAGUAAUUUUCUAGUGAUAGUGCAUCAUCCAAGUCCUCUUCCUUUCAUGGAUGUAGAUCAAUUUGAUCAAAGUACAUAAAUGAUUGUGUAAGUUUUCUUUUAUUGCACUAUUGAUUGAAUUCUUGUUAGUUUCCGCAUAUCGCAUCUUGUUAUUUUUUUUUGGGCAAGAAAGUUUAACAAGUGAUAUCAAAGCGGGGUUCGAUUAAGGCAGUUUAAGAUCUAGACGAUCUUAGAAUUUCUCAUCAAAUUUGAAGAAAUUUUCAAAAUGGCGACAUCCAAAUUGGAGAUAGAGAAGUUUGAUGGGAAAUGUGAUUUUAAUUUGUGGAAAAUGAAGGUGCAGGCUUUGCUUAGAAAUCUAGGUCUUAAUGAGGCAAUUAUAGAUACAAAAAAGAUGACAACUACAAUUACAUCAGAAAUCUUGAAGAAAGCAAAGAACACAAUAAUUUUGAGUCUCGGUGAUUUAAGAUUGAGGAAAGUGUCAAGGGAAAGUUCAACCUCUGCAAUUUGGAAGAAAUUGGAGGAGAUCUAUGUGGUAAAAUCACUUCCUAAAAAAAUUUAUCUUAAAUAGAAGUUCGUUGGUUUUAAGAUGCAUGAAGGGAAGUCGAUAGAUGAGAAUAUAGAUGAAUUUACUAAGCCUAUUCUUGAUCUUGAAAGUCUGGGUGUUAAGAUAGAAGAUAAAGACCAAGCAAUGAUACUUUUAAAUUCAUUACCAAAGAUGUUUGAUCAAUUGAGAGGCACUCUGAAAUAUAGCAAAGAUUCAUUAUCAUUAGAAGGUGUAGUAAGUGAAAUUCAUGAAAAGUAGAUGGACAUGAGGGCUGAAGGAAUAGAUACAACCUCUGGUGAAGGUCUUGUUGUACGUGGUAGACCAGAAAAGAGAAACAACAACCAGAAAGGAAAUCAUGGCAGAUCCAAGUCAAAGUCAAAGUUUAGAAGGAAAUGUUUCCAUUGUCACAAGGAAUGACACUACAAACAUGAAUGUCCAGAGAGAAAAUCGAAGAAAAAGAAUCAAGAUAGUGAAUCUGUAGAUGUGGCAAUAACUUUUGAGUCUAGGUGAUCAGGUAUUGAGGAAAGUGUCAAGGGAAAGUUCAGUCUCUACAAUUUGGAAGAAAUUGGAGGAGAUCUAUAUGGUAAGAUCACUUCCUAAUAGAAUUUAUCUUAAACAGAAUUUCUUUGGUUUUAAGAUGCAUGAAGGGAAGUUGAUAGAUGAGAAUAUAGAUGAAUUUACUAAGCUUGUUCUUGAUCUUGAAAGUCUAGGUGUUAAGAUAGAAGAUGAGCCAAACAAUGAUACUUUUAAACUCAUUACCAAAAGUGUUUGGUCAGUUGAGAGACACUUUAAAAUAUAGCAAAGAUUCAUUAUCUUUGGAAGAUGUAGUAAGUGCAAUUCAUACAAAGGAGAUGGACAUGAGGGUUAAAGGAAUAGACACAACCUCUGGUGAAGGUCUUGUUGUACGUGGUAAACCAAAAAAGAGAAACAACAACUAGAAAGGAAAUCAUGGCAAAUCCAAGUCAAAGUCAAAGUUUAAAAGGAAAUGUUUCCAUUGUCACAGGGAAGGAUACUACAAACAUGAAUGUCUAGAGAGAAAACCGAAGAAAAAGAAUCAAGAUGGUGAAUCUAUAGAUGUGGCAAUAGCUUUUGAAGGCUAUGAUACUGCUGAUGUACUCAUGGUGGAUGAAAAGGAUUUGACCAGUGAAUGGAUUUUGGAUUUGGGCUGUACAUUUCACAUGUGUCCUAUAAAAUCUUGGUUCUCUAGCUACAUGGAACUCAAUGAAGGGAAAGUUCACAUGGGUAAUAAUGAGGCUUGCAAGGUGUUUGGAAUUGGCUUAAUUAAACUCAGAUUACAUGAAGGUAUGGAAAGAACGUUAACUAAUGUGAGGUAUGUUCUAGACUUAAAAAGAAACUUGAUUUCUUUGGGUAUGCUAGACUUAAUGGGUUGUACAAUAAAAAUUGAGAAUGGAACAUUGAAUAUUUUAAAAGGUGCAAUGAUAAUGAUGAAAGGGCUCAGAAAAAAUGGCUUGUACAAUCUACAAGGUGAAAUAGUAGUUGGAACUUCAAUAGUAGUUGCAAAAGAUGGAAAUGAAACAGCAAAGCUUUUACACAUGAGACUUGGUCAUGUGAGUGAGAAAGGGCUGCAAAUCUUGAGUCAACAAGGGUUGCUUGGGAAAGAAAAACAACCGAGUCUUAGUUUUUGUGAGCAGUGUAUAUUGAGGAAGAAAACCAAAGUGAAGUUCAAUUUGAGUCGACAUACUACAAAAUGAAUGCUAGAGUAUGUGCACUCAAAUCUUUAGGAACCUACUAUAACUCAAUCCUUAAAUGGUGCCAGGUAUUUUUUUGACAUUUGUUGAUGAUUUCAAUAGAAAAGUAUGGGUUUUUAUAUUGAAAUCAAAUGAUGAAACUUUUGAGAAGUUUAAACAAUGGAAAGUAAUGACAGAAAAUCAAACUGGUAGAAAUUUAAAGUAUUUAAGGACAUAUAAUGGACUUGAGUUUUGUGGAGAGAAAUUCUCUAAUUUUUGUAGGAACCAAGGAAUUGUAAGGCAUAGAACGAUGAAAAGUAUGCCUCGGAAAAUGGACUGGCAGAGAUGAUGAAUUGUAUUAUUCUUGAAAGGGUAAGAUGCAUGUUGAUAAAUGCAAGACUACCUAUAAAGUUUUGGGCGAAAGUUGUCUAUACAGCAUGUCACUUGAUUAACAUAUGCCCUUCAAGUGACAUAAAUUUUAGAACACCUCUAGAAGUAUGGAUAAGUAAACCAGGGAGUUACCAACACCUUAGAGUGUUUAAGUCAACAACAUAUGCACUUGUAAAUGACGGAAAGUUGCAACUAAGAGCAAAUAAAUGUUUAUUUCUUGGAUAUCCUAUUGGAGUGAAGGGGUACAAGUCGUGAUCUCCUAAUUUGAGGAAAACAAUAAUUAGUAGAGAUGUCACUUUCAAAGAAGAUGAAUUGUUGGGUUUGGAAGAAAAAACAAGUGGUGAAGCUAUGGAUUAUGAUGUGAAAUAGUUGGAGGAGUUUCAAGUGGAGGAAUCAUAAGGAACAAAAAUUGGAACUAAGAAAACAAGUGGAGUCCAACAAAAUGAAUCAACUAGCGGUGGUCAACAUCAUGAAUCAACAACUCAGGGUGAACCAACUUACAGUUGUCAACAACAACAUGAGUCAACAGUUCAGGAUCAACAUUUGCAAGUUUAUGUACUUUUCAAGGAUAGAUUAAGGCGUGAGAUCAGAUUGCCUCAUAAAUUUGCACAAGCUAAUGUUGUUGCUUAUUCAUUGUAGACAACAAAUGAGAUAAUGGGUGAAGAUCUCAUUAGUUACUCACAAGCAAUGAAAAGUAAGGAGUCAAGUUAAUGGUAUGAAACAAUGGCUGAGGAGAUGAAUUCACUUCAAAAAAAUAGAACUUGCGAAUUAGUCAGAAAACCAAAGAACACAAAAGUCAUGGGGUGCAAAUGGAUAUAUAAGAAGAAGACUGGUAUUCCUACAGUAGAACCCGAGAGAUUCAAAGCAUGUUUAGUGGCAAAGGGGUACUCACAAAGAGAAGGUAUUGACUACCAAGAAAUUUUCUUCCCAGUGGUAAGACACACUUCAAUUAGAAUGUUGUUAGCGAUUACAACUACAGGUGAUUAUGAGUUGGAACAAAUGGAUGUAAAGAUGCCAUUUUUACAUGGAAAUAUUGAUGAGAAAAUACCGAUGGAACAACCAGAGGGUUUCAAAACAAAAGGAAAGGAAGACCAUGUGUGUUUGCUUAAGAAGUCGUUAUAUGACUUGAAACAAACACCUAGACAAUGGUACAAGUGUUUUGAUAGUUUAAUGGUUGAAAACAAGUUUAGUAGAAGUCAAUAUGAUAGUUGUGUAUACUAUCAACAAUUGAAAAAUGGGAAUUACAUCUAUUUGUUGUUGUAUGUUGAUGAUAUGUUGCUGAUAUGCAAGGACAUGGAGGAAAUCAAUAGGUUAAAAUUACUCUUGAACUCACAAUUUUUGACAUGAAAGAUCUAGGAUUGGCUAAAAAGAUUCUAGGAAUGGAGAUCAAGAGAGACUGAUCACAAAGAAAGCUAUGAUUGCUACAAACAGAUUACAUUGAGAGGGUUCUAGAGAGGUUUGACAUGAAAAAGGCUAAAUCAGUGGUGGCUCCAAUGGAAUCUAAUUUGAAGUUAAGUUUAGUUGAUGCACCAGAAACUGAAGAAGAUAAGCAGUACAUGUCUACGGUACCAUACACAUAUGUAGUGGGAUCCUUAAUGUAUGCUAUGGUUUAUACUCAUCCAGACUUGCAUAUUUUGUUAGUAUGGUUAGUAGAUACAUGAGCAAUCCAAGGAAAUUCCAUUGGCAAGUAGUCAAGAAGAUAUUGAGAUAUCUUAGAGGGACUAGUAAACUUGGAUUACUUUAUGGAGAUGGUUUAGCUGAAAGUGGAGUUGUAAAAGGUUUUGUGGAUUUAGACUUUGGUGGAAAUGUGGAUAAGAGAAAAUCAUUGACUGGAUAUGUGUUUACAGCUUGGGGAAGUGUAAUAAGCUGGAAGGCAAACCUACAGUCAAUUGUGACUUUUUCUUCCAUAGAGAUAAAAUACAUAGCUACAACUAAAGUUGUGAAAGAAAGCUUAUGGCUUAAGGGAAUGAUCAAUGAGUUAGGAAUUAAUCAAAAGGUUGUGGUUAUACACUGUGAUAGCCAAAGUGCUCUACACUUGAUGAAGAAUCAUGUAUAUCAUGAGAGAACUAAACAUAUUGAUGUUCGAAUGCACUUUAUUCGGGACAUACUUGCUUAAGGAUUUGUUGUGAUGAAGAUCUAUACAAAAAACAAUGCAGCUGAUAUGUUGACAAAAGUUCUUCCUUCAAACAAAUUCAGGCUUUAUUUGAGCCUGAUUGGAGUAGUUCAAGAGUAGAAAAAGCAUGUGGAAGGGACUUGAAGGUUUAUGGAUGCACUAAACUUAAGUCAAGUUGGAGAAUUGUUGUGCAACUCACGUUUGAAAAAAAAAACUGAAUGGGUGGUUACCAAUAUGCACAUUUACUAGGAGUUAUAACAUUUUUUUCUUUGGUGGUUUAGAGGGGAACAAUUUGAAAAAGAAAAAAAGAGUGCUAAGAGAGACAAGUGUGGACUCGCAUUUUUCACGUGCGUUCCCACGUAAUCAAUGAAACUCGCUAUUAUUGGUGAAAAAUUAGUUUUGGAAAAGUCGGAGUCACCACUUAUUUUAUUUUAUUUUAAAAGGAAAAAUAAAACAAGAAAGAAAACCCUAAAAAAGUGACUCCAUAGUUUUUGGAAAAACGUGUCUUUAAAAAACCCGAGUCUAGGUCCGGAGAUCAGGUUACCUAUUGGGAAGGUACCUCUAAAAGGUAGCACCCCUCUAAACCCUACAGAGGUCUCUACUGACUAAGUUGAGGGAAAUGUGACAAUUAAUUGGUUGAUUAUAGAUACCUAGGUAGGCUAGGUGAUUUAAAAAAUAGCAUGCUUAUCAAGAAAACCAAUCACAAUCAUAAAGAAGAUUCAGGGUGUGUACCUGGACGCCUUCUUAAGUGCUAUCACAAGACAUCAAUGGUUAGUUUGGAAAAUAAAACACACAGUAUUUUACCCUAGUCUCUUAAUCAAACAUGGCAAACUAAACAAACAAUCAAAAAGAUAUGUUGAGCAGGUUAAGAGUCGCAUACGAAGCAAUACAUAACAAUCAUGUGUAAAGCAAUACAUAAUUUAUGGAAUUAAGAUACGAAGGUAAGAAGCGUACCUGAAUAGCAUAAGUAACUUGUAACGUUCUUCCACAAGGCAUGAGGGGUUAGAUAAUAAAUAAUAAAAUAAAGAAAUCCUAGCAUGCUUGUUAUCUAAUUAGCAUAGCAAAAAUGAUCAAAGUAUACGAAAUAAUCAAUUAUCGCAUACAUCUUGUAUAUAAUUCCUAAAAAAUAUAUAGAUAUGAUUACAACAAGUAGCAAGGGUGGUGGCAAAGCUGAGUUUUGAAAAGAUUCUUUUAUGUUGGGGUUCCAUCAAGUCCCCAUUCAAUAUACAUAAGUUUACCUGUGUAUCCCCAUUAAUUUGGGAGCACAAGUCCAAACCUAUGUGAAUAAAAACCAAAUUAAAACCAACAAAGGAGAAAUGCAACUUAAAUGAAAUGAGUUACAUAAUUUGAAUAGAAAGUGUGUUCUUUGCCUAAAGCUAGAAUGAAUGUUUUCUAAAAUCUUUUAUCGGUGAUUUAAAUGCUUUUGAAAAUGACUUUAAGGGAAGUAAAAAAAAAAGACCCAAUGAUUUGCUAAAUCCUAAUCAAUUGACACAAAAUAGAGAUUUUUGAUUUCUAACUUAAGAGGGUUUUGAAAAUAAGAGAAAAACUAAAUUGGAUCCUCUUUUUGGCUACCUUUCAUUAGGGGUCAAGGAGCCAUACUUAUGAUGGAAAAAUUCAUUUUUGAAAAAAACAAAGUUUGACUCAACACAAAAUAUCAAUUUAACAAAAAACAUUUUCUAAAAGAAUGUUCAAACUCAAGAAUUCCAUAAGGUGUCUAUAAAAUAAGUAUCAAAGAUAAAGAUAACAUUCAGUCACAUAUAACAUCCCAUAUAACGCUCAAUGAAUUUUUCAAGAGGUAUCUACCAUGUGAAUUUAAUCAAACUAAAACUCAGUAAAUUUUUAAAAGUCAUCUAACAUGUGAAUUAAACAAAUGGAUACUCAAUAAGUUUUUAAAAGGGAUCAAACAUGUAAACUUAAAGAAACUAAUACUCAAUGAAAAUUUAAAAACUCAAACUCAAACUAACCGCAUUAUUUAUCAAAAACUAAAAUCCAAAUUAGCAUCAACAACUAUUUGAAAACUAAAGUCCAUUAUUCAUCAAAACCAAUACAGCAAACUACAUUCGUACUUAUCGAAACUAAAAUCCAAACUAAUUAAAAUGGAUGAAAACAGGUUUAAAAAAAAUAAAAAAUAAAAACUUUAGCAUAAAAGCAAUUUUACCAAUGGAUUGAAAUAAUAAGAAAUAAAAAAACUAAACCGAAGGGACAAAUUUAAACUAAAAUAAAACGAGUUUAAGAAUGUGAACUUACCUUUCAGAUCAAUGCAUGGGGGCUGUUUCGAAGUCCAAAGGUGUAGGUUGUUUUCUUUUAUGUGGGUUGUGCGUGUUCCUAAGAGAGAAUCUAAAGUGGUGCGACUUUGUGUGCCUUUAUGCUCUCAAAGUGGCCACCGAUCCCAUGUGUGGUGGAGAACGAAGAUCUCACCCUCUUGUCACGGUAGCCUGCUGUGUCUUCCAAAUAUGUAGCUGCGUGCUCUCCAAAACUGCAGCCCGCAAAGUCUUAAAAAAUUUCGGUGGCUCCUAAGUGAUCAGCUUUGAUGCCUUAUCAAUUGAUGCCUCUCAUGGUGCGUGGUGGAAGUGGGUGCAACCCAUGGAAAGUACACCUAGGUAGCCUCCAAAAUACAUGAUGCAGUGUGGUGUUUCUAUUUAAAAUAGGUGCAGUCGUGAAUGACAUCCACAAUGGAAAUCCGUCAAGGCGGCAUGGCAUGUGCGUGUAAGUCUUGGAGAAUUCCAAUUUGCUGCGUGUGGACUAACUUCCUCCAAUGAUACGUGUUCCCAAAAGAUUUCCAAGUGUUCUAUACAAUAUGCAAUCAUGUUGGGAACCAUUCCCCAUGGUGUGUGCUUUGUUGAUUUCUAUAUGCAUUCCCAUGGUGUGGGUGGAUAUCCCCCAAACUAAAGAUUACGUCCUCCUCCCUAAUUGUAUUAUGUCCUCCCCAAAGUUCUAGAGACUUGCCUCUAAAAAUUAUGAUCAUUCUUUCAUUCCUUCAAAAAUUCAAAUCUAUCCACUAACAACCACCUCUCUAAAACCUUAUCAUCCUCUUCUCUUCAAAAUUCGUGAGUCUCCUCUUUUUGAAGUGAAAUGGGCAUCCCUAGUAACAAUCCCAAUGAAAUUAACAUCAAUCCUUCUGAAAAGAGUAGUGGAGUGGAAUGUAGGCAGCUUGCAAAUUUCCUUAGCAACUGAUCUAAAUUCAUGUAUUUGCAGUCCAUCCAAGUGACCAUAGAAAAUUUGAUUGAUCCUAAACAAACAUUGCUCAUUUAAUUCAUUUGGAGGUGGGCGACCAUUUUGAAAGUAAAACUGAGGUAUCAAUUCUCUAAUAGGCUCACUAGCUAAUUUCAGAGGAGAACUUAAAUUAAAAGGGCCAAUCCUCUGUUUUACAACACGAGGAGAACCAGAUAUACUUCUUGGUGACAGUGGAAGUGCACUACCAGCGGGAAACAUGGAAGAUAAUGAGUUGCUUGCAGCAGCAUUUGUCGUAGAAGAAUUUCUAGGGAUAUUCAAGGCCUUUGCAUCAUUCAGCAAUGAAGUCACCAGACGGUUAGUCUCAGGAAGCAAAAGUCACUAGUCAAAAAGCUUCUCAGAGACCCUAGGGUUUGACUUGAGAGCAAAAGGCGACACCUUCGGGAGUUGCAACAAUUCGACGUCCAAAGACACCACAUCGCCAACUAUUUCCAUAUUCAUCGUAGCCAAAUUGAAUCUCUCAUCCAUAUAACAAAAUUAGAAUAAUCCUAUAUCAUAAAACAGGACAACAAACAAGCUCGAUCACCCAAAGCAACCUAGAUGAACCACAAGGCCAUUGUUCAACGCAUUGAAUCAAGGACAUUAAAAAUAAAAAAUUCGAGGCGAAAAGGUUCAGAUUUGAAGUUGACGAAGUGGAAAAAACCCUAGAUUUUCAUGAAGCAGGGAAUGGAUUGUCGCUGGAUCAGAUUGAAGCUGAAAGACAAACAUGUUUAUGUGAAAGAACGAAGGGCAUAUAUGUGAAUCUCGGAGCAUAGUCUCCUUGGUCACGUGCUAGGAAUGUCACACGUCCACUACGCCCUUGGCUCAUUUUAGUUUCCAUCCCUUCCUCUAUUAUUCAUAUCAAUACCAGUAACAACAUUUUGAGCAUCCAAUCUUUCCUCCAUCACUAGCAAAAGGCCAUCCUUUAGAGAUAUCUGUCUCUCAUUUUCUCACCAAAACCAUAAAAAAUCCUCCUGCUUUCCUCCUGUGUCUUCCUCUCUGCAUCACUGUUCAUUUGUCUUUUUCCUGUAGCUUUACCAACAUGGAAAGAUCCCUCACCAGUUCGGAGAGAACCAACAAUGUCAUUUGCGUCCGCCCAACACGAUCCGAACUUUUUUUUUCUUUUCUUAAAAGAGCCCUCAUUCAUCCACAUGCACACCAAAUCUUUCCUUUUUCACAUGUCAUGCAACUUUGGUAAUUUUCUGUUUCAGAAAAAAAUGACAUCCGUCCCUGUCCUUCCAUGCUAGUGGGAUGAUGUGAUUGCACCUUUUACGGUAGUCAUGACUGUAUUUUCCUUUCUUCCCUUAUGGGUGGUGCUUCCUAUGGUUAGUGGCAGCCACAUAUCUUCAGCUCAAAUUCUCCAUGAAUCAGCCCGCAUCAUCCUUGAACUUCCUCCUAUAUCCAAUUGUCACUCCCAAUGUAUGCAUUCUGAAUAUUCCACCAAGAUGCAGCCCCACAUGAUUUCCUUCAAUCUUUCCAUUGGUGGACUUACCUACAAAAAAAAAAAAUUUAAACAAAAUUAUUAAAUUAACAUUGAUAAGUAAGGACAAGUAUUAUAGUAACAUUGAUAAGCAAGGACAAGUAUUACGAAAAAGUGACAAAAUAAUAGGAAAAUAAAAUAAAAGAAGAAAUAAACAAGACAAUAAAUAAAAUAAACAAAAAUAAAAUAAUGAAAAGUCAAGUCAUGCAACUUUAUAAUAAAUGAGCCAUGCAAGCCAUACAAAAAAUGCAAUCCAUACCAACCAUGCAAGCCUAAUGGGCCAAGUGCAUCUAAAUGGGCCUAGGGUGCCUAAGUGGGCCUAAGGUGGUGCCUAAUGGGCCAAGUGUAUCUAAAUGGAUAUAAAGUGCCUAAGUGGUGUCUAAUGGGCCAAGUGUAUCUAAAUGGGUCUAGGGUGUCUAAGUAGGCCUAAAGUGGUGCCCAAUGGGCCAAGUGUAUCUAAAUGGGUCUAGGGUGCCUAAGUAGGCCUAAAGUGGUACCCAAUGGGCCAAGUGUAUCUAAAUGGGCUUAGGGUGCUUAAGUGAGCCUAAGUCUAAAUUAGGGUUGCUAAGAGUCACAAUGGGGUUAGAUAAAUCCCUCAACCAAAGUUCCCAAGGUGGCUUAGAAAAGAUAGGCUACAUGAGUAGUAAUGGGCCACUAGGUAAUUGCUGUAAAGUACCGAACAAAUAUCGAAUAGGACAUGUGUUAAGAGGACAAAAUGGAGGGUCUACAACAAGGAUUAGAAUUGUUUUUCUUAGAGAGAUAUAUGUUAAUGUUGUAUGGUAAGGUGUGUGCAUAAAAGCUCAAUUCAUAUAAGAGCUUUGAGGGUGCAAUUUUUUAGUGAUAUUGCAUCAUCCAAGUCCCUUUCUCUUGAUGGAUAUAGAUCAAUUUGAUCGAACCAUGUAAAUGAUUGUGUAUAAUUUCUUUUACUGCACUACUGAUUGAAUUCUUGUUAGUUUCCGCAUAUUGCAUCUUGUUAUUUUUUUUUUUCUGUAAGAAAGUUUAACAGGAAGCUAUCUCUACAUAUAUGGUUCAUGUAUCAAAUAAAUUGUUUUUGUACUUCCAUCAUCAAAGAUGCAUGUAUGUCAAAGAAUGGCAAAAGAAUCUAUAAGGUUAGGAAAACAAUGAAAUUUUUUUUAUGUUUUUUUUAUUCAUUUAAUUUAUUUUUUCUAUUCUAUAUAAAAAUUCAAUAUAUAUAACUCUUUAACUAAUUUUAAUUAUAUUUUUCUUUCAUAUUUUCUAUCAAAAUUUUUUAAAAAAAAACAUUGUUUUUAAUAUUUCAACUAUAACAAGGUGGGCAUAAUUAAUUUAUCAUGCUAGGGUAUCCUAACAACCUAACCUUAAAAUUUUCUUAAAUAAAUAAUCACAUCACUAGUCAUAUAUUUUCUUAUUCCACCAUAUUGUGAUUGGCACCAUAGUAUUUGUUAUACUUCGAAGCAUUUUGGUAUGGUUGUCAUCUCAUAAUAAGUCAUUUUUGAAGCAAACCCAACAUGCUUGAUAGAAAUCCCUCUUGCUAAAUGAAUCCCAAGGUCUCUUAUUUGUGAGUGUUGGCACAUUAAAUUAUAUAGUUUAAGAUUAAUAAUUUUGUUUCAUUUAUUUUGAUUCAAGGCUUUUUUAGAUUAUGUCUCGCUCUCCUUUGAAAACUCGAAGUUGUCGUGUGGUCGAUUGGAAUAACAAAGGCAAGCAUAGAAAGGUAUGAGAAAGGUAAAUUAGAGUUUGUUAAGGUUGUUGCGAACGUCAAGUUCUUAAACUGAGUUAAAUAUUUUUUAUAACAGUUUUAAAGAACUCCUCGAGUGCUCUAGUGCUGCAGAGAGCACUUAAGUGCUCCUUGGAGCACUCAAGUGUGAUAGAAUUCUCUAGAAUUCCAAAGCUGAAGAGGAAAAUUAUAAAUCUGAUCCACCAAGAUCUUGACCCUAUAAACACCUUACUUAAAGAGGAUUUUCUCUUUUUGAUGCAAAUGUUUCAAAAAACCUAAUUUGCCUUCUUGUUCCCAAAACUUUGAACAAUGAUUGUCUUCGCUUUUACUAGGUUGAGAAAGAGAUUUGCAUCUCCAAAACACUAAAGUAAGAUUCACUAGGAGCACAAGCGGUGUUGUAUUACAAAUGCGAAGUAGUAGAGGUGAUGGGGGGUAAGACUUAGGGAUGGCUUCCACUAGAUAAAACUGUGUACUAUGCUUUCGAAUAGUGGAUUUGUAAUUAGAUGUCUCUAACCCCAUGGAUUUUACAUCUGCAUGUUGUGUGAGUGGUUUUUUUUCAUGUAAAAAAUCUUGUGUUCUUGUAUUGAAUAUUUUUAGGCUUUCCUAAAUCAAAUGGAUUAAUUUAAAAUAAUUAAUUUUUGAGCCUAAGAGGUUCAAACACCUAUUCACCCCUUCUAGAUGUUACCUAAACUAGAUCAACUAACUUUCAACGAGGAAAGCUCAAAUCAUAGAAUUUGCACUUUCAGCCAACGCAGCUAGGCUUAGACAAAUUGAAGAGUAAAUAUCCUUUCAAAUCAACCGACUAGCCUUUCAUCCAUGGAGGCCUUCUCCAAUUUAAAGAUCAUGAAAACCUCUCAAAGCAUUUCUAAAGAAAAAUAAGAGCAUUGGCUCACCCUAAGGGUUCCUUGGAGAGGCUUUGAUCUUAAUCUUCUCCAUGAGUUUUUGAAAGGGUCUUUAACAACUGCUAUUGGAUUGGAUGGAGCACUUAUAUGAACUAAGAAUGAUAAAUAUUAUAACUACUCAAAAGACAUUUUCACAGAAUUGCCAACCUGCAGAUCAUUUUUAGUUAACCAAAUCUUAAAACAUUAGUCACAUCCAUGGCCAAAAUUAAGUGAAGGCUAAACACAGAUAGAAGAGAAUCAUGGGACACUCUCCUUAGCUCUACCAAGCUAGCUAACAACCUUGAACAGAAUAUUGGUCGAGCAGUCCAUGACUACUAUUAAGGGAAAAACCUAUAAAAAAAUAUGAAGAUCAAGAAGCAUAAAAAGAAAAUAUAGGCUAAAAUAAAAUGGUUCAAUUUGGGAAUCAACUGCUAUGCAAUAUAUGACUAAAUUUUCAGCUAGAUUCUUACGAGUUGUAACCCCUAAAAGCAUCAAAUGCAGAAGAAAAACCAUGCAAAAGAGAAACCAGUAAGACAAUAACAAUAUGAUAGUUUCAUCUCUACCUUUCGAGUUUGAGCAUCUUGUGCUGAUGCAUCCUCUCAAUGUAGAAGUGGUUUGCUUCAUUAUAUCAGUAUUGUAAAAAGAAGAGGUGUAAGCUCACUGUAAUCUUUAAUAGUGAAGAAACUUGAAUUCUCAUCGGUAGUGCUGCACUGAAAUUCUGGUUGAUUGUCUUCUUUCUCAUCUUGUUCAUAUAGUAGAUGAACCCCACACUUCUUCACCUCAUAAGAUGGGCCAUAGACUUGGAAUGAAGCCUGAAUUUGACUCAGUUUAUUUAGCCAAUUGGCGUGGCCAAUCCCAAUUCGAGAAAUUGGUUUAUACCCAAACCACAUGUGAUCUGAUUUAAUCAAUUUGCGCCCUUUAUCCGAAGAAUUCCGGUGUUCUGGAUUGAUGGGAGCAAAAAAGUGACCAGUUUUACCUUGAGUCAAAUUCAAAUGACAAAAUAUAUUACCAGGGCAAUCAUGGACUGCACCCUUAACUACAAAAAUAGCGCACACAGCCAAUGCCAUCAACCUAGUGUCACACCAAUUUGGAGGCAGAUGUACUGUUACUGUGGAGCCUAUACUCUGUUGGCUGAACCACUGAGGAAUUCGACUUCCAGGAACAAAAGUACUGAAGUAUAUGGUACCAUCUGGGUCAUGAAAAUCUUUGUCAAGUUAUAUGGAAAUAAUGUAGAAGUAAUGCUAAAAGGAGUAUAAGAAUUAUUCCAUAGGAUUUAAUUGAUUUACUUCUACAACAUGAUCAAGAGAGAGAGGAGAGAAACCUGGAUUGGGAAUUGAAAUCUUGGUAAUUUAUUUGCCAGACUUUGCAUUUCCCUUAAUAUAGCUGCCACAAAGUUGCUGCUUUCAUUCUCAGACAGUCUGAAGCAAUUAGAAAAUGUGAAUCGGAGGCCCCCACAUUCCUUGGAUCUGUAUAGACACUUGAUGGACACAAAAUGUUUUCCAGAACCGUGCAAUCAUGGGCAUCUAUUUCUUCUAUACUUGAUGGAAGCUCUGGUAAUGAUUGAAGCCUCUUGCAAUAACCCAACCUAAGGCCUUUGAGCUGUGAAAGUUGAUGAGGCUUGCAGGUAGAGUAACAAAAUUGUUUCCGCUCAGAUCUAACUAUUCCAAUGAGCACAGAGAGCUAAAGUCAUUGGAAAUUGCUCGUUCCGAUAUGUUGCAAUCACUUAGAUUUAACUUUCUUAGGGAUCUUAAACCAGAGAAAGAAGGCAGUUGCAAACCCCCAGAGUGUGGAAUUUCUGCGGGCAACAACUGGAAAAAGAGGAGUGAAUUCCUUGGCUUGAAUUCUAGUCCUUUACAUCCCUUAAAUGAUAAUACUUCAAGGUUUUCCAAAAGAGAAAUAGAGGGUGGCAGCUCUUUUAUAGCAGUUCCUGCUGCUUUGAGCUUCUCUAAACCUUGUAGGCUCCCCAAACCCUCUGGCAAAUUGUCUAGUUUUGAGAAACCAGAUAGAAUAAGAGUUUGAAGGGAUUUCAAUGUACAAAUGCUGUGGAAGAAUUGCAAGGCUUUUGCAUUCUCUCAGAUUCAACAGAACAAGUCCACUUAGAUGUUGGAUUGAUGAAGGUAGUUCUUUUAUAGCAGUUCCAUCUAAGAAAAGUUCCAACAAACUCCACAUAUUUUCCAAGACCUCUGGAAGCUCUCUGAGUUUUAAGCAAUCUGAGAGAAUAAGAAUUUCAAGGGAUCUCAACUUAUAAAUACAGCUUGAUAAUGACUCAAGGUUUUGACGGUUCCUCAGAUUUAAUAGAACAAGUCUAGUAAGAUAUUCAAUCGACAAGGGCAAUCCUUUUAUUCCAGUGCCCUCCAAGGAAAGCUCUGAUAAAUGUUUCAUGCACCCUUGGACCUCUGGAAAUUUCUUGAGUUUCGAGCACCUGGAGAGAGUAAGAAUUUCAAGAGAUUCCAUACAAAUGCUUCUUAGAAAACUCUUAAGGUUCUUGCAGCCUGCUAAUUUAAGGAAAACAACCUUGUUUAGAGCUCCAAUGGAUGGAUGAACCUUGGACAAACUUGUACAACCUUCAAGAAUUAGUCUCCUAAGGUUUAAAAAAGCAUGCAAUAUCGAGAGAUAUAUCUUUCUCUUUGUCAUCUAAUCCAUCAAAACCCAUUUUAAGCACAUUCUGAAUUUUUAUGUUGGGAAUUCUUUUUAGUUUGUCCAAUUCACUUUUCCAUUCAAGUAUGCUCUUGCUAUACAAAAAAGUACCCAAGACUUUAAGAGCUAAGGGAAGACCUUUACUAUAAUGUAUUAAUUUGUAGCAUAGCUGCAUAUAAUCUUCUCCAGGGUGGUUGUGUUUAAAGGCAUACUGACGAAAGAGUUGAAAAACUUCACUAUCCUCUAAUCCCCUAACUUCAUAAAUAGUGCUGACUCCAUGUGUAAUAAGCAAAUGCUUUUCUCUGUUUGUUAUAAUAAUUCUACCUCCUGAACCAAACCAGUCAUGGUUUCCUGCUAAAUAUUCCAACUGUUCCAAGUUAUCCACAUCAUCAAGAACAAUAAGAACCUUCUUAGAGUGGAGUCUAUCCUUUAUAAAAUUGAUUCUUGUAUUGGAAAUUUCUACAUUUGGAUUUCCAUCCUAUAAUGUUUUUGAGAGAAGUUCCAUUUGUAAAUGAUCCAGGCCAUGUUUUUGUGAGCCUUCUCUAACAUUUGCAAGAAAACAACAGCCUUCAAAUUGAGUGUAAAUUUGCUCAUAAAUAGCUCUAGCAAUAGUCGUCUUACCUAUGCCACCCAUGCCCAAAAUUCCUACACUUUGAACAUUAUCCAACCCCAUACAUAAUAGUGAAUCCAUUGCCUUUGUGUGGGAAUCCAUUCCAACCAGCCCUGCAGGAGGAUGUACCUAUCAAUUUAUUAGAUAUAUCUGAGACAAAUUCCUCAAUAAGUAUGGAUUCAUGCCUGCAAAUUUUGAGGAAGAAAAAAAAACCAAUCAUUUAAUGAAUUCAAGGAUCCAUUGAAAAAAAAAAAGAAAAAUUAGAUAAAUCAUCAGUGAUUUAGUCUUGUUCUUUGCAACUUAAAAGUCAUAUGGCAACAUUAUAUCUCAGAUUUUUUCGAGUUUAAGUGUAUGUGUGUGUGUGUAUGAGAGAGAGAGAGAGAGAGAGAGAGAGAGAGAGAGAACUGUAUUGCUAUCUAGACAAACAGACAAUCAAACUAGAUUAUAAUAGCAAGCAUCUGCCACACUUCCUAGUAGUCUGCAUAAGGAACUUCUUAGAAGUGAUCAGGAUAAAAUACUAGAAAAGCCAGUGGAAGCAUGUUUAAGACUGCAAUACCAUUGAUUGACAGUAGGAUCACUAAUUCCGAGUUAAGCAUAUUGGCAGGCAAAAAUUCUCUCCCAAAUGGUUGAAAAAAUUAGGGAAUCCAAAAGCUUUUAAAAUCAUGACUAUCCAAUUGGGUUGGGCACACUACAUAGGCAUGGAACAGAGCAUGCCAAGGGACCAUUGGAAAGGAUGAAAAAGCAUUAAUCCAGUAGGGUUGAGGUCAACUUACCAAUGGAAUAAAGCACACUAAGGGGAAAUAUGCUUAAAAUGAGGUAAAAAGUUUUACAGUGUAGUCAUAACAUUCUUGCUCAAUGUGAUAAGGACUGACCAAUGUGUAGCUUCAAACACCUUCUGCAGAAAGGAGGGAAAGGGUCAUUGAUAUUAUGGUCAAGUGAGUUGAAGUCACAAUUCAAUGAGGGUCGGGAAAAGUUCAAUGUGUUGGUGGAUUGGAUCCAAGUUAUUCCAUCUUCAUAAUUUUGAUCACAGCCAUGGAGAGAUUUCCUUGCAUAUGUGAGAUCAAGUGCAUCUAAACAUCAUUCAGUCAUAGGCAGCAAAAUACAACUUAAUCCAUACAUGGGUUUAAGUCAAUCAUCUUGGAUCAAUCUCUCUAUUGAUCAUCCUAUGAUUUCAAAUUUUAUAUGGCUAUGCAAGCUUUAAAGCUUCAGCAUCAUUACAUCAUACACCUAAAAGGCAAAGGAAAAAAAAAUUGCAGUUAAAAAUACCUAUCUCGAGAAUCCCAUCCAGAAAUUUUGGCAGCUUCAGUCAAAGCCUCUCUCCACUUGAUCACUUUCUCCAUCUGCUCCUUAUAAACCUCUUCAUGCUUAGCAAAUGCUUGUGCAAAACACCCUGUCUGUUUCCUCACAUGAGAGGGAUCCAAAUUGUAGAAAACUGGUAAAGCUGCGCGUCCCAUCACCUUGGUGCAGUCAAUAAUCUUGACAAGUUCCUCCAGACACCAAGUUGAAGAAGCAUAGUUUUCAGAGAAAAUGAUGAUGGAGAACCUGGACUCUUCAACUGCUUUUACAAGUGCUGGAGAGAUCUCUUGUCCUCUACCGAGCUGGUCAUCGAUGACAGUGUUGACUCCUCUUUGACACAAAGCUCUAUGAAGAUGGUCAAUGAAGCUUUUGCGGGUGUCUUCCCCUCUGAAACUCAGGAACACGUCUUACUUCCAUUGAUGUGUACAAGAUGAAGAUGAAGAAGCCAUUAAAUUGGAAAAUUGAUAGCUUAAUUGUGGGAUAGAAUUAUAAGUGAGUCAGAGAAUGAAUAAAGACUAAACUGAACUGAAGAGAAAAUUAUAUAUGGCUUGACAUGCAAAUAGCAAAUCACCAUGUGCCCAGAAGUUUCUUGUGAGCUGCCAUUGAAGUUUCGAUCUACUCUUUCAAUGAAGUGGUCAGACUUUUUUUGGGCCGCUUAGCUUUAUCGUUAGGAAAGUUCUUCACACCCAACUUUUACAUUUUUUACCACCUGUCGCUUGGACAUUGGAGGGAAGUUUUCCAAGUACGAAAAAUUGACCGAUAAUUCAACGUGAUCGACAAUGUUGUAAAUAUAUAAUAUAUAUUUUAUUAAAAUUUUAAAAAUUAAAAAUUUAUAACAUUUAUUUCUUCAGUUUUAUAUAAAUAUAUUAAUAUUUUAAAUUUUAUUAAACAAAAUAUCUAUAAUAUUUAAAUAUGAAAAUAUCUAUAUAAUCUUAUAUAUAUAUAUAUAUAUAUAUAUAUAUAUAUAUAUAUAUGUUUACUUAUAUUAUUUUUGAAAUAACAUAUGUAAUUUAUUUUUUGUUUUUAUAAUUUUUAACAUCAACAAAAGAGUAAUAGAGUGGUGCAACCUUGCUACUACGAACUUGUCGUCCAAACUUAUUUUCCUACAAAGAUCCCAUAUAGGAAAUAAUAGAGUGGUCCAAUAAAUAAACCCCUCAAAAAGAAGGAUAGGUCAUUUGGUUGUUGGAAAGAUUUAUGUAUUUUUAAAUUAUUUAUAAACAGAAAAAAUGAUGAAUAAAUUUUAAGACUUGUAAAUAUUUGAUCAAGUUAAUUUAAACUUUUUUUAUUUUUUCACUUUCUUUCUCCUAUUUUUUUUUUCUCACAUUUCCUUUUAAACUUUUGGAAUAAAUUCCUUACUAUUUGUGGAGUUUUAAUAUAAUUUUUUUUUUCUCUAUGAUACAUAUUUAUGCAAUGGUUAAAUUAUUUUGAAUGUAUAUUUUUACCUUAACAAGAAACUUUUCUUGAAUGAAGAUUAUUUUCACCUUAUUUUUAAAAUUGUGUUUAUAUUUUUUAAAUAUGAAAAUUACUAUUUUGAUUUCAAAACAAUGAGCCAUUUUUAAAAGAUAUUUUACAAAAUAGUUUUUCAGAUAUAUUAAUUGUGACACUCGAAGAUCAAAGACAGUCAGUUCACUUGUCAAACCUAAAGAGUCCAUCACAUGAAUGACCUUAACUAACAAUUCCAACAAGUAAUUAGUUGACAACUUCCUCAAAUUGAUUCAUAACAAUAAUUAGAGCAUAAAUAAAAUAAGAAAAAAAUUAUAAAUUUCUAACUCAUAACUAAUUAAAAAUAUUUGAAUAACAAAUUCAAAGAUCAUCCGCCAACACUUUGAAGAGUUUUAGAAAUCAAUACUAAAUUCAAUCUUAAUUUAAAGCUCCUAAAUAAUUAAUUGUAAAGCUAAUUUCAAAUGAAAUACUUUCUUAUCUCAAUUUCCCUUCAUUUAUAUCACUAGUACCUAAAAAGUGAAAUAAUAGAGAAGAGUGAACUUAAAACUUAGUUAGGAAAAAUAGUUCAAUAAGGAGGAUCAUGUAGAGUAUAAAGCUAAAUCCUGGGACAUAUCACAUGUUUAUAAAAAAAAAAAAAGAAAUGAUAAGUUGGAGUUCAUUUAAUUCAAUAAUUAAAUUCACAUAAAUUCACCCUUUUACAAAAAAAAAAAAAAAAAAAAAAAAGGCACUAGGAGUCCAAAUAGGCUAAGAGGCUUGAAUUGAACCUUGGCUACCACUUGGCUAAGAUGUUAUUUAUAAAUAUAUAUUUAAUUUAAAUAUCUUAAAGUUCAGUAUUUAAAAAAAUAAUUCUAAUUAUUUUAUUUUAAAUUUUAUUUAAUUGAUUAAUAAAAAUAUAAAAACCAACAUUAUGAUUUUUGUUAACAAGUCUUUUUUUAUAUCAUUUAUAUGAUAAUUAAAUAUAAAAAUAUAAAUAUUAAAAAAUCAUAUAUGUAUCAUCAUUUAAUUUACAUUAUUAAACACAUUUAAAUUAAAUAAAUUAUAAUUUUAAUAUUAAAUGUAUUAUCAUUUAUCUCAUCAAUUCUAUUUUAAAAAAAUAACUAUCACUUCACUUUUAAAUUUUUUAUAUUUAUCCUUUUAAUUUUGCAUGUCUUUAUUUUAAAAUAUUAAAAAUAUAAAUUGAUUAAAAAAAACUAAAAUGUAUAAAAAAAAAUUAAUAAUGAAGUUUUAAUAUUUUAUAAAUUAAAAUUAAUUUGAUAAGAUAAAUAAUAAAUUAUAUAUUCAAAUCGAUAUAACUUUGCUUACGGAUAUUUUUCUCCUUAACUAUACCUAUGUUAAUUACGCUUAUAAAAUAUUUUAACAUGUGCAUUUUUACUUAUUUUAUCAUUUUUUUUGAGUUUUUCCAAAUAUUUGCAUAAAUUUUGAAUAAAUAAUUUUCACCUCAUCAAAAUUAUUGUCAAAAUAUCUAUCGAUAUUCUGAUAUAUCCGUAAACUUUAAGUACCAAUGUUUACCGAUAUUUCGAAUGAUAUCUUCAAAACCAAUAUAAUAAAUUAAACGAUAAAAUUCACUUACAUAACAAUAAACAUAUCAUAUGAUAUUCCCAAUUUAUUUUAUAAACUAAGGAACAAAUCAUAACAUUUUUAGCAAAAUAUUAUUUGAUCCACUUUAGGGAAUUUAAACAUUUUGAUAGUUUAAAAAUAGAUAAAGACAAAUAAGGAAUUUCAAAAUGGCUUACCAUACCAUUAACCCCUACCUUGAAGAUAUCAUUCAAAAUCCCAAAAAACUUAAUCCACUCCUAAUAUAAAUAUAAAUAAAAAAUAAUUAUUAAAGACUAAUUAUCUAAAUUAAUGGCUUCCUAAAUUUUUUGUAAAACUUAUUUUAAUUCCAAACCCUCUUCUAAAAAUCUAUUUUUUUAAUUAAAUUUUUUAUUAACCAUAUUAUUAUUAUUAUUAUUAUCAUUUUUCACUUCCCAUAACUACAUUAAUGGGUUUUGUUUAAUUAUUAAUGUUAAUAUUCUUCUUCUUUUUUUUUCAUGGUAGGAAGUAGGAUAAUUAUUUAUUAAUUUACUACUAUUUUUACUUACCUCCUACCCAUAACCCAAAUCUUAUUAGUAGUUUAUUAUUUCUUUGCUACAACCACUUUCCUCGUUUCCUCAAUUCUUCUUCCUAUUAAUCUCAUGCUUAAAGAAAGAGAAAAGAAUUUAAAAAAUAAAUCAUAACUUACCUUAAAUUUCGUAAUGAAUCAAAUUAAAAAAGUUUCUUUUUUUCUAACCCUUCAAACCAAACUUCUCUAAAGGCCUUUCUAUUGUUUCUUUUCCCUCUCUAUUGCAUCUUUUCCGUAUUUAAUAAUGCGGAGAAAUCAAAAUGAUAUAAAGUUUGGAUUUCCCAAGAUCCAAAAAAAUAGUUGUUUCACUAUUUAAUUCUUUAUCUUAAGGCAUGAAUGGAACCACAUGCACUAAAAUUGAGAAUCACUCUAUUUCACAGCAUAAAGUAUUUCAUCUUCUUUUUUUAGAUAACUUUUCUUCUCGAGUUCUUUCAGUCUUUCUUUUCCAGAGAAAAGUUUAUUGGGGUGAUUUUUUGGGCAAUUUCUAGUAGUUCCAACUCCUAGAAACUGCUCCACCCUUGAUCUUUUAUUUGGUUAGGUUGGGUUGGGUCACCUCGACUUGGGCACCCACCCAACUCCAACAAUAUUUAAGUAUUUAAUAAAGUAAAUGAUUGAAUUACUAUGAACAAGUAUAAUGAUCAAAACAAAAAUUUUACUUUUUUAUGUUUUAAUAUAAAAUCCAACCUCUAAUUGAACAAAUCAUUUACCAUUUAAAAAUAUUCUUAACAUCUUCAUUUUCUUUUUGUGUUUUUGAAAGUUCAUUUUUAUUUUAACUAGAUCAAAUAAUAUUUGUAUAAUAAUGCCUUUAACAUACAUUUUUUUAAUGAGUAAUACCAAAUAAACAUCUCAACAAAUAUUAUAUAAGAUGAUCAUUAAUUUCACUAUCUUCAUUUUAUUUAUGUUAUUCUUCUUUAUCCAAUAGAUUUAAUUAUGUGUUGUAAAAUGAACAAGGACCUCUAUAGUUAUAAUCUCACUUAAAAAGUUGGAGAAGUUAUCUCUACAUCUAUGAUUCAUGUGUGAAAUAAAUUGUUUUUGUACUUCCAUCAUCAAAGAUGCAUGUAUGUCUAAGAAUGGCAAAAGAAUCUAUGAGGUCAAGAAAAAAAUGAAAAAAAAUUGAUAUGUUUUUUUAAAAUUUAUUUCAUUUUUUUUCUAUUCUAUAUAAAAAUUCAGUAUAUAUAACUUUUUAACUAAUUUUAAUUAUAUUUUUCUUUCAUAUUUUAUAUAAUAAAUAAAAAAAGACAUUUUUUAAUAUUUCAACUAUAACAAGGUGGGCAUAAUUAAUUUAUAAUGCUAGGAUAUUGUAACAACCUAGCCUUAAAAUUUUCUUAAAUAAAUAAUCACUUCACUAGUUAUAUAUUUUCUUAUUCCAUCAUUUGUGAUUGACACCAUAGUAUUUGUUAUACUUUGAAGUAUUUUGGUAUUAUUCUUAUCUCAUAAUAAUUCGUUUUUGAAGCAAACCCAACAUGCUUUAUAGAAAUCCUCUUCCUAAAUGAACCCCAAGGUUUUUUAUUUGUGAGUGUUGGUACAUUAAGUUAUAUAGUUUAAGAUUGAUAAUUUUGUUUCAUUCAUUUUGACUUGGGGCUUUUUUAGAUUAUGUCUUGCUCUCCUUUGAAAACUCGAAGUUGUUGUGUGAUCAACUGGAAUAACAAAGGUAAGUAUUGAAAGGUCUAGAAAUUAGUUAAGGUUGGCACGAACGUCAAGUUCUUAAACCAAGUUAAAUGUUUUUUAAAACAAUUUUAAAGAACUAAUUUGAAUUAAAUGUUUUUUAAAACUGUUUUAAAGAAUUGCUACACUUUCCACUAGAUAAAACUGUGUACUAUACUUUCAAACAAUGGAUUUGUAAUUGGAUGUCUCUAACCCCAUGGAUUUUACAUCUGCAUGUUGUGUGACUAGUUUUCCCUAUAAAAAAUCUUGCGUUCUUGUAUUGAAUAUUUUUAGCUUUCCUAAGUCAAACAGAUUAAUUUAAAAUUGUUGGAAAGUUUGAAGUUUGAAAUUUGAAUUAUUCAAAUAUUUGUUGAUUUGAAUAAGUCAUCGAAGGCUACUAAGAUUAGAAGAUAAUUUAUUUGUUUUUAAAUCUUAUCAAAUUAGGAGUUAUUUAUUCAAAUAAGGAUUGAAUAUCCACCAAAUGUUUUCUAUUUUUUUCUACUCUGGCUUCAAAAAUAAUUAUUUUUUGAGCCUAAUAGGUUCAAACACCUAUUCACCCUCUCUAGAUGUUACCUAAACUAGAUAAACCAACUUUUAAUGAGGAAAACUCAAAUUACAGAAUUUGCACUUUCAGCCAACGUAGUAAGGCUUAGACAAAUUGAAGAGUAAAUAUCCUUUCAAAUCAACCAACUAGCCUUUCAUCCAUGGAUGCCUUCUCCAAUUUAAAGAUCAUGAAAACCUCUCAAAUCAUUUCUAAAGAAAAAUAAGAGCAUUGGCUCGCCCUUUCCUUGGAGAGGCUUUGAUCUUAAUCUUCUCCAUGAGUUGUUGAAAGGGUCUUUAACAACUGCGAUUGGACUGGAUGGAGCACUUAUAUGAACUAAAAAUGAUAAAUAUAUAACUACUCAAAAGAGAUUUUCACAGAAUUGCCAACCUGCAAAUCAUUUUUAGUUAACCAGAUCUCAAAACAUUAGUCACAUCCAUGGCCAAAAUUAAGUGAAGGCUCAGCAUAAAAAAUAUGAAGAACAAGAAGCAUAAAAAGUAAAAUGUAGGCUAAAAUAAAAUGUCUUAUAUGAGCAGCUCCAAAUGAUAGCUACUUUGAACCAAUUUACCUCUAAAUAUGGUUUCUAAUUUAACUAAAGUCACAUCUUCAAAAUGAGAUUUUAAAAUUUGAACAGAGAUAUUUAUUUAUUUUAUUGGAGUUGGAUUUGAAUGUUUGAAUUGACCCAAUUCCAUAAAUUAUUAUUUAUAUAUUUUAUUGGAGUUGAAUUUAAAUGUUUGGAUUAACCCAAUUCAAUAAAUAAUUAUUUAUUGGGUUUGUGUUUGGGUACCCAAAUGGACUAAGCCAACCUAAUAAAGAUAAGGGAAAAGUUUUUGGGAACUUUAGACUGUUGAGAUAUUAGGAAUGUUUAAAUAUUAGGAAAGUUGAGAUAUUAAGAAUAUUGAGAUAUUAGGAAAGUUGAGAUAUUAGGAUAUUAGUUGUUAUUUCUUUAUAUCAUUCUUUCCUUGUAUCAUUCCUUCCCAUUCUUAGAAUGGUGAUUACCCUCUAUAUAUACUCUGUACAUGAACGAAUGAAAGUAUGAAUGGAAAAAACUAUCAUUUAUCAAUUUGAAGAUGAUAUCAGAGCCAUGGAACUGAAAUCUUGGAUAUUUUGUCGCUAUGGUAGUCCAACAAUGAUCAUCCAUCCUAAGACAAGCCCUAAUAUUGAUAAGUCAACCUUCAAAUGCACUCACUACAAUAAGAUUGAUCCCACCAAUCUGGAUAUCCCACAAUUUCAAAGCAACGACUCUUGGUAUGAUUAGGAAAACAAUGAGGAACCGAGGGUUUGAACCAUGGACCUUUAGAUCAUGUUUAGGCUAUCAACAUUUUGUUAUUAAUGAUAAUAAUCGUGAUCAACGGAAGAAGGAUUCCAAGAAAACCUCGAUUGCAACUGUUGUCGAAAUAAAAACAGAGGCUAAUGUUGUUGAGAAAGCCUUUACAUUGGUAGCCGCUACAGAUCAUGGUGGUAAGUUUUUAAAUACUUUUACACCUGUUAUUAAUAGUGCAUGGAUAAUUGAUUCUGGUGCUACAGAUCAUAUGAAUUUUGAUUCUAGACAGGUUUCACCCCUUAGACCUUCUUCACAAAAAAUUGUUUCCACAGCCAAUGGUAACACAACCCCAGUCAUUGGGGAAGGAUCCUUAACUCUUACUGAUACUUUGAAUUUGGAUUCUAUUUUAGUUGUUCCAUCUUUAGAUUACAAUAUUUUGUCAGUUUCUCAAAUCACCGCAGCCUUAUCUUGUAUUGUCAUUUUUUGGCCUGAAUUUUGUGUGAUUAAGGACAUCCAAACAAGACAGACGAUUGGUUGUGGUAUUAAGCGGGGAAAACUCUAUUACUUGGACUUACAGUCAAAGGAUUCAAAUAAGUUGCAACAAGCCUUGAUGGUAGAUGGAUCUGAGGGGGAGAAGAAAAAGUCUGAAAUUUGGUUGUGGCAUCGACGUCUGGGACAUGCUUCCUUUGGUUAUUUAAAAAAAUUGUUUCCUAGUUUGUUUGCAAAGAGUGAUAUUUCUGGUUUCCAUUGUGAUAUUUGUGAAUUGGCUAAAAUCCAUCGUGUUUCGUUUCCGUUAAUUUUGAACAAAAGUCCGUUUCCUUUUAUGGUUAUACAUUUUGAUGUUUGGGGCCCAUCCAAAGUCCCAACUUUGAGUGGCUCACAUUGGUUUGUUACUUUUAUUGAUGAUUGUACCAGAAUGACAUGGUUAUGCUUGAUGAAGAACAAAGAUGAAGUGAACUUGUUGUUUAAAAAAUUUCAUAAAAUGAUUGAAACUCAGUACAAUGCAAAGGUUCGGGUUCUGCGUAGUGAUAAUGGUGGAGAAUAUCAAAGUUUUGAUCUUCAAAAGUAUUUGGAAGGACAUGGCAUCAUUCAUCAGACUACUUGUUCCAAUACACCCUAGCAAAAUGGAGUCGCUGAACGGAAAAAUCGGCACUUGUUAGAGGUUGUUCAUGCUUCCUUGAUAGCAACAAAAACACCAAUAUCUUAUUGGGGAGAAGCAAUCACAUCUGCCGCAUACUUGAUCAAUCGGGUACCUUCCAACUCAAUUAACUUCCAAACACCUCUCCAAGCUCUUACUAAUGCCGUAGUUGCCCCAACUGUCCCAAAUCUACCUCCUCGUGUUUUUGGUUGUGUGGCAUUUGUGCAUCUACACAAACACCAACGCACCAAGUUAACNNNNNNNNNNNNNNNNNNNNNNNNNNNNNNNNNNNNNNNNNNNNNNNNNNNNNNNNNNNNNNNNNNNNNNNNNNNNNNNNNNNNNNNNNNNNNNNNNNNNUCAUACAAGACCAGAUCUUGCUUAUACAUUGAGUGUAGUGAGUCAAUACAUGCAUAAUCCUAGAGAGCAACAUAUGAAUGCAGUUAUGCGUAUUUUGAGGUAUUUGAAGAAUGCUCCUGGGAAGGGAAUUUUGUUCGCUAAAAAUGUUAAUCAUCAGAGUAUAGAAGUAUAUACUGAUGCUGAUUGGGCCGGUGCAGUGGAUGAUAGGCGAUCUACAUCUGGUUACUUUACCUUUGUAGGUGGUAAUCUUGUGACAUGGAAAAGUAAGAAGCAGAAUGUCGUCGCUCGUUCAAGUGUAGAAGUAGAAUUUAGAGGUAUGACUCUAGGACUUUGUGAGGCAUUAUGGCUAAGACUUCUCUUACAGGAUUUAAGUUACCUAUCUAGGCAACCAAUCCGAUUGUUUUGUGACAAUAAAGCCGCAUGUGACAUUGCUCAUAAUCCAGUACAACAUGAUCUUACAAAGCAUGUCGAGGUGGAUAGAUUCUUCAUUAAGGAAAAGUUGGAUGAUAAGAUUGUGGAAUUGCCUAAGAUUCGAUCAGAAGAUCAAUUGGCCGAUAUCCUCACCAAAGCUGUCUCAUGUCAAGUGUUCUCAAAAUUUUUAGACAAGUUGGGCAUGUGUGACAUCUAUGCACCAACUUGAGGGGGAGUGUUGAGAUAUUAGGAAUGUUUAAAUAUUAGGAAAGCUGAGAUAUUAAGAAUAUUGAGAUAUUAGGAAUAUUGAGAUAUUAGGAAAGUUGAGAUAUUAGGAUAUUAGUUGUUAUUUCCUUAUAUCAUUCUUUCCUUGUAUCAUUCCUUCCCAUUCUUAGAAUGAUGAUUACCCUCUAUAUAUACUCUGUACAUGAACGAAUGAAAGUAUGAAUGGAAAAAACUACCAUUUAUCAAUUUGAAGAUAAACUGCUCUAAAACUAUUACGAAAAUAUAAAUAGUGUGAAUCUCCAACUUUCUCCCGAUGAGAAAAUAGAAAAGAAAAUAAUUAUUCUUUCUAAGACAAAGUCCCUUCUGGAAUUUUUUUUUCCUAUUUUUUCUAUAAAAAUGAGAGUCAAGAUUUUUAUGCCAAGAAAAUAGAGUAAUUCUUAUAUUUGUAGUUUUAUUCUUAAAAAAUAAUCUGAAAUUGAGACUUUCAAGCAUUUUAAAAGAUAAUCUGAAAUUUCUUUCAAUAUAUAAGCCUUGUACGUGAUGUUGGUUGACUAUUAUGAUAGUAAAUUCGGGAGGAUGCUUGCAUGUAAAAAUUUCAUUUUAUUUUAUUUUUAAUCAUGGAGCACAUUUUAUGGAUUAUGAUUUAUAAUACUGCAUCAAUGGUCAUGAACAUUGCAAUUAUGAUUUUUUUUGAGAUGUUUAAAUGGACGUGGAAGAUAAGAAAUAGAUUUUCUAUUAAGAUAUUUGAAUGGAGAUGAAAGCAUGGGUAUAGGUUUGUACUAAGGAAAUGAACAUAUGAUUAAAAUAAACCUGAUACAGUUAGUCUAUAAGAAUGGAUCCUGUUUCUAACCUUUUAACACACAAAUUUGGAAACCUAAACCUAUGGAUUGUUUCUUUCCUAUAAUGGAAUCCUAUGUUCCUUCUCAAAGCAGCGCUGACUUUUCCCUUCCUACCAACUACAAAGAGAAAAUCUUGACUAAUCUCGAUAAAGGUUUAUUUUAUCUAUACAUGCGAGGUCAAAGUUUUAAAAGUAUUCUACAUAUAUUUUAAAUUUAUUCUAAAAUAAUGUGUUUGAUUAAUUUCUUGGUCAAUUCUCAAAGUCAAACUUGUAUUUUGAAUUGGAAAAUUCUAGAGAUUCUAAGAAACUCGUCUUCUACGAUACACAACCUGAUUGAAGCUGAGCUGUGAGAAAUUUUCACAAUUGUUAGCAUUCUUCAGGCAUUUGGUUUAUUUAAAUUUUGGUAAGUAAUCAAAUAUCAUACACAACCUGCUCUUUGAAGUGGUCCUGGAAGAACAUUCAAAACCAAUACACAUUCAAAUUACUUCGCUUAUAUUGAUACGCGGCGAGGAAUUGUUGAUACCCAAGCCACACGUGAUCUGAUUUAAUGAAUCUGUGCCUGUCAUCCGAAGAAUUCUGGAUUGAUGGGAGCAAAAAGGUGACCAGUUUUACCUUGAGUCAAAUUCAAAUGACAAAAUAUAUUACCAGGGCAAUCAUGGACAGCACCCUUAACUACAAAAAUAGCGCACACAGCCAAUCCCAUCAACCUAGUAUUACACCAAUUUGGAGGCUGAUGUACCGUUACUUUGGAGUCUAUACUCUGUUGGCUGAACCACUCAGGAAUUUAACUUCCAGGAACAAAAGUAUUGGAUUCAAUAUGUGGAGUAUAUGGUACCAUCCAGGUCAUGAAAAUCAAUGUCAAGUUAUAUGGAAAUAAUAUAGGAGUAGUGCUCAAAGGAGUAUAAGAAUUAUUCCAUAGGAUUUAAUUGAUUUACUUUUACAAUAUGAUCAAGAGAGAAAGGAGAGAAACCUGGAUUGGGAAUUGAAAUCUUGGUAAUUUAUUAGCCAGACUUUGCAUUUCCCUUAAUGUAGCUGCCACAAAGUUUAUUUUUUCAUUAAUAUAAAUUAAAUAAUUAAAAUACCUAAGUUUUUCAAAAUUUUUAAUCAUGGUAGUGGGCCUUUGAUUAACCAUAGAUAGCCCAUGCAUCAUUUUCCAAAGUGAAGCACAACAACCUUACAACAGUGAUGUCACAUAGCAAUUCAUUAUUCAUUAUUUUGUUUACCCUUUUCAAUGUGGAUUUUCUUAAAGCUAUUAAAAAAACACACAAUAUCAAGAUUUGAGCGUGGGUCUUUCACAAUAUCUUUUAUAUACUAAUAAUUAUAAAUUAAUUAAAAUGAAAUUAUUAUAAAUAAGCUAAUUUUAAUUAUCUUAUUAUGUCUCUUAUAAAGUGAUUAGAUAUAGGACAAAUAUAAAUUUAUAAAUAAAAUUAUUAACAUUUUCAAAUAAAAAAUAUAAAUAUAUAUCAAUUUUUUUUAUAUCCUUUAAUAUAUCUAAACUUAAUGCAUUAUCAUUUUAGUAUUAAUAUUUUCCAAUUCGGUAUAUUAUUGUCUAAGAUUACAAAUUUAUCAAUUUUUCUUAAAACAAUAUCAAUAUAAACAUUAUUAUUUUUCUAUCAUUUUUUGAGUUAUUUCCAACAUUUCAUGAGGUUUUAUCAAUUUCCAUCUCAUAUAUAUAUUUUAGAAUUUUCAUUGAUAUUUCUUUAUAUAUCUAUAAACUCCAACUAAUGAUAUAUCGGUAAAAAUCAAUAUUUUCAUUCUUAUUUAACAUAAGAAAGAAAAUUAUUCAAAUGGUGCAUAAAUUAAUGUGACCUCCUGAUGAGAAUGACAAUGACAACCAUGAGUCAUAAUUAGUGUAUGUGUGUGGUAAAUUAACUUAGUGUUUGAUAAAAUAAUUAUUUAUCAUCAUUUAAAAUUUAAAAAUAAAUUUAAAUAUUAAAUCAAAAUAAUUAACUUAUUCUAAAUACUAUUUUUUUUUUUAUUCUCUUUGUUCAUAUUUGGUGAUAACCAUGCUUUAUUUUUAGAAUUCUUUUUUUUUUUUUAGUAAAUAUUUUGUAGUUAUUUUGUAGCUUCACAAUAGUACUUUUUAAUAUAAAUGUUUAACAAGCUUAAGUUUAUGAAGAUAAAUAUUAAGAAAAAUUAAUGAGUUUAAAUAUAUCAAUAUAAUAACUUUUAAAAAAUUAAGUUGAUUUUACCAAAAUAAAAAUAAAAAUAAUUCAUCUUAAAAUUAAUUUCAAUAAUUAAGUAAUAAGGAUUAAGUUUUAUCAUACACUCUCUUAAUUAAUAAAUGACAUAACUUCUUUCAACAAAUUCUUCGUUCUACUUUUGAAAAAAAAAUAAUAAUAACGUGAUAUUUAUUUAUUUAUGUCUAAAAUUUAAAUAUACUUGAAUUUGACUUAAAUCUAAAUAUAGCUUAAUAUUAUUAAGUGUUCAGACUAUUUUUUUUAUUUGUGUCUAAAUAUUAUUAACUGUUAAAUUGUUUCUUUUUAUUAAUAUCAAAAUAUGUGAAGUGUUAAAUUUAUUUAUUUAUGGUUAAAAACAUUUAUAAAAGUAAUUGUUAUAUUUCUUCUUAUUUUAAUUUGAAAAGUUAUAAUUUAACAAAAUAGUAAUUUAAUUAACACAUCUAAAAAAUAUUAUAAUACAUUGUCAAAGUAAAAAUUUUAUAAUGAUAAUUAUGUAAUUAGUAAAUUAUAUUAUUGUACAAUCCAUUGUUCCAUGUCGUAUAAUAUAGAAUAGCUAUGCAUACCCAUCAGUGCAUAGACAUAUAUCUUUUGAUAAUCUAUCAUGAAUGUCACGUGGACUCUAAGUGAAGUAUGUAGCUAUUAUAGUAUAAAGAUGGCAUAGGAAGAGGCUCCGGGUUUACUAGUUCUCACUCAACCAUAGCAAUAGGGAAUAUAUUGCACAUUAUUUUCAUCUAAAAGAAAGGUAGAAAGACCUUAGAAAUGGAACUUUUAGAUAAAACCUAAGGGUGGCAAUGAGAUGAGUCUAAGAAGGAUCACUUCAAUCUCAAUCUUAUGUCAUUUAUUUAUAUUAAAUGGGGUGAGAUAAGACAAAAUUAUAUUCGAACCUGUCUUGAACUUGGUCCGAGGGCAAGAAGGGUCUUUACAAAAAUCAGCCUCAUUGUCAUUCUUAGGUACGCAUCUAUACCAAUGAAAGUUUUUACAUCUAUUAAAAAAUUUAAUGUUCCCGAUGUUAAUUAACUUCACCAGACUACAUACACUUCAUAAUCGUGAAAAAGUGUCAAAAUUCUCAACCAAUCAAUGACAUAAACUACAAUCAAGUUUAGUACAUCGGAACCCUAAAAUACCUCCAAACCCCAUUUCUUGUAAGACCCCCUUCUGAUUAGGUUGCAAAUGUUGAAGUACUUUAUACACCUAAUUAGGCGAACAACAAGUGUCAAGAUAAGACUGCAAGCCAUACAUAUACAUAUGCAUAUAAAUUUGAAAUUGAAAGAAAAUAUUAUGGGUCUUCAUAUUUGAAAUUUUAAAAAGAUAAAUUUCAAUUUUUUUUUUUUUUGUCUUUGAUACAUUUUUUGAGCUUGUACCAUUUUGUUUUACAUAUUCAUUGGAGUAUUUCUUCAUCAUGGGUCUUCAUCCAUUAGAGCACCAAGGAGAGCAAGUUCAUUGGCACGUGCUUUAAUGGUAUGUAGGAAGGUAGUGAUGCUUUGCAAACCCUUGGUGUGAUUCUUAAGGUGGUUGUUGACUUGUUUAAUGUAGACAUGUGAUAGUUUGACAUAGGUAUUGGUGAAGAUGAUCUAUGCUUCACGAAAGAUUGUGGCACAGGCAAUGAAUGGAAUUAUGGUGGGUGAAACGGAGCCAAUAAGUGUAUUUAGGAUCAAUUGAUCUUGACGAAGCAAGAAUAGGUUGGGUUGGGUAUUACAGUGUCGUUGGCAUAGUGGUGGGUGGACAAGGUUUGGUUCUAUCAAUAUAGCUAAGGCGGUCAAAGCCAAUAAAUAGUGUUUGGAAUUGAAAUCUUUAUGAUAUGUAGUUGGUAGUGGUUAGUUUAAGUAGGGCUCGAGCAAAAACAUUUAUUGAGAUGAGUAUUUGGUGUGACUCAUGGGUGUUGUGAAUAUUGAGAGUAGAAGUUACAGAAGUGGUGACAUCUUAGGUGGCCAUGAGGCUAUGAUGAUGGGGAGGAGCAUUAGAUGGCUUUGGCAUAGAAAAAGAGGUAAGAAGGAAGAACAAGUGGUGGUGAGGGUUUUCAGGUUAAGAAGCUUGAAUGCUCUGAUGUCAUAUUGAAGAAUGAGAUUGGUUAAUUAUUUUUCUAGGUUGAUUCUAUGUUGCUUAUAUGCAUGAUUCACCAAGGGUUUCUGACAAGCAUUAGCUAAGGGUGGCUGAACCCAAUGACAGACCAGAUGAAGGAUUAAUAAUAUAUUGCACUCCAGCAGUUCAACCAAUUCCUUUCGUUUCCUUAAUGACUUCUUUUGGUGACCUAUCAAUUUCUCUCUUGGAAAGUCUAGUAAUGGGUUGCCAAUUACCUAAAAGUUACUUCUGAGGUUUUGUUUUGUUGAUUCUAUGCUAACUGAUAAUCUGCAGAGGAAACAACUUGUUCGUCUGGAGAAGGUCUUGAAGCACUGUGAUGAAUUUGACCAGAAGAGUAAACUCAUCAAGUCCAUAUUAAGUCAUCAGGUUCCAGUAGAGCUAUUUCAAAAACUUCUUUAAUGCAUUAGCAUUUAAAAAUUGAACAAUAAAAUAACAUAUAUUAUUGAUACUAUCAUUUAAAACAAGAAAUAUAUUGUUGAUAAUGGCAUUUAAAACAAUAAAAUAGUGCAUUAGACCUGCAUUCAAAUCUUCAAUUCUCAAACACCACCAACCCACCCAUGAAUAGAGAAAGAGAAGAGAACCCUAGCAAAAGUAGAGAGCUUCAAUUCUCAAAUCUUCAAUUUUCUUUUUAUGUGUUCAAGUCAUUUUUAUUUGUUAAAUGAUUCCAGCUACUACUUGGGUCUAGUAUUUCCUUGGUGUAUAUAUCAUGCACUUCUCAGUAGAAUGCCCAUAGACAUGGAGAAACAAUUUUUUAUUUAUUUGCAAUGCCUAAUAUAAAAUUUAAUAAGCACCUAAUUUUUUAUUUCAGCUAUGAAUGGUAUUUUUCUCUAGAUCAUAAGUACGUUGGUUGAAUUUUAAAAAAUUUAUAUCAUUUCAGCCACUAAUUAAUAUCAUGCAAUAGAAAAACAAAGUUGAAAUUUGGGAUAAUAAAUAUCAUUAAAGUACAAAGAAAGUAACUUAUUGGGAGCAAAUUCUUCACAACCUGGCAUUGGCCUUUAGAUUAAAUAAUUUAUUAAUAAUCUCCUCUUUCUUUCUAAACUUAUACCGCUGUUUAUGAAAGUUUCUAAAAACCAAAGCCCAAAGCCUAGACUAUAAAAAGGAAAUAAUCACUUGGAGAGGGGUUGUUUGUUUUUCUUGAGAGCCUAAUAAAUGCAACGACAUAGACAGAAAGAGGCGGAAGAGUUGAGUCGGAGGAUCAAGAAACACAACCAUUCUUCUCUUUCAUUAGGGUUUUUGGCUGACUCUAAGGCCGUCUUACCUUCCUCUUAGAAUGAUGGCCUCUCGUUUCUAUACAUAUCCUUCCAUGCAUUUUCUGGCUCUCCCAUUCUCUUUUUCAAAGCUACAUCUUUCCUCAUAGACCCUGUUUGGUUUCUAAGAAAGUGGUCUAGGUCUCUUUCUUUUUCUUGAUUUAUCUUUGGUUUACAAGAAUCAGGAGUGAAGUAAAGUGGGUUCUUGAUUUAUGUUUGAUUUCUCUUUUUCAAACCUAUGUUUUGAUCUUUUCUCUCCAGCUCUUGUGGUCUAGGUCUAAUAUGCGUUGUGUUUUCUUUCUUUUUGUUUGGUUUUCCAAGAAAGUGAAGGAAAAGGAACUCUCUACUCUCUUUUUCUUGGUUCACCUUUGGCUUACACUCUUGGCACAUUCCACUUAGGAUUGUCCUCCUACAUCCUUUGAUGCUUUAGUGUGCAAUUGUGGUCAUUAACUGAGUUGUUUUUAAGCCCUUAUUGACGGUCCAUUGAGACAUUUUAGAGGGAUUAGGUGGAUCCCUAUCUUGAUUUUAGUGAUUUUUGAAUCUUAGUUCAGGACUUUGUUUUAAUUGAUUUAUAACAUAUUUAGGCUUGUUUAGAACUUUUAAAAUUCAUAAUUUUGAAUGUGCCAAAUACCCCCUUCCAUCAAUUCCAACUGCAGCAACUGCCAUUCAAAGAUGCUAGCCACAUAUUAAACCCAUGCAUGAACCCCCAGCCAGAUACCCAUUUUUUCCUCCAUCCAUCAACCACCUUCUUACUCCCACCACCGCCACUGCUCACCAUUCCCACUUCUCCUCCACCACCAUGGCCACCACCGCUUCCGGCUCUGUCUUCCUCCUUCUGCUCCUUGCCGCCGGCGAUGGCAGAGUCAUAAGCAACCGCACAUCGUCCACCGGCCUAGUCUCUGACGGCGUCCACGACCACCCCAAUGGUUUGCCUUAUCUUCUUCUCGGGUCUUUUUCCGCCGUCUCAGCCUCGGAUUCAUGCGAUCAUACAGCAAACCCAGAUAGAAAUCAAACCUCCACAACCCGCUCACCUUUUCCAUGCCGGUGAUGAUCAAGUGCGACAACAGCAGGUUCGGUUCUUCAAGUCUGGCACUCAAAAGAGAGAGGACAACUGGGUCAUCUCCCUCUUCGUGGUCCUCCACAUUGGGCCCUUCUUGCAUCGCCUUGGAUUUGAAACCGACCGGUUUAGAACCAUAACUCCUGCACGUGAGAGAGAUCACCAUGAGCCAUGCAAGGGAGCAUGCCAGUCACGUUCUCUAACUGCCAUGCAUCGGGAAUAUAAAGAUCACGCCAGAAAGAAUAAAGAGGGCCGUUCUAGAGACUUCGGAGGAGGAGAGAGGAAAGGAAAACUGACACAGAGAGUCUCUGUUUCUGGGCGUUUUUUGGAAGAGAGUUCAAAGAUCUUCUUUCUGUAGAAGAUCAUCACAUGCACCGAUUCAAAGAAUUUAGAGAGCUUCUCGUUAGAGUCAAGGUUCUCGUCAUUGUAGACCUUCAUGAACAUCUUCUUCACGGCAGCAUUGGCAUCCCGAUUCCUGAACCUCCAUGAUUGAUUGACCUCCAUCAUCUUCACGAUCGUGCACAAGUUCUGAAAGAAGAGACGUGAAUCUCUUCUUCGUCUUCACUCUCUAUACUUGUAUCUCGAAGGUUAUCCCGGUUUCUAUGUGCAUCGGAUCUCCAUAGAUGAACUCGGAUUUUGCAUUGAUCUGAAUCUCAAGCAUGCAUUAUUUCCAUAUUGUGCUGCCAAACUUGGUGUUUUUCUUCAUUUAUUCUUCACCACAACAGUUGGACAUAAAGGUUAGUCUCGAUGAAUCUUUACCAUUUGAAUUAGUUUAUUAAUGAUUUUUAAGUUAUUCAUUGAUAAAGUUAAGGCUAAGAGAUGAAAUUGGUUUGUUGAUUUUGAAACUCAGGGCUGUUUGUGACAUACUUUUAUCAAAAUUAGAGAAUGAAUAGAGGCUGACUAUGAUUACUAUAUCUAGAUAUAUGUUAUGGAAUAAUGGCAGUUGUAGUAAAUAAUACACAAUGGGUUACGGGAUGAUGUUGAUGCUUGUUGAUUUUUUUAAUAAAAGCUACAUAUAGAAAAGUAGAUGUAUAACCAGCCAUAAGUGUUUUUAGUGGCUCUUGAUGACAAGUUAUGGUGCCUUGUUCAUAUGUAUUAUUUUUUUCUUCAACAUGUUUAGUGUUGUCAUUUUAGUUCCAUAAAUGAACCUUGGGGCAAGGUUGGACAACUGAUGGCAACUAGGCAAGGCUAAAAGUCAAUUUUUGCUCGACCUUUUGGGCAUGGGCAGCAAUGUGUGGACCCCUCUUUAGCAUGAAAAUGGCUAGAACAUGUUAAGCUCUCUUAUUAGAUAAUGUGUUAACUAUAGGGCAAUCAUAGGAUGGGGAAUAUAUGGUAAUUAUGCAAAAAAAAAAAAAUUUGUAUCCAAUUAUAUAGAAAGACAUCUUCCAACAUUUAAUAUAAAUAUACAAAAAUUAAGAGAAAAAAAUUUAAAAAAACAUAUUAAACCGAAAAAUAGGGGCUUAAUAAUAAAAUCAAGUAAAAAGGUAAAAUUAAAACCAAGUAUUAAAUAUGAAUAUAGUUUAAAUAUUAAAAAUAUUAUUAUUUAGGUUUAAUCAUUGGGUUUGCUAGAGGAGUUUAUAUAUAUAUAUAUAUAUAUAUAUAUAUAUAUAUAUAUAUAUAUAUAUAUAUAUAUAUAUAUAUAUAUAUAUAUAUAUUAAUUUUUUCUUUUUUUAAUCCUAUCUAUGUUGUUGAUAUUAAUUCAUUGAAUUUAAUGUUACCUAAAACAAAAUUAUAUUUCAUGUCCUCUAUUAUAAGUGGAUAACCAUUCCUUAUGUUAUAUUUUAGAUAAAGAACGAAUAUUGAGGAUUGGAGUUGUAAGAAAUUAGGAGAGAAAUUAGGAGGUCCUAAUUUUAAAUAUGUAACAAAGUUCUAUAAUCACUCCAAUCCACGUUUAAAAAUUGUAUUUCUUUCUAAUAUGGGAUCAAACUUUUUCCUUCUUUCUUAUAAAUUUCAUUUGGGAAUGAUUUAAAAAUAAAUAAAUAAAAGCCCUUCUAAAUAUUAAAAAAACACUCUCUUAUAAAAUUUAAUUAGGUGGAUGGUAAGGUCAAAUUCGAGAUAGCUUCAUAUUUUUUGCUUUAACUGAAAAUUAAAAUUGAAAUUAAAGUAAAAAGUUUUAAGAUGUUGUAAAAGUUUUAUUAAACAUGAAAUAACUUAUUCUGUAAACAAAAAUAGAAUUAUAGAAUUCUUAUAAGAAAUAACAUUUUUAUGACUUCUAUAUGAAACUUUUUUUUUUUAAAAAAAUUAAAUAGGUAAAAAACUUUUAUUCAACUUAUUUUUUUUUAACUCUUAAAAGUCAAUCCAAAUAAAAUUUAAAUAUAUUUGAAAAUUAUUUUUAAAAAUCCAAAAAAUCACUUAAAAAUAAUUUCUGAACUUUUUUUAAUUUACAUUUAAAUACUAAGUGAUUCUUUUAAAAAUCAUUUAUAAUGUCAAAAUAUUUUUUUAUGGAUAAAAAUAUUACAAAUAAAAAACAUUUCAAUCACAAUUAAUUUAUUUUUAAUUCAUGAAAUUUCAUUUAUUGUUACUUAUUUUUUGGGAUUUAAUUCUUUACAAUUAUUUUUGAGUGUUUAUAUAGAAUAAUUAGGUUAUGCCCAAAUUUAUUCCUUUAACUCUAUCCAUCAGAUAUAAGUAGCGUGAAAUUUUGGCCUGUCUCCACCUUUCUUCGCUUCUGACAAUGGUCAAUGAAUAAUUUAUUAUAUUUUUUUCUUAAUUUAAUAGCAUUGGAAUGUCAGCUGGAACAAACCAUUUGAUGAUCUUUUUCAUAAGUAUCCAUUUAGAUCAUAGUCUAAUUUUAAAAUAUUAGAAUAAAUCAAUUAGUCUAAACUAUAUCAUUUAUAAUUUUUUAUUUAUUAAUAUGAUACCUAUCCUUCCACGGAAUUCAAAUAAAAUAUGGAUAAUUAAAAAAUGUCAACUAUCCAUGAUAUUUGAUACCAAACUUUUCUAAUACAACAUGAUAUCAUGUUGAAUGAAAUGGGAAUGACCAAAUAUUCUCAAAUCAAAGAUAUAUCUAUUGUGGACACGUCAAAUUCUCUUUUUAUAAUCAAAGACGUCCAUGGAAAAUUCCACCAUAGUAUAUCUCAAAGAUUAGUCAAAUUCCAUUAUCUUUAUAGACUUUUAACAAUCUAAGAAAUUGACAUUAAUAAUCCCAAACACAAUAUUCUGCAACUUUACAUUAUUCUUUUUAUCGUAAUUGAAGAGGAAUACCAACUUAGUCAAAUAGAAAAUAAAUCACGAAAGUUGAAUAAUACAAAUAUUCAGUGAAAUCUUUGGCAUGUUAUUUCUUUGCAGCUUCAACAUGGUGGCAUGUCGGAUGGAGGAGGCAGCAUUUGAGCUUUUGGGUGUUUUCCAUUUUUCACUAUGAACGCAGUUUCCAUGCCCCAAGUCACAUGGCGUUCUACAUGGUAGUGCAGGAACCACACUCCUACAACAGAGAAAAUAUAGUGACAUUACACCUAACUUAAUUGUAAUAUUAAAAAAAAAAAUUUAUUUCAUUGGUAUGCAGGUUGGCAGUUUCAAGGCAGAUGUAUAAACUUAUUUUGCUUCCGGAUCAUAGGAGGAUGUAAAACUAAUCAUGAGUUUCCUAAUCAAACUUUCAUGUGCCUUUUGGAUACUGAAUUUAACAUCUUCCAUGAUGGUAAGACUUGACAAAUUGUCGAUUGUUUGUGAUGUUUUUCAUUUGAUAGUUUACAUAUGUCAUGGCAUGACUUGGUGCAUAUUUAGACUUAGAGCUUUAGUUAGCUUUGUUUUUGUCCAUUAUUCGGUUUUCUUUUGAUAACAUGGUCCCAGGAUUUGUAGUCCUAUUUAGCUUUUAUAAUUGAAGAUAAGACAUUUUCAUCUUAUUGUUGAUGAGUGUAUCCUAAUGUAUGUCUUUGUUAGUACCACACCCUAAUUAUCCGACUUUUUUAUGUUUUAUGUUUUAUAUUAAUUUCAUGCCUCGACUAUCCGAACUCUUUUAUGUUUUCUUAAUGUCACGCCCUGACUAUUCGACCUCUUUUUGUCUCUAUUAGUGUCAUGCUCUGAUUGUCCAAAUUUUUCAUGUUUUUCUAGAGCUAUCUUGAUUGUCCAACUUUUCCAUGUUUUCCUAAAGUCGAGCUCUGACUGUCCAACUUCUUUUAUGUUUUCCUAGAUUAGCACUCUAAUUGUUGGGUUUUCUUUGUGUUUCCUCUAAUGUCCAUGCUCUGACUACCCGACCUCUUUUAAUUUUUAUUUUAUUAGCCUUAAGUUUUUUCUCUAAUCAUUAGUUUCUCUCUCUUUUCUUCUUCAUUCUCUUGUUCACCCAUUCAUUCCCCCCUUUGGAUAACAAGGUCCUUAGUGUUUCACAUAGAUAUUGUCACUACCCUAUUUAAAAGAGUCUCCCUUAAGAUCCACAUAGAUAUUGCAUGUUUCUCUACUAGUAGAUCAAUGAGCACAUUUCAUAACCUUAGAGAGCUUGUGUCUUAUUGGGACAAUUUUGGUGAUCUUUCUUGUACUUUAGUAGAGCUCACUUCGUUUAGUUGAUUUAUACACUUACUUCACUUGUGAACUCUUCUAAAAAUGGGCAUAUUUGUAGAUCCCAAAAUUUGCCCUAAGUCCAUUCUCACUUUUUAUUUUAUUUUAUUAUUUAUUUGAUUUAAUUUGAUUUUUACUUUAUUUUUUUUCUUUUUUUGUUCCUUUCUUGUUUUUCACCUUUUUUUUCCCCACACGUGCAACUGCAGAACCCUUCCUCUUCUUAUUUUUCCCUCUUCAAUUUCUUUUCUUUGCUUCUUUCUUUUUCCUUCCUUUUUGUUUUUCUUUCUUUUCUUUCCUUUUCUCUAUUCUCUCUACCUACUCUCUCUCCCAAACCCAUCUCUGGCUGUCAUCUACCUUCCUUCUCUUUCCCUUUUCUUAUUUAUUAUCCUUUCAUUUUUCUUCCUAUUACCCAUUUCUCUCUCUCACCUUAAAGAUCCAUAACCAUGGCUGCCCCAUACUCAACACUCUCACCACUAGAUAGUCACCAUCGGCGAGCCAUUAUUUGUUCAUGAUCCCUUUUCUCCCUUUGUUUCUCUCUUUUCUUCCUUUUCUCUCUUAUCUCACCCUUUUUCUUUAUUUAUUUAUUUAUUAUUAUUAUCUCAUUCUUUCCCCUUAUCCCUUAUUCCACAUUGCAUUCACGAAAUGGGUAAGAUGCCCUUUUUCAUUUUCUUAUUUCUUUAGUCAUUUUAUUUUUUAUUCCUAAAGUAAUUGUUCUUGAUUGUUGAGUUUGCUUGUUUGGACUUUAGAUAAUUUUGCUCGGAAUUUGCAUAUUAGAUGUUGAUCUUCUUUUAGACUUUAAUAAAUUAAGUUAUCCAAAAAUCUUCUUUUAAAAAAAUAAAAUAGGUGGAAUAAGACAUUUUCAUUAAAUAAGAAAAAUGGACCCAAAAAUAAGUUUUUAGACAUCUUUUUAGAUAAAAUAGUCCAAAAAUUUUAUUUUAAUAAAAGAAACAAUUCAUAAUUUUAAAAUAAUAUAAAUAAAUAAAAGGUUCACAAAUAUUUUUUUCAAAUAAAAUAAAAUAAAAAUAAAACAAUUCAAUAAUCUUGUUUUAAUGCAAUAACAAUUCAAAAAAUAUUCUUUUUAAUAAAAUAAAGCUUUUUUUAAUAGAAAGUUUAGAAUUUCUUUUUUAGGAAUCGAAUUUUUUUUAAUAAAAAUUCAAAAAAUUAAAUGGUCUAGAAAUUUAUUCAUUUAAAAAAUUUUCUAAAAAAAUUGAUUUUUAAAUAAAAUUGUCCAAAAAGUUAAUUUUAAUAAAAUCGUCCAAAAAUUUAUUUUUGAAUAAAAUUCUCUUUCCUUGAUAAGAAUGGGAUUAAAAAUAAUUUUUAUAAAUAAAGGUCUUAAAGAAUUUUUUUUAAUAAGAAUAGGAUAAGUAAACCUUUAAAUCAAACUGAAAGACCUUUUUUUUUUUUUUUUUAAUAAAUUAGUAAACUAAUCUCUUUCUAGAUGAAAUCCAAAAAUUAUUUCUUAAUAAUGGAAUCCUUGGGAAUAAAUUUGUGAAUUUUUUUUCUAACUAAAUUAGUAAUAAAGAAUCUUUUUCUAGGUAAAAUAAAAACAUAUAUAUUUUUAAUAAAAUUGGGUUGAACCUUAUAAACUUGUAAAUAUCUUUCUUUAAGUUUGUAAAUUUAAAAAAAAUAAAUAAAGAUUGAAUCAAAACACUUUUUAAAAUAAAUUAGUAAAAUUCACCCCUUCUUAAUAAGGUAAACAAAAAUCAUUUCUUGUAAGUCAAAUAAAAUCUUUUGUAAUAAAUUGAAGCAUUGUGAAUAAAUAAAUUCAAAUCACUAAUUUGAAAUUGUUGUUAAUAUAAAUGAAUUCUUUGAAAAUUUUUGGAAAUUGUAUUAUGAUAUUUGAAAUAAUAAAAUCUUUCUAAUAAAUUAUUUUGUGCAUUUCUUAUAUAUCAUUUUUGCAUAUCCUUAUAAUUUGCUUUUGCAUUAUUCCAUGUGCUUGUAUUAUUCUUUUUUUUUAGUAUCCAUGAUUGAUUAAUUAAUUGUUAUAAUUUCAUUUUUAUGUGCUUAGUAAAAACCUUUUUAAGGCUUAAAAGGGUGCUACUAUGGUACCUUCCAAAUAGGUAAUCUGACCUCUGAAUUCAAACUCAGUUUUUGUCAACACGUCUUUUCUUUAAAAAUGGAGUUACACUAAGGCUUUAUUUCUUAUUUUAUUUUCUUUUAAAAAUAAAUAAAAAUAAGUGGCAACUCUACCUUUUUAAAAAAAUCAAUUUUUUUACAAUCAAAAUAAGUCUCGCCAUCAAGUAGGCAUACACAUAAAAAAUGUGGGUUCACAAUUGUAUUUCUUAGAAUUAAAAUAUAAUACAAUUACUAAAUCAACGAUGUUGUAAGUUUUUAAAUCUUUUAUCAUAAAAAAUUCAAAUCACAAUGGAUCAAAUAGUUUUCAAAAGAAAAAAAAUAUAUUUAAAAUGAAAAAUGUAACAAUAAAGACAAUGAAACAAGGUGAUAUGGUUGGAGUUAAAUAGAAAAAUCUUUUAUCCAUGAAUUUAUAGUUUAUUUAGUAGAAAAAAGUUUGAAAGAAAUAUUGCAUACAUUAAUGGAUUAAGUAGAUAUGGAGUUGUAAGCAAAUAGGAGAUCCUAAUUUUAAAUAUGUAACAAAGUUCUAUAAUCACUUCAAUCCACGUUUAAAAAUUGUAUUUCUUUCUACUAUGGGAUCAAACUUUUUCCUUCUUCUUAUAAAUUUCAUUUGGAAAUGAUUUAAAAAUAAAUAAAUAAAAGCCCUUCUAAAUAUUAAAAAAACACUCUCUUAUAAAAUUUAAUUAGGUGAAUGGUAAGGUCAAAUUGGGGAUAGCUUCAUAUUUUUUGCUUUAACUGAAAAUUAAAAUCGAAAUGAAAGUAAUAAUUUUUAAGAUGUUGUAAAAGUUUUAUUAAACAUGAAAGAACUUAUUGUGUAAACAAAAAUAGAAUUAUAGAAUUCUUAUAAGAAAUAACAUUUUUAUGACUUCUAUAUGAAACCUUUUUUAAAAGUUAUAAGUUUUUUUAAAAAAUAAUAAUUAAAUAGGUAUAAAAACUUUUAUUCAACUUAAUUUUUUUUAACUCUUAAAAGUCAAUCCAAAUAAAAUUUAAAUAUAUUUGAAAAUCAUUUUUAAAAACCCAAAAAAUCACUUAAAAAUAAUUUCUGAACUUUUUUUAAUUUACAUUUAAAUACUAAGUGAUUCUUUUAAAAAUCAUUUAUAAUGUCAAAAUAUUUUUUUAUGGAUAAAAAUAUUACAAAUAAAAAACAUUUCAAUCACAAUUAAUUUAUUUUUAAUUCAUGAAAUUUUAUUUAUUGUUACUUAUUUUUUGGGAUUUAAUUCUUUACAAUUAUUUUUGAGUGUUUAUAUAGAAUAAUUAGGUUAUGCCCAAAUUUAUUCCUUUAACUCUAUCCAUCAGAUAUAAGUAGCGUGAAAUUUUGGCCUGUCUCCACCUUUCUUCGCUUCUGACAUUGUCAUGCACUGCUUCGUCAACUCCAAACACAACCGCUGAGGAUAGAAGAAAAUGAGACAAUGGUCAAUGAAUAAUUUAUUAAUUUAUUUCUUAAUUUAAUAGCCUUGGAAUGUCAGCUGGAAUAAAAUGAAAGUUUUAUCAUUUAAUCUUUUUUAGCACACCACUCAUGAUCUUGGAGAGUACGGUCAAUUGCAAAAGCUUAGUUAAUUGUAAGUGUCUUUUCUCUAAACCAUAAAUUCAAAUGAUCAACUCCUACGUUUUAAUUUACAAAAGCCAGUGAUUAGUUUUUACUGGUUAUUUGAAUUUAAGGAAGCAGAAAAGGGUUUACUUUAAUAAAAAAAUAAAAAAAUAAAAAAUAAAAAGUAAGAGUUGAAAAGUAAUCAAAUCACUAAAAAAAAACAGAUUUACAGUUCUUUUGGUAUGGGGUUAGACUCAAUUUGUUCCCCUGCAAUGGAAAUGGACAACAUUUUUUUUCUUUUGUCCUUUUCCUUUAUCUUGGUGUAGAUAUUCUAAUAUUUUAUAAAAGUAUAAAUUAUAUGCCAAUUAUUUUAACUUUAGGAAAAAACGUUUAUUUUAAUUUAAAAUAAGUAAAUAAAAAAGAACUGAUUUUAUCUCAACAAUAUAAGACUUCAUAAAAAUUAUCUUAUUUGCAAAAUAUUUUCAGAUGUAAAAGUAAAAAUUAAACAAAUCAUUUGAUGAUCUUUUUCAUAAGUAUCCCUUUAGAUCAUAGUCUAAUUUUAAAAUAUUAUAAUAAAUCAAUUAGUCUAAACUACAUCAUUUAUAAUUUUUUUUACUAUUAAUAUGAUACCUAUCCUUCCACGGAAUUGAAAUAAAAUAUGGAUAAUUAAAAAAUGUCAACUAUCCAUGAUAUUUGAUACCAAACUUUUCUAAUACAACAUGAUAUCAUGUUGAAUGAAAUGGGAAUGACCAAAUAUUCUCAAAUCAAAUAUAUAUCUAUUGUGGACACGUCAAAUUCUCUUUUUAUAAUCAAAGACUUCCAUGGAAAAUUCCACCAUAGCAUAUCUCAAACAUUAGUCAAAUUCCAUUAUCUUCAUAGACUUUUAACAAUCCAAGAAAUUGACAUUAAUAAUCCCAAACACAAUAUUCUACAACUUUACAUUAUUCUUUUUAUCGUAAUUGAAGAGGAAUACCAACUUAGUCAAAUAGAAAAUAAAUCACGAAAGCUAAAUAAUACAAAUAUUCAGUGAAAUCUUUGACAUGUUAUUUCUUUGCAGCUUCAACAUGGUGGCAUGUCGGAUGGAGGAGGCAGCAUUUGAGCUUCUGGGUGUUUACCAUUUUUCACUAUGAACGCAGUUUCCAUGCCCCAAGUCACAUGGCGUUCUACAUGGCAGUGGAAGAACCACACUCCUGCAACAACGAAAAUAUACCGACAUUACACCUAACUUAAUUGUAAUAUUAAGAAAAAUUAUUUCAUUGGUAUGCAGGUUGGCAGUUUCAAGGGUUUUUUUUCUUUAUUAGAGGACAUGAGUGCUUGCAACAUACCAGGGUUGGAUGCCUUGAAUCUGAUUGCAACCCAACCUUUCGAAGGAACAGAGAUGGUAUUCUGAAGAGGAGGAUCCACCAGAUUAUAGUGCAAAGGGUCCCUAUUUUCAUCGAAAUUCCUAAAUCCCCAUCCAACAACAUAGAAACUGUAUCCAUGGAGAUGCAUAGGGUGGUGUGUCUCUGCAAGCACGGCUGUCCCUUGAAGAACAAUCUCCACUGUGGAGUUAUACUCGAGCACCCUUACUUCUGUUCCGCUGCUCGGCAACUGAUAGAUUAAUGGAAGAUAAUCAUAUGUAAAAUCGAACACUAGUGGUGGAAAGCUAGGAAAGUUAUUUCCAUAUACACCACUGAUGUUAUAAUAGUAAGCUUCUAGUAUGUCAACUGUAGGGGUAUGGAAGCUUAUGUUGUUUAUACUUGAGGAGAACCGCGUCCCAUUUGGUCCUGCACAUGAAUCAUUGACGCAUGGGUACGAGUUCAUAGAAAGAGUGUAAAACAGCUUAGUGCUCGUGCUCAAUGGGACAUUGCAAGGAUGUUCCUCAUUUGCUAAGCUUCGGAGGCCGGCCAUGACUUGAACCGAUGCAUCUGUGUCAUUGUAUGCAGGAAGAUGAGGCAAGGAGGGAGGUGAAGAUGGAGUGUAGUAACCCCUAUACUGUACUAUAGCUGUGGUGGUUGUGUUAUCAUAGAAGUCUUGAUAUUUCGGGGCAACAGAAUAAGUUAUAGCCGCCAUGUAAUAGUGAUCCGGGCGUUGGUUAGCUUCUAGUAAGACAUCAUAGGUUUGGCCAGGAAAUAUUGUGAUAUAAUCUCGUGUCAAUGGUUUUGUGUAGCUACCAUCUGUUCCAACCACUGUCAUUUUAUGCUUGGCUAUGCCGAAGAAGAGAGCCUCGUGCAAGGCAGCAUUGAUUAUGCGAAGUAGAUAGGUCUUUCCACGAUCCACCGUUAGCUUGAAUGUGCCUGCAAUUAGAAAGGGAAAGUUGUAUACUUAUGACUAGCCAAAAGAAAAAGAAAAAGUUUCCAUUAGAAUCCACCAAUUAUGAAGUGAUUGAUUGAUUAAGGGUGUAAAUUUGGCUCCAUAGUUCAAAAUUAUAUUUGGACUAGCCUUUUUUGAUGUGUUAAAUCAUGGCUCUACCAUCCUCAUAUCUAUAUUCCUCUUUCUUAGCAUUAACCUUUAAAUAUGUUGAUGUUAAUAAGAAAAAGUAGUAUGGUUAACAUAUAAGAAAAUGAAAUCGUGUACAAUUUUAAAAUGGGAAGUUAAACUUUGUACCUGAUUUUGAGCAUGGAUAUAGAUCACCAGGUUGUCCAUUUAUCAAUAAAGCAUUAGAGGAGUUGGGGUCACCUCCGGUUGCAAGCCCUUGAUCUCGAACCUCAUUCACAUCCCUCUUCCACCACUCUCCUGCAUUUCAACAACUUCAAUAAUUUUAGAUUUUGCUUGGUUGGUUAAUUCAUAAUAUGUAAAUUAACCUUUAAAAGUAACAACACUUAUACCUAAUAUGAUGGGGACUUCUGCGUUAGGUUUGUGAAAAGGAUACUUGGUUCCAUUCUUGGGAUAGAUGAUUAUAGCUCCAUGAACAGUGGCUCGGGUCCAGUCACUGUGAGCAUGCCACCAUAGAGUGCCUUCCUCAGUGGAAAGGAUGAUCUUCUGGGUAAACUUUGACCCUGGCUGAAUUGGGCAUUGUGUGAUAUACUCGGGACCAUCUGUCCAUGGAUAUCUAGGCAUGGUCACCCCAUGCCUGCAAAACCAUAACUAUACGUUAAAGCUAGUACUAAUUUUCAAAGUAACAAAAGAUAGCAUGCAACAAGCAUCAAUUGUAUUUCAAUGGAACUGAAGCAAAUAACCCUAAAGUAUUGUUUUAAAUUUGACUUUAUUUUUAAAGCAAUAUAUUGCGGCUCCCUCUUAGAAAGAAAAGAAUGUAAGCCAUGUCUUUCUCUAAGAUACACACAGGACCUACCAGUGAAUGGUGAUGUUUUCUUUUCCCCUGUUAUAAACAUCGACAAUGAUCGUCUCUCCUUUCAUAGCAUAUAUAGUUGGUCCCGGAAAUUGUCCAUUUACUGUUAAGAUGUUCUUGGCGCUACAAAGCCUUGUAUAUGAAGCUUCCCUCACCUGCAACCAAUUAAAAGUUAACCAUGCAACCUCAUCCCAAAAGAAAUAUUACAAGUAUGAAUAGUUCCAUCGAUCUAUUCAUGUAAGUGUAUAACCAAUUAGAAAUUGAUGGCAUGCAUGAAUGACUCAACGGCACCCAUAACAUGCAUGAACAACUCAAUGACACUAAGGUAAGAGGUCAUACGGUAGAAAAUGAGAGCCAUACUACUAGCUAAAUAUCAUGAUUAGAAGGUGGCGUUUAGGCCAGAAUCAUAUAUAAUAUUUACCACAAAAGUAAGCCGACGGGUCGAAGCUUGGCAAUGGAUGCCACCACCAAAAACUAGAAACGCUAAAAUUUGCAAGAGGAAAACCUUCAUGAUCAGCCACAUUUUCCUUGGAAUAAAAGCCUCUUCUCUUGUCCUAAACACAACUCCUUCAAUUCUCUUACUACUUUUGAUAUAUUUCUUUCAUAUAUGAUUCAUUAUAUAGGCAUGGUAAUUCUCUCGGGAUACAAUACUUCCUCUCCACGUGUCAAUAUAAGAGGAAGUGAUUUGAAUGUGUAUUGGUUUUCAAUGUUCUUAUGAUAUUUCUUACAAGUUACCUACACGUUAUCUUAGAAUAAAUUUAAAAUAUUCUUUCACAAGUCCAACAAAUGUUAAUUAAUUAAAACUUUGACCUCCCGUAUGAGUACCCUUAUCAAGAUUAGUCAUGAAUACUGUUUUUUAUUGACAACUACUUUCAAGAAUUAUUUUAAAAUUAUUUUUAUAAACAUUAUUUAACCAACCCUUAUUAUUAAUUUUACUUGUUUUCGUGUUACUUAAGAUAAUUAAUAGUGCAGAACCCAUGACUUUGGUGGUUGGUGGCAAAGUUGUUUUCGUAUUGUUACUUAAUACAAUUAGUCAUGAUCAUUGUUUUCGUCUGAAUGGGACAAAGUUGGUAUUUCAGAAUUUUCCAUAAAAAGCACAAAAAUAUAUUUUGUAAAAAGUUGAAAAUAGGAUACGAACAACCCCUUGUAGCAUACUUUUUCUCAACAAAAAGAAAUUUAAUAAUAAUAAUAAAAAAUAAUUAUAGAUUUAAAAAAAAAAUAUUUUUCAAAACAAAUGCAAUCGAAAAUUUAUUUCUUCGAAUGGUAUGUAUAUCUUGAUUAAAUAAAUAAAUUAUGGAAAGACUUAUGUAUUUUUAACUUAUUUAUAAAUAGAAAAACUGAUGAAUAAAUUUUAAGAUGUGUAAAAAUUUGAUCAAGUUAAUUUAAACUUUUUUAUUUUUUCACUUUCUUUCUCCUAUUUUUUUCACUUGUCAAACCCAAGAGUCCACCACAUGAAUAACCUUAACUUACAAAUCCAAAAAGUAAUUAGUUGACAACUUUCUCAAAUUGAUUCAUAACAAUAAUUAGAGCAUAAAUAUAUAUAUAAAUUUCUAAUCCAAAACUAAUUAAAAAUAUCUAAAUAGUAAAUUCAAAGAUCAUCCCCAACACUUUGAAGAGUUUUAGAAAUCAAUACUAAAUUCAAUCUUAAUUUAAAACUCCUAAAUAAUUAAUUGCAAAGCAGAUUUCAAAUGAAACACCCUUCUUAUCUUAAUUUCCCCUCAUUAAUAUCACUUAUAUCUAAAAAAGGGAAAUAAUAGAGAAGAGUGAACUUAAAACUCAGUUGGGAAAAAUAGUUCAAUGAGGAGGAUCAAGUAUAGUAUAAAGCUAAAUCCUAGGGCAUAUCACAUCUUUAUAAAAAAUAAAAAAAUGAUAAGUAGGAGUUCAUUUAAUUCAAUAAUUAAAUUCACUUUCUUUAAAAUAUUAUGCACUAGAAGUUCAUUUAAUUCAAUAAUUAAAUUCACUUUCUUCAAAAAAUAUUCGAACUAGAGGCUUGAAUUGAACCUUGGCUACCACUUGGCUAAGUUGUUAUUUAUAAAGAUAUGUUUAAUUUAAAUAUCUUAAAAUUCACUAUUUUAAAAAAAAAUUCUAAUUAUUUUAUUUUAAAAUUUAUUUAAUUGAUUAAUAAAAAUAUAAAAACCAACAUAAUAAUUUUUCUUAAAAAGUCUUUUUUAUAUCAUUUAUAUGAUAAUUAAAUACAAAAAAUAUAAAUAUUAAAAAAUCAUAGAUGCAUCAUAAUUUAUUUUACAUUAUUAAACACAUUUAAAUUAAAUAGAUUAUAAUUAUAAUAUUAAAUGUAUUAUCAUUUAUCUCAUUAAUUCUAUUUUUUUUAAAAUAACUAUCACUUCACUUUUAAAUUUUUUAUAUUUAUCCUUUUAAUUUUGCAUGUCUUUAUUUUAAAAUAUUAAAAAUAUAAAUUUAUUCAAAAAAUACUAAAAUAUAAAAAAAAAUUGAUAAUGAAGUUCUAAUACUUUAUAAAUUAAAAUUAAUUUGAUAAGAUAAAUAAUAAAUCAUAUAUUAAGACUGAUAUAACCUUGCUUACGGAUAUUUUCCUCAUUAACCAUACCUAUGUCAAUUAUGCUUAUAAAAUAACUUUAAUAUGUAUAUUUUUACUUAUUUUUAUCAUUUUUUUUUUGGAGUUUUCAAAAUAUUUCUAUGAAUUUUGAAUAAAUAAUUUUCACCUUACCGAAUUGUUGUCAAAAUAUCAAUCGAUAUUCUGAUAUUUCUAAUAUAUCCGUAAAAUUUAUGUAUCGAUGUUUUCCGAUAUUUUAAUCCUAGAGUUUAGACUAAUAACACCCUUAUUAGUUAGACUUACAUUAUAUCACUAUCCUCACCAAAGGUAACUAAGGUUAACAACUUCUCUCUUGUUGACUAGGUCCACUAAUAACUAGAGUUUCAAAAUUUAGGGAAUUUAAACAUUUUGAUAGUUUAAAAAUAGAUGAAAAAAAUAAGGAAUUUGUAUGGCUUACCGUACCAUUAACCCCUACCUUGAAGAUAUCAUUCAAAAUCCUGAAAGAUUUAGUCUACUCCUAAUAUAAAUAUAAAUAAAAAAUAAUUAUUAAAGACUAAUUAUCUAAAUUAAUGUCUUCCUAAAUUUUUUGUAAAACUUAUUUUAAUUCCAAACUCUCUUCUAAAAAUCUACAUUUUUUAAUUAAUUUUUUUAUUAACCACCCACCCAACUCCAACAAUAUUUAAGUAAUUAAUAAAGUAAAUGAUUGAAUUACAAUGAACAAGUAUAAUGAUCAAAAUAAAAAUUUUACUGUUUUUUGUUUUAAUAUAAAAUCAGACCUCUAAUUGAACAAAUCAUUUACUGUUUAAAAAUAUUCUUAAUAUCUUCUUUUUCUUUUUGUGUUUUUAAAAGUUCAUUUUUAUUUUAACUAGAUCAAAUAAUAUUUGUAUAAUAAUGCCUUUAACAUACAUUUUUUUUUAAUCAAUAAUACCAAAUAAACAUCUCAACAAAUAUUAUAUAAGAUGAUCAUUAAUUUCACUAUCUUCAUUUUAUUUAUGUUAUUCUUCUUUAUUCAGUGGAUUUAAUUAUGUGUUGUAAAAUGAACAAGGACCUCUAUAGUUAUAAUCUCACCUAAAAAGUUGGAGAAGUUAUCUCUACAUUUAUGGUUCAUGCAUGAAAUAAAUUGUUUUUGUACUUCCAUCAUCAAAGAUGCAUGUAUGUCUAUCAAUGGCAAAAGAAUCUAUGAGUUCAAGAAAAAAAUGAAAAAAAUUUAUAUGUUUUUUUAAUUCAUUUCAUUUUUUUAUUUUUCUAUUCUAUAUAAAAAUUCAAUAUAUAUAACUUUUUAACUAAUUUUAAUUAUAUUUUUGUUUCAUAUUUUCUAUAAUAAAUCAAAAAUUAAAAAAAGAAGACAUUUUUUAAUAUUUCAACCAUAAUAAGGUGGGCAUAAUUAAUUUUUAAUGCUAGGAUAUCCUAACAACCUAACCUUAAAAUUUUCUUAAAUAAAUAAUCACUUUACUAGUCAUAUAUUUUUUUACUCCACCCUAUUGUGAUUGGCACCAUAGUAUUUGUUAUACUUCGAAGCAUUUUGGUAUGAUUCUUAUCUCAUAAUAAGUCAUUUUUGAAGCAAACCCAACAUGCUUGAUAGAAAUCCUCUUCCUAAAUGAACCCCUAGGUUUCUUAUUUAUGAGUGUUGGUACAUUAAGUUAUAUAGUUUAAGAUUGAUAAUUUUGUUUCAUUCAUUUUGACUUAGGGCUUUUUUAGAUUAUGUCUCGCUCUCCUUUGAAAACUCGAAGUUGUUGUGUGAUCAACUGGAAUAACAAAGGUAAGUAUCGAAAGGUCUAGAAAGGCAAAUUAGAGUUAGUUAAGGUUGGCACGAACGUCAAGUUCUUAAACCGAGUUAAAUGUUUAUUAAAAUAGUUUUAAAGAACUCCUUGAGUGCUUUAAUGAUGCAGAGAGCACUUAAGCACUCCUUGGAGCACUCAAGUGUGAUAGAAUUCUUUAGAAUUUCAAAGCUUUGAUUUUCCAACUUUUACAAGCUUUAUUUUUGGAAAAUUCUAAAUCCAAUCCACUAGGAUCUUGGCCUAAUAAAUACCUUGCCUAAUGAGGAUUUUCUCUUUUUGAUGUUAAUGUUUCAAAAAACCUAGUUUGUCAUCUUGUUCCCAAAACUUUGAAAGAUGAUUGUCUUCACUUUUACUAGGUUGAGAAAGAGAUUUGCAUCUCAACAAAUACUAAAUUAAGUAAGAUUCACGAGGAGCAUAAGUGGUGUUGUGCUACAAAUGUGAAGUAUAGUAGAGGUGAUAGUGAGCUCAUGACCUAGAGUCGUUUGCAUCCUUCACAUCCCUGAGAUGCUUCAUUUUCAUUAUUCUAGCCACUUGCGAGUGGCCUCAACCCGACACUAUGAGCCGGAAAGCAUCCUGAUCGGCUAUCCAUUUAAAGCCAUAAUCUCAUGACCUAGAGUUGUUCUUUUUAUUUAUGACCCAGAGUCAUUCUUUCCAUUUAGAGCCCUGGGCUCAGGACCUGGAGUUGUUCUUCUCAUUUAUGACCUAGAGUCAUUCUUUCCAUUUAAAGCCUUGAGCUCACGACCUAGAGUCAUUUUUCUCAUUUAUGACCCAGAGUCAUAUCUUUUCCAUUUAGAGCCAUGAGCUCAUGACCUAGAGUCAUUUCUCUUCCAUUUAGAGCCUUGAGCUCACGACCUAGAGUCGUUUUUCUCAUUUAUGACCCAAAGUAAUUUCUUUUCCAUUUAGAGCCCUGAGCUCACGACCUAGAUUCGUUUUUCUCAUUUAUGACCCAGAGUCAUUUCUUUCUAUUUAGAGCCCUGAGCUCACAACCCAGAGUUAUUCAUCUCAUCCAUGACCUUGAGUCAUUUUUUUCAUCCCUUUCCAUCUUUGUGCUACUCAUCACAAACCUUUCUCUCUUUACUGUCAUCCCCCCUCAUAGAGUUGUUCCAUCCUUGUUGUUGUAGCCUCGUGUUUCGAUCUUACUCUCAUCAUGUGCUAGGACAAAAUCUCUGGUCCUUUUUUAGUUCUUUGGUAUAGUUCACUUCGUUCCACUCAUUAUUCAUAUUUCAACUCACAUUCUCUACACUCGUGAUCUUUACUGAAGAGGGGAAUAUUUGUAGACCCUCCAUUUUGUCCCUUUAGCGCAUGUCUUUAAGUUCACUUCCAGUGUUCCAUAGUGGUUCUUUGAUGACCCAUUACUACUUAUGUAACUUAUUUUUUUUGAGCCACUUUGAGGACUUUGGUUGAAGGGUUUAUCUAACUUCACAUUAUGACCUUAGCUGUCAUUCAAGUUUAGAUUAGACUUCACUUAGGUGCACUUUAGGUUAGACUUAGCUAGGCUCACCUAGUCUCACCCUAGGGUCGUAUAGAUAUACCCAACCCAUUAGGCACCAUCUUAGGUCCACUUAGACACUUUAGGCCUGUCUAGGUUCACUUAGGCCCAUUUAAACACCUUAGACCCAUCUAGGUUCACUUAGGCCCAUUUAGACACUUUAGGCCAAUUUAGGUUCAUUUAGGUCCACUUAGGCAUAGUUGGCCUACUAGACAUUUUUAGCGUGACUUGUAUGAUUGCAUGGAUCAUUUAUCUCAUUUACUUAUUUAUUUAUUUUUAUUUAUUUUAUUAUUAUUAUCAAUCACUUAUUUAAUCAUUUAUUAUAUUUUUAUUUGUUUAUUUAUUUUAAUUUAUUUUUCAUUGUUAUCAAUCACUUUUAUUCAUUGAGUUAUUUAUUAUUUGUUUAUUAUCUUGUUGUUUAUUCGUUUAUUUAUUAUUAUUAUUAUUUUAUCAUUCUCUAAUUUAUUUAUCUAUUUAUUUAUUUAUUUAUUUAUUAUUCCUUUAUUUAAUUUGAUAAUUUGAUGUUUUUAUGGGAAAACUGCAAUCGGAGGAAAAAGAAUUUUGAAAUUGGUAAGAAUUUGAAAAGGAAAGGAACUCUUCAAAGAUGGGACUCUUUACGUCAUAUGCAUGGAUUCACUUUUGAAAUUUUGAAAGAAUUUUUCUGGUGGAUGAGAUAGAAUUUGGCAAAGAGGAGUCCUCAGUUGGGACGACUCCAAUUGCUAUAAAAAGCAUAAACUGGUGGUUUUGAAGGGGGAGGGGAUUUUCUGGAGAUUGUUUUUCAGAGGGAGAAAGGAAUGAAGCCAGAAGGAGAGAUCUGAGACCACACACGAGUGGGGAUUUUCCUGCUGGAAGGAGGGCUUUGCCAGAUACGUUUGUUAUAGAUUCCUUCAUCCCCAUUAUCCUCUUGUUAUCAAUUGAUCUUCACUGGAUUUCGAGUUUUGCCUGGAUCCUUGGGUUUAGAAAGGCGGAGGUUGUACGUUUGUUGGCAUUGGUGCUAGAUUGCUUAUAUGAUUCUUGUUGUCGACUUUCUUUUUUUUUCUAUGGAGUUCCUUAGUUUUGGUUUGAGAAUAAAAGGUUCCUUUCUUUUUAUUAUAUACUGUGCUUUACAUCAGAAUCGUGGUUGUCUUUGUUUGCUUGAAUCUUCUUGUGCUUUUUCUCACCAUUCCAAGCCCGUUGAAUAAUCAUGAAAUGUGGCAUUACCAUGUUCUUGUUUUUACUUGAUCUCUCCUCCUCUCUGUUUCAUUCAUUUCUCGUUUCCGCACCUUCCCCUGUUUUUCUUGUUCUGGCAGUCCACUAAAAGUGCUAACCUAGCCUCCUUGCUUAAGACGGCCAUCCCUAUGGUUAUAUAUGGCUACAAAGAUCAAGCAGAAUAGAGAUUUGAAUUUGCUUCAAACUCUCCCACUUGCCAAUCUCGGAACGUAUGCGGUAAUGGAGUUCUACUAGGGUCAAAUUUUCAGAAACAACAACAGCCAGGCUUUCCACAUGAGGAGCAAUAGUAUUGAUGCACAUUAGGGAAUGACUCAAUACCUGGAGAAGUUAGUCAUUGAUUUAUCAGGGCUGGUGACUGGACCGGAUUGCUGUCGCUAGGUCUGGUAAAGCAUUGGCAUUUGGAAUUUCUUUCUCUGCCUGGUGAUGCCUUUGGUUCCAGCAGCUCAAAAGACGCAGGGGUUUGUGAUAAUGAAAAGAACGUUUUCUGCUUAAAUGGGAAGUCAUCGACCUUACUGAAUGGAAUUGGAUAAAGGAGAAGGAACUCCAAGAAACUUGGGAGUAAUGUGCAUGGAAACUUCAUUUUUCUUGCAAAGUCGUGGUUCCUAUAAAAUCAUAUGAAGCUUCAGGUUCGCUUUCAGGUGACGCGAUAUGAUUCUACAUAUCGCAAUGCAGAACGGUAUGGCAAUGCAGAACGGUUUUGUUUGAAACUGGGCGAGCAGGUCUACCAGUGAUGAUAGCAAACCCGAGAGUAGCUACACGUACAUGCAGAUUCUACAUGCAUGGUUAUCUUUUGGUGUGCCCCCACACAUGCAUGUGUCACAAUCAGGGUGAAGAAAAAAUGUUUCCAUGGAGACAGAGAUAGGUGGCAGUGAAAUAAGGAGAAGGUAGCUGUUGGUGAUGUUACAUAUGUUGAAGCCCAUUGUGGAGCAGUUAAAAGGGUGGGCAGAAGUGAUGCUUUUGCUACAGAAUUUGACCUUGAGGCGGAAGAGUAUGUUCCACUUCUUAAAUGAGAGGUUCACAAAAAAAAAGGAGAUGGUUCAGGAUGUAACACUUCAUGACCUGGAUAUUGCAAAUGCACGGCCUCAAGGUGGACAAUAUAUUGUCCCUAAUGGGUCAGAUGAUGAAGCCCAGGAAAACAAAAAUCACUGAUAGGUUACAAUAGGAAAUUAACAAGGUUGUUAACCGUUACAUUAAUGAAGAUGUGGCAGAGCUUGUUCUUGGGGACCUAUUUAUUAAUGAGGUACACAUGUUGGAUAUGGAGUGUUUUUCAUAUUUGAAUCGUGCUCUAGAUACCUGACUGUCUCCAAAUGUAAUUUUUGCUGGAAAUAGGGGAAUAUAUAAUGUAAGAGGAACCGAUGUGAGUAUUCCUCGUGGCAUACCUGCUGACUUGUUGGACUGGUCGGUGAUUGUACGGACGAAAACUUAUGAUCCUGCUGAUAUGAUUCAGAUUUUGACGAUUCGUGCACAGGUGGAGAUGAAUAAGUGGUUUUGAAGAGUGACCCUUCAAUGCAGUCCUAAGGAUGGUUGUUGGGAAGAGAUAGUUUGUUAAUGGGGUCCACGCAAAUGAAGAAGCAAGACAUGUCAUAGCAGGCUUUACGCAGUUCGUACAUCUCCUCGAGGCCCGUGUUCCAUCUGAUGUCUUUCCAUUUGUAGAGUGGAUAGAUUUGGACGGCUAUUUGAAGUCUAUGAAGCGUGUAGCCAAGCGGGUGGACAGUCUACAAGGUUGGGUAGAAGAACAUGUUAUGAAACCUAAGAGUGACCCCAGCAGCGGGUAGGACUUCAUUGAUGUGAUACUGUCUAUUCUCAAAGACGAUUCCGCGUUUAGCCAUACAAGGGAAACUAUUAUCAAAGCAACAGUAGUGAAUCAACAUUGGCAGGGUCAGUAAGCGUGGUUGUUCUUUAUCUAUUUCCCAGAUGAAGAUUAUUGAUGAACCUGUUGAGAAGCUUUUCCUUUGGGGUUAUAUAAUGCAUCGAGAUAUUGUAAAGGAGUGGACGCUUAUAGUUUGGGCCUUGUGGAUGUUAUAGUUGCUCCAGAUCAGUUAGUAAAGACUGCUCGCCAACUAGAUAUUUUAGAGUGUAGAAGACCAUGGGUUUAUAAUCUUUACAAGACUGGCAAGUUGGAGCCCCUAGGGAAAGCAAGGGAGAUGCUCAAGUUUGCAAGAACUCAGGCACAGAAACAGGCACUAAAUUUGACGCACCCAUUAGUUUGCAUUGAUGUUAUUGAAGCGGGUAUAGUUUCUGGUCCUGUUGCUGGACUUUGGAAGGAGGCUGAGGCUUUUCAAGAACUUCUACGCUCUGGCAUUUGCAAGUCCUUGGUCCACAUCUUCUUCGCUCAAUGAGGAACCACAAAGGUUCUUGGGAUCACUGAUCUGGGUUUGGUACCAAGACGAAUAAACAAAGUAGCUAUUCUUGGAGGAUUGAUGGGAUCUGGAAUAGCAACAGCAUUGAUACUUAGUAAUUAUCCGGUGAUCCUGAAGAAAGUAAAUGAAAAGUUCUUACAAGCUGGGAUUGGUAGAGUCCGAGCUAAUUUGCAAAGCCGUGUCAAGAAAGAGGCAAUGACAAUCGAAACUGAUGCUACUUCUGCAAGUGUUUCAGCAAGUUCCUAGAAUGAAUUAAGCUUACCCUCUAUAGAGGCAAUUGAAAUGGAAACAAGCAAGCAGACAAAUUGUUCUGCUAGUGUCUCCAAGAGUUAUCAACACUCCCCAAGCUCAUCCUAUGAGAAGGCAAUGACAAUAGACGCAACUGGCCUUUCACCAGGUUGUAGUGAUUGUCAGUCUAUGAUCAACUCGGUGAAGCAGCAAAGAAACAAGAACUUAUCAAUUACAGACCUGUUUUCCAAGUAUAAGAGUUCUCAACAUGCUCAAAGCUCAGCAUAUGAGGAGACAAUGUAAGAUAGCGGUGGUUCUUCUAAUGAUGGUCCAUCUAUGGGCAGCGUGUGACAGCAAUGUGAAACCUUAGCAAAAUAGUCAACUGAUUAUCUUGAAGUAAGCGAUCUAGAAUUCAAGGAUUUCACUAAAAAGUAGAAUUGUGAGCAGAAAUCCAGCUACAGCUAAAGGUAAUGGCGUCAGAAGUCCAACUGGAAACAUCAGCAGAAUAUCCAGUAAGAGAUAUUAUUGAUAUGGUUGCUGGAUUGCCUCAAACCCUAUGAAGACAGGGCACAUAUGCAUUUGCCACUCUAACGGGAGAUGUCUCUUACAGUGAAGAAGUUUGGAAAAUCCUUCUCAUGACUGUGCGAACUAGUAAGGAUGACGUUGAAACUGAUUCUUCCUCAGGAUUUGAAAUUGAUUCUUAUGAAGACUUGCUCGCACCACUGUCCAAAACCAAAACUGCCUUGCUUGAAAUCAAAACUGCAUUAAUGGAACACUGAAGUCUAUCUAGACAGUCACGGUUAGAAUGUACUGGUUGUGUCUUUCCUCCCAGGCAUUAGCAUGCAACGGCAGUUCUAGGUUCAAAGAUACAUGUAUUUGGUGGACUUGACAAUGAUGCAAUCUCUCCAUCCUUGCGUGUCCUUGACACGGGCGAUUUGCAGUGAAAUGAGAUACGUGUCCAUGGGGAAUGGCCUUGUGCUCGUCAUUCUCACUCAUUGGUUGCCUAUGGGUCUAAAUUAUUUAUGAUUGGGGGUGCAAUGAUGGCAAAGCUCGUGGGGAUCUGUACGGUUUUGAUGUUCAAACACGUCCAUGAAAAAAAUGAAGUGGCAUCAGAAGAACUCCAUAUACAAGGUUCUCCCACUUAAUAUUUAUCUACAAAAAUUAUCUUGGCAUUAUUGGGAGUGGUUCUUUCUUAAGUCCAUCAUCAUAUUCAGCGGCAAACAUGGUCAGGUAGUGAUGAUGUGGACCUGCAUUUCUCACGUGCGUCCCCACUUGAUCGGGCAAGACUCACUUUAAAUUGGUGAAAAAAUUGGUUUUGGAAAAGUCGAAGUCGCCACUUAUUUUAUUUUAUUUUAAAGGGAAAAUAAAACAAUAAAUAAAACCCUAAAAACAUGACUUCAUAGUUUUUGGAAAAACGUGUCUUUGAAAAACCCGAGUCUAGGUCCGAGGAUCAGGUUACCUAUUAGGAAGACACCUCUAAAAGGUAGCACCCCUCUAAGCCCUACAAAGGUCUCUACUGACUAAGUUGAGAUAAAUAUGAUAAUUAAUUAAUUAAUUGAAGAUAUCUACUAAGGUGAUUUCAAAAAAAUAGCAUGUCAAACAAGAUUAAAUUACAAUAAAGGAGAGUUAGGAUGCAUACACGAACCACUUCUCAAGCGCUAUGAUAAAACAUCAGAAUUAGUAUAGAAAUAUAACACACGGCAUAUAUUUAAUCAUAGCGAAUCAAGCACACAUCUAAGCAUCUAAGGAUCAUAUCAAGCAUAAAUAAGGCUCACGACAGCAUGCAUGUUCAUGGAAUUCCAAAAAGUAAUGAUAUAGAGCGUACCUGGAUAGCAUGCAUAAUUUAUAUGAUUUCUCCAAAAAUGCUAGAGUGAUUAGGACAAGUAUGAAUUAUAUAACAUAGUCAUUAUGUCCAAUACACAGUACCAAAGCCAAAAUUGAGCCAAGGUAAGUCAAAUGACUCUAAAAAUAAAUAACCAAUUCAAGUAAUGUAUACAAGAUCAUCAGUAUGCAAUUUGAAAAGGGAGCAUCAAAAAAACAAUUUCUAAAAAAAUGGCUUAGAAUGGAAUUUAAUAAUGAAAAACAUCAGGAAACAACUCCUACACAUCUAGAUCAACAUACCAAAGGCCAAACUCUCAUUCAAAGGACAUAUUGCAACGAAGACACCUAAAGGUUCUACAAAGUCUAGAUUAGAUAAGAAAAACUGACAUGCAUAAAUAAAUUUUUAAAAAAUAAUAAAUGAUCACAUAAAAUCAUACAAAAAAUCACACACGGAGUUCAAAGUGUCUAUAUCACAUAAAAAAAGAAUCCAGGGUCGGAUAGUACUCAAAAAUACUUUUAAAACACUCAAGCUAAUCAAAUGUCUAGAAUCAAGCAUGCACAGUAGGAACGAAUUUGAAAAAAAAAAAUCUCCAUCAAAGAGGCAUGUUUUUUAAUAUUUUAUGUGUCUAAGAUCAAUUUCAAAAAGCCUAGAAUUGAGAAAAAAAUAUUUAAUCAAAUUUAAAAAGUCGUCUGGAAUUUUAUUUUUUCAAAAAAGUUCUCAGGUGUCCAUAACUAGGAGAAAACGGAGCCCCCCUAAAGACUCGUUUAUAUAUUCUAUUCUAAAAUGGCUUUUUAACUCAAACAAAACUUUAAAUUCAAGUUCAAGAAGUGAGGAAAGUCAUACAAGUUUUGGAAAAUUUUUAAAAACAUUCUAAAGUUGCUAAAACAAAUUUUAUCUAGAGGGUCAGUGGCUAAGUGUAAACUAGUAGCAAGGAAGUGUUUUGGAAAUUUUAUAUAGGGGUUUCACCAAUUCCCCAAGUGAUAUACACAAAUUUAGCCUAAAAUUAUCCUAUUUGUUUGGGAUCACAAGCUUGGAUUCGUGUCUUAUUCAAAACCAUAAUUUUUAUUGAAAACCGAGAAAGAUGCAAACCGAUCAAGACAUAGUUGCAUAUUAUUUAAAAAAAAAAUGAGAUUUUGAUUCUAAGGACUCUAAAUGAAUUAUUUUUAAAAUAGAAUUUUCAAAGGGAUCUUUUGAGAAAAGUAUUUUAUUUUAAAAUAAAAGAAAUUAAUUUGAAAACAAUCAAAAUAUAAGAAACAAAAUAUCGAGCAAAACAAAAGAAAACGAAUUCACAAAGUGAAAUUUUUGACAAUCGAACAAACCAAAGUGGUGAAAAUGGAAGCCAAUUUUAACUAUUUUCCAAUGACCCCUGAAAAGUAAUUUUUACCAGAGACUACCAAAGCAAUAAACUAUUCAAACUCAGGCCAAAUAAGCUAAUGAGAUACUCAUCAAGAAUUAAUGACUAAUUUUCAAGAAACACGUAAAUUAAGAGUAACAAUCAAGAAUUAGCAAUGAUCAAUUAAACACACAAAUGCAUCUAGAUUGAUUAAAAUGGACCAAAUUAAAUCAGGGCAAACAGGAAUUUUCAAUCAUAGAAUUAAUUUUAUUAAUGAGCUAAUAUUAUAGCAAAUACUCAAAUUGAAUAGAUGAGUGAAGCUAAAUCAGAGUAAACUAAACACAGACACCUUCAAAUAUAGAAUUGAUUUAUUAAUAACUUAAAAUUUGAAAAACACCUAAAAUAAUUAAAAUGAAUCAAAUUAAAUGAAAGCAAACUAAAAACAAAAUAUGAAUUCAUGGAAUCAACUUCCUAAAUAAAUUUACAUUAUUAAAAUGAAAUCUAAGAUCAAAAUGAAUUAAACACUAAUUAAGGCAAAUCUAAAAAUCAAAUAUUUAACACAUGAGGUCAAUUAUUUUAACAAACUAAAAUUUUACUUAAACCUAAAAUUAAAUUGAAAAAACUAUCCAAAACAAAUUUUAAAACUAAACUAUAAAGUCAAUCUCAUUAACAAAUGGAUAAAUAGAUAGCACAUGAAUAAAUAAGUAUGACUGAAUCGAAAUAUGAACUCAUGGAAUCAAUUUUUUUUAAAUAAAUUUACAUUACUAAAAUGAAAUUGAAAUUUAAAAAUAUUUUUAACACCAAUUAUGGCAAUCCUAAAAUCAAAUAUUUAACACUUAAUAUUAACUAUUUUAAUGAACAGAAAUUUCACUUAAACCAAAAAUUAAAUUAAAGAAAAACUAUCUAAGACAAAUUUUAAAACUAUGUCUCUAACCAAUAACAUAAAUCUUGUUAAAUAAUGGAUAAAUAGUUAGCAUAUAGAUAAAUAGAUCUCAAGUUUAACAAUGACUUAUAAUGGCAUAACAGUAAAUCCAUAAAGAACUUUUAAUAUAUAGUAUUGAUGGAUUAAAAAAAUAAGAGGAGAGAAAGUGGCAGCCGCAUGGACUGCAUGAGGAGGGUUGACGUCUCAUAGUCACCUUCUUUCCUCCAUUGAUAGUAGCCCACAAGGCCACCUUAAGUGGGCGACACAAUAAGACUGCCAUGCACGCAUGACGCAGCCACGUGGGAGAAGGCAGCAACCACUUUCGCAUUUUUACUGUAUCUCCAGAAACUCCUUUGUAUAGCCCACACACGCGCUAAUGAAGCAGAUUCAGCAGAUUUUAAGAGGGGGAAUCUUGAAACCACACAACAUCAAGAGACUUGGCCGGAAGUGUGAUGAUGGGUGUUUCCGAAGAAGAGUUAUAAUUCGCCCACUGUUGAAUAUGUUCAAAGAUGUGAAGGGUCCCACGAGCCUUGAAUUUGUCACUACAUACAAAAUAUAUGCAGAAGUGAUUGAAAAUGCUUGGCAACCUUUUCCUGCAUGUGAAUGUGUUGAGCUCUAUGGUGCAAUUACUAAUGAAAUUCUCAAUUUAGUUGAUAAGUAUUUUGAGAUGCAAAAGCAUGAUGCUGUCCGGGCAUUGGAAAUUUAUCAGAAAGCAGGAGAGCCAUCAAGCAUUCACUCGACAAGCAAGAGUAACACAUAGGCCACACCAUUCUCCAACAAGACACAACAACAUACAUUCUUGAAGGUAAGUCCCAUUUUAAAAAAAAAUUUUAGUUUAAUUUUAAUUAAUUUAGUUAGUUUAGAUGUUUUUUUUUUUCAUAAUUAGUUUAAUUAAUUCUACAUGAUAAAGUUGUUAUUUUUCAUUUCGAUUUAGUUUAGUGUUGAUUUUUCUUUUAGUUUAAGUGUGUUUGUGGUUUUAAUUCAAUAGUUUAAUUAAUCUUAUUAGAUAAAGUUCAUACAUAAUUUUUUUUUUAUCCCAAAUUAGUUUAGUUUUAAUCCAUCUUUUAGUUUAAUUGUGUUAGUAAUUUUAAUUCAGUAGUUUAAAUAAUCAUAUUAGAUAAAGUUCGUAUUUUUAAUUCUAAUUAGUUUCAUCUUAAUUUAUUCUUUAGUUUAGAUUUGUUGUUGAUUGUACUUUAUUAGUUUAAUUAAUCUUAUUAGAUAAAGUCUAAUUUCAAUUUAGUUUAGUUUUAAUUUAUUCUAUAGUUUGAGUAUUUUUGCGAUUUUAAUUCAAUUGUUUAAUUAAACCUCUUAGGUAAAGAUCUUGUUUUUAAUUCCGAUUUAGUUUAGUUUUAAUUUAUUUAUUUAUUUUAGUUUAGAUGUAUUUGUAAUUUUAAUUCAACAGUUAAAUCGAUCUUAUUAGAUAAAGUUGAUGUUUUUAAUUCCAAUUUAGUUUUUAGUUUAAAUGUGUUUGUGUGUUUAAUUGACCUUAUGCUAGCUCAUGAUUUUUUAUUUUCAAUUUAGGUGUUUUCUUGAAUCUUAAUCAUUAAUUCUUGGUGGAUAUCUCAUUAGUUUAUUUUAUCUAAGUUUUAAUAAUUUAUUAUUUUGAUAGUCUUUUGUCAAAUUUACUUUUCAGAAGCCAUCGGAAAAUAGUGAAGAUUGACCUCCAUUCUCACCACAUUAGUUUGUUUGGUUGUCAAAAAUUUUACUUAGUGAUUUUGUUUACUUUUGAUUUGCUUGUUUCUUAUGUUUUGAUUGUUUUCAAACUAAUUUAUUUUAUUUUAAAAUAAAUAUUUUUCUCAAAAGAUCCAUUUGAAAAUUCUAUUUUAAAAAUAAUUCAUUUAGAGUCCUUAGAAUAAAAAUCUCAUUUUUUUAAUAAUAUACAACCAUGUCUUGAUCGGUUUGCAUCUUUUUCAGUUUUCUGUAAAAAUUUUGAUUUUGAAUGGAAUAUGAAUCCAAGCUUGUGGUCCCAAACAAAUUGGAUAAUUCUGGGCUAGAUUUGUGUAUAUCAAUUGAGGAAUUGGUGGAACCCCUUUAUAAGAAAAUUCUUCAAAACUCAUCUUUGCUGCCAUCUUUGCUAUUUCAUGCUAUCAUGUCUCUUCAUUUUUUAGGAAUUAUAUACAAGAUGUAUGUGAUAAUUGAUGAUUUCGUAUACUUUGAUCAUUUUUGCUAGGUUAAUUAGAUAACAAGCACGUUAGGAUUUCUUUAUUUUAUUAUUUAUUAUCUAACCCCUCAUGUCUUGUGGAAGCACGUUACAAGUUAUCUAUGCUAUCCAAGUAUGCCCUCUAUCACCCACCUUCUAAAUUUUGUGAAUAUGCUGGUCACUGUGAACUGCACUUAUGUUUGAUAGUGCUUGGGUGUCUUGAUAUUUGUUUCAUUGUUCAAUUUUUUCUGAUAAAGCGCAUGCUGAACGAUAUACUAUUUGAACUAACUUUGAUGUCUUGCAAUGACGCUUAAGAAGCAAUCCAGGUACAUACCCUAAAUCUUCUUUAUGAUUAUGAUUUGUUUUUCUUAUUUGGCAUGCUAAUUUUGAAAUCACCUAGCCUACCUAGGUAUCUAUGAUCAACCAAUUAAUUGUCACAUUUCUCUCAACUUAGCUAGUAGAGACCUUUUUAGGGCUUAGAGGGGUGUUACCUCUUAAAGGUACCUUCCCAGUAGAUAACCUGAUUCCCAAACCAAGACUUGGGUUUUCGAGAUAUGCUAUUCAAAAAUUGUGGAGUCACUUCUUUAGGGUUUUUAUUUUUAUUUUUUUUAUUUUCCUUUUAAAAUAAAAUAAAAUAAGUGGCAACUCCAACUUUUCCAAAACUAAUUUUUCACCAAUAAAAGCGAGUAUUACUGAUUGAGUGGGGACGCACGUGAAAAAUGUGGGUCCUCAGUAUAUAUAAGGCAACCUAAAGGAUUUAUUGUUAUAAGACAAAAACACAAAGUUAAGGAUAGAUACAUUUAGCUAGGUUGAUUUUUAACCAAUCCAAGAAUCAAAUAGGAGUUCAUUGGUUUUAAAUAAAGUACAACAAAUUUAUUUAUUUACUCAAACUCAAAAAUAUUGAGUUUGUAUGUUUUUUUUUUUCACAUUGACCGUACAACCGAAAUGAUCAAAUUCUAUAUAUAUAUAUAUUUACAAGUAAUACAAUUACAAUUUUUUAAAAUAAUAUUGGGCGCUUGUGACUUGAAAUUAUAUUAUCAUCAUUAUUAAGUCCCAAAAUACAAUGAUUUUAAAUUUUAGAUCAGGCUUAUGCCAUAAGCAACUUUUAAUUUGUAAUAAAGCCAUACGAGUUAGACUCUAAGCCUCUAACAUCAAACUGUAGCCCAGCUAAGUUGCCUUUGGAUGAGCAUGGUUCGACUCACAAAGUCCUAAGAUUCUCCACAACACUCCAAAAUCCAAACAAUUAUAUUUGUCCGACUCCUCUACUACUUGGGUUUGUUUGCCAGUCCACUUUUGGUAAGUGAUCUAGGUUGAAUAUUCCAUAAGCCAAAUACAUAAACUAGUUUGAUCUCUAGUUUCAUUGUACCACCAAAAUAGAGAAAUUCAAGUAAGAAGACUUCUAAAGAGAAUAGUUUAGAGAGCUACUACAAAAGAGGAUUGGAGAUGGUUGGAGUAAUGGUGGUAGCUAUUGAAAGGAUCGAUGGUGGCGGGAAGCCAUAGCCGCUGGUGAAGAGGAAGUUAGGUGAAUUGGAGACUUGGUGAAGAAGAUAAUGUGAGCUUGAUAAAAUUUCCUCAAACUUUUCCUUCUCUCUCUUAUUUUCCCCACUAAUUUUUAAGGAAAGUAGUAGGGAAAAUAUUACAAUAUUUUCUUUAGUAUUUUCCUUUAUUUUUCCUUCCAUCGUAUUUUUCAUGUCACCCAAACUAAGGAAAAUGACUUUCCACAAUAUUUUUUUUCCUUUCCCUUGCAUUUUCUGUAACAAAGUUCUAUAAUCACUCCAAUCCGCGUUUAAAAAUUGUAUUUCUUUCUAAUAUGGGAACAAACUUUUUCCUUCUUUCUUAUAAUUUUCAUUUGGGAAUAAUUUAAAAUUAAAUAAAUAAAAGCCCUUCUAAAUAUUAAAAAAACACUCUCUUAUAGAUUAGUCCGAAAAAACUUGGCCCACUCUAGACAUUCUCAUUCUCUCCUUCCUCUAUUUGAUGUGAUGGAUCAUGGGUGGUUCUAUAUGACAAGAUUAAUCAACUAAUUUAUGGAUUUGAGAGUGACCCUAAACUAAAUGUGGAGCACAUAUUAGAUUACAAUCUUAUAAUAUUUACUUAAUGGUAUCUAAAUUUCCCAUCCAAGGCCUAAAUUGGCUUUGGAAAGACGAUAACCCAAAACAUGAAUGAAAAAGACCCAAAAUAUUGAUGAAAUAAGAAUGAUAAUAAGAUGAAUUUUAUUUAUUUAUUUAUUUUAUUUCAUGCUUAAUAGGAACGAGUUUGAAAAAAAUAAUAAAUUAUUGAAUACAAGUUUAAUUUUAUUCAAUUUUUUUAAAUAAUGAUAAAAUAAAAUUCACAAUAAAAAGAAUUUUUUGUUAUUAUAUAUUUGUUUUGCCUCAUCCUUAAUACGAGGAAUUUGAAAAAUAACAGAUAAGUUAAAACGUGGGUUUGAAUUUUUUAUUUUUUUAUUUUGCAUGAGGAAUAAGGCUGCUAUUGACUAUCGAGAGAAUACACAGAACUUUGAAAGGAAAAUUACCAAAGCUGUUUUGGCAAGAGGAAUGGGAAGGAGUGCAGAUGUAUAGGGACGGAAUGUGGGCUAUGUUCAGGAAGGAGGGUUCUGAUCAUGCUGGACUGACGUGGAUGAUUGAGGCUCUCUCCAGGCUGGUGAGUGGUCUUCCCAUGUGGGUGGAGUCAAUAAGAAGGGGAGAGUUUUUCACGAGCGGAAAAGGGUGAUUGAAGGAGGGGGAUGAGAUCCAGAUCAUAAAAAACGGCUGGGUGGCUUUUAAAAGUUGGGUUUUUUUUUCAGUAGUGGGGCACGAUUUGCAGCAUCAAAACAGGAAGAGGAGGUGCAGCCGCACCAUUGAGAAGAGGAGGUGCAGUCGCACCAUUGAGAAAAAGAGGACAACUUGGUGAGAAAGGGGAGGUUGGGUCAACCUUUUAGAGAGGCGAUCAGACUACGUUUGGAAAGGUUUGGGGCUGCUAUUUUGGAGAAUCAGUCCAUAUUUUUAAGAAGUUCGGGCUGCAAAGAAGGCAUCUCGAGAAAAGGGGGAAUAUCCAGCAUUCUGAAGGGGAAGGCCGUGUCAAUGGAAGAGGGUUCGUAUUUUAGGGAAGUGAUGGUGGGGUUGAGGUUAGCGAAGGAGGUUAUUAAGGUUCAGCAAGGGUGGCGAGCCAAUGCUGUGGCUCAUUUGAAUCUGUCUAGUGGUUAUUCGAGGUCCUCAGCCAAUUCUGCUACUGACUGGCCUUGUUUGUUGUUGGAACCAUUAUCACAGGCAGCGAAGAUUGGGUUUUUUUUCAGCCGAAGCUGAUAAUUAACAAUAUUGAUGUUUGUCGCCAUGCAAUUUUAACGGAUGAUUCAACAGUGUGUGCAUCGAUGUAUCAUGACAGAUUGCUGUGGAAAAUAAUAGCUUUGGGUGUGAAUGAGAGGUGUUUGCCUGUUGUUCUUGUAACUUCAGAUAGCUACCAUUCAUACCAAGCCUAUUUGGAUUUUAGAUUUCCAAACAUAUUCAUCUCUCGUGAGACCUUUGGAUGGACUCCACAAGAAGCUAAACUGCAUAUGGUCACAGAUUAUUUCAGUCAUUCUGAGUUGGCAGUGAUAGCUGAUGUUCUUGGACCAAACCCUCGACAUAUGUUUGAGCUUUAUGCACUUCAACAGAGCAAUUAUUAUCGAAAGGUUAUGGAAGACAGUGGUAGUACAUUUGAGGAUAUCAUAGAUGCAUAUUUGUCAUAUUUGCAAAUUACUGUGGUGAAUCCUGCCAUGGAUAAAGCAUUGAAACUCCUGGAAAAGUUUGUUGUUGAUAGAUUACGUUUUGGUGCUCCUUGGAGACAUCCUCCACGUAUAGACAACCCUACUUUGUGCUCGGAGUGGACGAAGCUUCAAUUAAUUGAUUUUGUUCAAUCUCUAGUAUAUCCGAGUUUGGGGUGAGCAAAUAUGUUCUGAAACUGCUGGUUCAUUCAAGACGAAUGUCAUAAGAAAACAGUCGGGUGGGUCUUGAAAGCUUGGGUUUCUUUCAGUUGAUUGGGCAAUGGGAGGACACUGGUUUUGAUGGAGGGUGAUUCUCGGCAGAUAAAGGAAAGAGAUUCGAGGUGACUUGGAAAGGGAGAAACAGGCUGGUGGUCUUUUGGGGGAAUAGAAGAUAGAGAGGGAGACACCACUUUUUUGGAGAAGGGAGGUCCACACAGGUUCAGAUUUUGGUGAGGCUUUCUGGGGAUUUUCGGAAGCAGAUUCAACAGAUUUUGGUGAAGGAGUUCUCUAGGCGGUUUUUUUCUGUUGUUAAGUGGCAGCCGCAUGGACUGCAUAAGGAGGGUUGAUGUCUCAUAGUCACCUUCUUUCCUCCAUUGAUAGUAGCCCACAAGGGCACCUUAAGUGGGCGACACAAUAAGGCUGCCAUGCACGCAUGAGGCAUCCAUGACGCAGCCAUGUGGGAGAAGGUAGCAACCACUUUCUCAUUUUUUCUAUGUAUCUCCAGAAACUCCUUUGUACAGCCCACACACGCGCUAAUGAAGUAGAUUCGGCAUAUUUUUAGAGGGGGAAUCUUGAAACCACACAACAUCAAGAGACUUGGCCGGAAGUGUGAUGAUGGGUAUUUCCAAAGAAAAGUUAUAAUUCGCCCACUUUUGAAUAUGUUCAUAGAUGUGAAGGGUCCCACGAGCCUUGAAUUUGUCACUACAUGCAAAAUAUAUGCAGAAGUGAUUGAAAAUGCAUGGCCACCUUUUCCUGCAUGUGAAUGUGUUGAGCUCUAUGGUGCAAUUACUAAUGAAAUUCUCAAUUUAGUUGAUAAGUAUUUUGAGAUGCAAAAGCAUAAUGUUGUCCGGGCAUUGGAAAUUUAUCUGAAAGCAGGAGAGCCAUCAACCAUUCACUCGACAAGCAAGAGAAACACAUAGGCCGCACCAUUCUCCAACAAGACACAACAACAUACAUUCUUGAAGGUAAGUCCCUUUCUAAAAUUUUAUUUUAGUUUAAUUUUAAUUUAUUUAGUUAGUUUAGAUUUUUUUUUUUUCAUAAUUAGUUUAAUUAAUUCUACAUUAUAAAGCUCUUAUUUUUCAUUCCGAUUUAGUUUAGUGUUGAUUUUUCUUUUAGUUUAAGUGUGUUUAUGGUAUUAAUUCAGUAGUUUAAUUCAUCUUAUUAGACAAAGUUCAUAUAUAUAUAUAUAUAUAUAUAUAUAUAUUAUCCCAAAUUAGUUUAGUUUUAAUCUAUCUUUUAGUUUAAGUGUGUUAGUAAUUUUAAUUCAGUAGUUUAAAUAAUCAUGUCAGAUAAAGUUUGUGUUUUUAAUUCUAAUUAGUUUCGUCUUAAUUUAUUCUUUAGUUUAGAUUUGUUGUUGAUUGUAAUUUAUUAGUUUAAUUAAUCUUAUUAGAUAAAGUCUAAUUUCAAUUUAGUUUAGUUUUAAUUUAUUCUAUAGUUUGAGUUUGUUUGCGAUUUUAAUUCAAUUGUUUAAUUAAAGCUCAUAGGUAAAGAUCUUGUUUUUAAUUCUGAUUUAGUUUAAUUUUAAUUUACUUAUUUAUUUAUUUAUUUUAGUUUAGAUGUGUUUGUAAUUUUAAUUCGACAGUUUAAUCGAUCUUAUUAGAUAAAGUUGAUGUUUUUAAUUCUAAUUUAGUUUAUUUUAAUUUAUUUUUUAGUUUUAAUGUGUUUGUGUGUUUAAUUGACCUUAUGCUAGCUCUUGAUUUGUUAUUCUCAAUUUAGUUGUUUUCUUGAAUCUUAGUCAUUAAUUCUUGGUGGAUAUCUGAUUAGUUUAUUUAAUUUAAGUUUUAAUAAUUUAUUAUUUCGAUAGUCUCUUGUCAAAUUUACUUUUCAGAGGCUAUCGGAAAAUAGUGAAAAUUGACCUCCAUUCUCACCACUUUAGUUUGUUUGGUUGUCAAAAAUUUUACUUUAUGAUUUUGUUUACUUUUAUUUUGCUUGUUUCUUAUGUUUUAUUGUUUUCAAAUUGAUUUAAUUUUAUUUCAAAAUAAAAUAUUUUUCUCAAAAGAUCCAUUUGAAAAUUCUAUUUUAAAAACAAUUCAUUUAGAGUCCUUAGAAUCAGAAUCUCAUUUUUUAAUAAUAUGCAACCAUGUCUUGAUUGGUUUGCAUUUUUCUCAGUUUUCAAUAAAAAUUCUGGUUUUAAAUGGAAUAUGAAUCCAAGCUUGUGGUCCCAAACAAAUGGGAUAAUUCUGGGCUAGAUUUCUGUAUAUCAAUUGGGGAAUUGGUGGAACCCCUACAUAAGAAAAUGAUUCAAAACUCAUCUUUGCUGCCACCUUUGCUAUUUCAUGAAAUCAUGUCUAUUUAUUUUUUAGGAAUUAUAUACAAGAUGUAUGUGAUAAUUGAUGAUUUUGUAUACUUUGAUAAUUUUUCCUAGGCUAAUUAUAUAACAAGCACGUUAGGAUUUUUUUAUUUUAUUAUUUAUUAUCUAAUCCCUCCUGUCUUGUGGAAGCACGUUACAAGUUAUCUAUGCUAUCCAAGUACGCCCUCUAUCACCCACCUUCUAAAUUUUGCGAAUAUGUUGGUCACUGUGAACUGCGCUUAUGUUUGAUAGUGCUUGGGUGUCUUGAUAUUUGUUUCAUUGUUCGAUUAUUUUUUAUAAAGCGCAUGCUGGAUGAUAUACUAUUUGAACUAACUUUGAUGUCUUGUGAGGGCACUUAAGAAGCAGUCUAAGUACACACCCUAAAUCUUCUUUAUGAUUAUGAUUUGUUUUUCUUAUUUGGCAUACUAUUUUUUAAAUCACCUAGCCUACUUAGGUAUCCAUGAUCAACCAAUUAAUUGUCACAUUUCCCUCAACUUAGCCAGUAGAGAUCUUUUUAAGGCUUAGAGGAGUGUUACCUCUUAGAGGUACCUUUCCAAUAGGUAACCUAAUUCUUGAACCAAGACUUGGGUUUUCGAAACAUGCUUUUCCAAAAUUGUGGAGUCACUUAUUUAGGGUUUUCUUUCUUGUUUUAUUUUUCCUUUAAAGUAAAAUAAAAUAAGCAGCGACUCCAGCUUUUCCAAAACUAAUUUUUUACCAAUAAAAGUGAGUCUCGCCGAUUGAGUGGGGACGCACGUGAAGAAUGUGGGUCCACAAUAUAUAUGGGGCAACCUAAAGGAUUUAUUGUAAUAAGACAAGAACACCAAGUUAGAGAUAGAUACAUUUAGCUAGGUUGGUUUUUAACCAAUCCAAAAAUCAAAUAAGAGUUCAUUGGUUUUAACUAAAGUACAACAAAUUUAUUUGUUUACUUAUACUAAUCCAACUUAAUAUCAAUUCGAUUUAGUUUAGUUAACUCAAUUUAAACAAAAAUAUUGAGUUUGUAUGUUUUUUUUCACAUUGACCAUACAACCAAAAUGAUCAAAUUGUUUUAGAUAUAUAUAUAUAUAUAUAUAUAUAUAUAUAUAUAUAUAUAUAUAUAUAUAUAUAUAUAUAUAUUACAAGUAAUAAAAUUAAAAAAUUGUAAAAUAUGUCCAAAGAAAAGUUAUAAUUCGCCCACUUUUGAAUAUGUUCAUAGAUGUGAGUUUGUCACUACAUGCAAAAUAUAUGCAGAAGUGAUUGAAAAUGCAUGGCCACCUUUUCCUGCAUGUGAAUGUGUUGAGCUCUAUGGUGCAAUUACUAAUGAAAUUCUCAAUUUAGUUGAUAAGUAUUUUGAGAUGCAAAAGCAUGAUGUUGUCCGGGCAUUGGAAAUUUAUCAGAAAGCAGGAGAGCCAUCAACCAUUCACUCGACAAGCAAGAGAAACACAUAGGCCGCACCAUUCUCCAACAAGACACAACAACAUACAUUCUUGAAGGUAAGUCCCUUUUUAAAAUUUUAUUUUAGUUUAAUUUUAAUUUAUUUAGUUAGUUUAGAUUUUUUUUUUCAUAAUUAGUUUAAUUAAUUCUAUAUUAUAAAGCUCUUAUUUUUCAUUCCGAUUUAGUUUAGUGUUGAUUUUUCUUAUAGUUUAAGUCCGAAAGUACAAUGAUUUUAAAUUUUAGAUAAUGCUUAUGCCAUAAGCAACUUUUAAUUUGUAAUAAAGCCAUAUGAGUUAGACUCCAAGCCGCUAACACCAAAUUGUAGCCCAACUAAGUUGCCUUCGGAUGAGAAUGGUUCGACUCACAAAGUCCCAAGAUUCUCCACAACACUCCAAAAUCCAAGCAAUUAUAUUUGUCCCACUCCUCUACUACUUGGGUUUGUUUGCCAGUCCACUUUUGGUAAGUGAUCUAGGUUGAAUUUUCCAUAAGCCAAAAACCAAAAUAGAGUUACUCAAGUAAGAAUACUUCUAAAGAGAAUAGUCUAAAGAGCUACUACAAAAGAGAAUUGGAGAUGGUUGGAGUAAUGGUGGUGGCUAUUGAAAGGGUUAAUGGUGGUGGGAAGCCAUAGCCCUUGGUGAAGAGGAAGUUAGGUGAAUUGGAGACUCGGUGAAGAAGAAAAUGUGAGCUUGAUAAAAUUUCCUCCAACUUUUCCUUCUCUCUCUUAUUUUCCCCACUAAUUUUUAAGGAAAGUAGUAGGGAAAAUAUUACAAUAUUUCCUUUAGUAUUUUUCUUUAUAUUUUUUUUCCAUCAUAUUUUUCAUGUCACCCAAACUAAGAAAAAUAACUUUCCACAAUAUUUUUUUUUCCUUUCCCUUGCAUUUUCUGAAAACUAAACACAACCUUUAUAAAUAAAAAAUUAAGAAUUACAGUAAGACGGUAUAUUCUUCCUUUUUCUUCCUGCAUUUCUACAUCAACUACUCUAUCUUACAUCAUAUUUUUACUCCCUUCUUCAAUCAGCAUUCCUCUCUUUAUAUAGAGUUAUCUUCACACCAAUUCAUAAGAUAAGAAAGAUGAAUGAACCUUGGGGCAAGGUUGGACAACUGGUGGCAGCUAGUCAAGGCUAGAAGUCAACUUUUGCUUGACUCUUUGGGAAUGGGUAGCAACGUGUCGACCUUUCUUUAGCAUGAAAAUGGCUAGAACGUGUCGACCUUUCUUUAGCAUGAAAAUGGCUAGAACGUGUUAAGCUCUCUUAUUAGAUGACGUGUCAACUAUAGGGUAAUCAUAGGGUGGGGAAUAUAUGGUAAUUAUGCAAAAAAAGAAAAAAAAAGAAAAAGAAAAAUUGAUAUCCAAUUAUAUAGAAAGACAUCUUCCAACAUUUGAUAUAAAUAAAAAUUAAGAGAAAAAUAUUUUAAAAAAGCAUAUUAAACCUAAAAAUAGGGAAUUAAUAAUAAAAUCAAGUAAAAAGGUAAAAUUAAAACUAAAUAUAAAAUAUGAAUAUAGUUUAAAUAUUAAAAAUAAUAUUAUUUAGGUUAAAUCAUUAGGCUUGCUAGAGGAGUUUAUAUAUAUAUAUUAGUUUUUUCUUUUUUUUUAAUCCUUUCUAUGUUGUUUAUAUUAAUGCAUUGAAUUUGAUGUUACCUAAAACAAAAUUAUAUUUCAUGUCCUCUAUUAUAAGUGGACAACCAUUCCUUAUGUUAGAUUUUAGAUAAAGAACGAAUAAUGAAGAUUGGAAUUGUAAGAAAUUAGGAGAUCCUAAUUUUAAAUAUGUAACAAAGUUCUAUAAUCACUCCUAUCCACAUUUAAAAAUUGUAUUUCUUUCUAAUAUGGGAGCAAACUUUUUCCUUCUUUCUUAUAAUUUUCAUUUGGGAAUGAUUUAAAAAUAAAUAAACAAAAGCCCUUCUAAAUAUUAAAAAAACAAUCUCUUAUAAAAAUUAAUUAGGUGGAUGGUAAGGUCAAAUUCGGGAUACUUCAUAUUUUUUGCUUUGCCUGAAAAUUAAAAUCAAAAUCAAAAUUAAAGUAAUAAUUUUUAAGAUGUUGUAAAAGUUUUAUUAAACAUGAAAGAACUUAUUGUGUAAACAAAAAUAGAACUAUAGAAUUCUUAUAAGAAAUAACAAUUUUAUGAAUUCUAUAUGAAACCUUUUUUAAAAGUUAUAAGUUUUUUUUUAUAAAUAAUUAAAUAGGUAUAGGAACUUUUAUUCAACUUAAUUUUUUUUAACGGUUAAAAGUCAAUCCAAAUAAAAUUUAAAUAUAUUUGAAAAUCAUUUUAAAAAAUUCAAAAAAUCACUUAAAAAAAAUUUAUGAAUUUUUUUUUUAAUUUACAUUCAAAUACUAAGUGAUUCUUUUAAAAAUCAUUUAUAAUGUCAAAAUAUUUUUUUAUGGAUAAAAACAUUAGAAAUAAAAAACAUUUCUAAUGAAAGUUUAAUCAAUUAAUCUUUUUUAGCACACCACUCAUAACUGUCAGUGAUUUCCUGCUAACUUAACAUAUCGACAUGGACUUGGAGAGUUCGGUCAAUUAAAGCAGCCUGAUUAAUUGUAAGUGUCUUUUCUCUAAACCAUAAAUUCCUACGUUUUAAUUUACAAAAGCCAGUGAUUUGUUUUUACUUAAGGAAGCAGGAAAGGGUUUAAUGAGUUGAAACAAGAACACAACAUCAAAUUCUCUUUUUAUAAUCAAAGACUACUAUGGAAAAUUCCACCAUAGCAUAUCUCAAAUUCCAUUAAUAAUCCCAAACACAAUAUUCCGCAACUUUACAUUAUUCUUUUUAUCAACUUUACACAAAAAAUUGAAGAGGAAUACUAACUUAAAUCAAACAGAAAUUAAAUCAUGAAAGAUGAAUAAUACAAAUAUUCAAUGAAAUCUUUGGCGUGUUAUUUCUUUGCAGCUUCAACAUGGUGGCAUGUCCGACGGAGGAGGCAACAUUUGAGCUUCCGGGUGUUUACCAUUUUUCACUAUGAACGCAGUUUCCAUGCCCCAAGUCAGAUGGCGUUCUACAUGGCAGUGCAUGAACCACACUCCUGCAACAGAGAAAAUAUACCAACAUUACACCUAACUUUAUUGUAAUAUUAAGAAAAAAUAUUUCAUUGGUAUGUAGGUUGGCAGUUUCAAGGGUUUUUUUCUUUAAUAAAGGACAUGAGUGCUUGGAACAUACCAGGGUUGGAUGCCUCGAAUCUGAUUGCAACCCAACCAUUCGAAGGAACAGAGAUGGUAUUCUGAAAGGGAGGAUCCACCAUAUUAUAGCGCAAAGGGUCCUUAUUUCCAUCGAAAUUCCCAAAUCCCCAUCCAACAACAUAGAAACUGUAUCCAUGGAGAUGCAUGGGGUGGUGUGUCGCUGCAAGCACAUUUGUCCCUUGAAAAACAAUAUCCACUGUGGAGUUAUACUCGAGCACCCUUACUUCUGUUCCGCUGCUCGGCAACUGAUAGAUUAAUGGAAGAUAAUCAGCUGUAAAAUCGAACACCAGUGGUGGAUCACUAGGAAAUUUAUCUCCAUAUAUACCACUGAUGUUAUAAUAGUAAGCUUGCAGUAUGUCAACUGUAGGGGUAUGGAAGCUUAUGUUGUUUAUACUUGAGGAGAAUCGCGUCCCAUUGGCCCCUGCACAUGAAUUAUUGACGCAUGGGUACGAGUUUACAGAAACAGUGUAAAUCAGGUUAGUGCUCGUGCUCAAUGGGACAUUGCAAGGAUGUUCCGCAUUUGCUAAGCUUCGGAGGCCGGCCAUGACCUGAACGGAUGCAUUUGUGUCAUUGUAUGCAGGAAGAUAAGGCAAGGAGGGAGGUGAAGAUGGAGUGUAGUAUCCGUUGUAUUGUACAAUAGCUGUGGUGGUUGUGUUAUCAUAAAAGUCUUGAUAUUUCGGGGCAACAGAAUAAGUUAUAGCCGCCAUGUAAUAGUGAUCCGGGCGUUGGUUAGCUUCUAGUAAGACAUCAUAGGUUUGGCCAGGAAAUAUUGUGAUAAAAUCUCGUGUCAAUGGUUUCGUGUAGCUACCAUCUGUUCCAACCACUGUCAUUUUAUGCUUGUCAAUGGAGAAGAAGAGAGCCUCUUGCAAGGCAGCAUUGAUUAUGCGAAGUAGAUAGGUCUUUCCAUGAUCCACCGUUAGCUUGAAUGUGUCUGCAAUUAGAAAGGGAAAGUUGUAUACUUAUGACUAGCCAAAAGAAAAAGAAAAAGUUUCCAUGAGGAUCCACUAAUUAUGAAGUGAUUGAUUGAUGAGGGGUGUAAAUUUGGCUCCAUAGUUCAAAAUUAUAUUUGGACUAGCCUUCUUUUGUGUUUUAAAUCAUGGCUCUACCAUCCUCAUAGCUAUAUUCCUCUUUCUUAGCAUUAAGCUUUAAAUAUGUUGAUGUUAAUAAGAAAAAGUAAUAUGGCUAACAUAUAAGAAAAUGAAAUUGUGUACAAUUUUAAAAUGGGAAGUUAAACUUUGUACCUGAUUUUGAGCAUGGAUAUAGAUCACCGGGUUGUCCAUUUAUCAAUAAAGCAUCAGAGGGGUCGGGGUCACCUCCGGUUGCAAGCCCUUCAUCUCGAACCGCAUUCACAUCAUUCUUCCACCAUUCUCCUGCAUUUCAACAACUUCAAUAAUUUUAGAUUUUGCUUUGUUGGUUAAUUCAUAAUAUGUAAAUUAACCUUUAAAAGUAACAACACUUAUACCUAAUAUGAUAGGGACCUCUCUAUCAGGUUUGUGAAAAGGAUACUUGGUUCCAUUCUUGGGAUAGAUAAUUAUAGCUCCAUGAACAGUGGCUCGGGUCCAAUCACUGUGAGCAUGCCACCAUAGAGUGCCUUCUUCAGUGGAAAGGAUGAUCUUCUGUGUAAACUUUGACCCUGGCCGAAUUGGGCAUUGUGUGAUAUACUCGGGACCAUCUGUCCAUGGAUAUCUAGGCAUGGUCACCCCAUGCCUGCGAAACCAUAACUAUACGUUAAAACUAGUACUAAUUUUCAAAGUAACAAAAGAUGGCAUGCAACAACAUAUUAUCAUAAUAACAAGAGGCAUCAAUUGUAUUUCAAUGGAACUAAAGCAAAUAACCUAAAAGUAUUGUUUUAAAUUUGACUUUAUUUUCAAAGUUAUAUAUUGUAGCCCCCUCUUAGAUAUAAAAGAAUAUAUGUCAUGCAAGCAUGGUACCACUGCUCUUUCUUUGAGACACGCACAGGACCUACCAGUGAAUGGUGAUGUUUUCAUUUCCCUUGUUAUAAACGUCGACAAUGAUCGUCUCUCCUUUCGUAGCAUAUAUGGUUGGUCCCGGAAAUUUUCCAUUUACUGUUAAGAUGUUCUUGGUGCUACAAAGCCUUUUAUAUGAAGCUUCCCUCACCUGCAACCAAUUAAAAGUUAGCCAUGCAACCUGAUCCCAAAAGAAAUAUCACAUGCAUGAAUAGUUGUAUCGAUCCAUUCAUGUAAGUGUAUAACCAAUUAGAAAUUGAUAGCAUGCAUGAACGACUCAACGACACCAAGGUAGUAGGUCAUAUGGUACGAAAUGAGAGCAAUACCACUCCCUAAAUAUCAUGAUUACAAGGUGGCGUUAAGGCCAGAAUCAUAUAUAGUAUUUACCACAAAAGUAAGCCGACGGGUCGAAGCUUGGCAAUGGAUGCCACCACCAAAAACUAGAAACGCUAAAAUUUGCAGGAGGAAAACCUUCAUGAUCAGCCACAUUUUCCUUGGAAUAAAAGCCUCUUCUCUUGUCCUAAACACAACUCCUUCAAUUCUCUUACUGCUUUUGAUGUAUUUCUUUCAUAUAUGGUUCAUUAUAUAGGCAUGGUAAUUCUCUAGGGAUACAAUACGUGUCAAUAUAAGAGGAAGUGAUUUGAAUGUGUAUUGGUUUUCAAUGUUCUUUCAGGACGACUUCAAUGAGCAGGACCACUUCAAAAUAAUUAAUUAUGAUAUUUCUUACACGUUACCUACACGUUAUUUUAGAAUAAAUUUAAAAUAUCCUUUCACAAGUCUUUUAUUGAUUAUUUCAACAAAUGUUAAUUAAUUAAAUAUAUGUAGGAUAUUUUUAAAACUUUGACCUCCCGUAUGAAAACUGUUUUUCAUUGACAACUACUUUUAACAAUUAUUGGGUGGUUGGCGGCAAAGUUGUUUUCGUAUUGUUAAUACAAUUUGUCAUGAUCGUUGAUUUCGUUUGAAUGGGACAAAGUUGUUUCCAAUUUUUUUUAAACUUGAGAAUUGAGAUUAUAAAAGACAAGAUGAGAAGUUAUUUGGUAUUUCAGAAUUUUCCAUAACAAAUACAAAAAUAUAUUUUGUAAAAAGCUGAAAAUAGGAUACUAACAACCCCUUAUAGUAUUUUUUUUUUUCUCAACAAAAAGCAAUUUAAUACUAAUAAUAAAAAAUAAUUAUAGAUUUUAAAAUAUAUUUUUCAAAAGAAAUGAAUCUAUAAUUUAUUUGUUCAAAUGGUAUGUAUAUAUUGAUUAAAUAAAUAAAUUAUGAAAAGAUUUAUAUAUUUUCAAAAUGAGAUUUUAAAAUUGAACAGAGAUAUUUGUUUAUUUUAGAUUUGAAUGUUUGGAUUCAUCUAAUUCCAUAAAUUAUUAUUUCUUUAUUUUAUUGGAGUUGACUUUAAAUGUUUGGAUUGACCUAAUUCCAAGUGGACUAAGCCAACCUAAUAUUUGAAUGGAGAUGAAAGCAUGGGUAUAGGUUUGUACUUAAAGAAAUUUAAAAAGGAAAUGAAGAUAUGAUUAAAAUAAACCUGAUACAGUUACUCUAUAAGAAUAGAUCCUGUUUCUAACCUUUUAACAUACAAAUUUGGAAACCUAAACGUAUGGAUUGUUUCUUUCCUAUAAUGGAAUCCUAUAUUCCUUCUCAAAGCAGCGCUGACUUGAUAAAGGUUUAUUUUAUCUAUAUAUGGGAGGUCAAAGUUUUAAAAGUAUUCUACAUAUAUUUUAAAUUUAUUCUAAAAUAAUGUGUUUGAUUAAUUUCUUGGUCGAUUCUCAAAGUCAAACUUGUAUUUUGAAUUAGAAAAUUCAAGAGAUUCUAAGAAACUCGUCUUCUACGAUACACAACCUGAUUGAAGCUGAGCUUUGAGAAAUUUUCACAAUUGUUAGCAUUCUUCAGGCAUUUGGUUUAUUUAAAUUUUAGUAGGUAAUCAAAUAUCAUACACAACCUGCUCUUUGAAGUGGUCCUGGAAGAACAUUCAAAACCAAUACACAUUCACAUUACUUCGCUUAUAUUGAUACGCGGCGAGGAAUUGUUGAUACCCAAGCCACAUGUGAUCUGAUUUAAUGAAUGAAUCUCUGCCCUUCAUCCGAAGAAUUCUGGUGUUCUGGAUUGAUGGGAGCAAAAAGGUGACCAGUUUUACCUUGAGUCAAAUUCAAAUGACAAAAUAUAUUACCAGGGCAAUCAUGGACACCACCCUUAACUACAAAAAUAGCGCACACAGCCAAUCCCAUCAACCUAGUAUUACACCAAUUUGGAGGCAGAUGUACCAUAUUACUGUGGAGCCUAUACGCUGUUGGCUGAACCACUCAGGAAUUCAACUUCCAGGAACGAAAGUACUGGAUUCAAUAUGUGGAGUAUAUGGCACCAUCUGGGUCAUGAAAAUCAAUGUCAAGUUAUAUGGAAAUAAUGUAGGAGUAGUGCUCAAAGGAGUAUAAGAAUUAUUCCAUAGGAUUUAAUUGAUUUACUUUUACAAUAUGAUCAAGAGAGAGAGGAGAGAAACCUGAAUUGGGAAUUGAAAUCUUGGUAAUUUAUUUGCCAGACUUUGCAUUUCCCUUAAUGUAGCUGCCACAAAGUUGCUGCUUUCAUUCUCAGACAGUCUGAAGCAAUUAGAAAAUGUGAAUCGGAGGCCCCCACAUUCCUUGGAUCUGUAGACACUUGAUGGACACAAAAUGUUUUCCAUAACUGUGCCAUCAUGGGCAUCUAUUUCUUCUAUACUUGAUGGAAGCUCUGGUAAUGAUUGAAGCCUCUUGCAACAACCCAACCUAAGGCCUUUGAGCUGUGAAAGUUGAUUGAGGCGUGCAGGUAGAGUAACAAAAUUGUUUCUGCUCAGAUCUAAAUAUUCCAAUGAGCACAGAGAGCUAAAGUCAUUGGGAAUUGCUCCUUCCAAUAUGUGGCAAUCACUUAGAUUUAACUUUCUUAGGGAUCUUAAACCAAAGAAAGAUGCAGUUGCCACACUAUUCUUAGAUUUAACUUUCUUAGGGAUCUUCAUAUUUAGUUUCAUAGGAAAGAUGUUUUCAAAGAAAUCUGCAUUCUUUGUUUCUAUUAUAGUAUUGACAUCUACCAGAUUAUUUUCUGACUUAGUAACAAGAAACCUAUAUGCCACACUAUUCUCAGCAUAGCCAAUGAACGUUGCAUCAAAGGUUUUAGGACCUAGUUUUCGUUUUUUAGGUUCGGGGAGAAGAACUUUAGCUAAACACCCCCACACUUUCAGGUAUGCUAUAUUAGGUGCACAACCUUUGCACAACUCAUAAGGAGUUUUACUAGUUUUCUUGUAAGGUAUUCUAUUUUGAAUAUGGCAUGCGGAUAGGAUAGCUUCCCCCCACAAGUUCAAGGGUGCUCCUGAACUUACUAACAUUGGAUUCAUAAUUUCUUUUAAGGUCUUAUUUUUCCUUUAUGCUAUUCCAUUAGACUCAGGGGAAUAAGGAGGAAUAAGGAGGAGUAGUUUCAUGAAUGAUCCCAUGAUCUUCACAAAAAGAAUUAAAGGGGUUGGACUCAUACUCUCCUCCUCUUUCAGUUCUAAGCCUUUUAAUUUUCUUACUUAGUUGAUUUUCCAUUUCAUUUUUGUACUUGAUGAAAGCAUCUCUUGCUUCAUCUUUGUUUCUCAAAAGAUAUACCCUUGUAUACCUUGAGUAGUCAUCUAUGAAAGUUAUGUAGAAUUGAUCACCACCUCUAGUCAUUGUAUUUUUUAGGUCUCCUAAGUCACUAUGUAUUAAACUUAGUAGACCUGAUUCUCUUUCAACUGAUUUGCAAGAUUUCUUUGUGGCUUUAGAUUCUACACAAGAUUCACAUUUCCCAUGGUUUUCUAAGGACAGAUUAGGGAUUAAACUCAAUUCAACCAUUUUCUUCGUAUAUGAAAAGUUCACAUGUCCUAGUCUACCAUGCCAAAUAUCACAAGAAUCAACUAUGUAAGCAAAAGAAGAAGAUGUAUUAUUAUUGAUAAUAUCAUAAACAUUCAACAUAAAUAAACCCUGAUUACAAUAGCUCUUUCCCACAAAUGCAUCAUUCUUGGUUAAAACUAUUUUAUCAGAGUCAAACAAGAUCCUCACUCCUGCUUUUCCAAGUAGAGAUACCGACACCAAGUUCCAACAGAUAUCUGGCACAUGAAGAACAUCAUGUAGGGCAAGCACUUUUCCAGAUGUUAGCUUGAGGAGAACUUUCCCUUUGCCAAUCACUGGAGUAGAUCUAGAAUCACCCAUGAACACUUGUUCCUCUCCUUUCUUUAUAGUGGUAUAGGAAGUAAAUGCAUUUCUAUUCCCACAGAUGUGCCUAUUAACCCCAAAGUCUACCACCCAUUCCUUCAUAUUGGUGACCAUGCUCACCUCAAAGGAGAUUACUGUUGUGAUCACCUCUGUCUCUGCCAGAUUUGCCUUUGAACUAGUCUUCUCAAUUCUCUUCCUAUGGCGACAUUGAGCUGCAUGGUGUCUAGACUUGCCACAGACAAAGCAAUUACCCCAUUUUUUAAUAAUUGAGUUUUGGACCUUGUUUAAUGCAUUAGGCUUGGUCCUAAAGUUUUGUUUCCUGAACCUAUUAUUUUUGGGUUUAGAUUUUUCUUCUACUACAUUAGCUUUAGAAGACAAUUCCUUAGCUUUCUCAAUAUUGUCCCUAUUUCGGUUUUGUUCCUCAAUCCUAAUAUGGAUUAUGACAUCCUCUAAGGACAUUUGUUUCCUUUUAUGUUUCAUGUUGUUUUUAUAGUCUUUCCAAGACUCCGGAAGAGCCUCUACUAAAUAACUAGCCACAAAAGGUUCGGGUAAUUUAAUGUCUUCAAUAGCUAAGUCAUUAAUCAACAAGUGGUAGUCAUGGAUUUGAGAUGAUACAACUCUAUCCUCACUCAUUUGGAAAUUUCUAAAAUUCCCUAUGGCAUAUUUAUGAGUUCCCGCAUCUUGCAAAAUAUAUUUUUUAUUCAUUGCAUCCCAAAUUUAUUUUGCAACUUUAAAUUGACAAUAAAUAUCAAAAAGUUCAUUAGAAAGUGUACUCAGAAUAGCAUAGCUAACUUGUUUAUUUCUAGUUUCCCAGGUUGGUAACCUAUGAGAACCAUCUUAUUGUUUUGGAUCAGUCAAAAUAUGUCCUAAGUUCACCACAUCAAUUGUAGAGAAAACCCUUUCCUGUCAUCUCUUAAAGAAUGUCCCAUUAAAUGGAUUAAUUUUAGAGGUGUCAGGAUGGGUGUGAAUUAGGGAAGCUUUCAUUUGAAUUUAUUUCAAGAUUGUUGGAUUUUAAGGGUAUGGAAACAAAGACUAGCCCAAAAAGACACAAACAAAGAACAUAAUGAAUAAUAAAAAAAAACUUAUCGGCUGAGGCAUGACAAACACUGUCCUUGAAAUAGAUCCACCCUUCUCGAAGACGAACUCUAUGCACUAUGUGAGAAAGGGUAUAAAUAAUGUGAGAUAAGGUACAAAAAAAUGUGAAAAAAAUGUACGAAUAAUGUGAGAAAAUGGUAUGCACAAUGUUAUAAAAUGGUACAAAAAAUGUAAGACAUGGUAUGAAUAAUGUGAGAUAGGGUACAAAUAAUGUGAUAUAAUGUAUGAAGAAUGUGAAGAAUGUGAGCAUGGGUAUGAAGAAUGUGAGAAAUUGUACGAAAAAUGUGGAAAAAAAAGUGCGAACAAUGUGAGAAAUUAUACAAAACAAUACAAGACAUAUGGUACAAAUAAUGUGAGAGAGAUGGUAUGAAAAAUUUGAAAUAUGAUACGAACAAUGUAAGGAAUGUUACAACCAAUAUGAGAAAGAAUACAAAGAAUAGGAGGAAGGAUAUGAAGAAUGUGAGACAUAGUAUGAAAAAUCUGAGAAAGGGUACGAACAAUGUGAGAAAGAAUACAAAGAAUGUGAGAUAGGGUAUAAAUUGUAAGGAAACCCAGAUCACUCUAUUCCAUAUCUUAGAAUUAGGUUAGAUGCAUGCAAAAACUUUCCUAGGCUUUUCUAAAUCCUAUGCAUAAUAAAAACAAACAUUUAAAAACUUUAGCAAGAUUUAAAAAUCAAAAGAGAAAAACUAUACAUUGAUUUGGAUAUUCUCAAAUCAAAUCCAUGUAGUGAAGUUGAAGGUUGAAGUAUUCAGAGGUCUCAAUGACUCAAACUCGAUAUUUGAACCCCAAAGGUGGGUUGGCUAUUGCUAUCUACAAAUUGGAUGAUAGAACACAACUAUCUUAAAAACCCUAACCUUUGAGAAGGUAUUUAUAGGGUUCCUUAAUUAGGCUUAAGUGACUUAAGCUUACCGUGGACUUAGGUCACUUAAUUUAGCUCAAAAUAUGUCUUAAUCAAUUAAUUACAUGACACUAUUAGGUUAAUUGAUUAAUUAACCUAAUAUGGCCAAUCAAUUAACCUAAUAGGGCCAUGUAAUUAAUCAAUUAACCUAAUCUAGAGGUUUUAUUCACUUACCUUUGUGUAACCUUACAUAAUUACCAAAACACUAUUAUGCACAAAAGUUAAUUAAGAGUUAAUCUAACCCUUAUGAACCAUUCCACCAAGGUAUAUGAACUCGAGUGGGGACCCCACUAGGAACCAUAGGAUAAUACUGACACAUUCAUAAUCCAGUUUUGAAGUUAACUCAACAUUCCACUACAAAAAAUUAAUUGCACCACAAUAUCCUAUGUACAAUACAAUGAAACACCAAGUUCUCUAGAUCGUGACCUAUUAUCCACUAAUUUCACCACAAUAUCCUAUGUGCAUAUGAUCAAAUGACAUGCCCUACCUCACUAAGAGCAUACGUCAAAUUACUAAAGGAAUUACUGUGUGUCCACAGAUUUCAUGAUCACACGUCCUUAGGAUCACCCAAUGGAACACACUCUCUUAAAGUCCAUGAGAUAUCGUGGUGUCUCUAAUGAGAAUACCAAUUUUUAUCGGCUUCCAUCAAUAGUGACUUAAUCCAUAGGAAAUAUAUGAUCAACUUACGAUCUCACAGUAGGUCAAAGCCUCUACUAACUUUAACUUAUAUAAGCUUAGUAUUCUCUUAAGGUUGAGAGACAAUACAAUUUAAUAGCUUGGUGAAGUCAUGACUACAUGAUAGUCUUAUGUCGUGACUCACCAUAGGUUCUGUUCAAUAUUGUGCAAACUUACACACUAGUGCACUCACCAUGGGAACCCCAUCCCAAUGGCCAAGACCAAUCAUUCCUCCUAUUAGAAGGUAGUGCACUACAACUUCUAAUGGGUUACCUAGGUUCAUGAACUAGCUAUGAACAAGUCAUCUAUUUGUAAUAAACCCAUGACUUGGAUCUUCUAUGCAACUCCUAAUGCACUUAAGUCGCAUUUAAUCAAACCUAAAUGCUUACAAGGUAUAGUGAAUGUCAUGUCAUGUCAUGUCAUGCUUUUAAAGAUUUUAUCAUAACUUGAAUAAUGUGAGACAUGGUACGAACAAUGUAAGAGAGAGUACAAAUAAUAUAAGAAAGAGUAAAAACAAUGUUAGAAAGAGUAUGAACAAUGUGAGACAAGAUAUGAAGAAUGUGAGGGAGGGUAUGAACAAUGUGAAGGAGGGUACAAACAAUGUGAGACAAUACAUGAAGAAUGUGAGGAAUGAUACAAAGAAUGUGAUGAAUGGUACAAAGAAUGUGAGGCAAGGUAAGAAGAAUGUGAGAAAGCGUACGAACAAUAUGAGAAAGUGUAUGAACACUGUGAGACAAUGUAUGAAUAAUGUGAGAUAAUGCAUGAAUAAUGUAAGAUAGUGUACAAAACAAAGUGAGAAAGAAUACGAACAAUAUGAGAAAUUAUAUGAAAAAUAUGGAGGGUAUAAAGAAUAUGAGAUAUUAUAUAAAUAAUGUGAGAAAAUAUACGAAAAAUAUGAGAUAUAGUACGAAUAAUGUAGAAAUGGUACGAACAAUGUGAGAUAAGCUAUGAAGAAUGUGAGAAAUAGUACUCUUCAUAUCCUUUCUCACAUUAUUUAUACCCUCGCUCAUGUACUUUUGUACAUAUUCUCACAUUCUUUGUACAUGAUCUCGCAUAAAAUAGAUAUUGUUUUAUUAAAUACAAAAAAAUUAUAAAAAAUUAUAAAAAUAUUGAAUUUUUAAAAAACCAAAUUGAUAACAUGUAUGGCUAAAUAAUGUAGUUCUCUAACUACUAUUUUUUUAUUAUUUUAUUUUAGUUUCUUCAUGGAUAUAAUGGACAAAGGCAAACGAAAGAAAUUCAUCAUUGAUUUGAAUAAUGAAAACUUUGAUUAAUAAUAUGAUUGCAAUGUGAAAACCGGGUUUGACAAAAAGCCCAUGCUAGUUUAAGAGAAUAUUUUGUAUGGUUUAAGACUUGAAGAUGUAUGGGAAAUGGAGUUCAACUCAAUAGAUGAGAUAGAAGAAUUUUACAAUUUAUACGUAAAGUUAACAAAUUCAAUGUUAGAAAGGAUGAUGUUAAAUGAGAUAAGAAUGAAAAUAUAGCAUCUCAUAUGUGGGUUUGCUCAAAGAAGGAUAAAGACAAACAAUAUGUUUGGAGAAUGAAAAUCGAAAACGAGAACAUAAGACAAUAACUAGAGUUGGUUGUGAGACAUCACUUCGUAUCGAGUUUAACAAACAAAUAAAUAAGUGUAUUAUGAUGGAGUUUAUGGGUGAUCAUAAUCAUCCUUUGGUGGAACCAAAAAUACCCAAUUCUUUCAAUCCCAAAGGGUCAUGAGGAAUGCAUAUAAGGCUUAAUUGAGUGCAAUGCGUAGUGUUUGCCUGAGAACUAGACAAAUUAUGGAUUACAUGGUGCAACAAUCAAAUGGAUAUAUUAAUGUGGGCUUCACAAAGAAAAAAAGAUCUAUAUAACCAUGUUAAUGUUGAUUGUAAAGUUCAGAUAAGAAAUGGUGAUACAAAGGGUACACUUUCUUACUUGUGUGGAAAGGCUUAAAUGGAUACAUCAUUUUAUUACAAGUACAAUGUUGAUAAAGACAAUCGCUUAACAAACUUGUUUUGGCCAAAUUCUACAAGAAUAUUGGAUUACACUUAUUUCAGAAAUGUGUUAGCAUUUAAUAGAACUUAUGAGACUAAUGCUUAUAGAAAACUAUUGGUCAUCUUAGUUGACAUUAACCAUCACAAUCAAAUUGUAGUGUUUAGAUGUUCAUUAUUGGUAGAUGAGAGUCUUUACACUUAUACAUAGGUUUUGGAGACAUUUUUGGAUGUAAUGAAUAAAAAGAAGUUUUUUAUUUUUUUCUGUUAUUAUAGAUGAGGACAAAGCAAGGUGUCAAGCCAUUAAGAGAAUAUUUCUAUAGUUUUAUCAUUGGUUAUGUGCUUAUUAUAUUCAAUGCAAGACAUUCAUUAAUGUCUAUGUCAAAGACUUUACUUAUCAUUUUUCUAGGUACAUGUUCAUGGAAGGCACCGUUAAUUUGAAUGUGCAUGGAGUGGCAUGGUGGAAAUGUGUAAUCUCCACGAACAUAAUUGGGUGAUAGACAUAUAUGCUAAGUGUCCUAGAUGGGCAAAGGCUUAUUUAAAGGUGCAUUUCUUUGCAAGUUUGAAAGCGCACAAAGGUGUGAAAGGAUGAAUGCAUACUUGAAUAGUUUCCUUAAAACUCAUUUAAAGUUGUUUGAGUUUUUGAAGCAUUUUGAUUGAGCACUCUCAUGUAUUCAUCAUAAUGAGGCAAAGGCAAAGUUUGAGAUGCACACUCUUUUACUUCUUCUAAACUCCAAACUCCAUGAAAUUGAGAAAUAUACAGACAUUGUUUUCACUCGGAAAUCUUUUCUCAAAUUUAGGGAUGAAAUGAAUGCGAAACUUUUUUCCCUUAUUAGUACAAAAAAUCAUAGAGGUUAUCAUGUCCAUACAUUGACUAAAUUUAGAAGCUCUGACAAGUUCUCAAAAGUAUGUUAUGGUAAUUGUGAUGAGUCUAUGAAAUGUACUUGGAAAGGGAGACACAGGUUGGUGGUCUUUUGGGGGGAAUAGAAGAUAGAGAGGGAGACACCACUUUUUUGGAGAACGGAGGUCCACACAGGUUCAGAUUUUGGUGAGGCUUUCCGGGGAUUUUCGGAAGCAGAUUCAACAGAUUUUGGUGAAGGAGUUCUCUAGGCGGUUUUUUCUGUUGUUAAGUGGCAGCCGCAUGGACUGCAUGAGGAGGGUUGACGUCUCAUAGUUACCUUCUUUCCUCCAUUGAUAGUAGCCCACAAGGCCACCUUAAGUGGGCGACACAAUAAGGCUGCCAUGCACGCAUGAGGCAGCCAUGACGCUGCCAUGUGGGAGAAGGUAGCAACCACUUCCGCAUUUUUUCUAUGUAUCUCCAGAAACUCCUUUGUACAGCCCACACACGGGCUAAUGAAGCAGAUUCCUGCAUGUGUCACUACAUGCAAAAUAUAUGCAGAAUAUAUAUGAGCCUUGAAUUUGUCACUACAUGCAAAAUAUAUGCAGAAGUGAUUGAAAAUGCAUGACCACCUUUUCCUGCAUGUGAAUGUGUUGAGCUGUAUGGUGCAAUUACUAAUGAAAUUCUCAAUUUGGUUGAUAAGUAUUUUGAGAUGCAAAAGCAUGAUGUUGUCUGGGCAUUGGAAAUUUAUCAGAAAGCAGGAGAGCCAUCAAACAUUCACCCGACAAGCAAGAGAAACACAUAGGCCGCACCAUUCUCCAACAAGACACAACAACAUACAUUCUUGAAGGUAAGUCCCUUUUUAAAAUUUUAUUUUAGUUUAAUUUUAAUUUAUUUAGUUAGUUUAGAUGUUUUUUCUUCAUAAUUAGUUUAAUUAAUUCUACAUUAUAAAGUUCUUAUUUUUCAUUCCGAUUUAGUUUAGUGUUGAUUUUUCUUUUAAUUUAAGUGUGUUUGUGGUUUUAAUUCAAUAGUUUAAUUAAUCUUAUUAGAUAAAGUUCAUAUAUAUAUAUAUAUAGAUUAUCCCAAAUUAGUUUAGUUUUAAUCUUUCUUUUAGUUUAAGUGUGUUAGUAAUUUUAAUUCAGUAGUUUAAAUAAUCAUGUCAGAUAAAGUUCGUGUUUUUAAUUCUAAUUAGCUUCGUCUUAAUUUAUUCUUUAGUUUAGAUUUGUUGUUGAUUAUAAUUUAUUAGUUUAAUUAAUCUUAUUAGAUAAAGUCUAAUUUCAAUUUAGUUUAGUUUUAAUUUAUUCUAUAAUUUGAGUUUGUUUGCGAUUUUAAUUCAAUUGUUUAAUUAAACCUCUUAGGUAAAGAUCUUGUUUUUAAUUCCGAUUUAGUUUAGUUUUAAUUUACUUAUUUAUUUAUUUAUUUUAGUUUAGAUGUGUUUGUAAUUUUAAUUCGACAAUUUAAUCGAUCUUAUUAGAUAAAGUUGAUGUUUUUAAUUCUAAUUUAGUUUAAUUUUAAUUUAUUUUUUAGUUUAAAUGUGUUUGUGUGUUUAAUUGACCUUAUGCUAGCUCUUGAUUUGUUAUUCUCAAUUUAGGCGUUUUCUUGAAUCUUAGUCAUUAAUUCUUGGUGGAUAUCUCAUUAGUUUAUUUAAUCUAAGUUUUAAUAAUUUAUUAUUUCGGUAGUCUCUUGUCAAAUUUACUUUUCAGAUGCCAUCGGAAAAUAGUGAAGAUUGACCUCCAUUCUCACCACUUUAGUUUGUUUGGUUGUCAAAAAUUUUACUUUGUGAUUUUGUUUACUUUUAUUUUGCUUGUUUCUUAUGUUUUGAUUGUUUUCAAAUUAUUUUAUUUUAUUUUAAAAUAAAAUAUUUUUCUCAAAAGAUCCAUUUGAAAAUUCUAUUUUAAAAAUAAUUCAUUUAGAGUCUUUAGAAUCAGAAUCUCAUUUUUUAAUAAUAUGCAACCAUGUCUUGAUUGGUUUGCAUUUUUCUCAGUUUUCAAUAAAAAUUCUGGUUUUAAAUAGAAUAUGAAUCUAAACUUGUGGUCCCAAACAAAUGGGAUAAUUCUGGGCUAGAUUUUUGUAUAUCAAUUGGGGAAUUGGUGAAACCCCUACAUAAGAAAAUUCUUCAAAACUCAUAUUUUUUGCCACCUUUGCUAUUUCAUGAAAUCAUGUCUAUUUAUUUUUUAGGAAUUAUAUACAAGAUUUAUGUGAUAAUUGAUGAUUUCGUAUACUUUGAUCAUUUUUGCUAGGCUAAUUAUAUAACAAGCACGUUAGGAUUUCUUUAUUUUAUUAUUUAUUAUCUAACCCCUCAUGUCUUGUGAAAGCACGUUACAAGUUAUCUAUGCUAUCCAAGUACGUCCUCUAUCACCCACCUUCUAAAUUUUGUGAAUAUACCGGUCACUGUGAACUGCACUUAUGUUUGAUAGUGCUUGGGUGUUUUGAUAUUUGUUUCAUUGUUCGAUUAUUUUUUAUAAAGCGCAUGCUGGAUGAUAUAUUAUUUGAACUAACUUUGAUGUCUUGUGAGGGCGCUAAGAAGCAGUUUAGGUACACACCUUAAAUCUUCUUUAUAAUUAUGAUUUGUUUUUCUUAUUUGGCAUGCUAUUUUUGAAAUCACCUAGCUUACUUAGGUAUCCAUGAUCAACCAAUUAAUUGUCACAUUUCCCUCAACUUAGCCAGUAGAGAUCUUUUUAGGGCUUAGAGGAGUGUUACCUCUUAAAAGUACCUUCCCAAUGGUAACUUGAUUCUUGAACCAAGACUUGGGUUUUCGAGACAUGCUUUUCCAAAAUUGUGGAGUCACUUAUUUAGGGUUUUCUUUCUUGUUUUAUUUUCCCUUUAAAGUAAAAUAAAAUAAGGGGCGACUCCAGCUUUUCCAAAACUAAUUUUUCACCAAUAAAAGCGAGUCUCACUGAUUGAGUGGGAACGCACGUGAAAAAUGUGGGUCCACAGUAUAUAUGGGGCAACCUAAAGGAUUUAUUGUUAUAAGAUAAGAACACCAAGUUAGAGAUAGAUACAUUUAGCUAGGUUGGUUUUUAACCAAUCCAAGAAUCAAAUAGGAGUUCAUUGGUUUUAACUAAAGUACAACAAAUUUAUUUAUUUACUCAUACUAAUCCAACUUAAUAUCAAUUCGAUUCAGUUUAGUUAACUCAAUUUAGACAAAAUUAUUGAGUUUGUAUGUUUUUUUUCACUUCGACCAUACAACCAAAAUGAUCAAAUUGUUUUAGAUAUAUAUAUAUUUUACAAGUAAUACAAUUAAAAUUUUUUUAAAUAUGUGUGGGAGCAACCUAUGGGUUAUUUGCUUGUUGGGAGUAAGUCAAUGAGUUGUAUUAUUGACAUAUUGGGCACUUGUGACUUGAAAUUAUAUUAUCAUCAUUAUUAAGUCCCAAAGUACAAUGAUUUUAAAUUUUAGAUCAUGCUUAUGCCAUAAGCAACUUUUAAUUUGUAAUAAAGCCAUACGAGUUAGGCUCCAAGCCACUAACACCGAAUUGUAGCCCAACUAAGUUGGCUUUGGAUGAGCAUGGUUCGACUCAUAAAGUCCCAAGAUUCUCCACAACACUCCAAAAUCCAAGCAAUUAUAUUUGUCCCACUCCUCUACUACUUGGGUUUCUUUGCCAGUCCACUUUUGGUAAGUGAUCUAGGUUGAAUUUUCCAUAAGCCAAAUACCAAAAUAGAAUUACUCAAGUAAGAAGACUUCUAAAGAGAAUAGUCUAAAGAGCUACUACAAAAGAGAAUAGGAGAUGGUUAGAGUAAUGGUGGUGACUAUUGAAAGAGUCGAUGGUGGUGGGAAGCCAUAGCUACUGGUGAAGAGGAAGUUAGGUGAAUUGGAGACUCAGUGAAGAAGAUAAUGCGAACUUGAUAAAAUUUCCUCCAACUUUUCCUUUUCUCUCUUAUUUUUCCCGCUAAUUUUUAAGGAAAGUAGUAGGGAAAAUAUUACAAUAUUUUCUUUAGUAUUUUCCUUUAUAUUUUUUUUCCAUCAUAUUUUUCAUGUCACCCAAACUGAGGAAAAUAACUUUCCAUAAUAUUUUUUUUCCCUUUCCCUUGCAUUUUCUGAAAACUAAACACAACCUUUAUAAAUAAAAAAUUAAGAAUUACAGUAAGACGGUAUAUUCUUCCUUUUUCUUCCUGCAUUUCUACAUCCACUACUCUAUUUUACAUCAUAUUUUUACUCCCUUCUUCAAUCAGCAUUCCUCUCUUUAUAUAGAGUUAUCUUCACACUAAUUCAUAAGAUAAGAAAGAUGAAUGAACCUUGGGGCAAGGUUGGACAAUUGGUAGCAACGUGUCGACCUCUCUUUAGCAUGAAAAUGGCUAGAACGUGUUAAGCUCUCUUAUUAGAUGACGUGUCAACUAUAGGGCAAUCAUAGGAUGGGGAAUAUAUGGUAAUUAUGCAAAAAAAGAAAAAAAGAAAAAAAGAAAAAGAAAAAUCGAUAUCCAAUUAUAUAGAAAGACAUCUUCCAACAUUUGAUAUAAAUAAAAAUUAAGAGAAAAAUAUUUUUAAAAAACAUAUUAAACCUAAAAAUAGGGAAUUAAUAAUAAAAUAAAGUAAAAAGGUAAAAUUAAAACCAAAUAUUAAAAAUAAUGUUAUUCAGGUUAAAUCAUUGGGUUUGCUAGAGGAGUUUAUAUAUAUAUAUUAGUUUUUUUUCUUCUUUUUAAUCCUAUCUAUGUUGUUGAUAUUAAUGCAUUGAAUUUGAUGUUACCUAAAACAAAAUUAUAUUUCAUGUUCUCUAUUAUAAGUCGACAACCAUACCUUAUGUUAUAUUUUAGAUAAAGAACGAAUAAUGAAGAUUGGAGUUGUAAGAAAUUAGGAGAUCCUAAUUUUAAAUAUGUAACAAAGUUCUAUAAUCACUCCAAUCCACAUUUAAAAAUUGUAUUUCUUUCUAAUAUGGGAGCAAACUUUUUCCUUCUUUCUUAUAAUUUUCAUUUGGGAAUGAUUUAAAAAUAAAUAAAUAAAAGCCCUUCCCAAUAUUAAAAAAAACACUCUUAUAAAAAUUAAUUAGGUGGAUGGUAAGGUCAAAUUCGGGAUAGCUUCAUAUUUUUUGCUUUAAUUGAAACUUAAAAUCAAAAUUAAAGUAAUAAUUUUUAAGAUGUUGUAAAAGUUUUAUUAAACAUGAAAGAACUUAUUGUGUAAACAAAAAUAGAACUAUAGAAUUCUUAUAAGAAAUAACAAUUUUAUGAAUUCUAUAUGAAACCUUUUUUAAAAGUUAUAAGUUUUUUUAUAAAUAAUUAAAUAGGUAUAGAAACUUUUAUUCAACUUAAUUUUUUUUUAACGGUUAAAAGUCAAUCCAAAUAAAAUUUAAAUAUAUUUGAAAAUCAUUUUUAAAAAUCCAAAAAAUCACUUAAAAAUAAUUUCUGAACUUUUUUUUUUUUUAAUUUACAUUCAAAUACUAAGUGAUUCUUUUAAAAAUCAUUUAUAAUGUCAAAAUAUUUUUUUAUGGAUAAAAACACUAGAAAUAAAAAACAUUUUAAUUCAUGAAAUUUCAUUUAUUGUUAUUUAUUUUUUGGGAUUUAAUUCUUUACAAUUAUUUUUGAGUGUUUAUAAAGUAUAAUUAGGUUAUGCCCAAAUUUAUUCCUUUAACUCUAUCCAUUAGAUAUAAGUAGCGUGAAAUUUUGGCCUGUCUCCACCUUUCUUCACUUCUGACAUUGUCAUGCAGUGCUUCGUCAAUGGAUAAUAUAUUAAUUUAUUUCUUAAUUUAAUAGCAUUGGAGUGUCAGCUGGAAUAAAAUGAAAGUUCAAUCAUUUAAUCUUUUUUAGCACACCACUCAUAACUGUCAGUGAUUUCCUGCCAACUUAACAUAUUGACAUGGACUUGGAGAGUUCGGUCAAUUAAAGCAGCUUGGUUAAUUGUAAGUGUUUUUUCUCUAAACCAUAAAUUCCUACGUUUUAAUUUAUAAAAACAAGUGAUUUGUUUUUACUUAAGGAAGCAGGAAAGGGUUUAAAAUAAGAGUUGAAAAGUAUGCCAAUUAUUUUAACUUAAAAUACUUAAAUAAAAAGGAAUUGAUUUUAUCUCAAUUGUAUAAGACUUUAUAAAAAUUAUCAUUUAUAAUUUUUUUGAUUAUUAAUAUGAUACGUAACCUUUGACAGAAUUGGAAUAAAAUAUGGAUAAUUAAAAAAUGUCAACUAUCCCAUUUCAAACUUUUCUAAUACAGCAUGAUAUUUUAUCAUGUUGAAUGAAAUGGGAAUGACCAAAAAUUGUCAAAUCAAAGAUUUAUCUAUUGUGGACAUGGCAUUCAGAGGCUUCUUAACAUUGUAUUGGUCUAUUUAAUGAGUUGAAAUAAGAACACAACAUCAAAUUCUCUUUUUAUAAUCAAAGACUGCUAUGGAAAAUUCCACCAUAGCAUAUCUCAAAUUCCAUUAAUAAUCCCAAACACAAUAUUCCGCAACUUUACAUUAUUCUUUUUAUCAACUUUACACAAAAAAUUGAAGAGGAAUACUAACUUAAAUCAAACAGAAAUUAAAUCAUGAAAGAUGAAUAAUACAAAUAUUCAAUGAAAUCUUUGGCGUGUUAUUUCUUUGCAGCUUCAACAUGGUGGCAUGUCCGACGGAGGAGACAACAUUUGAGCUUCCGGGUGUUUACCAUUUUUCACUAUGAACGCAGUUUCCAUGCCCCAAGUCAGAUGGCGUUCUACAUGGCAGUGCAUGAACCACACUCCUGCAACAGAGAAAAUAUACCAACAUUACACCUAACUUUAUUGUAAUAUUAAGAAAAAAUAUUUCAUUGGUAUGGAGGUUGGCAGUUUCAAGGGUUUUUUUCUUUAAUAGAGGACAUGAGUGCUUGGAACAUACCAGGGUUGGAUGCCUCGAAUCUGAUUGCAACCCAACCAUUCGAAGGAACAGAGAUGGUAUUCUGAAAGGGAGGAUCCACCAGAUUAUAGCGCAAAGGGUCCUUAUUUCCAUCGAAAUUCCCAAAUCCCCAUCCAACAACAUAGAAACUGUAUCCAUGGAGAUGCAUGGGGUGGUGUGUCGCUGCAAGCACAUUUGUCCCUUGAAAAACAAUCUCCACUGUGGAGUUAUACUCGAGCACCCUUACUUCUGUUCCGCUGCUCGGCAACUGAUAGAUUAAUGGAAGAUAAUCAGCUGUAAAAUCGAACACCAGUGGUGGAUCACUAGGAAAUUUAUCUCCAUAUACACCACUGAUGUUAUAAUAGUAAGCUUGCAGUAUGUCAACUGUAGGGGUAUGGAAGCUUAUGUUGUUUAUACUUGAGGAGAAUCGCGUCCCAUUGGCCCCUGCACAUGAAUUAUUGACGCAUGGGUACGAGUUUACAGAAACAGUGUAAAUCAGGUUAGUGCUCGUGCUCAAUGGGACAUUGCAAGGAUGUUCCGCAUUUGCUAAGCUUCGGAGGCCGGCCAUGACCUGAACGGAUGCAUUUGUGUCAUUGUAAGCAGGAAGAUAAGGCAAGGAGGGAGGUGAAGAUGGAGUGUAGUAUCCGCUGUAUUGUACAAUAGCUGUGGUGGUUGUGUUAUCAUAAAAGUCUUGAUAUUUCGGGGCAACAGAAUAAGUUAUAGCCGCCAUGUAAUAGUGAUCCGGGCGUUGGUUAGCUUCUAGUAACACAUCAUAGGUUUGGCCAGGAAAUAUUGUGAUAAAAUCUAUUGUCAAUGGUUUCGUGUAGCUACCAUCUGUUCCAACCACUGUAAUUUUAUGCUUGUCAAUGGAGAAGAAGAGAGCCUCCUGCAAAGCAGCAUUGAUUAUGCGAAGUAGAUAGGUCUUUCCAUGAUCCACCGUUAGCUUGAAUGUGUCUGCAAUUAGAGAAGGAAAGUUGUAUACUUAUGACUAGCCAAAAGAAAAAGAAAAAGUUUCCAUGAGGAUCCACUAAUUAUGAAGUGAUUGAUUGAUGAGGGGUGUAAAUUUGGCUCCAUAGUUCAAAAUUAUAUUUGGACUAGCCUUUUUUUGUGUUUUAAAUCAUGGCUCUACCAUCCUCAUAGCUAUAUUCCUCUUUCUUAGCAUUAAGCUUUAAAUAUGUUGAUGUUAAUAAGAAAAAGUAAUAUGGCUAACAUAUAAGAAAAUGAAAUUGUGUACAAUUUUAAAAUGGGAAGUUAAACUUUGUACCUGAUUUUGAGCAUGGAUAUAGAUCACCGGGUUGUCCAUUUAUCAAUAAUGCAUCAGAGGGGUCAGGGUCACCUCCGGUUGCAAGCCCUUCAUCUCGAACCGCAUUCACAUCAUUCUUCCACCAUUCUCCUGCAUUUCAACAACUUCAAUAAUUUUAGAUUUUGCUUUGUUGGUUAAUUCAUAAUAUGUAAAUUAACCUUUAAAAGUAACAACACUUAUACCUAAUAUGAUAGGGACCUCUCUAUCAGGUUUGUGAAAAGGAUACUUGGUUCCAUUCUUGGGAUAGAUAAUUAUAGCUCCAUGAACAGUGGCUCGGGUCCAAUCACUGUGAGCAUGCCACCAUAGAGUGCCUUCUUCAGUGGAAAGGAUGAUCUUCUGUGUAAACUUUGACCCUGGCCGAAUUGGGCAUUGUGUGAUAUACUCGGGACCAUCUGUCCAUGGAUAUCUAGGCAUGGUCACCCCAUGCCUGCGAAACCAUAACUAUACGUUAAAACUAGUACUAAUUUUCAAAGUAACAAAAGAUGGCAUGCAACAACAUAUUAUCAUAAUAACAAGAGGCAUCAAUUNNNNNNNNNNNNNNNNNNNNNNNNNNNNNNNNNNNNNNNNNNNNNNNNNNNNNNNNNNNNNNNNNNNNNNNNNNNNNNNNNNNNNNNNNNNNNNNNNNNNNNNNNNNNNNNNNNNNNNNNNNNNNNNNNNNNNNNNNNNNNNNNNNNNNNNNNNNNNNNNNNNNNNNNNNNNNNNNNNNNNNNNNNNNNNNNNNNNNNNNNNNNNNNNNNNNNNNNNNNNNNNNNNNNNNNNNNNNNNNNNNNNNNNNNNNNNNNNNNNNNNNNNNNNNNNNNNNNNNNNNNNNNNNNNNNNNNNNNNNNNNNNNNNNNNNNNNNNNNNNNNNNNNNNNNNNNNNNNNNNNNNNNNNNNNNNNNNNNNNNNNNNNNNNNNNNNNNNNNNNNNNNNNNNNNNNNNNNNNNNNNNNNNNNNNNNNNNNNNNNNNNNNNNNNNNNNNNNNNNNNNNNNNNNNNNNNNNNNNNNNNNNNNNNNNNNNNNNNNNNNNNNNNNNNNNNNNNNNNNNNNNNNNNNNNNNNNNNNNNNNNNNNNNNNNNNNNNNNNNNNNNNNNNNNNNNNNNNNNNNNNNNNNNNNNNNNNNNNNNNNNNNNNNNNNNNNNNNNNNNNNNNNNNNNNNNNNNNNNNNNNNNNNNNNNNNNNNNNNNNNNNNNNNNNNNNNNNNNNNNNNNNNNNNNNNNNNNNNNNNNNNNNNNNNNNNNNNNNNNNNNNNNNNNNNNNNNNNNNNNNNNNNNNNNNNNNNNNNNNNNNNNNNNNNNNNNNNNNNNNNNNNNNNNNNNNNNNNNNNNNNNNAGGAGAGAAACCUGAAUUGGGAAUAGAAAUCUUGGUAAUUUAUUUGCCAGACUUUGCAUUUCCCUUAAUGUAGCUGCCACAAAGUUGCUGCUUUCAUUGUCAGACAGUCUGAAGCAAUUAGAAAAUGUGAAUCGGAGGCCCCCACAUUCCUUGGAUCUGUAGACACUUGAUGGACACAAAAUGUUUUCCAUAACUGUGCCAUCAUGGGCAUCUAUUUCUUCUAUACUUGAUGGAAGCUCUGGUAAUGAUUGAAGCCUCUUGCAACAACCCAACUUAAGGCCUUUGAGCUGUGAAAGUUGAUUGAGGCGUGCAGGUAGAGUAACAAAAUUGUUUCUGCUCAGAUCUAAAUAUUCCAAUGAGCACAGAGAGCUAAAGUCAUUGGGAAUUGCUCCUUCCAAUAUGUGGCAAUCACUUAGAUUUAACUUUCUUAGGGAUCUUAAACCAAAGAAAGAUGCAGUUGCCACACUAUUCUUAGAUUUAACUUUCUUAGGGAUCUUCAUAUUUAGUUUCAUAGGAAAGAUGUUUUCAAAGAAAUCUGCAUUCUUUGUUUCUAUUAUAGUAUUGACAUCUACCAGAUUAUUUUCUGACUUAGUAACAAGAAACCUAUAUGCCACACUAUUCUCAGCAUAGCCAAUGAACGUUGCAUCAAAGGUUUUAGGACCUAGUUUUCGUUUUUUAGGUUCGGGGAGAAGAACUUUAGCUAAACACCCCCACACUUUCAGGUAUGCUAUAUUAGGUGCAUAACCUUUCCACAACUCAUAAGGAGUUUUACUAGUUUUCUUGUAAGGUAUUCUAUUUUGAAUAUGACAUGCGGAUAGGAUAGCUUCCCCCCACAAGUUCAAGGGUGCUCCUGAACUUACUAACAUUGCAUUCAUAAUUUCUUUUAAGGUCUUAUUUUUCCUUUAUGCUAUUCCAUUAGACUCAGGGGAAUAAGGAGGAAUAAGGAGGAGUAGUUUCAUGAAUGAUCCCAUGAUCUUCACAAAAAGAAUUAAAGGGGUUGGACUCAUACUCUCCUCCUCUUUCAGUUCUAAGCCUUUUAAUUUUCUUACUUAGUUGAUUCUCCAUUUCAUUUUUGUACUUGAUGAAAGCAUCUCUUGCUUCAUCUUUGUUUCUCAAAAGAUAUACCCUUGUAUACCUUGAGUAGUCAUCUAUGAAAGUUAUGUAGAAUCGUUUACCACCUCUAGUCAUUGUAUUUUUUAGGUCUCCUAAGUCACUAUGUAUUAAACUUAGUAGAUCUGAUUCUCUUUCAACUGAUUUGCAAGAUUUCUUUGUGGUUUUAGAUUCUACACAAGAUCCACAUUUUCCAUGGUUUUCUAAGGACAGUUUAGGGAUUAAACUCAAUUCAACAAUUUUCUUCAUAUAUGAAAAGUUCACAUGUCCUAGUCUACCACAAGGAUUGAAAUAUUGGCAAAUACGGAUAUAUCGGUACUUGGAUUUUACGGAUAUAUCGGAAAUAUCAGAGAAAUAUCGGUUGAUAUUUUUCAUCAAAUAUCGGUGAGACAAAAAUUAUCCAAAAUUGAUGGGAAUGCUUAGAAAAAUCCAAAGAAUGAUAAAAUAAGCAAGAAUAUACAUGUUAAAGUUAUUUUAUAAGUGUAAUUGACAUAAAUAUGGUCAGAGAAAAAAAUAUCGGUAAACAGUUUACGAUACUUGGAUUUUAAGAAUUGAAAAUAUGAAAUUUGGAAUUGUACACUUGGAUAAAGUGAAGAUUGAUUUUCCACCAUUGGAUCACAAAUCUGACCGUUGGAGGCCUUUACAAAUACACGGGUGAAAUCUGGGCCAUCAGAUCCUCAAAAAUUCAAAAUUGGCCGUCAGAUCAAAAUCCUUGAAGUUGGAAAAAAUUGGCAAUAUAUAGGUAAAAUCCCUGAUUUUUUGGGCUCUUCCUCCGGCUUCUCCUCGCAUGCCUCCACUGGCGAUUUUUCGCCGAUUUAUCGGUGCUUCACCGAUAUUUCGCUGAUAUAUUGGCGAUUUUGCCGAUUUUUUACCGGUUUUUCCUUUGAUCGAUAAUCGGUGACGAUUAUUGUUUCGGUGCCGCCCGAUAUUCGAUAUUUCUCCGAAAUAUCGACGAUAUAUCCCGAUUUUUCAAUCCCUGGUCUACCAUGUCAAAUAUCAUAAGAAUCAACUAUGUAAGCAAAAGAAGAAGAUGUAUUAUUAUUGAUAAUAUCAUAAACAUUCAACAUAAAUAAACCCUGAUUACAAUAGCUCUUUCCCACAAAUGCAUCAUUCUUGGUUAAAACUAUUUUAUCAGAGUCAAACAAGAUCCUCACUCCUGCUUUUCCAAGUAGAGAUACCGACACCAAGUUCCAACGGAUAUCUGGCACAUGAAGAACAUCACGUAGGGCAAGCACUUUUCCAGAUGUUAGCUUGAGGAGAACUUUCCCUUUGCCAAUCACUGGAGUAGAUCUAGAAUCACCCAUGAACACUUGUUCCUCUCCUUUCUUUAUAGUGGUAUAGGAAGUAAAUGCAUUUCUAUUCCCACAGAUGUGCCUAUUAACCCCAAAGUCUACUACCCAUUCCUUCAUAUUGGUGACCAUGCUCACCUCAAAGGAGAUUACUGUUGUGAUCACCUCUGUCUCUGCCAGAUUUGCCUUUGAACUGGUCUUCUCAAUUCUCUUCCUAUGGCGACAUUGAGCUGCAUGGUGUCUAGACUUGCCACAGACAAAGCAAUUACCCCAUUUUUUAAUAAUUGAGUUUUGGACCUUGUUUAAUGCAUUGGGCUUUGUCCUAAAGUUUUGUUUCCUAAACCUAUUAUUUUUGGGUUUAGAUUUUUCUUCUACUACAUUAGCUUUAGAAGACAAUUCCUUAGUUUUCUCAAUAUUGUCCCUAUUUCGGUUUUGUUCCUCAAUCCUAAUAUGGAUUAUGACAUCCUCUAAGGACAUUUGUUUCCUUUUAUGUUUCAUUUUGUUUUUAUAGUCUUUCCAAGACUCCGGAAGAGCCUCUACUAAAUAACCAGCCACAAAAGGUUCGGGUAAUUUAAUGUCUUCAAUAGCUAAGUCAUUAAUCAACAAGUGGUAGUCAUGGAUUUGAGAUGAUACAACUCUAUCCUCACUCAUUUGGAAAUUUCUAAAAUUCCCUAUGGCAUAUUUAUGAGUUCCCGCAUCUUGCAAAAUAUAUUCUUUAUUCAUUGCAUCCCAAAUUUAUUUUGCAACUUUAAAUUGACAAUAAAUAUCAAAAAGUUCAUUAGAAAGUGUACUCAGAAUAGCAUGGCUAACUUGUUUAUUUCUAGUUUCCCAGGUUGGUAACAUAUGAGAACCAUCUUCUGGUUUUGGAUCAGUAAAAAUAUGUCCUAAGUUCACCACAUCAAUUGUAGAGAAAACCCUUUCCUGUCAUCUCUUAAAGAAUGUCCCAUUAAAUGGAUUAAUUUUAGAGGUGUCAGGAUGGGUGUGAAUUAGGGAAGCUUUCAUUUGAAUUUAUUUCAAGAUUGUUGGAUUUUAAGGGUAUGGAAACAAAGACUAGCCCAAAAGACACAAACAAAGAACAUCAUGAAUAAAAAAAAAAAACUUAUCGGCUGAGGCAUGACAAGCACUGUCCUUGAAAUAGAUCCACCCUCCUCAAAGACGAACUCGGUGCACUAUGUGAGAAAGGGUAUAAAUAAUGUGAGAUAAGGUACAAAAAAAUGUGAAAAAAAUGUACGAAUAAUGUGAGAAAAUGGUAUGCACAAUGUUAUAAAAUGGUAUGAACAAUGUGAAAAAAGAUACAAAUAAUAUGAGACAUGGUAUGAAUUAUGUGAGAGGGGAUACAAAUAAUGUGAGGGAAGGUACAAACACUAUGAGAAAGAGUACAAACAAAACAAGGAAAUGUACAAACAAUGUGAUAAAUGGUACGAAAAAUGUAAGACAUGGUAUGAAUAAUGUGAGAUAGGGUACAAAUAAUGUGAUAUAAUGUAUGAAGAAUGUGAGCAUGGGUAUGAAGAAUGUGAGAAAUUGUACGAAAAAUGUGGAAAAAAAAGUACGAACAAUGUGAGAAAUUAUACAAAACAAUGCAAGACAUAUGGUACAAAUAAUGUGAGAGAGAUGGUAUGAAAAAUUUGAAAUAUGAUACGAACAAUGUAAGGAAUGUUACAACCAAUAUGAGAAAGAAUACAAAGAAUAUGAGGAAGGAUACGAAGAAUGUGAGACAUAGUAUGAAAAAUCUGAGAAAGGGUACGAACAAUGUGAGAAAGAAUACAAAGAAUGUGAGAUAGGGUAUAAAUUGUAAAGAAGCCCAGAUCACUCUAUUCCAUAUCUUAGAAUUAGGUUAGAUGCAUGCAAAAACUUUCCUAGGUUUUUCUAAAUCCUAUGCAUAAUAAAAACAAACAUUUAAAAACUUUAGCAAGAUUUAAAAAUCAAAAGAGAAAAACUUUACAUUGAUUUGGAUAUUCUCAAAUCAAAUCCAUGUGGUGAAGUUGAAGCUUGAAGUAUUCAAAGGUCUCAAUGACUCAAACUCGAUAUUUGAACCCCAAAGGUGGGUUGGCUAUUGCUAUCUACAAAUUGGAUGAUAGAACACAACUAUCUUAAAAACCCUAACCUUUGAGAAGGUAUUUAUAGGGUUCCUUAAUUAGGCUUAAGUGACUUAAGCUUACCGUGGACUUAGGUCACUUAAUUUAGCUCAAAAUAUGUCUUAAUCAAUUAAUUACAUGACACUAUUAGGUUAAUUGAUUAAUUAACCUAAUACGGCCAAUCAAUUAACCUAAUAGGGCCAUGUAAUUAAUCAAUUAACCUAAUCUAGAGGUUUUAUUCACUUACCUUUGUGUAACCUUACAUAAUUACCAAAACAUUAUUAUGCACAAAAGUUAAUUAAGAGUUAACCUAACCCUUAUGAACCAUUCCACCAAGGUAUAUGAACUCGAGUGGGGACCCCACUAGGAACCAUAGGAUAAUACUGACACAUUCAUAAUCUAGUUUUGAAGUUAACUCAACAUUCCACUACAAAAAAUUAAUUGCACCACAAUAUCCUAUGUACAAUACAAUGAGACACCAAGUUCUCUAGAUCGUGACCUAUUAUCCACUAAUUGCACCACAAUAUCCUAUGUGCAUAUGAUCAAAUGACAUGCCCUACCUCACUAAGAGCAUACGUCAAAUUACUAAAGGAAUUACUAUGUCUCCACAAAUUUCAUGAUCACACGUCCUUAGGAUCACCCAAUGGAACACACUCUCUUAAAGUCCAUGAGAUAUCGUGGUGUCUCUAAUGAGAAUACCAAUUGUUAUCGGCUUCCAUCAAUAGUGACUUAAUCCAUAGGAAAUAUAUGAUCAACUUACGAUCUCACAAUAGGUCAAAACCUCUACUAACUUUAACUUAUAUAAGCUUAGUAUUCUCUUAAGGUUGAGAGACAAUACAAUAUAAUAGCUUGGUGAAGUCAUGACUACAUGAUAGUCUUAUGUCGUGACUCACCAUAGGUUCUGUUCAAUAUUGUGCAAACUUACACACUAGUGCACUCACCAUGGGAACCCCAUCCCAAUGGCCAAGACCAAUCAUUCCUCCUAUUAGAAGGUAGUGCACUACAACUUCUAAUGGGUUACCUAGGUUCAUGAACUAGCUAUGAACAAGUCAUCUAUUUGUAAUAAACCCAUGACUUGGAUCUUCUACGCAACUCCUAAUGCACUUAAGUCGCAUUUAAUCAAACCUAAAUGCUUACAAGGUAUAAUGAAUGUCAUGUCAUGUCAUGUCAUGCUUUUAAAGAUUUUAUCAUAACUUGAAUAAUGUGAGACAUGGUACGAACAAUGUAAGAGAGAGUACAAAUAAUAUAAGAAAGAGUACACACAAUGUUAGAAAGAGUAUGAACAAUGUGAGACAAGAUAUGAAGAAUGUGAGGGAGGGUAUGAACAAUGUGAAGGAGGGUACAAACAAUGUGAGACAAUACAUGAAGAAUGUGAGGAAUGAUACAAAGAAUGUGAUGAAUGGUACAAAGAAUGUGAGGCAAGGUAAGAAGAAUGUGAGAAAGCGUACGAACAAUAUGAGAAAGUGUAUGAACACUGUGAGACAAUGUAUGAAUAAUGUGAGAUAAUGCAUGAAUAAUGUAAGAUAGUGUACAAAACAAAGUGAGAAAGAAUACGAACAAUAUGAGAAAUUAUAUGAAAAAUAUGGAGGGUAUAAAGAAUAUGAGAUAUUAUAUAAAUAAUGUGAGAAAAUAUAUGAAAAAUAUGAGACAUAGUACGAAUAAUGUAGAAAUGGUACGAACAAUGUGAAAUAAGCUAUGAAGAAUGUGAGAAAUAGUACUCUUCAUAUCCUUUCUCACAUUAUUUAUACCCUCACUCAUGUACUUUUGUACAUAUUCUCACAUUCUUUGUACAUUAUCUCGCAUACAAUAGAUAUUGUUUUAUUAAAUACAAAAAUUUUUUAAAAAAUAUUGAAUUUUUAAAAAACCAAAUUGAUAACAUGUAUGGCUAAAUAAUGUAGUUCUCUAACUACUAUUUUUUUAUUAUUUUAUUUUAGUUUCUUCAUGGAUAUAAUGGACAAAGGCAAAGGAAAGAAAUUCAUCAUUGAUUUGAAUAAUGAAAACUUUGAUUAAUAAUAUGAUUGCAAUGUGAAAACGGAGUUUGACAAAAAGCCCAUGCUAGUUUAAGAGAAUAUUUUGUAUGGUUUAAGCCUUGAAGAUGUAUGGGAAAUGGAGUUCAACUCAAUAGAUGAGAUAGAAGAAUUUUACAAUUUAUACGUAAAGUUAACAAAUUCAAUGUUAGAAAGGAUGAUGUUAAAUGAGAUAAGAAUCAAAAUAUAGCAUCUCAUAUGUGGGUUUGCUCAAAGAAGGAUAAAGACAAACAAUAUGUUUGGAGAAUGAAAAUCGAAAACGAGAACAUAAGACAAUAACUAGAGUUGGUUGUGAGACAUCACUUCGUAUCGAGUUUAACAAACAAAUAAAUAAGUGCAUUAUGAUGGAGUUUAUGGGUGAUCAUAAUCAUCCUUUGGUGGAACCAAAAAUACCCAAUUCUUUCAAUCCCAAAGGGUCAUGAGGAAUGCAUAUAAGGCUUAAUUGAGUGCAAUGCGUAGUGUUUGCCUGAGAACUAGACAAUUUAUGGAUUACAUGGUGCAACAAUUAGAUGGAUAUAUUAAUGUGGGCUUCACAAAGAAAAAAAGAUCUAUAUAACCAUGUUAAUGUUGAUUGUAAAGUUCAGAUAAGAAAUGGUGAUACAAAGGGUACACUUUCUUACUUGUGUGGAAAGGUUUAAAUGGAUACAUCAUUUUAUUACAAGUACAAUGUUGAUAAAGACAAUCGCUUAACGAACUUGUUUUGGCCAAAUUCUACAAGAAUAUUGGAUUACACUUAUUUCAGAAAUGUGUUAGCAUUUAAUAGAACUUAUGAGACUAAUGCUAAUAGAAAACUAUUGGUCAUCUUAGUUGACAUUAACCAUCACAAUCAAAUUGUAGUGUUUAGAUGUGCAUUAUUGGUAGAUGAGAGUCUUUACACUUAUACAUAGGUUUUGGAGACAUUUUUGGAUGUAAUGAAUAAAAAGAGGUUUUUUUUUUUUUUUUUUUCUGUUAUUAUAGAUGAGGACAAAGCAAGGUGUCAAGCCAUUAAGAGAAUAUUUCUAAAGUUUUAUCAUUGGUUAUGUGCUUAUUAUAUUCAACGCAAGACAUUCAUUAAUGUCUAUGUCAAAGACUUUACUUAUCAUUUUUCUAGGUACAUGUUCAUGGAAGGCACCGUUAAUUUGAAUGUGCAUGGAGUGGCAUGGUGGAAAUGUGUAAUCUCCAUGAACAUAAUUGGGUGAUAGACAUAUAUGCUAAGUGUCCUAGAUGGGCAAAGGCUUAUUUAAAGGUGCAUUUUUUUGCAAGUUUGAAAGCGCACAAAGGUGUGAAAGGAUGAAUGCAUACUUGAAUAGUUUCCUUAAAACUCAUUUAAAGUUGUUUGAGUUUUUGAAGCAUUUUGAUUGAGCACUCUCAUGUAUUCAUCAUAAUGACGCAAAGGCAAAGUUUGAGAUGCACACUCUUUUACUUCUUCUAAACUCCAAACUCCAUGAAAUUGAGAAAUAUACAGAGAUUGUUUUCACUCGGAAAUCUUUUCUCAAAUUUAGGGAUGAAAUGAAUGCGAAACUUUUUUCCCUUAUUAGUACAAAAAAUCAUAGAGGUUAUCAUGUCCAUACAUUGACUAAAUUUAGAAGCUCUGACAAGUUCUCAAAAGUAUGUUAUGGUAAUUGUGAUUAGUCUAUGAAAUGUACUUGGAAAGGGAGACACAGGUUGGUGGUCUUUUGGGGGGAAUAGAAUAUAGAGAGGGAGACACCACUUUUUUGGAGAACGGAGGUCCACACAGGUUCAGAUUUUGGUGAGGCUUUCCCGGGAUUUUCGGAAGCAGAUUCAACAGAUUUUGGUGAAGGAGUUCUCUAGGCGGUUUUUUCUGUUGUUAAGUGGCAGCCGCAUGGACUGCAUGAGGAGGGUUGACGUCUCAUAGUUACCUUCUUUCCUCCAUUGAUAGUAGCCCACAAGGCCACCUUAAGUGGGCGACACAAUACGGCUGCCAUGCACGCAUGAGGCAGCCAUGACGCUGCCAUGUGGGAGAAGGUAGCAACCACUUCCGCAUUUUUUCUAUGUAUCUCCAGAAACUCCUUUGUACAGCCCACACACGGGCUAAUGAAGCAGAUUCGGCAUAUUUUUAGAGGGGGAAUCUUGAAACCACACAACAUCAAGAGACUUGGCCGGAAGUGUGAUGAUGGGUGUUUCCAAAGAAAAGUUAUAAUUCGCCCACUGUUGAAUAUGUUCAUAGAUGUGAAGGGUCCCACGAGCCUUGAAUUUGUCACUACAUGCAAAAUAUAUGCAGAAGUGAUUACAAAAGCAUGACCACCUUUUCCUGCAUGUGAAUGUGUUGAGCUCUAUGGUGCAAUUACUAAUGAAAUUCUCAAUUUGGUUGAUAAGUAUUUUGAGAUGCAAAAGCAUGAUGUUGUCUGGGCAUUGGAAAUUUAUCAGAAAGCAGGAGAGCCAUCAAGCAUUCACCCGACAAGCAAGAGAAACACAUAGGCCGCACCAUUCUCCAACAAGACACAACAACAUACAUUCUUGAAGGUAAGUCCCUUUUUAAAAUUUUAUUUUAGUUUAAUUUUAAUUUAUUUAGUUAGUUUAGAUGUUUUUUUUUUCAUAAUUAGUUUAAUUAAUUCUACAUUAUAAAGUUCUUAUUUUUCAUUCCGAUUUAGUUUAGUGUUGAUUUUUCUUUUAAUUUAAGUGUGUUUGUGCUUUUAAUUCAAUAGUUUAAUUAAUCUUAUUAGAUAAAGUUCAUAUAUAUAUAUAUAUAUAUAUUAUCCAAAUUAGUUUAGUUUUAAUCUAUCUUUUAGUUUAAGUGUGUUAGUAAUUUUAAUUCAGUAGUUUAAAUAAUCAUGUCAGAUAAAGUUCGUGUUUUUAAUUUUAAUUAGCUUCGUCUUAAUUUAUUCUUUAGUUUAGAUUUGUUGUUGAUUAUAAUUUAUUAGUUUAAUUAAUCUUAUUAGAUAAAGUCUAAUUUCAAUUUAGUUUAGUUUUAAUUUAUUCUAUAAUUUGAGUUUGUUUGCGAUUUUAAUUCAAUUGUUUAAUUAAACCUCCUAGGUAAAGAUCUUGUUUUUAAUUCCGAUUUAGUUUAGUUUUAAUUUACUUAUUUAUUUAUUUAUUUUAGUUUAGAUGUGUUUGUAAUUUUAAUUCGACAAUUUAAUCGAUCUUAUUAGAUAAAGUUGAUGUUUUUAAUUCUAAUUUAGUUUAAUUUUAAUUUAUUUUUUAGUUUAAAUGUGUUUGUGCGUUUAAUUGACCUUAUGCUAGCUCUUGAUUUGUUAUUCUCAAUUUAGGCGUUUUCUUGAAUCUUAGUCAUUAAUUCUUGGUGAAUAUCUCAUUAGUUUAUUUAAUCUAAGUUUUAAUCAUUUAUUAUUUCGGUAGUCUCUUGUCAAAUUUACUUUUCAGAUGCCAUCGGAAAAUAGUGAAGAUUGACCUCCAUUCUCACCACUUUAGUUUGUUUGGUUGUCAAAAAUUUUACUUUAUGAUUUUGUUUACUUUUAUUUUGCCUGUUUCUUAUGUUUUGAUUGUUUUCAAAUUAUUUUAUUUUAUUUUUAAAUAAAAUAUUUUUCUCAAAAGAUCCAUUUGAAAAUUCUAUUUUAAAAAUAAUUCAUUUAGAGUCCUUAGAAUCAGAAUAUCAUUUUUUAAUAAUAUGCAACCAUGUCUUGAUUGGUUUGCAUUUUUCUCAGUUUUCAAUAAAAAUUCUGGUUUUAAAUGGAAUAUGAAUCCAAGCUUGUGGUCCCAAACAAAUGGGAUAAUUCUGGGCUAGAUUUCUGUAUAUCAAUUAGGGAAUUGGUGAAACCCCUACAUAAGAAAAUUCUUCAAAACUCAUAUUUUUUGCCACCUUUGCUAUUUCAUGAAAUCAUGUCUAUUUAUUUUUUAGGAAUGAUAUACAAGAUUUAUGUGAUAAUUGAUUAUUUCGUAUACUUUGAUCAUUUUUGCUAGGCUAAUUAUAUAACAAGCACGUUAGGAUAUCUUUAUUUUAUUAUUUAUUAUCUAACCCCUCAUGUCUUGUGAAAGCACGUUACAAGUUAUCUAUGCUAUCCAAGUACGUCCUCUAUCACCCACCUUCUAAAUUUUGUGAAUAUACCGAUCACUGUGAACUGCACUUAUGUUUGAUAGUGUUUGGGUGUCUUGAUAUUUGUUUCAUUGUUCAAUUAUUUUUUAUAAAGCGCAUGCUAGAUGAUAUAUUAUUUGAACUAACUUUGAUGUCUUAUGAGGGCGCUAAGAAGCAGUUUAGGUACACACCCUAAAUCUUCUUUAUAAUUAUGAUUUGUUUUUCUUAUUUGGCAUGCUAUUUUUGAAAUCACCUAGCUUACUUAGGUAUCCAUGAUCAACCAAUUAAUUGUCACAUUUCCCUCAACUUAGCCAGUAGAGAUCUUUUUAGGGCUUAGAGGAGUGUUACCUCUUAAAAGUACCUUCCCAAUAGGUAACCUGAUUCUUGAACCAAGACUUGGGUUUUCGAGACAUGCUUUUCCAAAAUUGUGGAGUCACUUAUUUAUGGUUUUCUUUCUUGUUUUAUUUUCCCUUUAAAGUAAAAUAAAAUAAGGGGCGACUCCAGCUUUUCCAAAACUAAUUUUUCACCAAUAAAAGCGAGUCUCGCUGAUUGAGUGGGAACGCACGUGAAAAAUGUGGGUCCACAGUAUAUAUGGGGCAACCUAAAGGAUUUAUUGUUAUAAGAUAAGAACACCAAGUUAGAGAUAGAUACAUUUAGCUAGGUUGGUUUUUAACCAAUCCAAGAAUCAAAUAGGAGUUCAUUGGUUUUAACUAAAGUACAACAAAUUUAUUUAUUUACUCAUACUAAUCCAACUUAAUAUCAAUUCGAUUCAGUUUAGUUAACUCAAUUUAUACAAAAAUAUUGAGUUUGUAUGUUUUUUUUCACUUUGACCAUACAACCAAAAUGAUCAAAUUGUUUUAGAUAUAUAUAUAUUUUACAAGUAAUACAAUUAAAUUUUUUUAAAAUAUGUGUAGGAGCAACCUGUGGGUUAUUUGCUUGUUGGGAGUAAGUCAAUGAGUAGUAUUAUUGACAUAUUGGGCACUUGUGACUUGAAAUUAUAUUAUCAUCAUUAUUAAGUCCCAAAGUACAAUGAUUUUAAAUUUUAGAUCAUGCUUAUGCCAUAAGCAACUUUUAAUUUGUAAUAAAGCCAUACGAGUUAGGCUCCAAGCCACUAACACCGAAUUGUAGCCCAACUAAGUUGGCUUUGGAUGAGCAUGGUUCGACUCAUAAAGUCCCAAGAUUCUCCACAACACUUCAAAGUCCAAGCAAUUAUAUUUGUCCCACUCCUCUACUACUUGGGUUUCUUUGCCAGUCCACUUUUGGUAAGUGAUCUAGGUUGAAUUUUCCAUAAACCAAAUACCAAAAUAGAAUUACUCAAGUAAGAAGACUUCUAAAGAGAAUAGUCUAAAGAGCUACUACAAAAGAGAAUUGGAGAUGGUUAGAGUAAUGGUGGUGGCUAUUGAAAGGGUUGAUGGUGGUGGGAAGCCAUAGCUACUAGUGAAGAGGAAGUUAGGUGAAUUGGAGACUCAGUGAAGAAGAUAAUGCGAACUUGAUAAAAUUUCCUUCAACUUUUCCUUCUCUCUCUUAUUUCCCCCACUAAUUUUUAAGGAAAGUAGUAGGGAAAAUAUUACAAUAUUUUCUUUAGUAUUUUCCUUUAUAUUUUUUUUCCAUCAUAUUUUUCAUGUCACCCAAACUGAGGAAAAUAACUUUCCAUAAUAUUUUUUUUCCCUUUCCCUUGCAUUUUCUGAAAACUAAACACAACCUUUAUAAAUAAAAAAUUAAGAAUUACAGUAAGACGGUAUAUUCUUCCUUUUUCUUCCUGCAUUUCUACAUCCACUACUCAAUUUUACAUCAUAUUUUUACUCCCUUCUUCAAUCAGCAUUCCUCUCUUUAUAUAGAGUUAUCUUCACACUAAUUCAUAAGAUAAGAAAGAUGAAUGAACCUUGGGGCAAGGUUGGACAAUUGGUGGCAGCUAGUCAAGGCUAGAAGUCAACUUUUGCUUGACUUUUUGGGAAUGGGUAGCAACGUGUCGACCUCUCUUAAGCAUGAAAAUGGCUAGAACGUGUUAAGCUCUCUUAUUAGAUGACGUGUCAACUAUAGGGCAAUCAUAGGAUGGGGAAUAUAUGGUAAUUAUGCAAAAAAAGAAAAAAAGAAAAAAAGAAAAAAAAAAUCGAUAUCCAAUUAUAUAGAAAGACAUCUUCCAACAUUUGAUAUAAAUAAAAAUUAAGAGAAAAAUAUUUUUAAAAAGCAUAUUAAACUAAAAAUAGGGAAUUAAUAAUAAAAUAAAGUAAAAAGGUAAAAUUAAAACCAAAUAUUAAAAAUAAUAUUAUUUAGGUUAAAUCAUUGGGUUUGCUAGAAGAGUUUAUAUAUAUAUAUAUAUAUUAGUUUUUUUUCUUCUUUUUAAUCCUAUCUAUGUUGUUGAUAUUAAUGCAUUGAAUUUGAUGUUACCUAAAACAAAAUUAUAUUUCAUGUUCUCUAUUAUAAGUGGACAACCAUACCUUAUGUUAUAUUUUAGAUAAAGAACGAAUAAUGAAGAUUGGAGUUGUAAGAAAUUAGGAGAUCCUAAUUUUAAAUAUGUAACAAAGUUCUAUAAUCACUCCAAUCCACAUUUAAAAAUUGUAUUUCUUUCUAAUAUGGGAGCAAACUUUUUCCUUCUUUCUUAUAAUUUUCAUUUGGGAAUGAUUUAAAAAUAAAUAAAUAAAAGCCCUUCUCAAUAUUAAAAAAAACACUCUUAUAAAAAUUAAUUAGGUGGAUGGUAAGGUCAUAUUCGGGAUAGCUUCAUAUUUUUUGCUUUAAUUGAAACUUAAAAUCAAAAUUAAAGUAAUAAUUUUUAAGAUGUUGUAAAAGUUUUAUUAAACAUGAAAGAACUUAUUGUGUAAACAAAAAUAGAACUAUAGAAUUCUUAUAAGAAAUAACAAUUUUAUGAAUUCUAUAUGAAACCUUUUUUAAAAGUUAUAAGUUUUUUUAUAAAUAAUUAAAUAGGUAUAGAAACUUUUAUUCAACUUAAUUUUUUUUAACAGUUAAAAGUCAAUCCAAAUAAAAUUUAAAUAUAUUUGAAAAUCAUUUUUAAAAAUCCAAAAAAUCACUUAAAAAUAAUUUCUGAACUUUUUUUUUUUUUAAUUUACAUUCAAAUACUAAGUGAUUCUUUUAAAAAUCAUUUAUAAUGUCAAAAUAUUUUUUUAUGGAUAAAAACACUAGAAAUAAAAAACAUUUUAAUUCAUGAAAUUUCAUUUAUUGUUAUUUAUUUUUUGGGAUUUAAUUCUUUACAAUUAUUUUUGAGUGUUUAUAAAGUAUAAUUAGGUUAUGCCCAAAUUUAUUCCUUUAACUCUAUCCAUUAGAUAUAAGUAGCGUGAAAUUUUGGCCUGUCUCCACCUUUCUUCACUUCUGACAUUGUCAUGCAGUGCUUCGUCAAUGGAUAAUAUAUUAAUUUAUUUCUUAAUUUAAUAGCAUUGGAGUGUCAGCNNNNNNNNNNNNNNNNNNNNNNNNNNNNNNNNNNNNNNNNNNNNNNNNNNNNNNNNNNNNNNNNNNNNNNNNNNNNNNNNNNNNNNNNNNNNNNNNNNNNNNNNNNNNNNNNNNNNNNNNNNNNNNNNNNNNNNNNNNNNNNNNNNNNNNNNNNNNNNNNNNNNNGAGGACAUGAGUGCUUGGAACAUACCAGGGUUGGAUGCCUCGAAUCUGAUUGCAACCCAACCAUUCGAAGGAACAGAGAUGGUAUUCUGAAAGGGAGGAUCCACCAGAUUAUAGCGCAAAGGGUCCUUAUUUCCAUCGAAAUUCCCAAAUCCCCAUCCAACAACAUAGAAACUGUAUCCAUGGAGAUGCAUGGGGUGGUGUGUCGCUGCAAGCACAUUUGUCCCUUGAAAAACAAUCUCCACUGUGGAGUUAUACUCGAGCACCCUUACUUCUGUUCCGCUGCUCGGCAACUGAUAGAUUAAUGGAAGAUAAUCAGCUGUAAAAUCGAACACCAGUGGUGGAUCACUAGGAAAUUUAUCUCCAUAUACACCACUGAUGUUAUAAUAGUAAGCUUGCAGUAUGUCAACUGUAGGGGUAUGGAAGCUUAUGUUGUUUAUACUUGAGGAGAAUCGCGUCCCAUUGGCCCCUGCACAUGAAUUAUUGACGCAUGGGUACGAGUUUACAGAAACAGUGUAAAUCAGGUUAGUGCUCGUGCUCAAUGGGACAUUGCAAGGAUGUUCCGCAUUUGCUAAGCUUCGGAGGCCGGCCAUGACCUGAACGGAUGCAUUUGUGUCAUUGUAUGCAGGAAGAUAAGGCAAGGAGGGAGGUGAAGAUGGAGUGUAGUAUCCGUUGUAUUGUACAAUAGCUGUGGUGGUUGUGUUAUCAUAAAAGUCUUGAUAUUUCGGGGCAACAGAAUAAGUUAUAGCCGCCAUGUAAUAGUGAUCCGGGCGUUGGUUAGCUUCUAGUAAGACAUCAUAGGUUUGGCCAGGAAAUAUUGUGAUAAAAUCUCGUGUCAAUGGUUUCGUGUAGCUACCAUCUGUUCCAACCACUGUCAUUUUAUGCUUGUCAAUGGAGAAGAAGAGAGCCUCAUGCAAGGCAGCAUUGAUUAUGCGAAGUAGAUAGGUCUUUCCAUGAUCCACCGUUAGCUUGAAUGUGUCUGCAAUUAGAGAGGGAAAGUUGUAUACUUAUGACUAGCCAAAAGAAAAAGAAAAAGUUUCCAUGAGGAUCCACUAAUUAUGAAGGGAUUGAUUGAUGAGGGGUGUAAAUUUGGCUCCAUAGUUCAAAAUUAUAUUUGGACUAGCCUUUUUUUGUGUUUUAAAUCAUGGCUCUACCAUCCUCAUAGCUAUAUUCCUCUUUCUUAGCAUUAAGCUUUAAAUAUGUUGAUGUUAAUAAGAAAAAGUAAUAUGGCUAACAUAUAAGAAAAUGAAAUUGUGUACAAUUUUAAAAUGGGAAGUUAAACUUUGUACCUGAUUUUGAGCAUGGAUAUAGAUCACCGGGUUGUCCAUUUAUCAAUAAAGCAUCAGAGGGGUCGGGGUCACCUCCGGUUGCAAGCCCUUCAUCUCGAACCGCAUUCACAUCAUUCUUCCACCAUUCUCCUGCAUUUCAACAACUUCAAUAAUUUUAGAUUUUGCUUUGUUGGUUAAUUCAUAAUAUGUAAAUUAACCUUUAAAAGUAACAACACUUAUACCUAAUAUGAUAGGGACCUCUCUGUCAGGUUUGUGAAAAGGAUACUUGGUUCCAUUCUUGGGAUAGAUAAUUAUAGCUCCAUGAACAGUGGCUCGGGUCCAAUCACUGUGAGCAUGCCACCAUAGAGUGCCUUCUUCAGUGGAAAGGAUGAUCUUCUGUGUAAACUUUGACCCUGGCCGAAUUGGGCAUUGUGUGAUAUACUCGGGACCAUCUGUCCAUGGAUAUCUAGGCAUGGUCACCCCAUGCCUGCGAAACCAUAACUAUACGUUAAAACUAGUACUAAUUUUCAAAGUAACAAAAGAUGGCAUGCAACAACAUAUUAUCAUAGUAACAAGAGGCAUCAAUUGUAUUUCAAUGGAACUAAAGCAAAUAACCUUAAAGUAUUGUUUUAAAUUUGACUUUAUUUUCAAAGUUAUAUAUUGUAGCCCCCUCUUAGAUAUAAAAGAAUGUAUGUCAUGCAAGCAUGCUACCACUGCUCUUUCUUUGAGACACGCACAGGACCUACCAAUGAAUGGUGAUGUUUUCGUUUCCCUUGUUAUAAACGUCGACAAUGAUCGUCUCUCCUUUCGUAGCAUAUAUGGUUGGUCCCGGAAAUUUUCCAUUUACUGUUAAGAUGUUCUUGGUGCUACAAAGCCUUUUAUAUGAAGCUUCCCUCACCUGCAACCAAUUAAAAGUUAGCCAUGCAACCUCAUCCCAAAAGAAAUAUUACAUGCAUGAAUAGUUGUAUCGAUCCAUUCAUGUAAGUGUAUAACCAAUUAGAAAUUGAUAGCAUGCAUGAAUGACUCAACGACACCAAGGUAGUAGGUCAUAUGGUACGAAAUGAGAGCCAUACCACUCCCUAAAUAUCAUGAUUACAAGGUGGCGUUAAGGCCAGAAUCAUAUAUAGAAUUUACCACAAAAGUAAGCCGACGGGUCGAAGCUUGGCAAUGGAUUCCACCACCAAAAACUAGAAACGCUAAAAUUUGCAGGAGGAAAACCUUCAUGAUCAGCCACAUUUUCCUUGGAAUAAAAGCCUCUUCUCUUGUCCUAAACACAACUCCUUCAAUUCUCUUACUGCUUUUGAUGUAUUUCUUUCAUAUAUGGUUCAUUAUAUAGGCAUGGUAAUUCUCUCGGGAUACAAUACGUGUCAAUAUAAGAGGAAGUGAUUUGAAUGUGUAUUGGUUUUCAAUGUUCUUUCAGGACGACUUCAAUGAGCAGGACCACUUCAAAAAUAAUUAAUUACGUACACGUUAUUGAUUAUUUUAGAAUAUUCUUUCAAAAGUCUUUUAUUGAUUAUUUCAACAAAUUUUAAUUAAUUAAAUAUAUGUAGAAUAAUUUUAAAACUUUGACUUCCCGUAUGAGUACAAUUUGUCAUGAUCGUUGGUGUAGAUAUAAAAAGAGACUAAAUUAAAGGAUUUUGAAAAUGUGUCGACAAGAACAUCAUUGAAAAAUUUGAAGGUUCCAAUUUUGUGGGUCAUGCAAUUUAUUGGACACUGAAUGGAUAAACAAGCCACGCUCUCCACUUAUUUUCUUUCAAUAUAUAAGCCUUGUACGUGAUGUUGGUUGACUAUUAUGAUAGUAAAUUCGGGAGGAUGUUUAAAUGGACGGGCAAGAUAAGAAAUAGAUUUUCUAUUAAGAUAUUUGAAUGGAGAUGAAAGCAUGGGUAUAGGUUUGUACUAAGGAAAUGAACAUAUGAUUAAAAUAAACCUGAUACAGUUAGUCUAUAAGAAUGGAUCCUGUUUCUAACCUUUUAACACACAAAUUUGGAAACCUAAACCUAUGGAUUGUUUCUUUCCUAUAAUGGAAUCCUAUGUUCCUUCUCAAAGCAGCGCUGACUUUUCCCUUCCUACCAACUACAAAGAGAAAAUCUUGACUAAUCUCGAUAAAGGUUUAUUUUAUCUAUACAUGCGAGGUCAAAGUUUUAAAAGUAUUCUACAUAUAUUUUAAAUUUAUUCUAAAAUAAUGUGUUUGAUUAAUUUCUUGGUCAAUUCUCAAAGUCAAACUUGUAUUUUGAAUUGGAAAAUUCUAGAGAUUCUAAGAAACUCGUCUUCUACGAUACACAACCUGAUUGAAGCUGAGCUGUGAGAAAUUUUCACAAUUGUUAGCAUUCUUCAGGCAUUUGGUUUAUUUAAAUUUUGGUAAUAGUCAUAUGAUAGUAAAUUCGGGAGGAUGCUUGCAUGCAUGGGCAUCAUGAUUUUUUUUGAGAUGUUUAAAUGGACGUGAAAGAUAAGAAAUAGAUUUUCUAUUAAGAUAUUUGAAUGGAGAUGAAAGCAUGGGUAUAGGUUUGUACUAAGGAAAUGAACAUAUGAUUAAAAUAAACCUGAUACAGUUAGUCUAUAAGAAUGGAUCCUGUUUCUAACCUUUUAACACACAAAUUUGGAAACCUAAACCUAUGGAUUGUUUCUUUCCUAUAAUGGAAUCCUAUAUUCCUUCUCAAAGCAGCGCUAAACCUAAACCUGAUACAGUUAAUCCUAUAUUUAAAAUACAAGUUUGACUUUGAGAAUUGACCAAGAAAUUAAUCAAACGCAUUAUUUUAGAAUAAAUUUAAAAUAUCCUUUCACAAGUCUUUUAUUGAUUAUUUCAACAAAUGUUAAUUAAUUAAAUAUAUGUAGGAUAUUUUUAAAACUUUGACCUCCCGUAUGAGUACCCUUCUGAAAAGUCGGGAGGAUGUUGGUUGACUAUUAUGAUAGUAAAUUCGGGAGGAUGCUUGCAUGUAACAAUUUUAUUUUAUUUUAUUUUAAAAUUUAUUCUAAAACCAUAGGUUUAGGUUUCCAAAUUUGUGUGUUAAAAGGUUAGAAACAGGAUCCAUUCUUAUAGACUAACUGUAUCAGGUUUAUUUUAAUCAUAUCUUCAUUUCCUAAGUACAAACCUAUACCCAUGCUUUCAUCUCCAUUCAAAUAUCUUAAUAGAAAAUCUAUUUCUUAUCUUUCACGUCCAUUUAAACAUCCUCCCGAAUUUACUAUCAUAAUAGUCAACCAACAUCACGUACAAGGCUUAUAUAUUGAAAGAAAAUAAGUGGAGAGCGUGGCUUGUUUAUCCAUUCAGUGUCCAAUAAAUUGCAUGACCCACAAAAUUGGAACCUUCAAAUUUUUCAAUGAUGUUCUUGUCGACACAUUUUCAAAAUCCUUUAAUUUAGUCUCUUUUUAUAUCUACACCAACGAUCAUGACAAAUUGUACUCAUACGGGAAGUCAAAGUUUUAAAAUUAUUCUACAUAUAUUUAAUUAAUUAAAAUUUGUUGAAAUAAUCAAUAAAAGACCUUUGAAAGAAUAUUCUAAAAUAAUCAAUAACGUGUAGGUAAAUAAUCAAGAACAUCUUAACAGUAAAUGGAAAAUUUCCGGGACCAACCAUAUAUGCUACGAAAGGAGAGACGAUCAUUGUCGACGUUUAUAACAAGGGAAACGAAAACAUCACCAUUCACUGGUAGGUCCUAUGCGUGUCUCAAAGAAAGAGCAGUGGUAGCAUGCUUGCAUGACAUACAUUCUUUUAUAUCUAAGAGGGGGCUACAAUAUAUUACUUUGAAAAUAAAGUCAAAUUUAAAACAAUACUCUAAGGUUAUUUGCUUUAGUUCCAUUGAAAUACAAUUGAUGCCUCUUGUUACUAUGAUAAUAUGUUGUUGCAUGCCAUUAUAGGAUUCCAUUAUAGGAAUAUAGUUAUGGUUUAGGUUUCCAAAUUUGUGUGUUAAAAGGUUAGAAACAGGAUCCAUUCUUAUAGACUAACUGUAUCAGGUUUAUUUUAAUCAUAUGUUCAUUUCCUUAGUACAAACCUAUACCCAUGCUUUCAUCUCCAUUCAAAUAUCUUAAUAGAAAAUCUAUUUCUUAUCUUGCCCGUCCAUUUAAACAUCCUCCCGAAUUUACUAUCAUAAUAGUCAACCAACAUCACGUACAAGGCUUAUAUAUUGAAAGAAAAUAAGUGGAGAGCGUGGCUUGUUUAUCCAUUCAGUGUCCAAUAAAUUGCAUGACCCACAAAAUUGGAACCUUCAAAUUUUUCAAUGAUGUUCUUGUCGACACAUUUUCAAAAUCCUUUAAUUUAGUCUCUUUUUAUAUCUACACCAACGAUCAUGACAAAUUGUACUCAUACGGGAAGUCAAAGUUUUAAAAUUAUUCUACAUAUAUUUAAUUAAUUAAAAUUUGUUGAAAUAAUCAAUAAAAGACUUUUGAAAGAAUAUUCUAAAAUAAUCAAUAACGUGUAGGUAAAUAAUCAAGAACAUCUUAACAGUAAAUGGAAAAUUUCCGGGACCAACCAUAUAUGCUACGAAAGGAGAGACGAUCAUUGUCGACGUUUAUAACAAGGGAAACGAAAACAUCACCAUUCACUGGUAGGUCCUAUGCGUGUCUCAAAGAAAGAGCAGUGGUAGCAUGCUUGCAUGACAUACAUUCUUUUAUAUCUAAGAGGGGGCUACAAUAUAUUACUUUGAAAAUAAAGUCAAAUUUAAAACAAUACUCUAAGGUUAUUUGCUUUAGUUCCAUUGAAAUACAAUUGAUGCCUCUUGUUACUAUGAUAAUAUGUUGUUGCAUGCCAUUAUAGGAUUCCAUUAUAGGAAUAUAGUUAUGGUUUAGGUUUCCAAAUUUGUGUGUUAAAAGGUUAGAAACAGGAUCCAUUCUUAUAGACUAACUGUAUCAGGUUUAUUUUAAUCAUAUGUUCAUUUCCUUAGUACAAACCUAUACCCAUGCUUUCAUCUCCAUUCAAAUAUCUUAAUAGAAAAUCUAUUUCUUAUCUUGCCCGUCCAUUUAAACAUCCUCCCGAAUUUACUAUCAUAAUAGUCAACCAACAUCACGUACAAGGCUUAUAUAUUGAAAGAAAAUAAGUGGAGAGCGUGGCUUGUUUAUCCAUUCAGUGUCCAAUAAAUUGCAUGACCCACAAAAUUGGAACCUUCAAAUUUUUCAAUGAUGUUCUUGUCGACACAUUUUCAAAAUCCUUUAAUUUAGUCUCUUUUUAUAUCUACACCAACGAUCAUGACAAAUUGUACUCAUACGGGAAGUCAAAGUUUUAAAAUUAUUCUACAUAUAUUUAAUUAAUUAACAUUUGUUGAAAUAAUCAAUAAAAGACUUGUGAAAGGAUAUUUUAAAUUUAUUCUAAAAUAAUGCGUUUGAUUAAUUUCUUGGUCAAUUCUCAAAGUCAAACUUGUAUUUUGAAUUAGAAAGUUCAAGAGAUUCUAAGAAAGUCGUCUUCUACGAUACACAACCUGAUUGAAGCUGAGCUGUGAGAAAUUUUCACAAUUCUUAGCAUUCUUCAGGCUUUUGGUUUAUUCAAAUUUUGGUAAGUAAUCAAAUAUCAUACACAACUUGAAGUGGUCCUGCACAUUGAAGUGGUCCUGGAAGAACAUUCAAAACUGCACAUUGAAGUGGUCCUGGAAGAACAUUCAAAACCAAUACACAUUCAAAUUACUUGGCUUAUAUUGAUACGCGUCGAGGAAUUGUUGAUACCCAAGCCACAUGUGAUCUGAUUUAAUGAAUCUCUGCCCUUCAUCCGAAGAAUUCUGGUGUUCUGGAUUGAUGGGAGCAAAAAGGUGACCAGUUUUACCUUGAGUCAAAUUCAAAUGACAAAAUAUAUUACCAGGGCAAUCAUGGACACCACCCUUAACUACAAAAAUAGCGCACACAGCCAAUCCCAUCAACCUAGUAUACACCAAUUUGGAGGCAGAUGUACCAUAUUACUGUGGAGUCUAUACUCUGUUGGCUGAACCACUCAAGAAUUCAACUUCCAGGAACAAAAGUACUGGAUUCAAUAUGUGGAGUAUAUGGCACCAUCUGGGUCAUGAAAAUCAAUGUCAAGUUAUAUGGAAAUAAUGUAGGAGUAGUGCUCAAAGGAGUAUAAGAAUUAUUCCAUAGGAUUUAAUUGAUUUACUUUUACAAUAUGAUCAAGAGAGAGAGGAGAGAAACCUGAAUUGGGAAUUGAAAUCUUGGUAAUUUAUUUGCCAGACUUUGCAUUUCCCUUAAUGUAGCUGCCACAAAGUUGCUGCUUUCAUUCUCAGACAGUCUGAAGCAAUUAGAAAAUGUGAAUCGGAGGCCCCCACAUUCCUUGGAUCUGUAGACACUUGAUGGACACAAAAUGUUUUCCAUAACUGUGCCAUCAUGGGCAUCUAUUUCUUCUAUACUUGAUGGAAGCUCUGGUAAUGAUUGAAGCCUCUUGCAACAACCCAGCCUAAGGCCUUUGAGCUGUGAAAGUUGAUUGAGACGUGCAGGUAGGGUAACAAAAUUGUUUCUGCUCAGAUCUAAAUAUUCCAAUGAGCACAGAGAGCUAAAGUCAUUGGGAAUUGCUCCUUCCAAUAUGUGGCAAUCACUUAGAUUUAACUUUCUUAGGGAUCUUAAACCAAAGAAAGAUGCAGUUGCCACACUAUUCUUAGAUUUAACUUUCUUAGGGAUCUUCAUAUUUAGUUUCAUAGGAAAGAUGUUUUCAAAGAAAUCUGCAUUCUUUGUUUCUAUUAUAGUAUUGACAUCUACCAGAUUAUUUUCUGACUUAGUAACAAGAAACCUAUAUGCCACACUAUUCUUAGCAUAGCCAAUGAACAUUGCAUCAAAGGUUUUAGGACCUAGUUUUCGUUUUUUAGGUUCGGGGAGAAGAACUUUAGCUAAACACCCCCACACUUUCAGGUAUGCUAUAUUAGGUGCAUAACCUUUCCACAACUCAUAAGGAGUUUUACUAGUUUUCUUGUAAGGUAUUCUAUUUUGAAUAUGGCAGGCGGAUAGGAUAGCUUCCCCCCACAAGUUCAAGGGUGCUCCUGAACUUACUAACAUUGCAUUCAUAAUUUCUUUUAAGGUCUUAUUUUUCCUUUAUGCUAUUCCAUUAGACUCAGGGGAAUAAGGAGGAAUAAGGAGGAGUAGUUUCAUGAAUGAUCCCAUGAUCUUCACAAAAAGAAUUAAAGGGGUUGGACUCAUACUCUCCUCCUCUUUCAGUUCUAAGCCUUUUAAUUUUCUUACUUAGUUGAUUUUCCAUUUCAUUUUUGUACUUGAUGAAAGCAUCUCUUGCUUCAUCUUUGUUUCUCAAAAGAUAUACCCUUGUAUACCUUGAGUAGUCAUCUAUGAAAGUUAUGUAGAAUUGUUUACCACCUCUAGUCAUUGUAUUUUUUAGGUCUCCUAAGUCACUAUGUAUUAAACUUAGUAGAUCUGAUUCUCUUUCAACUGAUUUGCAAGAUUUCUUUGUGGUUUUAGAUUCUACACAAGAUUCACAUUUUCCAUGGUUUUCUAAGGACAGAUUAGGGAUUAAACUCAAUUCAACCAUUUUCUUCAUAUAUGAAAAGUUCACAUGUCCUAGUCUACCAUGCCAAAUAUCACAAGAAUCAACUAUGUAAGCAAAAGAAGAAGAUGUAUUAUUAUUGAUAAUAUCAUAAACAUUCAACAUAAAUAAACCCUGAUUACAAUAGCUCUUUCCCACAAAUGCAUCAUUCUUGGUUAAAACUAUUUUAUCAUAGUCAAACAAGAUCCUCACUCCUGCUUUUCCAAGUAGAGAUACCGACACCAAGUUCCAACGGAUAUCUGGCACAUGAAGAACAUCACAUAGGGCAAGCACUUUUCCAGAUGUUAGCUUGAGGAGAACUUUCCCUUUGCCAAUCACUGGAGUAGAUCUAGAAUCACCCAUGAACACUUGGUCCUCUCCUUUCUUUAUAGUGGUAUAGGAAGUAAAUGCAUUUCUAUUCCCACAGAUGUGCCUAUUAACCCCAAAGUCUACCACCCAUUCCUUCAUAUUGGUGACCAUGCUCACCUCAGAGGAGAUUACUGUUGUGAUCACCUCUGUCUCUGCCAGAUUUGCCUUUGAACUGGUCUUCUCAAUUCUCUUCCUAUGGCGACAUUGAGUUGCAUGGUGUCUAGACUUGCCACAGACAAAGCAAUUACCGCGUUUUUUAAUAAUUAGAUUUUGGACCUUAUUUAAUGCAUUGGGCUUGGUCCUAAAGUUUUGUUUCCUGAACCUAUUAUUUUUGGGUUUAGAUUUUUCUUCUACUACAUUAGCUUUAGAAGACAAUUCCUUAGCUUUCUCAAUAUUGUCCCUAUUUCGGUUUUGUUCCUCAAUCCUAAUAUGGAUUAUGACAUCCUCUAAGGACAUUUGUUUCCUUUUAUGUUUCAUGUUGUUUUUAUAGUCUUUCCAAGACUCCGGAAGAGCCUCUACUAAAUAACCAGCCACAAAAGGUUCGGGUAAUUUAAUGUCUUCAAUAGCUAAGUCAUUAAUCAACAAGUGGUAGUCAUGGAUUUGAGAUGAGACAACUCUAUCCUCACUCAUUUGGAAAUUUAUAAAAUUCCCUAUGGCAUAUUUAUGAGUUCCCGCAUCUUGCAAAAUAUAUUUUUUAUUCAUUGCAUCCCAAAUUUAUUUUGCAACUUUAAAUUGACAAUAAAUAUCAAAAAGUUCAUUAGAAAGUGUACUCAGAAUAGCAUGGCUAACUUGUUUAUUUCCAGUUUCCCAGGUUGGUAACAUAUGAGAACCAUCUUCUGGUUUUGGAUCAGUCAAAAUAUGUCCUAAGUUCACCACAUCAAUUGUAGAGAAAACCCUUUCCUGCCAUCUCUUAAAGAAUGUCCCAUUAAAUGGAUUAAUUUUAGAGGUGUCAGGAUGGGUGUGAAUUAGGGAAGCUUUCAUUUGAAUUUAUUUCAAGAUUGUUGGAUUUUAAGGGUAUGGAAACAAAGACUAGCCCAAAAGACACAAACAAAGAACAUAAUGAAUAAAAAAAAAAAACUUAUCGGCUGAGGCAUGACAAGCACUGUCCUUGAAAUAGAUCCACCCUCCUCGAAGACGAACUCGGUGCACUAUGUGAGAAAGGGUAUAAAUAAUGUGAGAUAAGGUACAAAAAAAUGUGAAAAAAUGUACGAAUAAUGUGAGAAAAUGGUAUGCACAAUGUUAUAAAAUGGUAUGAACAAUGUGAAAAAAGAUACAAAUAAUAUGAGACAUGGUAUGAAUUAUGUGAGAGGGGAUACAAAUAAUGUGAGGGAAGGUACAAACACUAUGAGAAAGAGUACAAACAAAACAAGGAAAUGUACGAACAAUGUGAUAAAUGGUAGGAAAAAUGUAAGACAUGGUAUGAACAAUGUAAGAAAAAUAAAAAAUAGAUAAGAUUAAUAAAUUAUUUUUUCAUUAAUAUAAAUUAAAUAAUUAAAAUACCUAAGUUUUUCAAAAAUUUUAAUCAUGGUAGUGGGCCUUUGAUCAACCAAAGAUAGCCCAUGUAUCAUUUUCCAAAGUGAAGCACAACAACCUUAUAACAGUGAUGUCACAUAGCAAUUCAUUAUUCAUUAUUUUGUUUUCCCUUUUCAAUGUGGAUUUUCUUAAAGCUAUUAAAAAAACACACAAAAUCAAGAUUUGAGCAUGGGUCUUUCACAAUAUCUUUUAUAUACUAAUAAUUAUAAAUUAAUUAAAAUGAAAUUAUUAUAAAUAAGUUAAUUUUAAUUAUCUUAUUAUGUCUCAUAUAAAGUGAUUAGAUAUAGGAUAAAUAUAAAUUUAUAAAUAAAAUUAUUAACAUUUUCAAAUAAAAAAUAUAAAUAUAUAUCAAUUUUUUUUAUAUCCUUUAGUAUAUCUAAACUUAAUGCAUUAUCAUUUUAGUAUUAAUAUUUCCCAAUUCGGUAUAUUAUUGUCUGAGAUUACAAAUUUAUUAUACAUUUAUCAAUUUUUCUUAAAACAAUAUCAUUAUAUACAUUAUUACUUUUCUAUCAUUUUUUGAGUUAUUUCCAACAUUUCAUAAGGUUUUAUCAAUUUCCAUCUUAUAUAUAUAUAUAUAUAUAUUUCAGAAUUUUCAUUGAUAUUUCUUUAUAUAUCUAUAAACUCCAACUAAUGAUAUAUCGGUAAAAAUCAAUAUUUUUAUUCUUACUUAACAUAAGAAAGAAAAUUAUUCAAAUGGUGCAUAAAUUAAUGUGACCUCCUGAUGAGAAUGACAAUGACAACCAUGAGUCAUAAUUAGUGUAUGUGUGUGGUAAAUUAACUUAGUGUUUGAUAAAAUAAUUAUUUAUCAUCAUUUAAAAUUUAAAAAUAAAUUUAAAUGUUAAAUCAAAAUAAUUAACUUAUUCUAAAUACUAAUUUUUUUUAUUCUCUUUGUUCAUAUUUGGUGAUAACCAUGCUUUAUUUUUAGAAUUCUUUUUUUUUUUAGUAAAUAUUUUGUAGUUAUUUUGUAGCUUCACAAUAGUACUUUUUAAUAUAAAUGUUUAACAAGCUUGAGUUUAUGAAGAUAAAUAUUAAGAAAAAUUAAUGAGUUUAAAUAUAUCAAUAUAAUAACUUUUAAAAAAUUAAGUUGAUUUUACCAAAAUAAAAAUAAAAAUAAUUCAUCUUAAAAUUAAUUUCAAUAAUUAAGUAAUAAGGAUUAAGUUUUAUCAUACACUCUCUUAAUUAAUAAAUGACAUAACUUCUUUCAACAACUUCUUCGUUCUACUUUUGAAAAAAAAUAAUAAUAAUGUGAUAUUUAUUUAUUUAUGUCUAAAAUUUAAAUAUACUUGAAUUUGACUUAAAUCUAAAUAUAGCUUAAUAUUAUUAAGUGUUCAGACUAUUUUUUUUUAUUUGUGUCUAAAUAUUAUUAACUGUUAAAUUGUUUCUUUUUAUUAAUAUCAAAAUAUGUGAAGUGUUAAAUUUAUUUAUUUUUGGUUAAAAACAUUUAUAAAAGUAAUUGUUAUAUUUCUUCUUAUUUUAAUUUGAAAAGUUAUAAUUUAACAAAAUAGUAAUUUAAUUAACACAUCUAAAAAAUAUUAUAAUACAUUGUCAAAGUAAAAAUUUUAUAAUGAUAAUUAUGUAAUUAGUAAAUUAUAUUAUUGUACAAUCCAUUGUUCCAUGUCGUAUAAUAUAGAAUAGCUAUGCAUACCCAUCAGUGCAUAGACAUAUAUCUUUUGAUAAUCUAUCAUGAAUGUCACCUGGACUCUAAGUGAAGUAUGUAGCUAUUAUACUAUAAAGAUGGCAUAGGAAGAGGCUCCGGGUUUACUAGUUCUCACUCAACCAUAGAAAUAGGGAAUAUAUUGCACAUUAUUUUCAUCUAAAAGAAAGGUAGAAAGACCUUAGAAAUGGAACUUUUAGAUAAAACCUAAGGGUGGCAAUGAGAUGAGUCUAAGAAGGAUCACCUCAAUCUCAAUCUUAUGCCAUUUAUUUAUAUUAAAUGGGGUGAGAUAAGACAAAAUUAUAUUCGAACCUGUCUUGAAUUUGGUUCGAGGGCAAGAAGGGUCUUUACAAAAAUCAGCCUCAUUGUCAUUCUUAGGUACGCAUCUAUACCAAUGAAAGUUUUUACAUCUAUUAAAAAAUUUAAUGUUCCCGAUGUUAAUUAACUUCACCAGACUACAUACACUUCAUAAUCGUGAAAAAGUGUUAAAAUUCUCAACCAAUCAAUGACAUAAACUACAAUCAAGUUUAGUACAUCGUAACCCUAAAAUACCUCCAAACCCCAUUUCUUGUAAGACCCCCUUCUGAUUAGGUUGCAAAUGUUGAAGUGCAUUAUACAACUAAUUAGGCGAACAACAAGUGUCAAGGUAAGACUGCAAGCCAUACAUAUACAUAUGCAUAUAAAUUCGAAAUUGAAAGAAAAUAUUAUCAAAUUUUAAAAAGAUAAAUUUCAAUUUUUUUUUUGUCUUUGAUACAUUUUUUGAGCUUGUACCAUUUUGUUUUACAUAUUCAUUGGAGUAUUUCUUCAUCAUGGGUCUUCAUCCAUUAGGGCACCAAGGAGAGCAAGUUCAUUGGCACGUGCUUUAAUGGUAUGUAGGAAGGUAGUGAUGCUUUGCAAACCCUUGGUGUGAUUCUUAAGGUGGUUGUUGACUUGUUUAAUGUAGACAUGUGAUAGUUUGACAUAGGUAUUGGUGAAGAUGAUCUAUGCUUCACGAAAGGUUGUGGCACAGGCAAUGAAUGGAAUUAUGGUGGGUGAAACGGAGCCAAUAAGUGCAUUUAGGAUCAAUUGAUCUUGAUGAAGCAAGAAUAGGUUGGGUUGGGUAUUACAGUGUCGUUGGCAUAGUGGUGGGUGGACAAGGUUUGGUUCUAUCAAUAUAGCUAAGGCGGUCAAAGCCAAUAAAUAGUGUUUGGAAUUGAAAUCUUUAUGAUAUAUAGUUGGUAGUGGUUAGUUUAAGUGGGGCUCGAGCAAAAACAUUUAUUGAGAUGAGUAUUUGGUGUGACUCAUGGGUGUUGUGAAUAUUGAGAGUAGAAGUUACAGAAGUGGUGACAUCUUAGGUGGCCAUGAGGCUAUGAUGAUGGGGAGGAGCAUUAGAUGGCUUUGGCAUAGAAAAAGAGGUAAGAAGGAAGAACAAGUGGUGGUGAGGGUUUUCAGGUUAAGAAGCUUGAAUGCUCUGAUGUCAUAUUGAAGAAUGAGAUUGGUAAAUUAUUUUUCUAGGUUGAUUCUAUGUUGCUUAUAUGCAUGAUUCACCAAGGGUUUCUGACAAGCAUUAGCUAAGGGUGGCUGAACCCAAUGACAGACCAGAUGAAGGAUUAAUAAUAUAUUGCACUCCAGCAGUUCAACCAAUUCCCUUCGUUUCCUUAAUGACUUCUUUUGGUGACCUAUCAAUUUCUCUCUUGGAAAGUCUAGUAAUGGGUUGCCAAUUACCUAAAAGUUACUUCUGAGGUUUUGUUUUGUUGAUUCUAUGCUAACUGAUAAUCUGCAGAGGAAACAACUUGUUCGUCUGGAGAAGGUCUUGAAGCAUGCACUGUGAUGAAUUUGACCAGAAGAGUAAACUCAUCAAGUCCAUAUUAAGUCAUCAGGUUCCAGUAGAGCUAUUUCAAAAACUUCUUUAAUGCAUUAGCAUUUAAAAAUUGAAACAAUAAAAUAACAUAUAUUAUUGAUACUAUCAUUUAAAACAAGAAAUAUAUUGUUGAUAAUGGCAUUUAAAACAAUAAAAUAGUGCAUUAGACCUGCAUUCAAAUCUUCAAUUCUCAAACACCACCAACCCACCCAUGAAUAGAGAAAGAGAAGAGAACCCUAGCAAAAGUAGAGAGGUUCGAUUCUCAAAUCUUCAAUUUUCUUUUUAUGUGUUCAAGUCAUUUUUAUUUGUUAAAUGAUUCCAGCUACUACUUGGGUCUAGUAUUUCCUUGGUGUAUAUAUCAUGCACUUCUCAGUAGAAUGCCCAUAGACAUGGAGAAACAAUUUUUUAUUUAUUUGCAAUGCCUAAUAUAAAUUAAUAAGCACCUAAUUUUUUGUUUCAGCUAUGAAUGGUAUUUUUCUCUAGAUCAUAAGUACGUUGGUUGAAUUUUAAAAAAUUUAUACCAUUUCAGCGACUAAUUAAUAUCAUGCAAUAGAAAAACAAAGUUGAAAUUUGGGAUAAUAAAUAUCAUUAAAGUACAAAGAAAGUAACUUAUUGGGAGCAAAUUCUUCACAACCUGGCAUUCGCCUUUAGAUUAAAUAAUUUAUUAAUAAUCUCCUCUUUCUUUCUAAACUUAUACCGCUGUUUAUGAAAGUUUCUAAAAACCAAAGCCCAAAGCCUAGACUAUAAAAAGGAAAUAAUCACUUGGAGAGGGGUUGUUUGUUUUUCUUGAGAGCCUAAUAAAUGCAACGACAUAGACAGAAAGAGGCGGAAGAGUUGAGUCGGAGGAUCAAGAAACACAACCAUUCUUCUCUUUCAUUAGGGUUUUUGGCUGACUCUAAGGCCGUCUUACCUUCCUCUUAGAAUGAUGGCCUCUCGUUUCUAUACAUAUCCUUUCAUGCAUUUUCUGGCUCUCCCAUUCUCUUUUUCAAAGCUACGUCUUUCCUCAUAGACCCUGUUUGGUUUCUAAGAAAGUGGUCUAGGUCUCUUUCUUUUUCUUGAUUUAUCUUUUGGUUUACAAGAAUCAGCGACACAAUAAGACUGCCAUGAACGCAUGACGCAGCCACGUGGGAGAAGGCAGCAACCACUUUCGCAUUUUUACUAUGUAUCUCCAGAAACUCCUUUGUACAGCCCACACACGCGCUAAUGAAGCAGAUUCAGCAGAUUUUAAGAGGGGGAAUCUUGAAACCACACAACAUCAAGAGACUUGGCCGGAAGUGUGAUGAUGGGUGUUUCCGAAGAAGAGUUAUAAUUCGCCCACUGUUAAAUAUGGUCAUAGCCGUGAAGGGUCCCACGAGCCUUGAAUUUGUCACUACAUGCAAAAUAUAUGCAGAAGUGAUUGAAAAUGCAUGGCCACCUUUUCCUGCAUGUGAAUGUGUUGAGCUCUAUGGUGCAAUUACUAAUGGAAUUCUCAAUUUAGCUGAUAAGUAUUUUGAGAUGCAAAAGCAUGAUGCUGUCCGGGCAUCGGAAAUUUAUCAGAAAGCAGGAGAGCCAUCAAGCAUUCACUCGACAAGCAAGAGUAACACAUAGGCCACACCAUUCUCCAAAUAGACACAACAACAUACAUUCUUGAAGGCAAGUCCCUUUUUAAAAUUUUAUCUUAGUUUAAUUUUAAUUUAUUUAGUUAGUUUAGAUGUUUUUUUCAAAAUUAGUUUAAUUAAUUCUACAUGAUAAAGCUCUUAUUUUUCAUUUCGAUUUAGUUUAGUGUUGAUUUUUCUUUUAGUUUAAGUGUGUUUGCGAUUUUAAUUCAAUAGCUUAAUUAUUCUUAUUAGAUAAAGUUCAUAUAUAUAUAUAUAUAUAUAUAUAUAUAUAUAUUAUCCCAAAUUAGUUUAGUUUUAAUCUAUCUUUUAGUUUAAGUGUGUUAGUAAUUUUAAUUUAGUUGUUUAAAUAAUCAUGUGAGAUAAAGUUCAUGUUUUUAAUUCUAAUUAGUUUCAUCUUAAUUUAUUCUUUAGUUUAGAUUUGUUGUUGACAGUAAUUUACUAUUUUAAUUAAUCUUAUUAGAUAAAGUCUAAUUAAAAUUAGGUUAGUUUUAAUUUAUUCUAUAGUUUGAGUGUGUUUGCGAUUUUAAUUCAAUUGUUUAAUUAAUCCUCUUAGGUAAAGAUCUUGUUUUUAAUUCCGAUUUAGUUUAGUUUUAAUUUACUUAUUUAUUUAUUUUAGUUAAGAUGUGUUUGUAAUUUUAAUUCGACAAUUUAAUCGACCUUAUUAGAUAAAGUUGAUGUUUUUAAUUCCAAUUUAGUUUAAUUUUAAUUUAUUUUUUAGUUUAAAUGUGUCUGUGUGUUUAAUUGACCUUAUGCUAGCUCUUGAUUUGUUAUUCUCAAUUUAGGUGUUUUCUUGAAUCUUAGUCAUUAAUUCUUGGUGGAUAUCUCAUUAGUUUAUUUUAUCUAAGUCUUAAUAAUUUAUUAUUUCGAUAGUCUCUUGUCAAAUUUACUUUUCAGAGGCCAUCGGAAAAUAGUGAAGAUUGACCUCCAUUCUCACCACUUUAGUUUGUUUGGUUGUCAAAAUUUUUACUUUGUGAUUUUGUUUGCUUUUAUUUUGCUUGUUUCUUAUGUUUUGAUUGUUUUCAAAUUAAUUUCUUUUAUUUUAAAAUAAAAUAUUUUUCUCAAAAGAUCCAUUUGAAAAUUCUAUUUUAAAAAUCAUUCAUUUAGACUCCUUAGAAUCAAAAUCUCAUUUUUUAAUAAUAUGUAACCAUGUCUUGAUCGGUUUGUAUCUUUCACAGUUUUCAAUCAAAAUUCCGAUUUGGAAUGGAAUAUGAAUCCGAGCUUGUGGUCCCAAACAAAUGGGAUAAUUCUGGUCUAGAUUUGUGUAUAUCAAUUGAGGAAUUGGUGGAACCCCUACAUAAGAAAAUUCUUCAAAACUCAUCUUUGCAGCCACCUUUGCUAUUUCAUGAAAUCAUGUAUAUUUAUUAUUUAGGAAUUAUAUACAAGAUGUAUGUGAUAAUUGAUGAUUUCGUAUACUUUGAUCAUUUUUGCUAGGCUAAUUAGAUAACAAGCACAUUAGGAUUUUUUUUAUUUUAUUAUCUAACCCCUCAUGUCUUGUAGAAGCAUGUUACAAGUCAUCUAUCCUAAUAUAUAUUUUAUUAUAUAUUAGUUUUUUUUUUCUUUUUUUAAUCCUAUCUAUGUUGUUGAUAUUAAUGCAUUGAAUUUGAUGCUACCUAAAACAAAAUUAUAUUUCAUGUCCUCUAUUAUAAGUGGACAAUCAUUCCUUAUUUUAGAUUUUAGAUAAAGAACGAAUAAUGAAGAUUGGAGUUGUAAGAAAUUAGGAGAUCCUAAUUUUAAAUAUGUAACAAAGUUCUAUAAUCACUCCAGUACGUUUAAAAUUUGUAUUUCUUUCUAAUAUGGGAGCAAACUUUUUCCUUCUUUCUUAUAAUUUUCAUUUGGGAAUGAUUUAAAAAUAAAUAAAUAAAGGCCCUUCUAAAUAUUAAAAAAACACUCUCUUAUAAAAAUUAAUUAGGUGGAUGGUAAGGUCAAAUUCGGGAUAGCUUCAUAUUUUUUGCUUUAACUGAAAAUUAAAAUCAAAAUUAAAGUAAGAAUUUUUAAGAUGUUGUAAAAGUUUUAUUAAACAUGAAAGAACUUAUUGUGUAAACAAAAAUAGAACUAUAGAAUUUUUAUAAGAAAUAACAUUUUUAUGACUUCUAUAUGAAACCUUUUUUAAAAGUGAUAAGUUUUUUUUUUUAAAUAAUUAAAUAGGUAUAAAAACUUUUAUUCAACUUAAUUUUUUUUAACGGUUAAAAGUCAAUUCAAAUAAAAUUUAAAUAUAUUUGAAAAUCAUUUUUAAAAAUAAAAAAAAAAAACCACUUUUUUUUUAAUUUACAUUUAAUUCAUGAAAUUUCAUUUAUUGUUAUUUAUUUUCGGGAUUUAAUUCUUUGCAAUUGUUUUUGAGUGUUUAUAAAGUAUAAUUAGGUUAUGCCCAAAUUUAUUCCUUUAACUCUAUCCAUUAGAUAUAAGUAGCGUGAAAUUUUGGCCCAUCUCCACCUUUCUUCACUUCUGACAUUGUCAUGCACUACUUCAUCAACUCCAAACACAACCGCUGAGGAUCGAAGAAAAUGAGACAAUGGUCAAUAAAAUGAAAGUUUAAUCAUUUAAUCUUUUUUAGCACACCCCUCAUAACUGUCAGUGAUUUCCUGCCAACUUAACAUAUUGACAUGGACUUGGAGAGUUCGGUCAAUUGCAGCAGCUUGGUUAAUUGUAAGUGUCUUUUCUCUAAACCAUAAAUUCCUACGUUUUAAUUUACAAAAGCCAGUGAUUUUUUUUUACUUAAGGAAGCAGGAAAGGGUUUAAAAUAAGAGUUGAAAAGUAUGCCAAUUAUUUUAACUUUAAGAAAAAACGUUUAUUUUAAUUUAAAAUAAGUAAAUCAAAAGGAAUUGAUUUUAUCUCAAUUGUAUAAGAUUUUAUAAAAAUUAUCUUAUUUGCAAAAUAUUUUCAGAUGUAAAAGUAAAAAAUUAAACAAAUCAUUUGAUGAUCAUAGUCUAAUUUUAAAUUAUUAGAAUAAGUCAAUCCUCUAAACUAUAUCAUUUAUAAUUUUUUUGAUUAUUAAUAUGAUACGUAACCUUCCACGGAAUUGGAAUAAAAUAUGGAUAAUUAAAAAAUGUCAACUAUCCCAUUUCAAACUUUUCUAAUAUAGCAUGAUAUUUUAACAUGAUGAAUGAAAUGGGAAUGACCAAAAAUUGUAAAAUCAAAGAUAUAUCUAUUGUGGACAUGGCAUUCGGAGGCUUCUUAACAUUGUAUUGGUCUACUUAAUGAGUUGAAACAGGAACACAACACCAAAUUCUCUUUUUAUAAUCAAAGACUUCCAUGGAAAAUUCCACCAUAUCAUAUCUCAAAGAUUAGUCAAAUUCCAUUAUCUUUAUAGACUUUUAACAAUCCAAGAAAUUGACAUUAAUAAUCCCAUACACAAUAUUCUACAACUUUACAUUAUCUUGAUUGAAGAUAAUCAUAUUAUUUCAUUAACAAUUCAAGAAAUUCCAUUAUCAAUCAAAAAAUAAAUCAUGAAAGCUAAAUAAUACAAAUAUUCAAUGAAAUCUUUGGCGUGUUAUUUCUUUACAGCUUCAACAUGGUGGCAUGUCCGACGGAGGAGGCAGCAUUUGAGCUUCCGGGUGUUUACCAUUUUUCAUUAUGAACGCAGUUUCCAUGCCCCAAGUCAGAUGGCGUUCUACAUGGCAGUGCAUGAACCACACUCCUGCAACAGAGAAAAUAUACCAACAUUACACCUAACUUAAUUGUAAUAUUAAGAAAAAUUAUUUCCUUGGUAUGCAGGUUAGCAGUUUCAAGGGUUUUUAUUUUUUAUUUUUAAUAGACGACAUGAGUGCUUGGAACAUACCAGGGUUGGAUGCCUCAAAUCUGAUUGCAACCCAACCAUUCGAAGGAACGGAGAUGGUAUUCUGAAAGGGAGGAUCCACCAAAUUAUAGCGUAAAGGGUCCUUAUUUCCAUCGAAAUUCCCAAAUCCCCAUCCAACAACAUAGAAACUGUAUCCAUGGAGAUGCAUGGGGUGGUGUGUUGCUGCAAGCACGUUUGUCCCUUGAAAAACAAUCUCCACUGUGGAGUUAUACUCGAGCACCCUUACUUCUGUUCCGCUGCUUGGCAACUGAUAGAUUAAUGGAAGAUAAUCAGCUGUAAAAUCGAACACCAGUGGUAGAUCGCUAGGAAAUUUAUCUCCAUAAACACCACUGAUGUUAUAAUAGUAAGCUUGUAGUAUGUCAACUGUAGGGGUAUCGAAGCUUAUGUUGUUUAUACUUGAGGAGAACCGCGUCCCAUUGGCCCCUGCACAUGAAUUAUUGACGCAUGGGUACGAGUUUACAGAAACAGUGUAAAUCAGGUUAGUGCUUGUGCUCAAUGGGACAUUGCAAGGAUGUUCCGCAUCUACUAAGCUUCGAAGGCCGGCCAUGACCUGAACCGACGCAUUUGUGUCAUUGUAUGCAGGAAGAAGAGGGAAGGAUGGAGGCGAAGAUGGAGUGUAGUAUCCGUUGUACUGUACAAUAGCUGUGGUGGUUGUGUUAUCAUAAAAAUCUUGAUAUUUCGGGGCAACAGAAUAAGUUAUAGCUGCCAUGUAAUAGUGAUCCGGGCGUUGGUUAGCUUCUAGUAAGACAUCGUAGGUUUGGCCAGGAAAUAUUGUGAUAAAAUCUCGUGUCAAUGGUUUCGUGUAGCUACCAUCUGUUCCAACCACUGUCAUUUUAUGCUUGGCAAUGGAGAAGAAGAGAGCCUCUUGUAAGGCAGCAUUGAUUAUGCGAAGUAGAUAGGUCUUUCCAUGAUCCACUGUUAGCUUGAAUGUGUCUGCAAUUAGAAAGGGAAAGUUGUAUACUUAUGACUAGCCAAAAAAAAAACAAAAAGUUUCCAUGAGGAUCCACCAAUUAUGAAGUGAUUGAUUGAUUAGGUGUGUAAAUUUGGCUGCAUAGUUCAAAAUUAUAUUUGGACUAGCCUUUUUUUUGUGUGUUAAAUCAUGGCUCUACCAUCCUUAUAGCUAUAUUCCUCUUUCUUAGCAUUAACCUUUAAAUAUGUUGAUGUUAAUAAGAAAAAGUACUAGGGUUAACAUACAAGAAAAUGAAAUCAUGUACAAUUUUAAAACGGGAAGUUAAACUUUGUACCUGAUUUUGAGCAUGGAUAUAGAUCACCGGGUUGUCCAUUUAUCAAUAAAGCAUCAGAGGGGUCAGGGUCACCUCCGGUUGCAAGCCCUUCAUCUCGAACCGCAUUCACAUCAUUCUUCCACCAUUCUCCUGCAUUUCAACAACUUCAAUAAUUUUAGAUUUUGCUUUGUUGUUUAAUUCUUAAUAUGUAAAUUAACCUUUAAAAGUAACAACACUUAUACCUAAUAUGAUGGGGACCUCUCUGUCAGGCUUGUGAAAAGGAUACUUGGUUCCAUUCUUGGGAUAGAUGAUUAUAGCUCCAUGAACAGUGGCUCGGGUCCAGUCACUGUGAGCAUGCCACCAUAGAGUGCCUUCUUCAGUGGAAAGGAUGAUCUUCUGGGUAAACUUUGACCCUGGCUGAAUUGGGCAUUGUGUGAUAUACUCAGGACCAUCUGUCCAUGGAUAUCUAGGCAUGGUCACCCCAUGCCUGCGAAACCAUAACUAUACGUUAAAACUAGUACUAAUUUUCAAAGUAACAAAAGAUGGCAUGCAACAACAUAUUAUCAUAGUAACAAGAGGCAUCAACUGUAUUUCAAUGAAACUGAAGCAAAUAACCCUAAAGUAUUAUUUUAAAUUUGACUUUAUUUUCAAAGUAAUAUAUUGGAGCCCCCUCUUAGAAAUAAAAGAAUGUAUGCCAUGUUGGCAUGCUGCCACUGCUCUUUCUCUGAGACACGCAUAGGACCUACCAGUGAAUGGUAACGUUUUCGUUUCCCUUGUUAUAAACGUCGACAAUGAUCGUCUCUCCUUUCGUAGCAUAUAUGGUUGGUCCCGGAAAUUUUCCAUUUACUGUUAAGAUGUUCUUGGCACUACAAAGCCUUGUAUAUGAAGCUUCCCUCACCUGCAAUCAAUUAAAAGUUAACCAUGCAACCUCAUCCCAAAAGAAAUAUUACAUGCAUGAAUAGUUGCAUCGAUCCAUUCACGUAAGUGUAUAACCAAUUAGAAAUUGAUAGCAUGCAUGAACGACUCAAUGACACCAAGGUAAUAGAUCAUACGGUAUGAAAUGAGAGCCAUACUACUCCUUAAAUAUCAUGAUUAGAAGGUGGCGUUAAGGCCAGAAUCAUAUAUAGUAUUUACCACAAAAGUAAGCCGACGGGUUGAAGCUUGGCAAUGGAUGCCACCACCAAAAACUAGAAACGCUAAAAUUUGCAGGAGGAAAACCUUCAUGAUCAGCCACAUUUUCCUUGGAAUAAAAGCCUCUUCUCUUCUCUUGCCCUAAACACAACUCCUUCAAUUCUCUUACUACUUUUGAUGUAUUUCUUUCACAUGUGAUUCAUUAUAUAGGCAUGGUAAUUCUCUCGGGAUACAAUACUUCCUCUCCACGUGUCAAUAUAAGAGGAAGUGAUUUGAAUGUGUAUUGGUUUUUAAUGUUCUUUCAGGACGACUUCAAAAUAAUUAAUUAUGAUAUUUCUUACAAGUUACCUACGCGUUCUUUUAGAAUAAAUUUAAAAUAUUCUUUCACAAGUCUUUUAUUGAUUAUUUCAACAAAUGUUAAUUAAUUAAAUAUAUGUAGGAUGCUUUUAAAACUUUGACCUCCCUAUGAGUAGCCUUCUGAAGAUCGUUGGUGGCAAAGUUGUUUUCGUAUAGUUAAUACAAUUUGUCAUCGUCGUUGUUUUCGUUUGAAUGGGACAAAGUUGUUUCCAAUUUUUUUUAAAACUUGGGAAUUGAGAUUAUAAAAGACAAAGUUGUUAAUACAACUUCAGAAUCGAUGAUAAACUAAUUCGGUAUUUCAGAAUUUUCCAUAAAAAAACACAAAAAUAUAUUUUGUAAAAAGUUGAAAAUAGGAUACAAACAACCCCUUGUAGUAUUUUUUUUUUUCUCAACAAAAACCAAUUUAAUAACAAUAAUAAUAAAUAAUUAUAGAUUUAAAAGAUAAUCUGAAAUUUCUUUCAAUAUAUAAGCCUUGUACGUGAUGUUGGUUGACUAUUAUGAUAGUAAAUUCGGGAGGAUGCUUGCAUGUAAAAAUUUUAUUUUAUUUUAUUUUUAAUCAUGGAGCACAUUUUGAUAGAUUCUGAUUUAUAAUACUGCAUCAAUGGUCAUGAACAUUGCAAUCAUGAUUUUUUUUGAGAUGUUUAAAUGGACGUGAAAGAUAAGAAAUAGAUUUUCUAUUAAGAUAUUUGAAUGGAGAUGAAAGCAUGGGUAUAGGUUUGUACUAAGGAAAUGAACAUAUGAUUAAAAUAAACCUGAUACAGUUAGUCUAUAAGAAUGGAUCCUGUUUCUAACCUUUUAACACACAAAUUUGGAAACCUAAACCUCUGGAUUGUUUCUUUCCUAUAAUGGAAUCCUAUAUUCCUUCUCAAAGCAGCGCUGACUUUUCCCUUCCUACCAAAUACGAAGAGAAAAUCUUGACUAAUCUUGAUAAAGUUUUAAAAGUAUUCUACAUAUGUUUUAAAUUUAUUCUAAAAUAAUGUGUUUGAUUAAUUUCUUGGUCAAUUCUCAAAGUCAAACUUGUAUUUUGAAUUAGAAAAUUCAAGAGAUUCUAAGAAACUCAUCUUCUAGGAUACACAACCUGAUUGAAGCUGAGCUGUGAGAAAUUUUCACAAUUGUUAGCAUUCUUCAGGCAUUUGGUUUAUUUAAAUUUUGGUAAGUAAUCAAAUAUCAUACACAACCUGCUCUUUGAAGUGGUCCUGGAAGAACAUUCAAAACCAAUACACAUUCAAAUUACUUCGCUUAUAUUGAUACGCGGCGAGGAAUUGUUGAUACCCAAGCCACAUGUGAUCUGAUUUAAUGUAGCUGCCACAAAGUUGCUACUUUCAUUCUCAGACAGUCUGAAGCAAUUAGAAAAUGUGAAUCGGAGGCCCCCACAUUCCUUGGAUCUGUAGACACUUGAUGGACACAAAAUGUUUUCCAUAACUGUGCAAUCAUGGGCAUCUAUUUCUUCUAUACUUGAUGGAAGCUCUGGUAAUGAUUGAAGCCUCUUGCAAUAACCCAACCUAAGGCCUUUGAGCUGUGAAAGUUGAUUGAGGCUUGCAGGUAGAUUAACAAAAUUGUUUCUGCUCAGAUCUAAAUAUUCCAAUGAGCACAGAGAGCUAAAGUCAUUGGGAAUUGGUCCUUCCAAUAUGCGGCAAUCACUUAGAUUUAACUUUCUUAGGGAUCUUAAACCAAAGAAAGAUGCAGUUGCAAACGCCUAGAGCGUGGAAUUUCUGCAGGCAACAACUGGAAAGAGAGGAGCAAAUUCCUUGGCUUGGAUUCUAGUCCUUUACAUCCCUCAAAUGAUAAUACUUCAAGGUUUUCUGAAAGAGAAAUAGAGGGCGGCAGCUCUUUUACAGAGUUCCAGCUGCUCCGAGCUUCUCUAAACCUUGUAGGCUCCCCGAACCUCUGGCAAAUUGUCUAGUUUUGAGCAACCAGAUGGAAUAAGAGUUUGAAGAGAUUUCAACUUACAAAUGCUAUGUGGAAGAAUUGCAAGGCUUUUGCAUUCUCUCAGAUUCAACAGAACAAGUCCACUUAGAUGUUGGAUAGGUGAAGUUAGCUCUUUUAGAGCAGUUCCAUCUAAGAAAAGUUCCAACAAACUCCCCAUAUUUUCCAAGACUUCUGGAAGCUCUUUUGAGUUUUAAGCAAUCUGAGAGAAUAAGAAUUUCAAGGGAUCUCAACCUAUAAAUACAGCUUGGUAAUGACUCAGGGUUUUGACAGUUCCUCAGAUUUAAUAAAACAGGUCCAGUCAGAUAUUCAAUCGACAAGGGCAAUCCUUUUACUGCAGUGCCCUCCAAGGAAAGCUCUGAUAAAUGUUUCAUGCACCCUUGGACCUCUGGAAACUUCUUGAGUUUCGAGCACCCGGAGAGAGUAAGAAUUUUGAAGAGAUUCCAUACAGAUGCUUCUUAGAAAACUCUUAAGAUUCUCGCAGCCUUCUAAAUUAAGGAAAACAAGCUUGUUUAGAUCUCCAGUGGAUGGGUGAACCUUGGACAAACUUGUACAACCUUCAAGAAUUAGUCUCCUAAGGUUUGGGGCCCCCGAGAAGUCUGGGGUUUCAAUCAGGUGUUGGGAGUAGCUAAGUUUUACGAAUUUCAAUUGCUGAUACAUCUGUCAAAAACAAAACAGAAAAAAUGAUUAUAAUUCGUUUAAAGUGAAAGACGAAACUUGCAAAGAUUAUAAUCAUAUACCUUGAGUCCUUUCCAAAGUUGUUCAACUCGACUGUAACUCAUAUUUAGCUCGACAAGCUGCUCAGGAUGAAAAUUUAAUGGGAGGGAUUUCAGAGGGUAUCCAUGCCAAUAUAGACAUCUUAAGUUGUUCGAUAGAGAUUUGAAGUCUCCAGAAAGAAGCAAUUUACAGUCUUUGAAUUGAUUGAGCUUAUUCAUCCUUGUGCAAGCAUCAGCCAGCACAUAACUGUUUCCAAGAAAAAUAUUCAAAGCUUCCACAUAGCCGCACGUUACAGACUUUGAGCAAUCUUAAUUUGUUCAUCUUCAUGAAGGCAUCAAAACUGAAGUGUAGUUCCUUUGAUGCUGACAAGUCAAGGACUAUGCCUUCAACUACUUCAGUUCCUUGCAAUUAACCAGGAACAGAGUAUGGAUUGGAAAUUAAAAUCACAAAAUUCUAAAAGGAAAAGCACAGAAAGCAUCAAACUAAUGACUUGUUUUCUUGUUUUUUUAGGCAGUGUUCUAGGAAGCAAGUAUGAAGAUAAAAGAAAAUGCAUCUACUAAGACAGAAACUCAGGGAAAAGUUAGCAAAGGAUUCAAAUCAAAUCAUUCCCCCAGCUUUAUAUCUGCCUUUGCAUACAUAAAUAUGCAAUACCUUAUUAAAAUUGUACAUAUAUGUGAGUUUCUCAAAUAAGUUGAAAUUAUUCAAACUUCCUCUUCACCUAUAGAGCUUAUAUAUACAAAAAGGGAACACACACACAAAGUUCAUGUAUUUAGGUCUUACUAUGUUUCUAGUUAAUGCAUCACUAACAUCUUCAUGAAUCCACAAUCUGCUGUGUUUUCCAGGAUAUUUAAGAGAUUCUUGCCAAACAAUUUCCCAACCCAUUUCUUGUAACAAAUCAUGCAUGCACAACUUAUUAUCUGAAACAAUUAUGAGUGACUUAUCAACGAGAACCCUUAUUCCAAUAUCCGGAAAGAAACCACAACUCUCUAGUAUUUCUGUGACAAAAUCUUUGUCCUCCCAUUUUCAAAAGCAUGCAAUAUCGAGAAAUAUAUCUCUUUGUCAUCUAAUCCAUCAAAACCCAUUUUAAGCACGUUCUGAAUUUCCAUGUUGCUAAUUCUUUUUAGUUUGUCCAAUUCACUUUUCCAUUCAAGUAUGCUCUUGCUAUACAAAAAAGCACCUAAGACUUCAAGAGCUAAGGGAAGACCCUUACUAUAAUGUAUUACAUCAUAGCAUAGCUGCAUAUAAUCUUCUCCAGGGUGGUUAUGUUUAAAGGCAUACUGACGAAAGAGUUGAAAAGCUUCACUAUCCUCUAAUCCCCUAACUUCAUAAAUUGCACUGACUCCAUGUGUAACAAGCAAAUGCUUUUCUCUGCUUGUUAUAAUAAUUCUACUUCCUGAACCAAACCAAUCAUGGUUUCCUGCUUAAUAUUCUAACUGUUCCAAGUUAUCCACAUCAUCAAGAACAAUAAGAACCUUCUUAGAGUGGAGCCUAUCCUUUACAAAAUUGAUUCUUGUAUUGGAAAUUCCUACAUUUGGAUUUCCAUCCUUCAAUGUCUUUGAGAGAAGUUCCACUUGUAAAUGAUCUAGAACACAUUUUUGUGAGCCUUCUCUAACACUUGUAAAUGAUCCAAUAAUUGGUUCAAACAGUUCAAAAUUGGUCCAAUAAAUAUACCCUUCAAAAGGAGAAAUUGAACCAGAAAUGUCGCUUGGUGGUUGGAUCAAUUAGACCAACUGAUUUGUUUCAAUUUUCAAAAAAUAUUGCUUUAACAUGUAUGAUAAUCAAAAUAUAGGAAAAAAAACUAUUUACUAAGAAAUGAGAUUAUUAUAACAAAAUAGAAAAUGUAAUCUAUUUUAAUGAUAUGAUGACUUGUAACUAGAUGAAACUUUGACCAGCAAAGAAAAACAAACAAAUCUUGAGGAAUUAGAAAAUAUUAUCUUUUAUAUUAAACUUAUCUUUGUGUAAAAGCUCUCUACAAUUAACUAUGGGUUUUCAUAAAGCUUUAUUUAGGCUAUGUUACAUUCUUGGAAAUUAAAAAAAAAAAAAUGUAAGAAAUUAAUAAAUUAUUUUUUUCAUUAAUAUAAAUUAAAUAAUUAAAAUACCUAAAUUUUUCAAAAUUGUUAAUCAUGGUAGUGGGCCUUUGAUCAGCCAAAGAUAGCCCAUGCAUCAUUUGCCAAAAUUGUUAAUCAUAGUAGUGGGCCUUUGAUCAGCCAAAGAUAGCCCAUGCAUCAUUUGCCAAAGUGAAGCACAACAACCUUAUAAUAGGGAUGUCACAUAGUAAUUCAUUAUUCAUUAUUUUGUUUUCCCUUUUCAAUGUGGAUUUUCUUAAAGCUAUUAAAAAAUCACAUAAUAUCAAGAUUUGAGCAUGGGUCUUUCACAAUAUCUUUUAUAUACUAAUAAUUAUAAAUUAAUUAAAAUGAAAGAAUUAUAAAUAAGUUAAUUUUAAUUAUCUUAUUAUGUCUCUUAUACAAUGAUUUAAUAUAGGACAAAUAUAAAUUUAUAAAUAAAAUUAUUAACAUUUUCAAAUAAAAAAUAUAAAUAUAUAUCAAUAUAUUUUUUAUAUCCUUCAAUAUAUCUAAACUUAAUGCAUUAUCAUUUUAGUAUUAAUGUUUCCCAAUUCGGUAUAUUAUUAUCUAAUAUUACAAAUUUUUUAUACAUUUAUCAAUUUUUCUUAAAACAAUAUCAAUAUAUACAUCAUUAUUUUUCUAUCAUUUUUUGAGUUAUUUCCAACAUUUCAUGAGGUUUUAUCGAUUUCCAUCUCAUAUAUAUAUAUAUAUUUCAGAAUUUUCAUUGAUAUUUGUUUAUAUAUCUAUAAACUAGAACUAAUGAUAUAUCAGUAAAAAUCAAUAUUUUCAUUCUUAUUUAACAUAAGAAAGAAAAUUAUUCAAAUGGUGCAUAAAUUAAUGUGAUCUCCUGAUGAGAAUGACAACAACAACCAUGAGUCAUAGUUAGUGUAUGUGUGUGGUAAAUUAACUUAGUGUUUGAUAAAAUAAUUAUUUAUCAUCAUUUAAAAUUUAAAAAUAAAUUUAAAUAUUAAAUCAAAAUAAUUAACUUAUUCUAAAUACUAAAUUUUUUUAUUCUCUUUGUUCAUAUUUGGUGAUAACCAUGCUUUAUUUUUAGAAUUCUUUUUUUUAGUAAAUAUUUUUUAGUUAUUUUGUAGCUUCACAAUAGUACUUUUUAAUAUAAAUGUUUAACAAGCUUAAGUUUAUGAAGAUAAUUAUUAAGAAAAAUUAAUGAGUUUAAAUAUAUCAAUAUAAUAACUUUAAAAAAAUUAAGUUGAUUUUACCAAAAUUAAAGUAAAAAUAAUUCAUCUUAAAAUUAAUUUCAAUAAUUCGGUAAUAAGGAUUAAGUUGUAUCAUAUACUCUCUUAAUUAAAAAAUGACAUAACUUCUUUCAACAACUUCUUCAUUCUACUUUUGAAAAAAUAAGAUAAAUUAAAUUAAAAAUUAAAGUGAUAUUUAUUUAUUUAUUUAUGUCUAAAAUUUAAUGUACUUGAAUUUGACUUAAAUCUAACUAUAACUUAAUAUCAUUAAGUGUCUAGACUCUUUUUUUUUAUUAGUGUCUAAAUAUUAUUAACCGUUAAAUUGUUUAUUUUUAUUAAUAUCAAAAUAUGUGAAGUGUUAAAUUUAUUUAUUUUUGGUUAAAAACAUUUACAAAAGUAAUUGUUAUAUUUCUUCUUAUUUUAAUUUGAAAAGUUAUAAUUUAACAAAAUAGUAAUUUAAUUAACACAUCUAAAAAUAUUAUAAUACAUUAUCAAAGUAAAAAUUUUAUAAUGAUAAUUAUGUAAUUAGUAAAUAAUAUUAUUGUACAAUCCAUUGUUCCAUGUCGUAUAUUAUAGCAUAGUUGUGCAUACCCAUCAGUGCAUAGACAUAUCUUUUGAUAAUCUAUCAUGAAUGUCUCGUGGACUCUACAGGAAGUAUGUAGCUAUUAUAGUAUAAAGAUGGCGUAGGAAGAGGCUCCAGGUUUAGUAGUUCACACUCAACCAUAGCAAUAGGGAAUAUAUUGCACAUUAUUUCCAUCUAAAAGAAAGAUAGAAAAGACCUUAUAAAUGGAACUUUUAGAUAAAAACUAAGGGUCACAAUGAGAUGACUCUAAGAAGGAUCACCUCAAUCUCAAUCUUAUGUCAUUUAUUUAUAUUAAAUGGGGUGAGAUAAGACAAAAUUAUAUUCGAACCUGUCCUGAACUUGGUCUGAGGCCAAGAAGGGUCUCUAAAAUAAUAAGCCUCAUUGUCAUUCUUAGGUACACAUCUAUACCAAUGAAAGUUUUUACAUCUAUUAAAAAAUUCAAUGUUCCCGAUGUUAAUUAACUUCACUAGACUACAUACACUUAAAAUGCAUGAAAAAAUGUCAAAAUUCUCAACCAAUUAAUGACAUAAACUAAAAUCAAGUUUAGUACAUCAUAACCCUAAAAUACCUCCAAACCCCAUUUCUUGUAAGACCCCCUUCUGAUUAGGUUGCAAAUGUUGAAGUACUUUAUACACUUAAUUAGGUGAACAACAAGUGUCAAGAUAAGACUUCAAGCCAUACAUAUACAUAUGCAUAUAUAUUUAAAAUUGAAAGAAAAUAUUAUCAAAUUUUAAAAAGAUAAAUUUCAAAUUUUUUUUUUACCUUUGAUACAUUUUUUGAGCUUGUACCCUUUUGUUUUACAUAUUCAUUGGAGCAUUUCUUUGACUUCCCAAAGAACUUUUUUUUUUCUAGGACUAAAAACUUUUUUCCUUAAUCGACUUGGGAUAUUAUAUACACCCACAACCUAACUUAGUAGUUUUAAAAUUAAUUGGUUAAAAAGAAUGAAAUAAUCCCAAAAUUUGUAAAUAUAACAAGAUUGUGUUUUUACUUGAAAAGUAGCCCAUUUUGACAUAAAUGUCUUUCGCCAUUUCAAUUAUUUACAUUUAAAUUUAAAAAAAAAGUUAUGACAUUUUUGUCAAAAGAAGGACACAAAAAGAUCAAAAGUUAAAUUUCCAGAUUUAGUUUUUUAAUAGAUAUUUUAAUAAAAUAAACCUUAGUUUUAUAUCACAUAAUGUUUCUUCUUUAUUGUUCUUUAAUCCCUUUUAUUUAUUUAUUUAUUUUAUCAUACACGACCUAUUAAAUUUGAAAAUUUUAACAAUUUCUUGCAGUGCAUGCCUACGUGCUUAUCACAUGAGCUUCUCCAUCUAUACUAGCUAGGGAUCCAUUUGAUAAUUUCUUUUAGUGUCCACAUGCUUAUCACAUGGACCUCUUCACUUCUAUUAAUAGGGGUCCAUUUGGUAUUUCAAAAUAGUUCAAGGGCUUUGCUUAAGAAAAGCUUAGAGACUAGUUCGAAACAAUGUUUUUAGAACCCAACUAGUUAUUGAAUAAAAAAAGUUAUUGAUUCAUUGUCUAGUGGUCAAAUUAAUGUUUGAACUGCAGUCAAAUUGGUGACAUCAUAAAUAUAUAAAUUAUAUAUUAAAAAAAAUUAUAAAAUUAUAAAACUUAUUUUUCAUCUUUGACAUUUCCAAACUUAAAUCAUGAAUAAAUAUAAAUAUAUUAAUAUUUUAAAUUUUAUAAAUAAAAUUUGUGUAACAUUCAUAUGUAAAGAAAUAUAUUUAAAUAGAAUAAAAUUCUUUUGUUCAUAAUUUAUUUUACUUAUAUUAUAUUAUUUAGUUGUAUUACAAAAUUUAAAAUAAUUAUGUUAAUUUAGGUUUAGUUUGCAUUUUUUAAAUUAUAAUCAUUAAUAACAAAGUGGUGAUAGCCUAAACAUGAUCUAAAGGUCCAUGGUUCAAACCCUUGGUUCCUCAUCAUUUUCCUGGUCUCAUUAGGUGGGCUAGGCUUGGUAUGCGAAGGGCUAACCUUCCACCCAUGAUCCAACCUUUUAGUUGAUGAAAAAAGAAGGCUAACCUAGAAUCGAUAGACCAUGGUUCAAAGUUGUGGUUGCGGUCACUAACUUGGAGGGUCUUGCGGCACAUUGGUCUUGACAUCUUAGCUUGAUAUUAGAUGAUAUGUAAAAUAAGAUAAAUAAAAAUUAUAAAAUUAUAAAAUAUUAUAAUAAAUAUUUAAAAAAUAAAUAUAAUUAAAUAAACUUAAAAUUUAAUAAAAUAAAAUAUUAUGAAAAUUAAAAUUGUUCAAUAAAUUUUUAAUAUUGAAAUUGAAAACAAAAACUCUUUAAUUACCAAACUCAAAUUAAAAAAUAAAAUAAAAUGUGAUGAUUUUUACCACACAUUAGCAUUUAAAAAUUGAAACAAUAAAAUAACAUAUAUUAUUGAUACUAUCAUUUAAAACAACAAAUAUAUUGUUGAUAAUGGCAUUUAAAACUAUAAAAUAGUGCAUUAGACCUGCAUUCAAAUCUUCAAUUCUCAAACACCACCAACCCACCCAUGAAUAGAGAAAGAGAAGAGAACCCUAGCAAAAGUAGAGAGCUUCAAUUCUCAAAUCUUCAAUUUUCUUUUUAUGUGUUCAAGUGAUUUUUAUUUGUUAAAUGAUUCCAGCUACUACUUGGGUCUAGUAUUUCCUUGGUGUAUAUAUCAUGCACUUCUCAGUAGAAAGCCCAUAGACUAAUAUAAAGGAGAAACAAGUUUUUAUUUAUUUGCAAUGCCUAAUAUAAAAUUUAAUAAGCACCUAAUUUUUUAUUUCAGCUAUGAAUGAUAUUUUUCUCUAGAUCAUAAGUACGUUGGUUGAAUUAAAAAAAAUUUAUACCAUUUCAGCCACUAAUUAAUAUCAUGCAAUAGAAAAACAAAAUUGAAAUUUGGGAUAAUAAAUAUCAUUAAAGUACAAAGAAAGUAACUUAUUGGGAGCAAAUUCUUCACAACCUGGCAUUCGCCUUUAGAUUGAAUAAUUUAUUAAUAAUCUCCUCUUUCUUUCUAAACUUCACCGCUGUUUAUGAAAGUUUCUAAAAACCAAAGCCCAAAGCCUAGACUAUAAAAAGGAAACAAUCACUUGGAGAGGGGUUGUUUGUUUUUCUUGGGAGCCUAAUAAAUGCAACGGCAUAGACAGAAAGAGGCGGAAGAGUUGAGUCGGAGGAUCAAGAAACACAACCAUUCUUCUCUUUCAUUUCUAUACAUAUCCUUCCAUGCAUUCUCUGGCUCUCCCAUUCUCUUUUUCAAAGCUACAUCUUUCCUCAUAGACCCUGUUUGGUUUCUAAGAAAGUGGUCUAGGUCUCUUUCUUUUUCUUGAUUUAUCUUUGGUUUACAAGAAUCAGGAGUGAAGUAAAGUGGGCUCUUGAUUUAUGUUUGAUUUUUCUUAUUCAAACCUAUGUUUUGAUCUUUUCUCUCCAGCUCUUGUGGUCUAGGUCUAAUAUGCGUUGUGUUUUCUUUCUUUUUUCUUGGUUUUUGUUUGGUUUUCCAAGAAAGUGAAGGAAAAGGAACUCUUUACUCUCUUGGCAUAUUCCACUUAGGAUUGUCCUCCUACAUCCUUUGAUGCUUUAGUGUUUGGUCAUUAGUUGUUUUUAAGCCCUUAUUGAUGGUCCAUUAAGACAUUUUAAAGGGAUUAGGCGGAUCCCUAUCUUGAUUUUAGUGAUUUUUGAAUCUUAGUUUUAAUUGAUUUAUAACAUAUUUAGGCUUGUUUAGAACUUUUAAAAUUCAUAAUUUUGAAUGUGCCAAAUACCCCCUUCCAUCAAUUCCAACUGCAGCAACUGCCAUUCAAAGAUGCUAGCCACAUAUUAAACCCAUGCAUGAACCCCCAGCCAGAUACCCAUUUUUUCCUCCAUCCAUCAACCACCUUCUUACUCCCACCACCGCCACUGCUCACCAUUCCCACUUCUCCUCCACCACCAUGGCCACCACCGCUUCUGGCUCUGUCUUCCUCCUUCUGCUCCUUGCUGCCAGCGCUGCCGUUGAUGGCAGAGUCAUAAGCAACCGCACAUCGUCCACCGGCCUAGUCUCUGACGGCGUCCACGACCACCGCAAUGGUUUGCCUUAUCUUCUUCUCAGGUCUUUUUCGGCCGUUUCAGCCUCGGAUUCAUGUGAUCAUAUAGUAAACCCAAAUGGAAAUCAAACCUUCACAACCCGCUCACCUUUCCGAUGCCCGUGAUGAUCAAGUCUGGCACUCGAAAGAGAGAGGACAACUGGGUCAUCUCCCUCUUCGUGAUCCUCCACAUUGGGCCCUUCUUGCAUCGCCUUGGAUUUGAAACUGACCGGUUUAGAACCAUAACUCCUGCACGCGAGAGAGAUCACCAUAAGCCAUGCAAGGGAGCAUGCCAGUCACGUUCUCUAACUGCCAUGCAUCCGGUGAAGCGGUUUUGCGAGGAGAAGCCUCCAGAAGAGAAUCUUUUCGGUUGCGGGAAUAUAAAGAUCACGCCAGAAAGAAUAAAGAGGGCUGUUCUAGAGACUUCGGAGGAGGAGAGAGGAAAGGAAAACUGACAUAGAGAGUCUCUGUUUCUGGGCGUUUUUUGGAAGAGAGUUCAAAGAUCUUCUUUCUGUAGAAGAUCAUCACAUGCACCGAUUCAAAGAAUUUAGAGAACUUCUCGUUAGAGUCAAGGUUCUCAUCAUUCUAGACCUUCAUGAACAUCUUCUUCACGGCGGCAUUGGCAUCCCGAUUCCUGAACCUCCAUGAUUGAUUGAUCUCCAUCAUCUUCACGAUCGUGCACAAGUUCUGAAAGUAGAGACGUGAAUCUCUUCAUCGUCUUCACUCUCUAUACUUGUAUCUCGAAGGUUAUCCCGGUUUCUAUGUGCAUCGGAUCUCCAUAGGAAAAAUUAGAGAAUGAAUAGAGGUUGACUGUCAGCCCCUUAGACCCUUGACUUAACCAUGGAGGAAUAGGCCUCAUGGGUAGGCCUUGCACCCAUGAAAGCCUAGGAUGAAAGCAGGGAAAUCCUGGAGGUUUGGUGGUUCAAACUCUAGGAGGCAUGUGAGGAGGCCGCAGGUGAGCCAGACAAGCACUGCGCGCGCAUCGCGGGCGAGGCAGACACGCACCACGCGCACACAGUGGGCAAGCCAGACGCGCACCGCGCGCGCACAGUGGGCGAGCUAGACGCGCACCGCAUGCACACCACAGGCGAGCCAGACAUGCACCGCGUGUGCACCAGAUGGGCAUCGCGCGCGCAUCUGACUUAGGUGGUGCAGAUGAAGGCUGAGGGACUUGGAAUUUUAAUUUAUAAUUAAAAUUAUUAUUCCAUUAUGCCUUCUCAGACAUAUUGAUGUCUCCUCAAGAAACAAUGAAAAUGGCUCGUAUUGCUCUUUAAGGGGGGGGGUAGGUGACUCAAAGGAGGGAGCCACCAAGAGAAGCCUUGACCGCACCAAGGGGGCACCAUGGCAUGGCCUUGGGCGUGCCUAAGACACACGACAUGACUCGAGCACGCACACAUGGGCUCCACGACAUGUGUGGUGUGCACCCCAUGGCCGCAACGGCACGGGGCCUGGUGCGGCCUGACCCCUCCCCGUGCAGGCACGAGGGAACCUAAGCCUUGUGCGGUAAGCCAGUUAAUGAAACCAUGGGCACAAUGCCAUGGUCUGAUGGCUCCAAUAGCUGACUCGCAUCAAGAUGCCUACGCAAAGCACAGGGUGCAAUGCCCUGUGCACCAAGAGGGAUCAGUCAUGGGCGCAAUGCCAUGGCUCGUUGCUUGGAAGCUGGGAAGCAAGCAACAAGCCCAAGCCAUGGGCACCUAGACAUGGCAUGGGUUCAUUCAUUAGUGUGGGGAAGGCACACUGAUGCACUAGACGCUUGGUCAAAUGGGUGGAGCACGUUGCCUGGCUUAGAGGGCCUUGAUCAAAGACAUGCUGAUGGGCACCUGGUCACAAGAGGCACCUUACGGGGGAGGGGUCAGCUUGUUAGGGGGACUCACCAGUAGCUUGGCGAGCAAGACCUGAGGAGAUGGCAGUGCAGCUAGCUAGUGGCAGCUAGCUCAGUGACCAAGUCAAGCCGUCAUUUGAACUGCAGUUGGCUGAGGGAUGAUGGCUGGUGCAAGUGGGUGGCAUGUGCAGGCCACUAUCUAGGUGGUGGGUGGUUAUGCAGGGCAGUUGAGGGCGGUUCUGGCCAGUUGCAUAACCACCAAAGUUGGCUUCAAGAUUUGAAUUGGAAAUUCAAAUUUGUAAUUGCAGCUUGAGUCUUUUAAAAGGGCUCCUGCAGCCUUCAAACAGGGAGAGAGAGUUUUGGGGAAAGGGUUCCUUCUCGUAUGCCUUGGGUGAGAGCAUUGUACUCUAGUUCAGGAAGCAAUUUUGUCUUGCAAGAGUGAUUAAUACAAGUUAGGAAAGGAUUCUCGUAACCUCAUGUGUCCCUGUUGCUUUGUUAUUUCUGUGUUCUACUCUGUUUUUCUAAACGUUAGGAUGGAAGGUUGGCUAAGGACUGGUCCUUAGCACCGCGCACUCGUGAAAAAUUCAGUGAGAUAUUCAGGGGUAUGACACUGACCAUGAUUACUAUAUCUAGAUAUAUGUUAUGGAAUAAUGGCAGUUGUAGUAAAUAAUACACAAUGGGUUACAGGAUAAUGUUGAUGCUUGUUGAUUUUUUUAAUAAAUACUACAUAUAGAAAAGUAGAUGUAUAACCAGCCAUAAGUGUUUUUAGUGGCUCUUGAUUACAAGUUAUUGUGCCUUGUUCAUAUGUAUUAUUUUUUUCUUCUACAUGUUUAGUGUUGUCAUUUUAGUUCCAAGUAUAAUAUUCGAUUCCUUAAUUCUAAUCUUUAUUGCCAAUAUUUUCACUUUAUUCAUGAUUUUUUUGAAUACAUGUUAGUUUAGGUUGGGUGUGGACAAUUUGGGCUACGCAUGAGUGUUGUUAGAAUUUGAUAUUUAGGAAACUAAAUGAUUAAAUGUGGAUUGCUUGGUGAAUUAUGAUUGAGAUUGAGUUAUUUUUUUCUCUUUUUAUUCAAAACUUCUUUUCAUCUAAAUAAGUCAUUGGAUAAUCACAUGAUAAUUGGCUUUGAAUAAAUUCUCCUCAUUUUGAUUCUUAGAAAUUUGAUUUGUCUUAAUUUUCUAAAAUAAUUCACACAUGUACAUUUACAUUUUUUAAUAAUCCAAAUUUAAAAAUAUACAUGAACCGUUUUCCUUUUUUGGAAAAUUGAUUUUAUACCUCAUUCAUAACAAGAUCAAUCUUAGUCUCUUUGAUAAUGGAUGGCUUUUGUAUUUAAAACCUAUCUUAGUCUCUUUUAAGUAGAAAAUUUCAAUUUCUAAAAAGAAUAAUGCUGCCCAUUUUAUUUGGUAUGCAACUUUGAAAGGUUUUAAAAUAUUUUUCCCUUAAUCUAGACUUCUUAAAUUUAAUUUUUGACAUAUUAAAUAUUAAGAAAAGAUUUCUGAAAUGAGAGAUAUAAUUUUUUUCUUUUUGACCUUGCUGCACCUAUGCUCCCCUAGAGCUGAAGGAUGUUUACUUAUUUUUAAAUGUGUCAUGAAUGUAACAUUGCCUUGUGAUUAUUAUUUUUUAUUAAAAAUAGACAUGUUAGCUAGUUGUACGAAUUUUUGUAUGAUUUUAGGACAUCUCCAAGUUAAUUAAAAAAAUAAGUUCUUGAGUAUUUUAACAAAAUGCCCUGUUCUGAACCUACUAAUAUCAUUAUGAAAUCUAGUACUAAAUGAGAGCUAAUUGAUAAAUUGGAUGAUAAAGUAGACAUAUAGAAGAUAUUCUUUGAAAAUUUUUGUAAUGAAAUUCAACUUCUAGAUAUUUGUUUUUGAUUUAUUAUAUCCCCUGUUUUGACCAUUUGCUGACUUUUUUUUUUUCUUUUUUUUUUUUUUUUUGUAAAAGAACUCAUUUGUAAAUAAAUUUGACAUUGAUUAUAUAUAAGUUUAGUUUGUAAUUCCUUUUUGAAUUCAUUACUAUUAUUUGUGAGUUAAUCUCAUUUCUAUGAAAAUGCUUUAAGAUGCUAAAACAGGUAUGCAAACCCUCUUUUCAUAAUUUAUUUAAAUUAAAGCUUAUGAUUGAACAUUGUCUAUUAGAGUUUGCUAGUUGUGUUGAGAUUUAUGACUUUAAAUUUGACUUGUUAUGGAAUAUGUGAUUGCUUAGAAUACAAUGUGAUGCUAUUGCUUGUUAUCUAACUUUUGUGUUUUUUGGAACCGCUCAAAUUAGGUAUGCCUUUCUUCAUAUAAUUGAUGAAUUGUAUUGAUGUGUUUUAUUUAGUUCAUAGUAUCCAUGAAUCAACCAAUUGAUCUUCGGAAUUAUUUCAAUUUACUUAGUAGAGACCUAGCUUUUAGGGCUUAGAGGGACGCUAUAGUUCUUCAUUGUACCUUCCUGAUAAGUAAUCUGAUACUCGAACUUAGACUCGGGUUUUCAAAGACAAGCAUUUCUAAAUAAAAAGGAGUCAUUUUCUAGGGUUUUUCUUUCUUAUUUUGUUUGUCAUUUUAAAAAAAUAAAACGAAAAUAAGUGGUGACUCCAUUAUUUAUAAAAUUGGUUUUUCACAAACAAAAAGUGAGUGUUGCCAUCGAGUGAGAAUGCAUGUGAAAAUGCGGGAUCACAAACGGUGAAGUAAAGUGGUUCUUGAUUUAUGUUUGACUUCUGUUUUUUAAACCUCCAUUUUGAUCUUUCCUCUUCGGUUCUGUUUGGUUUCCAAGAAAGUGGUCUAGGUCUAAUAUGGACCAUAGUUUCUUUCUUUUUCUUGGUUUUUGCUUGUGUUUUUCUUUUUCUUGGUAUAUCUUUGGUUUACAAGAAACAGGAGUGAAGUAAAGUAGGUUCUUUAUUUUUGUUUGGUACUUUGGUUUCUCGUUCUCAAACCUACGUUUUUAUCUUUCCUUUUAUGCUCUGUUUGGUUUCCAAGAAAGUGGUCUAGAUCUAAUAUGCACUGUGCUUUCUUUCUUUUUCUUGCUGUCUGUUUGGUUUACAAGAAGCAGGAAUGAAGUGCAGUGCAUUCUUGAUUUCUAUUUGGUUUCGAAUAAAGUGAAGGAAAAUGAUGUCUUGCUUGUUAUAUAAUCAUUGAUAAGACGCCCAGGGUAAGAACCUCAUAUUCCUAAAAACAUGCUUACCAAUGAUUUUGCUUGAGCUCUUAGAAAUAAUCUCAAAUAAUCUCACUUAAAGCUCUCAAAUAGUAAUCUAUGUCCACCAUGAUAAGACAUGAUGAAAUAAGCCCCACAAAAAUAGUAUUUCAGUGCCAUUAUUUGAACCCAAGAUGAGCCCCAUGGCUCUAUCGUUUGCCUUUCUCAAGCAAACCCUACAAAGUGAAGGCUUCUUUUCUAUUAUUUAACUGUGGAGUGAGGUAACCACAAGGGAGAACCAUCAAGUAGACGCUAUCUCUUUUGCUUUCACUCUUUAUCACUGCUUUAAGUCUAAUUAUGCCUUAGAAGUAGAAACUAUGCACUAACCAUUCUCAGGUCCCACAACCCACUAUUCAUAAGCAUCAGAGUGAUGCUGUGCAUGAAGAUACUUGUACAAGGGUUUUAUGUCAUGCAACUUUCGGUGAAUCCAAUAUGUUACGAACUCCACAAAAACAAUAUAUGCCAUGAUGUACACCAAGUAGGCAAACCAGCCAACUUCACUUAUUCUUGAAAAGCACUUUGUCCACCCAUUUUCGACUGCAUACUCUGAAAAUGUUGGGAGAGCAGCAAACCAGGGAAAACUCCUCAUGGAAGCUUUGACGUGCAAAACAAAAAUGCACUAUUGGAAUAACAUGUAAUUAAGAGCUCAAGAAGACAUGCCAUUCCCUAAUGAAACAACGCUAAGCACUAUUGGAAUAAGCACGCAUUUAAACAAAACUGACAUAGAGAGUCUCUGUUUCUGGGCGUUUUUUGGAAGAGAGUUCAAAGAUUUUCUUUCUGUAGAAGAUCAUCACAUGCACCGAUUCAAAGAAUUUAGAGAGCUUCUCAUUAGAGUCAAGGUUCUCGUCAUUCUAGACCUUUAUGAACAUCUUCUUCACGGCAGCAUUGGCAUCCCGAUUCCUGAACCUCCAUGAUUGAUUGAUCUCCAUCAUCUUCACGAUCUUCACGAUCGUGCACUAGUUCUGAAAGAAGAGACGUGAAUCUCUUCAUCGUCUUCACUCUCUAUACUUGUAUCUCGAAGGUUAUCCCGGUUUCUAUGUGCAUCGGAUCUCCAUAGAUGAACUCGGAUUUUGCAUUGAUCUGAAUCUCAAGCAUGCAUUAUUUCCAUAUUGUGCUGCCAAACUUGGUGUUUUUCUUCAUUUAUUCUUCACCACAACAGUUGGACAUAAAGGUUAGUCUCAAUGAAUCUUUACCAUUUGAAUUAGUUUAUUAAUGAUUUUUAAGUUAUUCAUUGAUGAAGUUAAGGCUAAUAGAUGAAAUUGGUUUGUUGAUUUUGAAACUCACGGCUGUUUGUGACAUGCUUUUAUCAAAAUUAGAGAAUGAAUAGAGGCUGACUAUGAUUACUAUAUCUAGAUAUAUGUUAUGGAAUAAUGGCAGUUGUAGUAAAUAAUACACAAUGGGUUACGGGAUAAUGUUGAUGCUUGUUGAUUUUUUUAAUAAAAGCUACAUAUAGAUAAGUAGAUGUAUAACCAGCCAUAAGUGUUUUUAGUGGCUCUUGAUGACAAGUUAUGAUGCCAUGUUCAUAUAUAUAUAUAUAUUAAUUUUUUCUUUUUUUAAUCCUAUCUAUGUUGUUGAUAUUAAUGCAUUGAAUUUGAUGUUACCUAAAACAAAAUUAUAUUCAUGUCCUCUAUUAUAAGUGGACAACCAUUCUUUAUGUUAGAUUUUAGAUAAAGAACGAAUAUUGAAGAUUGGAGUUGUAAGAAAUUAGGAGAUCCUAAUUUUAAAUAUGUAACAAAGUUCUAUAAUCACUUCAAUCCACAUUUAAAAAUUGUAUUUCUUUCUAAAAUGGGAUCAAACUUUUUCCUUCUUUCUUAUAAAUUUCAUUUGGGAAUGAUUUAAAAAUAAAUAAAUAAAAGCCCUUCUAAAUAUUAAAAAAACACUCUCUUAUAAAAUUUAAUUAGGUGGAUGGUUAGGUCAAAUUCGGGAUAGCUUCAUAUUUUUUGCUUUAACUGAAAAUUAAAAUCAAAAUUAAAGUAAUAAUUUUUAAGAUGUUGUAAAAGUUAUAUUAAACAUGAAAGAACUUAUUGUGUAAACAAAAAUAGAAUUAUAGAAUUCUUAUAAGAAAUAACAUUUUUAUGACUUCUAUAUGAAACUUUUUAAAAAAUUUAUCAGUUUUUCUUUUUAAAAAAUAAUUAAAUAGGUAUAAAAAACUUUUAUUCAACUUAAUUUUUUUUAACUCUUGAAAGUAAAUCCAAAUAAAAUUUAAAUAUAUUUGAAAAUCAUUUUCAAAAAUCCAAAAAAUCACCUAAAAAUAAUUUCAAAUUUUUUUUAUUUACAUUUAAAUACUAAGUGAUUCUUUUAAAAAUCAUUUGUAAUGUCAAAAUAUUUUUUUAUGGAUAAAAAUAUUACAAAUAAAAAACAUUUCAAUCACAAUUAAUUUAUUUUUAAUUCAUGAAAUUUCAUUUAUUGUUACUUAUUUUUUGGGAUUUAAUUCUUUACAAUUAUUUUUGAGUGUUUACAUAGAAUAAUUAGGUUAUGCCCAAAUUUAUUCCUUUAACUCUAUCCAUCAGAUAUAAGUAUCGUGAAAUUUUGGCCUGUCUCCACCUUUCUUCGCUUUUGACAUUGUCAUGCACUGCUUCCUCAACUCCAAACACAACCGCUGAGGAUCGAAGAAAAUGAGACAAUGGUCAAUGAAUAAUUUAUUAAUUUUUUUCUUAAUUUAAUAGCAUUGGAAUGUCAGUUGGAACAAACCAUUUGAUGAUCUUUUUCAUAAGUAUCCAUUUAGAUCAUAGUCUUUUUAAAAUAUUAGAAUAAAUCAAUUAGUCUAAGCUAUAUCAUUUAUAAUUUUUUUAUUAUUAAUAUGAUACCUAUCCUUUCACGGAAUUGAAAUAAAAUAUGAAUAAUUAAAAAAUGUCAACUAUCCAUGAUAUUUGAUACCAAACUUUUCUAAUACAACAUGAUAUCAUGUUGAAUGAAAUGGGAAUCACCAAAUGUUCUCAAAUCAAAGAUAUAUCUACAGGGGACACGUCAAAUUCUCUUUUUAUAAUCAAAGGCUUCCAAAAAAAUUCAACCAUAGCAUAUCUCAAAGAUUAGUCAAAUUCCAUUAUUUUUAUAGACUUCUAACAAUUCAAGAAAUUGACAUUAAUAAUCCCAAACACAAUAUUCUGCAACUUUACAUUAUUCUUUUUAUUGUAAUUGAAGAGGAAUACCAACUUAGUCAAAUAGAAAAUAAAUCAUGAAAGCUGAAUAAUACAAAUAUUCAGUGAAAUCUUUGGCAUGUUAUUUCUUUGCAGCUUCAACAUGGUGGCAUGUCGGAUGGAGGAGGCAGCAUUUGAGCUUCUGGGUGUUUACCAUUUUUCACUAUGAAUGCAGUUUCCAUGCCCCAAGUCACAUGGCGUUCUACAUGGCAAUGCAGGAACCACACUCCUGCAACAGAGAAAAUAUAUCGAGAUUACACCUAACUUAAUUGUAAUAUUAAAAAAAAAUUAUUUCAUUGGUAUGCAAGUUGGCAGUAUCAAGGGUUUUUUUCUUUAAUAGAGGACAUGAGUGCUUGCAACGUACCAGGGUUGGAUGCCUUGAAUCUGAUUGCAACCCAACCUUUCGAAGGAACAGAGAUGGUAUUCUGAAGGGGAGGAUCCACCAAAUUAUAGUGCAAAGGGUCCCUAUUUUCAUCGAAAUUCCUAAAUCCCCAUCCAACAACAUAGAAACUGUAUCCAUGGAGAUGCAUAGGGUGGUGUGUCUCUGCAAGCACGGCUGUCCCUUGAAGAACAAUCUCCACUGUGGAGUUAUACUCGAGCACCCUUACUUCUGUUCCACUGCUCGGCAACUGAUAGAUUAAUGGAAGAUAAUCAUAUGUAAAAUCGAACACUAGUGGUGGAAAGCUAGGAAAGUUAUUUCCAUAUACACCACUGAUGUUAUAAUAGUAAGCUUCCAGUAUGUCAACCGUAGGGGUAUGGAAGCUUAUGUUGUUUAUACUUGAGGAGAACCGCGUCCCAUUUGGCCCUGCACAUGAAUCAUUGACGCAUGGGUACGAGUUCAUAGAAAGAGUGUAAAACAACUUAGUGCUCGUGCUCAAUGGGACAUUGCAAGGAUGUUCCGCAUUUGCUAAGCUUCGGAGGCCGGCCAUGACCUGAACUGAUGCAUCUGUGUCAUUGUAUGCAGGAAGAUGAGGCAAAGAGGAGGUGAAGAUGGAGUGUAGUAUCCCCUAUAUUGUACAAUAGCUGUGGUGGUUGUGUUAUCAUAAAAGCCUUGAUAUUUCGGGGCAACAGAAUAAGUUAUAGCCGCCAUGUAAUAGUGAUUUGGGCGUUGGUUAGCUUCUAAUAAGACAUCAUAGGUUUGGCCAGGAAAUAUUGUGAUAUAAUCUCGUGUCAAUGGUUUCGUGUAGCUACCAUCUGUUCCAACCACUAUCAUUUUAUGCUUGGCUAUGGCGAAGAAGAGAGCCUCAUGCAAGGCAGCAUUGAUUAUGCGAAGUAGAUAGGUCUUUCCAUGAUCCACCGUUAGCUUGAAUGUGCCUGUAAUUAGAAAGGGAAAGUUGUAUACUUAUGACUAGCAAAAAGAAAAAGAAAAAUUUUCCAUGAGAAUCCACCAAUUAUGAAGUGAUUGAUUAAUUAAGGGUGUAAAUUUGGCUCCAUAGUUCAAAAUUAUAUUUGGACUAGCCUUUUCUGAUGUGUUAAAUCAUGGCUCUACCAUCCUUAUAGCUAUAUUCCUCUUUCUUAGCAUUAACCUCUAAAUAUGUUGAUGUUAAUAAGAAAAAGUAGUAUGGUUAACAUAUAGGAAAAUGAAAUCAUGUACAAUUUUAAAAUGGGAAGUUAAACUUUGUACCUGAUUUUGAGCAUGGAAAUAGAUCACCGGGUUGUCCAUUUAUCAAUAAAGCAUCGGAGGAGUUAGGGUCACCUCCGGUUGCAAGCCCUUGAUCUCGAACCUCAUUCACAUCCCUCUUCCACCAUUCUCCUGCGUUUCAACAACUUCAAUAAUUUUAGAUUUUGCUUUGUUGGUUAAUUCAUAAUAUGUAAAUUAACCUUUAAAAGUAACAACACUUAUACCUAAUAUGAUGGGGACUUCUGCGUUAGGUUUGUGAAAAGGAUACUUGGUUCCAUUCCUGGGAUAGAUGAUUAUAGCUCCAUGAACAGUGGCUCGGGUCCAAUCACUGUGAGCAUGCCACCAUAGAGUGCCUUCCUCAGUGGAAAGGAUGAUCUUCUGGGUAAACUUUGACCCUGGCUGAAUUGGGCAUUGUGUGAUAUACUCGGGACCAUCUGUCCAUGGAUAUCUAGGCAUGGUCACCCCAUGCCUGUGAAACCAUAACCAUAUGUUAAAACUAGUACUAAUUUUCAAAGUAACAAAAGAUAGCAUGUAACAAGCAUCAACUGUAUUUCAAUGGAUAUGAAGAAAAUAACCCUAAAGUAUUGUUUUAAAUUUGACUUUAUUUUCAAAGCAAUAUAUUGCGGCCCCCUCUUAGAAAUAAAAGAAUUUAAGCCAUGUCUUUCUCUAAGACACACACAGGGCCUACCAGUGAAUGGUGACGUUUUCUUUUCCCCUGUUAUAAACGUCGACAAUGAUUGUCUCUCCUUUCAUAGCAUAUAUAGUUGGUCCCGGAAAUUGUCCAUUUACUGUUAAGAUGUUCUUGGCGCUACAAAGCCUUGUAUAUGAAGCUUCCCUCACCUGCAACCAAUUAAAAGUUAACCAUGCAAUCUCAUCCCAAAAGAAAUAUUACAUGUAUGAAUAGUUCCAUCGAUCCAUUCAUGUAAGUGUAUAACCAAUUAGAAAUUGAUGGCAUGGAUGAACGACUCAACGACACCCAUAACAUGCAUGAACAACUCAAUGACACUAGGGUAAGAGGUCAUAUGGUAGAAAAUGAGAGCCAUACUACUCCUUAAAUAUCAUGAUUAGAAGGUGGUGUUUAGGCCAAUAUCAUAUAUAGUAUUUACCACAAAAGUAAGCUGACGGGUCGAAGCUUGGCAAUGGAUGCCACCACCAAAAACUAGAAACGCUAAAAUUUGCAAGAGGAAAACCUUCAUGAUCAGCCACAUUUUCCUUGGAAUAAAAGCCUCUUCUCUUCUCUUGUCCUAAACACAACUCCUUCAAUUCUCUUACUACUUUUGAUGUAUUUCUUUCACAUGUGAUUCAUUAUAUAGGCAUGGUAAUUCUCUCGGGAUACAAUACUUCCUCUCCACGUGUCAAUAUAAGAGGAAGUGAUUUGAAUGUGUAUUGGUUUUCAAUGUUCUUAUGAUAUUUCUUACAUGAGCAGGACCAUUCAAAAUAAUUAAUUAUGAUAUUUCUUACAAGUUACCUACACGUUACCUUAGAAUAUAUAAAUUUUAAAUAUUCUUUCACAAGUCCAACAAAUGUUAAUUAAUUAAAUAUAUGUAGAAUACUUUUAAAACUUUGACCUCCCGUAUGAGUACCCUUAUCAAGAUCAGUCAUGAAAACUGUUUUUCAUUGACAACUACUUUUAAGAAUUAUUUUAAAAUUAUUUUUGAAGAAUUAUUUUUAUAAACAUUAUUUAACCAACCCUUAUUAUUAAUUUUACUUGUUUUCGUGUUACUUAAGAUAAUUAAUAGUGCAGAACCCAUGACUUUGGUGGUUGGUGGCAAAGUUGUUUUCGUAUUGUUACGUAAUGCAAUUAUAAUAAUAAUAAAAUAAUUAAUUUUACUUGUUUUCGUCUGAAUGGGACAAAGUUGUUUCCCUUUUUUUUUUAAACCUGAGAAUUGAGAUUGUAAAAGACAAGAUGAUAAGCUAAUUCGGUAUUUCAGAAUUUUUCAUAAAAAACACAAAAAUAUAUUUUGUAAAAAGUUGAAAAUAGGAUACGAACAACCCCUUGUAGUAUUUUUUUCUCAACAAAAAGCAAUUUAAUUAUAAUAAUAAUAAAUAAUUAUAGAUUUAAAAAAAAAUAUUUUUUUUUUGGGGCAAUUUCUAGUAGUUCCAACUCCCAAAAACUUCUCCACCUUUGAUCUUUUAUUUGGUUAGGUUGGGUUGGGUCACCUCGACUUGGGCACCCACCCAACUCCAACAAUAUUUAAGUAAUUAAUAAAGUAAAUGAUUGAAUUACAAUGAACAAGUAUAAUGAUCAAAAUAAAAAUAAAAAAAUCUUUUUUGUUUUAAUACAAAUCAUUUACCAUUCAAAAAUAUUCUUAAUAUCUUCAUUUUCUUUUUGUGUUUUUGAAAGUUCAUUUUUGUUUUAACUAGAUCAAAUAAUAUUUGUACAAUAAUGCCUUUAACAUACAUUUUUGAUCAGUAAUACCAAAUAAACAUCUCAACAAAUAUUAUAUUAGAUGAUCAUUAAUUUCACUAUCUUCAUUUUAUUUAUCUUAUUCUUCUUUAUCCAGUGCAUUUAAUUAUGUGUUGUAAAAUGAACAAGGACCUCUACAGUUAUAAUCUCACCUAAAAAGUUGGAGAAGUUAUCUCUACAUUUAUGGUUCAUGCAUGAAAUAAAUUGUUUUUGUACUUCCAUCAUCAAAGAUGCAUGUAUGUCUAUGUGGACCCACAUUUCUCACAUGUGCCUCCACUCAAUCGGUGAGACUCACUUUUAUUAGUGAAAAAUUAAGUUUUGGAAAAGUCGGAGUCGCCACAUAUUUUAUUUUAUUUUAAAGGGAAAAUAAAACAAGAAAUAAAACCCUAAAAAAUAACUCCAUAGUUUUGGAAAAAACAUGUUUUUGAAAAACCCGAGUCUAGGUCCGGGGAUCAGGUUACCUAUUGGGAAGGUACCCCUAAAAGGUAGCACCCCUCUAAGCCCUAUAAAGGUCUCUACUAACUAAGUUAAAGGAGAUGUGACAAUUAAUUGGUUAAUUAUAAAUACCUAAGUAAGCAAGGUGAUUUCAAAAAUAGCAUGUCUAACAAGAAAACCAAUCAUAAUCAUAAAGAAGAUUUAGGGUGCGUACUUGGACUGCUUCUUAUGCGCUAUCACAAGACACCAAAGUUAGUUCAAAUAAUAUAUCAUCUAGCAUGCACUUUAUCAGAAAUAAUUUAACAAUGAAACUAAUAUCAAGGCACCCAAGCAUUAUCAAACAUAGACAUAGUUCACAAUGACAAGCAUAUUCACAGAAUUUAGAAGGCAGGUGUUAGGGGGCAUACCUGGAUAGCAUAGAUAACUUGUAACAUGUUUCCUUAAGACAUGAUGGGUUAGAUAAUAAAAUAUAAAACAAAGAAAUCCUAGCAUGCUUGUUAUCUAAUUAGCAUAGCAAAAAUGAUCAAAGUAUACGAAAACAUCAAUUAUCUUGUAUACAAUUCCUGAAAAAUAAAUAUAAAUAUGAUUACAACAAGUAACAAAGGUGGCAACAAAAAUAAAUUUUGAAAAUAUUUUCUUAUGUAGGGGUUUCACCAAUUCCCCAAUUAAUAUACAUGAAUCUAGCCUAGAAUUAUCCCAUUUGUUUGGGACCAUAAGAUUGAAUUCGUAUUCCACUCAAAACCAAAAUUUUUAUUGAAAACUGAAGAAGAUGCAAACCAACCAAAACAUGGUUGCAUAUUACUUAAGAAAAUGAGAUUUUGGUUCUAAGGACUCUAAAUGGAUUUUUAAAAUGGAUUUUUAUGAGGAACAUCUUGAGAAAAGCAUUUUAUUUUACAAUGAAGAAAUUAAUCUAAAAACAACAAAACACGAGAAACAAACUACCAAGUGAAACAAAAGAAAAAAAAAAUCACAAAACGGAAUUUUUUUACAACCGAGCAAACUAAAGUGGUAAGAAUGGAGGCCAAUCUUCACUAUUUUUUUAUGGCCUCUGAAAAGUAAAUUUUACCGGAAACUACCAAAGCAAUAAACUAUUCAAACUUAAAUCAAUUAAAUUAAUGACUAAUAUUCAAGAAACAUAUCAAUUAAGAGUAAUAAUCAAGAAUUAGCGCGUGAUCAAUUAAACACACAAAUGUAUCUUGACUAAUUAAAAUGGACCAAAUUAAAUCAGGGCAAACAUGAAUUCUCAAUCAUAGAAUUAUUUUAUUAGUGAGCUAACAUUAUAGAAAAUGCCUAAAUUAAAUAGAUGAGUGAAGCUAAAUCGGAAUAAACUAAACACAAGCACCUGCUAAUAUAGAAUUGAUUUUAUUAAUAACUUAAAAUUAUAAAAAAUACUUAAAAUAAUUAAAAUGAAUCAAAUUAAAUGAAAGCAAACUAAAAACAAAAUAUGAAUUCAUGGAAUCAACUUCCUAAAUAAAUUUACAUUAUUGAAAUGAAAUCUAUGCUCAAAAUGAAUUAAACACUAAUUAAGGCAAAUCUAAAAAUCAAAUAUUUAACACAUGAGGUCAAUUAUUUUAACAAACUAAAAUUUUACUUAAACCUAAAAUUAAAUUGAAAAACUAUCCAAAACUAAUUUUAAAACUAAACUAUAAAAUCAAUCUCAUUAACAAAUAGAUAAAUAGAUAACACAUGAAUAAAUAAGUAUGACUAAAACGAAAUAUGAACUCAUGAAAUCAAUUUUUUUUAAAUAAAUUUACAUUACUAAAAUGAAAUCUAAAUUUAAAAAUAUUUUUAACACCAAUUAUGGAAAUCCUAAAAUCAAAUAUUUAACACUUAAUAUUAACUACUUUAACGAACUAAAAUUUCACUUAAACCAAAAAUUAAAUUAAAAAACUAUCUAAGACAAAUUUUAAAACUAUGUCUCUAACCUAUAACAUAAAUCUUGCUAAUAAAUGGAUAAAUAGAUAGCAUAUAGAUAAAUAUAUCUCAAAUUGAAAAUGACUUACAAAGGUGUAACAAUAAAUUCAUAAAGAACCUUUAAUAUAUUGUAUUGAUUGGUUAAAAAUAUAAUAGGAGAAUAGCUCACCUAAUCGAAUAUGUGUAUGGGUAGUAGGCUUCUCAAAGUGGCAGCCGCGUGACUGAUUCGACUAGCCAAAUCCAACUGGCUGUGCAAAUAUGCAAACUUCCAAAGACCUCCGGGGCUUGCUUAGAUCACGACUUCAAGACGCAUGCUGUCAUGGACCAAACCAUCUUUCAGAGAACGUGUUGCAAUAUCUCCUCUCCAUAGGUCGGAAAUCUUCUUCCAAUAACUCAGACUGAUCUUUCAAAACUCGGAUUGAGUUUCGAAGAAAAACGGACUGACCUUCAUCUUCCAGUUUUGGUGUUCGACUCGUCCUUCCUCUUACCUCCUGAAUGCUCGAUAUCCUCCUCUUGCCUCUUCGUACAACUGUUGCCAAUUUGUUUCUUUUCUGGAUGCCUGCUUCAUAAAAGCUUUUCUUCGGUAAAACCGAGCUUUCCCAGCCUUCUCCACGUGCUGGAAAAUUUCCUUCAAGGGUGCAGCUGCACUUGUUUUUUUUUUUCAAUGGUGUGGCUGCACCUUUCUCACCAUCCGAAUCCCAAACUUUCCUUUGGUCUUAAUGGUGUGGCUGCACCUACUCCCACUCCCAGAAUGAUGUGGCUAUCGAUCUACUCCUCCAGAUUCAACAAGGUAGGUAUGCACUCAUCUUCCCAAUCGCGGGGUGAAUAGCCGGUGAAUAUCAACAAGCAGUCGUGUAUGUGGGUUCCAAAACAGCAGUUUGAAUCCACUUUGAAACCUGGACUGAUCCUCCUCAAACAGCAGCUCCCAAAUGCCUUUUUUUUUUUACACAGACUGAUUCCUCCACUUUAAAAUCACAACUUAACUCCCAAAAAUAAUCCUUCUGAAAACCCCUUCAAUCGUGCGUCGUUCUUCAUUUUUCUUUUUCUUUUUUCUUAAUCCAUCACUUCGUCAGCUCCUCUACUGCCACAGUGAUGGAAAAAACAGCAGAAAAUGGUUUCCUUAUCCUCUUCCAAUCACCCUCAAUCCCCUCCAAUUAUUCCUUUUGUUUCCUUUGCCUUACCUUUUCUCUCUUCCUCUCUCUCCAAUCCACUAGUUGUCUUCAUCUUUCCUCUUAAUGGUGUCUUUUCUUUUCUCCCUUACUCUCUCUCCAAUUACCGACUGCCUCCGUCUUUCCUUUCUAAUGGUGUCUUUCUUUUUCUUUUGGGAGAAUUAUGUUUUAGGGGUAGAUGGCCCCCAAAUUAACAAAAGGUCCAUGUAACUCUUCAAAUUGAGCCCAAGACCUAAUGAAAGUAUGGAAAUUGAGUUGAAGGAUAUCAUUCUUUAGUAUUUUCAAAAAUGCCCUUUGUUGAUUUUGAGAAAAAAAUUAAUAUUUUUGAAAAAUACUUUUAUUUAAUUUAAUAUUUUUUAUUUAAUUUAAUAUUUUUAAAAAAUACUUUUAUGUAAUUUAAUAUUUUUUAAAAUACUUUUAUUUAAUUUAAUAUUUUUUAAAAAUAAAUUUAUUUAAUUUAAUAUUUAAAAAAAAUUAAUUUAAUAUUUUUUUAAAUACUUUAAUUUAAUUUAAUAUUUUUGAAAAAAAAAUUUAAUUUAAUAUUUUUGAAAAAAAAAUUAUUUAAUUUAAUAUUUUUGAAAACUACUUUUAUUUAAUUUAGUAUUUUUGAAAAAAAAUUAUUGAAAAAAAAUUAUUUAACUUAAUUUUAUAAAAUAUUUUAUAUGUGUUCUUAAAGGGUAUAUUUGUCCGUUACUAUUUCAUAUCCUUCAACUCAAUUUGAAGAGUUAUAUGGACCUUUUGUUAAUUUGGGGGCCCAUCUACCCCCAAAAGAUAAUUCUCCCUUUUCUUUUAUGGAGCAUGUGGGAUCCAUGCAAAACAAAUAAUAAAAAAAAAAAAAAGUAAUAGGAAAAUUAAAAUACAAAUAAAAGAAAACUAAGGGUUAGAAUAAUAAAAAAAAACAUGCAACUAAGAAUUAAAAAUCCAAAUUAUGUAAUUUUAAACGAAAUUAAAAAAUAUAAAUCACAUGCAUAACUAAAAUGAAUUAUCAACUCAAGCAACUCUCUAUCAAAAUAAAUUAAUAAAUAAAUAAAUAAAACAAAAUGAAUAUGAUUAUUAAGUUCAUGCAAUUUUCUAAAAAUAAGUAAAUAAAUUAAUAAAACUAAUAAAUAGAUAAAGAUAAAAAAACAAAAACAAAAUCAAGCACAUGCAAGCCAUAUGAGCUAUGCAACCAUGCAAGCCAUGCCAACCAUGCAUCCAUAUAAAAAUGAUCUAAAUGGGCCUAGGGUGCCUAAGUGGGCCUAGGGUGGUGCCUAAUGGGCCUAGGGUGGUGCCUAAUGGGCCAAGUGUGUCUAAAUGGGCCUAAGGUGCUUAAGUGGGUCUAGGAUGGUGCCUAAUGGGCCAAGUAUAUCUAAAUGAGCCUAAAGUGGUGCCUAAGUGGGCCUAGUGGGCCAAGUGUGUCUAAAUGGGCGUAAGGUGCUUAAGUGGGUCUAAGGUGGUGCCUAAUGGGCUAAGUGUAUCUAAAUGGGUCUAAAGUGGUACCUAAUGGGCCUAAGGUGCCUAAGUGGGCCUAGGGUGGUGCCUAAUAGGUCAAGUGUUCCUAAACGGGCUUAAGGUAUCUAAGGUGGGGCCUAAUGGGCCAAGUGUAUCUAAAUGAACCCAGGGUGCCUAAGUGAGCCUAAGUCUAAACUAGGGCUGCCAAGAAUCACAAUGGAGUUAUAUAAAUCACUCAAUCAAAGUCCCCAAGGUGGCUUAGAAAAGAUAGGUUACAUGAGUAGUAGUGGGCCACCAAGGAAUUGUUGUAAAGUAUCAAACGAACACAUAAUAGGACAUGUGCUAGUAUGACAAAAUGGAGGGUCUACAGUCUAACAAUGGCAAAAGAAUCUAUGAGGUCAAGAAAAAAAUGAAAAAAAAUUAUAUGUUUUUUUAAUUCAUUUCAUUUAUUUAUUUUUCUAUUCUAUAUAAAAAUUCAAUAUAUAUAACUUUUUAACUAAUUUUAAUUAUAUUUUUCUUUCAUAUUUUAUAUAAUAAAUCAAAAACUAAAAAAAGAAGAUAUUUUUUAAUAUUUCAACUAUAACAAGGUGGGCAAAAUUAAUUUAUAAUGCUAGGAUAUCCUAACAACCUAACCUUCAAAUUUCCUUAAAUAAAUAAUCACUUCACUAGUAAUAUAUUUUCUUAUUCCACCCUAUUGUGAUUAGCACCAUAGUAUUUGUUAUACUUUGAAGCAUUUUGGUAUGAUUCUUAUCUCAUAAUAAGUCAUUUUUGAAGUAAACCCAACAUGGUUGAUAGAAAUCCUCUUCCUAAAUGAACCUCUAGGUUUCUUAUUCAUGAGUGUUGGUACAUUAAGUUAUAUAGUUUAAGAUUGAUAAUUUUGUUUCAUUCAUUUUGACUUAGGACUUUUUUAGAUUAUGUCUUUCUCUCCUUUGAAAACUCGAAGUUGUCGUGUGAUUAACUGGAAUAACAAAGGUAAGUAUCGAAUGAUCUAGAAAGGAAAAUUAGAGUUAGUUAAGGUUGGCACGAAUGUCCAAUUCUUAAACCGAGUUUUUUUUAAAAUAAGAAAUAAAUAAAAAAAACAGUUUUAAAGAACUCCUUGAGUUCUCUAAUGAUGCAGAGAGCGCUUAAGCGCUCAUUGCAGCACUCAAGUGUGAUAGAAUUCUUUAGAAUUUCACAGCUUUAAUUUUCCAACUUUUACAAGCUUUAUUUUGGGAAAAUUCUAAAUCUGAUCCACUAGGAUCUUGGCCUAAUAAAUAACUUUCCUAAAGAGGAUUUUCUCUUUUUGAUGUUAAUGUUUCAAAAAACCUAAUUUGUCAUCUUGCUCCCAAAACUAUGAAAGAUGAUUGUCUUCGCUUUUACUAGGUUGAGAAAGAGAUUUGCAUCUCCACAAACACUAAAGUAAGAUUCACGGGGAGCACAAGUGGUGUUGUACUACAAAUGUGAAGUAUAGUAGAAGUGAUAGUGAGCUCACGACCCAGAGUUGUUUGCAUCCUUCACAUCCCUGAGAUGUUUGGUUUUCAUCAUUCUAGCCACUUGCAAGUGGCCUCGACUCGACACCAUGAGUUAGAAAGAAUCUUGAUCGGUUAUCUAUUUAAAGCCAUGAGCUCACGACCUAGAGUCGUUCUUCUUAUUUAUGACCCAGAGUCAUUCUUCUUGGUGACAAUGGAGGUGCACUACCUGCAGGAAACAUGGAAGGUAAUGAGUUUCUUGUAGCAACAUUUUUUGUAAAAGAAUUUCCAGGGACAUUCAAGGGAACAUCGGCCUUUGCAUCAUUUAGCAAUGAAGUCACCAGACGAUCAAUCUCAAGAAGCGAAAGCCAUUGGUCAAAAAGCUCCUCGGAGACCCUAAGGUUCGACUUGAGAGCAAAAGGCAACACUUUCGGGAGCUGCAACAUUCGGUGUCCAAAGACACCAUAUUGCCAACUAUCUCCAUAUUCAUUGUUACACAACUUGAUUAAAGCUGAGCUGUGAGAAAUUUUCACAAUUGUUAGCAAUCUUCAGGCAUUUCAAUUAUUUAAAUUUUGGUAAGUAAUCAAAUAUCAUACACAACCUACUCUUUGAAGGGGUCUUGCACAUUGAAGUGGUCCUGGAAGAACAUUCAAAACCAAUACACAUUCAAAUUACUUCGCUUAUAUUGAUACGCGACGAGGAAUUGUUGAUACCCAAGCCACAUGUGAAUCUGUGCCCGUCAUCCGAAGAAUUCUGGUGUUCUGGAUUGAUGGGAGCAAAAAGGUGACCAGUUUUACCUUGAGUCAAAUUCAAAUGACAAAAUAUACUACCAUGGACAACGCCCUUUACUACAAAAAUAGCGCACACGGCCAAUCCCAUCAACCUAGUAUUACACCGAUUUGGAGGCAGAUGUACCAUAUUACUCUGUUGGCUGAACCACUCAGGAAUUCAACUUCUAGGAACAAAAGUACUGGAUUCAAUAUGUCGAGUAUAUGGCACCAUCUGGGUCAUGAAAAUCAAUGUCAAGUUAUAUGGAAAUAAUGUAGCCAUGUAGGAGUAGUGCUCAAAGGAGUAUAAGAAUUAUUCCAUAGGAUUUAAUUGAUUUACUUUUACAAUAUGAUCAAGAAAGAGAGGAGAGAAACCUGAAUUGGGAAUUGAAAUCUUGGUAAUUUAUUCUCCAGACUUUGCAUUUCCCUUAAUGUAGCUGCCACAAAGUUGUUGCUUUCAUUCUCAGACAGUCUGAAGCAAUUAGAAAAUGUGAAUCGGAGGCCCCCACAUUCCUUGGAUCUGUAGACACUUGAUGGACACAAAAUGUUUUCCAUAACUGUGCAAUCAUGGGUAUCUAUUUAUUCUAUACUUGAUGGAAGCUCUGGCAAUGAUUGAAGCCUCUUGCAAUAACCCAACCUAAGGCCUUUGAGCUGUGAAAGUUGAUUGAGGCUUGUAGGUAGAGUAACAAAAUUGUUUUUGCUUAGAUCUAAAUAUUCCAAUGAGCAUAGAGAGCUGAAGUCAUUGGGAAUUGCUCCUUCCAAUAUGUGGCAAUCACUUAGAUUUAGCUUUCUUAGGGAUCUUAAACCAAAGAAAGAUGCAGUUGCAAACCCCCAAAGCGUGGAAUUUCUGCUGGCAACAACUUGAAAAAGAGGAGUGAAUUCCUUGGCUUGGAUUCUAGUCCUUUACAUCCCUCAAAUGAUAAUACUUCAAGGUUUUCUAAAAGAGAAAUAGAGGGUGGCAGCUCUUUUAUACAGUUCCAGCUACUUCGAGCCUCUCUAAACCUUUUAGGCUCCCCGAACCCUUUGGCAAAUUGUCUAGUUUUGAGCAACCAGAUGGAAUAAGAGUCUGAAGAGAUUUCAACUUACAAAUACAAUGUGGAAGAAUUGCAAGGCUUUUGCAUUCUCUCAGAUUCAACAGAACAAGUCCACUUAGAUGUUGGAUUGAUGAAGGUAGCUCUUUUAGAGCAGUUCCAUCUAAGAAAAGUUCCAACAAACUCCCCAUAUUUUCCAAGACUUCUGGAAGUGUUGAGAUAUUAGGAAUGUUUAGAUAUUAGGAAAGUUGAGAUAUUAGGAAUAUUGAGAUAUUAGGAAAGUUGAGAUAUUAGGAUAUUAGUUGUUCUUUCCUUGUAUCAUUCUUUCCCAUUCUUAGAAUGGUGAUUACCCUCUAUAUAUACUUUGUACAUGAACGAAUGAAAGGAAGAAUGAAAAAACUACCAUUUAUCAAUUUGAAGAUGGUAUCAGAGCCAUGGAAUUGAAAUCCUGGAUAUUUUGUCGCUAUGGUAGUCCGACAACGAUCAACCCAUAAUUGGCAAGACCAAUCCAAGACCAACCAUCCUAAGACAAACCCUAACAUUAAUAAGUCAGCCUUCAAAUGCACUCACUGCAAUAAGACUGGUCAUACCAAGAGUUGUUGCUUUGAAAUUUGUGGGAUAUCUAGACUGGUGGGAUCAUAAUCGUGAUAAACGGAAGAAGGAUUCCGAGAAAGCCUCUGCAUUGGUAGCCACUAUAGAUUAUGGUGGUAAGUUUUUAAAUACUUUUACACCUGUUAUUAAUAGUGCAUGGAUAAUUGAUUCUGGUGCUACAGAUCAUAUGACUUUUUAUUCUAGACAGGUUUCAUCCCUUAGACCUUCCUCACAAAAAAUUGUUUCCACAGCCAAUGGUAACACAACCCCAAUCAUUGGGAAAUGAUCCUUGACUCUUACUGAUACUUUGAAUUUGGAUUCUGUUUUAGUUGUUUCAUCUUUAAAUUACAAUCUUUUGUUAGUUUCUCAAAUCACUGCAGGCUUAUCUUGUAUUGUCAUUUUUUGCCCUGAAUUUUGUGUUAUUAAGGACAUCCAAACAAGACAGACGAUUGAUUGUGGUAUUAAGCGGGGAAAACUCUAUUACUUGGACUUGCAAUCAAAGGAUUCAAAUAAGUUGCAACAAGCCUUGAUGGUAGAUGGAUCUGAGGGGGAGAAGAAAAAGUCUAAAAUUUGAUUGUGGCAUCGAUGUUUGGGACAUGCUUCCUUUGGUUAUUUAAAAAAAUUGUUUCCUAGUUUGUUUGCAAAGAGUGAUAUUUCUGGUUUCCGUUGUGAUAUUUGUGAAUUGGCUAAAAGCCAUCAUGCUUUGUUUCCAUUAAUUUUGAAUAAAAGUUUGCUUCCUUUAUGGUUAUACAUUCUGAUGUUUGGGGCUCAUCCAAAGUCCCAUCUUUGAGUGGCUCACGUUGGUUUGUUACUUUUAUUGAUGAUUGUACCAUAAUGACUUGGUUAUGCUUGAUGAGGACCAAAGAUGAAGUGAACUUGUUGUUUUAAAAUUUUCAUAAAAUGAUUGAAACUCAAAACAAUGUAAAGGUUCAGGUUCUAUGUAGUGAUAAUGGUGGAGAAUAUCAGAGUUUUAAUCUUCAAAAGCAUUUGGAAGGACAUGGCAUCAUUCAUCAGACUACUUGUUCCAAUACACCCGAACAAAAUGGAGUCGCUGGAUGGAAAAAUAGGCACUUGUUAGAGGUUGUUCGUGCUUCCUUGAUAGUAGCAAAAAUACCGAUAUCUUAUUAGGGAGAAGCAAUCACAUCUGCCGUAUACUUGAUCAAUCGGGUACCUUACAGCUCAAUUGACUUCCAAACACCUCUCCAAUCUUUUUUAAUGUUGUAGUUGUCCCAACUGUCCCAAAUCUACCUCCUUGUGUUUUUGGUUGGGUGGCAUUUGUGCAUCUACACAAACACCAAUGCACCAAGUUAACUUCCCGUGCAUUGCGAUGUGUGUUUGUUGGAUAUGCAUUGCACAAAAAGGGAUAUUAAUGUUACCAUCCUCCAACUCGACGACUGUUUAUUAUAAUGGAUGUGGUGUUUNNNNNNNNNNNNNNNNNNNNNNNNNNNNNNNNNNNNNNNNNNNNNNNNNNNNNNNNNNNNNNNNNNNNNNNNNNNNNNNNNNNNNNNNNNNNNNNNNNNNNNNNNNNNNNNNNNNNNNNNNNNNNNNNNNNNNNNNNNNNNNNNNNNNNNNNNNNNNNNNNNNNNNNNNNNNNNNNNNNNNNNNNNNNNNNNNNNNNNNNNNNNNNNNNNNNNNNNNNNNNNNNNNNNNNNNNNNNNNNNNNNNNNNNNNNNNNNNNNNNNNNNNNNNNNNNNNNNNNNNNNNNNNNNNNNNNNNNNNNNNNNNNNNNNNNNNNNNNNNNNNNNNNNNNNNNNNNNNNNNNNNNNNNNNNNNNNNNNNNNNNNNNNNNNNNNNNNNNNNNNNNNNNNNNNNNNNNNNNNNNNNNNNNNNNNNNNNNNNNNNNNNNNNNNNNNNNNNNNNNNNNNNNNNNNNNNNNNNNNNNNNNNNNNNNNNNNNNNNNNNNNNNNNNNNNNNNNNNNNNNNNNNNNNNNNNNNNNNNNNNNNNNNNNNNNNNNNNNNNNNNNNNNNNNNNNNNNNNNNNNNNNNNNNNNNNNNNNNNNNNNNNNNNNNNNNNNNNNNNNNNNNNNNNNNNNNNNNNNNNNNNNNNNNNNNNNNNNNNNNNNNNNNNNNNNNNNNNNNNNNNNNNNNNNNNNNNNGUGAACCAGGAAGCGGGUGAGUUGGAUAUGAGUGGUACAACUUUGGAACCAAGUAGUAAUGACCACCCAGAAAUUGAAGAAGUGAUAGAAGAAGGAAGAGACAAUACAAUUGAAUAAUCACCACCAUCUGAACAAUUUAGGUCCGAAGAUGUUUUCACUGAAAUACCAAACCAAUCGUCGUCUGCUGAGGGUGUUCUUAAUUUGGAACUUGAUCCAUUCAUGAAACGGUUACCACACUUUCAUAAUAGAGGUAUUCCUAAACCCACAUAUGAACCUGAAUUGUCUAUUAAAGUCAAAUAUCCCAUGAGCAACUAUGUGUCUAGCCAUUGUUUGUUUGAAUCAAAUAAGUCAUUUGUAAAUCAAUUAUCUACUGUAGCUAUUCCUAACAGUGUGUAAGAAGCCUUAGCUGAUCCAAGGUGGAAAACAACCAUGAAUGAAGAGAUGAAAUCAUUGUAGAAGAAUGAAACAUGGGAACUCGUAGAAUGUCCACCAGGAAAGAAGCCAGUUGGGUGUCGUUGGAUCUAUACUGUGAAGUACAAGGCAGAUGGUAGUAUUGAACGAUUUAAAGCAAGGCUGGUAGAAAAAGGGUACACUCAAACUUAUGAAAUUGACUACACAGAGACAUUUUCACCUGUAGCUAAGAUCAACACAGUUCGAGUAUUACUGUCUUUAGCUGCAAACCUAGAUUGGCCAUUACAACAAUUCAAUGUAGAAAAUGCCUUUCUGCACAGCGAGUUAUCUGAAGAAGUAUAUAUGGAUCUUUCACCAGGAUGCAUGGUGUCAAAAAGCAAUGUCAGAAGGUGUGUAAAUUGAAAAAGUCAUUGUAUGGGUUGAAGCAAUCCCCGAGAGCAUGGUUUGGAAGGUUCACAAAGUUAAUGAGAGCAUUUGGCUAUCAUCAAAGUAAUUUAAAUCACACUUUAUUCUUGAAAAAACAACAUGGUAAGAUUAUGGCACUCAUCGUAUAUAUGGAUGACAUGGUAGUUACAGGAAAUGAUCCUAAAGAAAGAAAAGCUCUGUAGAAUUAUCUAUUUAGAGAAUUCGAAAUGAAGGAUCUAGGUCCUCUGAAAUACUUUCUUAGGCUUGAAGUUUCUCGAUCAAGUGAAGGAAUUUUUCUUUCUCAAAGAAAGUAUGCCUUAGAUCUUUUAUAGGAGACUGGAAUGUUGGGAUGUCAACCUGUUGAUACACCAAUAGAAGAAGGUUUGAAAUUAUGUGUUGAGCCUAAUCAAGGGUCAACCGAUAAGGGAAGAUACCAGAGACUUGUGGGGAGAUUAAUGUACUUAGCUCAUACAAGACCAGAUAUUGCUUAUGCAUUGAGUGUAAUGAGUCAAUACAUGCAUAAUCCUGGAAAGCAAUAUAUGAAUGCAGUCAUGCGUAUUUUGAGGUAUUUGAAGAAUGCUCCUGGGAAGGGAAUUUUGUUCACUAAAAAUGUUGAUCAUUAAAGUAUAGAAGUGUAUACUGAUGCUGAUUGGGCCAGUGUAGUGGAUGAUAGGCGAUCUACAUCUAGUUACUUUACCUUUGUAGGUAGUAAUCUUGUGACAUGGAAAAGUAAGAAGUAGAAUGUCCUCACUCGUUCAAGUGCAGAAGCGGAAUUUAGGGGUAUAGCUUUAGGACUUUGUGAGGCAUUAUGGCUAAGACUCCUCUUACAAGAUUUAGGUUACCUAUCUAGGCAACCAAUCCGAUUGUUUUGUGACAAUAAAACCGCAUGUGAUAUUGCUCAUAAUCCAGUACAACAUGAUCUUACAAAGCAUGUCGAGGUAGACAGAUUCUUCAUUAAGGAGAAGUUGGAUGAUAAGAUUGUGGAAUUGCCUAAGAUUCGAUCAAAAGAUCAAUUGGCCGAUAUCCUCACCAAAGUUGCAGUCUCAAAUCGAGUGUUCUCAAAAUUUUUAGACAAGUUGGGCAUGUGUGACAUCUAUGCACCAACUUAAGGGGGAGUGUUGAGAUAUUAGGAAUGUUUAGAUAUUAAGAAAGUUGAGAUAUUAGGAAUGUUGAGAUAUUAGGAUAUUAGUUUUUCUUUCCUUAUAUCAUUCUUUCCUUAUAUCAUUCUUUCUCAUUCUUAGAAUGGUGAUUACCCUCUAUAUAUACUCUGUACAUGAACGAAUGAAAGGAAGAAUGAAAAAACUACCAUUUAUCAAUUUGAAGAGGAAGCUCUUUGAGUUUUAAGCAAUCUGAGAGAAUAAGAAUUUCAAGUGAUCUCAACCUAUAAAUACAGCUUGGUAAUGACUCAAGGUUUUGACAGUUCCUCAGAUUUAGUAGAACAAGUCCAGUCAGCUAUUCAAUCGACAAGGGCAAUCCUUUUAUUGCAGUGCCCUCCAAGGAAAGCUCUGAUAAAUGUUUCAUGCACUCUUGGACCUCUGGAAACUUCUUGAGUUUGGAGCACUCAGAGAGAGUAAGAAUUUCAAGAGAUUCCAUACAGAUGCUUCUUAGAAAACUCUUAAGAUUCUUGCAGCCUUCUAAAUUAAGGAAAACAAGCUUGUUUAGAUCUCCAAUGGAUCGGUGAACCUUGGACAAACUUGUACAACCUUCAAGAAUUAGUUUCCUAAGGUUUGGGGCCUCCGAGAAGUCUGGGGUUUCAAUUAGGUGUUGGGACUAGCUAAGUUUUACGAAUUUCAAUUGCUGAUACAUUUGUCAAAAACAAAAUAGAAAAAAUGAUUAUAAUUCGGUUAAAGUGAAAUACGAAACUUGCAAAGAUUAUAAUCAUAUACCUUGAAUCAUUUCCAAAGUUGUUCAACUCGACUGUAACUCAUAUUUAGCUCGACAAGCUGCUCAGGAUGAAAAUUUAAUGGGAGGGAUUUCAGAGGGUAUCCAUGCCAAUAUAGACACUUAAGUUGUUCGAUAGAAAUUUGAAGUCUCUAGAAAGAAGCAAUUUACAGUCUUUGAAUUGAUUGAGUUUAUUCAUCCUUGUGCAAGCAUCAAAAUCACCACAUAACUCUUUCCAAGAAAAGUAUUCAAAGCUUCCACAUAGCCGCACGUUACAGACUUUGAGCAAUCUUGAUUUGCCCAUCUUCAUGAAGGCAUCAAAGCUGAAGUGUAGUUCCUUUGAUGCUGAUGAUUACUACUCAAAAAGUGCUAUUUUGUAGCUUGUAAUUAAUCCUUUUAAACACUUUUGAGUAGUAGUUAUUGCCUUUUAACUCAAUUAACAUGUUAAGGACCCUUGCAAUCAUUUCUAAUCAAAUUGUGUAAGUUUUGGUGUUUUUGUUAGUAAUUUGAUCACCAAAACAAUCCAAGAUUGAGGAGAGUUAUUUGGAAUCCAUGGCAAAGCAAUGAAGAGCUCAAAUUCAUGAAGAACCAAGCAUUGGAGCUCCAUAGCCCUUUGCCAAAGUCGUUCAAAGUAUGCAAGGAGAGAAGCAAGGAGAAGAGGAAAACAGAGUGAAGAAAAUAGAGGACAGCAGCUGCAGUCUUCUUUUAUACUUUUGGAGCACUUCCCGAAGUCCAUUUUCUACAUUUGUAUAUACCAUUUCAAAGCUCAGGAAGUCAAGAAUCCAAUGCUUCAAACGGUGUGCGAUUCGGAGUUGAAACGAAGAAGUUACAGCCACUGCAAGUCAAUCACUCUAAAGUGUUGCGAAAUCAGCCUUUUGUUGCGAGAAUUUCGCAGCCUUUUUGUACAGUGUUGUGGAUUUCCUCCUGAAGUUUCACGCCACGAUGGAAGCCAAACACCACAAGGUGGAAGCCAACUUAGCAGCCCUGCGAGUUUAACUUGUUGUUGCGGAAAUAUUUCGCAGCCCUCUUGAGUGUCUGCGAAAUCUCGCAGACACCAUUUUUCACCUGCGAAAUGUUCCUGGAGCUUCCCGAUAUUUGCCACCGACUCUUUUGGAUAUUUUUAUUCAGAUAUUUUUGUAUAAAUUUCCAUUUUCUCCUUGUAUUCAGCCACUCAUGUAAUUCCUUAGCUAGGAAGUAUCCAAGGAAGGGUAAAUUACCUUCCUAUAUAAACUCUCUUGUAAACACUCUCAGGAGACGUUGGGGGGGGGGGGGGAAGUAUGUAAUAUAUAUAAUAUCAUAUAUCAUAUAUAGAAUAUACAGAGCCUUGCUCUGUUUUUCCUUCUCUUUCAUUUUUCAUUUCUUUUUCUUUCUAGCCAACCAAACUCUGAGGAUUUUUCCACAGAGGAUGAGAGGCUAAGCUUUUUGUCUCUUGGAGUGAGGAAAGCCGGGUAAGUUUCCACAUGCAUAAUUUGGAAGUUUUGUUGUUUUAGUUUUUAAUGAAGAGAAAGUGUAACCCGUUAGUGAUUUCUAUGUUUUUAGUUAACUUAAAACACCUUUAAAUCACCUGGGCCAACAGUUGGUAAGGCAAGUGAUUUCCAACCAUGGAAAUGCACUAGUUUACCCCUUGCGAGCCUUUGGGAGGUGACUUGAAGGUAGGAUUUUCUAGAAUAGCCAACACUUGGUAAGCUUUUGGACUCCAAGGAGACAUCCAUUAGUUAUCUCUUGCGAGCUUUUGACGGGUAAUCCAAGGUUAAAGAUCAUCUUGAAUGGUAAGUGCUCGUGAGAGGCAUGAACCAUUGCAAGUUGCAUCAGUGAGAGGGAUUUGGUGUUUGAACCCAUUAAUGGAAAGCAUCUGUACAACACCGGUUAGAGAAUUAACUAUAUGUUAAUUCUCUAAUGCGAGGAAAAGAAACAAGUGACCGGAACUCCCUUUUUGUAUGAGGAAUCUGAGCCUAGUGAUCUGAACUCCAAGAAACAUCUUUUCUUUGUAGUUAAAAUCAGUUACUAUUUUUGGUUAGUUUAAAUCUAAACCUUUUUUCAUUCAAGCAUCUUUAUGUUUUCUUUUAAAGCUAACCUUGCAAUGAAAAGGCACCAAUUCAGCUUUGAAUUAAUAUCAUUUGUGAAGUGAAAACACAUCCCAGUGAACGAUCCUAGAGCCACUAUGCUAUAGUAGCUUUGUCUUUGCUACCCUAGUAUAUGGUGUAAUAGGUUAUAAAUUUUGUUGAUUACUCCCUCAAUCAAGGAGCACCAGCUGGACAUGAAUCAGUUGAGACACCAAUUGGGCACGAAUCAAAUGGUGCCGUUGCCGGGGAUCGAACCUCGAAUCAAAUGGUGCCAUUGCCACUGCCACUGCUAGGCACGAAUCAAAUGGCGCCGUUGCUGGGGAUCGAACCCCGAAUCAAAUGGUGUCAUUGUCACUGCCACUGUUAGGGACGAAUCAAAUGGCGCCGUUGCCGGGGAUGGUGCCACUUUGCAGUGAUAUGAUCUUUUGAGAACACUUGUGAUCUUCAUUACAAGUUUGGUGACUUUUCUUUUCCUUUUACUAACUCUUUUUUAUUUCUUUAUUGUUCAUAUUUGAGUAUACCUUUUAUUUAGUUUUUAGUUUACCUUAAUUUUCUUUCUUUGAAUUGUUUUUCUUUUGUUUUCUUUUGUGUUCUCUGUUUUUAAUUCACAAGUUGCUAGUUGUGCAUGCCAUAUUGAAUACCAUAGCAGAAGAAGCCAUGAACUUCUUGAUAUAUGUGGCUGAAUUUUCAAGAGAAUGGGGUGAACCAAAUGCUAGAGAUAUGGGAAGAAUGACGUCUCAACCUAAAGCUAAGGGUGAGAUGUAUAUUUUGAAUGACGGCAUGGACAUGAAGGCAGAGAUUGCAGCUAUGGAAAGGAGAUUGGAUGAGCUAGAAAUGAACCAUAUGCAAGAAGUGCAAGCCAUUUCUCAAACACCAUUGCUACCUAUGCCUUGUGCCAUUUGUCGAUCAUAUGAGCACUUGGUGGAUGAGUGUCCUACCAUUCCAGCCAAGAGGGAAAUGUUUGGUGAUUGCAACACCUACAAUUCCAAUUGGAGGGACCAUCCAAAUUUCUCUUGGAAACCAUAGCCACAUCAGUAUCAGCAACCUGCUCAAGCACCACAGCGAGCCUCAAGCCUUGAACAAGCUAUGGUGAAUCUUAGCAAGUUCGUGGGAGAUUUUGUUAGAAAGCAAGAAGCCAUCAAUGCUCAAAUCAAUCAAAGAAUUGACAGAGUGGAGAGUACUUUGAAUAAAAGAAUGGAUGAAAUGCAAAAUGAUCUAUCUCAGAAGUUAGAUAUUCUCCAAGAUUCAAUCUCAAGGCUUGCUAACCUCAACACAAUGCAAGAGAAAGAAAACUCUCCUUCUCAACCUUGUCAAAAUUCUAUGAGUAUCCAUGAAAUGGAGGCUAAGGAGGGAAAAUCUUCACAAAAGAAGGAAGUCAAAGAAGUGAUCACUCUGAGGAGUGGUAAAGAGGUUGAUCUGCCCACAUGCAAGCUAGAGCAUAAGGUAGAGAGUGAAACAGAGAAAGAAAAGAGGGAGGAAAUCAAAGGAAAGAAAAAUGGCAAAAGCAUAGAGAAAGAUGACUAUGAUGUUAAUGUACAAAGAGAACCACAGAGGAUAGUCAUCAAAAAAGAAUUGAUGAAGAAACACAUGCCUCCACCUUUUCUCCAAGCUUUGUAUGAAAAAAUCAUACAGAUCACAUCUCAAGUGAGGGAUGCAAACUUCAUAUGGGAUCCGGGCAAGCUAAAUAAGGAUCAAAUUUUUUGAUGGACUUAGUCUUUCUAAAGACUAGCUAGUCCAUAUCUUUUUAUUUUACUUUUUACUUGUUUUAAUUUUGAUUUCAAUGUUUUAAUUUUGAUUUCAAUGUUUUAAUUUUGAUUUCAAUGCUUUAAUUAUGUUUGUUUUGAUGUAAUAUAGGUUUUUGGAUGAUCAAAAUCAAGAGGAAUUGUAAAGAAAUUGAAGGAAGUCUUUCGGAGCAAAAUCGGAGCAAAAUCGGAGUCAAACGGAGCGAAAACAGGGGUCUGCGAGAUUUCGCAGCCUCUGCGAAAUCGGCACUUUGCUGCGAAACCAGUUCGCAGCCCAAUUACCCUCUCUGCGAAAAUUUUCGCAGCUGCGAAACCACUUUUGGCACACGAGUGCCACUUCGCAGCACAGGAGCCCCCAUUUCGCGGCUGCGAACCACCAAAGCAUGAAAUCCUCCAUUUCGUAGGGAAAACUCCAUUUGGAAGGGUGUUUUGCAGCUGCGAAGCCAACUUUUGGCACACGAGUGCCAUUUCGCAGCACAGUACCCUCAUUUCGCAGCUGCAAAAAUGGCUGCGAAACCUAAAAAAAAAAAAAAAAUUCAUUUUUUUUGGCAAUAAAAGUCCCAUUCCGCAGAGGAUUUCACGGCUGCGAAAGCACUUUUGGCACACGAGUGCCAUUUUGCAGCACAGUGACCCUCAUUUCGCAGCUGCGAAACGGCUGCAAAGUUCUAAAACGUGAAAAAUCCCAAUUUCACAGCCACACCCCCAUUUCGGCAACUGUUGGACACAUUUCGAUCACUUCCUGAAGUUCAAAUUAUGCAUGAAAUAUCUUGUUUCAAAGCUUGGGAAGUCACGAGUCCAUAGCUUCAAACGGUGCUCGAUUUGGAUUUGAAAUGGAAAAGUUAUGGCUGUUUGAAGAUGACUGUGCAAACCAUGAACGGAAAUGUCGCACCUCCAUUUUGCUACUAUUGGACACGUUUUUGAAGCACUUCCUGGAGCUAAAAUUAUGCAUGUGAUAUCUCGUUUCAAAGCUUGGGAAUUCAGGAGUCCAGAGCUUCAAAUGGUAUGCGAUUUGGAGGUGAAAUGAAGAAGUUAUGGUCGUUUGAAGACAAGCGCGCAAAGCUGAGCGAGAAUUUCGCAGCCGAGACGCCAUUUGGAAGGGUGUUUCGCAGCUGCGAAACCACUUUUUGGCACACGAGUGCCAUUUGCAGCAUAGUUCCCUUCAUUUCGAAGCUGCGAUACAACUGCGAAAUCACCUUUGAGCUGCGAAACCACUUUUUGGCACAUGAGAGCCAUUUUGCAGCCCCGUACACUCAUUUUAGAGCUGCGAAAUCACUUUUGAGCUUUGAAAUGGCUGUGAAAUGAUCUCCGAGCUUCGAAAUGGCUGUGAAAUCACCUCCAAGCUUAGAAAUGGCCUGCAAAUUGCGAAAUUGACUUGCGAAAUGGAGGAAGGUUUGCAAAAACACCUUGCAAAGCCAAGAGAAGUUGCUAAAAUGCCAUCAGAGCCCUGCAACCAUGCAUAUGAAGAGGAGAGCCCCACACACCCUGGGAUCACACACACAAAGUCUCUCACUCCAUUUCUGACCUCCUUAAACCAUCAAAUCCCAUAGCUACCAACUGAGAGCUCCAGUUGAGGAUACUAUGCCACCUAAGGAGACUACCAGAACAGAGGCCAAAGUCCUGAUCCAACCUAUUCAAGAGGGCCACACAGACACAUCAGCUCCACAGGACCUUACCAUUACUUGAUCAUCUCUUUACUUUUUGUCUUUACAUAUUAUAUUAGUAUAGAUAAUUCCAUAUUUUGAUGUUUUAUAUUCUAGGAUUGGAUGUAUUACUGGUGAUACAUCAUAUAUAGACAUCAAUUUUUGUUUAAACUUAGCAUUUUUCUAUUUCCUCUACUCACUAACUCUUAUGUUUUCUUUGAAACAUGUGGUUUCUCCUAUACGACUCAGACUCCAUGUCACUCAAGAGGUACCACUUCCUCCCUAUUUUUUAAUCGCUUUUGUCACAUUGAGGACAAUGUUCAGCUUGGUUGGGGGGAGAGUUGAGGAAGUAAGUAUUGUUAAUAAUGCUAAGUUAUUUUGGUAAUUUAGUUGUUUUUUGCUUAAUUUUUAAAAUUUUUAAAAGUUUUUAUUCUACUCUCCAUGGUUAUUAAGGAAAAAUUUUCAAAAUGAAAUGGGAGAAAUUGAAUUUUUGUCUUUUUACUUGACUUAGAUUUUGUAUUAUGCUUAUUAAAGUUGGUGAAUUGUUGAAACUUCUAUUGAAGUCAACCUUAGUUCUUCCACUUUAAGCUAUCCACACACUAUGCACAAUAGGUUCCGAGUAUAAGAUGAAAAACUAUUUCCCUCUUGACUUAGGAAAAUUUUAGACUUGGUACCUUUGACCUCUCUUUAAUAGUGUUGGGACACCUCAUAAAGACCAAUGAGUCUUUGAAAAAAUAGAAAAAAAAGAAAAAGAAAAAGAAAAAGAAAAAGAAAAAAAAUAUAUAGAAUAAACUUCUUUGCUUGCCUUGAAACCCGAGCAAGGUCUGAGGGGUAUAUGGUGAAAAUCUUUAAAACCUGGUGCCCUAAGCCUUCAUUGGUUGGGAGUCACCGACCUCAAUGCUCGUUACAAGGGUGGAUAGGUGGAGUUUAACAUACUGUAGGUGCUUGAGUAUUAAAAUUCAUUCUCAAAAGUCCGGGGUAAAAUCCGAGGAGUUAGUGGUUGAAAGAUCCUUAAAGCUUGAUGCCCUAAACCUUUAUUGGUUGGGAGUCAUCGAUGGACCCCUGUUACAUGGACAAUUUAUAAAAAAAUACCUUUAAGCCUUGUACUCCUACAAUGAAAAAAAUUGUGAAAAAAGAGGUGCGUUCUUAGCCUUUUGGAGGUUGAUUAGUUUGCUAAGCUUUGAAAAAGAACUAGGUUGGGGGGAGAGAUUAGUUCAACAUACUAUAUUCGGAAGCUAAUAAAUAACACUUAGAUUUUUGUGGAAGAGUAAGGUUUGACCUUUUGGAAGUGCAAAUGAUUUUAAAGCUUAAAUUUGCAUAAUGCCUUCUCUUUAUGAAUUGUGAUUAGACAAGUUAUUUGAUAACUCUUGUUGAAGUUUGAGUUUUAUUUCUUUAAUGUUCCAUGUGAGAGUUAGAUCAUCAUGCCACUUGAGAAUUGUUUUUUUUUUAUCAGCAUGAUGUUGUAAAUUAUAGUAUUGUUUAUUUUUAGUUUUUAUCUCCUUCAUUGCUAAGGGACUAGCAAUAUGUCGGUUGGGGGGAGUGAUUACUACUCAAAAAGUGCUAUUUUGUAGCUUGUAAUUAAUCCUUUUAAACACUUUUGAGUAGUAGUUAUUGCCUUUUAACUCAAUUAACAUGUUAAGGACCCUUGCAAUCAUUUCUAAUCAAAUUGUAUAAGUUUUGGUGUUUUUGUUAGUAAUUUGAUCACCAAAACAAUCCAAGAUUGAGGAGAGUUAUUUGGAAUCCAUGGCAAAGCAAUGAAGAGCUCAAAUUCAUGAAGAACCAAGCUUUGGAGCUCCAUAGCCCUUUGCCAAAGUCGUUCAAAGUAUGCAAGGAGAGAAGCAAGGAGAAGAGGAAAACAGAGUGAAGAAAAUAGAGGACAGCAGCUGCAGUCUUCUUUUAUACUUUUGGAGCACUUCCCGAAGUCCAUUUUCUACAUUUGUAUAUACCAUUUCAAAGCUCAGGAAGUCAAGAAUCCAAUGCUUUAAACGGUGCGCGAUUCGGAGUUGAAACGAAGAAGUUACAGCCACUGCAAGUCAAUCACUCUAAAGUGUUGCGAAAUCAGCCUUUUGUUGCGAGAAUUUCGCAGCCUUUUUGUACAGUGUUGUGGAUUUCCUCCUGAAGUUUCACGCCGCGAUGGAAUCCAAACACCACAAGGUGGAAGCCAACUUAGCAGUCCUGCGAGUUUAACUUGUUGUUGCGGAAAUAUUUCGCAGCCCUCUUGAGUGUCUGCGAAAUCUCGUAGACACCAUUUUUCACCUGCGAAAUGUUCCUGGAGCUUCCUAAUAUUUGCCACCGACUCUUUUGGAUAUUUUUCUUCAGAUAUUUUUGUAUAAAUUUCCAUUUUCUCCUUGUAUUCAGCCACUCAUGUAAUUCCUUAGCUAGGAAGUAUCCAAGGAAGGGUAAAUUACCUUCCUAUAUAAACUCUCUUGUAAACACUCUCAGGAGACGUUGGGGGGGGGAAGUAUGUAAUAUAUAUAAUAUCAUAUAUCAUAUAUAGAAUAUACAGAGCCUUGCUCUGUUUUUCAUUCUCUUUCAUUUUUCAUUUCUUUUUCUUUCUAGCCAACCAAACUCUAAGGAUUUUUCCACAGAGGAUGAGAGGCUAAGCUUUUUGUCUCUUGGAGUGAGGAAAGUCGGGUAAGUUUCCACAUGCAUAAUUUGGAAGUUUUGUUGUUUUAGUUUUUAAUGAAGAGAAAGUGUAACCCGUUAGUGAUUUCCAUGUUUUUAGUUAACUUAAAACACCUUAGAGUCACCUGGGCCAACACUUGGUAAGGCAAGUGAUUUCCAACCAUGGAAAUGCACUAGUUUACCCCUUACGAGCCUUUGGGAGGUGACUUGAAGGUAGGAUUUUCUAGAAUAGCCAACACUUGGUAAGCUUUUGGACUCUAAGGAGACAUCCAUUAGUUAUCUCUUGCGUGCUUUUGACGGGUAAUCCAAGGUUAAAGAUCACCUUGAAUGGCAAGUGCUAGGUGAGAGGUAUGAGCCAGUGCAAAGUGCAUCAGUGAGAGGGAUUUAGUGUUUGAAUCCAUUAAUGGGAAGCAUCUGUAUAACACCGGUUAGAGAAUUAACUAUAUGUUAAUUCUCUAAUGCGAGGAAAAGAAACAAGUGACCGGAACUCCCUUUUUGUAUGAGGAACCUGAGCCUAGUGAUCUGAACUCCAAGAAACAUCUUUUCUUUGUAAGUAAAAUCAGUUACUAUUUUUGGCUAGUUUAAAUCUAAACCUUUUUCAUUCAAGCAUCUUUAUGUUUUCUUUUAAAGCUAACCUUGAAAUGAAAAUGCACCAAUUCAGCUUUGAAUUAAUAUCAUUUGUAAAGUGAAAACCCAUCCCAGUGAACGAUCCUAGAGCCACUAUACUAUAGUAGCUUUGUCUUUGCUACCCUAGUAUAUGGUGUAAUAGGUUAUAAAUUUUGUUGAUUACUCCCUCAAUCAAGGAGCACCAGCUGGACACGAAUCAGCUGAGACACCAAUUGGGCACGAAUCAGCUGACAAGUCAAGGACUAUGCCUUCAACUACUUCACUCCCUUGCAAUUAACCAGGAAUAGAGUAUGAAUUGGAAAUUAAAAUCACAAAAUUCUAAAAGGAAAAGCACAGAAAGCAUCAAACUAAUAACUUAUUUUAUUUUUUUUAGGCAGUGUUCAAGGAAGCAAGUAUGAAGAUAAAAUAAAAUUCAUCUACUAAGACAAAAACUCAGGGAAAAGUUAGCAAAGGAUUCAAAUCAAAUAAUCCCCCCAACUUUAUAUUUGCCUUUGCAUACAUAAAUAUGCAAUACCUUAUUAAAAUUGUACAUAUAUGUGAGUUUCUCAAAUGAAUUGAAAUUAUCCAAACUUCCUCUUCACCUAGAGCUUAUAUAUACAAAAAGGGAAUGCACACACAAAGUUCAUGUAUUUAGGUCUUACUGUAUUUCUAGUUAAUGCAUCAUUGACAUAUGCAUGAAUCCACAAUCUAUUGUGUUUUUUAGGAUAUUUAAGAGAUUCUUGCCAAACAAUUUCCCAACCCAUUUCUUGUAACAAAUCAUGCAUGCACAACUUAUUAUCUGAAACAAUUAUGAGUGACUUAUCAACGAGAACCCUUAUUCCAAUAUCCAGAAAGAAACCACAACUCUCUAGUAUUUCUGUGAUAAAAUCUUUGUCCUCCCAUUUACAAAAACAUGCAAUAUCGAGAAAUAUAUCUCUCUUUGUCAUCUUAUCCAUUAAAACCCAUUUUGAGCACAUUCUGAAUUUCCAUGUUGGAAAUUCUUUUUAGUUUGUCCAAUUCACUUUUCCAUUCAAGUAUGCUCUUGUUAUACAAAAAAGCACCCAAGACUUUAAGAGCUAAAGGACAUUUAACCGUUUGAUCCAAACAAUUCAAAAUUGGUCUAAUAAAUAAACCCUUCAAAAAGAGAAAUUGAAACAGAAAUGUCACUUGGUGGUUGGACCAAUUUGACCAAUUGAUUUGGUUCAAUUUUCAAAAAAUAUUACUUUAACAUGUAUGAUAAUCAAAACAUAGAAAAAAAAAACUAUUUUUCAAGAAAUGAGAUUAUUAUAAAAAAUAGAAAAUGUAAUCUAUUUUAAUGAUAUGAUAACUUGUAACUAGAUGAAACUUUGAUUGGCAAAGAAAAAGAAAAAGAAAAAGACCUUAAUGAAUUAGAAAAUAUUAUCUUUUAUAUUAAACUUAUCUUUGUGUAAAAGCUCUCUACAAUUAACUAUAUGUUUUCAUAAAGCUUUAUUUAGGCUAUGUUACAUUCUUGGAAAUUAAAAAAUAAAAAAUACAUAAAAUUAAUAAAUUAUUUUUUUCAUUAAUAUAAAUUAAAUAAUUUUAAAUACCUAUAAUUUUCAAAAUUUUUAAUCAUGGUAGUGGGUCUUUGAUCAACCAAAGAUAGCCCAUGCAUCAUCUGCCAAAGUGAAGCACAACAACCUUAUAAUAGUGAUGUCACAUAGCAAUUCAUUAUUCAUUAUUUUGUUUUCCCUUUUCAUUGUGGAUUUUCUUAAAGCUAUUAAAAAAACACACGAUAUCAAGAUUUGAGCGUGGGUCUUUCACAAUAUCUUUUAUAUACUAAUAAUUGUAAAUUAAUUAAAAUAAAAUUAUUAUAACUAAGUUAAUUUUAAUUGUCUUAUUAUGUCUCUUAUAUAGUGGUUAAAUAUAGGACAAAUAUAAAUUCAUAAAUAAAAUUAUUAACAUUUUCAAAUAAAAAAUAUAAAUAUAUAUCAAUAUAUUUUUUUUUAUAUCCUUCAAUAUAUCUAAACUUAAUGCAUUAUCAUUUUAGUAUUAAUGUUUCCCAAUUCGGUAUAUUAUUGUCUAAUAUUACAAAUUAUUAUACAUUUAUCAAUUUUUCUUAAAACAAAUUCAAUAUAUUCAUUAUUAUUUUUCUAUCAUUUUUUGAGUUAUUUCUAACAUUUCAUGAGUUUUUUUUUUUUAUCAAUUUCCAUCUCAUAUAUAUAUAUUGCAGAAUUUUCAUUGAUAUUUCUUUAUAUAGCUAUAAACUCCAACUAAUGAUAUAUUAGUAAAAAUCAAUAUUUUCAUUCUUACUUAACAUAAGAACGAAAAUUAUUCAAAUGGUGCAUAAAUUAAUGUGACCUCUUGAUGAGAAUGACAACGACAACCAUGAGUCAUAGUUAGUGUAUGUGUGUGGUAAAUUAACUUAGUGUUUGAUAAAAUAAUUAUUUAUCAUCAUUUAAAAUUUAAAAAUAAAUUUAAAUAUUAAAUCAAAAUAAUUAACUUAUUCUAAAUACUAAAUUUUUUUAUUCUCUUUGUUCAUAUUUGGUGAUAAUCAUGCUUUAUUUUUAGAAUUCUUUUUUUUUUUAGUAAAUAUUUUAUAGUUAUUUUGUAGCUUCACAAUAGUACUUUUUAAUAUAAAUGUUUAACAAGCUUAAGUUUAUGAAUAUAAAUAUUAAGAAAAAUUAAUGAGUUUAAAUAUAUCAAUAUAAUAAAUUUAAAAAAAUUAAGUUGAUUUUACCAAAAUUAAAGUAAAAAUAAUUCAUCUUAAAAUUAAUUUCAAUAAUUAAGUAAUAAGGAUUAAAUUUUAUCAUACAUUCUCUUAAUUAAUAAAUGACAUAACUUCUUUCAACAACUUCUUCAUUCUACUUUAGAAAAAAUAAAAUAAAAUAAAUUAAAAAAUUAACGUGAUAUUUAUUUAUUUAUGUCUAAAAUUUAAAUAUACUUGAAUUUGACUUAAAUCUAAAUAUAGCUUAAUAUCAUUAAGUGUUUAGACUUUUUUUAUUAGUGUCUAAAUAUUAUUAAUUGUUAAAUUGUUUAUUUUUAUUAAUAUCAAAAUAUGUGAAGUGUUAAAUUUGUUUAUUUUUGGUUAAAAACAUUUAUAAAAGUCAUUGUUAUAUUUCUUCUUAUUUUAUUUUGAAAAGUUGUAAUUUAACAAAAUAGUAAUUUAAUUAACACAUCUAAAAAUAUUAUAAUACAUUAUCAAAGUAAAAAUUUUAUAAUGAUAAUUAUGUAAUUAGUAAAUUAUAUUAUUGUACAAUCCAUCGUUCCAUGUUGUAUAUUAUAGCAUAGUUGUGCGUACCCAUCAAUGCAUAGACAUAUGUCUUUUGAUAAUUAUGUAAUUAGUAAAUUAUAUUAUUGUACAAUCCAUUGUUCCAUGUUGUAUAUUAUAGCAUAGUUGUGCAUACCCAUCAGUGCAUAGACAUAUAUCUUUUGAUAAUCUAUCAUGCAUGAAUGUCUCGUGGACUCUAAGUGAAGCAUGUAGCUAUUAUAGUAUAAAGAUGGUGUAGGAAGAGGCUCCAGGUUUACUAGUUCACACUCAACCAUAGCAAUAGGGAAUAUAUUGCACAUUAUUUCCAUCUAAAAGAAAUGUAGAAAAGACCUUAGAAAUGAAACUUUUAGAUCAAACCUAAGGGUGCCAAUGAGAUGACUCUAAGAAGGAUCACCUCAAUCUCAAUCUUAUGUCAUUUAUUUAUAUUAAAUGGGGUGAGAUAAAACAAAAUCAUAUUUGAACCUGUCUUAAACUUGGUCCGAGAGCAAGAAGGGUCUCUAAAAAAAUCUGCCUCAUUGUCAUUCUUAAGUACGCAUCUAUACCAAUGAAAGUUUUUACAUCUAUUCAAAAAUUCGAUGUUCCCGAAUUAAUUAACUUCACCAAACUACAUACACUUAAUAUGCAUGAAAAAGUGUCAAAAUUCUCAACCAAUCAAUGAGAUAAACUGUAAUUAAGUUUAGUACAUUGUAACCCUAAAAUACCUCCAAACCCCAUUUCUUGUAAGACCCCCUUCUAAUUAGGUUGCAAGUAUUGAAGUACUUUACACAUCUAAUUAGGCGAACAACAAGUAUCAAGAUAAGGCUGCAAGCCAUACAUAUACAUAUGCAUAUAAAUUUAAAAUUGAAAGAAAAUAUUAUCAAAUUUUAAAAAGAUAAAUUUCAAUUUUUUUUUUUUUUUUUUACCUUUGAUACAUUUUUUAAGCUUGUACCCUUUUGUUAUACAUAUUCAUUGGAGCAUUUCUUUGACUUCCCUAAGAACUAUUUUUUUUCCAGGACUAAAAACUUUUUCCUUAUUCGACUUGGGAUAUUAUAUACAACCACAACCUAACUUUCAUAUAUAAAGAAAUAUAUUUAAAUAGAAUAAAAUUCUUUUAUUCAUAAUUUAUUUUAUUUAUAUUAUAUUAUUUAGUUAUAUUAAAAAAUUAAAAAUAAUUAUGUUAAUUUAGGUUUUGUUUGCAUUUUUUAAAUUAUAAUCAUUAAUAACAAAGUGGUGAUAGCUUAAACAUAAUCUAAAGGUCCAUGGUUCAAACCCUUGGUUUCUCAUUGUUUUCCUGGUCUCAUUAGGUGGGCUAGGCUUGGAAUGUGAAGGGCUAACCUUUCACCCAUGAUCCAACCUUUUAGUUGAUGAAAAAAGAAGGCUAACCUAGAACCGAUAUACGCAAACCUAGAACUGAUAGACCAUGGUUCAAAGUUGUAGUCGCGAUCACUAACUUGGAGGGUCUUGAGGCACAUCAGUCUUGACAUCUUAGCUCGAUAUUGGAUGAUAUGUAAAAUAAGAUAAAUAAAAAUUAUAAAAUAUUAUAAUAAAUAUUUAAAAAAUAAAUAUAAUUAAAUAAACUUAAAAAUUAAUAAAAUAAAAUAUUGUGAAAAUUAAAAUUGUUCAAUAAAUUUUUAAUAUUGAAAUUGAAAACAAAAACUCUUUAAUUACCAAACUCAAAUAAGAAAAUAAAAUAAAAUGGGAUGAUUUUUACCACACAUUAGCAUUUAAAAAUUGAAACAAUAAAAUAACAUAUAUUAUUGAUACUGUCAUUUAAAACAACUAAUAUAUUAUUGAUGAUGGCAUUUAAAACAAUAAAAUAGUGCAUUAGACCUGAUUUCAAAUCUUCAAUUCUCAAACACCACCAACCCACCCAUGAAUAGAGAAAGAGAAGAGAACCCUAGCAAAAGUAGAGAGCUUCCUCUACAACCCACACCCACUCCCACACCGACAUCGACACUACGGAGAUAAAGUAGAGAGAUAAGAGAUCAACACCCAAGAUCAUCACUAAUGGAGGAGGAGGGGUCCAUGAAGGUGUUGCAGUCCACCAUGUGGUGAGGUUAGCAAAGAAAUGCCCUCCACCUCCUCUUCUCAUACACCUCAAAGACAAUCACGACUUGGACUAAAAAACUUUUCAAAGACUUCAUUGGGGUCAUCCUCUUCAUCAUGGGUCGUGAUUCUCAUGAAAUUUUUUUUCCUUUGAAGAGUCAUUGUUUUUAAAAAAAUUCUCAGUUAUGGUUGUUGUUUUGGUGUUUUUUCUCAGUUUUGGGUGUUGUUUUGCUAUGAUUUAGAAGGACAAUUGUUUGUAUUGAGUUUAACUCAAAAAAAAAUUUAGUAACUCGAAUGAUUCGUGCAAGUUAACUCAGUAUCUCGACUAAAUCAACUGAGUUUAAUCGAUUCCUGCUCGGGUCUUUACUUAAGAUGAUAUUGAGUAUCGGACUUGGCGUGGAAGGGGUUGAGGCGGAUACAACUCGGCCAAGUCAUACCGGACUUGAUCGAUACUUUGAACCAUGCGACAUACUGGUUCAUUGACUCACUAGUCCAACUGUUAGUCUAUCCGAUUCAAGGCUGAUUCAUUGUGUACUCCAACCUAAAGGCCAAACUAGACCAGGCUUCGGUGACAGUCCAACUUGGUCCUAGCUAGAUUUUUUAAUUUAUCCAAUUAAGAAAUCUCAAAUUAAUAAUAAUAAUAAUAAUAAUAAUUCAACUUUUGAAAAAGAAGAAAAUAUAUUAUUAUUUUCUAAUAGUUAAAUUACAUAUUAUAUAAUGGUAAAGCUUAAGAGGAAUCUAAAAUAUAAAAAACUAAUAUUACCAUUUCCAAUUUCUCAAAAUGAGAAAAAUGACUUUUAUUUCCAAUGACAAUAAAUUGUAUAGUUUGAUAAAUAUAUAAAAAAAAAAGGGUGCCAUAUGUAUCUUAGGGCGUGUUUGGUACAUAAGAAUGAUGAAUGAGAAUGAAUAUUUUGUUUCCAUUCUUAUUUCCUCUUGAAUAGGAAUGAAUUUGGUAAUUCCAAUUUUUGUGUUUGGAUGCAUAUAGGAAUGUAAAGUUGGAAUAACAAUUUGUUUCCAUUUUAAUGUUAAGUAAAAAUGGGAAUGAAAAUGGAAGAAAAGAAAUAAAUUAUCAAUAAUAUUCGUACAUAUGGUUUAAAAUAUUUGUUUUAAAAUUUUUUUAAGAGUUUUUCUACUUAAUAUUAACAAUAUAUUUCAAUGUAUGAUUUCAAAAAAAAAAAAUUGUUUUAAAAAAAUUAUACCUAGUUAUUGUUCUUUAGAAACAAUUUUUAAAAAUAAAGUAAAAUAUAAAAUUAUUAUUCCAUUUUUUUUUUCAUUUGAGAAAAUAAAUUUCAAAUCAAGUGAAACUUUGUAUUAAAUUUAUUAAUAACUUUAAUAAUUUUAAAAAAUAAUUUAAAACUAAAAAAAUAUAUGUAACGACUAUAAAAAAUAAUAGACAUAAUUAAUACUUUAAAAUUCUUUAAUAAAUCUUGUAAUUUUUAAAAUUAAUUUAAUACUUUAAAAUUUAAUUAAUUAAUAUUAGAUUAAAUAAAAUAAUUCAGAAUGUCAUCUUUGUAAUUGAGUAAUAAAUAUAUGCAUAUAAUGAAAAAUUUGGCUUAUUUAUACCUUACAAUUUUAAGGGCAAGGAAGUGAUCUAAUGUAGGUUGCUUAAUAUGAAAAGAUGCUUUAAAAUUUAAGAGCUUUUCAUGGAGCUCAUCAAAUGUAAUUGGGGUGUCAUGUGCUUGAACGACAUAGACUAGUUCUCUGUAUUCGUCAACAAGGCCAUAAAAGAUUUUCUCCAUGGCAUCCUCUUCAUCCAUUAGGGCACCAAGGAAAGUAAGUUCAUUGGCACGGGCUUUAAUGGUUUGUAGGAAGGCAGUGAUGCUUUGCAAACCCUUGGUGUGAUUCUUAAGGUGGUUGUUGACUUGUUUAAUGUAGACAUGUGAUAGUUUGACAUAGCUAUUGGUGAAGAUGAUUUAUGCUUCAUGAGAGGUUGUGGCACAGGCAAUGAAUGGAAUUAUGGUGGGUGAAACGAAGCCAAUAAGUGCAUUUAGGAUCAAUUGAUGUUGACGAAGCCAUGAAGAAUAGGUUGGGUUGGGUAUUACGGUGUUGUUAGCAAUGAGAGUGGUGGGUGGACAAGGUUUGGUUUUAUCAAUAUAGCUAAGGAGGUUAAAGCCAAUAAGCAGUGUUUGGAAUUGAAAUCUUUAUGAUAUGUAGUUGGUAGUGGUUAGUUUAAGUGGGGCUUAAGCAAAAACAUUUAUUGAGAUGAGUAUUUGGUGUGACUGAUGGGUGUUGUGAAUAUUGAGAGUAGAAGUUGCAGAAGUGGUGACAUCUUAGGUGGCUAUGAGGUUAUGAUGAUGUGGAGGAGCAUUAGAUGGCUUUGGCAAAGAAAAAGAGGUAAGGAAGAAAAAGUGGUGGUGAGGGUUUUUAGGUCAAGAAGCUUGAAUGCUCUAAUGCCAUAUUGAAAAAUGAGAUUGGUAAAUUAUUGUGUUUUUUUUUUCCUUUGAUUAUGAAGAAUAUAUAUAUACAUGUACAAAGAAUAUAAAUUUGGAAAGUUUCCUAAUUACCUAAAAUCAUAACCUAGAAUAUACUAAUUUAUAGUCAAUAGAUUACUUAUAAAAUGAAACAAAUUAUCUACAAAAGAAAACAAAUUAGUGAUUGAAAGAGAAUAUGGUAAUUUCCUUUAUUAGUGUCAAGUUUAACACCCCCCACAUCAAAAGGUGUAUUUGGAACCAUGUACAUAUUUCUGUUCUUGAAUUUCAUUAAUUAAGAUGUCCAACUUCUUUGCCUUUCAAAGAAAUUUCUCAUUCUCAUCAAUUUGAAAAUUGUAAUGGAAAGCUUCAAAAAGCAUCAAUAGUCUCCCAGUCUAUCACCAAUCAAAAUGCAAAUGCCCCUAUACAAGGUUUGCUACCAUCAUAUGACCUUUAUGUUGAAAUGAUGACAUUGCCCUUUGUAUAGUGGUGUGGCAUGCUUUGAUUUUUUACAAGUUGAAUUAUACUAAAAGUGCUUAUGGAGUCAGUUUAAGGAAAAGUAUUGGAGCUAGACAAGGGUUGCAAUAGGUCAUCACUUUAAUAUGCUGAGCGUUAAGAUCCUUAAUUAGGUUUUGCCAUUCCCAAUACCUUGUUAUAUCCCCUUCCCAAUUCCACAAAUGUUGUGAUCCCAUAUAAGUCUCCCACUUAGUCCUAUGCAUCAAUUAGCACAUAAUACGACCCUAUGCUUAGAAAUUGUACAUGUGCAACAUUGUGAGUUUCAUGUUUGACAAAAAUAUGAAUUCUAGUUAAAAUAAAUCUCGUUAAGAAAACACCUCUCCAUUAGGGACAAGUGAAGUCAUUAAAAUGUAGAGGUUGGCUACUCGUGUUCUAUGUUUGUUUUCUUCUUAUUUUAUUACUUCAUUUCAUGUCUUGCCUUCCAUAUUAUUAGUAUUUGUUUUACUAUUUUUUUUUUCUAAAGUAUAUGUGUUUUGUAGACCCUCCAUUUUGUCCUCCUAGCACAUGUCCUAUUAAGUAUUUGUCCGAUACUUUACAGCAGUUCCUUGAUGGCCCAUUACUACUCGUGUGACCUAUCUUUUCUAAGCCACCUUGGGGACUUUGGUUGAGUUAUUUAUCUAAUCCCGUUGUGACUCUUGGUAGCCCUAUUUAGACUUAGGCCCACUUAGGCACCUUAGCCCAUUUAGAUACACUUGGCCCAUUAGGCACCACCCUAGGCCCAUUUAGACACACUUGGCCCAUUCGGCACCACCCUAAGUCCAUUUAGGCACCCUUGGCCCACUUAGGCACCACUUUAGGCCCACUUAGGCACCUUAGGCCCAUUUAGAUACACUUGGCCCAUUAGGCACCACCCUAAGCCCAUUUAGGCACACUUGGCCCAUUAGGCACCACUUUAGGUCCACUUAGACAGCCCUAAUUUACACCUUAGGCCCACUUAGAUACAAAGACCCAUUAGGCACCACCCUAGUCCCAUUAGGCAACACCUUAGGCCCACUUAGUUUUACCAGUCUUGCUUAGGUCACCUUUCAAGUAGGGUUGCAUGGCUUGUAUGAGUAGCAUGUGCUUGAUUUUCUUAAUUUAUUUUAUUUACUUAUUUGUUAGUUUUAUUCAUUUACUUAUUCACUUUUUUCAAAAAAUUGCAUGAGAAUUGAGAUUUUAGUUUUUUCUAAUUGCAUGAAUUGAUAUCUCAUAUAUAUUCAUAUAUUUACUUUACUUUAUUCAUCUAUUUAUUUUUGUAGGAAAUUGCUUGAGCUUCAUAUUUUAAUUCUUUUAAUGUGUUUGAUAUCUUAGUUUUAAUUGUAUGAUUUUAAUUUUAAAUUUUAAAUUUUCAACUACAUGAUUUUUUUUAUUUUACUAUUUACUUUCUAUUUCACACGGGAUGAGGAAAUAUUUUCUCCUAAUGGCGUCAUUGAAGGUAUUUUCAUCAUUAGGGAUGACAUGAAACAGAGUCAUGGUUGUGGAUUUGUUAAGCUUCCUAAUAGAGAUAUGGCUGGCAGUGGCAGCAAUAAAUGCACUAAGUGGAAAUUACGUGAUGAGGGGUUGUGAUUUUUUUUUUUUUUUUUUUUUUUUUGGAAAGUGGAGAAUCAGUCCAGAGCAUAGCGUCAUUUUUCCUUUUGAAAGGAAAAUUACCAUGGCUGAUUUUGGCAAGUUAAAGGAGAAGGGUGCAGCGUGUAUGUGGACGAAAAGGGGGCUGUGUUCAAGCGGGGGUUGGCUGGUUUUCUUUGGGAGAGAAGACGAUUUGAGGAGGGAUUUUUUUUGGGAGGUGAGGCUGCGAUUUUCAGAGGGAGAUCAGUUCACGUUUCAGAGGCAUUUUUGGGGCUGCGGUUUGAAGGAGAUCAGUCCAUGUUUCAGAGGCAUUUUGGGGGCUGCUAUUUGCAAAGAUCAGUCUGUGUUUUGAAAGGAUUUUAGAGGCUGCUGUUUUGGAACGGAGAGACGCAACUGCUUGUUGAUAUUCACAGGCUAUUCACCCCGCGAUGGUGAAGAUGAGUACAUACCUACCUUGUUGAAUCUGAAGAUGAGAAAGGCAGCCGCACCAUUGGGAGCAAUUCCGGAACAGCCGCACCAGUGAAGGAAGGAAAGAAAGCUGGGUUUCGGACACUUUUGGGUCUAGUUCCUCUCAUCGGAGACACCACAGCCGCACCAGAAUUUUAAGGAGAGAGUCUUCCGUCCGGAUAGCUACAGAUCGGUUCCGAAGCUUGAUCCUCCAUUGCCUGUGCCGCCGCAACACUUUGUGCCGUACCCAUGCAUCUCCGACAACACCCUACUGCCAUUGGAGAUCCGCACCAGCUUGUCAGUCCCGCCACUUAAACACCAGAUUUUUAAGGGAAAUUCCUCUCCAUUAACGCGCAGCACUUUGAGGACUUGCAGUGCAUGGGUAGCCACCACACCAUGCAUCCUUGGAAUUGUUUUUUUUAAAUAAAAAAUCCUACUUGGUGGAAAGUGGCCUUUACCUUCUGAAAAGGCACUUUGAGAACUUGCUGUGCAUGGGUAUCCACCAUGCAUCCUUGGAAUUGUUUUUUAAUUAAAAAAUCCUACUGGUGGAAAGUGGCCUUCACGUUUUGAAAAAGGUGAGGAAGCUGCCAUAGCUGUGAUUGAGAUUAGUUUGCAUUACCAUCCAGCCCGUGAAGUAAGCAUUCGCAUAGAAGCUGCGAAUUGAGGAGGCCAACUUCAGAUUAUGGUGGUGGUUGGCCUUGCGAACGUUGCACCGUCAGUCACGGCUUGGAAGAAGUCGUUAUUUUUAAUAUAUGGCACAACGCGUCAGACUGAAGAGAAGAUCAAGACUUGGGUGAUGGGCAAAUGAAUUUUUAGGCAUUAUUGAAUUCUUCUUUUUCUCUUAUGCGAGCGUCACAGUCAACUGUUCAUUGCCCUAGGUGCUGUACACUCGCCGCCUUCCGCAAGCCCACUUGGAUGAUGGUUUAAGGAACCUGUGUGAACCACAUUUUAUUAAUAGCAACAAUUCAGGAAGCAUAUAUAUAAAACGGAUAGGAUGUGACGAAUGGCAAAAACGGUGUGGAUCAUGUGUUAAAAUGGAUCACUAUCUAUUCUUUCAGCAAAGGACACAAUCAAGCAUGUGGAACAUGAAGAUCAGUGGUCAGCAUUUUAAUAUUAGGAAGACAUCAAAUAUGGAAGGUCUCCACCCGACAGCACGCUGAGUACGGUUGGUUGGGAACUCACUAGCCUUAUCAAAUCGGAUUUGACUCGGAAACAGGCCUCAAAAGAUAGGAGCAUAUCCAGACAAACAUAUGGGUGGGUAUCUCCUGCUUCCGAUAUAGGGGAACCAAUAUUCCACGUCGCAGUUUGAAGCCUGAUCAGAUCAGGAACAGCACACGCACCUUCUGUUGGGUCUCUGCCAGACAACUGAGUGGUGCUCUGAGCUUACAUCUUGGUGUACAAUCUCCUCCUUCAUUUGUUUCUUUGAUCAGGAACUUUCAGUUUUGAAUUGAAUUUUCACAUCCAUUUUUUAACCGAAUAAUUCCGGCUUCAAAAAUCCAUCAUUAGACCUCUUUCAUAGACAAUAAAAUCCUUACUUUCAAUGAACUUUUGUUGCCAAAUUUCCUUUUGGCAUGCACCUUCCUAAUUUUCUCUAUUUCUUUUGAGCAAUUUUCUUGAUUUUCACGAUUUUCAAUAAUCAUGAACAAACUUCAUGGUUCCAAAUAAUGGGACUAUUGAAUUAAUUCGUGCAAAAGCAAUUCGGGAAUUGGUGGAACCCCUACACAAAAUCAUUCUUUUCAAAACUCUCCCUUGCUACCAGUUUUCAUUUAAUCACUGACCCUUUAGCUUUAAAAUUCAUUUUAGCAACUUUAAAAUUUUUUUUUUGAAAAAUUUCCAACACUUGUAUGAUUUUAGCCACUUCUUGAACUUGAAUUUAAAGUUUCGUUUGAGUUAAAAAGUCAUUCUGGAAUAGAAGAUAUAAACGAGUCUUUAGGGGGGCUCCGUUUUCACCCAGUUCUGGACACCCGAGAUCUUUUUACAAAAAUAAAAUUCCAGAUGACUUUUUAAAUUUGAUUCAAUAUUGUUUCUAAAUUCUAGGCUUCUUGAAAUUGAUAUUAGACACAUAAAAUAUUAAAAAAUACGCCUUCUUGAGGGAGAUAUGAUUUUUCAAAGUCGUACCUACUGUGCAUGAUGGAAUCUGGACAUUUGAUUAGUUGGAGCAUUUUAAAAAUAUUUUUAAAUACUAUCCGACCCUGAAUUUAUUUUUAUUGUGAUAUAGACACCUUGAAUGAUGUAUGUGAUUUUUUUUAUGAUUUUAUAUGAUCAUUUAUUAUUAUUAUUAUUAUUAUUAUUAUUUUUUAUGCAUGUCAGUUUCUCUUAUCUAAUCUGGACUUUAUAGAACCUUUAGGUGUCUUUGCUGCAAUAUGUCCUUUGAAUGAGCAUUUGGCUUUUGGUAUGUUGAUAUAGAUGUGUAGGAGUUGUUUCCUGAAAUUUUUCAUAAUUAAAUUCCACUCUAAGCUAUUUUUUUAGAAAUUGUUUUGUUAUGCUUCCUCUUCUAACUGCAUGCUAAUGGUUUUAUACUUUACUCGAAAUUGUUAUUAUUUUUGGAGUCAUUUGAUUUAUCUUAGCUCAAUUUUGGCUUUGGUACUGUAUAUUAGACAUAAUAAAGAUGUUAUAUAAUAUAUACUUGUCCUAACCAUUCUAGCCUUUUUUGAGGAAUCUUAUAAAUUAUGCAUGUUACCCAGGUAUGCUCUCUAUCACCCACUUUCUAAAUUCUGUGAAUAUGCUUGUCACUGUGAACUUGGGUGUCUUGAUAUUUGUUUCAUUGUUCAUUAUUUAUGAUAAAACGCAUGCUAGGUGAUAUGCUAUUUGAACUAACCAUUGAUGUCUUGUGAUAGCGCUUAAGAUGCAACUCAAGUACGCACCCUUUGACUCUCUUUUAUAAUCAUGAUUUGACUUUCUAGCUUAAUAUGUUAAUUCUGAAAUUACCUUAGUCUACUUAGGUACCCUCAAUCAAUUAAUUAAUUGUCACAUUCCCCUUAACUUAGUCAGUAGAGACCUUUGUAGGGCUCAGAGGGGUGCUACCUUUUUAAAGGUACCUUCCCAAUAAGUAACCUGACUCCCAGACCUAGACCCGGGUUUUUCAAAGACAUGCUUUUCCAAAAACUAUGGAGUCACUUUUUUUUAGGGUUUUCUUUCUUGUUUUAUUUUUCCUUUCAAAAUAAAAUAAAAUAAGUGGUGACUCCGACUUUUCUGAAACUAAUUUUUCACAAAAUAAAAGCAAGUCUUGCUGAUCAAGUGGGGACGCACGUGAGAAAUACGGGUCCACACAUGUGUAGGUAUGCAUUUGCAUAUACAAAAUGCAUUAAACAAAAUAUGAUUAAGCCAUUUUCACUGUGUUGAUCAUCAUCUUUGAAUACCUAAACAUUCUCUUUUUAUUUUAGUGGUUUUUUAGCUAGAUGAGCAAUCUUGUCUUUUCUUUUCAUAUGAAAUAAUUCUUUGUGUGAAAUUAAUUUUUUGAUUUUGUUUUCUUUACUUUGAUCUUAUUUUGGUUGUUUAGUUUUGUGAUGGUCAACUUGUUCACUUGCAGCCAUGAUGCCACUAUGAACACACACACACAUCAGCCACACUUUCACUUUCAUCACACACAACUCAGCAUGCUUCACUCACUUUCAGCACACACCACUUUGUUUCCUAAGGAAUUUUCUUCUUUUAGUUGUGUGAUUUUAUGUCAUUAUUUAUGUUUGUUAGUGAUUUCAAAUUUCUUAUCAAUUUACCUUUCUAAAAAUCAAUUCUCAAUUUUUCAAAUUCAUCUUAGACAUUGUUAGGUUAUGAAAAAUCAUUUUUCAAAAUCAUGCAACCACUUUAUUUCAGUAUGCAUGCUUACUUUGUGUUUCAAUGAUUUUCAAUUUUCUUACACUUGAAUACAAUUCAUAACUCUAAAAUAAUGGAUUAAUUCAUGGACUUCAUGAGCUUCAUCAUGAUUAUUGAGGGUUUAGGGAAGUGUGGAUCAAUUACUGAAAAUUAAAUCAGGCCUUGGUGAAGCCCUACAUUCUAUGUUUCCAAAACAACCCCUUAAGUUAUGAGUUUUUGACCUUCAAGAUAUUAAAUUGAGAUUGGACACUUUAGAAAUGAUCAAAAAAUAUUUUUCAUGCUUGGAUGACUUUUUUAAACUUCUUAAAAGUGUUCGAGAAAUUUUAUUUUGAACAAAAAUCACUCUCCAAGCUAAUAAAUAAAAUCAGUUUUUUUGGAAGGUCCAGAUUCACUUCAUUUUUUGAUACAUAACAUAUUUCUAUAAAAUUAAAUUGGUUUGAGAGGUUUUUAAUUUAUUUUGAUAUUUUCUCAUAUUUUAGACUUCUCAAGUAGAAUUUUAGGCUUUUAUUUCACUCAAAAACAAUUUUCCAUGUAUGAGAAACAAACCCAUCUUUUUGUGUAUUAUGCUAAUUCCAAUACGUAGAUGUGAAUGUUUAAUUAAAUUUUUGACUUGAUGAAUAUGUUUUUUAAUAUCCUAAAUAUUUUUCAUGUAAUUUAGACAUCUCAAAUAAGUUGUAAAAUUUUUAGUUUGAUUUUAUCAAACUCUUAAGAUAGUUUUUAAAAUUCAUCUUUGCAUAUAAUCAUAUUCUACUCUAUUUUUGAAUGAUCAAAUUUUUUAUUAAAUAUGGGAUAUAUGUUGUAUAAUUAGGAUUGUUGGACACUUGGGUUCUAUUCAAGACUCAUUAGGGUUGAUGCAAUUUUUUUUUUUUUGAUUUAAUAUCACUUCUAGCUAUUUUCUUAUGGAUUUAUUUUGUGCAUGUAUAUGUUAUGUCUUGUUUUAUGAGUGAUCCUAAGUUUAAUUAAAUCUAGGAUAAUCCAAGUAUAAUUAAGUUUCUGGGGCACUUGCGUUUAUUUGAAACUCUAUAAGGAUGAUGUACAACUUUUGUUUUGAUGAAAUAUCACUUCCAAAUAUUUUUUACGGAUUUAUUUUUGCAUGCCACUAUUAUGACCGUUGUGUAAUUUAUAUGUUUUUAUUUAUUCAACAUCUUUCCACAUAUUUUUUAAUUUCUUUGAUCCUUGUUAUGUGUUGUGGACAUGUUGUACGUAUUUGAUAAACCUAUAUUGUCAUUGCUUUGUUUCAAGAUCUCAUAUUUAGUUUAGUUUUGAGAAAUUAUUAGUUUGGUUGCUCUAUUGAUAUUAUGUUUGCUUUAAUUAUCUUAAAAAUCAUUAGUUUCAUUAUUCUGUUAAUCUCAUGCUUAGUUUAGUUUUUAAACAUUAUUAGUUUGGUUGCUUUGUGGAUAUUACUCGUAGCUUAGUUUCUAUUAAAAACCAUUAGUUUGGUCAUUCCAUUGAUCUCAUGUUUAGUUUAAUUUUUAAAAAUUAUUGGUUUAGUAGCUUUGCUAAUAUUAUGCUUAGUUUAGUUUCUUUGAAAAAUUAUUAGUUUGGUUAUUCUUUUUAUCUCAUGCUUAAUAUAGCUUUUAAAUAUUAUUAGUUUUGUUGUUUUGUUGAUAUUAUGUUUAGUUUAGUUUCUUUUAAAAAUCAUUAGUUUGGUUAUUCCAUUAAUCUCAUUUUUAGUUUAGUUUUUUUUUUAAAUUAUUACUUUAGUUGCUUUGUUGAGGUGAUGUUGGUUAUAAUUCUUGUGAAAAUACAAGCUAUGCUUAAAGGAGAAAAACACCCAAGAGGGGGGGUGAAUUAGGUUUUUCAAAGAUUUUUUCAAUACAACAAAUUCAAGCACACUAUAAACAAGAAAUAAAGAGAUAGAGUUAGAGAAUUCAAACUUGAAUUUUAUAGUGGCUCGGUACUUCCUUGCCUAUGUCCACUCUCCUCAAUAUCCUAACUGAGUGAGGGUUCCACUAGCUUGAAACUUCAACCAAGCUUCCAAUCCUUUACACUUGGAUUCCAGAUCCAAUGGGCUCUUACACAAUCCCUUCAAGAUUCAAACCUCUUGAAGUCUUUAACACUCAAGUUUUAUAAGAAAGAAACCCUCAACCUAGCUCAAAGAUAACUCAAAUACAAAACAAAACUAGGAUGACUCACAAGGGUGAACUAAAAGAUAUGCAAGUGAUGGUUUUAAUGCACUAAGAAAGAAAUGAGAGCUUAUAGGUCAAGAACAAGUAGGUAGACAAUUGAUUGCAAGUGUUCUCUACUUAAUAAAUGAAGUGGAGCUCUCAAUUUAUAGGUUUCUAAGCUCGGGAGCUAAGAAAAGCAAAAGGCAGCCUUGAUUGGUCGAGCUGGGGAUUGAUCAGUUCACUAGCCGUUGGAGUAUUUAAUGUUUGGCAGGUUACCGUUGCCUUGAUCGGAGGUCGACCGGGAAGGGGUGAACCUCAACCGGGAAAAGGAAGCUACUGGAUGAGAGGGAGUGUUUUUGGAACUCCUCGACCGGACCUUGACCGGACAAGGGCAAUUGGUCGAUCGGUUCCCCAACUGGUUGAGCUGGUUGGCUAGAGCCUCGACCGGUUCAGCCUUUUGGCCCCAAAAACCUAUCCUUUUCAAUUCCUUUAUUUUCUAACACUUAGGCAAGGUUUUUAGGUAAAAUAAUAUGCCAAUUUUGAAACGUUUUGCCUAAGGUACAUUUAAUAAAACUCGGGUUUUAAUGAAAUCAAAAUUUUAAAGAAUAAACCGAGUUUUCAAAGAAGUAUGAAAAAUUAUGAAAAUCCUAAGUGCACCCAUGCAUUCAUCUUACAUUCGUUUCCUAUAAUCAAAAGUCUUCCAAUAGUCUCAAUCUUGUAUCCCUUUGGUUCUUUGAUGAAUUUCCGAAUUUAUACCCGAGAUUCUUUAUCAUUCAAAUGAAUUAGUCAUUUAACCAUGGUUUGUUAUCAUCAAAACCGGAUUGAGCGAACCCUUGGGCUAACAAUUCUUUUAAAUAUCAUUAGUUAUUUUAGUUCAUUAAUAAAUUGGUCCCAUAUUUGAAAGUUCAUAUUUUUAGUUUGCUUUAAUUUAAUUUGGUUCAUUUUAAUUAGUUUAAGUACUCUUAUAGUUUUAGUUAAUUCAUUAAUAAAAUUGAUUAUAUGUUUGAAAUUUCACAUUUCUAUUUUACUUUUAUUUAAUUUAAUUCAUCUAUUUAGUUUAGAUAAUUUCAUAAUUUUAGUUCAUUAAUAAAAUUGAUCUCAUGUUUGAAAGUUCAUGUUUUUAGUUUAGUUUGAUUUAAUUUAAUUCAUCUAUUAAGUUUAGGCACUUUUAUAAUUUUUGAUUCAUUAUCAAAAUUGAUUAUAUGUUUGAAAGUUCAUGUUUUUAGUUUGGUUUGAUUUAGUUUGACUCAUUUUAAUUAGUUUAGGUACUUCUAUCAUUUUAGUUCAUUAAUAAAAUUGAUCCCAUAUUUGAAAGUUCAUGUUUUUAGUUUUCUUUGAUUUAAUUUGGUUCAUUUUAAUUAGUUUAGGUACUUUUAUAGUUUUAGUUCAUUAAUAAAAUUGAUUUUAUUUUUGAAAGUUCAUGCCUUUAGUUUACUUUGAUUUAGUUUAAUUCAUCUAUUUAGUUUAGAUACAUUUAUAUAUAGUUUUAGUUCAUUGAUAAAAUUGAUUAUAUGUUUGAAAGUUCUUGUUUUAAGUUUGCUUUGAUUUAAUUUGGUUCAUUUUGGUUAGUUAAGAUAUUUUUAUAGUUUUAUUUCAUUAAUAAAAUUGAUCCCAUGUUUGAAAGUUUAAAUUUUUUAGUUUGCUUUGAUUUCAUGGUUCAUUUUCAUUAGUUUAGGUAUUUUUAUAGUUUUACUUCAUUAAUAAAAUUGAUCCCAUGAUUGGAAGUUCAUGUUUUUAGUUUACUUUGAUUUAAUUUAAUUCAUCUAUUUAGUUUAGGUAUUUUUAUAAUUUUAGUUCAUUAAUAAAAUUCAUCCCAUAUUUGAAAGUACAUGUUUUUAGUUUGCUUUUAUUUAGUUUGACUCAUUUUAAUUAGUUUAAGCACUUUUAUAAUUUUAGUUCAUUAGUAAAAUUAAUUCUAUGUUUGAAAGUUCAUGCUUUUAGUUUAAUUUAGUCAAACUCAUUUUAAUUAGUUUAGGUACUUCUAUAAUUUUAGUUCCUUAGCUGAAUUGAUCCCAUUUUUUUUUAGGUUUUGUUUUAAAAUCAUUAAUGUUAGUUCAUGAUCAUUCUUAUCUUAGUUUAUAUGCUUUUAAAAUCCUAGUGGUUAGUUCAUGAAUCGAUAUCUUAUUAGUUUGUCUAAUCUAAAAUGUUUUGCUUCUUGAUUUAGCAAUCCUUCAUUUAAUUUGAUUUUUUAUUUUUUAUUUAUUUAUUUAUUUGCCGCCUUAGGAAACUCAUGAAGAUAAACCUCUACUCUUACCUAUUUUGCUUGGUUUUUUAUCCUUGUGUUUUGUGGUUUAAAAAUGUAACUUUUCGCUUUUAAGAAGAAAGUAUUUUCUCAAAAUGUUCUUUAUUAAAAUGGAUUUAAAAAACUCCUAUAAUUGUUAGGGUAAAAAAAAAAUCAUUUUCUUAAAAAACAUGCAACCAAGUUUUAAUUGGUUUACACCUUUCUUUUAUUUUCAAUAAAAAUUCUACUUUGAGUGGAAUAUGAAUCCAAACUUGUGAUCCCAAAUGAAUGGGAUAAUUCUCAACUUCGAUGAGUUUUUCAAUAUUCAUGCGAAAUUGGGAAUCCAUAGGCUAAAUUUGUGUAUAUCAAGUGAGGAUUUUGUGAAACCCGUACAUAAAAUCAUUUUUCAAAACCCUUUUAUUGUCAGCUUGUUGGAUUUGUUGCAUCUCUAGAAUAAAAUUUUGAUUUGGCUAAUUUAUGAUGCUCCUAAAAUUUUUUCCCGUGGUUGUAUGAUAUUGUGAACUUCAUGAACUUGAUUUUAGAAAUUUGUUUGAAUCAAAAAUCAUAUUUCAAAUGAAAAUUAUGAAUUAAUUUUUUGGUAGGUUUAGUUUUUGCCUAAUUUUGGAUACCCGAACUAUUUUUUGUAUUUUCAAAUUACUAGAUGAAUUUGAAAAAUUAUUCUGACUUUCGUCCUUAAUUAUAGACUUCUUGAAAUUUAUUUUAUACACAUACAAUAUUAUUUUUUUUUUGCUAAUUAGGAAAAUUAAUUUUCCUUUGUUGUCCCCAUUACAUUAUCCUAAUUUUAAAUAGAGAGGGUCUUUGAUUGUUUUUAAAAUUGAUCCAUAUACUUUCUUACCUUCUUAUUAUUUUCUUGUAAAUUAGACCUUCUGAAUAUAUUUCAUGAUUUUCUUAUGAUUUUAUAGCACUUCUAGGUUUGUUAAAAAAAUCGGUUUACGUAUUCUAUUAAAUUCUAUCAUAUUCAAAACCUUUUGAUAUAUUUUUGUAAAUUGAAAUUAAUCAAGGCUUCAAUAUAUUGUUGGGCUAGUUGGAUGAUAAACUAGACAUGUAGGAGAUGUUCCUUGAAAAUUUUUGUAAUUAAAUUCAGAUUCUAGAUAUUUUCUUUUAGGAUUUGUCUACAUGUUGAAAUUUUUAUAUAAUGUUUUAUUUAUUAUUUAAUUUGGAGUUAAUUAACUAAUCAUUUCUUGAUCUUGGCUUUGGAAUUGUAUUAUAGACAUAAUGAGGAUGUUGUAUGAUAUUUUUUUUUUUUUAAAUGAUAAAAUAAUACUUCAAGAUAUCUGUUUAGAGUUUUUCAAGUGAAUGCAAUUGUUCUACCCUUUGUUGUGUGCUUUGUUCUAUCUAUAAUUUUGGUAUUUUUAAAGUUAUCUUGUACAUAGUUUAUCCUUAACAAUGAGGUGUAUGCAUGUUCUAAGUGAUAGAUGAUAUUUCUUUGGAUUCUUGUCAUUUCUUUUAAGCUAUACAUAUACCAUGUGAAUUAUGAUUCACUAUCACAAUUAUUUAUUAUUGUAAUUGUUCUAACCACCCUCUAGCUUUAUGGAAAUGCCUUGCAAGUUAUUUAUGCAAUCCAUGGACGUCCCCUCAUACUUUUAUCCCUUUAGUUUGGUAAAUAGAUAUGUUUUGUGUGUCAACAUCUUCAUAUUUGAUAUUACUUUGUUAUGUGCUAUGAUUGGUGUUUGAUUCCUUGAAUUAGAUAGACACAUGUUGUAUUUUGUAUUAUUUUUCAAACUAACUUUGAUGUUUUCAUGAAAGUGCUUUAGGUUGCAGUUUAAGUAUUUUCUUUCUCAUAUGAUUGAUUUUUGUGGUUAGAUUGUUUCAGUGUGAAUAACAUUUGUUUGGCCUUAGAUAUAAUCACCUUUGUUAUUUUUAGUAUCCACAAUUUAUCGAUUAAUUAUCGUACUUACCUCAACCUAGUCAAUAUAGACCUAUUUUUAAUGCUUAAAGGGGUGCUACCCUUAUGGUACUUUCCUAAUAGGUAACAUGGCUUUCAUCCAUACUUAGACUUUGUUUUUCAAAGACACUCUUUUUUAAAAUUAAGGAGUCGUUUUUUAGGGUUUUAUUUCUUAUUUUGUUUUCCCUUUUAAAAAUAAAUAAAAAUAAGUGGAGACUGCAUUUUUAUAAAAAUCAAUUUUUCACUACGAGAACGAGUUUCACUGUCAAGUAGGGAUGCAUGUGAAAAAUGCAAGUCCACACAUGUCUUUUCCUUAAAAAAUGAGUCACAUUAUGGCUUUAUUUCUUAUUUUGUUUUUUAAUAAAAAAUAAAGAAAAAAAAGUGGCAAUUCCAACUUUUCAAAUAUAUAUAUAUAUAUAUAUAUAGUUUUUCCUAAUAAAAACGAGUCUCAUCGUCUAGUGAGGAUGCACAUGAAAAAUAUAGAUCUACAAAAUAGUGACUCCACUAGAAAUGUUUAGAGGGUUAAACUUGAACUCAAGUUGAGGGGAAAUGUGACAUUGAAUUAAUUGAUUAGUGGAUACCCUCUCAUUGUGCCUUUGUUAUACGCUUGCAUAUUUUAGGGCAUAGGAGAGGUUAACUUGGUGAUUAUUUUGUAUAUAUUGCAUGUGCCUUACUGUAUAUUGACUAUUGUUAUUAUAUGUGUUUGUAUAUAUCUGCUCAUGUUUGUAUAUAUCUAUUUUGCAUGAUUGUGUGAUGCAUGACUACCUUCCUUCUGCAUAAUGCAUGUUUUGCCUUUUUGUGUAGGAUACACAUUUAUCCCUCUAUCUCAAACUCCUUAGCCUUGGUCGAUUUUCUCCUUUUGAUCUCGUAUUUGGUGGAUGAGACUUGGUGCCUUGUUUGUUUCUCAAGUAAGCUAGUGAUUAGGAGUAUGGUCUAGUUGUGAGCUUUAUGUAUGAUUGGGAGCAUUUAGAGCAUUGUCAUGACAUUAUCAACAUCUUGAGAUUGUCACCUCAGAGUAGAUUACAACAUCAUCAGCCUUACCACAUCAUUUUUAUUUUAUCAUAAUCCUAUUUAGUCACCUCAUCCCUACUAUCACCCCACUUUGCCACAUCAUCCUACCUCACCAUGUCAUCACUUUGCCACAUCCCUAGUGCCUUAACAUCAUUUUAUGUUGUCAUGUCAUCCUUGCCACUUUAUUCUUAUCCUAUUAGCAUUGUUCCUUAUCAUCUCAUUCUUACUGUCAUCCCCAUUUUGCCUCAUUGUCAUACUUUAUCAUUUCACCCAACAUUUUUUUUUAUGUCAUCAUCCUAUCUUGUUGCAGCAUUGUGAUGCCUUACAGAGCAUCACGGCAUCAUUGACGUCACAUCAAUAGAGGUCACCACAUCAUAGCCACUUGGAGUUUGAUCAUUGAAGACUUGUAUAACCCAUGACUAGAUUCAAGAUAUAUGUGUGACUAGUGUGUUUACUUUUUUUGCUUUAGUUUAAGAUGUUUGGAUGCACUUAUGCCACACGCUACACACAUUAGAUUGCCCUGUAUAUGUGUUAAGAGAGGUAACAUGUGCUAACUAGUAGAAAACCUUAACCAUUAGGAAACCACCCUAAGAUUUAGAGGAAGUGCAUGUGUAGAGGUAAUGACCAGCUUGCAUGGAAGCUCCUAGUCUCUUUGGAGGUGUGUAGGAGGUUUUGUACCAACAAUGAGUAUGAUUGCUCCUACUAGGUACCUUUGAUCCUACCUUUUAGAGUCACCUUUACCUUGUAGAAUGAGAAUUAGAUCCUUGGACCUAGGAUACCUACCCACACAUAGGUGCAUUCAUGUAUAGGAAUUUGAUAACAACAAUUUUGCAUCAACAUUAGAGUUCCAUUAACAUAGAUUAGUUAUAUUAUCAUCCUCUUUACUCUUUAUUUGUUGGAUUCAAUUAGUCAAUCUUCUAGGUUAUACAUUCAUCGAUCUUGUAUAGUCUUAUUCCCUUUAGAAUUUUUUCAACCUGAAUAUGUUGUAUAUAAAAAGGAUUUACAUUUUUAAAUGUAUUGUCAUUGUUUUAGGUUUUUGUACAUUGAUGCGAAUCAUGGUAACUUAGCUUUAAAGGCGUAUCAACAAAAUUUAUACCUUGAAUACUAUUACUAAAGUAGCCAAGCUACUAUAGCAUAGUGGUUCUAGGAUCGUUCACUGGGAAGGGUUUUCACAAACACUAGUGAUAUUCAAAUUAGGAAAAUAGGUGAUUUUCUUAUGGAUGUUAGCUUUAAAAGAAUAUGUAAAUGUUUUAGAAAGAUUUAAACUAAUCUAAGCUAACAUUAAAGACUAAAAUGAAAGGGUGUAAAAACAAGUUUCUCAAAGAUAGGAUAGCUAUGCUCUGGCUCUUAUGCAAAUUGGAAAUCUCAGGAUAGGCUCCUCGCGUUGGGGUUGCAACUAUGGUGAUGCUUGCUUCCCGAACCGGUAUGGAUUUAGCAAAUCAAGUUUUAAUCCUUUAAAAUAGCAAAACAGAUGGUAGUGAAUUUCAUCAAUGGUUAUUCACCUUAGACUUCCUUUGAAUGGCUCGUAAGAGAUAACUAAUGGUCUAAAGCUAAAAGCUUACCAAAUAUUGGCAACUCAAAGUCAUUCCAGGUGAUAAACUCACCUUUCAAUGGCCAUUGAAAUUGGUUCUAACGGAUUAAUGCAAAACUUGGAAUUGAAAACCUCACCUUCCAAUAGCUCGUAGGAGAUAACUAAUGGAUAGAAAUCCAAAAGCUUAUCAAGUAUUGGCCGUUGGAAGUUGUCCAAAGGAAAUAAAAACCAAACUUUGAAUUAAUGAACCAUUAAUGAAAAAUGACUACCUUACCUUCCAGGUGCGAGAACCAUGGGAUUGCAUCCAAGCCAUCACCUAACAUCCAUACUUUGAGAAACUAAAAGUUUUAGCCAAUCAUCCUCUGAGGAAAAGCCCUCAGAGGCUGUUUGGCUACUAAGAAAAUAGAAAUGGGGAAGAACAGGAGAAAAGAGAAAAACUGAGCUUUAUAUAUUUCUAAGUAAAUGUACAGAGGAUCGAUCCCUAAAUCAUCCAAUAUCUUUUGGAGGCGUUGUGCACCUCUAUAUAUAACAAAAUUACAAGAUAAAGCCUUAUGUCGGCUGAAUACAAGGUUACAAAAGGAAUUUACACGAGAAAAUAUCAAGGCUAAAAAUAUCUGGGAAGUCGGUGGUGCGUGCGUGGAGAAACAGAGGAUUUCAAAGGCAUUUCGCAAGGUGCCUAAAUCCACCUUGCAAAAUUUCGCAAGGUGCUUUCUUCAUGGUGCGUAAUGGCCAAAUUUCGCACCAUGAAGAAAAUCUCCUUGCGAAAUGGUGUUCCCAUGGCUUGAUGCAGUUGUCUUCCGAAGGCCAUAUCUUCCUCAUUUCAACUCCAAAUCAUACACGGUUUGAAGAGUUGGAUUCUUGACUUCCUGAGCUUUGAAAUGGUAUAUAGCAUAUAGAAAAUGGACUUCGGAAAGUACUCCAAAAGUUCGAAAGAAGACUGCAGCUGCUGUCCUCUAUUUUCUUCACUCUGUUUUCCUCUUCUCCAUUGUUCUUUCCUUGCAUACUUUGAACAACUUUAGCAAAGGGCUAUGGAGCUCCAAAGCUUGGUUCAUUUGUGCUCGUGUUUCCACUUGAAAUUCAAGUAUGUAAACUUCCAAAAUCCUUGCUUUAACUUGUCCAAGUAGCUCCUCCAUCAUUUGGCAUGCUUGAAUUGAUUCAUAAGCUGAUAAAAACAUGUAAACUUGCCACAAAAUGGUUAAAACCAAUUACUAAGGACCUUAAUGAAUUAAUUGGGUUAAAUGAAUAUGAUUACUACUCAAAGGAGCUUAAAACCAUUAUAAUUAGGUCUACAAAAUAGCACUUUUUGGUAGUAAUCAUACAUUAAGUGUAGCAUUCUAGGAUAUGUUAUUUGACAUUUUUUGACCUAAGUCUAGGGUUUUGUGUUCUCUGGUUCAUUGAUAGGUUCCUUAAGUGACUCGUGUUAGUUAGAUUUUUUGAGACCUAGCUGGCUUCUUCUUGGUGAAAUGGUGGGGCGUUUGUCAAAGUUGGUGUGACUAUUUAUUUUUGUUGCAUCAAAGCUAUCCGUCUUGGUUAUUAAGUCUAUGUUAGUCUUGUGGUAUAGUUAGAGUUUGUAUUCUUUGUAGAUUGUUUUGACCUGUUAGUAUCUAUUUCUACUAUGGAUGUACAUUGAUCAUUAGACUCGACCUUUUUCAUUGAAUAUAUGUUUGUCUUAUGGUGCAUGUGUUAGACUUUUGAUAUGUUGCAUAAUUCACUUCCAUAUCAUGAUUAUUGGGCCUAACCCAUCAUAGAGAAUACUGAGCCCAUUAACCUAGGACUAAAGGAUCGACUUAGGGAGCUUAAGAUUGGGGCUCAUUUGUCUUGUGAUCAGAGUUGUACCUUAUUCACUUCCAUUUACACCUUGACCUUACAUCCUAUCUAUCUUGAGUCUUGCUCAACAUUUACCCCUUGACACCAUCACAUGACCUUUACAUCCUUUCUUAUCAUAGCUUAUACAACAUCAUCUACAUGGACAUUGUUUCAAUCUAUUUAUUUGUUCUUUGUACUUGAGACUGAUUUUAUGAGACAAGAAGGGUGGCUUACGAUGAGCAAAGUGGUCGAUUGCACAAGAUCAUUGACUAUUCUAUGGUUGAGAGAAGCAUCUUGAGAUUGUUAUAAAUCAUUAAGAAAUGGGAUAUUUAUGCAUGAUUUUAGAGGGAUGGAAUGCCUACAUUUUGAUAUUCUACACCAAUCUGUAGUGUUGACCAUGUGAGAGUUUAAGAGCAUGAUGUUUGAGGUUUUGACCAGGGAAUGAGUGUCAUCAUUUCAUGAGCCUACUUAUCUAAUCAUGUUGAUGUUCAUGCUAUGAUUCCUAGUGAAAAAAAUGGAGAAAAAAAAAAAAGAAAACACACAAAUUUAAUAUGGUUCGGCAGAUUGCCUGCGUCUAUAGGAACAAAGAAGAAGACUUUCACUAUAUCUCAAUUAGGUUUACAAAAAAGGGUAUUUAUACUAACCCUCAAGUAUUGGAAUUCCUUAAACCAUAUGCCUCUCCUUCCCCCCCCCCCCUCCCCCCCGCAUUCACUCCCCUCAUUCCACUCUACUUCACUCUGGCAUUUGCCCCUUUCUCCAUAUGUCUUUCACUCAAUAUGAGCCACAUACUACAACAAAUCACCUUUGUGUAUAAAGUUACCCUUUGCUAGCCAAUUAAGUCAUGCAUAUUUAGCCUUUUGAUUCAUCACCUUGCUUACCUCAUUUCUCAUACCUAUGGUUAGGGCCUCUUGGCACAUCUUUGCUUAUAGAUAGGAUCGCCUAGGUUGUGGGCUCCUUAGGUGAUUCAUCUUUUGUAUUCAUUAUGUUUGUCUUGAUCAUUUGUAUUAUUUUAGUCGUACAUCUUCUCAAUACUUGUUGUACUUAUUUGAGUCAUUGUUCAUUAUUCCGUCAUUAUGAGUUCAUAUAUGUACAUACAAGUUAGCCUUCUUGUACAUAUAUUGAGAUUUGUAUAGGUUACCUUAGGAUCCUUGUACAUGAUUGCCUUAAUUCAUUGGUUUGAUUAUUGUUAAAAAGAAAAAAAAAAUUAUGAUGUUAGUCUUUGUUGGCGGCUUGUGUGAUAGUUUUGAUCAUUUCAUUAUAUAUAGCCAUCUCAUCUAUACAUCUAGUUAUGAUUGAGUUGUGGGUUUUAUCCCUAACUAUGACAUGUUGCUUCUCUUGUACUCAAUUACACUUUUUAUUUAGAGUUUUAUUCUCAUUCAUCUUGGUUAUGUUCUUUUUUGCUUAUAUAUCGAGUCAUCAUUCAUUAGCAUUAUUUGCUUUACCUCUAGCCAUUGUAUUAUUCCUUUGAUUUCUUGAGCCUAUUUUAAGUCUCACCCUCGUCAUUUCCAUUUCUUUGAGUUAUUCAUGUGGAUGGUUGGUAUUUGUGUAGUUCUUAUCUUGGAUUUGUUUUUCUUUUCAUUGAUUUCAUCUUUUCAUUCAUUAUCAUAUGAAUCAUAGUGUAUUUUUUUUUCAUUCAUUUAGUUAUCUGUAUCAUAAAGCAUAUGUGAGGUUUAUAAUCUUUGAGUUUCUUUAUCUGUUACACUGUGUAUGCUAAAGGCAUGGGGAUUAUAUCAUUAGGAUUACUGAGCUUAAUUUCCCUUUGUUUCUUUUACCUUAUUACCUUAGCUUAAAUUACAUCCUGGGUCUUAAGACCACCUUGGGACCAUGACAUCAUGCAUUAUGCUUGAUAUCUCACACAUGGGUGGCAUUUGAGAUUGGUUAGAGAUCAGUUCAAGUAAUAUGGAUGAGAAACUAUGAGAGGAUUUACACUAAGGCCUAACCUCUCAACAAUUAUUAAUUUUCGAUAUGAUACCUUAUACUAGGGCAUAGCCAUUUCAUUCUCUCUUAUGGAGAAUGAUAGAUCAGGAGUCACUUAAAUUCAUAUCGACAUAUAUCCAUUUUUGAGAUAUAAGAUAAAGUUUGAUUUUGAUUAGACAAUUUACACUAGGGCAUAGCCAUCUCAAGGAGUUUAUACUAGGUCAUAACCCUCUUAUUGGUGCUUAAUUUUUUAGAUAAUAGCUUAUAUUGAGGCAUAGUCACUUCAUUCAUUCUCAUGGACCGUGAUACAUAAGGAGUAACUUGGAUUCAUAUAGACAUAUAUCCAUUUUUUAGAUUUGGGAUUGAGUUUGAUUUUGAUUUGACAAUUUACACUAAGGCAUAAUGACCGAACUUCUCUAUUGUACCAAAAUACUUAGCCUUUUUACGUAGUAACUCUGAUUAAGAAAAACUAGAGAAAGAGUCACUAUGGAUUUUGUAGUAUUCCGGGUAUCGUCCUCAAGGACUAGCUUAUGAAAAUUGUCAAUACUAGAAUAAAUGAAUUGUUUUUGUUUAAAUCUUAAAGUGAAAAAAAAUAUGUGAAUAAUGCGAAACUAAGUAAAAGAAAUUAAAUUAAUAAAAAAAUGAAUAUUGAUUUUAAAUUCAAUUGAUUCAAGUUUGGGGUUUUCCACAAUCCAACCUAGGGUAUAGAAAUUAGAGAAAACAAGGGUCUUUUAAGUAAUAUGAUCUUAGGGUUUUAGGAUCCUUGGCCGCUCGCGAUCAAGUUGAGUUCUAUAACUCAAAAUUGCAUCCGAAACCUAAUUUUUCCUUUUUAAAACAGAUUCCUAAAACCAUCAAAUGAAUGAGAUUGAUUACCAAUUUAAGAUUUGGAUUUUUAACCCUUCCUACUCCUUAUAGCUUUAUUUAGGGGCAAAUAACGGUAGGAAAGAUGAGGAUAACUAAUGAUCAAGAAUUACCAAGAAUCACUAGUAUCAGGUAAUAACCUACUGUAUCAUUCCCUAAAUGAACUCACAAGGAUAGGAUAAAAAAAAUGAUAAAUUGUCACCCAACCAAUAAUUAUUCUCAUUGUUAUAAUAAUUUACCCAUUGUCCUUAUAGGUUUCCUAACCCUUAGGUUUUCAUGCUUCAAGCCCCAAGUUGGCUCUUAGCCUCUCAUGGGGGUGAUGUCACAUUCUCAAUCCAUAAUAGGGUAAAAAUCCAUAAUUUGAAUCAAAAGAAACUAAAAACAAUAUAUUUUAUAAAGAGGAAAAAGAAAACAAACCAAAGUUCUCGUCUUCUUCCACCUUCAAUGUUAAGUUCUCCGAAAAAAAAUCCAAGAUCCCUAAAACCUAGAAUUGAGAGAGUUUAUAUAAUAUCGUCAAUUACCUAACAUGUGGCACACUCUCAUUGGCCACUUAUUACAAAAUCAUUUCCUAAAAAUGAUUAAAAAAAUAAUAAAAGGGUGAUUUCUAGUCAUGUGGGGUCCACUUAAGGCGGAUGGAGUGCCCUAGAUGCAAUUCCCAAGGUAGAGAAGGCAAAACAUCAAAGUGACAGUGGGUGAAUUCGAAAUUGGUGUCAUUUCAAAGUGGAUUUCGAAUUCAUAAGUUGAAUAGAUGCAAUUCCUGAGGUAGAGGAGGUGGAACAUCAAAGUGGCAAUGGGUGAAUUCGAAAUUGGUGUCAUUUCGAAGUGGAUUUCGAAUUCAUAAGUUGAAUUUUGAAAUCAUUUCGAAAUGACCCUUCAGCUUGGUGCAGUUGUCUUCAAAUGGCCAUAACUUCUUCAUUUCAGCUUCGAUUUGCAAACCGUUUGAAGCGUUGGAUUCUUGACUUCCCAAGAUUUGAAAUAAAAAAUAGAAUGUAUACAAUGGACUCUAGUAAGUUCUCUAAAUUUUUCCUCAAAAUCAGAGUAUAUAAUUCCAUCAGAUUUUUGAGUUCUAAAUUUCCAUGCAGCUGAAUCUUGCUUCAUGCCUCAUUUCCCAUGUUUUCUUGCCUUAUUUCUUACUCCAUAAUGGUCAUUUCUCAUCUUCCAAACUCAUGAUAUCCUCGUCUUUCCUUUCCUUACGGUCCAUGAGUCUUGACUCACUUAUUUCCUCAUUUAGCCCUUUCUUGAUCUUUCAAAAUCUAAAGUGAUUCAACUUGCACCAUUUUCUUCCCUUGAACCUGAGAUAAGUCUCCAAAGUACAAAUUAAACUCAUGACUAGGGCCUUAGCAUCUAUUUAGUUCAAGUUAGGUGAUUUGAAUGUCUUUUUGUGCACAAAUCAUAUAGAAUAUGUGCCAUUAGAGCACAUAUUUUGGCUCCAAUCACAUAGCCACCUUAGAAAGUUUAUAUUGGUGUAUAGCCCUCUCAUUGAUGAUUGAUUUUCAAGAUGAUAGUUUAUACUAGGACAUAAUCACUUUAUUCCUUCUCAUGGAGCAUGAUGGAUUAGGAGUCACUUGGAUUCAUAUUGACAUAUAUCUAUUUUUGAGACCUAGGAUAGAGUUUGAUUUGAUUUGAUGAUUUAUACUAGGGUAUAGCCACCUUAAAGAGCUUAUACUAGGGCGUAGCCCUCUCAUCAAUGAUUGUUUUUUUAGAUGAUAUCUUAUACUAAGGCAUGCCUUCAUUCCAUCUCAAUAAGCAUGAUGGAUUAGGAGUCACUUGGAUUGAUAUUGACAUAUAUCCAUUUUUGAGAUAUGGGAUAGAGUUUGAUUUUGAUUUGACAAUUUAUACUAAGGCAUAACCACUAUGCUUGAUUCCCUACACUAGAGCAUAUUCGUCUUUUAGAGGAGAUUUGAAACUCCCUUCACAUUAUAGUAUGAAGAUACUUUAGGGAGUAAAAAUCUAUCUUGAUGAGAUUGUGUAUGUUACAACAUAACCAUUCUAGAUAUUAACUUGCACUGAGGCUUAACAUUUUAGACGUUACCUUAUAUACCAGGGCAUACUCCUUUUAUCAGUGUUUGAUUUUGAAGAUGAUUAAUUUGUUUUGGCCUUACCCAUUUUUACUCAAUAUAUUCAUGUUGGGGCAUAACCCACUCAGUUGGCGAUUGAUUAUUUUUUGAAAUGGCAAUUUAUAUUGAGCAUGACUACUCUGUUUGAAUCCCUACAUUGGGGCAUAACCAUUCUCUUGAAGGUGAUCAGACAUUCUUUUCAUAUUGGAGUAUGAAAGAUGGUUAAGAGAUAUUGAUUUGAUGUCUUUUAUAUUGGGGCAUAACCAUUUGAGGGAGUAUUUAUACUAGGGUAUGACUAUCUUAUUGAUCUUCUAGGACAUUGGAAUUCGACCACUUAAUUAAGGUUUUAUAUAGGUUAUAAAGAUGAUGAUGCCUUGGAUUCGGUCUUCUCACCAUACCUGGUCUGAUUUAGAUACUAUCGUAUAUUUACUUCAUACCAAAACACUCCAUUUUUUCUAUAUCUUCACACUUAUAUCUUGUAUUCAAUCCAUCCAUAUCAUUCCAUCAUGAUGUAUAAAGUUAUUUUGCUUCCAGAUCAUAGGAGCAUGUAAACUAAUCAUGAGUUUCCUAGUCAAACUUUCAUGUGCCUUUUGGAUACUGAAUUUAACAUCUUCCAUGAUGGCAAGGCUUGACAGAUUGUCGAUUGUUUGUAAUGUUUUUCAUUUGAUAGUCUACAUGUCAUGGCAUGACUUGGUGCAUAUUUAGACUUAGAGCUUUAGUUAUCUUUGUUUUUGUCCAUCAUUUGGUUUUAUUUUGAUAACAUGGUCCCAAGACCUAUAGUCCUAUUUAGCUUUUUUAAUUGAAGAUUAGACAUUUUCAUCUUAUUAUCAAUGAGUGCAUCCUAGUGUAUGUCUUUGUUCGUGCCACACCCUAAUUAUCCGACUUUUUUUAUAUUUUCUGUUAAUGUCACGCCUCGACUAUUCGACCUCUUUUAUGUUUUCUUAAUGUCAUGCCCUGAAUAUUCAACCUUUUUUUGUCUCUAUUAGUGUCAUGCUUUGAUUGUCCAACUUUUUCAUGUUUUUUUAGAGCUAUCUUGAUUGUCCAAAAUUUUCAUGUUUUCCUAAAUUCGAGCCCUGACUGUCCAACUUCUUUUAUGUUUUCCUAGAUUCGCACCCUGAUUGUUGGGUCUUCCUUGUGUUUCCUCUAAUGUCCAUGCACUGAAUACAUGACCUUUUUUAAUUUUUAUUUUAUUAGCCUUGAUUUUUUUCUCUAAUCAUUAGCUUCUUCUCUUUUCUUCUUCAUUCUCUUGUUCACCCAUUCAUUCCCCCCUUUGGAUAGUAAGGUCCUUAGUGUUUCACAUAGAUAUUGUCACUACCUUGUUCAGAAGAGUCUCCCUUAAGAUCCACGUAGAUAUUGCAUGUUUCUCUACUAGUAGAUCAAUGAGCACAUUUCAUAACCUUAGAGAGCUUGUGUCUUAUUGGGACAAAUUUGGUGAUCUUUCUUGUACUUUAGUAGAGCCCACUUUGUUUGGUUGGUUUAUACACUUACUUCACUUGUGAACUCUUCUAAAAAUGGACAUAUUUGUAGAUCCCAAAAUUUUCCCUAAGCCUAUUCUCACUUUUUAUUUUAUUUUAUUAUUUUAUUAUUUUAUUUAUUUUAUUUUAUUUUAUUUUUACUUUAUUUUUUUCUUCUUUUCUUUUUCUUUUUUUUUGUUCCUUUCUUGUUUUUCACCUUUUUUUUCUCCCACACACAUGCAACUACAGAACCUUUCCCCUUCUUAUUUUUCCCUCUUCCUUCUCUUUUCUUUGCUUCUUUCUUUUUCCUUCCUUUUUGUUUUUCUUUCUUUUCUUUCUUUUUCUCUCUUCUCUCUACCCACUCUCACUCCCAAACCCAUCUCUAGCCAUCAUCUACCUUCCUCCUCUUUCCCUUGUCUUAUUUAUUCUCCUUUCAUUUUUCUUCUUAUUACCCAUUUCUCUCUCUCACCUUGAAGAUCCAUAACCAUGGCUGCCCCAUACUCAACACUCUCACCACUAGACAGUUGCCAUCAGUGAGCCAUUAUUUGUCUGUGAUCCAUUUUCUCCCUUUGUUUCUCUCUUUUCUUCAUUUUUUUCUUUCUCUUAUCUCACCCAUUUUCUUUUAUUUAUUAUUAUUACUAUUAUUAUUAUCCCAUUCUUUCCUCUUAUCCCUUCUUUCCAUAUUGCAUUCAAGAAAUGGGUAAGAUGCCCUUUUUCAUUUUCUUAUUUCUUUAGUCAUUUUAUUUUUUAUUCAUAAAGUAAUUGUUCUUGAUUGUUGAGUUUGCUUGUUUGGACUUUAGAUAAUUUUGCUUGGAAUUUGCAUAUUAGAUGUUGAUCUUCUUUUAGACUUUAAUAAAUUAAGUUAUCCAAAAAUCUUCUUUUAAAAAAAUAAAAUAGGUCGAAUAAGAUAUUUUCAUUAAAUAAGAAAAAUGGACCCAAAAAUAAGUUUCUAGACAUCCUUUUUAGAUAAAAUAGUCGAAAAAUUUUAUUUUAAUAAAAGAAAUAAUUCAUAAUUUUAAAAUAAAUAAAUAAAUAAAUAAAAAGUUCACAAAUAUUUUUUCAAAUAAAAUAAAAUAAAAAUAAAACAAUCCAGUAAUCUUGUUUUAAUGCAAUAAUAAUUCAAUAAAUAUUCUUUUUAAUAAAAUAAAGUUUUUUUUUAAUAGAAACUUUAGAAAAAAAUAGUUUUUUUUAGGAAUCUUUUUUUUUUUUAACAAAAAUUCAAAAAAAAAUUGAAUAAUAAACGAUCUAGAAAUUUAUUUGUUUAACAAAAUUUUCUAAAAAAAAAUUUGAUUUUUAAAUAAAAUUGUCCAAAAAGUUAAUUUUAAUAAAAUCGUCCAAAAAUUGAUUUUUGAAUAAAAUUCUCUUUCCUUGAUAAGAAUGGGAUUUAAAAUAAUUUUUAUAAAUAAAGGUCUUAAAGAAUUUUUUUUAAAAAAUAAGAAUAGGAUAAGUAAACCUUUAAAUUGAACUGAAAGACAACCCCCCCCCCCCUUUUUUUUUUUUUUAAUAAAUUGGUAAACUAAUCUCUUUCUAGAUGAAAUCCAAAAAUUCUUUCUUAAUAAUGGAAUCCUUGGGAAUAAAUUUGUGAAAAAAAUUUUUCUAAAUAAACUAGUAAGAAUCUUUUUCUAGGUAAAAUAAAAAAUAUAUAUAUUUUUAAUAAAAUUGGGUUGAACCUUAUAACCUUGUAAAUAUCUUUCUUUAAGUUUGUAAAAAAAAAAUUUAAAUAAAUAAAGAUUGAAUCAAAACACUUUUUUAAACAAAUUAGUAAAAUUCACGCCUUCUUAAUAAGGUAAACAAAAAUAAUUUCUUGUAAGUCAAAUAAAAUCUUUUGUAAUAAAUUGAAGCCUUGUGAAUAAAUAAAUUCAAAUCAUUAAUUUGAAAUUGUUGUUAAUAUAAAUGGAUUCUUUGAAAAUUUUUGGAAAUUGUAUUAUGAUAUUUGAAAUAAUAAAAUCUUUCUAAUAAAUUAUUUUGUGCAUUUCUUAUGUAUCAUUUUUGCAUAUCUUUAUAAUUUGUUUUUGCAUUAUUCUAUGUGCUUGUAUUAUUCUUUUUUUCAGUAUCCAUGAUUAAUUAAUUAAUUGUCAUAAUUGCUUUUUACAUGCUUAGUAAAAACCUUUUUAAGGCUUAAAAGGGUGCUACUAUGGUACCUUCCCAAUAGAUAACUUGAUCUUUGGAUUCAAACUCAAUUUUUGACGACAUGUCUUUCUUUAAAAAUGGAGCUACACUAGGGCUUUAUUUCUUAUUUUAUUUUCUUUUAAAAAUAAACAAAAAUAAGUGACAACUCCACCUUUUAAAAAAAAAAAAAUCAGUUUUUUACAAUAAAAAUAAGUCUCACCAUCAAGUAGGGAUGCACAUGAAAAAUGCGGGUUCACAAUUGUAUUCCUUAGGAUUAAAAUAUAAUACAAUUAAUUAGAUGGAUGAUAACGUCAAAUUCAGGAUAGCUUCAUAUUUUUUCCUUUAACUGAAGAUUAAAAUAAAAAGUAAAGUGAUAAUUUUUAAGAUGUAAAAGUUUUAUUAAACAUGAAAGAACUAUUGUGUAAAUAGAAAUAGAAUUAUAGAAUUCUUAUAAGAAAUAACAUUUUUAUGACUUUUAUAUGAAACCUUUUUUAAAAGUUAGAAGUUUUUUUUAAAAAAAUAAUAAUAAUAAUAAUUAAAUAGGUAUAAAAACUUUUAUUCAACUUUUUUUUUUUUAACUCUUACAAGUCAAUCCAAAUAAAAUUUAAACAUAUUUGAAAAUCAUUUUUAAAAAUCCAAAAAAUCACUUAAAAAUAAUUUCUGAACUUUUUUAAAUUUACAUUUAAAUACUAAGUGAUUCUUUUAAAAAUCAUAAUUUUUUUUACGGAUAAAAAUAUUACAAAUAAAAAACAUUUUAAUCACAAUAAAUUUAUCUUGAAUUCAUGAAAUUUCAUUUAUUGUUAUUUAUUUUUUGGGAUUUGAUUCUUUACAAUUAUUUUUGAGUGUUUAUAAAGUAUAAUUAGGUUAUGCCCAAAUUUAUUCCUAUAACUCUAUCCAUCAAAUAUAAGUAGCGUGAAAUUUUGGCCUGUCUCCACCUUUCGUCACUUCUGACAUUGUCAUGCACUGCUUCAUCAACUCCAAACACAACUGCUGAGGAUAGAAGAAAAUAAGACAAUGGAAUGUCAGCUAGAAUAAAAUGAAAGUUUAAUCAUUUAAUCUUUUUUAGCACAGCUUUCCUGCCAACUUAACAUAUUGACAUGGACUUGGACAGUACCGUCAAUUGCAGCAGCUUAGUUAACUGUAAGUGUCUUUUCUCUAAACCAUAAAUUCAAAUGAUCAACUCCUACGUUUUAAUUUACAAAAGCCAGUGAUUUGAAUUUAAGGAAGCAGGAAAGGGUUUACUUGAAUAUAAAAUAAAAAAAAUAAUAAGAGUUGAAAAGUAAUCAAAUCACUAAAAAGACAGAUUUGGAGUUCUUUUGCUAUGGGGUUAGACUCAAUUUGUUCCCAUGCAAUGGAAAUGGACGAUUUUCUUUAUCUUGGUAUAGAUCUUGUAAUAUUUUAUAAAAAUAUAAAUUAUAUGUCAAUUAUUUUAACUUUCGGAAAAAGCGCUUAUUUUAAUUUAAAAUAAAUAAAUAAAAAAGAAUUGAUUUUAUCUCAAUUGUAUAAGACUUCAUAAAAAUUAUCUUAUUUGCAAAAUAUUUUCAGAUGUAAAAGUAAAUAUUAAACAAAGCAUUUGAUGAUCUUUUCCAUAAGUAUCCAUUUAGAUCAUAAUCUAAUUUUAAAAUAUUAGAAUAAAUCAAUUACUCUAAACUAUAUAAUUUAUAAUUUUUUUAUUAUUAAUAUGGUACCUAACCUUCCACGGAAUUGGAAUAAAAUAUGGAUAAUUAAAAAAUGUCAACUAUCCCAUUUCAAACUUUUCUAAUACAACAUGAUAUUUUAUCAUGUUGAAUGAAAUGGGAAUGACCAAAUAUUCUCAAAUCAAAGCUAUAUCUAUUGUGGACAUUGUCUUUUUAUAUUGAAAUGAAUUAAGGUUGAAACAGGAACACAAUGUCAAAUUCUUUUUUUAUAAUCAAAGACUUCCAUGGAAAAUUCCACCAUAGCAUAUCUUAAAGAUUAGUCAAAUUCCAUUAUCUUUAUAGGCUUUUAACAAUCCAAGAAAUUGACAUUAAUAAUCCCAAACACAAUAUUCUGCAACUUUACAUUAUUAUUUUUAUCGUAAUUGAAAAGGAAUACAAACUUAGUCAAACAGAAAAUAAAUCACGAAAGCUAAAUAAUACAAAUAUUCAGUGAAAUCCUUGGCAUGUUAUUUCUUUGCAGCUUCAACAUGGUGGCAUGUCGGAUGGAGGAGGCAGCAUUUGAGCUUCUGGGUGUUUACCAUUUUUCACUAUGAACGCAGUUUCCAUGCCCCAAGUCAGAUGGCGUUCUAUAUGGCAGUGCAUGAACCACACUCCUGCAACAGAGAAAAUAUACCAACGUUACACCUAACUUAAUUGUAAUAUUAAGAAAAAUUAUUUCAUUGGUAUGCAGGUUGGUAGUUUCAAGGGUUUUUUUUCUUUAAUAGAGGACAUGAGUGCUUGCAAUAUACCAGGGUUGGAUGCCUUGAAUCUGAUUGCAACCCAACCAUUCGAAGGAACAAAGAUGGUAUUCUGAAGGGGAGGAUCCACCAGAUUAUACCGCAAAGGGUCUCUAUUUCCAUCGAAAUUCCCAAAUCCCCAUCCAACAACAUAGAAACUGUAUCCAUGGAGAUGCAUGGGGUGGUGUGUCUUUGCAAGCACGGCUGUCCCUUGAAGAAUAAUCUCCACUGUGGAGUUAUACUCGAGCACCCUUACUUCUGUCCCGCUGCUCGACAACUGAUAGGUUAAUGGAAGAUAAUCAUAUGUAAAAUCGAACACCAGUGGUGGAAAGCUAGGAAAGUUAUUUCCAUAUACACCACUGAUGUUAUAAUAGUAAGCUUCUAGUAUGUCAAUUAUAGGCGAAUGAAAGCUUAUGUUGUUUAUACUUGAGGAGAAUCACGUCCCAUUGGGCCCUGCACAUGAAUCAUUGAUGCAUGGGUAUGAGUUCAUAGAAAGAGUGUAAAACAGGUUAGUGCUCAUGCUCAAUGGGACAUUGCAAGGAUGUUCCGCAUCUGCUAAGCUUCGAAGGCCGGCCAUGACCUGAACCGAUGCCUUUGUGUCAUUGUAUGCAGGAAGAUCAGGUGAGGAGGGAGGUGAAGAUGGUGUGUAGUAUCCCCUGUACUGUACAAUAGCUGUGGUGGUUGUGUUAUCAUAAAAGUCUCAAUAUUUUGGGGCAACAGAAUAAGUUAUAGACGUCAUGUAAUAGUGAUCCGGGCGUUGGUUAGCUUCUAGUAAGACAUCAUAGGUUUGGCCAGGAAAUAUUGUGAUAUAAUCUCGUGUCAAUGGUUUCGUGUAGCUACCAUCUGUUCCAACCACUGUCAUUUUAUGCUUGGCUAUGGCGAAGAAGAGAGCCUUGUGCAAGGCAGCAUUGAUUAUGCGAAGUAGAUAGGUCUUUCCAUGAUCCAUUGUUAGCUUGAAUGUGCUUGCAAUUAGAAAGGGAAAGUUGUAUACUUAUGACUAGCUAAAAGAAAAGGAAAAAGUUUCCAUGAGAAUCCACCAAUUAUGAAGUGAUUCAUUGAUUAAGGGUGUAAAUUUGGCUCCAUAGUUUAACAUUAUAUUUGGACUAGCCUUUUCUGAUGUGUUAAAUCAUGGCUCUACCAUCCUCAUAGCUAUAUUCCUCUUUCUUAGCAUUAACCUUUAAAUAUGUUGAUGUUAAUAAGAAAAAGUAGCAUGGUUAACAUAUAAGAAAAUGAAAUCGCGUAUAAUUUUAAAAUGGGAAGUUAAACUUUGUACCUAAUUUUGAGCAUGGAUAUAGAUCAUCGGGUUGUCCAUUUAUCAAUAAAGCAUCAGAGGAGUUGGGGUCACCUCCGGUUGCAAGCCCUUCAUCUCAAACCGCAUUCACAUCACUCUUCCACCAUUCUCCUGCAUGUCAACAACUCCAAUAAUUUUAGAUCUUGCUUUGCUGGUUAAAUCAUAAUAUGUAAAUUAACCUUUAAAAAUAACAACACUUAUACCUAAUAUGAUGGGGACUUCUGUGUUAGGUUUGUGACAAGGAUACUUGGUUCCAUUCUUGGGAUAGAUGAUUAUAUAGCUCCAUGAACAGUAGCUCAGGUACAGUCACUGUGAGCAUGCCACCAUAAAGUGCCUUCCUCAGUAGAAAGGAUGAUCUUCUAGGUAAACUUUGACCCUGGCUAAAUUGGGCAUUGUGUGAUAUACUCGGGACCAUCUGUCCAUGGAUAUCUAGGCAUGGUCACCCCAUGCCUGCAAAACCAUAACUAUACGUUAAAACUAGUACUAAUUUUCAAAGUAACAAAAGAUAGCAUGCAACAAGCAUCAACUGUAUUUCAAUGGAACUGAAGCAAAUAACCCUAAAGUAUUGUUUUAAAUUUGACUUUAUUUUCAAAGCAAUAUAUUGCACCCCCCCCCCCCUCUCUUAGAAAUAAAAGAAUGUAAGCUAUGUCUUUCUCUGAGACACACACAGGACCUACCAGUGAAUGGUGACGUUUUCUUUUCCCCUAUUAUAAACGUCGACAAUGAUCGUGUCUCCUUUCAUAGCAUAUAUAGUUGGUCCCGGAAAUUGUCCAUUUUUUACUGUUAAAAUGUUCUUGGCAGUACAAAGCCUUGUAUAUGAAGCUUCCCUCACUUGCAACCAAUUAAAAGUUAACCAUGCAACCUCAUCCCAAAAGAAAUAUUACAUGCAUGAAUAGUUCCAUCGAUCCAUUCAUGUAAGUGUAUAACCAAUUAGAAAUUGAUGGCAUGCAUGAACGACUCAACGACACCCAUAGCAUGCAUGAACGACUCAAUGACACCCAAGCAUGCAUGAACAACUCAACGACACUAGGGUAAGAGGUCAUACAGUAGAAAAUAAGAGCCAUACUACUCCCUAAAUCUCAUGAUUAGAACGUGGUGUUAAGGCCAGAAUCAUAUAUAAUAGUUACCACAAAAGUAAGCCGACGGGUUGAAGCUUGGCAAUGGAUGCCACCACCAAAAACUAGAAACGCUAAAAUUUGCAAGAGGAAAACCUUCAUGAUCAGCCACAUUUUCCUUGGAAUAAAAGCCUUUUCUCUUGUCCUAAACACAACUCCUUUAAUUCUCUUACUACUUUUGAUGUAUUUCUUUCAUAUAUGAUUCAUUAUAUAGGCAUGGUAAUUCUCUCGGGAUACAAUACUUCCUCUCCACGUGUCAAUAUAAGAGGAAGUAAUAUUGGCUUUCAAUGUUCUUUCAGGACGACUUCAAUGAGCAGGACCACUUCAAAAUAAUUAAUUAUGAUAUUUCUUACAUGAGCAGGACCACUUCAAAAUAAUUAAUUAUGAUAUUUCUUACAUGAGCAGGAUCACUUCAAAAAAAUUAAUUAUGAUAUUUCUUACAAGUUACCUACACUUUACCUUAGAAUAAAUUUAAAAUAUUCUUUCACAAGUCUUUUAUUGAUUAGUUCAACAAAUGUUAAUUAAUUAAAUAUAUGUACCCUUAUCAAGAUUAGUCAUGAAAACUGUUUUUCAUUGACAACUACUUUUAAGAAUUAUUUUUAAAUUAUUUUUUAAGAAUUAUUUUUAUAAACAUUAUUUAACCAACCCUUAUUAUUAAUUUUACUUUUUUUCGUGUUACUUAAGAUAAUUAAUAGUGCAGAACCCAUGACUUUGGUGGUUGGUGGCAGAGUUGUUUUCGUAUUGUUACUUUAUACAAUUAGUCAUGUCAUUGCUUUCGUCUGAAUGGGACAAAGUUGUUUCCCAAUUUUUUUUACCUGAGAUUUGAGAUUGUAAAAGACAAGAUGAUAAGCUAAUUUGGUAUUUCAGAAUUUUCCAUAAAAAAACAGAAAAAUACAUUUUGUAAAAAGUUGAAAAUAGGAUACUAACAACCCUUGUAGUAUCUUUUUUUCUCAACAAAAAGCAGUUUAAUAAUAACAAUAAUAAAUAAUUGUAGAUUUAAAAAAAAUAUUUUUCAAAACAAAUGCAAUCCAUAAUUUAUUUCUUCGAAUGGUAUGCAUAUCUUGAUUAAAUAAAUAAAUUAUGGAAAUGCAUAUAUUUUUAACUUAUUUAUAAAUAGAAAAAAUAAUGAAUAAAUUUUAAGACGUGUAAAAAUUUGAUCAAGUUAAUUUAAACUUUUUUUUUUCACUUUCUUUCUCCUAUUCUUUUUUUCUCACAUUUCCUUUUAAACUUUCGAAAUAAAUUCCCUACUAUUUGUGGAGUUUUAAUACAAAUAACACCUUUAUUAGUUAGACUUACAUUAUAUCACUACCCUCACCAAAGGUAAUGAAGGUCAACAACUUCUCCCUUGUUGACUAGGUCCACUAAUAACUAGAGUUUCAAAACCAAUAAUAAAAUUCACUUACAUACAAAUAAACAAAUCAUAUGAUAUUCCCAAUUUAUUUUAUAAACUAAGGAACAAAUCAUAACAUUUUUAGCAAAAUAUUAUUUGAUCCACUUUAGGGAUUUAAACAUUUUGAUAGUUUAAAAAUAGAUGAAAACAAAUAAGGAAUUAGAAAAUGGUUUACCGUAUCAUUAACCCCUAACUUGAAGAUAUCAUUCAAAAUCACGAAAGAUUUAGUCCACUCCUAAUAUAAUAUAAAUACAAAAUAAUUAUUAAAGACUAAUUAUCUAAAUUAAUGGCUUCCUAAAUUUUUUGUAAAACUUAUUUUAAUUCCAAACCCUCUUCUAAAAAUCUAUAUUUUUUAAUUAAAUUUUUUAUCAACCAUAUUAUUAUUAUCAUUUUUGCUUUGCAUAAUUACAUCAAUAGGUUUUGUUUAAUUAUUAAUGUUAAUAUUCUUUAUUUUUUUCAUGGUAAGUAGAAUAAUUAUUUAUUAAUUUACUACUAUUUUUACUUAUCUCCUACCCACAACCCAAGUCUUAUUAUUAGUUUAUUAUUUCUUUGCCACAACCACUUUCCUCAUUUCCUCAAUUCUUCUUCCUAUUAAUCUCGUGGUUAAAGAAAGAGAAAAUAAUUUAAUAAAUAAAUAAGAACUUACCUUAAAUUUCAUAAUGAAUCAAAUUAAAAAAGUUUCUUCUUUCUAACCCUUCAAACCAAACUUCUCUAAAGGCCUUUCUAUUGUUUAUUUUUCCCUUCUAUUUUAUCUUUUCAGUAUUUAAUAAUGCGGAAAAAUCAAAAUGAUAUAAAGUUUGAAUUACCCAAAAUCUGAAAAAAUAGUUGUUUCACCAUUUAAUUCUUUAUCCCAAGUCAUGAAUGAAACCACACUAAAAUUGAGAAUCACUUUAUUUCACAGUAUAAAGCAUUUCACCUUCUUUUUCAGAUAACUUUUCUUUUCGAGUCUUUAUUUUCCAUAGAAAAGUUUAUUAGGGUGAUUUUUUGGGCAAUUUCUAGUAGUUCCAACUCCUAGAAAUUGUUCCACCUUUGAUAUUUUAUUUGGUUAGGUCAGGUUGGGUCACCUCAACUUGGGAACCCACCCAACUCCAACAAUAUUUAAGUAUUUAAUAAAGUAAAUGAUUGAAUUACCAUGAACAAGUAUAAUGAUCAAAAUAAAAAUUUUACUCUUUUUUGUUAUAAUAUAAAAUCCAACCUCUAAUUGAACAAAUCAUUUACCAUUUAAAAAUAUUCUUAAUAUCUUCAUUUUCUUUUUGUGUUUUUGAAAGUUCAUUUUUAUUUUAACUAGAUCAAAUAAUAUUUGUAUAAUAAUGCCUUUAACAUACAUUUUUUAUGAGUAACACCAAAUAAACAUCUCAACAAAUAUUAUAUAAGAUGAUCAUUAAUUUCACUAUCUUCAUUUUAUUUAUGUUAUUCUUCUUUAUCCAAUGGGUUUAAUUAUGUGUUGUAAAAUGAACAAGGACCUCUAUAGUUAUAAUCUCACCUAAAAAGUUGGAGAAGUUAUCUCUACAUUUAUGGUUCAUGCAUGAAAUAAAUUGUUUUUGUACUUCCAUCAUCAAAGAUGCAUGUAUGUCUAAGAAUGGCAAAAAAAUCUGUUGUUCUUGUAUUGAACAUUUUUAAGCUUUUCUAAGUCAAACAGAUUAAUUUAAAAUUGUUGGAAAGUUUGAAGUUUGAAAUUUGAAUUAUUCAAAUAUUUGUUGAUUUGAAUAAGUCAUCGCAGACUAUUAAGAUUAGAAGUUAAUUUAUUUGUUUUUAAAUCUUAUGAGAUUAGGAGUUAUUUAUUCAAAUAAGGAUUGAAUAUCCACCAGGUUGUUGGGAUAAGAAUUCUAGUUUCCUUAUUUUUAAGGAUUUUUGAAUUCUAGAGUCAACCUAUAAAUCUUGUUGUAUUUCGUAUUAAAAAUAAUAAUAAGAUUUUUGUGCUUUCUGUUUUUUUUUUUCUACUUCGGCUUCAAAAAUAAUUAUUUUUUGAGCUUAAGAGGUUCAAACACCUAUUCACCCUCUCUAGAUGUUACCUAAACUAGAUCAACUAACUUUUAAUGAGGAAAACUCAAAUCAUAGAAUUUGCUCUUUCAGCCAAUGCAACUAGGCUUAGACAAAUUGAAGAGUAAAUAUCCUUUCAAAUCAACCAACUAACCUUUCAUCCAUGGAGACCUUCUCCAAUUUAAAGAUCAUGAAAACCUGUCAAAGCAUUUCUAAAGAAAAAUAAGAGCAUUGUGUCACGGACUUAGUCUUCUUCAAGUGUUUUGGAACUCACUUGUUUUGGUUGGUUAGGUUCUUGGGUGGUACCUUGGCCAAAUGAGGCCUUAACCUCUUUAUAGGCACCUUAGGAAGUCUCUAGAACCUUGAAGGGUUCCUUACAAAUAAAAAAUAAUCUAGAAGCUCCUACACUAGUCUAUGUACAAGAUGACUUUGGAAGAUUCUAGAACACCCCACACUUUUCCAGUGGUCUCCUAGCCAAGUGUAGAUAUGUGUGGAUAUCUCUAGCAUUUUCUAGAAGCUUCCACACUCUUCUACCUUGUAGGUAAGUGUAGAUGUCUCUAGGGGUGUCUACAAGCUUCCUACCUCCUAUAUAAGCCCAUGAGGAGGGUCAUUUGAAGCAUCUUGUGACAAUUGGCUCACCCUAAGGGUUCCUUGGAGAGGCUUUGAUCUUAAUCUUCUCUAUGAGUUGUUGAAAGGGUCUUUCACAACUGGGAUUGGAUUGGAUGGAGCACUUAUAUGAACUAAAAAUGAUAAAUAUUAUAACUACUCAAAAGACAUUUUCACAGAAUUGCCAACCUGCAGAUCAUUUUUAGUUAACCAAAUCUUAAAACAUUAGUCACAUCCGUGGCCAAAAUUAAGUGAAGGCUAAGCACAGAUAGAAGAGGAUCAUCAGGACGCUCUCCUUAUCUCUACCAAGCUAGCUAACAACCUUGAACAGAAUAUUGCUCGAGCAGUCCAUGGCUACUAUUAAAAGGAAAAACCUAUAAAAAAAUAUGAAGAACAAGAAGCAUAAAAAGAAAAUAUAGGCUAAAAUAAAAUGGUUCAAUUUGGGAAUCAACUGCUACGCAAUAUAUGACUAAAUUCUCAGCUAGAUUCUUAUGAGUUCUAACCCCCAAAAGCAUCAAAUGCAGCAGAAAAUCUUGCAAAAGAGAAACCAGUAAGACAAUAACAAUAUGAUAGUUUCAUCUCUACCUUUCAAGUUUGAGCAUCUAGUGCUGAUGCAUCCUCUCAAUGUAGAAGUGGCUUGCUUCAUUAUAUCAGUAUUGUAAAAAGAAGAGGUGUAAGCUCACCAUAAUCUUUAAUAGUGAAGAAACUUGAAUUCUCAUCGGUAGUGCUGCACUGAAAUUCUGGUUGAUUGCCUUCUUUCUCAUCCUGUUGAUAUAGUAGAUGAACCCCACACUUCUUCACCCCAUAAGAUGGGCCAUAGACUUGGAAUGAAGCCUGAAUUUGACUCAGUUUAUUUAGCCAAUUGGCGUGGCCAAUCCCAAUUCGAGAAAUUGGUUGAUACCCAAGCCACAUGUGAUCUGAUUUAAUGAAUCUGUGCCCUUCAUCCGAAGAAUUCUGGUGUUCUUGAUUGAUGGGAGCAAAAAGGUGACCAGUUUUACCUUGAGUCAAAUUCAAAUGACAAAAUAUAUUACCAGGGCAAUCAUGGACAGCACCCUUAACUACAAAAAUAGCGCACACAGCCAAUCCCAUCAACCUAGUAUACACCAAUUUGGAGGCAGAUGUACCAUUACUGUGAAGCCUAUACUCUGUUGGCUGAACCACUAACGAAUUCAACUUCCAGGAACAAAAGUGCCGGAUUCAAUAUGUGGAGUAUAUGGCACCAUCUGGGUCAUGAAAAUCAAUGUCAAGUUAUAUGGAAAUAAUGUAGGAGUAGUGCUCAAAGGAGUAUAAGAAUUAUUCCAUAGGAUUUAAUUGAUUUACUUUUACAAUAUGAUCAAGAGAGAGAGGAGAGAAACCUGGAUUGGGAAUUGAAAUCUUGGUAAUUUAUUUGCCAGACUUUGCAUUUCCCUUAAUGUAGCUGCCACAAAGUUGCUGCUUUCAUUCUCAGACAGUGAAGCAAUUAGAAAAUGUGAAUCGGAGGCCCCCACAUUCCUUGGAUCUGUAGACACUUGAUGGACACAAAAUGUUUUCCGUAACUGUGCAAUCAGGGGCAUCUAUUUCUUCUAUACUUGAUGGAAGCUCUGGUAAUGAUUGAAGCCUCUUGCAAUAACCCAACCUAAGGCCUUUGAGCUGUGAAAGUUGAUUGAGGCUUGCAGGUAGAGUAACAAAAUUGUUUCUGCUCAGAUCUAAAUAUUCCAACGAGCACAGAGAACUAAAGUCAUUGGGAAUUGCUCCUUCCAAUAUGUUGCAAUCACUUAGAUUUAACUUUCUUAGGGAUCUUAAACCAAAGAAAGAAUGCAGUUGAAAACCCCUAGAGCGUCCGAUUUCUGCGGGCAACAACUGGAAAGAGGGGAGUGAAUUCCUUGGAUUGGAUUCUAGUCCUUUACAUCCCUCAAAUGAUAAUACUUCAAGGUUUUCCAAAAGAGAAAUAGAGGGUGGCAGCUCUUUUAUAGCAGUUCCAGCUGCUUCAAGCUUCUCUAAACCUUGUAGGCUCCCCAAACCCUUUGGCAAAUUGUCUAGUUUUGAGCAACCAGAUAGAAUAAGAGUUUGAAGAGAUUUCAACUUACGAAUGCUAUGUGGAAGAAUUGCAAGGCUUUUGCAUUCUCUCAGAUUCAACAGAACAAGUCCACUUAGAUGUUGGAUUGAUGAAGGUAGCUUUUUUAUAGCAGUUCCAUAUAAGAAAAGUUCCAACAAACUCCCCAUAUUUUCCAAGACUUCUGGAAGCUCUUUGAGUUUUAAGCAAUCUGAGAGAAUAAGAAUUUCAAGGGAUCUCAACUUAUAAAUACAGCUUGGUAAUGACUCAAGGUUUUGACAGUUCCUCAGAUUUAAUAGAACAAGUCCAGUCAGAUAUUCAAUCGACAAGGGCAAUCCUUUUAUUGCAGUGCCCUCCAAGGAAAGCUCUGAUAAAUGUUUCAUGCACCCUUGGACCUAUGGAAACUUCUUGAGUUUCCAGCACCCGGAGAGAGUAAGAAUUUCAAGAGAUUCCAAACAGAUGCUUCUUAGAAAGUUGUUCAACUCAACUUUAACUCAUAUUUAGCUCGACAAGCUGUUCAGGAUGAAAAUUUAAUGGGAGGGAUUUCUGAGGGUAUCCAUGCCAAUAUAGACAUCUUAAGUUGUUUGAUAGAAAUUUGAAGUCUCCAGAAAGAAGCAAUUUACAGUCUUUGAAUUGAUUCAGUUUAUUCAUCCUCGUGCAAGCAUCAGAAUCAGCACAUAACUCUUUCCAAGAAAAAUAUUCAAAGCUUCCACAUAGCAGCAUGUUACAGACUUUGAGCAAUCUUAAUUUGUUCAUCUUCAUGAAGGCAUCAAAACUGAAGUGUAGUUCCUUUGAUGCUGACAAGUCAAGGACUAUGCCUUCAACUACUUUAGUCCCCUGCAAUUAACCGGGAAUAGAGUAUGAAUUGGAAAUUAAAAUCACAAAAUUCUAAAAGGAAAAGCACAGAAAGCAUCAAACUAAUGACUUAUUUUCUUUUUUUUUUAGGCAGUGUUCAAGGAAGCAAGUAAGAAGAUAAAAGAAAAUGCAUCUACUAAGACAGAAACUCAGGGAAAAGUUAGCAAAGGAUUCAAAUCAAAUAAUUCCCCCAGCUUUAUAUCUGCCUUUGCAUAAAUAUGCAAUACCUUAUUAAAAUUGUACAUAUAUGUGAGUUUCUCAAAUGAGUUGAAAUUAUCCAAACUUUCUCUUCACCUAGAGCUUAUAUAUACAAAAAGAGAACACACACAUACAAAGCUCAUGUAUUUAUUUCUUACUGUGUUUCUAGUUAAUGCAUCACUGACAUCUUCAUGAAUCCAGAGUCUGUUGUGUUUUUCAGGAUAUUUAAGAGAUUCUUGCCAAACAAUUUCCCAACCCAUUUCUUGUAACAAAUCAUACAUGCACAACUUAUUAUCUGAAACAAUUAUGAGUGACUUAUCAAUGAGAACCCUUAUUCCAAUAUCCGGAAAGAAACCACAACUCGCUAGUAUUUCUGUGACAAAAUCUUUGUCCUCCCAUUUACAAAAGCAUGCAAUAUCGAGAAAUAUAUCUCUCUCUUUGUUGUCUAAUCCAUCAAAACCCAUUUUAAGCACAUUCUGAAUUUCCAUGUUAGGAAUUCUUUUUAGUUUGUCCAAUUCACUUUUCCAUUCAUGUAUGCUCUUGCUAUACAAAAAAGCACCCAAGACUUUAAGAGCUAAGGGAAGGCCCUUACUAUAAUGUAUUACAUCAUAGCAAAGCUGCAUAUAAUCUUCUCCAGGGUCGUUAUGUUUAAAGGCAUACUGACAAAAGAGUUGAAAAGCUUCACUAUCCUCUAAUCCCCUAAAUUCAUAAAUUGCGCUGACUCAAUGUGUAACAAGCAAAUGCUUUUCUCUGCUUGUUAUAAUAAUUCUACUUCCUGAACCAAACCAAUCAUGGUUUCCUGCUAAAUAUUCUAACCGUUCCAAGUUAUCCACAUCAUCAAGAACAAUAAGAAUCCUCUUAGAGUGGAGUCUAUCCUUUACAAAAUUGAUUCUUGUAUUGGAAAUUCCUAAAUUUGGAUUUCCAUCCUUCAAUAUCUUUGAGAGAAGUUCCACUUGUAAAUGACCCAGACCACGUUUUUAUGAGCCUUCUCUAACAUUUUCAAGAAAACAGCAACCCUCAAAUUGAGUGUAAAUUUGCUCAUAAAUAGCUCUAGCAAUAGUUGUCUUACCUAUGACACCCAUGCCCCAAAUUCCUACACUUCGAACAUUAUCCAACCCAAUACACAACGGUGAAUCCAUUCCAACCAGCCCUUCAGCAUAGCACGAGGAUGUACCAAUCAAUUUAUUAGAUAUAUCUGUGACAAGUUCCUCAAUAAGUAUAGAUUCAUGCUUGCAAAUUUUGAGGAAAAAAACUAAUCAUUUAAUGAAUUCAAGGAUCCAUUAAAAAAACAAAAGAGAUAUUAGAUAAAUCAUCAGCGAUUUAGUCUUGUUUUUUGUAACUUAAAAGUCAUAUGGCAAGCUUAUAUCUCAGAUUUUUUCCAGUGUAAGUGUGUGUGUGUGUGUGGGAGAGAGAGAGAGAGAGAACUGUAUUGCUAUCUAGACAGACAGACAAUCAAACUAGAUUAUAAUAGCAAGCAUCUGCCGCACUUCGUAGUAGUCUGCAUGAGGAACUUCUCAGGAUAGAAAUACUAGAAAAGCCAGUGGAUGCAUGUUUAAGACUGCAGUAGCAUUGAUUGAUAGUAGGAUUACUAAUUCCAAGUUAAGCAUAUUGGCAGGCAAAAAUUCUCUUCCAAAUGGUUGAAAAAAUUAGGGAUUACCAUCCAAAAGGUUUUAAAAGCAUGACUAUCCAAUGGGGUUGGGGGACACUACUUAGGCAUGGAAGAGAGAAUGCCAAGAGGUCAUUGGAAAUGAAGAAAAAGCAUUAAUCCAAGGUCAACUUACCAACGGAAUAAAGCACACUAAGGGCAAAUAUGCUCAAGAUAAGGUAAAAGGUUUUACAGUGUAGUCAUAACAUUCUUGCUCAAUGUGAUAAGGACCGACCAAUGUGUAGCUUCAAACACCUUCAGCAGAAAGGAGGGAAAGGGUCAUUCAUAUUAUGGUCAAGUGGGUUGAAAUCACAAUUUGAUGAGGGUCGAGAAAAGUUUGAUGUGUUGGUGGAUUGGAUCCAAGUUAUUCCAUCUUCAUAAUUUUGAUCACAGUCAUGGAGAGAUUUCCUUGCAUAUGUGAGAUCAAGUUCAUCUAAAAAUCAUUCAGUCAUAGGCAGCAAAAUACAACUUAAUCCAUACAUGGGUUUAAGUCAAAUCAUCUUGGAUCAAUCUCUCUAUUGAUCAUCCUAUGAUUUCCAAUUUAUAUGGCUAUGCAAGCUUUAAAGUUUCAGCAUCAUUACAUCAUACACCUAAAAGGCAAAGGAAAAAAAAUUGCAGUUAAAAAUACCUAGCUCGAGAAUCCCAUCCAGAAAUAUUGGCAGCUUCUGUCAAAGCCACUCUCCACUUGAUCACUUUCUCCAUCUGCUCCUUAUAAACCUCUUCAUGCUUAGCAAAUGCUUGUGCAAAACUCCCUGUCUGUUUCCUCACAUGAGAGGGAUCCAUAUUGUAGAAAACUGGUAAAGCUGCAUGUCCCAUCGCCAUGGUGCAGUCAAUAAUCUUGACAAGUUCCUCCAGACACCAUGUUGAAGAAGCAUAGUUUUUAGAGAAAACGAUGACGGAGAAUCUGGACUCUUCGAUGGCUUUUACAAGUGCUGGAGAGAUCUCUUGCCCUCUUCUGAGCUGGUCAUCCAUGAAAGUCUUGACUCCUCUUUAACACAGAGCUCUAUGAAGAUGGUCAGUAAAGCUUCUGCGGGUGUCUUCCCCUCUGAAACUCAGGAACACGUCGUACUUCCAUUGAUGCGUAGAAGGUGAAGAUGAAGAUAAAGAAGCCAUUAAAUUGGAAAUUUGAUAGCUUAAUUGUGGGACAGAAUUAUAAGUGAGUCAGAGAAUGAAUAAAGACUAAACUGAACUGAAAAGAAAAUUAUAUAUGGCUUGACAUGCAAAUAGCAAAUCACUAUGUGCCCAGAAGUUUCUUGUGAUUUUCUUGUGAGCUGCCAUCGAAAAGGCCAGCUUCUAAUAACUUACAAAAUAAAUUUGUUUGGGCCGCUUAGCUUUAUCGUUAGGAAAGUCUUCACAUCCAACUUUUGAUGUAGGUUUACCUUUUUUUUUUUUCAAAUAUUUGCCACCUGUCGCUUGGACAUUGGAGGGAAGUUUUCCAAGUACGAAAACUAGAUGAAACUUUGACCGGCAAAGAAAACGAAAAAGACCUUAAGGAAUUAGAAAAUAUUAUCUUUCAUAUUAAACUUAUCUUUUUGUAAAAGCUCUCUACAAUUAACUAUGUGUUAUCAUAAAGCAUUAUUUAGGCUAUGUUACAUUCUUGGAAAUAAAUAAAAAAAUGUAAGAAAAACAAAAAAGAAAUAAAAUUUAAAAAUUAUUUUUUUCAUUAAUAUAAAUUAAAUAAUUUAAAAUACCUAAGUUUUUUCAAAAUUUUUAGUCAUGGUAGUGGGCCUUUGAUCAACCAAAGAUAGCCCAUCCAUCAUUGGCCAAAGUGAAGCACAACAACCUUAUAUUGGUGAUGUCACAUAGCAAUUCAUUAUUCAUUAUUUUGUUUUCAAACACACAAUAUCAAGAUUUGAGCGUGGGUCUUUCACAAUAUCUUUUAUAUACUAAUAAUUGUAAAUUAAUUACAAUAAAAUUAUUACAAAUAAUUUAAUUUUAAUUAUCUUAUUAUGUCUCUUAUAUAGUGAUUAAAUAUACGACAAUUAUAAAUUUAUAAAUCAAAUUAUUAACAAAUGUUUCCUAAUUCGGUAUAUUAUUGUUUAAUAUUACAAAUUUAUUAUACAUUUAUCAAUUUUUCUUAAAACAAUUUCAAUAUAUAUAUAUAUAUAUAUAUCAGAAUUUUCAUUGAUAUUUCUUUAUAUAUCUAUAAAGUCCAACUAAUGAUAUAUCGGUAAAAAUCAAUAUUUUCAUUCUUACUUAACAUAAGAAAGAAAAUUAUUCAAAUGGUGUGUAAAUUAAUGUGACCUCCUGAUGACAAUGACAACAACAACCAUGAGUCAUAGUUAAUGCACGUGUGUGGUAAAUUAACUUAGUGUUUGACAAAAUAAUUAUUUAUUAUUACUUAAAAUUUAAAAAAUAAAUUUAAAUAUUAAAUCAAAAUAAUUAACUUAUUCUAAAUACUAAAUUUUUUUAUUCUCUGUGUUCAUAUUUGGUGAUAAUCAUGCUUUAUUUUAAGAAUUCUCUUUUUUUUUUAGUCAAUAUUUUGUAGUUAUUUUGUAGUUUCACAAUAGUACUUUUUAAUAUAAAUGUUUAACAAGCUUAAGUUUAUGAAGAAAAAAUAUUAAGAAAAAUUAAUGAGUUUAAAUAUAUCAAUAUAAUAACUUUAAAAAUAUUAAGUUGAUUUUACCAAAAUUAAAGUAAAAAUAAUUCUUCUUAAAAUUAAUUUCAAUAAUUAAGUAAUAAGGAUUAAAUUUCAUCAUACACUCUCUUAAUUAAUAAAUGACAUAACUUCUUUCAACAACUUCUUCAUUCUACUUUUGAAAAAAUAAAAUAAAAUAAAUUUUAAAAUUAACGUGAUAUUUAUUUAUUUAUGUCUAAAAUUUAAAUAUACUUGAAUUUGACUUAAAUCUAAAUAUAGCUUGAUAUCGUUAAGUGUUUAGACUAUUUUUUUUUUUUUACUAGUGUUUAAAUAUUAUUAACCGUUAAAUUGUUAUUUUUAUUAAUAUCAAAAUAUGUGAAGUGUUAAAUUUAUUUAUUUUUGGUUAAAAAUUUAUAAAAGUAAUUAUUAUAUUUCUUCUUAUUUUAAUUUGAAAAGUUAUAAUUUAACAAAAUAGUAAUUUAAUUAACACAUCUAAAAAUAUUAUAAUACAUUAUCAAAGUAAAAAUUUUAUAAUGAUAAUUAUGUAAUUAGUAAAUUAUAUUAUUGUACAAUCCAUUGUUCCAUGUCAUAUAUUAUAGCAUAACUAUGCAUACCCAUCAGUGCAUAGACAUACAUCUUUUGAUAAUCUAUCAUGAAUGUCUCGUGGACUCUAAGUGAAGUAUGUAGCUAUUAUAGUAUAAAGAUGGUGUAGGAAGAGGCUCCAAGUUUACUAGUUCACACUCAACCACAGCAAUAGGGAAUAUAUUGCACAUUAUUUCCAUCUAAAAGAAAGGUAGAAAAGACCUUAGGAAUGGAACUUUUAGAUAACACCUAAGGGUAGCAAUGAGAUGAGUCUAAGAAGGAUCACUUCAAUCUCAAUCUUAUGUCAUUUGUUUAUAUUAAAUGGGGUGAGAUAAGACAAAAUCAUAUUCGCACCUGUCUUGAACUUGGUCCGAGGGCAAGAAGGGUCUCUAAAAAAAUCAGUCUCAUUGUCAUUCUUAGGUAUGCAUCUAUACCAAUGAAAGUUUUUACAUCUAUUAAAAAAUUCAAUGUUCUUGAUAUUAAUUAACUUCACCAAACUACAUACACUUAAUAUCCAUGAAAAAGUGUCAAAAUUCUCAACUAAUCAAUGACAUAAACUACAAUCAAGUUUAGUACAUCGUGACCCUAAAAUACCUCCAAACCCCAUUUCUUGUAGAACCCCCUUCUAAUUAGGUUGCAAGUGUUGAAGUACUUUAUACACCUAAUUAGGCGAACAACAAGUGUCAAGAUAAGACUGCAAGCCAUACAAAUACAUAUGCAUAUAAAUUUAAAAUUGAAAGAAAAUAUUAUCAAAUUUUUAAGUAUUCUAUGACAUAUUUUAAAUAUUUCUUACACAUGAAUUUCAGGAACGAGAAUAGAACCUCCAUCUCCAUAUGAAAUAAAGAGCAAGUACUUGGAAAUGAAGUAUGUUGAAAUGGAAGCUUAUAUGAACCAACAAAGAGAAAAAUAGAAUGCUUAUGGGUGCACAAUAAUGUUUGAUGGAUGGACAGGGCCCAUAAAAUUAAGUAUAAUUAAUUUCAUGGCCUAUUCAACAAGAACCACGGUGUUCCUUAAGUCAGUUGAUGCAUCUAACAAUAUUAAAGACCACAAAUAUAUAUACAAGCUAUUAAAGAGUGUUAUCAAAGAUGUUGGGGAAGAAAAUGUGGUCAAAUUGUCAUAUAUAAUGGGACGGCAUUCGUGAAAGUAGGCAAACUAUUGAUGAAAAAGUUUAACUUAUAUUGGACUUUGUGUGCGACGCACUGCAUCGACUUAAUGUUUGAAGACAUUGGCAAAAGAACAAGUGUUGCAGAAGUGAUAAGCAAUGCCUGUAAGAUAACCAACUUCAUUUACAACCAUGGUUGGUAACUUGCACAAAUGAGAAAGUUUUGUGGUGGAGACAUUGUUCGACCUAAAGCUACGAGGUUUGCUACUAACUAUAUUGCUCUUGAUAGUCUUCUUAAAAAAAAAAGGGUUGAUUUAAAGAAAUUGUUUAAGAGUGAUCAAUGGGCACAACAGAAGCUGAAUCGGAUAAAAAUCGGUCAAGAAAUGGAGAAAUUAAUGUUUGACCAUCCGUAUUGGGACAAAGUGACAAAAGUGGUUUCAUUAUAUGAGCCACUAUAUGUGGUGCUUCUUCUUGUAGAUUCAGAAGUUGUUCCCACAAUGCCCUUUGUGUACGAUCUUAUGCAAGUGAUGAAAGAAAAUCUCAUUCGUCAACAAGCUAGAGAAUGGAUGUUUGAAAUAAUAAAAGGUCGUUAGGAGAAAACACUAAAACAUCCACUUCAUGCAGUAGGUGAUUAACCACUAUCCAUCUUCAUAAGUUCUUAGUCUUGAUGUUAUAUAAUUUUUUUCUCCUAUAAAAUACUAACUUUACUUAAUUUUAUUAUAGCAUAUUUCUUGAAUCCAAGGUUUCAAUACAGACGUGGAGUUGGUAGCGAUCCCGAACCGCUCCAAGCAAUCCAUGACGUUUUUGUGAAAUUAGACCCAAUUGCUGAAUCGCUUAGUCAAUUUGGAAAUGAGGUAAACUAAAAAUAUUUUAUUAAUCAAUUUAUUUGAACAUUUACUAAAAAUAUUAUAUUCACAUAUUGAAUAUUGAAUACAUAGCUUGUACUUUUUCGAGACGCGAAAAAAUGAUUCAGUGAUUGAGCGACGAUUGUCGUAAGGUCAACCAUGGUUCCUGGUGAGUAUUAUUUCUUAAUAGAAAACUAAAUUUAUUAUCAUUAUUGUAAAUUCACAACAUAAGUAUUUAUAUAAUUAUGAAUUUGGUUGUAAUUGAAUGGUGGUUCAUGUAUGAAAAUCAUACACCGACAUUGAACAAAUUGCCCAUCAAAGUUCUUUCAUAAACUGUAUCAUCUUCUACCUGUGAAAGAAAUUGGAGCACAUUCACUCUCAUUCACACAAAGCAAUGAAAUCAUCUAGCUUACCCUCGAUUGUAACAAUUAGUUUUUUGUUAUUACAAUAUGAAGCUAAAGCUGCGUGAUGUGGAGGUAGAAAAUGAUAGAGUUGUUGAGAAAGAUUACCUUGAUCUCCUUGACAUUUCAAUCGAAAUGGGUGAAGAAGAGGAUAAUCAAUUGUUCCAAUGGGUUAGGCCUCUACACUUGGAUGAUGAAAUCAGAAAUCCUAAUCCACGGAUUGUCGCUCAUGCUCGAGAAUUUGGUGUUGACGUUGAUCGAGUGAUGUUUGAAGAAGUUCAUAGUGAGAGUUUUAGCAAAGACAUUGAUGAUUCAUUUGAGGUAGCAUUGAAUUCACAUCCUUCUGUUAACUCCACAAACGUUGGGUGAAGUAGUAGACCUAGUGCUGCUGGUACUUCUGCUUCUGGUUACGAUGGUUCAAGAGGUAGAAUUGAUGAUGAAGGUGAUAAUGCGGGAGGAGAUGUUGGGCAACAACAACAAAGUCAAUAUCCAAUGAGCCCAUUCACCUAUGAAGAUGAUUUCACACAUUGCACCCAAGAUGAAGACCAUGACUCUAGAAAAGUUGGUCCAAGCAUAGGAGCUAUUGGGAAUUCGUAUAGAGGAAGAGAACAGACGAUGGCACCACCAUUUAAUGAGCAGUUAUUUUCAGCUAGUUUUGAGUCUAUAAGUAUAAGGACUCAAUUUAGUGACUCAUCCAAUGAGGUUAACGUUUAUCCUCCUUAUGUGAUGGUUUAUGGUCAACCUUUAAGUUCAAUGGAUGAAGAGUAUGGUAUGCCUAGUCAUUCUCCUUCUACACAAAUGUCAUAUGACUCAUAUCACAUUCCAUGUCAGAUGCAAGGAGGAUUUGACACAAGCACAUGGGUGAACCUAAAGUAUCCCAUCCAUGUGGAGGCAGUGGGUAAGACUCAAGAGAUCUAUGCAUGGCAUCUUCGGAUUUUUAAUCAAUACUAUCGAGACUCAUUAACUUGGUACCAAUAUUGUCUCCAACAACAAGAUGGGAUUCCUUCAUCUAUCAAUUCCAUUGAAUCACAUCGGUCAUCAUUUUGGUACUAAAGGUUCAUUACAUAAUAUGUAUAAAUUAUUGAUAUUUAAUGAAAUCAAAUCUUUCAUCUAGCUUCAUAAUGAGUGUACACUUACAAAAUUUACAUUUUUUAUCGAUCCGACCCGAAAUCAUUAAAUUUAAUAUCGAAAAUCAUAUAUACAUAUAUCAAUUUCUUCAACAAAGCAACUUUAAAAUGUUUAUUAUACUUCUAAAGAUAUAUCUAAUAGGUUUUUUUUUUUUUUUUUUUUUUUUUACAUUUCCUUGACUUUUGAUCACUUUUUGGUCUAUCUAUAUUUUGUGUCAAAAUAUCCAUCGAUAUAUUUAUGAUAUAUCUGAUAUAUCUGUAAAAUCGAAGUAUCGAUAUAUCCGUAAUUAUCGAUAUUUUUAUCCUUGGUCCCCACUCAAUAGUAAGACUCAUUUUUAUUGGUGAAAAAAUAGUUUUGGAAAAGUUAGAGUCUUGAAAAACUUGAGUCUUGGUCCGAGGAUCAGGUUACCUAUUAGGAAGGUAUCUCUAAGAGGUAGCACCCCUCUAAACCCUAAAGAGGUCUCUAAUGACUAAGUCAUGGGAAAAGUGUCAAUUAAUCAAUUGAUUGAAGGUACCUAGGUAGGCUAAGGUGAUUUCAAAACUAGCAUGCCAAAAAAGAAAUCAAAUCACAAUCGUAAAGGACGAUUAGGAUAUGUGCCUGGAAUGCCUCUCAAGCGCUAUCAUAAGAUAUCAAAGUUAGCAUGGAAAUAUAGUACACAAUAUGUAUUUAAUCAGAGCAAAUCGAACAAACAUCUAGGCACCCAAGGAUGGAAUCAAACAUAAAUAAGGCUCACAACAACAUGCAUGUUCAUAGAAUUCCGAAAAGUAAGUGAUAGAGAGCGUACCUGGAUAGCAUGCAUAAUUUAUAAGAUUUCUCCAAAAAUGCUAGAGUGGUUAGGAAAAGUAUAAAUUAUAUAACAUAUUUAUUAUGUCUAAUAUACAGUACCAAAUCCAAAAUUGAGCCAAGGUAAGUCAAAUGACUCCAAAAAGAAUAACAAUUUCAAGCAAAGUACAAGGUCAUUAUCAUGCAAUUAGAAAAGGGAAUAUCACAAAACAAUUUCUAAAGAAUGUCUUGGAGUGGAAUUUAAUUACAAAAAAAUUCAAGAAACAACUCUUACACAUCUAGAACAACAUACCAAAAUCCAAACACUCAUUCAAAUGAUAGAUUGUAACAAAGAUAACCAAAAGUUCCAAAAGGUCCAGAUUAGGUAAAAAAAAGUGGCAUGCAUGAACGAAUUUUAUAAAAAAUAAUAAGAGAUCACAUAAAAUCAUACAAAAAAUCACACACAUCUUUCAAAGUGUCUAUGGCAUAGGAAAAAGAAAUUCAGGGUCGGGUAGUACUCAAAAAUAUUUUUAAUACACUCCAACUAAUCAAAUGUCCAGAUUCCAUCAUGUACAGUAGGUACAAUUUUGAAAAAUCACAUCUCCCUCAAAAAAGCAUAUUUUUUAAUAUUUUAUAUGUCUAAGAUCAAUUUCAUGAAGUUUAGAAUUAAGAAAAAAUAUUGAGUCAAAUUCAAAAAGUCAUCUAUUAUCUUAUUUAUACAGAAAUAUUUCGGGUGUCUAGAAUUAGGUGAAAACAGAGCCCUCCUAAAAACUCAUUUAUAUCUUCUAUUCCAUAAUUGCUUUCUAACUUAAACAAAAUUUUAAAUUCAAAUUCAAGAAAUGAAGAAAAUCAUUCAAGUUUUAGAUUUUUUUUAAAAAAAAAUAUUCUGAAGUUGCUUAAAUGAAUUUUAAAUUUAAAGGGUCAAUGGUUGAGUGAAAACUGGCAGCAAGGAAGAGUCUUGAAAAAUUUUCUUAUGUAGGGGUUCCACCAUUUCCCCAAUUGAUAUACAUGAAUCUAGCCUAGAAUUAUCCCAUUUAUUUGGGACCACAAGCUUGAACUCAUGUCUGACUCAAAACCAUAAUUUUUAUUGAAAAUUGAGAAAGAUGUGAACUGAUUAAGACAUGGUUGCAUAUUAUUUAAGAAAAUGAGAUUUUGAUUCUAAGAACUCUAAAUGAAUUUUUUAAAUAGAUUUUCAAAGGGAUCUUUUGAGAAAUAUAUUUAUUUUAAAAUCAAAGAAAUUAAUUUGAAAACAACAAAACAUAAGAAACAAAAUACCAAGCAAAAAAAACAAAACAAAACAAAACAAAAUCACAAAGUAAAAAUUUUGACAACCAAGCAAACUAAAGUGGUAAGAAUGGAGGCCAAUCUUUGCUAUUUUCUGAUUGCCUCCGAAGAUUAAAUUUGAUAAAGAACUAUCAAAUAAUAAACUAUUAAGACUUAGAUCAUACAAGUUAAUGAAAAUAUUCAUCAAUAAUUAACAACUAGGAUUCAAGAAACACCUAAAUUGAGAAUAACAAAUCAAGGACUAGCACGGGGUUAGCUAAACACAAAAACACAUCUAGACUAAAAAAUAAAUUAAAAUUGAACUAAAUCGAAAUUAAAAACAUAAACUUUAUCUAAUAAGAUUAAUUAAACUAUUGAUUAAAAUCACAAACACAUCUAAACAAAUUAAAAUAAAACUAAAUGGAAAUCAUAAAUAUGAACUUUAUCUAAUAGGAUUAAUUGAACUAUUGAAUUAAAAAUCACAAAUUCAUCUAAACUAAAAAAUAAACUAAAACUAAACUAAAUCGGAAUUACAAACGUGAACUUUAUCUAACAAGAUUAGUUAAACUAAUGAAUUAAAAAUACUAAUACAUUUAAACUAAAAGAUAAAUUAAAACUAAACUAAUUUGGAAUUAAAAAUAUAAACUUUAUCUAAUGGGAUUAUUUAAACUAAUGAAUUAAAACCACAAACACACUUAAACUAAAUGAUAGGUUAAAACUAAGUUAAUUCGGAAUUAAAAAGAAAAAAAAAAAGAAAAAAAAGCAUAAACUUUAUCUUAUAGGAUCAAUUAAACAAUCACCUAAAAGUCCGAAAAACACAUGAAUUGAAAUUGGACCAAACAAGAAUCAAAGUUAACAUACUUAAAAAGUGAAUAAAACAACUUUGGGUCAACUAGACUAACUUAUUAAAAUUUCUAAAAAAAAUGAAAUACAAAAUGAAAAUUGCAUCAAUUAAGAAUUAAAGUUAAAAAAAUAACCUAAACUUCAUUCCAAUAUUUAUUAAUCAAAACUAAUAAGAAAAACUCUAACUUUCAAUCUAAUAAAAAAUUAAAACUAAAAUCUAGAAAUUCCAACUUACCUUCUCUAGAAUUCCUCUAUGGUGGUGCGACUGCUGCUCUCUUCAGUUACAGGCUUGUGCGUGUUAUAGUGGUAUGCGAUUGUCUUCAAUCGCAACCCGUGGGGAAGAGUCCAUCUAUGGGCUGUUGAAAGAUCAGAAUAUAUGGCAUGUUGCUGGUUGUAGUUCCCGUGAGUGUGUGGCCUUAUUCCUCGCCAAAUUCUAAUGGUCGAUCCCUCUUGAUGGUGCAUGCUAGUGUUCAAUGGUGAAUGUGUCAUGGCUACCUCCUUCCAUUUUUAUUUUAUUUUUUAUGAUGAAUACAUGCUCUCCUAUGGGAACAUAUGGUAGCCUUGCCAAAGUCUGGUUUGUGCGGGUUCUUCCUUUUGAAGGCGACGUGUGUGCAUCCCUAAUCUUCCUUUUGUGCACCUUGUUUUCUUUCUUAAAAAUAUGUGAAAAAGACUCUCAUUAGUAGCGUGUGAUUCCCCUAGAGAAUGCCUGGAGAUCUAUUCCUUUUUUGGUGUGUCCAGUGUUUAGAAAGUGGCCUCAUCCUUCCAUAUGUGGCUGCAUGAUCAUCUUUUCUAUAUUACUUGUUGGAAAUUCUCCCCAAUUGUGGCUGUUGCAUCCUCUAAUGGACGGUUGUUCCUCUUUUAAGGCAUGAAUUCUAUCCAUUUUAACAUAGAGAAUCCUAUAAAAAAAAUCCCGUGAAUAUCCACUCUUGCCCCCAAAGACCGUGAACUACUUUCUAAAAGAGAAGUUCCCCUUUCAAAAUUUCUAAUGUCUUCCAUAUCCAAAAUUGGCAGACCACAUCUCCUUAAUCUUCUAUUUCCCCAUUCCCUUUAAAUUUCAUCCAUGAAGAGUAUCCAUCAACACCAUUGAAUCUCACCCGCAUAUACAACCACUUGAAUUCCUUUCAAUUCUCUACCGAAUUCAUCCAUAAAAGUCAUCUUAAAUAGCCACUGAAUUCCUUUAGAUUCACCAUUGAAAAUUUAGCUACCCAAGGUUCCAUCCAAGCCGUGAAGAUCUCAUGCAAAAUAAUAAUAAUAAUAAUAAUAAUAAUUAAUUAAUUAAUUAAUUAAUUAAUUAAUAACAAUAAAAAUAAAAAUAAGAAAUCAUGCAAUUUAAGAUGAAAAUAAAAAUAAUCAAUCAGGCAUACGUAAGAUAAAUUAGAACAUCAAUCCAUGCCAUUAGGAAAGAAUGGAAUCAACCUCACCCAAUUUCCUAGAAAAAAGAUAAAUAAGUAAAUAGACUAAAUAAAUAAAUAUAUAAGUAUCAAUUCAUGCAAUUAGGAAAACUAAAAUCUCAAUUCUCAUGCAAUUUUCUAAAAAAUGAAUAAGUAAAUGAAUAAAAGUAAUAAAAAUAACAUAAAAUAAAAAAUCAAACACAUACUAGUCAUACAAGCCAUGCAACCAUACUUGAAAAGUGACCUAAGCAAGACUAGGUAAACCUAAGUGGGCCAAGACAUGCCAAAAUGAGCCUAAGUGAGCCUUGGUGGGCCUAAGUGAGCCUAAGUGAGCCGAAUGUAUCUAAAUGAGCCCAAUGUGCUAUCCUAAAAGUAUAUCUAAAUGAGCUGUUAAAAAAAGAAAGGAAAAUCCUAAGCCUAACUCAGGGCUACCAAGGGUCACAAUGGAGUUAGAUAAAUCUCUCAACCAAAGUCUCCAAGGUGGCUAAAAAAGGUAAUAGUAUGAGUAGCAAUGAACCACCAAAGAACUACAGUGGAGCACUGGAAGUGAACUUAAAGACAUGUGCUAAAGGGGCAAAAUGGAGGGUCUACACAUCUUCCAACAUUUGAUAUAAAUCUGUAAAAAUUAAGAGAAAAAUAUUUUUAAAAACAAUAUAUUAAGCCUAAAAAUAGGGACUUAAUAAUAAAAUAAAGUAAAAAGAUAAAAUUAAAACCAAAUAUUAAAUAUGAAUAUAGUUUAAGUAUUAAAAGUAUUAUUAUUUAGGUUUAAUCAUUGGGUUUAUUAGAGGUGUUUAUAUAUAUUUCUUUUUUUUUAAUCCCUAUUGAUAUUAAUUAAAGUGAAUUUGUUAUCAAUAGAAUUAAUUUAGUUAUGUUGGUUGAUGUCAACAAGUUAUUUGUAACUAAAUAGAAAAAAUCAAAUAUUUUACUUUUUUUUAUUUAACUAAAAAACAGUCAUCAUCUAAAAUUUUAGAUAAUAUAAACAUUUGACUAGAAACAAACUUCAUAUGGACCAUUGUCAAAUACCAUGCACAGGGAGAAAUCUGGAUCCUCACUUGCUCUUUGAUUCUAAUGUAUUAAAUUUUAUUUUACCUAAAACAAAAUUGUAUUUCAUGUCCUUUAUUAUGAGUGGACAACCAUUUCUUAUGUUAGUUUUAAAUAAAGAACGAAUAUUGAAGAUUGAAGUUGUAAGAAAUUAGGAGAAAAAUUAGGAGAUCCUAAUUUUAAAUAUGUAACAAAGUUCUAUAAUAACUUCAAUCCACGUUUUAAAAUUUGUAUUCCUUUCUAAUAUGGGAGCAAACUUUUCUUUAAUUCUUAUAAAUUUCAUUUGGAAAUGAUUUAAAAAUAAAUAAAUAAAAGCCCUUCUAAAUAUUAAAAAAAAAAACACUUUCUUAUAAAAAUUAAUUAGGUGGUAAGGUCAAAUUUGGGAUAGCUUGUUAUUUUUUGCCUUAACUAAAAAUUAAAAUCGGUAUUAAAGUAAUAAUUUUUAAAGGAUAAUGUUGAUGUUGUAAAAGUCUUAUUAAACAUGAAAUAACUUCUUAUGUAAACAAAAAUAGAAUUAUAAAAUUGUUAUAAGCAAUAACAUUUUUAUGACUUCUAUAUGAAACCCUUUUUAAAAGUUAUAGUUUUUUUUUUUUUUUUUAAAGAAAGAAUUAAAUAGGUAUAAAAACUUUUAUUCAAAUUAAUUUUUUUUAACUCUUAAAAGUCGAUCCAAAUAAAAUUUAAAUAUAUUAGAAAAUUACUUUGAAAAAUCCAAAAAAUCACUUAAAAAUAAUUUAUGAACAUUUUUUUUAUUUUACGUUUAAAUGCUUAAGUAUUUAUUUUUAAAAUCAUUUAUAAUGUCAAAAUAUUUUUUUAUGGAUACAAACAUUACAAAUAAAACAUUUUAAUCCCAAUCAAUGUCAAAGCAUUUUUAAUUUAAUUUUUAAUUCAUGAAAUUUCAUUUAUUGUUAUUUAUUUUUUUGGGAUUUAGUUCUUUACAAUUAUUUUUAAGUGAUUUUUUGGAUUUUUCAAAGUAAUUUUCAAAUAUAUUUAAAUUCUUUACAAUGGUCAAUGAAUAAUUUAUUAAUUUAUUUCUUAAUUCAAUGGCAUUGGAAUCUCAGCUGGAAUAUUCCAAGUCCAUAAAACCAAAGUUUAAUUAUUUAAUCUUUUUUUAGCACACCACUCAUGACCCUACAACUUUCCUACCAACUUAAUUUGUUGACUUGGAGUUGGAGAGUUCGGCCAAUUGCAGCAGCUUAGUUGUCUUUUCUCUAAACCAUAAAUUCAAAUGAUCAGGUCCUACGUUUUAAUUUACAAAAACCAAUUAUUUGUUUUUACUAAUUUUAAUUUAAGAAAGCAGGAAAGGGUUUAAUUUAAUGUAAAAUGAAAAAAAUAAAAAAUGAGAGUUGACAAGUAAUCAAAUCACUAAGAAAUAGAUUUGGAGUUCUCUCGGAGUGAGGUUAGACUCAAUUUAUGCCUAUGCAAUGGAAAUGGAGAUUUUUUUUUUUUCCCUUUAUCUUGGGGUAGAUCUUGUGAUAUUAUUACUAAAAUAGAAGGUAAAAAUAUAAAUUAUAUACCAAGUAUUUUAACUUUAGGAAAAAACACUUAUUUUAAUUUUAAAUAAAUAAAUAAAAAGAAUUGAUUUUAUCUCAAUUGUAUAAGACUUCAUAAAAAUUAUCUUAUUUGCAAAAUAUUUUCAGAUGUAAAAGUAAAAAAAUUAAACAAACCAUUUCAUGAUUUUUUCACUAUUAUCCAUUUAGAUCAAAGUUUAAUUUUAAAUUAUUAGAAUAAGUCAAUUACUCUAAAUUGUAUCAUUUAUAAUUUUUAUAAUUAUUAAUAAGAUACCUAACCUUCUAGAAUUGGAAUAAAAUAUGGACAAGUCAAAAAAUGUCAAAUCAAGAUAAUUAAAAACUAUCCCAUUUCAAACUUUUCUAAUACAACAUGAUAUUUUAUCAUGUCCAAAGAAAUCGUAAUGGCCAAAAGUUUUCAAAUCAAGAUAUAUCUAUUGUGGACAUGGAAUUGGGAGGCUUCUUAGCAUUGUACUGGUCUAUUUAAUGAAUUCUUCAUAUUGAAAUUAAUUAAGGUUGAAACAGGAACACAACAUCAAAUUCUCUUUUUCAUAAUCAAAGACUUCCAUGGAAAAUUCCACCAUAGCAUACGUCAAAGAUUAUUCAAAUUCCAUUAUCUUUAUAGUCGUUUAACAAUCCAAGAAAUUGACAGUAAUAAUCCUAGACACAAUAUUCUGAAAAUUUACAUUAUUCUUUUUAUCUUAAUUGAGUAGAAAAUAAAUCAUGCAAGCUGAAUAAUACGAAUAUUCAAUGAAAUCUUUGGCAUGUUAUUUCUUUGUAACUUCAACAUGGUGGCAUGUUUGAUGGAGGAGGCAGCAUUUGAGCUUUUGAAUGUUUACCAUUUUUCACUAUGAACGCAGUUUCCAUAUGCCAAGGCAGAUGGUGUUCUACAUGGCAGUGCAUGAACCACACUCUUGCAACAAAAAUAUACCAACAUUACACCUAAAUUGUAAUAUUAAGAAAAAUUAUAAUUUUUUUUUUUCCUUUUUUGCCUUUUCCUUCAUCUUGGCAUAGAUCUUGUUAUAUUGUUACUAAAAUAGAAGGUAAAAAUAUAAAUUAUAUACCAAUUAUUUUAACUUUAGGAAAAAGUGCUUAUUUUAAUUUUAAAUAAAGAAAUAAAAAAUAAUUGAUCUUAUCUCAAAUAUACAAGACUUCAUAAAAGUUAUUUUAUUUGAAAAAUAUUUUUAAAUUUAAAAGUAAAAAUUAAACAAACCAUGACCUUUCUCACAAUUAUCCUUUAUAUCAUAGUCUAAUUUUAAAAUAUUAGAAUAAGUCAAUUACUUUACAUUAUAUCAUUUAUAAUUUUUUAAAUUAUUAAUAGGAUACCUAACCUUCUAUAGAAUUGGAAUAAAAUAUGGAUAAGUAAAAAAUGUCAACACAAGAUAUUUUAUAUGUUGAAUGAAAUUGGAAUGGCCAAAAGUUGUCAAAUCAAGAUAGAUUGUACUAGUCUAUUUAAUGAGUUGCUCAUAUUGAAAUUAAUUAAGGUCGAAACAGGAACACAACAUCAAAUUCUCUUUUUCAUAAUCAAAGACUUCCAUGGCAAAUUCCACCAUAGCAUACGUCAAAGAUUAUUAAAAUUUCAUUAUCUUUAUAGACUUUUAACAAUCCAAGAAAUUAACAGUAAUAAUCCCAGACACAAUAUUCUGGAAAUUUACAUUAUUCUUUUUAUCUUAAUUGAGCAGAAUAUAAAUCAUGCAAGUUGAAUAAUACGAAUAUUCAAUGAAAUCUUUGGCAUGUUAUUUCUUUGUAGCUUCAACAUGGUGGCAUGUCGAUGGAGGAGGCAGCAUUUGAGCUUUUGGAUGUUUACCAUUUUUCACUAUGAACGCAGUUUCCAUACCCCAAGUCAGAUGGCGUUCUACAUGGCAGUGCAUGAACCACACUCCUGCAACAAAAAUAUACCAACAUUACACCUAAAUUGUAAUAUUCAGAAAAAUUAUAAUUUAUAUAUAUUUUUUCCUUUAUUGCCUUUUCCUUCAUCUUGGUGUAGAUCUUGUUAUAUUGUUACUAAAAUAGAAGGUAAAAAUAUAAAUUAUAUACCAAUUAUUUUAACUUUAGGAAAAAGUGCUUAUUUUAAUUUUAAAUAAAUAAAUAAAAAAUAAUUGAUUUUAUCGCAAAUAUACAAGACUUCAUAAAAGUUAUUUUAUUUGCAAAAUAUUUUCAAAUGUAAAAGUAAAAAUUAAACAAACCAUGACCUUUGUCACAAGUAUCCUUUAUAUCAUAAUCUAAUUUUAAAAUAUUAGAAUAAGUCAAUUACUUUACAUUAUAUCAUUUAUAAUUUUUUAAAUUAUUAAUAUGAUACCUAACCUUCUAAUGAAUUGGAAUAAAAUAUGGAUAAGUAAAAAAUGUCAACACAAGAUAUUUUAUAUGUUUGAAUGGAAUUGGAAUGGCCAAAAGUUGUCAAAUCAAGAUAGAUUGUACUGGUGUGUUUAAUGAGUUGUUCAUAUUGAAAUUAAUUAAGGUCGAAACAGGAACACAACAUCAAUUUCUCUUUUUAUAAUCAAAGACUUCCAGGGAAAUUCCACCAUAGCAUAUCUCAAAGAUUAGUCAAAUUCCAUUAUCUUUAUAGACUUUUAACAAUCCAAGCAAUUGACAGUAAUAAUCCUAGACACAAUAUUCUGAAAAUUUACAUUAUUCAUUUUAUCUUAAUUGAGUAAAAAAUAAAUCAUGCAAGCUGAAUAAUACGAAUAUUCAAUGAAAUCUUUGGCAUGUUAUUUCUUUGUAGCUUCAACAUGGUGGCAUGUCGGAUGGAGGAGGCAGCAUUUGAGCUUUUGGAUGUUUACUAUUUUUCACUAUGAACGCAGUUUCCAUAUGCCAAGGCAGAUGGUGUUCUACAUGCCAGUGCAUGAACCGCACUCUUGCAACGAAAAUAUACCAACAUUACACCUAAAUUGUAAUAUUAAGAAAAAUUAUAAUUUUUUUUUCCUUUUUUGCCUUUUCCUUCAUCUUGGCAUAGAUCUUGUUAUAUUGUUACUAAAAUAGAAGGUAAAAAUAUAAAUUAUAUACCAAUUAUUUUAACUUUAGGAAAAAGUGCUUAUUUUAAUUUAAAAUAAAGAAAUAAAAAAUAAUUGAUCUUAUCUCAAAUAUACAAGACUUCAUAAAAGUUAUUUUAUUUGCAAAAUAUUUUCAAAUUUAAAAGUAAAAAUUAAACAAACCGUGACCUUUCUCACAAUUUUCCUUUAUAUCAUAAUCUAAUUUUAAAAUAUUAGAAUAAGUCAAUUACUUUAAAUUAUGUCAUUUAUAAUUUUUUAAAUUAUUAAUACCAUACCUAACCUUCUAAUGAAUUGGAAUAAAAUAUGGAUAAGUAAAAAAUGUCAACAUAAGAUAUUUUAUAUGUUGAAUGGAAUGGGAAUGGCCAAAAGUUGUCAAAUCAUGAUAGAUUGUACUGGUCUGUUUAAUGAGUUGUUCAUAUUGAAAUUAAUUAAGGUUGAAACAGGAACACAACAUCAAAUUCUCUUUUUAUAAUCAAAGACUUCCAUGGAAAUUCCACCAUAGCAUAUCUCAAAGAUUAGUCAAAUUCCAUUAUAUUUAUAGACUUUUAACAAUCCAAGAAAUUGACAUUAAUAAUCCUAGACACAAUAUUCUACAACUUUACAUUAUUCUUUUUAUCAACUUUACACAAAAAACUGAAGAGGAAUACUAACUUAAAUCAAAUAGAAAAUAAAUCAUGAAAGCUGAAUAAUACAAAUAUUCAGUGAAAUCUUUAGCGUGUUAUUUCUUUGCAGCUUCAACAUGGUGGCAUGUCCGAUGGAGGAGGCAGCAUUUGAGCUUCCGGGUGUUUACCAUUUUUCACUAUGAACGCAGUUUCCAUGCCCCAAGUCAGAUGGCGUUCUACAUGGCAGUGCAUGAACCACACUCCUGCAACAAAGAAAAUAUACCAACAUUGCACCUAACUUAAUUGUAAUAUUAAGAAAAAUUAUUUCCUUGGUAUACAGGUUUUCAUAAAGGACAUGAGUGCUUGCAACAUACCAGGGUUGGACGCCUCGAAUCUAAUUGCAACCCAACCUUCCGAAGGAACAGAUAUGGUAUUCUGAAGGGGAGGAUCCACCAGAUUAUAGCGUAAAGGGUCCUUAUUUUCAUCGAAAUUCCCAAAUCCCCAUCCAACAAGAUAGAAACUGUGUCCAUGGAGAUGUAUGGGGUGGUGUGUCCCUGAAACCACAGUUGUCCCUUGCAAAACAAUCUCCACUGUGGAGUUAUACUCGAGCAUCCUUACUUCUGUUGCGCUGCUCGGCAACUCAUAGACUAAUGGAAGAUAAUCAGCUGUAAAAUCGAACACCAGUGGUGGAACGCUAGGAAAUUUAUCUCCAUAUACACCACUUAUGUUAUAAUAGUAAGCUUGCAGUAUGUCAACAGUAGGGGUAUCGAAGCUUAUGUUGUUUAUACUUGAGGAGAACCGCGUCCCAUUGGCCCCUGCACAUGAAUCAUUGAUGCAAGGGUACGAGUUUACAGAAACAGUGUAAAUCAGGUUAGUGCUUGUGCUCAAUGGGACAUUGCAAGGAUGUUCAGGAUUUGCUAAGCUUCGGAGGUCAGCCAUGACCUGAACUGAUGCAUUUGUGUCAUUAUAUGCAGGAAGAUAAGGCAAGGAGGGAGGUGAAGAUGGAGUGUAGUAUCCCCUGUACUGUACAAUAGCUGUGGUGGUUGUGUUAUCAUAAAAAUUUUGAUAUUUCGGGGCAACAGAAUAAGUUAUAGCCGCCAUGUAAUAGUGAUCCGGGCGUUGGUUAGCUUCUAAUAAGACAUCGUAGGUUUGGCCAGGAAAUAUUGUAAUAUAAUCUCGUGUCAAUGGUUUCGUGUAGCUACCAUCUGUUCCAACCACUGUCAUUUUAUGCUUGGCAAUGGAGAAGAAAAGAGCCUCCUGCAAGGCAGCAUUGAUUAUGCGAAGUAGAUAAGUCUUUCCAUGAUCCACCGUUAGCUUGAAUGUGCCUGCAAUUAGAAAAGGAAAGUUGUAUACUUAUGACUAGCCAAAAGAAAAAGAAAAAGUUUCCUUGAGGAUCCACCAAUUAUGAAGUGAUUGAUUGAUUAGGGGUGUAAAUUUGGCUCCAUUGUUGAAAAUUAUAUUUGGACUAGCUAGCCUUUUCUCAUGUGUUAAAUCAUGGCUCUAUCAUCCUCAUAGCUAUAUUCCUCUUUCUUAGCAUUAAGCUUUAAAUGUGUUGAUGUUAAUGAGAAAAAGUAAUAUGGUUAACAUACAAGAAAAUGAAAUCAUGUAUAAUUUUAAAAUGGGAAGUGAAACAUUGUACUUGAUUUUGAGCAUGGAUAUAGAUCACCGGGUUGUCCAUUUAUCAAUAACGCAUCAGAGGCAUUAGGAUCAGCUCCAGUUGCGAGCCCUUCAUCUCGAACUGCAUUCACAUCAAUCUUCCACCAUUGCCCUGCAUUUCAACAACUCCAAUAAUUUUAGAUUUUGCUUUGUAAGUUAAUUCAUAAUAUAUAAAUUAACCUUUAAAAGUAACAACACUUAUACCUAAUAUGAUGAGAAAUUCUGUGUUAGGUUUGUGAAACGGAUACUUAGUUCCAUUCUUGGGAUAGACGAUUAUAGCUCCAUGAACGGUGGCUCGAGUCCAGUCACUAUGAGCAUGCCACCAUAUUGUGCCUUCCUCAGAGGAAAGGAUGAUCUUUUGGCUAAACUUAGACCCUGGCUGAAUUGGGCAUUGUGUGAUAUACUCGGGACCAUCUGUCCAUGGAUAUCUAGGCAUGUUCACCCCAUGCCUACAAAACAAUAACUAUACGUUAAAACUAGUACUUAUUUUUGGACUAACUAAAGAUGGCAUGCAACAACAUAUUAUCACAGUAACAAGCGACAUCAACUGUAUUUCAAUGGAACUGAAGUAAAUAACCCUAAAGUAUCGUUUUAAAUUUGACUUUAUUUGCAAAGCAAUAUAUUGCAACCCCCUCUUAAAAAUAAAAGAAUGUAUACCAUGCAAGCAUGCUGCCUUUGCUCUUUCUCUAAGACACACUCAAGACCUACCAGUGAAUGGUGACAUUUUCUUUUCCCCUAUUAUAAACGUCGACAAUGAUCGUCUCUCCUUUCAUAGCAUAUAUAGUUGGCCCCGGAAAUUGUCCAUUUACUGUUAAGAUGUCCUUGGUGCUACAAAGCCUUGUAUAUGAAGCUUCCCUCACCUGCGACCAAUUAAAGGUUCACCACCAACCUCAUCCCAAAAGAAAUAUCACAUGCAUGAAUAGUUGCAUCGAUCCCUUCAUGCAAGUGUAUAACCACUUAAAAAUUGAUAGCAUGCAUGAACGACUCAACGACACCAGGGUAAGGGGUCCUACGAUGGAAAAUGAGAGUCAUACUACCCCCUAAAUAUUAUGAUCAGAAGGUGACGUUAAGGCCAGAAUCAUAUAUAGUAUUUACCACAAAAGUAUGCCGACGGAUUGAAGCUUGGCAAUGGAUGCCACCACCAAAAAGUUGAAAUACUAAAAUUUGUAAGAGGAAAACCUUCAUGAUCAGCCACAUCUUCUUUGGAAUAAAAGCCUCUUCUCUUUUCCUAAACACAACUCCUUCAAUUUUCUUACCACUUUUGCUGUAUGUCUUUCUUAUAUGAUUCAUUAAAUAGUCAUGAUAAUUCUCUCGGGAUACAAUACCUCCUCUCCACGUGUCAAUAUAAGAGGAAGUGAUUUGAAUGUGUAUUGAUUUUUAAUGUUCUUUGACCACUUCAAUGAGCAGGACCACUAUAUAAAAUAAUGAUAUUUGAUCACUUACCAAAUUAAAAUGAACCAAAUGCGUGAAGAAAGCUAACAAUUGUGAAAAAUUCUUACAAGAAAGCUAACAAUUAUGAAAAAUUCUUACAAGUUACGUACAUGUUAUUUUAGAAUAAAUUUAAAAUAUUCUUUCACAAGUCUUUUGUUGAUUAUUUCAAGAAAUGUUAAUUAAGACAUGAAAACUUUGACCUCGCAUACAGUACCCUUACCAAGAUUGGUCAUGGAAACUGUUUUUCAUGGACAGUACGUUUAAGAAUUAUUUUAAAAUUAUUUUUUAAGAAUUAUUUUCGUAAACAUUAUUUAGCAAACCCUUAAUAUUAGUCUCACUUGUUUUCAUGUUACUUAAUACAAUUAGUCAUGAUCAUUGUUUUCGUCUGAAUGGGACAAAAUUGUUUCCCAAUUUUUUUGAAACUUGAGAAUUGACAUGAUGAUAAGCUAAUUUGGUACUUCAUAAUUUUCCAUAAAAAACAUAAAAAUAUAUUUUGUAAAAAGUUGAAAAUAGAAUACGAACAACCCCUUGUAUGUUGUGAAUCACUUAAAACAUCUAUUGGGACUCAUACUAUUUUUUUUCUCAACAAAAAAUAAUUUAAUAAUAAUCAUAAUAAUAAUAAUAAUAAUUAUAGAUUUAAAAAAAUAUUUUUCAAAACAAAUGCAACCUAUAAUUUAUUUGUUCAUAUGAUAUGUAUAACUUGAUUAAAAUGAUUUUAGCUGGCUUACAAAAAUAAAUUAUCUCAAAAGAGAAAAAAAAUGAAAAGUAAAAGAAGAAAUGAUUCAAACUUCCUUGUUUGGUUUAUCGUACACCAUAUACAAAGAAAAAUCAUUAUAUAAAUAAAUUAUGAAAAGAUUUAUAUAUUUUGAAAUUAUUUAUAAACAGAAAUGAUGAAUACAUUUCAAGACAUCUAAAAAUUUUAUCAAGUUAAUUUAAACUUGUUUUUUAUUUUUUUUUUCACAUUUUUUCUCCUAUUUUUUUUCUCACAUUUCCUUUUUAAACUUUUGGAAUAAAUUCCCUACUAUUUGUGGAGCUUUAAUAUAAAUUUUUUCUUACAUAUGAUACUGUAAACCCCAAAAUGUCUCCUCUCUCCUCUCUCCCUUCCUUUUUCUCCUCCACCUACCCUCACCUACCCCGCGAUACCUCUACCCAUAACCCCACCUCCAACGCUUCCCAUAAGCUCUCUUCAUUUUUUUCUUUUUUUUUUCCUCUCCCCCCAUUCUUGAAGGCAAAGGGUCGGUCCCAUUUUUUUGAGCUGCCCUAUUCCACUUGCUUUGGUUCCUCUAGACUGCCAAUUCCCAUAGCACACACGGACGACCAACCCCUAUUUCUUUUCCAGUUUCUUUUCUCCCUGCAGCUCGUCCUAACAUCCACACACACCGACUCCCCCUAUGAUUUCUCUCUCUUCUCUUCAUUUUCUUCUUAGACCACUCCACUCACAGCCCAGAAAACCGACAUUCCCCAUUUUCCAUGGACAACUCUUCCAGCACAACCGCCCCCUCCACUCACCUCUUCUCUUCUUCUUCCAUUUUUUCUUGUUUUGAUUUAUUUUAUUUUCUUCUCUCCUCCAACCAUACCCAUUCUCUCUCCAUCCGCCACCCUCACCGUCGGCCACUGCCGACUAGCAAUCCAGCCAUCCAUGGCUGUUCAAAAAAUGGGUAAAUUUCCUUUUUACUUUAUUUUAUUUUCAUAUUUUUAUCUUUAUUUUUUAUUAUUUUGAUUUGCACAAUAAUUGAUUUGAACUUGGCCUAUUACUUAUUGGUUAUUUAUUUGGCCUUAUUUGAUUAGACUUGAGAUAUUAUUUUCUUUGGUCAUGUGUAUUAUUAAUGUGGGCUUAUUAAUUGAUAUGAAUUUUGGGCUCACAAUAUGGGUGAAAUUUGUUGGAUGACUUAAAUAUUUGAUAUGAGCUUGACCAAUUUGAACUAUUUAAUUUAGACAUGAGAUAAUUGUGGUGUAUAUUAAAUUAGGCUUAGAUUAUGGAAUAUUAAAUUUAGGCCUAGUGAAAUUUGUUUUAAUUUAUCUAAUUUUAAGUUUGGUUGAUUGUGUUUGUAUUUUGGUUAUUAAUUUGAAUAUUUUAGGUUAAGACUUAUAGUAAUUUAGGCUAUUUUUGUUUUUACAUGGGCCUAUUCUGCAAUUUUAUUGACUGAGUACGGAUUUAUGACAUGUGGAACACGACAUUUCAUGGAAGAAAGUGGAACUCAAAAGGCCGUAAGAAGACAUUGAACUUGUUGUAAGCUUGUUUGGGUACACAUUUUAUUUCCCAUUAUUAUUUGAUUUGAUUUUUAUUGGUUUAUGUAAAUAUUUGUUUGUAUAUAUUUAUUGAGUGUGUACAGAUAUCAAACAAACCAAAAAUUUUGUUUAAAUAAGAGGAAUAAUUCAGUAAAUAUGUUUUAACAAAAUAAUAAUUUUAAAAUAUUCUUUUUAAUAAAAGAGAGUUUUUUUUAUUAAUAAGAAUUCAGAAAAAUGCAUUUAGAAAAAUCUAAAAAAAAAAUUGUUUUUAACAAAAUUGUCCAAAAAUUUCUUUGUUUAAUAAAAAUUGUCUAAAAAUUGUUUUGCAAAGAAAGUUGUCCCAAAAAUUAAUUUUUAAUAAAAUUGUCCAAAAAUGAUUUUUUUUUAAUGAAUUCUUUUUCCUUAAUUAAAAUGGGAUUAAAAGUAUUUAUUUAGAAAUAGAGGAUUUAUUUUUUUUUUCUUUUUACUUAAAAAUUCUUUUAUAAAUAAAGUUACGUUUUUCUUUUCAAUAAUUUGUAUAAAUCACUUUUCUUAAAUGAAAACAAUUGAAAUAUUUUUGUAAAUAAAAUUGUAAAAAUUCAUUCAUUUUGUUUUUUGUAAAAACAAGUAAAAAUAAUUUUUGUUGCCAAAUUGAAAUUUUGUAAUAAAUUCUUUUGAUACAAUAAGCGUAAAUAACUUUAUUUGAAAAUUAAAUACAAAUUAAAUUGAAUCAAAUCACUUCAAGAAAAUAUUUUGUAAAUAAAUAAACUGAAAUCACUCAUUCAAAAUUGUUUUUAAUAAAAUCCUUUGGAAUUUUUGGAAAAAUAAUAUUUUUUAAUUAGUUUAAUAAAUCAUUUUGUAUAAUUCUCUUAUUAUUUAUUUUGUGUAUUCUUGUAAUUAGAUUUCAUCAUUAUUUUUGUGUAUAUUGAUUUUCACCAUGACUUGUACAUACUCAUUUGCAUGAUUAUUUUUCUUGGUAUCCAUAAUUAAUUACUUAUUUAUCAUAAUUCCCUUAAUUCGUUUAGUAGAGGCCGUAUGUAUAUGGGCUUAGAGAGGUGCUACGACUCACCACCGUACCUUCCCAAUAGGUAACUUAACCCCCGGAUCCAUUUUUUUUUUUUUUUGCAAAUAUGUCUUUUCCAAAUAAGGAGUUACACAUGGGUUUCUUUCUUACUUUGUUUUUUCUCUUUUUUUAAAAAAAAUUAAAAUAAAUAACAACUCCAAGUGUUUUUCUAAAAUCAAUUUUUCACAAAUAAAUGAAAAGCGAGUCUCGCCAUUCGAGUGGGGACGCAUGUGAAAAAUGUGAGGUCCAUAAAUACAUAUUUAUGCAAUAUUUGGUUAAAUUAUUUUGAAUGUAUAUUUUUACCUUAACAAGAAACUUUUCUUGAAAAUGAAGACUAUUUUUUCCUUAUUUUCAAAAUUGUGUUUCUAUUUUUUAAAUAUAAAAAUUACUAUUUUGAUUUCAAAACAAUGAGCCAUUUUUAAAAGAUAUUUUAGAAAAUAGUUUUUUAGAUAUAUUAAUUGUGACACUUGAAGAUCAAAGACACCAUGGUCAUUUCACUUGUCAAACCCAAGAGUCUAACAUGUGAAUGACCUUAACUAACAAAUCCAACAAGUAAUUAGUUGACAACUUCCUCAAAUUGAUUCAUAACAAUGAUUAGAGUAUAAAUUAAAAAAAAUUAUAAAUUUCUAACCCAAAACUAAUUAAAAAUAUCUAAAUAAUAAAUUCAAAGAUCAUCCCAAAGACUUUAAAGAGUUUUAGAAAUCAAUAGUAAUCUUAAUUUAAAACUCCUAAAUAAUUAAUUGUAAAGCAUAUUUCAAAAGAAACACCCUUCCUAUCUCUAUUUCCCCUCAUUAAUAUCACUUGUACCUAAAAAGUGAAAUAAUAGAAAAGAGUGAACUUAAAAGUUAGUUAGGAAAAAUAGUUCAAUAAGGAGGAUCAAGUAUAAUACAAAGUUAAAUCCUAGGAGCUAUCGCAUCUUUAUAAAAUAAUAAUAAAAAAUUGAUAAGUAGGAGUUCAUUUAAUUCAAUAAUUAAAUUCACUUUUUUUCAAAAAACUAUGCACUUUCAAUUUAAAGAUAGAACUAAAUAAUAUACUUUGCAUACUUAAAUUAUAUUUUAAAAAAUUAUAAAAAAACAUUUUACUUUGACUUAUUAAUAAUAACAUUCUGCCCAAAUAGUAGAAAUUGCAUUAGGUGGCUAUAUGAUCAAACCAACUUUUAUUAUUUAGUAAAAACACUCUCAAAGAAUUUUUUUUAAAUAAAAAUAAAAAUGAUUUCAAACCAUGUAUAGUUUGGGAGUUUUUUUUUUUUAAUGAAAAUAAACAAUUAUUUUAAGUUAUAUGUAUAGUUAUUAUUGUCACUUUCAUUUUCCAUUCUCAUUCUCAUUAUUACUUAACAUUGAAAUGGAAACAAACAUUCAUUUCGACUUUACAUUCCUUGGUGCUUUCAAACAUUAGAACUGGAAUGGACGGAUUUAUUACUGAUCAAGGAAAAAUAGGAAUUGAAAUAAAGGUCAUGUUUGGUAAUUGCUUUUGAAAACAAUUUUGAAAAACAAUUUUUGAGAAAUUUUUUUAAAAAUUGUUCAGUAUCUUGUAAAAAAAAUGUCUAUUUGGGAACUUGAAAUGUUUUUAACCCGUUUUCUAUGUUUUUACAUAUGUUUUAAAAAUAAUUUUUAUUUGUAGUGCUUUAUUUAUUAUCAUUUCCCAUAUUUGUAUAAUUAUUUUUUAAAACGACCCUCAAAAAACAACUUAAAUAAUUAAAAGAUGUUAUCAUAAAACAUCCUAUUAAUAGUUUUAAAAGCAAAAACAAUUUUCUAUUUUUUGGUUGUCAAACAUGGUUUCCUGUUUUUUUAUUCUAAAGAAUAGAAAAUUGAUGCAAAUGUUUUUUCAGAGAACUUUUCUUCCCGAGUUCUCUCAGCCUUUCUUUUCCAUAGAAAAGUUUAUUGGAGUGAUUUUUAGGCAAUUUCUAGUAGUUUCAACUCCUAAAAAUUGCUCCACCCUUGAUAUCUUAUUUGGUUGGAUCGGGUUGGGUCACCCCAACUUGGGCACCCACCCAACUCCAAUAAUAUUUAAGUAUUUAAUAAAGUAAAUGAUUGAAUUAAUAUGAACAAGUAUAAUGAUCAAAACAAAAAUCUUACUAUUUUUUGUUUUAAUAUAAAAUCCAACCUCUAAUUGAACAAAUCAUUUACCAUUUAAAAAAUAUUCUUAAUAUCUUCAUUUUCAUUUUAUGUUUUUGAAAGUUCUUUUUUAUUUUAACUGGAUCAAAUAAUAUUUGAAUAAUAAUGCCUUUAACAUACAUUUUUUAUGAGUAAUACCAAAUAAACAUCUCAACAAAUAUUAUAUAAGAUAAUCAUUAAUUUUACUAUCUUCAUUUUAUUUAUGUUAUUCUUCUUUAUCCAGUGGAUUUAAUUAUGUGUUGUAAAAUGAACAAGGACCUCUAUAGUUAUAAUCUCACCUAAAAAGUUGGGGAUCCGAAGCUAUCUCUACAUUUAUGGUUCAUGCAUGAAAUAAAUUGUUUUUGUACUUCCAUCAUCAAAGAUGCAUGUAUGUCUAAGAAUGGAAAAAGAAUCUGAGGUUGGGAAAAAAAUGAAAAAAAAAUUAUGUUUUUUUUUUAAUUCAUUUCAUUUAUUUUUUUCUUUUCUAUAUAAAAAUUCAAUAUAUAUAACUCUUUAACUAAUUUUAAUUAUAUUUUUCUUUCAUAUUUUAUAUAAUAAAUAAAAAAUAAAAAAUAUAUUUUUUAAUAUUUCAACUAUAACAAGGUGGGAUAAUUAAUUUAUAAUGCUAGGAUAUCCUAACAACCUAACCUUAAAAUUUUCUUAAAUAAAUAAGCACUUCACUAGUCAUAUAUUUUCUUAUUCCACCAUAUUGUGAUUGGCACCAUAGUAUUAACUACUUUGAAGCAUUUUGGUAUGAUUCUCAUCUCAUAAUAAGUCAUUUUUGAAGCAAACACAACAUGCUUGAUAGAAAUCCCUCUUGUUAAAUGAAGCCCAAGGUUUCUUAUUUGUGAGUGUUGAUACAUUAAGUUAUAUAGUUUAAGAUUGAUAAUUUUGUUUCAUUUAUUUUGACUUAGGGCUUUUUUCGAUUAUGUCUCGCUCUCCUUUGAAAACAUGAAGUUGUCGUGUGGUCAAUUGGAAUAACAAAGGUAAGCAUAGAAAGGUAUGAGAAAAGAAAAUUAGAGUUUGUUAAGGUUGGUGGGAACGUCAAGUAAUUCUUAAACUGAGUUAAAUGUUUUUUAUAACAGUUUUAAAGAACUCCUCAAGUACUCUAGUGCUGCAGAGAGCACUUAAGCACUCCUUGGAGCACACAAGUGUGAUAGAAUUUUCUAGAAUUCCAAAACUUUGAUUUUCCAACUUUUAAAAGCUUUAUUUUAGGAAAAUUCAAAAUCUAAUCCACCAUUAUCUUGGCCCUAUAAAAACCUUUCCUAAAGAGGAUUUUCUCUUUUUGAUGCAAAUGUUUCAAAAAACCUAAUUUGCCUUCUUGUUCCCAAAACUUUGAAAAAUGAUUGUCUUUGCUUUUACUAGGUUGAGAAAGAGAUCUACAUCUCCAAAACACUAAAGUAAGAUUCACUAGGAGCACAAGCGGUGUUGUACAAAAAAUGUGACGUAUAGUAGAGAUGAUGGAGGGUAAGACCUAGAGAUAGCUUCCACUAGAUAAAACUAUGUACUAUACUUUCGAAUAGUGGAUUUGUAAUUGGAUGUCUCUAACCCCAUGGAUUUUACAUCUACAUGUUGUGUGAGUGGUUUUCCAUGUAAAAAAUCUUGUGUUCUUGUAUUGAAUAUUUUUAGGCUUUCCUAAAUCAAACGGAUUAAUUUAAAAUAAUUAAUUUUUCAGCCUAAGAGGUUCAAAUACCUAUUCACCCAUUCUAGAUGUUAUCUAAACUAGAUCAACUAACUUUCAAUGAGGAAAACUCAAAUUACAGAAUUUGCACUUUCAGUGAACACUGCUAGGCUUAGACAAAUUGAAGAGUAAAAAUCCUUUCAAAUCAACCAACUAACCUUUCAUCCAUGGAGGCCUUCUCCAAUUUAAAGAUCAUGAAAACCUCUCCAAACAUUUCUAAAGAAAAAUAAGAGCAUUGGCGGAGGGUUCCUUGGAGAGGCUUUGAUCUUAAUCUUUUCCAUGAGUUGUUGAAAGGGUUUUUAACAACUUGGAUUGGAUUGGAUGGAGCACUUAUAUGAACUAAAAAUGAUAAAUAUUAUAACUACUCAAAAGGCAUUUUCACAGAAUUGCCAACCUGCAGAUCAUUUUUAGUUAACCAAAUCUUAAAACAUUAGUCACAUCCAUGGCCAAAAUUAAGUGAAGGCUAAGCACAGAUAGAAGAGGAUCAUCAGGACGCUCUCCUUAGCUCUACCAAGCUAGCUAACAAACUUGAACAGAAUAUAGCUCGAGCAGUCCAUGGCUACUAUUAAAAGGAAAAACCUAUAAAAAAAAUAUGAAGAACAAGAAGCAUAAAAAGAAAAUAUAGGCUAAAAUAAAAUGGUUCAAUUUGGGAAUCAACUGCUACGCAAUAUAUGACUAAAUUCUCAACUAGAUUCUUAUGAGUUCUAACCCCUAAAAGCAUCAAAUCCAGCAGAAAACCUUGCAAAAGAGAAACCAAUAAGACAAUAACAAUAUGAUAGUUUCAUCUCUACCUUUCAAGUUUGAGCAUCUUGUGCUGAUGCAUCCUCUCAAUGUAGAAGUGGCUUGCUUCAUUAUAUCAGUAUUGUAAAAAGAAGAGGUGUAACCUCACCAUAAUCUUUAAUAGUGAAGAAACUUGAAUUCUCAUCGGUAGUGCUGCACUGAAAUUCUGGUUGAUUGUCUUCUUUCUCAUCUUGUCGAUAUAGUAGAUGAACCCCACACUUCUUCACCCCAUAAUUGGGCCAUAGACUUGGAAUGAAGCCUGAAUUUGACUCAGUUUAUUUAACCAAUUGGCAUGGCCAAUCCCAAUUCGAGAAAUUGGUUGAUACCCAAGCCACAUGUGAUCUGAUGUAAUGAAUCUGUGCCCUUCAUCCGAAGAAUUCCGGUGUUCUGGAUUGACGGGAGCAAAAAGGUGACCAGUUUUACCUUGAGUCAAAUUCAAAUGACAAAAUAUAUUAACAGGGCAAUCAUGGACAGCACCCUUAACUACAAAAAUAGCGCACACAGCCAAUCCCAUCAACCUAGUAUUACACCAAUUUGGAGGCUGAUAUACCGUUACUGUGGAGUCUAUACUCUGUUGGCUGAACCACUCAGGAAUUCAACUUCCAGGAACAAAAGUACUGGAUUCAAUAUGUGGAGUAUAUGGCACCAUCUGGGUCAUGAAAAUCAAUGUCAAGUUAUAUGGAAAUAAUGUAGGAGUAGUGCUCAAAGGAGUAUAAGAAUUAUUCCAUAGGAUUUAAUUGAUUUACUUUUACAAUAUGAUCAAGAGAGAGAGGAGAGAAACCUGAAUUGGGAAUUGAAAUCUUGGUAAUUUAUUUGCCAGACUUUGCAUUUCCCUUAAUGUAGCUGCCACAAAGUUGCUGCUUUCAUUCUCAGACUGUCUGAAGCAAUUAGAAAAUGUGAAUCGGAGGCCCCCACAUUCCUUGGAUCUGUAGACACUUGAUGGACACAAAAUGUUUUCCAGAACUGUGCAAUCAUGGGCAUCUAUUUCUUCUAUACUAGAUGGAAGCUCUGGUAAUGAUUGAAGCCUCUUGCAAUAACCCAACCUAAAGCCUUUGAGCUGUGAAAGUUGAUUGAGGGUUGCAGGUAGAGUAACAAAAUUGUUUCUGCUCAGAUCUAAAUAUUCCAAUGAGCACAGAGAGCUAAAGUCAUUGGGAAUUGCUCCUUCCAAUAUGUUGCAAUCACCUAGAUUUAACUUUCUUAGGGAUCUUAAACCAAAGAAAGAAUGCAGUUUGUAGAUCCUCUAUUUUGUCCUCCUAGCACAUGAAUUAUUAGGUGUUUGUUCGGUACUUUACAACAAUUCUCUAGUAACCCAUUACUACUCAUGUAACUUAUCUUUUCUAAGUCACAUUUGAGACUUUGGUUGAGGCAUUUAUCUAACCUCAUCAUGACUCUUAGCAGCCCUAAUUUAGAUUUAGGUUUUUCCUUCCUUUUUAGGAUAGCUUUUAGGUGCACUUUUAGGAUAGCACACUUAGGCAUGUUUAGGUCACUUAGACAAUGUUCUAAUCAUUUUAGGUCAUUUAGACACUGUUCUAAACAUCCUAGUCCCCUUCCAGCUUGCACACAUUCACCCUAGGUCACUUGGCACUUUUUUCAUAAUAGGUCAGUUAGACACUUGUUUAGGUUUGAUUUCUUGAUUGCUAGGUUCUUUAGGUUUCGGUGAGUAUUGGCCUGUUUUUUACUUUUGAUUGCAUGAGAUGUUCUUUUGAUACUUAAUCAUGUGAGUUUGAUGUUUCAAUUUUCAUUAUUAUCAAUUGCAUUAGAUUGGCAUUUCGUUUCUUUUGAUUGCAUGCAUUUGGUACUUGUAUUCAUAUUUUUGUUUAUUUAUUUAAAUUUGCAUGAGGUUGAUUCCUUUAUUUUGCAUUUGGUACCUAUGCCACCCAUGCCCAAAAUUCCUACACUUCGAACAUUAUCCAACCCCAUACAUAAUAGUGAAUCCAUUCCAACCAGCCCUUCAGCGUAGCUCAAGGAUGUCCAUAUCAAUUUAUUAGAUAUAUCUGAGACAAUUUCCUCAAUAAGUAUAGAUUCAUGCCUGCAAAUUUUGAGGAAAAAAAAAACAAUCAUUUAAUGAAUUCAAGGAUCCAUUAAAAAAAAAAAAAAUUAGAUAAAUCAUCAGUGAUUUAGUCAUGUUCUUUGCUUAAAAGUCAUAUGGCAAGCUUAUAUCUCAGAUUUUUUCCAGUUUAAGUGUAUGUGUGUGUGUAUGAGGGAGAGAGAGAGAGAGGGAGAGAACUGUAUUGCUAUCUAGACAGACAGACAAUCGAACUAGAUUAUAAUAGCAAGCAUCUGCUGGCACUUCCUAGUAGUCUGCAUGAGGAACUUCUCAGAAGUGAUCAGGAUAGAAAUACUAGAAAAGCCAGUGGAUGCAUGUUUAAGACUGCAAUAUCAUUGAUUGACAGUAGGAUUACUAAUUCCGAGUUAAGCAUAUUGGCAAGCAAAAAUUCUCUCCCAAAUGGUUGAAAAAAAUUAGGGAAUCCAAAAGGUUUUAAAAGCAUGACUAUCCAAUUGGGUUGGGGCACACUACAUAGGCAUGGAACAGAGCAUGCCAAGGGGCCAUUGGAAAGGAUGAAAAAGCAUUAAUCCAGUAGGGUUGAGGUCAACUUACCAAUGGAAUAAAGCACACUAAGGGGAAAUAUCCUCAAAAUGAGGUAAAAGGUUUUAUAGUGUAGUCAUAACAUUCUUGCUCAAUGUGAUAAGGACUAACCAAUGUGUAGCUCAAUGCUUCAUCGUUAGGAAAGUUCUUCACACCCAACUUUUUAUGUAGUUCUACCCUUUUUUUUUUCAAAUUUUCGUCAUCUGUCGCUUGGACAUUAGAGGGAAGUUUUCCAAGUACAAAAAAUUGACCUUGAACACCCUAAUCAAACUGGAACUUUAAUACAAUGUUUUCGGAACGGGUUUUAAUGAUGGCAUCCAUUAUUGAACCACGAUCGACAAUCUCCUAAAUACAUAAUAUAUAUUUUAUUCAAAUUAAAAAUAAUUUUAAAAAUUAAAAAUUUAUAACAUUUAUUUCUUUAAUUUUAUAUAAUUAUAUUAAUAUUUUCAAUUUUAUUAAGCGAAAUAUCUAUAAUAUUUAAAUUUGAAAAUAUCUACAUAAUCUUGCAUAUAUGUUUAUUUAUAUUAUUUUUUGAAAUAACAUAUAUAAUUUAUUUUUUAUUUUUAUAAUUUUUAACAUCAACAAAAAGAGUAACAGAGUGGUGCAACCAUGCUACCUUGAACUUGUCGUCAAAGCUUAUAUUCCUAUAAUGAUUCGAUAUAGAAAAUAAAAGGAGAUAAUAAAUAGCAUUAUAAGCCUCAUUCAUUCAUUAUGAAGCAAACAUUGGUGAUGUCCCAUUUUGCAAAAUCAAAAAGAGGGUGUUGAAUGUUGGAUUGAAAGUGAUAGGCAAUCUAGCCCAUUUGGCCGAAAAAGAAAAGGGUGUUUAACCGUUUGAUUCUUGAAGAACUAUCCAACUCCAUCAAUCCAAUUGUUGGUUCAAAUAAUUCAAAAUAAACCCUUCAAAAAAAAGGGAUAGGACUGAAAAGGUCAUUUGGUAGUUGGACCAAUUAGAUCGACUAAUUUGGUUCAAUUUUAAAAAAUAUUGCUUUAACAUGUAUGAUAAUAAAAACAAAGAAAUAAAACUAUUUACCAAAAAAUGAAAUUAUUAUAAAAUAAUAGAAAAUGUAACCCAUUUUAAUGAUACGAUAACUUGUAACCAGAUGAAAUUUUAAUCUGAAAAGAAAAAGAAAAAGACUUUAAGGAAUUAGAAAAUAUUAUCUUUUAUAUUAAAUCGUAUCUUUUUGUAAAAGCUCUCUACAAUUAACUAUAUGUUUUCAUAAAACUUCAUUUAAACUAUGUUACAUUCUUGAUAAUUUUAAAAAAAAUGUAAGAAAAAUAAAAAAUAGAUAAAAUUAAUAAAUUAUUUUUUUCAUUAAUAUAAAUUAAAUAAUUUUAAAUACCUAAGUUUUUCAAAAAAAUUAAUCAUGGUAGUGGGCCCUUGAUCAACCAAAGAUAGUCCAUGCAUAACCUGCCAAAGUGAAGUACAACAAAUUAUAAUAGUGAUGUCACGUAGCAAUACAUUAUUUAUUAUUUUAUUUUCCCUUUUCAAUGUAGAUUCCCUUUCUUAAAGCUAUUAAAAAAACACACAAUAUCAAGAUUUGAGUGUGGGUCUUGCACAAUAUCUUUUAUAUAUUAAUAAUUAUAAAUUAAUUAAAAUGAAUUAUUGUAAAUAAAUUAAUUUUAAUUAUUUUAUUAUGUCUUUUAUAGUGAUAAAAUAUAGGACAAAUAAAAAUUUAUAAAUAAAAUUAUUAAUAUUUUAAAAUAUAAAAUAUAAAUAUAUGUGAACAUUUUUUUAUGUCCUUCAAUAUAUCUAUACUUAAUACAUUAUCAUUUUAAUAUUAAUGUUCCCAAUUCAAUAUAUUAUUGUUUUAAUUUAUCCUUCAAUAUAUUAUCAUUUUAGUAUUGAUGUUUCCUAAUUUGAUAUAUUAUUGUCUAAUAUUAUAAAUUUAUUAUAUAUAUAUAUAUAUAUAUAUAUCAAUUUUUUCUUAAAAUAAUUUCUGUAUAUACAUUUUUUUUUUUAAUUUUUUGAGUCAUUUUUAAUAUUUCACGAGUUUUUAUCAAUUUCCAUCUCAUAUAUAUACUAACGAUAAAUCAAUAAAAAAUGAUAUUUUCAUUCUUGCUCAACAUAAGGAAGAAAAUUAUUCAAAUGGUGCCUAGAUUAAUGGGACCUCCUAAUGACAAUGACAUUGACAAUCAUGAGUCAUAAUGUAGACCCCUCUUUCAAGAGCCGGGGGACCUUUAGUUUUUUUUAUGACAUUGGAAAGGGGCCUCAUCAUCACCAGCAGCUGGCAGCACCCUAGACAAGUGGGGGGACCCCUUUCUGCAAGGAGAGCAGCUUCACAGACACGACAAAGACGUGAUGGCCGGCCAUGCUAGUGGGGGAGGGAAGCCAUGUUGGCUGAUGGAGGAAUAGUAGAGCGGGUAGUGGCUUGCUGUGGAAGAUAGAAACAGGAGAGAGAAAGCAUAUACGGGAGGGGAAUCUGAUAUCUGGGGGGAGGAAGCCAUUAGAGGGGUCACAAGGAAGGGAGUUGGUUGGUUCCAUUGAUCUUAAAGGAGAACUUACUAGAGAAGGAGAUAACAGAGAAAGGAGGCAGCUGCAGGUGAGUUUGGGGUGAGUCUCUUGCUCCCUUUGAUUCAUAUUCUCCUCGUCCCUUUCUCAUUUUGGUUUGCUUUGCAUUGCUUAUCAGUCUGGGUUGGAUUUCAUCUUGAAUUUCAUUGAUUUUUCUGGAUCACUUGUUUGUCGUUGUUGAUUUUGCCGUUAUCCUUAUGGUUUAGUUUGGAGUUAACGAGAUCUGUUUCUCACGUAUUUUGUGGCUCUGGCUUGAGAUCUUCCCACCUGUAUCUGCCCAUGGAUACCACCCGACAUGAGGCUUGAUACGCUCAUGUUUUUCUACUUUAUUCCUUGAUUAUCCUUCCCUCGUUUUUUUGUUGCUUUGGCUCCUAUAUUUGUGAUCCUUUCUGUGAAUGAAGACCUAGACACAAAGGCUGUUUCUUGUAUUUGAUAAAACCGAUUAAGCCACCCAUGUUUUCAGAUGAAGCAGGGACGUUGACGAGAUGUAUGCUCUGUUUUUAGGAUCUUUGUUCUUUUUUUAAUAUCUGUAAACAGAGAAGCUUGCAUGCAAAGAGUUCAUCAUCCAAAACUGGCAGUAUCUACCCAUUAUACCCAACGUGCCCAUGGCUGCCCUUCACACCUAUUUCAUACCCAUUCUCCCACAAAUUAAUACCCAUCUAUUCUCAUGCAGACCUAACCGUCAUUCCUAUGCCCACAUCUCAUCCCCACGCAUUUCAAACACCACCAUACCCAUCUCUCGUCUUUCAUGCUACCCACACCCACCAUUCACCAUUUAUUUCCUAUAUCACCAUCCAUCUAAUCCACCAUGUUACCCGCUACCACCGAACCCGUUUUCCCUCGCCUCUUUUUGUUUUACCACCAUUCUCUUUCUUCACCACAUCAAAUAUCCAUUUUCCCCACCAUCCUGAAUUCCCAUGCAAACCUGUCACCAUGCAUGCCCAUAUUUUGCACUCACCAUUAACCAUUUAUCCCACCUGAUUUCAUUAUGUAUUUAUCCAACCAUCUAUCAUCACCCACGCCAUCCAUGAGCAAGAAUACCAGCCCGUUUCCCUCGUUCUCUCUCAUUGCUCGACACGUAUUCCCCCCCAUGCAUGGCCACCUUAGCCCUCAUACCCACUGGUUCUCACAUUCCAUGCACACGGAAUAGGAUCCCCCUACCACAUUCGCCUCAUUCAACUCAACAUCUUCUCAACCAUACCCCAUGACUCCUUUCCCAUUUAUUUCAUUCCCUUCCCCAGUGCAUGAAAUCCCGCACAUGGUCACCCGCGGUGGGUCCAGCUUUGCCACCGGUGUACCGAGAUCACCGGAGCUCGCCCGCCAUCGCAUGACAGUUCAGGUUUUGGAGUCAUGGAUUGUAGUUCAUUCGGUGAUCAUUGGGAUUUCCUUGGGAGCUUCUGAAAGUCUAAAGACAGUCAAGCCUCGUGUGGUUGCAUUGUCUUUCUAUCAGCUCUUUGAAGGUGGUAGGGACCUCAUCCUCGGUGUAGAAGGCAGCUCUCAAAAAUUUGAGAAGUCGCGUUAAUGAGGUGGCCCGGUUUUGGGUGAUACCUAGGUAGAGACAGCAGGGGUCUGAAACCGGUGAUGGCUUUAGUGGAUGACGUUGAAGCCUUUUCUUUCUCUCAAUGGCGUGUAGAUAAAGAGUUUUUAUUUUUAUUUGGACCUUACCAUCACUAUGAUAUUGUUUCUGGGUAUUGGCGUCCUAGCUGGGGCUCUUGCUUCCCAGUGUACCACAAAGACUACAUCUUAUUUUAUUUUAAUCCAUCCUCUAUCUUUUGAUAUCAAGAUUUAUUUUUUUUAUUUUUUUAACUUCGGUUUUUUAAAUUCAGUCUUUAAAACUCCCGUCUUUAACUAAUUCUUCAAAACUCUAAUUUCCGAAUAUAAUUUUCAAUUUCUGAAUUUAACCAUUAUUAUCUUCAUUGUUAUUAUUAUUAUUUAUUCAUUUAUGUAUUUAAAAAUCUCAUCUUUAAACAAUUUUUCAAAAUCCCGACUUCCGAAUUUAAUAUUUUUUUUGUUUGAAAAAUUCCACUAUUCACUUUCAUUCACUUAAAUAUCGUUUUUGUUAAUUAUUAUUACUAUUCCAUAUGCAUUUAUUUAUCCUCCUUUAAAAGUUUCAUUUCCUAAAGCCCAAUUCAUUAAAAAUCUAAGGUCCUAAUUAAAUUUUCAAUCUCAAAAUUUCCACUAUUUCAUUUGUUUAAAUAUUAUGUUUAUUAAUUAUUAUUAUUAUUCCUCAUGUGUUUAUUUAUCCUCCUUUAAAAAUCUCAUCCCUUAAAGUCCAAUUCUUCAAAAACUCGAAGUCCAAAUUUAAUUUUCAAUAUAAAAAAUUCCACUAUUCACGUUCAUUCGCUUAACCAUUAUUUUUGUUAUUAUUAUUAUCAUUCCAUAUUUAUUUAUUUAUUUCUUUUAAAAAUUCAAAUCAUUAAAGUUCAAUCCUUGAAAAAUCUGACUUCCGAAUUUAAUUUUCAAUCUCAAAGAUUCCACUAUUCAUCCAAUACUUAAAGUUCAAUUUUUCAAAAUCCCGUUUUCCAAAUUUAAUUUUCAAUCUCAAAAAUUCCACUAUUCACAUUUAGCUGUUUAAUGAUUAUUUUCGUUAUUAUUAUUAUCCCGUUCAUUUAUUUAUUCACUUAUUCAUAUAUUUAAAAUCUCAUCUCCAAAUAAUUUCUCAAAAUUUCAAUUUCUAAAUUCAAUCUCCAAUCUCUAAAAUUCUAUUUUUUGCAAUUAUUUACCGAAUCUCUAUUAUUUCAUCAUUAUUAUAUUUAUUAAAAUUCCGUCUUUAAAUAAUUCUUCAAAAUUCCGAUUCCCAAAUUUAGUUCUCUGAAAUUCCAAUUCUUUUCAAAUUCAAUUUCUAAAAUUCUCAUUCUUAUAUUUAAUUUCUAAAAAUCCAAUUUUCAAAUAAUCUCUAAGACUCCGAUUUUCAAAAUGAAUUUCAAAAAUCCAGUUUUCCUUCGAACAAUUUUAAUUUCUGUUUGGUAAUGCAUGUGAUAUAUUUCGUGCUCUAUAUUGUGCACUGACUUUGUUUUUAUGAUAGCGCAUCGCUCGUUCGUGGCUCAGGUAUGCAUCAAUUCCUAUUCUGGUCAUUCUCUAUGCAUGUUCUGAUUCUCAUAUGUACAUAAUCGACUCGAGUAUUCAUUGAUUUACUCAUCAAUUGCCACGUCAGCUUCAUUUUAUUAGUAGAGACCCGACUUUAGGGACUUAGAAGGGUGCUACGGUUUUUACCGUACCUUCCUGAUAAGUAACCUGACCCCCGAAUCCGAUCUGGUUUUUCACAGACCACCUUUUCCAAAGUAAGGAGUCACACUUAGGGUUUUCUUUCUUAUUUUAUUUACCCUUUAAAAACAAAAUAAAAAUAAGUGGCGACUCCAAGUCAUUUUUCAAACAAUAAAAUCAUUUUUCAAAGUAAAAUCAAGCUCGCCAUUGAGUGGGAAACGCAUGAGCUGAAAUGCGGGGUCCACAAAAUGGCAACUCCACUGGGGAAUGUUUAGAGGGUCAAGCUUGAACUUAAGAUGAAGCAAACGUGGCAUUUGAUGAGUCGAUUAGUGAGUGCCUGUCUCUUGAUUGCACAUUGGGAGUUCUUGAUGCAUGCUUAGAUGUCGUAUUCAUUUGAGAUUUUGACAUGCUGGAUUAUUGAUGAUUGAUCUUAUUGCAUCACUUAGCGUAUUGAUUCUGAUUUUGGCAUGAUUGUUCUGAUCACUUCACAUGCAUACACUCACCAAUGCAUAUCACUCAGCUUGACAUAUUGAUUCUCUGACUUGUAUACUAUUUUGGAUUGUCUUUGAGCAUGAUGUUUGUAUCACUAUUUGUCUUGAUUGUCGUAUUCUCGCUUAUCUUGUGUGUACAUGAGUGAUAUAUCCUGCUCUGCCUGACUGUAUGAUGCAUGACUGCCCUCCCUCUGCAUGAUUGCAUGGCGUCUGCCUAUGUGGGUCUCACUUCUACCCCCCCUACCUCCAACUCUCUUGGUUUCGGUCAUUCCUUUCAUCUCGGUUCUCACUAUUGCAAGUGUGAGACCUUCUGUGUGCUUGCUCUCUAAUCGAGCCGGAGAUUAGGAGUAGGGUCUAGCGACGAGCUAUAUCGAUGUACGGGAGCAUUCCGGAGAAGGGCGACACUUUGAUGUCGAUUGGAGUCCGAUCAUUGAAGACCUGUAUAGCCCCAAGCUAGGUUUCAUGGAUAGUUGUGCGACCAGUGUGUUUCCUCUUCUGCUUUAGAUUCUUAGGUUUUUCAGAUGCACCCACACCAUUCACUGUGCACUUUAGUUGACCAUUGAGCGUUAAGAGUUUGAGAGGUUUCACCAUAGGAAACCCCCUAGGAUGUCGAGGUAGUGCAUGUGUGGAGAUGAUGACCACCUUGCAUGGAAGCACCCCGUCUCUUUUUGAGGCGUGCAGAUGGUUGCGUACCGCCGGAGGGUACGAUCGCUUCUGCUAGGGAUCUUUUAAAGUCCACCCAUAUCCAUUUAGAGCCACCUUCACCUUGUAAGUUGAGCCAUAGAUCCUCCGAUUAGGACUCCCUCCCUACACGUGGGUGCAUCUGUGGGCCUUCAGAGCCGGUUCAGUAGUAACAGGUUUGGUUACCUUCGCAGUAGUCUCUUAUAUAUCUGCUCAGGAUUGGAUAUCGGUUUGUUUGCUUCCAGGCUACCUUUUGACACAUUUGUUAGACAUUCUUUGUGAAGUUUCUCUUACCCCGCACCUUAUCUAGUAUUUCCACUAUUGUAGGAGUAUCGAUACGUUCAGUCUGGGUUUGACUUCUUGGAUCAGAGUUGGGGGUAGAUUGAUCAAGGUACUGGACCAGUUAGACCAGAGAUCAGAUCAGAGGGAUAUGGAUUCACAGAUAGUUACCGUCGAUCAGUUCGCUGAGGCCAUGGCUUCGAUUCAGGAGGCUAUAGCUAGCCUUGGCCGGAGGAUAGAUGGGCAGCAGGUCCCCCCCGGAUGGUGCCCAGUAUGACCAUACAGUGCCACCACCCCCUCCACCCAGUCAGUCAGCACCACAGGCCAUGUCGUUCACCCUACAUAGCCAGACCGAGGUUGCUCCGCCUCCCGUCACCGUGCCUACCCCAACCUCAGAGGACCCACAUGCUCGCAUGGAUAGGCUUGAGCAGGGGUUGAGGCAGUUGAGGACUUCCGACAGAGCCAUUACUUGGGAGGGUUUUGAUGGAGUGCCGGUAGCUAGCUUGCCGGCUAAGUUCAGGAUGCUUGACAUUGAGAGGUAUACUGGCAUUGGUUGUCCACGCCUCCAUCUCCGAUUAUACAGCACCGUGAUGAGGGCUCAUGGACUGGACGAGUCUCAGAUGAUUACUCUUUUCCCACUAUCUUUGAGUGGGGCGGCCCAGCGUUGGUGCAUCUCUGGAGGCCUCGAGGCGCCGCACAUGGGACGACUUGGCCCAGGAGUUUCUACGACAGUUUUCGUUUAACACUGUCGUAGAUGUAUCGAGGAGGGAGCUCGAGGCUUUGAGACAGAGGGCAGAGGAGUCUGUUUCUUCUUUCAUUUCCCGCUGGCGCGGGAAGAUAGCUGAGAUUAUCGAUAGACCAUCAGAGAGGGACCAGAUUCAGAUGGUUUUGAGGAGCCUACAGCCGCGGAUCACCAGACAUGUGGUAGGGGCCCCGUUCACAGAUUUUGGGUCUCUGGUUAUGGCUUUGUAUGAUGUCGAGGACGACAUCUCGAGAGGAUUAUGGACAGAUUCUUCCCCUAGUGAUAUUAAGGGGAAGAAGCCCUUCGUAGGACCGAGGCCAGUAGAUGUGAGCGCUAUCGGUUCUUCAGUCAGAGGCCUCCUAGGCGUCAUCAGCCGGUCCCACAGCUCCUAGAGACUCAUCCAUCUUACACACCUCAGCAGUUCAGGCCACGGGCACCUUGCCCGGCUUUUGAUCAGACAUAUCAGGCUCAGCCAUUGGCUCUACCUUACUAUGCCACUCAGGGCAUUGACAGGCCUCCUGUUUCAUACACGGCCACUGGACAACCAUGUUACGCUGCACAGUUCACUCCGAGGCCCGCACCUUCAUACCCUAGGCCUCGAGUUCAACAGACCUCUGCACCUUUUGCUUUGAGGAUGUAGAGACAGUUUUCACAAAUAGGCAUGCCGUUGAGCCAGGCUCUUCGGAAGCUUACAGAGGCUGGGUUAUUGACUACUCUCACCCCUCGGCCACCGCCUCAGCCGAUUCCACCUCAGUUCAGGAUGGAUCUACACUGUGCAUACCAUCAGGGGCCUGGACACGAGACCGAUCGAUGCACUGCUUUGAGGCAUGCCAUUCAGGAUUUGAUCGACCAGGGUUUGGUACACUUGGGUCAGCCGAGUGUGACCACGAACCCGUUACCUGCUCACAACACACAUGCAGUCCUUCCACCAGCCGAUGGCAUUCAUUUCUUAGAGUUUGAUGUGAUCGAUGACCACAUCCACAUGCUGAGUGAUGAUGAUUCAGACCCAGAGCCUAUCAUGCCAGAUGUGAUUUAUGAGACGAGUGGGGUGACUCUGGGUCCUCGGAUGCCUGCUCCAUUCCGAUUAGUUCCCGAGGCGGCGUCCGUGCAGGCUGCCACCGUUGAGCUAUUGAUUUUGCCGCAUUACAGUGUCUGGACGCCUUUCAUCUUGAUCCCGGAUGUUGCGGGGGUUCAGGCUCCGUACGUUGAUGAUUCUCAGACUCUGGACAUUCAGUAUGUUCUCCGAGAAGGUAGAGUGAUGAGACAGCCACCUCCAGCUGCUACCGCUAGACCCUUAGGGGAUACGUCAUCCCAAGAGGAGGUCAGAGCAGAGGAUGACGAGAUUUUGAGGCAGUUGCAAAGCACUCAGGCUCGUAUUUCUAUCUGGAGCCUUUUAGCGUCCUCCAGUACUCAUCGGGAUGCACUGACUCGAGCUCUGAGCCAGAUCAGAGUUGAUACCACGACCACUCCUGAGGGACUCAUUCAUAUGAUGACGGCUGGCAGAGCCACUUGUAUCGUCUUUUCCGAUGACGACUUGCCACCAGAGGGUUCUGGCCACACGCGUCCUCUCUAUAUAUCUGUUGGCUGUUCAGGUCGCCGAGUUCCAUCUGUCCUUCUGGACAAUGGCUCGGCCCUGAACGUAUGUCCUCUGGCCACCGCCAUCGCUCUUGGAUACGCACCAUCCGAUUUCGGCCCAUCCACUCAGACCGUUCGCGCGUAUGAUAGCACUCGGAGGGAGGUCAUGGGUACACUAGAGAUUGAGCUACUGAUUGGUCCAGCCACUUUUGUCGCCGUGUUUCAGGUUUUGAGGAUUCCUACAUCCUUUAACCUGCUUCUAGGCCGACCAUGGAUCCAUAGAGCCGGAGCUAUUCCUUCUUCCCUUCAUCAAAAGGUGAAGUUUAUUCAUGAUGGUCGGGUCGUCGUGGUACAGUUUGUAGGGGAUAUGUUCAUUUCGAUCGAGCCCGUACUUGAGAUCAAUCACGCUGAUGAUGAUUUUUUUCUUACCGGAUUCACCUUUGAUGAGGUGCAGACUCUGGAGAUGGAAGACUUCUGUCGAGACUUUGUAGCCCUGUCCUUCGACCAGCACAGCAGCACGGUGGUACUUGAUAUUAUGAGGAGCAUGUCUUAUCUUCCUGGUAUGGGUUUGGGGCGGUGUCAGCACGGGCCUAGUGAGUUCAUGACUUUUCCGGACCGUGAUGUACCAUUCGGGCUUGGAUUCAUUCCCCACUGAGGCCGACUAUCGUCAUAUGGCGCGGCUGCGCAGGAAGAGGGUGAGGGCUCGCUUGACUCAUACGCCCUUUUAUUAUCCUGUCCGCCCAUACACCACGAGCCUAGCUGAUUACUUUGUGAGGGCAUCAGAGCCACAUGCACCAUCUGAUGGGAUCAUCGGAGGACUCAGCACCACUCAGGAGGCUGAGCUUCAGCGCCUCGUCCAACAGUUACAGUUGAGUGACGGAGCCCCUGGCCCUUCGGCUUCUGUGUUGAUUGCUCCUCCCUCCCCAGAUCGCACGAGCCUUAUGACGCUUUGCUUCCCGGAUGAGAUCGAUGAUCACGGGACUUUUGCCGAGAUUGGAGACGUAGUGGAUGGAGCCGUGCCGCAUGACGAGUACGUUGAUGAGAUGCUCGCGAUGAGCUUGAGCCAGACCGAGGAGAUAGCCCCGCCGGAGCUCGCUUCACCAUUUGAUCUCUUCGGGGUGUCCGUCCUCGAGAUCGCCGGGGAGAUCCAGGUUGCCCCCACUCCAGAGGUCGUCGAGGAUGUUAUAGUUGUUGUUGAUUUGUUUGAUGGCCCUGUUGGCCUAGUUGAGGGAGCGUCCGACCUUGUGGACCCACCUCUCCCCUUUGAUGUUUUAUCGGGAUUUGUCUCCCGUCAUGACUAUGUUUCUGACUUUUCAUCUAUGGUUUUGAGCACCUUUGAGUAUUUGCUUGUCUCUCAUGUUAUUGAUUUAUCUGCACCAUCUUCACCCACAUCACAGAUUUUUGACAUUGAUGAUGAGAUUGCACAGCAUGAUUCAGAUGAUGACUCAUCUCCUGCUUCCGAUUCAGACCCCGUUGAUCAGAGAGUUUCACCUGCUGUAGGGGACACCGAGAUUGUUGACUUUGGCACGGCAGAUCAGCCUAGGGAGUUGAGGAUCGGAUCGGAUUUGUCUACAGAUGAGAGAGAUAGCCUCCUCCAACUACUCAGAUCCUACUUGGACGUUUUCGCAUGGUCCUAUGAAGACAUGCCAGGCCUUGAUCCAUCUAUCGUCCAGCAUCGUUUGCCACUUCUGCCCCAGGCCAGACCGGUUAAGCAGAAGUUGAGACAAUUGCACCCUCGUUGGAGCUUGCAGGUGAAAGAUGAGAUCCAGAAGCAGCUCAGUGUAGGAUUCUUAUCAGUGGUUGAGUACCCGGAGUGGCUGGCCAAUGUCGUCCCUGUUCCCAAGAAGGACGGCAAGGUGAGAGUCUGUGUUGAUUUCCGAGAUCUCAACAAGGCCAGUCCUAAGGAUGAUUUUCCUUUUCCACACAUCGACAUGCUAGUUGACAGUACGGCAGGUCAUUCGAUGUUGUCCUUUAUGGACGGAUUUUCCGGGUACAGUCAGAUCUUGAUGGCUCCAGAGGACAUGGAGAAGACGUCCUUCAUUACCGAGUGGGGUACUUAUUGCUAUAGAGUCAUGCCAUUCGGAUUGAAGAACGCAGGAGCCACAUAUCAGAGAGCAGCGACCACACUUUUCCAUGACAUGAUGCAUCGGGAUGUUGAGGUUUACGUAGACGACAUGAUAGUGAAAUCCCGAGAUAGAUCAGAUCAUUUGGAAGCUCUUGAGAGGUUCUUUGAGAGGAUUAGACAGUUCAGAUUGAGACUGAAUCCCAAGAAGUGCACUUUUGGAGUGACUUCUGGGAAACUCUUGGGAUACAUGGUCAGUGAGCGAGGCAUAGAGGUAGAUCCGGACAAGAUUAGAGCCAUUCUUGACAUGCCUGCGCCGAGGACAGAGAGAGAGAGGUCAGAGGCUUCCUGGGCAGACUUCAGUACAUCAGUAGAUUCAUAGCCAGAUUGGGCCACUCGCCGAUUGAGACAUUACAUGACUGAGUAUUCCGUGCACUUGAUAUCCCGUCUAGAUCCUUUGAGAUAUUUGUUUGAUAGGCCCGCCCUAGUCGGUCGCCUCAUGAGAUGGUUGGUACUUCUGACUGAGUUUGACAUCCAUUAUGUCACUCAGAAGUCCAUCAGAGGGAGCAUUGUAGCAGAUCAUCUAGCCUCAUUACCAGUUUCUGAUACCAGAGCUAUUGACGAUGAUUUUCCAGACGAGGAUGUCGCUGCUGUGACUAGUCCGUCGGGGUGGCGCAUGUACUUUGAUGGUGCGGCCAACCAUUCUGGAUAUGGGAUAGACGUCUUGUUGAUAUCCCCUCACGAUGAUCACAUUCCCAGAUCAGUUCGUUUGGCAUUCUCGGAUCGGCAUCCAACCACGAACAACAUUGUUGAGUAUGAGGCUUGUAUCUUGGGAUUAGAGACAGCCCUUGAGCUCGGGAUUAGACAGAUGGAAGUGUUUGGUGACUCCAAUCUGGUGUUGAGACAGAUUCAGGGCGAGUGGAAGACUAGAGAUGUGAAGCUUAAGCCUUAUCAUGCAUAUUUGGAGCUACUGGUUGGGAGAUUUGAUGAUUUGAGAUAUACCCAUCUGCCUAGAGCGCAGAACCAGUUUGCUGAUGCUUUAGCUACUCUAGCUUCCAUGAUCGAUAUUCCCGUUAAUGCCACUGUUCAACCUCUGUUGAUCGAGUCGAGAUCUGCUCCUGCUUACUGUUGACUGAUCGAUGAUGUAGAGUCAAAUGAUGGUUUGCCAUGGUAUCACGACAUAUAUCACUUUUUGAGACUCGGCGUAUAUCCUGAGGCCGCCACGGCCAAGGAUAAGAGAGCAUUGAGACAGUUGGCCACUCGAUUCGUGAUUUGCGGCGAGACACUGUACAAGCGAUCACCUGACGGGGUGCUAUUAUUGUGUUUGGACCGCGCCUCUGCCGAUCGGGUGAUGAGAGAGGUUCAUGCGGGAGUCUGCGGACCACAUAUGGGAGGACAUAUGUUGGCUCGUAAGAUCAUGAGGACAAGAUACUUCUGGUUGACCAUGGAGACAGAUUGCUGCCAGUUUGUUCAGAGGUGUCCCGAGUGUCAGAUACACGGAGAUCUCAUUCACGUGCCGCCCUCCGAGCUGCACGCACUGACUUCACCAUGGCCAUUUUCCAUCUGGGGUAUUGAUAUCAUCGGGAAGAUUUCACCGAAAUCUUCCAGUGGUCAUGAGUUUAUCCUGGUUGCCAUCGAUUACUUCACCAAGUGGGUGGAGGUCGCCUCAUAUGCGAGAUUGACAUCAGCUGGAGUUGCUAGUUUUAUCAUAUCACACAUUAUCUGUCGCUAUGGAGUCCCCCAUGAGUUGAUUUCGAAUAGAGGGGUACAUUUCAGAGCAGAGGUUGACACCUUAGUGCAGAGAUACAGCAUCCGGCAUCAUAGAUCGUCUGCGUACAGGCCGCAGAUGAAUGGGGCAGUAGAGGCCGCGAAUAGGAAUAUCAAGAGGAUAUUACGGAGGAUGGUCGAGACUUCUCGGGAUUGGUCAGAGAAGCUCCCAUUUGCAUUGUGGGCUUAUCGGACUUCUUUUCGCACCUCUACAGGCGCCACACCCUACUCCUUGGCAUAUGGCAUGGAGGCGAUGCUACCCGUUGAGAUUGAGAUGGGUUCGUUGAGAGUAGCACUAGAGCAGCAGAUUCCCGAGGCAGAUUGGGCUCAGGCUCAAUUUGAUCAGCUCAAUCUCCUAGAUGAGAGGAGAUUGAGAGCAGCAGACCAUGUUCGUGCAUAUCAGAGGAAGAUGGCCCGCGCUUUCAAAAAGCGGGUCAAGCCUAGACCACUGCAUGUAGGUGACUUAGUUUUGAAAGUCAUCAGGGGAUUGAUCAGAGAUCCUAGAGGGAAGUUUAGACCCAACUGGAGCGGACCUUAUUUCAUCAGGGAGUUGACCCUAGAGGGCGCUGUAUGGCUGAUGGAUUUAGACGGAAACCGAUUCUCAGAGCCAACCAAUGUGGAUCAGCUAAAGAGGUACUAUGUUUGAGACCAUGGUCGCAGGAUGGGUGGUCGUCAUUUCGGUUAGCUAUUACCUUGUUAUUCCUUUGUGAUACAUAGUCCGUUGCUAGCCCAUUGAGCCUCACAUGCGUAUUAUAGUCUGUCUUUCUUAUCGCCUUGCUCACAUUUUCACACCGGGAUAGGGGCCCUUUAAUGUAUGCAUACAUUGUUUGGUAGUUUCAUGAGCUUUGGACCUAGAGGCAUGUUUUUCUCAUUAUCUUUUCCUAUCACUGCACCUCUGCAUUUUCAUCUUAUCUUAUUGGUUAUGUUAUUCAUCUCUUCUUCCUUAUCCUAUCUACUAUUUGUUUGUCUCAUAUUCUCUCCACCCUGAGUGGUGAGCCUCCUCAGUUCAUCACAUGGAGGAUAGUCACAUCAUUCCCAUCAUCUAUCUCACGGACACUGGUUUAGAGAUCCUUGGUUUGAGAAGGUCAUCUCGUUAGAGAGAGUUUGUUUGUUACCUUAUUACUUAGGAGUGUGUCCAUUUGUUAUUCAUAUCAUCUUUGGGGUUCAUUUGUUCAUGUUUAGGGUAUGUGUAUUUGUAUAUAUGUAAAAAAAAAAAAAAAAAAAAAAUGAAAGAAAAAAAAAAUCAUUAUUAUUAUUAUUAGCACAUGUGUGUAUGUGCAUAGUGUUCUCGGUCAUUGAGUAUGUAUAUUGAUGUUUGGGGUUCAUUUUUAUCGAGUAUGUUCGUUAUCGGGAGUUCGUAUGUGAACUCUCUAAGAUCCCAUGUUAUUUGCAUUGCUUCGUCAUAUCUAUUUGUGAGAGAGAUGAGUGACCCUCUCCUAAGGACUCCGAGUCAUUGUCCUUUCCAUCAUUACAUUCAUUAUUGAUGUGACUUCACUUCAUGUUUGAUCUGAGUCGAUCACCACUUUUCUUCACGUAUUCAUUGUUUCGAUAUCGUUUUUAUCGUUGCUUGUGAUUCAUCUCAUUCCCUUCGCGUCUUGUUCUCUCCUUACAGCGACCCAUCUCAGGUUCGAUGCUCAUUUCUCAUCAUCAUUACACAUAUCACUAUCAGUUCAUCCUGUUUCAUUUGUCUCCUUAUCGAUAUCAUAUUCACGUUAGGCGUCCUCAGAUCCAUGGCUCAUGAGGUUCGCUAUACAUGUUGCAUUUCAUAUAUGAGGGCAUGAGUUUUGAUCAUUGGGUAUUUGAGCCUAGUUUUCUUUCGUUUCUAUCACCCUAUCACCUUGGCCUACGUUACGUCCCGUGUCUUAAGACCACCCUGAGGCCAUGGGAUCAGAUGUCGUCUUCAGCAGCCUCUACUUGGGCAGGUGAUUGAGAUCUGGUUGAUAUUUAGAUAUCGUCAUGCUUUUUCUUCUGGGAGUCGCCUUUUUGAUGUAUAGGUCUGAUUCAGUUGUGUUCGAAUUACUAGGAUCAUAAGUUUGAUGAUGAUUGAUUUGGUGUCACCUGAUUUUUGACCUAUCAUACCUUUGGUGCCACACUGGGGCAUGUCCCAUUUCAUUUGGAGGUUCAUGGAUCCUCACGGACUUGCACGAUCAUCACUUACUGGAUGCUCACUGAGACGUAGACAUGAUCGUUACCUUACGGAGCCCCUGAGAUCCACCCAGCCAGGUCCGCACUUCUCGACACUUGGAUGUCAUCAUGCCUCUCCAUCUGGGAGGUACAUCUUGGAUAUGUGUGCAUGAUUCAGUUAUGGAUUCGGACGACCAUUGUUACAUGUUCGAUGACAGAUGAUUUCAUGUCGCUCGAUUUCUGACUUGUCGUACAUCCGAUGCCCAUACUGGGGCAUAUUUUCCUUUUCAGAUGAGAUUUACGGACUUUCAUGGAGGUCACAUGUGCGAUGAUGGAUGAUUUCAUGACAUUUGUUCUUCGGACCUGUCGCGCACCUGAUGCCAUACUGGGGCAUAUUCCGUUUCGGAGGAUCUUUAUGGAUCUUUGUAGAGGUCACAUGUUCGAGGAUAAACAAUCCCAUGCUAUCUGAUCUCCGACCUAUCAUACAUUUUGAUGCCAUACAGGGGCAUAUUUCGGUUCGGAUGAGAUUUACAGAUCAUGGGGGAGUCGCGUGCCUAUCCUUAUUUGGCGAGAUGUAUGCAGAGAUGAUGAUAUAUUCGCUAUCCUCACGAUGAUUCCUUAGUGGAGCCUAUCGAGAGCCAUCUAGCCAGGCAUGGAUGACCUGAGCUCAUCUGAUUUUUCGACAUAUUACAUUCUCGAUGCCACACUGGGGCAUAUUUCCCAUCAUUGAUCUAGAUUUAUAGAUCCCCACUGGUUUACAUGAUCAUCCACGAUUAUGGGAUAUGCGCCAGGUCGAUGUUCGACUUCAUUUUGUCCGGAUACUCCGAGGAGCCUCUCUUGAGUCAUUCAGCCAGAUUCAUACCCUUUUAUAUAGUCGUGAUUCCUCGAUGGAGUUGUCUCUGUUGCCUGGAUUUCCCGCGUCAUCAUUUCAGAGGGGUACAUAUCAGAUCUGUUACGCGUCCCAUUGGUGUUAUUCUCGGGUCAUCAGGACAGAUCGGGUACAUCUGAUGUCAUACUAGGGCAUAUUGCCUUCAUUUAGCCCUAGAGGCGAUCGUUCUCUCACAUAUCCGUUACAGUUUCCAUCACUCAAUCGAGAUAUAUUGUAUUCACCUCACUAGCCAUUAUUCCUGAGCUCUUCAUCGAUAUGAGCUCUCAACGGAGUGUCGUUCGAGACUCGUAGAGUCCCUUUCAGCCAUUUCCAGCGGAUUGAGAUUUGCAGUGGCAUGCCACACUGGGGUAUACCCCCGUCUUUGAGUACAUCGGCUGUUUUGCACAUCUUUCUCACUACUCAGUCCAUUUCUUGAUCUUUGCGAGUCAUCAUACUGGGGCAUACCCCCUUUAGCAUUUUUCUAUUGGGGCAACCCCCCACAGUCAUUUUUGUUUGGGGCAUCCCCCCACUAUCAUUUUCGUUUGGGGCAUCCUCCCACUGUCAUUUACGUUUGGGGCAUCCCCCCACUGUCAUUUACGUUUGGGGCAUCCACCCACUGUCAUUUACGUUUGGGGCGUCCCCCCACUGUCAUUUACGUUUGGGGCGUCCCCCCACUGUCAUUUUCGUUUGGGGCGUCCCCCCACUGUCAUUUUCGUUUGGGGCAACCCCCCACUGUCAUUUACGUUUGGGGCAUCCCCCUACUGUCAUUUUCGUUUGGGGCAUCCUCUCACUGUCAUUUACGUUUGGGGCAUCCCCCCACUGUCAUUUACGUUUGGGGCAUCCCCCCACAGUCAUUUACGUUUGGGGCAUCCCCCCACUGUCAUCUUUGUUCAGGGCAUUCCCCGUUCUCGUCACUUUGUUUAGGGCAUCCCCCUACUUUAGGUUUGUUUAGGGCAUCCUCCUACCUUUACUUUGUUUAGGGCAUCCCCCUGCUUUUAGCUCGUUUAGGGCAUUCCCCUAUCGUCACUUUGUUUAGGGCAUCCCCCUACCUUUUAGUUUCAUUUAGGGCAUCCCCCUACUGUCGCUUUUGUUUAGGGCAUCCCCCUACCUUUAGUUCAUUUAAAGCAUCAUCUACUGUUAGUUCAUCUGUGGGCCUUCUAGUUUAGCAUUUAGAACUAGCUUUUCGGUUCGGCUUCCAGAGCCAUUAUUUUUCUCAGUUUAGCAUUUAGAAUUUGUUUUUUGGUCGGCUCCUAGAGCUAUUAUUUUCUAGUUUAGUGUUUAGAGUUAGUUAUUUUGGUCGGCUUCUAGAGCUAUUAUUUUCUAAUUUAGUGUUUAGAGUUAGCUUUUCGGUUUGGCUUCCAGAAUUAUUAUUUUCUAGUUUAGUGUUUAGAAUUAGUUUCUGGGUUUGGCUUACAGAGCUAUUAUUUUCUCAAUUUGACGUUCAGAGUCAUCAUCAUCACUUCUCAGUUUCGGCGUUCAAAGCCAUCAUCACUUUUUAGUUUCGGCGUUCAGAGCCAUCACCGUGUUUACAGUUCGGCGUUCAGAGCCAUCAUUGGUUUUCAGAUCGACAUUCAGAGUCGCAUCCUCGAUUUCGACAUUCAGAGUCGUUAUCGCUUCUCAGUUUGACGUUCAGGGUCAUCAUCAUCGCUUUUUAGUUUCUGCGUUCAGAGCCAUCACCGUGUUUACAGUUCGGCGUUCAGAGCCAUCAUCGGUUUUCAGAUCGACAUUCAGAGUCACAUCCUCGAUUUCGACAUUCAGAGUCGUUAUCGCUUCUCAGUUUGACGUUCAGGGUCAUCAUCAUCGCUUUUUAGUUUCGGCGUUCAGAGCCAUCACCGUGUUUACAGUUCGGCGUUCAGAGCCAUCAUCGGUUUUCAGAUCGACAUUCAGAGUCGCAUCCUCGAUUUUGACAUUCAGAGUCGUUAUCGCUUCUCAGUUUGACGUUCAAAGUCAUCAUCAUCACUUUUUAGUUUCGGCGUUCAGACCCAUCACCGUGUUUUCAGUUCGACGUUCAGAGCCAUCGUCGCUUUUCAGUUUUGGCGUUCAGAGCCAUCACCAUUUUCAGUUUGGCGUUCAAAGCCAUCGUCGCUUUUCGGUUUUGGCGUUCGGAGCCAUCGUCACUAUUUUCAGUUCGGCGUUCAGAGCCAUCGUCGCUUUUCAGUUUUGGCGUUCAGAGCCAUCACCAUUUUCUGUUUAGCGUUCAGAGCCAUCGUCGCUUUUCGGUUUUGGCGUUCAGAGCCAUCGUCGCUUUUCAGUUUUGGCGUUCAGAGCCAUCACUAUUUUUAGUUUGGCGUUCAGAGCCAUCAUCGCUUUUCAGUUUUGGCGUUCGGAGCCAUCACUAUUCUCAGUAUCGGAGCCAUCAUCAUCACUAUUUUCAGUUUGGCGUUCAGAGCCAUCAUCACUAUUUUCAGUUCGGCGUUCAGAGCCAUCGUCGCUUUUCAGUUUUAGCAUUCAGAGCCAUCGCCAUUUUCAGUUUGGCGUUCAGAGCCAUCAUCGCUUUUCAGUUUUGGCGUUCAGAGCCAUCACUAUUUUCAGUUUGGCGUUCAGAGCCAUCAUCGCUUUUCAGUUUUGGCGUUCGGAGCCAUCACUAUUCUCAGUAUCGGAGCCAUCAUCAUCACUUCUCAGUCUUGGCGUUCGGAGCCAUCAGCAGUUUCCAUUCGGCGUUUAGAGCCAUCACCACUUCUCAGUUUCGGUGUCCAGAGCCAUCACCACUUCUCCGUUUGGCAUUCAGAGCCAUCGUUAUCACUCCUCAGUUUGACGUUCAUAGUCACAUUCAUCAGUAUCGGCUUUCAGAGCCAUCAUCACAUCUUCGUUCGGCAUUCAGAGCCAUCGUUAUCACUUCUCAGUUUUGGCGUUCAGAGCCAUCACUGUUGCAUUCUCUGUUUCGGUGAUCAGAGCCAUCAUCACUUCCUAGUUUGACGUUUAGAGUCAUCAGCACAUCUUCGUUCGGCAUUCAGAGCCAUCGUUAUCACUCAGUUUGACGUUCAUAGUCACAUUCAUCAGUAUCAGCAUUCAGAGCCAUCAUCAUCACUUCCCAGUUUGACAUUCAGAGCCUUUGUCCACUUUUGAUUCGGUGUUCAGAGCCACAUCUUCAGUCGACAUUCGGUGUUCGAAACCAUUGUAUACACUCAUUCGAAGACCUUGAGUCACCAUCUUCCCGUGUUUUGAGUCAUUUCUCCUCGACUGUAUCAUUCAGGGUCACAGUCCCUGGCAUUCAUAUUCGGUGGUUUCUCUUUUCAUUGCUCAUGACGUAGUCCUUCGAGUUUACGACGCAUACUUCGGUCACGUCGUUGGGCAUCCCCCCCACUGUCAUUUCGCUUGGGGCAUCCCCCCACUGUCAUUUUCGCUUGGGGCAUCCCCCCACUGUCAUUUACGUUUGGGGCAUCCCCCCACUGUCAUUUACGUUUGGGGCAUCCUCCCUACUGUUAUUUACGUUUGGGGCAUCCCCCCACUGUCAUUUACGUUUGAGGCAUCCCCCCACUGUCAUUUACGUUUGGGGCAUCCCCCUACUGUUAUUUACGUUUGGGGCAUCCCCCCACUGUCAUUUCGUUUAGGGCAUCCCCCUAUUUUCAUCUUGUUUAGGGCUUUCCCCCACCGUCAGUUUGCUUAGGGCAUCCCCCUUUUGUUUCAAAUUUAUCACCACCGUAGGUCUUCACCUAUGGGCCCUCUAGUUUAGUGUAGAGUUAGUUUUUUUUUGUUUGGCUUCCAGAGCCAUUAUUUUUCUAGUUUAGCGUUUAGAGUUAGCUUUUUGGUUUGGCUUUCAGAGCUAUUGUUUUCUCAGUUUGGUGUUUGGAGUCAGUCUCGUCAUUCAGAGUCACAGCUCCUAGCAUUCAUAUUCACUGGCAUUGCACGUCUCACCUUCAUGGACUUGCACUUAUUCUCAUUCUCCUCACCUUGUUACCUUGUGCUUAUCGUUUCAGCAUUGCUCUUCUAGGCUUCCCCUUCCAUUGCACAUGAUAUAGCCCUUUGAGUUCACGACACAUGUUUCAGUCAUAUUGUUGGGAUCCCUAGACAUAGCAUUCCCAUGUAAUUCACAUAGGGCGUUCCCUUUAGGCGCAUUCUUUCUCAUACUCUAGGGUGGUUCGACUGUUACUCGUCUUUGAUAUGGUUUUUCAAGUCACUUUUGGAGGCAUCUUAGAGGGAGCCUGGGUCCUCAGUGUAGCUUCAGAAGCGCUUGGAGAUAUGUUUUUCUUUUAGGAUUAGAGUCUUUAUGUUCGUCCACUGACCUAAGUAGGUCCGUAUUUCACUAGUGUUCCUUCAGGGUCUUCUUUUUCUUCGGUAGAGUUUACUCCGUUCCACUCAUCAUUCACACUUUCUUUUCACUCUAGUGUUCAUGUUCCUUACACUUGUGAACUCUACCGAAGAGGGGCAUAUUUGUAGACCCCUCUUUCAAGAGCCGGGGGACCUUUAGUUUUUUUAUGACAUUGGAAAGGGGCCUCAUCAUCACCAGCAGCUGGCAGCACCCUAGGCAAGUGAGGGGACCCCUUUCUGCAAGGAGAGCAGCUUCACAGACACGGCAAAGACGUGAUGGCCGGCCAUGCUAGUGGGGGAGGGAAGCCAUGUUGGCUGAUGGAGGAAUAGUAGAGCGGGUAGUGGCUUGCUGUGGAAGAUAGAAACAGGAGAGAGAAAGCAUAUACGAGAGGGGAGUCUGAUAUCUGGGGGGGAGGAAGCCAUUAGAGGGGUCACAAGGAAGGGAGUUGGUUGGUUCCAUUGAUCUUAAAGGAGAACUUACUAGAGAAGGAGAUAACAGAGAAAGGAGGCAGCUGCAGGUGAGUUUAGGGUGAGUCUCUUGCUCCCUUUGAUUCAUAUUCUCCUCGUCCCUUUCUCAUUUUGGUUUGCUUUGCAUUGCUUAUCAGUCUGGGUUGGAUUUCAUCUUGAAUUUCAUUGAUUUUUCUGGAUCACUUGUUUGUCGUUGUUGAUUUUGCCGUUAUCCUUAUGGUUUAGUUUGGAGUUAACGAGAUCUGUUUCUCACGUAUUUUGUGGCUCUGGCUUGAGAUCUUCCCACCUGUAUCUGCCCAUGGAUACCACCCGACAUGAGGCUUGAUACGCUCAUGUUUUUCUACUUUAUUCCUUGAUUAUCCUUCCCUCGUUUUUUUGUUGCUUUGGCUCCUAUAUUUGUGAUCCUUUCUGUGAAUGAAGACCUAGACACAAAGGCUGUUUCUUGUAUUUGAUAAAACCGAUUAAGCCACCCAUGUUUUCAGAUGAAGCAGGGACGUUGACGAGAUGUAUUCUCUGUUUUUAGGAUCUUUGUUCUUCUUUUAAUAUCUGUAAACAGAGAAGCUUGCAUGCAAAGAGUUCAUCAUCCAAAACUGGCAGUAUCUACCCAUUAUACCCAACGUGCCCAUGGCUGCCCUUCACACCUAUUUCAUACCCAUUCUCCCACAAAUUAAUACCCAUCUAUUCUCAUGCAGACCUAACCGUCAUUCCUAUGCCCACAUCUCAUCCCCACGCAUUUCAAACACCACCAUACCCAUCUCUCGUCUUUCAUGCUACCCACACCCACCAUUCACCAUUUAUUUCCUAUAUCACCAUCCAUCUAAUCCACCAUGUUACCCGCUACCACUGAACCCGUUUUCCCUCGCCUCUUUUUGUUUUACCACCAUUCUCUUUCUUCACCACAUCAAAUAUCCAUUUUCCCCACCAUCCUGAAUUCCCAUGCAAACCUGUCACCAUGCAUGCCCAUAUUUUGCACUCACCAUUAACCAUUUAUCCCACCUGAUUUCAUUAUGUAUUUAUCCAACCAUCUAUCAUCACCCACGCCAUCCAUGAGCAAGAAUACCAGCCCGUUUCCCUCGUUCUCUCUCAUUGCUCGACACGUAUUCCCCCCCAUGCAUGGCCACCUUAGCCCUCAUACCCACUGGUUCUCACAUUCCAUGCUCACGGAAUAGGAUCCCCCUACCACAUUCGCCUCAUUCAACUCAACAUCUUCUCAACCAUACCCCAUGACUCCUUUCCCAUUUAUUUCAUUCCCUUCCCCAGCGCAUGAAAUCCCGCACAUGGUCACCCGCGGUGGGUCCAGCUUUGCCACCGGUGUACCGAGAUCACCGGAGCUCGCCCGCCAUCGCAUGACAGUUCAGGUUUUGGAGUCAUGGAUUGUAGUUCAUUCGGUGAUCAUUGGGAUUUCCUUGGGAGCUUCUGAAAGUCUAAAGACAGUCAAGCCUCGUGUGGUUGCAUUGUCUUUCUAUCAGCUCUUUGAAGGUGGUAGGGACCUCAUCCUUGGUGUAGAAGGCAGCUCUCAAAAAUUUGAGAAGUCGCGUUAAUGAGGUGGCCCGGUUUUGGGUGAUACCUAGGUAGAGACAGCAGGGGUCUGAAACCGGUGAUGGCUUUAGUGGAUGACGUUGAAGCCUUUUCUUUCUUUCUAUGGCGUGUAGAUAGAGAGUUUUUAUUUUUAUUUGGACCCUUACCAUCACUAUGAUAUUGUUUCUGGGUAUUAGCGUCCUAGCUGGGGCUCUUGCUUCCCAGUGUACCACAAAGACUACAUCUUAUUUUAUUUUAAUCCAUCCUCUAUCUUUUGAUAUCAAGAUUUAUUUUUUUUAUUUUUUUAACUUCGGUUUUUUAAAUUCAGUCUUUAAAACUCCCGUCUUUAACUAAUUCUUCAAAACUCUAAUUUCCGAAUAUAAUUUUCAAUUUCUGAAUUUAACCAUUAUUAUCUUCAUUGUUAUUAUUAUUAUUUAUUCAUUUAUGUAUUUAAAAAUCUCAUCUUUAAACAAAUUUUCAAAAUCCCGACUUCCGAAUUUAAUAUUUUUUUUGUUUGAAAAAUUCCACUAUUCACUUUCAUUCACUUAAAUAUCGUUUUUGUUAAUUAUUAUUACUAUUCCAUAUGCAUUUAUUUAUCCUCCUUUAAAAGUUUCAUUUCCUAAAGCCCAAUUCAUUAAAAAUCUAAGGUCCUAAUUAAAUUUUCAAUCUCAAAAUUUCCACUAUUUCAUUUGUUUAAAUAUUAUGUUUAUUAAUUAUUAUUAUUAUUCCUCAUGUGUUUAUUUAUCCUCCUUUAAAAAUCUCAUCCCUUAAAGUCCAAUUCUUCAAAAACUCGACGUCCAAAUUUAAUUUUCAAUAUAAAAAAUUCCACUAUUCACGUUCAUUCGCUUAACCAUUAUUUUUGUUAUUAUUAUUAUCAUUCCAUAUUUAUUUAUUUAUUUCUUUUAAAAAUUCAAAUCAUUAAAGUUCAAUCCUUGAAAAAUCUGACUUCCGAAUUUAAUUUUCAAUCUCAAAGAUUCCACUAUUCAUCCAAUACUUAAAGUUCAAUUUUUCAAAAUCCCGUUUUCCAAAUUUAAUUUUCAAUCUCAAAAAUUCCACUAUUCACAUUUAGCCGUUUAAUGAUUAUUUUCGUUAUUAUUAUUAUCCCGUUCAUUUAUUUAUUCACUUAUUCAUAUAUUUAAAAUCUCAUCUCCAAAUAAUUUCUCAAAAUUUCAAUUUCUAAAUUCAAUCUCCAAUCUCUAAAAUUCUAUUUUUUGCAAUUAUUUACCGAAUCUCUAUUAUUUCAUCAUUAUUAUAUUUAUUAAAAUUCCGUCUUUAAAUAAUUCUUCAAAAUUCCGAUUCCCAAAUUUAGUUCUCUGAAAUUCCAAUUCUUUUCAAAUUCAAUUUCUAAAAUUCUCAUUCUUAUAUUUAAUUUCUAAAAAUCCAAUUUUCAAAUAAUCUCUAAGACUCCGAUUUUCAAAAUGAAUUUCAAAAAUCCAAUUUUCCUUCGAACAAUUUUAAUUUCUGUUUGGUAAUGCAUGUGAUAUAUUUUGUGCUCUAUAUUGUGCACUGACUCUGUUUUUAUGAUAGCGCAUCGCUCGUUCGUGGCUCAGGUAUGCAUCAAUUCCUAUUCUGGUCAUUCUCUAUGCAUGUUCUGAUUCCCAUAUGUACAUAAUCGACUCGAGUAUUCAUUGAUUUACUCAUCAAUUGCCACGUCAGCUUCAUUUUAUUAGUAGAGACCCGACUUUAGGGACUUAGAAGGGUGCUACGGUUUUUACCGUACCUUCCUGAUAAGUAACCUGACCCCCGAAUCGGAUCCGGUUUUUCACAGACCACCUUUUCCAAAGUAAGGAGUCACACUUAAGGUUUUCUUUCUUAUUUUAUUUACCCUUUAAAAACAAAAUAAAAAUAAGUGGCGACUCCAAGUCAUUUUUCAAACAAUAAAAUCAUUUUUCAAAGUAAAAUCAAGCUCGCCAUCGAGUGGGAAACACAUGAGCUGAAAUGCGGGGUCCACACAUAGUUAGGGUAAGUGUGUGGUAAAUUAACUUAGUGUUUCGCAAAAUAUUUAUUUAUCAUCAUUUAAAAUUAAAAAAUAAAUUUAAAUAUUAAAUAAAAAUAAUUAACUUAUUCUAAAUUCUAAUUUUUUUAAUUCUCUUUGUUCAUAUUUGGUGAUAAUCACUUUUAUAUCCAUGACUCUAUGUUCACAAUUUCCCUUUUUUUUUUAGUAAAUAUUUUGUAGUUAUUUUGUUGCUUCACAAUAGUACUUUUUAAUAUAAAUGUUUAUCAAGUUUAAGUUUAUGAAGACAAAUAUUAAGAAAAAUUAACGAGUUUAAUAUAUUUGUAGACCUCUCUUUUGGACUAUUAGACAUUUUUUUUAUCACUAUUAUUUGUUGUUUUUUAUUUUAUUUUAUGUUUAUUUUUCUUUUCCUCACCACCUUCUUGUCGCCUAGGAAGCCUGGUCUUUUUGGGCAAGAUGGUGAAACACCAUCUCUAUAAAGGGAAGUGGGGGACAACUUCCACAAGUGAGCGGGCUGCAUGGGACGCAUGAAGGAUACUGCUACCUCGGCAUGGUGGUGGUUAGGAUGGAAACGUCUCUAAGCGGGGAGUAGUAGAGCUGGUGGAGGCUUGGGGGGAGAAGAAAGGAGGGAGGUCUGAGAGAAAAGGGAGAGAGCUAAAGAAAUAGAGGGCGAGGAACUUUAGCGGAUUUUGAAGAAUCUAUGGAAUCCAGUGCUUGAAACCAAGCAAUCCUUGCUCAAAGGGAGUCGUUCAGCGUUUGAUUGCAACUAGAAUCCCAUUGAUCAACUGUCCUGGGUUAUGCAUGCCCGUCAUAAGUUCUUCAUGGGUUUGGAGGUAGUGGCAGUGUUGGUGCUCUCCUUCGCCAUAAUUUUGAUUCUCAUUGCUUUGGAGGAAUGCCCCUAGUUGCCUUUGGAAUCAUCUAUUUAAGAAUGCACUGAGAAGUUAGAGAUGUUGUCCUUUUUUUAGUGUCAUUUGUUUGAGAUUUUGCUAAUUGUGGCCUAUUCAAGGAUAGACUUGAGAUAUUAAAGAAGCUUAGAUAUGGAAGGAAGUAUAGUCCACACACACUACUUGAGUAGAAAAGAAAAGUAGCAAUGGAUUAUUGGGAAUGACUUCCAGUUUUUACCCUAGGUUAUAUUUCUGCUAUCAUUCGUCUAUUUCUGGUGUGUUUGGGGUGCUGAAUAUUAUGGCUAGUUUGGCCAUUUUGGUUGGGGUGGUUUUUAAGAGACUUGUAUGGAUAUCUCUGGUCUUUUAUAUAGUAAGCUUCAUUACAAAUAGUGACAUUCUUGUGUUAAGCCCUGGUGAAGAGCUCUAGUACAAUCAUAUGUUGACAUAGAAGGCUAAAAUACCCGGAUAUAGGAAUUGGAAAUUCAAUAAAAUGAUUGGUCCUAGAAAGUUCAAGAAAUGUAUUUGAAGAUGGGUCCCAUUAUUAUUAGCUCAUUUCUAUCCUUCCCUAUGUGCCUACUAAUCCCGUGCAUGGCCACUUUAGUCUAUAUGUGACCAAGUCUUGCUUGCUCCUAGUCUUGUAGCCCUUUAUACCCACCACCAUCAGCCUACCCCACAUCACCAAACCCAUCAUACCCCUAUCCUCCACACUCAUUAGCUUACUCCAUUGCCCCUAAUCCACCUAGCCAUCAGCACCUACCCACUAUCAUCCUUCCUAACUUAUCACAGCCCACACAGUCAUCACUCUUUCUCACCCGUCCCACCAUAGCUGCGGUCUCUUUCCAACAACUCAAUAUGUAGCCACCAUGUGCCAUACCCCAUUAUUUUCCUGUGCUCGCAACUCUAUGUGCCACUAUAGGCAUCUCUAAUUCCAUCGUUUUAUUUCCUGGUCAUUCUUUUUCCAUUUUGAUAGCCAUCACAACAGUCGGUGAUUGUCGACUCCUCCACGAUGUGCCAUUGCAACGCUGCUCAUCCACUCAAGACCACUAUGCUCUUCCUUCUUGGUGCUCAUCAUUGUGCUCGAAACUCAGGAUAGCUUCAAAAGCAGUUCCAGUCCCACCUUAGUACCCCUCAGACCCCACCUUUACAUGGACAGGCAUGGCCACUUUUGGGUGUGCCAUUUUCAAAGCUCAAAACUCCUAGUUUCCUUGGUCCCCGACAUGCUCUAGAUAACCCCAUUCUUCCAAAAUCUUGAAAUGGUUCGAUUGAUGGAAGCACAGACCUUUUAUACUAUUGGAAUCCUAAAACUAACAUCACCUACCAUGAGAAACCAACUGCUUUGCCUCAAGUGCCUCAAGUGCGUGUGUGCAAGUCUCCUUGCGUAAACCUAUGCUUAAUAGUUGCGACUCGGAUACCAUUGGGUUUUUAGGGUUUGUACACCUCUAGCUCUCUUUCUCACCAACUUGUCACUACGCUUUGCUUGAAUCAUCUUCGCUCUAAUCUUCUUUCAACUUUUUGAAAAGGCUUACCUAUGUGUUGGAAUGGCCAAUAAUCCUCAUUCUUCUAGGGCACAGUUUCGACCUACAGUUCCGGGAUAAUGACAUCUUUUCAUUCCAGUAGCUUCUCAACAAUUUUCGCCAAUUGGACAAAAUAUUUUUUCACCAAAUGUGGGAGUUCUUUCUGGUUGAAAUUAACCGCCAUAGUUUUUGUCACGACCUAAAUUCUGGGUGACCCAAAAUUUGGCCCAUCACCAUAGGUCAAAGGUUUGACCCUAAGGUUUUCUCUUAAUCCAAGUUGGCAAUCAACCAAAAUGCUCUGAAUUAUUUUUUUUCUAAAGAUAACUCAACUAACAUUCCAAUUUAACACUAUACCAACCAUCACUCAAGAGCUACAAGAUAUAAUAAUUAUCAUUAAGGUCUAGAAAUAAGAGUUCACAGUUGAGCAAAAUAAUCAUAAUAAAGUCUCAUUACAAAUAUAUAGUUUCAAAGUUUGUUAAUACAAGUUCCAAAAUAAACCAACAUAACAAUUACUCUACAAUCCAUUAGGCUGCUCCAAAAUCUCCUGGUGUAUCCUUAAGCACUCCUGUCCCAACUGUGGAUCCUUAGGAGUCACAUCUGCAUCUAAAAAGAAUAUAAGAAGGAAUGGUUUAGCAUUCCACAUUGCUCAAUAAGGUGUCUUACACAUAAAGGGGGUUAAUUUGGGAAUACUAAGGUUCAUGUGUAUACAAAAUAAACACUCUACUAGAAUUUAAUCAACCCAAACAUUUCAGUUUCUAUAGUUAUAACAAUUCAACAAUUUUCAACAAUUAAUAAAAUGCAUGUGGAUAUAUAACACACAGUCAUACAAUGCACUGUCAUUCUCGGGCUUUCACCGAAGUAUAUGCAUUCGUACCCAAGUAUACUUCCCAUUCAGAGUCUUCUCAGAAUAAAUUUUUCGGUCUUUCACCUAAGGAUUUCAUUCCCUUCUUAAUUUGUCUCUCAUGAGCCUUUACUUUUAACAUUAUUUUAUUUUUCUUUCUUUCCCAUUUCAUGCAACCUUACAACAAAUUUUUAUCUUUCUUUCGCACAACCAUGAUGUAUAUGGAAUGUAAUGAGAUUACUUAUCAUCAAUAAAAUUCUCACUAAUCCAAACAUCAAUAAAAUUACAAUUUAUCCCAAAAUUUCAUUUAUUCUCAACAAUCCCAAUAAUUUCAAAAACCAAAUACAAUUAUUUUCCACAAUUAAAUUACCAAAAACAUCCCAAUAAAUUCGCAAAAAUAAAUAAUAUAAAAACCAAUAUUAAUCCAUCAUAAUUUCUACCAUAAUUGUAUUUGUUCUCAAUAAUCCCAAUAUUUUUUUAAUAGCCAAAUAUAAUUAUUUUCCACAAUUAAUUUGCCAAAAAUAUCCCAAUAAAUUCUCAAAAAAAAAAAAAACCAAUAUCAAUCCAACAUAAUUUCUACCAUAAUUGUAUUUAUUCUCAAUAAUCCCAAAUUUUUUUAUAGCCAAACAUAAUUAUUUUCCACAAUUAAAUUACCAAAAAUAUCCUAAUAAAUUUUCAAAAAUCCAAAUAUCAAUAAAACAUCAUUUAUAUCACAAUUUCAUUUAUUCUCAAUAAUCCCAUUAAUUUUAAUAACUCAAAUACAAUCAUUUAACAACCAUAAAAAAAUUACUGUCAUCACAAAAUUUUCAAAAAAAAUCCUAAAUCAUCCAAUAAAAUUUCUCGUAUCACAAAUAUUACCUAUUUAACUCUUAACAACAAAAUUUAUAAUUUGUUUUUCAAGAAAAAAACAUUUAAUUAAAGUUUUAGGGUUAAAAUUCCUUACCAUAGAUCUAAUGAUCCAACUGUUGAAAACUAAAUCCCCCACCAUACAAAUGUUCCUCGUGUCGAGUAGGGUAUUUCUUUGAAAUUUCACGUGAAAUGGACGACGUUUGGCCAUCGAAAGAGCCGACCAAAGAGUUAUGAUUUUUUUUUUAUUAUUUUGUUCUCCAUUACAGUCGCUGAGACACUCCUAUGUAAGUUUUCCUCUUUUUCCCUUUUUUUUUUCUCUUCCAUUUUCUCUUUCUUCACCUUUUCCUUUUCUAUUUCAACGAGCCACUAAAUGUGGAGGCAGCCCAAGCCAAAAAUCCUAUAUAUAUAUAUAUAUAAUAUUACAUUAAUUGUUUUCUUUUCUUAAUUCACUUCAUUUUUUUUUCAUUUUUUACAACGCACAAAAUAAAUUAUCACACACUAUACAAAUAUUUUAAUCUUCUAAAUUUUAUUAUUAAUUAGUUAAAUUUAAUUUUUUUAAUUAAAUGGUUUUAAUUAUUUUCUUUCAUUCUAUUUUUUUUUAUUUAUUUGUUUUUAUUUUCAUUUUUCAUUUUUUGAAAAAUUUCAAUUUCUACGAUCUUAAGAAAUUUCAACUUGAAAUUCCAACAUAACCUAAAAUACUCGAUCAUUACAGUUUUCUCAAGCUAUGCAGCAGCUACCUAGGCCAAACCAGCCUGGUCCCAUUGCAUCUUCAUCACAACCAAUUCCCAUGCCAUACAUUUAGCAAAACAGAGCUCAUACCUUUAGCUUGCCAUAGCCAUUCUAAUGUUACCACUGACUUCAAACUCACCUUUCCACUACCCUUAACCUCUAAUCAAUGGUCCACUUUCUGUGGGGAAGCCCAAAGAGUUGAUGGUGAUGGUGUCAUGGGUUAUGAUUUUGAAAAAUGCACCACCACCAUUGUGUUGACGGCAACCCAGCUUCCUUGAAACAACAUAGGCACAUGGAGCCUUCAAUUUUCCAACAAGGAGGUUGUUCAUGCUUCCAUCACUUCCAUGAAACUAAAGUAUGCCAAAUUUGGUGGUAAAAGCCCAACCUUAGGUUGGUAGAGGUCAUUUAUUAUGAGAAACAUGAUCAGUGGAACAACUACUAAAAUUCGAUUGGUUAGAUGUCCCAAAUGUCGAAAGCUUCUUCCAAAGGUGACAAAAUUUCCUCUAAAUCAGUGUGAUGGAUGUGGCAUGUUUCUAAGAGCCAAAAAUCAUGGAAAAAACACCAAAACUACCCCUUCAGACUCGCAUGAAAUAGGUUAUGUUCAAAGGAAUGGGCUGGUGCAUGUUUCUGCAAAUGAAGAAUCUAGUAGCUCAAGUCAAGAGGCAAUUCCCUCUUCCCCAAGAAAAUAUUCUUUGAACAAAGAAAAUGGGAGGGAUGAUCUUGGGGAUUGUCGUACAGAGCAACCUGAAGUGAACUUCUCAAAUGGGGUUUCUUCAACAACAAAGCAGCCUGAAGAUGCAAACUUCUCAGAUAAAGUUCCUUCAUCAAUAAACCUCAUGAAUGAAGUUUCAUCACCCAUGGAGGAGCAACCUGAAGAUAUAAAAAUCUCAAAUGAAGGUUCAUCAUCCAAUGUGCGGCCUGAAGAUGUCAAUUCCUCGAAUGAAGUAUCUGCAUUGGUGGAGCAACCUAAAGAUCCAAUUUGAAGACAACAAUUGGUAAGGGCCAGAAAUACGAACCGAGUAUUUCCACACAUUAUGAUGAGAGGUCAAAUGUCGUAAUCUCUAAAUAGUCUACCAUUUAACCUACCACUGGCUCCUCUCCACCCCGGGCCCAUGCCUAUGUGUUUCCAUUAUGCAUGGCCACCCUCCAAUGCAAUCCCAAAGGGCACAUGUUCUCAUCUUUUUAACUCUUCACCCUUAUUUUCAAAAUAAAAUAAUAAUAAUAAUAAUAAUAAUAAUAAUCUAUCUUUCAAAUGGUUUUAAAUAUUUAAAUUUAUUUAUUUAUCUAAUUUAAUUUACUUAUUUAUUUUCAUUUAUUUUUAUCUUUUUUAUUAUUAUUAUUAUUCAUUUUAUUAUUUUAAUCUAUUUUAUGUUAUUUAUUUAUUUAUUUUCUCUCAUUCAUUAAAAUCUUUAAGUCACCAAAACCUAAUUUUUAUUAAACUUGUUGCCAUAUUUCAUUCAGGCAUGUAUUUUGUGAUUUUCUUUGGUUUUUAAUAAUUUUCAUGUUUUUCCCAAUUUUUAAUAAGUAUCAAUAUGAUUUUCAUAAUUUCAAAAUAAUGGAAUUUAUGAGAUUAAUUCAUGUAAAAUCAAUUGGGCCUUGGUGGGAGCCCAAUAUUCAUGAUACUCUCGACUUUAAUUGCAAUGCUAUUUGAGUGGUUAAUUAAUUGAUGUUGUCUUACUACAUGAAAUGCAUGUGACUAUUCUGUAAUUAUUCACUAACCCUGUUUCCAUGAUAGAACAUUAUUGAUUCGCUGCUUAAGUACACAUCCUAUUCUCUUUCACUUGCUUGAUCAUUUUUUCCGAUAUACACUCUCAUCAUGGUAAAUCUUUGAUCACCCUUUGUAUUCAUGAUUAAUCAAUCAAUUGUCAUACUUGCUUUGACUUAAUUAGUAGAGAUCUAAUUUUUAGGGCUUAGAGGGGUGCUAUGGUCUAUCAUCACACCUUCUCAAUAGGUAACCUGACCCCCAUACCCAGACUCUGGUUUUCUACAUACUAUUUUUUCUUCAGGGGUCACACUUAGGGUUUUCUUUCUUAUUUUGUUUUCCCUUAAAAAUAAAACAAAAAUAAGUGGCGACUCCAAGUCUUUUCUAAAAAAUAAUAUUUUUCACAAUAAAUGAAAAUCGAGUCUUGUCAUCGAGUGGGAACGCAUCGAGCAAAAUAUGGGAUCCACAAUAUCAAUAUGAUAAUUUUUUUUAAAUUAAUUUAAUUUUACUAAAAUUAAAAUUAAAAUAAUUCAUCUUAAAAUUAACUUCAAUAAUUAAAUAAUAAGAAUUAAGUUUUAUCAUACACACUCUUAAUUAAUAAAUGACAUAAUUUCUUUCGACAACUUUUUCAUUCUACUUUUAAAAAAUAAAUUAAAUUAAAUUUGAAUUAAAAAUUAAGGUGAUAUUUAUUUAUUUAUGUCUAAAUUUUAAAUAUACUUGAAUUUGACUUAAAUCUAAAUAUAGCUUAAUAUAAUUAAGUGUUUAGAUUUUUUUUUUAAUUAAUUAUUCUCUAAAUAUUAUUAAUUGUUAAAUUCUUUAUUUUGAUUAAUAUCAAAAUAUGUGAAGUGUUAAUUUAUUUAUUUAUGGUUAAAAACAUUUAUAAAAGUAAUUAUAUUUCUUCUUAUUUUAAUUUGAAAAGUUAUAAUUUAACAAGAUAGUAAUUUAAUUAACUCAUCUGAAAAAUAUUAUAAUACAUUGUCAAAGUAAAAAUUUUAUAUUGAUAAUUAUGUAAUUAGUAAAUCAUAUUAUUGUACAAUCCAUUGUUCCGUGUCAUAUAUUAUAGCAUAGUUGUGCAUACCCAUCAAUGCAUAGACAUAUAUCUUUUGAUAAUCUAUCAUGAAUGUCUCAUGAACUCUAAGUGAAGUAUGUAGCUAUUAUAGUAUAAAGAUGGCGUAGGAAGAGGCUCUAGGUUUACUAGUUCACACUCAACCAUAGCAAUAGGGAAUAUAUUACACAUUCAUCUAAAACAAAGGUAGAAAAGACCUUAGAAAUGGAACUUUUAGAUAACACCUAAGGGUGGCAAUGGGAUGAGUCUAAGAAAGAUCACCUCAAUCUCAAUCUUGUGUCAUUUUUUUAUAUUAAAUGAGGGUGAGAUAAGACAAAAUCAUAUUUUAACCUAUCUUGAAUUUGGUGUCUAAAAAAAUAAGCCUCAUUGUCAUUCUUAGGUACACAUCUAUACCAAUGAAAGUUUUUACAUCUAUUCAAAAAUUCAAUGUUCUCGAUGUUAAUUAACUUCACUAAACUACCUAUACUUGUAAAUCCAUUUGUUUAUGUCAGCAACUAGUUAUAAAUUAUCAUAUGAGCUUGCAUGGUGUUUUGUGUUCUUCUUAGUUCCUUUUCACCUUACUUCUCAUCAUAUUGGCUCCUUGUAGGACAAACUUGCAAUAAUUCAAUUUUUUUCCUUAUAGAUAUUAUUCAUUUUGGACUAAAUAAAACAAAUACCCCUUAUAUAUAGAUAGUAUAUGUUUUGGUCUAAUGAACUUGUGAGAUUGUUCAAUGUAGAUAUUGUUUACAAUAGUCCAACGAGUCAAGCUUUGCAAAGUCAAAUGUCUCUUGUGAGGCCAAAGAAACAAAGGCAAUUGGUUCUAGUCCAAUGAACCUAUAUGAUUGUUCUAUGUAGAUAUUGUCUACAAUGGUCUAAUGAAUAUGAGGGAUGGAUUUGCAACAACAAAUACCACUUAUGGGACCAAAUAAACAAAAGCUCAAGUUAGGAUUGAAUACCACACUAGCCUAAUAAAUCUUCACAUCUUUAAAAUGGGUGGUUCUUUGAUACCCAUUAUUUAUUUUGGGGGUAUCUACCCACAUUUAAUCCCACUAAUAAAAUGACAUAUAUAAAGUGUAUGAGAUUAUUAUUAUUAUUAUUUUAUUUUUUAUUUUUUUAAAAAUACUUAUCAAAUAGGUAGACAUUGAUGAGAAAUAAUCACAUGCAUCUCAUAUGUAUGUAAAUAUUACAAUUUUCUUUUUAUAAUUUAAGAUUAAAUAUCAAAUACAAUUUGUUAUUUGUUUAAAUACGUAAUCUAAAAUAACAAAAUCCUAUCAACUACUUUUGUAUUCUCAUUAUUUAAAUACCCAAAAGGAGAUAAUAAUUUAAUAUGAAAAUUAAAUAGAUUCAACUACUAUGUUGGAAAAUAUGUAGGAUGUGUUUUGGUAAAUUACAUUUGAAGAUAAAAUUUGAAAUUUCUUAAGGAAGGAAAACAAAAAAUUUGUAUUUCUUGAAGAAGAUAUUGUAUGGAGGAUUUCAAAUAAUUACAAGUGUUAAAGGUAAUAUUUGAUUCUUUUUUAUUUAAAUAUAAAUUUUGAAAGUAGAAAUGUCAUGUUAAAUAGCAUUUGAAUAUGUAAUGAUUUAUAGGAUUUGGAUUUUAGAAUUAGUUUAUUAUUAAUAAGAGCUAAUUUAGUCAUUUGCUAUUAAAUUGUUUUCAAUAUUUUUAUAUCAUUUUUUUAUGUUCAUAAUUAAAUUUGAAGGUCAAAUUUUAUAUGUUUUGAAAAAGGCAAACAAUAAAUUUUAUUUCUUGAAGAAGAUAUCAUAUGAAGGAUUUCAAGCGAUUACAAGUAUUAAAAAGGUAAUAUUUGAUUUUUUUUUUAAAUUUAAAUAUAAAUCUUGUAGGUAGAAAUGUCAUAUUAAAAUAAUAUUUGAAUAUGUAAUGAUUCAUAAGAUAUAGAUUUUUGGAUUUUUUUUUAGUAUGUUAUUGAUUAAAUUGUGAUAAUUUAGUAAUUUUUUAUCAAUUUGUUUCUUAAAAAAUUCAAUAUUUUUCUAUCAUCUUGUUUUAUUUUUGUGUUUAGGAAUCGUAAAGUAUUAUUCAUGACAUUUUUAAAUUUUAAAUCAUAUAUUUUCUAUAUAAAAAAAAAGUGAGAAAAGACAUAAAAUAAUGCAAAAAAAGAUAUGAAAUAUGUGAGAAAGGGUAUAAAUAAUGUGAGAUAAGGUAUAAAAAAUGUGAAAAAAAUGUAUGAAUAAUGUGAGAAAAUGGUAUGAACAAUGUGAUAAAAUGGUAUGAACAACAUGAAAAAAUAUACAAAUAAUAUGAGACAUGGUAUGAAUGAUGUGAGAGGGGUGAUUAGAGCCAAAAUGUGUGCUUUAAUGACACAUAUUCGAUAUGAUUUGUGCACCUAAGGACACUCAAAUCACCCAACUUGACCUAAAUCGAUGCUAAGGCCCUAGCCAUGAGUUUAACUUGUAUUUUGAAGAUUUAUCUCAGGUUCAAGGGAAGAAAAGGGUGCAAGUUGAAUCACUUCAGAUUUUGAAAGAUUAAGAAAAGAUUAAAUGAGGAAAUAAGUGAGUCAAGACUCAUGGACCAUGAGGAAAGGCAAGAAAUUUAGAAUAUGAGUUUAGAAUAUGAGAAAUUUAUGGAGUAAGAAAGAAGGCAAGAAAACAUGGAAAAUGAAGCAUGAAGCAAGAUUCAACUGCAUAGAAAUUUAGAACUCAAAAUCUAAUGGUAACAUAUACUCUGAAUUUGAGGACAAAUUUGGAGCACUUUUCGAAGUUCAUUUUAUACAUACUAUAUAUUAUUUCAAAGCUCAAGAAGUCAAGUGUCCAACACUUCAAAUAGUGUGGAAAUCAAGGUUGAAAUGAAGAAGUUAUGGCCAUUUGAAGACAACUGCACAAAGUUGAAGGGGCAUUUCGAAAUGAUUUCGAAAUUCAACUUAUGAAUUCGAAAUGACCCCAAUUUUGAAUUCAUCCACUAGCACUUUCAUGUUUCGCCUCCUCUACCUCAAGAAUUGCAUCUAGAGCACUGCAUCCACCCUAAGUGGGUCCCACACGACUAGAAAUCACUAUUUUAUUAUUUUUUUAGUCAUUUUUAGGUAAUUAUUUUGUAAUAAGUGGCUAAUGAGAAUGUGCCACAUGUUAGGUAAUUGAUGAUAUUAUGUAAACUCUCUUAGUUCUAGGUUGAAAAGAUCUUGGAUCUUUUUUCUGGAGAGUUUGACAUUAAAGGUGGAAGAAGACGAGAACUUUGGUUUGUUUCCUUUUUGUUCUUUAUUAAAUAUAUUGUUUUUAGUUUCUUUUGAUUCAAAUUAUGGAUUUUUACCCUAUUAUGGAUUGUAAAUGUGACAUCACCCCUAUAAGAGGCUAAGAAGCUAACUUGGGACUUGAAGCAUGAAAACCUAGGGGCUAGGAAACCUAUAGGGACCAUGGGUAAAUUAUUGUAACAAUGAGAUUAAUUAUUGGUUGGGUGAUAAUUUAUCAAUUUUUUUUUUAUAUCUUAUUCUUGUGAGUUAGUUUAGGGAACGAUAUGGUAGGUUAUUACCUGAUACUAGUAAUUCUUGGUAAUUCUUGAUCAUUAGUUAUCCUCGUCUUCCCUAUCGUUAUUUGCCCUAAAAUAAAGUUAUAAGGAGUAGGAAGAGUUAAAAAAGCCAAAUCUUAAAAUGAUAAUCAAUCUCAUUCAUUUUAUGGUUUUAGGAAUCUAUUUUAAAAACGAAAAAUUAGGUUUCAUAUGCAAUUUUGAGUUAUAGAACUCAAAUUGAUCGCGAGCGGCCAAGGAUCCUAAAACCCUAAGAUCAUAUUGCUUAAAAGACCCUUGUUUUCUCUAAUUUAUAUAUCCUAGGUUGGAUUGUGGAAAACCUUAAACUUGAAUCAAUUGAAUUUAAAAUCAAUAUUUGAUUCAUACCCAAUCGGGUGUUUAUCAAAACAUUUAUAAAACCUACAACACCUUAUACUAGGGUAGCAAAGACAAAACUACUAUAGUACAGUGGCUCUAGGAUUGUCCACAAGGAUGAGUUUUCUUUGUACACUUAACAUUAAUGAAAGGAGAAAUGGUGAUUUCCUUUUUGGAAGUUUGUUUUUAAAUGAAAAUAAGAUUGAUUGGAAGGGUUGAUUUUAAGUUAAGCAAAAAUAAACAACUGAAAUUUCUAUAAAGAGAAAGUCUCUUAGAGCUAUAGGUUACUAGGAUCAAGUUCCUGUUGCAAAGUGGGAAAUUUAGGAUCUUCUCCUCGCAUUGGGGAUAAUAACAUAAAGGAUGGUUAUCUCCUGAAUCGGAUUUGUAUUUAGCAAAUAAGUUUUGAUCCAAAGGAUUCUUGAAAAAUGGUAGUUGCUUCCCAUUAAUGGCUUCAAACACUAAAGACCCUCACCUUGAACCACCUUCCAAUGGCUCGUACUUGAUAACUAAUGGACAUCCAUGGAUCUAGCAAUAAGCAUCCAUAGAAUCCUAAAAGCUUACCAAGUAUUGGCCAUUCAAGGUGAUUCUAAGGGAUUAAAGCUGAAACUUGAAAUAUAAACCAUUAAUGAUACACAACUACCUUCAUUUAAAGCAAGGAAAACUCCCACCUUUGCAUCUGGAUCCUUUACCUAGCUUCCAUCACUCCAAGAAACGUGAAACUUAGCCACUCAUCCUUUGAAAAAUCAUCAUCAGAGGGUGUUUGGCUAGAGAGAAAGUGAAAAGAAAAUGAGAAGGAAAGGCAGAGAAACACUCGACUUUACAAAAUAUCUAAAACAUAAUAUCUAACAUAAUAUCUCUGAGAGGUUUUCCAACCCCUAUUAAUAGUUCCUAAACAAACCCUAAAGUCAUUUAUCUAUUACAAAAGGAGUAAAAAGGAAAAAUUACAAUUCUAGAGAAAAAAUCUUCGAAGGUCGAUGCGCAUAAAGUGAUUUUCGCACACCCUACGAAACUUUGGCACACCUUGCAAAAUUUUGGCAUACCUUGCCAAAACUUGGCACACCCUGCCAAAUUUUGGCAUACCCUGCCAAAUUGAUGAUUUUGCCUUGCGAAGUGCUUUGUUUUCCUCCAUCUUGCUACUGGUAGUUUUGGCAACCCCUUGCCAAGUUUGGCAAGGGGUUUUGAAGUGCUCCAAAGCUCGGACUCUUCAUGUGUUCCAAACUCUCCCUCAAUCUUGGCCUGUUUCAGUGAUCAAAAAGCUACCAAAGACAAUAAAACUUACCCAAAUUUGGUUAAUAACAUUUGCUAGGUCCUUAACAUGCCAAUUGGGAUAAAAGGUCUAACUACUACUCAAAAUUGCUUAAUACAAUUAAGUUUAAUCUUAUAAAAAUGCACUUUUUGAGUAGUAAUCAAUAUUCAUUUUGUUAUUAAUUUUAUUUCUUUUACUUAGUAUCACAUUAUUCACAUAUUGUUUUUCACUUUAGGAUUUAAAUAAAAGAAAUUCAUUUAUUCUAAUAUUGACAAUUUCCAUAAGCUAGUUCUUGAGGAUGAUACCCGAAGUACUACAAAAGCCGUAGUGAUUCUUUCUCUAGUUUGUCUUGACUAGAGCUACUAUGUAAAAAGGCUAAGUAUUUUGGUACAACAGAGAAGUUCGGUCAAGGGGAUACAAAUAAUGUGAGGAAAUGUAUGGACAAUAUGAGAAAUGGUACAAAUAAUAUGAGGAAAGGUACAAACAAUGUGAGAAAUGGUAUGAAAAAUGUAAGACAUGGUAUGAACAAUGUAAGAUAGGGUACAAAUAAUGUGAGAUAAAGUACGAAGAAUGUGAGAAAUUGUACGAAAAAUGUGGAAUAAAAAAGGUACGAACAAUGUGAGAAAUUGUGUGAACAAUGCAAGACAUGGUAUAAAUAAUGUGACAGAGUGGGUAUGAAAAAUUUGAAAUAGGAUACGAACAAUAUAAGGAAUGGUACAAACAACAUGAGAAAGGAUAUAAAGAAUAUGAGGAAUGAUAUGAAGAAUGUAAGACAUAGUAUGAAGAAUGUGAGAAAGGGUACAAACAAUGUAAGAAAGAAUAAAAAGAAUGUGAGACAAGGUACAAAUUGUAAGGAAACCUAGAUCACUCUAUUCCAUAUCCUAUAACUAGGUUAGAUGCGUACAAAAAAAUUUCUAAGCUUUUGUAAAUCAUAUGCAUAACAAAAAAAAACAUUUGAAAACUUUAACAAGAUUUUAAAACCAAAAGAGAAAAACUUUACUUUGAUUUGGAUAUUCUCAAAUCAAAUCCAUGUGGUGAAGUUAAAGGCUAAAGUAUCUAGAGGUCUCAAUGAAUCAAACACGAUCUUUGCACCCCAAAGGUGGGGUUUUUUUUUUUGUUUAAGAGGAUAGGCUAUUGCCAUCUACAAACUGGAUGAUAGAAUACAACUAUCUUAAAAACCCUAACCCUUAAGAAGGUAUUUAUAAGGUUCCCUAAUUAGGCUUAAGUGACUUAAGCUUACCAUGGACAUAGGUCACUUAAUUUGACUCAAAAUCGGUCCUAAUCAAUUAAUUGCAUGGCCCUAUUAGGUUAAUUGAUUAAUUAACCUAAUAGGGCCAUGUAAUUAAUCAAUUAACCUAAUUCAGAGGUUUUGUUCACUUAACUUCGUGUAACCUUACGUAAUUACCAAAGCACUCUUAUGCACAAAAUGUUAAUUAAGAGUUAAUCUAACUCUCAUGAACCAUGCCAUUAAGGCAUAUAAACUCGAGUGGGGACAACUAAGACCUAUAGGAUAAUAUUGACUCUUUCAUAAUCCAAUUUUUAAGUUAACUCAACAUUCCACUAUAGAAAAUUAAUUGCACCCCAUUAUCCUAUAUAUAAUGCAAUGAGACACCAAGUGCUAUGGAUUGUGACCCAUUAUCCACUAUAUAUAGUCUUCUCAUAAACUGGCUGGUCGUUCGUAGUUUAACAAGGUAAAAGAUAUCAUCAUUUUAAGAAUACCUUUCAAAUCCUUGAGUUACAUAUGAUCAAACGACUUGCUCUACCUCACUAAGAGCAUACGUCAAAUUCCAUUAAAGAAAUUACUACGUGCCCACAAAUUUUACGAUCACACAUCUUUAGGAUCACCCAAUGGAACACACUCUCUUAAAGUCCAUGAGAUAUCAUGGUGCCUCUAAUGAGAAUACCAAUUGUUAUUGGCUUCCAUCAACAGUGAUUCAAUCCAUAGUAAAUAUAUAUAUGAUCAACUUACGAUCUCAUACUAGGUCAAAGCCUCUACGAACUUUAACAUAAGUUCAACAUUCUAUUAAGGUUGAGAGACAAUACAGUAUAACAGCUUGGUGAAGUCAUGACUACAUGAUAGUCUUAAGUCAUGACUCACCAUAGGUCCUAUUCAAUAUUGUGCAAACUUACACACUAGUGCACUCACCAUGGGAACCCCAUCCCAAUGGCCAAGACCAAUCAUUCCUCCUAUUAAAAGGUAGCGCACUACAACUUCUAAUGGAUUACCUAGGCCCAUGAACUAGCUAUGAACAAGUAAUUUAUUUGUAAGGAACCCAUGACUUGGAUCUUCUAUGCAACUCCUAAUGCACUUAAGGCACGUUUAAUGCAAGAGAUGCAAACCUAAAUGCUUAUAAGGUAUAGCGUAUGAAAUGAAGAUAGAUAAAAGUGACUGGUAAUUUAUUAAUAAAUAAUAAAACUCAAAAGUUUAUUACAUCAUGUGAUGCUUUUAAAGAUUUUAUCAUAAGUCGAACAAUGUGAGACAUGGUACGAACAAUGUAAGAGAGUACAAAUAAUAUAAGAAAUGGUACAAACAAUGUUAGAAAAAAGUAUGAACAAUAUGAGACAAGAUAUGAAAAAUAUGAGGGAGGGUAUGAACAAUGUGAAGGAAGGUACAAACAAUGUGAGAGAGUAGGUAUGAAGAAUGCGAGGAAUAAUACAAAGAAUGUGAUGAAUGAUACGAAGAAUGUGAGACAAGGUAAGAAGAAUGUGGGAAAGCAUACGAACAAUAUGAGAAAGUGCACAAACAAUGUGAGAGAUGAUACGAACAAUAUAAGACAAUGUACAAAACUAUGUGAGAAAGAGUACGAAAGAAAUGGUAUGAAAAAAUAUGGAGAGUAUAAAGAAUAUGGGAUAUUAUACAAAUAAUGUGAGAAAAUGUAUGAUAAAUAUGAGACAUAGUAUGAAUAAUGUGAGAAAUGGCACGAACUAUGUGAGAUAAGCUAUGAAGAAUGUGAGAAAUGGUACAAAUAAUGUGAGAAAUGAUAUUCUUCAUACCAUUUUUCACAUUGUUUAUAUCCUCACUCAUGUACUUUUGUACAUUUUCUCACAUUCUUCAUACAUUGUCUCACAUACAAUAGAUAUUGUUUUAUAAUCCCUAAAUACAAAAAAUUAAAAAAAAAUGAUAUAAAAAUAGUGAAUUUUUUAAAAACCAAAUUGAUAACAAGUAUGGCUAAAUAAUGUACUUCUCUAGCUACUAUUUCUUUUUUUCUUUUAGUUUCUUCAUGGAUAUGAUGGACAAAGGCAAAGGAAAGAAAUUCAUCAUUGAUUUGAAUAAUGAAGACUUUGAUUAGUAAUAUGAUAGUAAUGCAAAAACCGAGUUUGACGAAAAACCCAUGCUAGUUUAAGAGAAUAUUUUGAAUGGUUUAAGACUUGAAGAUGUAUGGGAAAUGGAGUUCAGCUCAAUAGAUGAGGUAGAAGAAUUUUACAAUUUAUACGCUAAAGUUAAUGAAUUCGAUGUUAGAAAGAAUGAUGUUAAACGAGGUAAGAAUUAAAAUAUAGCAUCUCAUAAGUGGGUUUGCUCAAAAGAAGGAUAAAGACAAAUAGAGUGUUUGGAGAAUGAAAUCGAAAAUGAGAACAUAAGACAAUAACUAGAGUUGGUUGUGAGACAUCACUUUGUAUCGGGUUUAACAAACAAAUAAAUAAGUGCAUUAUGAAGGAGUUUAUGGUUGAUCAUAAUCAUCAUUUGGUGGAACCAAAAAUACCCAAUUCCUUCAAUCCCAAAGGGCCAUGAGGAAUGCAUAUAAAGGCUUAUUGAGCACAAUGCGUAGUAUUGGCAUGAGAACUAGACAAAUUAUGGAUUACAUAGUGUAACAAUCAGGUGGAUAUAUUAAUGUUGGCUUCACAAAAAAAGAUCUAUAUAACCAUGUUAAUGUUGAUUGUAGAGUUCAAAUAAGAAAUGGUGAUACAAAGGGUACUCUUUCUUACUUGAGUGGAAAGGCUUAAAUGGAUACAUCAUUUUAUUACAAGUACAAUGUUGAUAAAGACAAUCACCUAGCAAAUUUGUUUUGGGCAAAUUCUACAAGCAGACUGGAUUACACUUAUUUUGGAGAUGUGUUAGCUUUUAAUAGAACUUAUCAGACUAAUGCUAAUAGAAAAUUGUUGGUCAUACUAGUUGACAUUAACCAUCAUUGUCAAACUAUAGUGUUUAGAUGUGCAUUAUUGGUAAAUGAAAGUCUUUACACUUAUACAUGGAUUUUGGAGACAUUUUUGGAUGCAAUGAAUAACAAGAAGCUUUUUUUCAUUAUUAUAGUUUAUGACAAAGCAAUGCAUCAAGCCAUUAAGAGAAUAUUUCUAGAGUAUUAUCAUUGGUUAUGUGCUUAGCAUAUUCAACGCAAGACAUUCACUAAUGCCUAUGUCAAAGAUUUUACUUAUCAUUUUUCUAGGUACAUGUUCAUGGAAGGCACCAUUAAAGAAUUUGAAUGUGCACGGAGUGGCAUGGUGGAAAUAUGUAAUCUCCACGAGCAUAAUUGGGUGAUAGACAUAUAUGCUAAGUGUUCUAGAUAUGUAAAGGCUUAUUUAAAGGUGCAUUUUUUUGUAGGUAUGAAAGCACUCAAAUGUGUAAAAGGAUGAAUGCAUACUUGAAUCGUUUCCUUAAAAAUCAUUUGAAGUUGUUUGAGUUUUUGAAGUAUUUUGAUUGAGCACUCUCAUGUAUUCUUCAUAAUGAGGUAAAGACAAAGUUUGAGACACACGCUUCUUUACUUGUUCUAAAUACCAAACUCUAUGAAAUUGAGAAACAUGUAGAGAUUGUUUUCACUAGGCAAUUGUUUCUCAAAUUUAGGGAUGAGAUAAAGAAUGCAAAACUUUUUUUUCCUUAUUAGUGCAAAAAAUCAUGGAGGUUAUCGUGUCCAUACAUUGAUUGAAUUUAGAAGCUCUGACAAUUUCUUGAAAGUAUUUUAUGGUAAUUGUGAUUAGUUUAUGAAAUGUACUUGUAUGAUGUUUAAGUUAGUUAGUUUUCCAUAUCCCCACAUGAUUGUUGUGAUGAAGAUAGAUCACCUUGAAGAAAUAACUGAGAGUUGUAUCAUGAAAAGGUGGUCUAAGUUAGCAAAAGAAGGGGUUCAAGUUUACCAUGACAAUGAAAGUCAAAAGAUAUGGCUAACAUUAUACAAUAUGGUGUACUCGGCUCCAUGUGUUUACGAAUGUCUUAUUUUGCAUUUCAAUAGAAAAAAACUUUUAAAAAUGUUAGAUGUGAAAUUUAAAGACUCACUUGUCAAAUGGAAGAACUUAGUAAAAAUUCAUUCAAAAGGUUUAUGGGAAAUUUUGAAAGCUACAAAACACCAUGUUCAGGAUCUUGACAUUAUGAAGACCAAAAGUAAUCUAGGUACCUUAAGAGACAAAUUCCAAAAACCAAGGUGUUGUGGAAAAUGUAAGAAAAUAGGACACAUCAUUUUAAAAUGUUCAGUGUUCGUUAACAGUCACAAUGCACCCAUCCACAUUGAAGAUUUCAAUGAGGAAAUGGUAUGGUCAAACUCUUCAUUGAAUUCACUUUUAUAAUUAUUUUCACUUGGUUAAAUUGAUUGAAAAAAAAUUGAAUUAGUUUAUGUUAAUAUAUCACAACAUAGAACAUGGAACAAGACAUAAGACAAAUGAGUUUUAUCAAAAUGUAAGUUUAACAUUUUUUUAAUAAUUUUAAUUAUGACAUGCAAAAUAUUUUUUAUGAGAGUAAUUGAAAAAUUAAAUCAUCAUAGAGAACAGUUGAAACAUUCCACAAUGGUCUAGAAACAAACUUGUAUGAUUCAUGGCUUAGAUCCACCAAAUUACUUCACAAACCAAGAGUCGUAGAGUAACUUGCCUACAACAUAUUUCAUUUAUCUAUAUAUUGGGUGAAUUUCCUAAGCAUUUAAUAUCUAGUCAUAUGAAUUUCCUUUCAAAAUAUUAUGCAUAACUAUAAAUAUUUUCAAUGUAGGUUACCAUAAACCACUUCACAUCUAGAUUUUCGGGUUUGAGUUCUUCGUAUUAGAAUCAAUGAGUAAACUAGCUAUGAUGCAAAAAAACAACUAUUGCAUUUGUUCAUCAUACAAACAAAAAACAACUCUUGAUUAUAUCCCAUACUUUUCUUCUCUUACUUUUUUGCAUGAAUGUGAACUUUAUUUAGUAUUAUGACUUUCUCUCUAUUUUCAUCACCAAGCACUAUUUAAUUGCUAACUUGUGUCCAGUAAGUAUAGACUCUCAAUGGAUAGGGGUUGAAUUUGACUCUAUGUACUUCGAUCUUUGCAUAUGAUUGAUGACAUGCACUCUACAACCCCACCUAGCAUAGAAAAUGAGAAAGAAAAUUGUCUAAUUAAUAAAUAGAAAUAUUAUUUAGAACACGUUAUAUUUGAUAAAAUGGCUAUGCUUGCUUACCCAUUGUCUUGCUCAUGUACCCAAGUAGGCCUUUCAAUGAGCAAACUUGAUAAAUCCUUGUCAUGCCCAUUAGGAUUAAAAAAAUGAGUACACUCUUUGACCUAAUUCAUAUCAUUAUAUCUUUUUAUAAAAUAACAUGAUAAGUUAACAAUUGACACUAAAAAAAUAAUAAAAUUAAUUAAAAUAUAAGAUAUGUCAUUGUUUUCACAGAUGUAGUUCUCAUAUGGUUCCUUUCUCUUGAUGGCAAUGAGUAUAAAAUAUAAAUAUUGCGUUAUUCAAGAUUUAUUACUCACAAAUGCUAAUGAUUUGGACAUGUAUCAUGCAACAAAAUGUAUAUAUAAGCAAAACACACAUUUUAGAAUUGAUAAUUAUUUAUAAGUAUGAUCUGAAUACGAUUUUCAUAAAUAUGCUUUAUCACAAUCCUCCAUUUCAUUUAUCUAUUUGAUUAUGUGUAUAUUUUACUAGACCUUGACAAUUUUCUACCACUAUGCAAAAUCAUUUGCUUACAAAAAAAUCACAAUACUUAUUAGGUUACAUUUUUUACUUUAAUAAGAAAUAUAAUAUGAACAUACCGUAAAUGUAGUGGGUAGGUAGCAUCUCGUAGAUCGUAUUUAUUUGAAUUUCAUUUCAAAAUUUUUAAGUUUGCAUACAAAUAAAUUUAUGAUCUAAAAAAGAAACAAAAGAUAGUUAACAACAUUAGUUAUUUAACAAAAUUAAUAAGAAGUUGGUUUAUUCUUGUAGUUUUUACCACAUCUAGUAAUUCUUGUCUAGGUUCUAAAAUCAUGAAAUCAUUUUUAUGUGCAUGCUCAUAUUGAAAAUUAAAACGAAGUUCACUGCAAAAUUUAGGUAUUUAAUAAGUAUAACUUUCAUAAGAUGACUUGCAUAAAGUAUAUUCAAAAUAAUGAGUUUACAAGCCUUUUGUCUAAUGAAACAUCAAACACAUAAUACACAAUUAGAGAGUCAAGUAUACUUAAGGAAUGUGAAUCCUCCACAUUUAGCAAAAUGGACAUGGGCAUUGUAUAUAUUCAAAACAUUUCUAAUAAGCAUUAGUUAUUGUUCACUAUAUUAUUAAAUAUUUAAACAAAACAACAUCAAUGAAGUAAUUCACUAUAUUUUUUGAUCCAACAAUCAUGCUUUGGAAUUUCUUAGACAUUUUUAUCUUAAUUGAUUGAUGAAUGUAGGGUGACAACUUGGAUGUACUAGGCUUGUGCUCCAUUGUUGUAUGUGUUUUUCAACACAUGAAACAUCAACAAGAACUUAUCAUGUUCAUCAAUUUUAUAUUGAAUGUUCAUGAUGGAAGAAAUAUGUAACUAUGCCACCACAUGAGUCAUUUUCAUUCAAAUUUUCUUCUAGCACAACAUUACUCAUAGGAAGAAGCAAAUGUUUCAAUUCCAUAUAUAUUUUUUAAUUGCUAAAAGCUUAUUCUUUGCAUCUUUCAUCCAUAAGAGGAACAUUUGUUUGUAGGAUAUAUUUUUUCAAUUUCUCAAAAGUCUUCUCCAUACUUACCAAAAUUUCUUCAACCUAGUGACAAAAAAAUGUAAAAUAUUAGAACAAAAAAAAAGUUUGGGAUAUGGAACCUCAUGCACAUAAAUAUAGUAUAAAUAUGUACCUUGUUGUCACGAACUUAGUCUUUUCCUAAGCUCGUGCGACACUUAGAUAGGUUAAGACACUUGAUCUUGCUAAGUCAGUCUUACUCUUGAUGCUUAGCUUGCUAGGCUAAAAUGCUCACGACUUGGAAGCUUUAGAAGGCAUAUUAUGCAACUCUUGAAGAAUGGAAGCUUUUAUUGCUCAAAGGAAGCUUUACAAGUGCUUUGGAACUCACUUGCUUAGUGCUUUGGCCAAAUGAGGCUCUCACCUAUUUAUAGGCACCAAUGGAACUCUCUAGAACCUUGAAGGGUUCCUUACAAAUCAGGAAUAUUCUAGAACACCCUACACAAUUCUAUGUACAAGCCUAUGUAUAAGAAUAUACAAGGAAUAUCUAGAAUUCUCUAGAAAGCCUUAAACUUCUCUCAUGCUUUCCACCAUAGUGUAGAGAUGUAUGGACAUCUCUAGGCAUCUCUAGAACCUUCCACACUCUUCCCACCAAUGGCUAAGUGUAGGAGUCUCCAUAAGCCUCUUGGGCUCUAUAUAAACCCCUAGGGAGGUUGUGGACCCCAUAUUUCGGCUCAUGCGCUUCCACUCGAUGGCGAGCUUGCUUUUUAUUUGAAAAUUUGAUUUUAUUUAUUAGAAAAUGACUUGGAGUCACCACUUAUUUUUGUUUUAUUUUUAAAGGGUAAACAAAAUAAGAAAGAAAAACCCUGAGUGUGACUCAUUAUUUGGAAAAGGUGGUCUGUGAAAACCAAAAAUGGGCUCGGGGGUCAGGUUACUUAUCGAGAAGGUACGGCAAAGACCGUAGCACUCCUCUAAGUCCCUAAAAACGGGUCUCUACUAAUAAAAUGAAGCAAGUAUGGCGAUUGAUAAGCAAAUCAAUGGAUACCGAAUGAAAAUCAAAACAAAAUACUAGAAUGAAUAUGAGAGCCAAAGAACGUACCUGAGUGAUGACCUAAUUUAUUUCAUGGGAAGCAAAGGUUAGUAAACAAAUAUGGAAUAAUCAUGUGCAUAUCAUAGAAUAGAAUAAAUCAAUCACGCAUGGCAAUCAAAUCAACCAAUCAAUCAAUCAGUCAUAAAAUCACGUAUAUGGGGUCCCCACUAAAGCCCAAUUUAUUUUGCAUGAAUCAAUUCCAAUAACUCCAUUAUUCACAAUUACGAAAUUUAAUUCUUUCUUAUUUUAAAAAAUUUUUAAAAUCAUGGAAGUUAUGAAAAUUACUUGUCAGAAGAAAAAGUGGUGGCAAAAUUUUAUUGAAAAAUAGGUUUUUGGAACUUAAAAAUUCUAAGGAUGAAGAAAAACUUAGAGUUUAAAGACUAAAACCUGAAAAUUUAUUUGAAGAAAAGGAUUUGAAAAAUUAUUUUUAAAAAGUUAAAGAUAGUAAAAUGGAAAAAAAAAAAACACUUGUGUCAAAGAUGGCCAUGCAAAAAGUGUGGUCUCUUAUAGCUUCUCUUCCCUGUAGCAAACCCAUCUUCAAAAGUCAUCAUUCCAUCUUUUAGAUUUAUUUUUAGGUGGUCCGAUUGAACUGCUUAUUAGGAGAUGCAAGUGCGAUCAACUCCAUUUGAGUGGCAUUUGGCAAAGUCCUCAUGAGCUUUCAAUGCCAAGUCAUCAUCUUCCCAUUCAUCAUGGAAUGCGUGUGGACGGACAAAAUAAUUCUUUUUGGUUGCAUAAUAUAUUUCCUUUCUCCAUUCUUCGACACCUGGAAUCCUACACUUGCUAGCAAAUCAGUCCAUGUAUUCUAUCCGACAAUGACCAAUGCCACGUGUGUACCACUUAGGUGUGCCUGAAGCCUCAAGCAACAAGUACUAUGCCUCAACAUCUCUCAUCAUCUCCUCUUCCGAUGGGAGUCCAAUCCUACUAGAUAGAACCCCUGCUAUCCAUUUGCUUUGAAAUUCAUACAAGAUGAAGCCAAUACCCAUCAAUGGUAACCCAAUAAAGGAAAGCCAAGCUACUAAAGCCGGUGGAAAAGUGUGCUUGUAUAGUGGUCCAACACAAUUGUCUUCCAUAGUGAUAAUGUCAUUAGUGUCAAGAAAAGGGAAAUGAUACUUGUAUCCUGUGCAAUGCAGAAUAACAUCGGCAAAAAACCACACUCCCAUCAUUAAAUAUCAUAAAGCCGUCCCUGUGGAUGCUUUCUAUCUUUACCAUAGGAUGCAGCUUCAAAUUAUCAUAGCUAGACAUGUUUCCCAAGACUCCAACCUUGGCUGAUCUAGAUGCAAUGUGAACUUCUUUGGCAACUUGAGUAAUGUCCAUAAAGAUAUCAAGAUCACUUGAACCAACCCCUAUCAAAAUUACAACUAGAUCUCGAAAGGGGUCAGGAAUACGAUAAUUAUGGCUGUGCAUUUACUUCCCCGACCAUGCAUCAAUCCCCAAAAUUUCGGCAGUACGAGGCUUUGUGUUAUGCCCAUUGCAAACAACCACUACAUAAAAAGUCUCAUCAGCUAUCACACCAUUUUCCAUUCUAGACCUAACUCUCCACUUUCCAUUAACCAACCCAGCAUAAACCACAUUUGUCUCAAAGCGGACUAACUUAGUGAGCCCAAACGUAGUGGCAUAAUCAUUGAUAUAAAGAAAUACCUCUCGAUGACCUGGAAACCUGCUGGAGUCGUUGUAAGCUUGACCCUUAGAUAUGAAAGGGUAGUCUUGAAACCCUAUAGUCUCACUCCUCAUUACGACUUCGUAUCCAAGAAAGUCAAAACACCAAGAGUAGAGAGAAAUUAGCAAAAACAGAGCAAUGAAGGAAGAAAAUAGGAUGAAGUAUUAAGAGUUAUAGUUCAUCUCUUAGUUAGUGGGCUUGCAGAUGGGUGAAUUAAAAGGUUUUUUUUUUAUUAUUUAAAAUGUCACAGAGAAGGUAAAAUGGCAUUAAAUCAAAUUUCGAGCACAAACAGGAGCAACAGAGGGGCUAGCAACUAUGAAGAAUAAAACAUAAAUCAUCCAAAAGUCAAUAGCAGCGCAUCUCAAUAAUAGUGGAUGAAGAGAAAAAGCAAGAAGAAAAAAAAAACACAGUAGAAAACUCACUUCCGAGAAAAUGUUGGAGGCCUUUAUACUUUGCAAUCCAAGACUCCCUUGUUUGCUCCCCAAGCUCAAAGAACACAUGUCCAAAAAUCUCUCUCUGUCUAAAACAAAAAUGUCUCUCAAGCCUCAAAUAACACCCCCCCUCUCCAGCAAAACUUGUAUCUCCAGCUAAAAAAAAAAAAAAAAAAACCUCACCAUCCCCAGCAAAUAUCUCCCAAAAAGAGCAACCUAAAAGCACCUCCUCUCUCCACUCUCUGUAACUAUUUCCAAAAGAAAAACCUCUCUCUCCCUCUAACCCCCUAGAGCAAAACUUGUCUCUCUUUAAAAAUCUCCUCCCUUUGUAAUCAAAACUUUCUCUAAGCUUCACCCUAAAGCUCACUCUCUUCUUCUUCUGUACAGGUUGCCUUCCAUGGAUUUCUCACUUAGAACCCUCCCCCUUAGCUUGCUGCCUAAAUAACUCCCUCUCUCUACAGUUGGCUCUCCAAGCUAACCCCCUACAAAAACAUCUCCUCUUAAAAAAUAACCGAAGACGCUCAUUCCUAAAGCUUUCUACAGCUCAAAAAUAUCUCUUCCUCUUUUUGUAAAACUUUCUUUCCCCUGGCUCCCUCUCUAUUGUUUUUUUUUCUCAAGCUAACCCUCUCUCCUAAAAAUAUCUACCCUAAAAACAGCUAUGAAGACCUCCCUUCUCUCUUCCAGAUGACACUCCUCCUAACGAAAAACCUCUUUUCGAAUCUCCCUUUACAGGUGUCAACCUUCUAUUGGCUCCUCAAAAAGCACAUCUGAUUCCCUAGCAGCCAAUCAGGAGGCAACACAUGGCUCUUUGAGAGCUCUCCACCUGACAAAAGCUAGUUGUAGGAAUACCUCCCAAAAUGGGGGUCUACAAAUAUGCCCCUCUUCGGUAGAGCUCACGAGUGUAAGGAAUAUGAACACUGGAGUGAAACAGUGUGAAUAGUGAGUGGAAUAAAGUGAACUCUACCAAAGAAGCAAGGAGACCCCCAAAGGGACAUUGGUAAAACACAGACUCACUCAGACCAACAGACGAACACAAAGACUCUAAUCUUAAAAGAAAAAGAUGUCUCAAAGUGCCUCUGAAGUCGCACUAAGGACCCAGGCUCCCUCUAAGACAUCUCCAAAAGUGACUCGAAAGACCAUAUCAAAGAUGAGUAACGGUCGAACCACUCUAAAGUACAGAAAAGACUACACCCAAAUGAGACUGCCCUAUAUGAACUACAUAAGAAUGUCAAUUGUAGGGUGCCCAACAACAUGACCGAAGUAUGUGUCAUGAACUCAAAGGACUUUGUCAUGAGUAGUGGAAAGGGAAGUCUAAAAGAGCAUGAUAAGCAAAUAAUAAGCAUCAGGUGACCAAGUGAAGAGAAUGACUCUGAAUACCCAAAAUAGAGAAACAAUGGUGACUCAAAAUGUCUGGAUAAGUAUGCACAAUUGCUUUGAACGCCAAAACCGAAGACGUGACUCUGAAUGUCAUACUAAACAAAGACCCUGGACGUCAAACUGAACUGAUAGGAAGAAUGAAUGACCGAUUAAUAUGGGUGCGGUCCUGACUCAAACUAAACUCAAACUGAUAGGAAAAUGGUCGAUCUAUAUAGGUGCGGCCCCGAAAUUCUAAUUGAAACUGACAAAACGAUGAAUGACUGAUCGAUAUAGGUGCGGUCCCGAAAAACUCAAACUGACAUAGAAAUGAUAGGAAGAUGGCUGAUUGAUAUAGGUGCGGCCCCGACUCAAAUUGAACACGGAAGAUGAUCAAUCGAUAUAGGUACAGUCCUGAAAAGCUCAAAAUGACAUGGAAAUGAGAGGAAAAUGGCUGAUCAAUAUGGAUGCAGCCCCGAAAACUCAAUCUGUCAUGAAAAAUGACUGAUCAAUAUAGGUGUAGUCUUGAAAAACUCAAACUGAUAGGGAAACAUUAGGAAGAUGGCUGAUUGAUAUAGGUGCGACCCCGAAAAACUCAAACUGUCACGAAAAAUGACCGAUGGAUAUAGGCGCGUCCCGAAAAACUCAAACUAAUAUGGAAAUGAUAAGAAGAUGGCCGAUCGAUAAAAGUGCAGCCCUGAAAAACUCAAACUGACAUGGAAAUGAUAGGAAAAUGGUUGAUUGAUACGGGUGUGGCCCUGAAAACUCAAACUGUCACGAAAAUCACUGAUCGAUAUAGGUGCGGUCCUGAAAAACUCAAACUGACACGGAAAAUGAUUGAUCGAUAUAGGUGCGACCCCGACUCAAACUAAACACAUAAGAUGUGGUGACCGAUCGAUAUAGUUGCGGCCCCAACUCAAACUAAACACAGAAGAUGUGGUGACCGAUUGAUAUAGGUGCGGUCCCGACUCAAGCUGAACACAAACUAAUAGGAAGAUGGUUGAUCGAUAUAGGUGCGACCUCAACUCAAACUGAACACAAACUGAUAGGAAUAUGGCCGAUCAAUAUAGGUACGACCUCGAAAACUCAAAUUGACAUGAAAAAUGAUCGAUCGAUAUAGGUGCGAUCCCGACUCAAACUGAUAGACAUAUGGCCGAUCAAUAUAGGUGCAGCCCCGAAAACUCAAACUGACACGAAAAAUGACUGAUCGAUAUAGGUGCGGCCCCGACUCAAACUAAACACAAACUAAUAGGAAUAUAACCGAUCAAUAUAGGUGCGGCCUCGAAAAACUCAAACUGACACAAAAAAAUGACGAUAUAGGUGUGGCUCCAACUCAAACUGAUAGGAAUAUGAUCGAUCAAUAUAGGUGCGGCCCCCAAAAACUCAAACUGACAUGAAUAAUGAUCUGAUCAAGUAGCCCAAAGCCAGAGGAUACUAAGAUGACGAUGCAAGCAAACUCCAUUGGAGGGGAUAUACCCCGGUAUGACAACUCAUGAAGAUCGACAACUAGGUCAAAAGAUAAAGAAGCAUGUGAAAGGUUCGACGAUCUUAAAGAAUGAGGGUAUGCCCCAAUAUGUGAUUCACGGGGGUCAACAAUUAGAUCAAAAGGCGAAUAAAGCCUAUGGAAGGUCCGAUGAUCCCAAGUAAGAAGGGUAUGCUUCAGUAUGUGACUUGCGGGGGUCAACAACUAGAUCAAAAGGUGAAUGAAGCCUAUGGAAGGUUCGAUGAUCCCGGGUAAGGAGCGUAUGCCCUAGUAUGCAAUAAUGAACAAACAUAAAUGCAAAAUGCCUCCAAACUACUGUACUUUGAAAUAUGCUCAUCUAUCAUGUAAUGAAAAUGUCCAACCUCAGAUAAGUAAUGCCAAACAGGACCAUGUAUCGUGACACCAUGAUGACAAAACAAAACUAGCUGGUGAAUAACAACAAUAAUGGUUAGUGCUCAAAAUGCAAAGAGUAAACAAAUCAACACUCAACAUGCUAACUGUCAAAGUGAAAACAUCGUCACUAAUAAAUCAACAAUCUGUCAUGCCCUGCCAUCAUGGAAGAUGUUGAACCUAAAGUCUGAAAGAUGUAUGAAAACACAACCAAAGUGAUCGAGGACUGAUCUACGCCUCAUCCAAAUCGAGAUAGGGGUGAAGUUAGGUGUUACGGUGGGAUAUGUAGGAUAAAAGAAAGUGAUGAUCAGGCUCUGGUAUGAUAGAAGCAUGAAAGUAUCCAAAUUGAAAUGUCUAAGUACGAAAUAAAAGGUUGUAAGUAUCUGAGAUCAUCCAAGUAUGUCGAGAAGACUAAACCCAAGGUGUCAAUAACUCUAUAAUCUAUCAGAAGUAAUAAUCAUAAACAGAAAGUCAAGUCUUGAUAUCAAAACAUCCGACUAGAUGGCUAUGCUCCAAUAUGCAAUGAGGACAACAUGAAACAAUCCAAUGAUCUCCACAUCAUCUGGUAGAUGCUCCAAUGUAAAGAACUAAUCGAAUAUUCCUCCAAAAGAUGGACAUGCCCUAAUGUAAAGGAUCCAAUAGGGUGGCUAUGCUCCAAUGAAAAAUACUCUCCAUGCCAGCUAUGCCCCUGUAUAUUCGAGUCAUCAACUGCUAAAGAAGAUCAUGCCUGGUGUACGUCAACAAAUCAAUCCAUCUCUACUCCCGAUGCCAAAAAAGGGAAACAUCCCAACAUAAUCCAUAUGAAUCAGAAUCCCUAAGGCUCUAUGAAUGUGAAUGAAGUGGCUAUGCCCCAAUAUAAAUCAUCUGAAGUGACUAUGCUCCAAGAUAAAUCAAAUUCCAUUGCCAAUGAGACGACUAUGCCUCAAUAUGUGUCCUCAAAACAAGGUCAAUGUCAUUCCUCAAUGCUAAAAAUAGAAAUACUACUAUGAUCUCAAUCAUCCUAUGCUUUACAAAAAAAAAAAAAAAUAGAGUGGUUGUAUUUACUAUGCACAAUCUCUAAAGCAAUCAUAUCUCAAAAUAAACCAUCAUCUCAAAAAAACAACCAUCGAUGAGAGGAGUGUGUCUUAAUGCAGAAUAUCAAGUAGAGUGACUGUAUCUCCAAUAAAAGUGCUUUCUGAAAUGGUUAUGCCCCAGUGUAGGAUCAUCCUAAAAGAAACUACCAUCGAUGAGCGGGGUAUGCCCCAGUGUAGAUAACGUCACCUCUGAAAAUCCAUCACUGAUAAGAGGGGUAUGCCCUAGUGUAAAUCAUCAUCUUAAUUCCUCAUCCAUCAUGCACGAAGAAAUAAUCUCCAACAAACCUUGAGUAUUACCCACAUGUGAGCUGGCAAACACCAUGUGAAGUAAUGGCCUUAGGGUGGUCUUCAGACACGGGACAUAAUGUAGACCAAGGUAAUAGGGUGAAAGAAAUAAAAGGAAACUAGGCUCAAAGAUCCCAAUGAUAUAAUCCCCAUACCCCUCAUGCAGGAGAUGCAAUGCGUAGGAAACAUCAUGAGUCCUGGACCUAGGGGUUCCCACACGAAAAGGGAUGAUAAAUGAAUGAACUUAUCAAAUAAGCAAGUAUAAUGUGUGAAUGCUGAACCCAAGUCAAACAUCGAGCAAAAUGAGAAAAGAAAGAAAUCGAAUGAGGUAAAGUAAAAAUGGAGUGAUAAAACAAAGAUAGAAGAAAGUAAAGAGAUAGAAAAGUGAGUGAUUGUCAACCUGCAUCAAAGCAUGGAAAGUAGUCACAUCCAAAAUAGAUGGGAUGAUGGAUAGAGCAAGGAUCCAAAGAUACUAAAGAAAGGUUGCUCGCCUCUCUCACAAAAAUUGAGUGGGUGCCUCAUACUCUCACCCAAAAUAUACCAAGAUAGAAUCUCAUAAAGAAGCUCUCAUACAAACUCCCUCUAACACAUGAACUCAAUGAAGCAAAUUAGCACGUCCAUACACAUGCCCAAUGGAGAAUAAUAAAAUGAAUAAUGCACUAUUUUUUUUUCAAAUACUCUAAUCAAUAAUGAAUGAUCUCCCGUGAAAUACAUAGCCAAAUGAAUAAACCCUCCCCAUGUACUGAUGUAACUUGAAUCCUCACUAACAAGACAACCUCUCAAAAUAAGAUCUCUGAACCAUUGCUCAUAAGGCGGACAGGGGGAAGGAUGUGACAAUCCUCCAUGUAGUGACUUGUGAAAAACCACCACUCAAGGUGAAACAAGGAUAAUGUUGAGUAAUUAAUGAUGAAAGAAAAGACAGAGAAUGAAUAUCACAAGUGGUGAUAUGUGAUAUCAUAAAAUAGUGAUGAAAUGAUGACCAAGUGGAAAAUAUCACAAAUGAAGAUCGAGGAAUGAGGCCUGAAUAUGUAUGUCAAGUCUAAAACUCAUGACGUAUCCUAUCAUAGCAUGCAAGCACUACAGGGUCUCCAACCCGAUGUAAUAGGUAAAUGAGGUGAUGAAAGAAAAGGCUAUGUGCUCGUAUGAGGCUUAAUGGGAUAGUAAUGGGUAACUCUAUAUGCGAGAGUGAUAUGGUAAAUAAGCUCCCGAAAUGAUGGCCACCCAUCCUAUGACCGUAACCUCGAACAUCGUGCUUUAAAGAUCUCACAUGGUCAAUACUAAAGGCUGGCACCCGUCCAACAAAGUCAUGGUGACUCCUUUGAAAUCGUGUGAAAGUUCCCAUCGAUGCUCUGUGAUAAUCAUCAAUGUCCUCUGACAAUCACCUCACUCUAUCAUCAUAAUCUACUAACCAUCAUCUCAUAAAAUCACCAUCUCUAAUCAUCCCAACUCUUUGAAGUCAGGUGCAAUGGCUCAAAUCUGGAUGCUCCAUGACGUCUCAUCUACCUCAACAACAUCAUCAAGCAGUCAAACCACUCUCUCAUCAUGAUCCAUCUAUCAAUCGUGUAGAGCUCACCUCAGGUCAAACUAUCUCAGGCACUACAUGGUCAGAUCAAGGAAAUGAUGGAAAGAAAAGGCAAUGGUACUGUAGCAUGCUAAGGCGAACAAGGGUAGUAAAGUCAUGUAAUGGUACCAGGGGUGGUGUCAUGUCAAGCCCAAAAUGGUUAGGUCAUCAAGUCUAAAAAGUUAGGGUAGAGAUAUGGAUAUGGUGCUGCUUUGAUUAGAAGAUGAAACGAGUCGUAGUCUUGAGUUCACUAGUCGAUCCUCUAAUCCUAGGUCAACAGGCUCAAUAUCCUCCAUGAUAGGUCAGGCCCUAGCGAUCAUGAUGUAAGUGAAAGAUGUCUCAUAUCGAAAGAAUAACACACAUCAACACAUAAUAUGUAAAACAUACUCAUGAGUAGGAGAAGAACAUAUACUUAGGAUAAAAAGAUCAUGUCACUAAAAUGAACCAAUGAGUACAUCAUGUGUGAAAUGAUAAAGGACUAUAAAUGACUAGACUCUCAACAUGAACUAUAAACAAAGACCCUAAACCAAAACCGAACUCAACAAAAUAAAAGCAACUUUGAUGAACUGAAAAUUGGACUCAACAAAAUGGAAAAUGACUCUAAUGAUGACCAUAAUCAGAAUGAAAAGUGCUCUGAGUUGAACUGCUACCAAGUGAUGUACCCAUGCCGACUGAUCCAAGCCCUCAACCCGGGAUGUCCCAAAAUACCAUGCGACCAUCAAUACCAUCAAUAUCCAGAUCGAUCUACUGAAGAUUAGGAGGAGGAGGAACUACAUGUGUAGAUGUGUAGGCAGGGGAUUGGUGGUCACACUUGGCCCAGCCAGGUCGACCAACCUUGAAUCGGUCAAGUCCUGUAUCGCAUGAUGGAGCGUUGAACAAUGCUCAGUAUCGUGCCCCUAAAUCUAAUGAUAUAAGCAAUGCUCAUGUGAGAGGAAAUGAAGAGGAAUAGGAUGUGGCAAAGGACGUGGCACCAAAGGAACAAUCAAACCAGCGUCUCUGAGCUUCUCAAAAGCUCUAGUCAAAGUCAUGCCUAAUGGAGUGAACUAUCUCACGAGUCUCUGUGCAUAUGGUUUAGGUGGUAGGUGAGUAGUGGCUCUCGGAUGUGGUGGUCGUGGUUGCAUGCUGGUCUGAGCAAUGUAAAGCUCCUGAAUAUAAAUUGACUGAUACAGAUACUAGGGAUGAGAGAAAUGAGCUCUGACUGUAGGAGGCCUAUAAGGUGAGUGAUGCGUAGGCCUCUGAUGCUGAUAACUAAUAGCACCAACCUCUCCAGAUCUACUAGAUGAUCCAAUCGACUUCUUCUCCUUACUGUCAGGGAAAAUAAUAGUAUUUAUCCAUAAUCCUUGAGCAAUGGCCUCCUCAACACUAAAAUCUGCAUGAACUAGGCUCUUAAGAUCCUAAAAUGGGAUGCCCACAAGAUGCCUAGUGAACCUCGGCUGUAGGUUCCGAAGAACCAUAUCAAUCUAAUCCUGCUUCGUAGGUCGGUCUAUCAUACCAACCACUUUUUCCCUCCAAUGACUGACAAAGGAAGAAAUAGACUCGUCUGGCCUUUGUCUGGUGGCCUCCAACUCUUGUCUGGAUACAUUAAUGUCGGCACUGAAAGCGAAUUGAGUCAGGAACUCAUGAGCCACAUCUUCCUAGGUACGAAGUCUCGAAGGCUCAACUAAAGCAAACCAUCUCUGAGCUGCUCCCCUAAGUGACAUAGGGAAGAGGGCCACCAAUUGUGAAUCAUCUAUCCUAUGUGCUCUCAUUACUAUGCUGUAUAGCCUCAAAUGGGUCUUGGGAUAGCCAAUCCUGCUAUAACGCUCAAUAUCUGGCAUGCAAAACUUGGCGGGUAAGCUAGCCGCCAGUAUGCCAUCUCUAUCAUCCCAAGUCAAACCUCUAUCUUGCAAUCUGAUUUGUCUCAUCCUAGAAUCAAGCCUCUCAACCCUAGCCUCCUGCUCAGCCAAUCUAGUAUCAUUAAUAGUAGAAACCAUGGGAGGUGGCACUAUGACAGUAGGUAGUGGAAUGGUCUCAUAAAGAUUUGCCAGAUGGAAUGGAGUACCAAGUGAAACCCUAGAUGGUAGAGCUUGUGCUGUCUGAGAUUCAUGAUGAACCGUCUCAUCAGUGACCACACCAACUGGAUGAGGAUCCCGGUAAGAACUCUAUAUUUGAUCCAAACGUCUACUCACUUUGGCCAUGAACUCUUAAAUAGAAGCAAGUGUAGCAAUUAGCUCGUUUGACAUCUCAACUGAACUAUCUAAACUAUGAUUUGAAUAUGCUAUGAUCAAUCGACCUCCAACUCUCCUCUAAGAAUGUGACUCUAGACUUGACCAACUCCUAAACUGACUCCCUACAAUGCAAACAAAUGGAUGAAGGAUGCAAGAAAGAACCUGAUUCGACUCAUGGUAGCUUAGCUUUAAAGGCGUAUCAACAAAAUUUAUACCUUAAAUACUAUUACUAAAGUAGCCAAGCUACUAUAGCAUAGUGGUUCUAGGAUCGUUCACUGGGAAGGGUUUUCGCAAACACUAGUGAUAUUCAAAUUAGGAAAAUAGGUGCUUUUCUUAUGGAUGUUAGCUUUAAAAGAAGAUAUAAAUGUUUUAGAAAGAUUUAAACUAAUCUAAGCUAACAUUAAAGACUAAAAUGAAAAGGUGUAAAAACAAGUUUCUCAAAGAUAGGAUAGCUAUGCUCUGGCUCUUAUACAAAUUGGAAAUCUCAGGAUAGGCUCCUCACGUUGGGGUUGCAACUAUGGUGAUGCUUGCUUCCCGAACCGGUAUGGAUUUAGCAAAUCAAGUUUUAAUCCUUUAAAAUGACAAAACAGAUGGUAGUGAAUUUCAUCAAUGGUUAUUCACCUUAGACUUCCUUUGAAUGGCUCGUAAGAGAUAACUAAUGGUCUAAAGCUAAAAGCUNNNNNNNNNNNNNNNNNNNNNNNNNNNNNNNNNNNNNNNNNNNNNNNNNNNNNNNNNNNNNNNNNNNNNNNNNNNNNNNNNNNNNNNNNNNNNNNNNNNNNNNNNNNNNNNNNNNNNNNNNNNNNNNNNNNNNNNNNNNNNNNNNNNNNNNNNNNNNNNNNNNNNNNNNNNNNNNNNNNNNNNNNNNNNNNNNNNNNNNNNNNNNNNNNNNNNNNNNNNNNNNNNNNNNNNNNNNNNNNNNNNNNNNNNNNNNNNNNNNNNNNNNNNNNNNNNNNNNNNNNNNNNNNNNNNNNNNNNNNNNNNNNNNNNNNNNNNGAGGAAAGCCCUCAGAGGCUGUUUGGCUUCCAAGAAAAUAAAAUAGUAAAGAUAAAAGAGAGACGAGAGAGCUCUGUAUAUAUUCUAAGUGUAAAACGUAACCUAUGUUCUCUAUAUAUUCCAAGAGGUGAUUUCCACCCCUUAUAUAGUCUUUACAAAAGCAAAAGCUUGUGAUUGGUUAGUUACAAGGAUAAGAAAGGAAAUUACAUCACAAAAUACAAAGGAAAAUAUCUAAAGUGGAGUCGGCAAAAGCAGAGGAAAAUUCGCAACACGCAUGGGUUAUGCGAAUUUUGAAGGUGUUAUGCGAAAUUUUCGCAUAACCUAGAGCAGUUGGCUUCCGAAGACCAUAUCUUCCUCAUUUCAACUCCAAAUCGUACACGGUUUGAAGCUUUGGAUUCUUGACUUCCAGAGCUUUGAAAUGGUAUAUAGUAUGUAAAAAAUGGACUUCGGGAAGUGCUCCAAAAGUGAGCAAGAAUACUGCAGCUGCUGUCCUCUUUGCUUCUCUUCACUUUGCUUGCUUUUCCUCUUUUCCAUUGUUCUUUCCUUGCAUACUUUGAAAGACUUUGGCAAAGGGCUAUGGAGCUCCAAAGCUUGGUUCUUCAUGAAUUUGUGCUUCCAAAAGCUUUGCCAUAACUUGUCUAAGUAGCUCCUCCAUCAUUUGGCAUGCUUGAAUUGAUUCAUAAGCUGAUAAAAACAUGUAAACUUGCCACAAAAUGGUUAAAACCAAUUACUAAGGACCUUAAUGAAUUAAUUGGGUUAAAUGAAUAUGAUUACUACUCAAAGGUGCUUAAAACCAUUAUAAUUAGGUCUACAAAAUAACACUUUUUGGUAGUAAUCAGAACCCUAAAAGACAACUGUAUAACAUGUAAGCACAUGAUCCUGAGGUGGCAAUCCUAAAUCUGGAUGUAUAAUGAGAACUCUAGAGUCAUAAAGGUGUCCACUGUGAGAUGGCUACAAAUGUUACUAGAGAAUUCCUAUCAAUAAUCCAAGAUGAAAGAGGUGUGAGAAAUACACUAUCAUAAGAUCGAUACUCCAUCUAUAAACACAUAUCCUUAACUCAACCUUCAACUCGAGCUUCAUAAGAGAAAAAUAAUAAGGUGAUUAAGGCGACUAUCUCGAAAAAGAUGUGAAUGUGAAAUGUGCCUUUCACUUUUUCGUAAUAAAAAUAUAAGCAUCGAGUCGAAAAUCAAAUCAAGUAUCCAACAAAGAAUAAGGUACCGAGCCUGUGAUAGGUGUAUAGUGUAAAAAGAUGAACAUAUCUCAAAGUAUCAAGUAAGUGACAACAAAGUGAAAGGAUGUGUUGAGCCAAGAAAGGAAAAUGAAAGCCCUAAGGAGAAAACAUAGUAAACUCAACGAGUGAAAAGAACAAACUAAGGUGACAUGAUAAAGGUGAUCCAAUCAAUACUCAAACUCAUACCAAUCUCUAAGCACUCUCAACUGGAAACCAAAAGAGAAAACACUGGACCUAGGUGGUGACUAAGUGGCUCUGAAGGCUCUCAGAUGCACCCACAUGUGAGGAAGGAAUCCUAAUCAAAAUAUUUAAGCUCAUCCUACAAGGUCAAAGUGGCCCUAAAAGGAAAUGGGUAGACUUUAAAAGGUCCUUAGUAGAAGUGAUCGUACCCUCUAGCGAUACGCAACCCUUUGCACACCUUCAAAGAGACGGGGUGCUUCCAUGCAAAGUGGUCAUCACCUCCACACAUGCACUGCCUCAACAUCCCAGGGGUUUCCUAUGGUGAAAGCUCUCACAACUCUCAACACUUAGUGGUAAGCUAAGGUGCUCAAUGAAUGGUGUGGGUGCAUCCGAAAAUCCUAUGAAACUAAAAGAAAACACACUAGCCACACAAAUAUCCUAAAAUCUAGCUCUAGGCUAUACAAGUCUUCAAAGUUCAGACUCCAAUCAGUAUCAAUAUGUUGACCACCUCUAGAAUGCUCCCAAACAUAGAUAUAGCCCAUCGCUAAACCCUACUCUUAAUCACUAGCUCGGUCGAAAAGCAAACGAAGCAAAAAGUCUCAUAUCAAAUACCAGACCCUAGAAAACAAGGUCAACCGAGACUAGGGAAUUGGAGAUAAAGGGAUAAGUGUGUGUCCCACAUAGACAAGCAACUCAUGCAAUCACACGAAAUGAGAGAAGUCAUGCAACAAACAGUCAUGCAAAAUAAGUAUAUAUCAUCCAAAUCUACACACAAGCUAAUCGAGAAUAAUAUUUGGCAAUGAUAGCAUGCUCCAUGAUAAUCAAGAUAAUAUACAACUAAGAGAAUCAACCAUGUCAAAGUGAAUGAGAUAAGCAACAAGAAUAAUGUACAUGCCAAGGUGAGCAGAGUGAUCAUACAACAAGGAGAGUCAAUAUGUGAGGGUAAUCAAAUGGAUCAAUCAAUACAAUCAACAUGUUGAUGUCUCAAAUGAAUACCAUAACUAAUCAUGCAUCAAGGAUAGUGACAUCAAGAGCUCUCAAUGUGUGAUAAAAAAUCAAGCAAACAAAAACACAAAGAGAGAUAGGUACCCUCUGAUCGACCAAUCAAAUGCCAUAAUUGCCUCAACUUAUGUUCAAGCUUGACCCUCUAAUCGAUCACCAGUGGAGUUGCCAUUUUAUAGACCCCACAUUUCGACUCAUGCGCUUUCUCUCGAUGGUGAGCUCGCUUUUUAUUUGAAAAUUUGAUUUUAUUUAUUAGAAAAUGACUUGGAGUUGCCACUUAUUUUUCUUUUAUUUUUAAAGGGUAAACAAAAUAAGAAAGAAAAACCCUAAGUAUGACUCCUUAUUUGGAAAAGGUGGUCUAUAAAAACCAAAAAUGGGCUUGGGGGUCAGGUUACUUAUCAGGAAGGUACGGUAAAGACCGUAGCACCCCUUUAAGUCCCUAAAAUCGAGUCUCUACUAAUAAAAUGAAGCAAAUAUGACGAUUGAUAAGCAUAUCAAUGGAUACCGAAUGAAAAUCAAAACAAAAUACUCAAAUGAAUAUGAGAGGCAAAAAACGUACCUGAGUAAUGAACUGAUUUAUUUCAUGGGAAGCAAAGGUUAGUGAACAAACACAGAAUAAUCAUGUGCAUAUCAUAGAAUAGAAUAAAUCAAUCACGCAUGGCAAUCAAAUCAACCAAUCAAUCAAUCAAUCAUAAAAUCAUGUAUAUGGGGCCCCCACCAAAGCCCAAUUUAUUUUGCAUGAAUCAAUUCCAAUAACUCCAUUAUUCGCAAUUACGAAAUUUAAUUCUUACUUAUUUAAAAAAAAUUUAAAAUCAUGGAAGUUAUGAAAAUUACUUGUCAGAAGAAAAAGUGGCGGCAAAAUUUUAUUGAAAAAUAGGUUUUUGGAACUUAAAAAUUCUAAGGAUGAAGAAAAACUUGGAGUUUAAAGACUAAAACCCAGAAAUUUCUUUGAAGAAAAGGAUUUGAAAAAUUAUUUUUAAAAGGUUAAGGAUAGUAAAAUGGAAAAAAAAAAAAAAAAAAGGCACUUGUGUCAAAGGUGGCCAUGCAAAAGGUGUGGUCCCUUGUAGCUUCUCUUCCCUAUAGCCAACCCAUCUUCAAAAGUCAUCAUUCCAUCUUUUAGAUUUAUUUUUAGGUGGUCUGAUUGAACUGCUUAUUAGGAGAUGCAGGUGCGAUCAACUCCAUUUGAGCAACAUUUGGCAAAGUCCUCAUGAGCUUUCAAUGCCAAGUCCUCAUCUUCCUAUUCAUCACGGAAUGUGUGUGGAUGGACAAAAUAAUUCUUUUCAGUUGCAGAAUAUAUUUCCUUUCUCCAUUCUUUGACACUUGGAAUCCUAUACUAGCUAGCAAACCAGUCCAUGUAUUCUAUCUGACAAUGACCAAUGCCACGUGUGUACCACUUAGGUGUGCCUGAAGCCUCAAGCAAUAAGUACUAUGCCUCAACAUCUCUCAUCAUCUCCUCUUUCGAUGGGAGUCCAAUCUGACCAGAUAGAACCCUUGCUAUUCAUUUGCUUUGAAAUUAAUACAAGAUGAAGCCAAUACCCAUCAAUGGUAAACCCAACAAAGGAAAGCCAAGGUGCCAAAGCCGGUGGAAAAGUGUGCUUGUAUAGUGGUCCAACGCAAUUGUCUUCCACAGUGAUAAUGUCAUAUCGAGCCGUCUUAGUGGAUGCUUUCUAUCUUUACCAUAGGAUGCAACCUCAAAUUAUCAUAGCCAAACAUGUUUCCCAAGACUCCAACCUUGGUUGAUCUAGAUGCAAUGUGAACUUCUUUGGCAACUUGAGCAAUGUUCAUAGAGAUAUCAAGAGCACUUGAACCAACCCCUCUCAAAAUUACAACCAGAUCUCGAAAGGGGUCAGGAAUACGAUAAUUGUGGCUAUGCAUUUACUUCCCCGGCCAUGCAUUAAUCCCUAGAAUUUCGGUAGUACGAGGCUCUGUUUCGUGCCCAUUGCAAACAACCACUACAUAAAAAAUCUCAUAAGUUGUCACACCAUUUGCCACUUUAGACUUCGUUCUCCACUUUCCAUUAACCAACCCAACAUAAACCACCUCUGUCCCAAAGCAGACUUACUUAGUGAGCCCAAAUGUAGUGGCAUAAUCGUUGAUAUAAAGAAAGACCUCUCGAUGACCUGGAAACUUUCUAGAGUCGUUGUAGGGUUGACUCUUAGAUACGAAGGGGUAGUCUCAAAACCCCACAGUCUCACUCCUCAUUACGGCUUCAUACCCAAGAAAGUCCAAACACCAAGAACAGAGAUAAAGUAACAAAAACAGAGCAAUGAAGGAAGAAAAUAGGAUGAAGUAUUAAGAGUUAUACUUCAUCUCUUAGUUAGUGGGCUUAUAGAUGGGUGAAUUAAAAAGGUGUAGACCCUCAAUUUUUUCCCUCGACAUCGGCAUUUAUCCUUCGGGUGUCAUAUCCACCCAUUGUUUGCAUAUGGCACCACUAGGGCCUCUUUUGGGCUUAGUCGGUGUCCGAGCCUCGUGUGGGUUUGUCUGUGGUCCAUUGUGGUGCAUAUGUGGUUCAUUUUGGAGGGUCACCAUGGCCAUUUUCCUAUUCGUUCACAUAACGCUAUAGGAAGGAAGUGGGGUCAUCCCGAUGUUUUAGCUUAGUUGGAGUUUAUAGGGGCAUGUUGAGGUUCGGAGCACUUGGGCUUGUUUUGAUCAUAUCUCCCUCAUCCAAAUUUGGAAUCAAGAACCGUUUCUUUUUAUGGAUUCCUUAUUCUUCCAGAAACAUUCUAUAAAAUUUUCAAAAUUUUUUGCAACCGUUCGGCUGGUUGGCAGCCGGUUCAGCAGAUUCAGCCGGUUCAUCAAGUUAGCCGGUGUAGAACACUGAUUUUUGGUAAUUAUUUUGAUCAUAUCUCCCUCUUCCGAAAUCGGAAUCACACACCGUUUUUUUUCAUGGAUUCCUUAUCUACUAGGAACAUUAUGUCAAAUUCUCAGAAUUUUUUUCCAUUAGUUCAACCAGUUGGCAUCCGGUUCGGCCGGUUCAGCCGGUUCAUUGAGUCAGCUGAGGUAAAACACUAAUUCUCGUAAUUUUGAGGCCCAAAUCCUACAUGGCUCAAGCCCGUAAGCUCCAGAUCGGUUUUGGGCAAUGUUGUGGGUCCAUUUUGGGCCUUGGUUUGGGUUCUUUUCAGCCCACCACGAAUCCAUAUGGAUUCUUGGUGGUGAAGCAAGCUGAAAACUGAAGGGAGUGAGCUGGCCUCGUAAGUUUAAGAGAAGUAAUGAGGGAUGUGGUUCCCAUGCUGAUGAAAGGGAUUUUGAUGCUGAAGAGGAAGGAACCCAGGAGGCUUAAAUGCUAAGAGGGGUAUGAGUAUAAAAGGUGAGAGGAUAGGAGAGCAAAGGACAAGAGGGGACAUUUUGGAGAGGGGAAAUUUUGUCGGUGAGAAAAACAAAAGGUCAGUAGCAUCUUCUGAGUUGAGAGUGUGGGGGAAAGCUUCAGCACUGUGGUUUUUUUGAAGAGGAGAGUGACAGCAUCUCAAGUUUGGAAGUCAUCAUCGGCAUACACAGAUCAUAUUUGGUUGAGAUUCUGAGGUAAGCAUGCUGAAUUUUCUUUACUUACAAUUUUUCUUCCUCGUCUUCAUAUGCUUUUUCUCCUUCCUCAUCAUCUUUUCUUCCCUUUGAUAUGAAGAUUGUAUUGCUUGGGUGUGGAUAAUAAAGGCCACACAUGAUUGUUGUUGAUUGGUUAUGAAUGGUUUAGGAACUUUCUGACCGAAUUUGGGGUUUUUUAUUAACCGGCUGAACCGGUUCAACCGGUUCAGCACAAUAGCUGGCUGCCUCUGUCAGCCAUGAAGAACACCUGCCUUUCUUUGUUUGGUUCUCACUCAUCCGGGCUUGGAAUUGAGAACCGUUUCUUUUAUUUGCUUCCUUAAUCACUUAGGAACUUUCUGACUGAAUUUGAGGUUUUUUAUCAACCGGCUGAACCGGUUGGGAACCGGUUCAGCACAAUAGCUGGCUGCCACUGUCAGCCAUGAAGAACACCUAUCUUUCUUUGUCUGGUUCUCACUCAUCCGAGCUCGGAAUUCAGAACCGUUUUUUUUUUCUUCCUUAAUUACUUAGAAACUUUCUGACCGAAUUUGGGAUUUUUUAUCAAUUGGCUGAAUUAGUUGGGAACCGGUUCAACCUGUUCAGCACAAUAGCUGGCUGCCUCUGUCAGCCAUGAGGAACACUUGCUUUUCUUUGUCUGGUUCUCACUCAUCCGAGCUCGGAAUUGAGAACCGUUUCUUUUGUUUGCUUCCUUAAUCAAUUAGGAACUUUCUGAUCGAAUUUGGGAUUUUUUUAUCAACCAGCUGAACCGGUUGGGAACUGGUUCAACCGGUUCAGCACCAUAGUUGGCUGCCUCUGUCAACCAUGAGGAACACCUGCCUUUCUUUUGUUUGAAUCCUCACUCAUUUAGGAGUUUUUUAGAAAAAUUUGGGAAUUCUUCUCAAUAGGUUGUACUAGUUGAGAACUAGUUCAACCUAUUCUACUGGAGGACUUUAGGUAGCCCUCAAUUUUGGCAUUUUUCGAGCCCUUAUCCAUUGGGGCUCAAACCCAUUUGCUAUAGGGCACUUGUGAGCCAUCUUGAAGCUUUAAGUCAGUGUUUGAUUUUAGUUAGUAUGGGCAAUUUUGAAGUUAUGGGUGGUGUGGUCUAGAUGAGUCUAGUUCGAUUUGUAUGGCAUUUGGGGAGUCCCUUACCUCAUUUCAACCAACUAUCUUCCUUUUUGGCACAAGCUUUGAUGCUUGAUUUUGAAUACAUGUUGCGUGACUGACUCACCCUCUACUGUAGCACAUGGCUAGGGACUAUAGGUACGCAUCGUUGGUUUUGAUUGUUGAAUCAUAUGCAUGCAUGGUGCUUAAUCUUGAAUGUUUGUUAUGUGUUUAUCUACCUUUUAUGCAGCGCUUGGUUAGGGACCACAGGUACGCACCCAUUAUUUUGGUUGGUUGAAUUCAUAUGAAUGCCAAAUACCAACUAGGAUUGUGUGAUUCAUGACAUCUAUUUAGCCUAGGGUUUCAUCUUUGACCCAUAUGCUCCCACAUACCCAAUUCAUUAGUAGAGACCGAGUUCCGGGCCUAGAGGGGUGCUACCUCGCAUGAGGUACCUUCCCAAUGGGUAACCUGAUCCCCGGACCCAGAAUCUAGUUUUCGCAGACCGCUUUUUCCAUACUAGGGUCAUUAGGGGUUUUUGUUCUUACUUAAUUUUCCCCAUUUUAAAAAUAAAAAUAAAAAUUAAGUGGCGACUCCAUACAACACCGUUCCUCACCGAGGGCAGGUUUUUCAAAAUCGGAAAACUCAAGUUUUUCAUUCUUUCUUUUCUUUUAAAAGCGAGUCGCGCCGGUCCGGUGGAUCGGGUGAGGGUCCACAAAAGGUUUUUUUUAUUAUUUAAAAUGUCACAAAUGAGGUAAAAUGGGAUAAAAUCAAUUUCCGAGCACAAACAGGAGCAAUAGAGGGGCUAGAAGUUAUGAAGAAUAAAACAUAAAUCAUCCAAAAGUCAAUAGCAGUGCAUCUCAAUCAUAGUGGAUGAAGAGAAAAACCAAAAAGAAAAAAAAAAAAAACAAUGGAAAACUCACUUUUGAGAAAAUGUUGGAGGCCUUUAUACUUUGCAAUCCAAGACUCCCUUGUUUGCUCUCCAACCUCAAGGAACAUAGCUCCAAAAAUCUCUCUCUAUCUAAAACAAAAACGUCUCUCAAGCCUUAGAGAACACCACCCCCCCCCCCCUCUCUCAAGCAAAACUUGCAUCUCUAGCAAAAAAAAAAAAAAAAAAAACCUCACCAUCCCUAACAAAUAUCUCCCAAAAACAGCAACCCAAAAGCACCUCAUCUCUCCACUCUCUAUAACUAUCUCGAAAAGAAAAACCUUUAUAUCACUCUAAUCCUCUAGAGCAAAACCUGUCUCUCUCUAAAAAUCUUCUCCCUCUGUAAUCAAAACUUUCUCUAAGCUUCGCCCUAAAGCUCACUCUCUUUUCCUUCUGUACAGGUUGUCUUCCAUGGUUUUCUUGCUCAAAACCUUCCCCCCUAGCUUGUUGCCUAAACAACUUCCUCUUCCUUCAGCUGACUCUCCAAGCUAACCCCCUACAAAAAUAUCUUCUCUCAAAAAAUAACCAACGACGCUUCUUCCUAAAGCUCUCUGCAACUCAAAAAUAUCUCUCCACCUUUCUGUAAAACUUUCUUUCCCCCGACUCCCUCUCUGUUGUUGUUUUUUUUUUUUCAAGCUAACUCCAUCUCCUAAAAAUAUCUACCCCAAAAACGGCCAUGAAGACUUCCCUCCUUUCUGCCAGAAGACACUCCUCCUAAAGACAAAACCUCCUCCCGAAUCUCCCUUUAUAGGUGUCAGCCGUCUAUUGGCUCCUCAAAAAGCACAUCUGAUUCCCUAGCAGCCAAUCAAGAGGCAACACAUGGCACUUUGAGAGCUCUCCACCUAGCAAAAGCUAGCUACAGGAAUACCUCCCAAAAUGGGAGUCUAUAGAGACUCAUUUGAAGAAUCAUGCGACACUCUCCCUCACCUAAGCCACAGAUAUCCUCGUUGCUCAUUCUGCCCGAAACCACUUAAUCUACUCCUGAAACUACCAUAGUGCAUCUACUGGCUCCCAAUUGGCCUGGCUCUCUAGUAGUUCCUUCCAUUUCACCAAGUACUCUAUAGUAGGAGACACGCUUCGUUUCCCGAUGACUCGAUCUGCAUUGCUAUGUUCUACUUUUUUUUCAUAGAAGGUCACGACCGUUGUUGGUGCCCUUUUAGAUAACCCCCGACUUGAAUCAUCAUUGUAUUUGUAAUAUGGUUUUAAGAAACUUACGUGGAAUAUGAGAUGAAUCUUCAACCUUGGUUACUCAACUUUAUAGGACACCUUGCUGAUCUUCCCAAGUAUGGGGAAAGGUCCUUCAUACCUACUCACAAGGCCCUUAUGCACUAGUCUUAGUGACUUGAAUUGUUGAGGAAUGAGCUCGACAAGCACCAUGUCUCUAACCUUGUACUCUGUGUGACGUCGCUUCUUGUCAGCCCAUUUCUUCAUAUUCCUAGUGGGCUUGUCCAAGUAUUUGUGUGCUAUGUCAGCUUGCUCGUGCCACUCUUUCGCAAACUUGAAAGCCGCUAGACUUUUCCCUAUAUAGCCUAUCGUUAGUGUGUAAAGACUUAAUGGUUACUGCCCUAUGGCUAGCUCAAAUGGGCUUUUGUUGGUUGCCUCACUCCUUUGCAAUUUGUAUGAGAAUUGGGCUACAUCUAGCAAAUUAGCCCAAUCCUUCUGGUUGGCACUCACAAAGUGCCUCAAGUAUAGUUCUAGUAAGGCGUUCACCUUCUUAGUCUGUCCAUCUGUUUGUGGGCGAAAGCUUAUGGAGAAGUGAAAAUUCGAACCUAUAAGCUUGAAGAGAUUUGUCCAAAACUUCCUAAUGAAUCAUAGGUUAUGAUAACUAAUGAUAUAGUUAGGCAACCCUCAAUACUUGACCACGUGUUUUAAGAAUAACCUUGUCGUCUCCUUUGUAGUGCAGUCAAUAGGAGCUACUAUGAAGGUCGCAUACUUAAAGAACCUGUCUACUACUACUAUGAUAGAGUCGUCCUAUGACUUGGGUAGCCCGAUGAUGAAGUCCAUAGUGAUGCUCUCCCAUGGACGCUCUACUAUAGGUAGUGGUUCCAACAGGCCUCUAGGCUGUCGCUACUCCACCUUGUCUUGUUGGCACACAUAAAAAGUCCUCACAUAGGCCUCAACUUCAUCCCGUAUGUAAGGCCAAUAGUAAGUUUACUCAAGUAGUGCCCUUGUGCGUCAUUACCUAGGGUGCCCAACCCACUUGGUUUCAUGACACUCCUUAAUCAGGUUCUGCCUUAUGUUCUCCCACUUAGGCAUGUAGAGUCGUCUUUCUUUAGUGUAGAGUAGGUCGUCUUCCACCCAAAAUCGCUUAGUUUUCUCCUCAUGGGCCAAGACGAUGAGGCUCUUAUCCACUAGAUCAUGUCGUAGUCCAUUUCUCAGAAGAUCCAUUAUGUCCCCUUAGGGUUGGCUCGUCAUGGAUGCUAUCUCUGUCUUACGACUUAGGGCAUCAACCAUAUGAUUAGCGCUUCCUGGCUUAUACUCCAGCGUAUAGUCAAACUUGGCCAGGAAGUCUAGCCACCUAGCUUACUUAGGACUUAGUUUCUUCUAUGUUUGGAAGUAGCUAGUGGCAACAUUGUUAGUCUUCACUAUGAAGUGAGACCCUAGAAAAUAGUGCCUCCAGGUGCGUAAGCAAUGGACGAUGGCAAUCACCUCAUUUUCUUGCACAUUGUAGUGCCUCUCUGUGUCAUUUAGUUUGCGACUCUCGAAGGUUAUCAGAUGCCUAUCUUGCAUAAGGACUCCCCCAAUAGCAAAGUGUGAUGCAUCUGUGUGUACCUUAAAAAUCGUGAUGUGGUCGGGUAGUGCCAAUAUUGGCUCCUUAGUCAUAAUCUUUUUUAGAUCUUCAAAGGCUUGUUGACACCUUUCAUCGCACUCCCAUGCCUUGUUCUUCUUAAGAAGCUCAAUGAGUGGAGCUAACCUUGUCGAAUAACCCUUGUUGAACCACCAAUAAUAGUUAACCAAGCCAAGGACAGACCUUAGUUGAGGUGCCUUAGUAGGUGGAUCACAUUCCUGGAUGGCCUUCACCUUGCUAUCAUCCAUCAUCAACUUUCCAUCCUUGAUGCGAUGCCCUAAAAAGCUCACAUCCUCCUUAGUAAAAGAGCAUUUCUCAUUCUUUACAUAUAGCUUGUUCUACCUUAAGAUCUUAAAGACCUUCCUUAAAUGUUCCACAUGCUCCUCCAAGGUGCUACUGUAGAUGACUAUGUCAUCUAAGUAUACCACCACAAACUUGUUUAAAUAAGGAUGAAAUAUCUUAUUCAUGAAUAUGCAAAAUGUUGUUGGUGCCUUGGUGAGACCGAAAAACAUCACUAAGAACUCGUAUGAGCCAUACCGAGUCACGCAUGUAGUCUUCAGUUCAUCCCUUUCUUCAAUCCUCACUUGGUAAUAGCCUGAUCUCAAGUCCAACUUAGUGAAGUACCUUGCUUUACCAAGUUGAUCAAAGAGAUCAACAAUGAGUGGAAUGGGGUACUUGUUCUUUAUCGUCACCUUGUUAAAUGCCCGAUAGUCGAUGCACAUCCUUAGGAACCCAUCAUGCUUCUUUUGAAACAAGACUGAUACACCACAGGGAGCUUUAGAAGAUUGGAUGAAUCUUAUUUAUAGAAACUCCUUGAAUUGUCUCCUUAGCUCUUCCAACUUGGGCGGUGCCAUCUUAUAUGGCCCCAUAGUAGGGGACUUAGCUCCUGACUCCUACUCAAUUUUAUGGUCUUCUUUUCGUCGAGGUGGGAGUCUUUUAGGCAACUCAGGUGGCAUCACGUUCUUGAACUCAUCAAGGACUCCCUCGAUUUCCUUAGGCAUGGGCUUCCUCGAUCCAUCAUCCUUUUUCCUCCAUAAGGGUGGCCAAGUAAGUCAUCUCCUUCCUCUUUAACCCCUUCUUUACUUGCAUAGCUGAAAAUAUAGGGGUCUUAGGUGAACCUUUGGUGACCAUAGGGACCAUGCAUGACUUUUUCUAGUACCAUUUUAAAGUCUUCCAUGGGUGCUAUUGUGAAGUUGACCCUUCCUUCCCAUGAGCUAAUGUGCAUAGCCACCCCACGUGCUACUCCGUAUGAUCGCUUGGCAGUUGAAUUAAUUGCCUUGAGCCAACCUUCUUCCUCAAAUGCUUAGAGCUCCAGUCUCUUUGCCUCAUCCUCUGAGACAAAGUUAUGAGUGGCACCAAUGUCCACUAGGGCCUUGGUGGCCUUCUCAUUUACAAAGGCCUCUACAUAUAUUAACCCUUUACUUUGAGGCAUCUUAGGCACCGACUUGGCCUUGAGGAUGUUUAGGAGUUGUAAUAAUCCCACAUGAGCCUCGCCCUCCUUCUUUUUUUCCUCGAUCAUGGCAUUUAGGGUUUUCCUCUUGGGGUUGUCCCGCACCCAGUGUGGACUAUCACAUAGGAAGCACUUGGUCUUGGUCAUGAACUCUUUCCGUUUGUCCUUGCCCUUACCAUCCUUGCCACUAGACAUCUUGUUUGAUCCUUCCUUAAGAGUGUACCCCAUUGAUCCAUUGUCUUCCCACUUUUGGCAUGAUUACCCUUGGACUGUGGCAUAGGCUUAUAGGAGUCUCCCCUUUUGUAUUCUACCAAAGACUCCACUAUCGCCAUGGUCGUGGCAAGAUCUUGGAUACCACGUCUCUUCAACUCUUGCUCAGCCCAACUUUGCAAGUUGUUCAUGAAGUUGAAUAGUAGCUCCUCCUCAGACAUGUUGGGUAUCUCAAGCAUAAGUGUAGAGAACUUUUUGACAUACUCAUGGAUCGAGCAUGUGUACUUGAGACGUUUCAUGUUUUUCCUUGCUAGGUAAGCCACAUCCUUAAGGUAGAAUUGCCUUUUGAUUUCUCACUUAAAGGAAUCCCAUGUGUCUAUGGUGCACGUUCCUUUUUCUAUGUUGGCAAACCUUUGACACCACCAUAAAUUAGCAUUAUCGGUGAGGUAAAGGGUCAUGGUAUGUACUUUAGCGGCUUCAUUCGUUAGUAUUAUAGCCUUAAAGUAGAGCUCCAUGUGCAACAAGAAGUUGUCCAGCUCCUUAGCAUUCCUUUUGCCACUGAAUGUGUGUGGCUUGGGCACCUCCACCCUUGGUGCUUCAUGAGUGGCCAUGACUCAUGUUGAUAUGGCAAUCUUGUAGAUAGCUAGCUCUUGUUAAACUUCUUAGUCUUGGGUCUCCAUGCAUGCAACUAAGGAUUCCACUUUUGACUCUAUGACCUUGUCGUGGAAGGACAUGAACUCCUCGUGUGACAUUGGUUGACCUUGUGAGCCUAGCACCUCCUCACGAAGGUCUUGGAUCUUCUCCCUUAGAUCCUCUAAGCCCUUCUCCAUUCCUUUCUCGAUCAAGUCCUCUCUUUCCUAGGUGUCUGCCAUGGCUAGCUCUACCUUGGCUAGUUUUGCCUCCAUGUUGUCGAUGGCAUCACAAGAUUUAUCCUUCCUAUCCCUGCCCCAUACAGUAGGCUCGGUCUCCCUCCCAUGGGUUUGCUCACUAGCCUCUUCCACAUUGGAGCCCGACAUGCUUCCUUUACUAUGCCCGCUUCGUAACCGCACUCUGAUACCAACUGUCACUAACUUAGUCUUUUCCUAAGCUCGUGCAACACUUAGGCAAAUCAAGACACUUGAUCUUGCUAAGUCAGCCUUACUCCCGAUGCUUAGCUUGCUAGGCUAAGACACUCAAGACUUAGAAUCUUUAGGAGGCAUAGUAGGCAACUCUUGAAGAAUGAAAACUUUUAUUACUCAAAGGAAGCUUUACAAGUGCUUUGGAACUCACUUGCAUAGGGCCUUGGCCAAAUGAGGCUCUCAUCUAUUUAUAGGCACUAAUGGAACUCUCUGGAACCUUGGAGGGUUCCUUACAAAUUAGGAAUAUUUUAGAACACCCUACAUAAUUCUAUGUACAAGCCUAUGUAUAAGAAUAUGCAAAGAAUCUCUAGAAUUCUCUAGAAAGCCUUGGACUCCUCUCAUGCCUUUUGCCAUAGUGUAGAGAUGUGUGGGCAUCUCUAGGCAUCUCUAGAACCUUCCGCACUUUUCCCACCAAUGGCUAAGUGUAGGAGUCUCUAGAAGCUUCAUAGUCUCUAUAUAAACCCCUAGAAAGGCUCAUUUGAAGCAUCCUAUGACAUUGUGCCCUUUUUUUUUUUUAUCCAUCAACUUUGACAUUUUGUUUAUCAACACCUUCUAUAUUUUGUAUAUCAACAUCCUUAUAAUCAAAUUUUCUCUUAUCUUUCUCAAUCGCCUUUAUUUUUAUUUUUUGCACUAUUCUUUUUCUUCUCGUCAUCUCCCCACUCAUUUAUAAUGAAUCAUAAUGCAAAUUCAAACCUUUCUUUGUGGAACUGUGGUCUAGGUAGAAUAUUUACAAGUAAUAAAUUUCAAAAUAAUCUUUGAAUUGAAUAUACCACAAAUACUAUUAUUGUUAAAAAUAUCCUAAUAUUUCAAAUUUAUGAGAAGUAUAUUACCAUUGGAAAAAUAAAUAUCUUGAUAUCCCAUUGUUUUGUUUCUUGAAUUUAAAUUCAUUUAUGCUUCGUACAAGGAAGAAGAAUACUAUUUGGACCCAAUUUAUCUUUUUUUAUUUAUGUGAUGUCUUUAAGGAAAUGGAGGAAGAAAUGUUUGACAAGAACUUUCAUCAUUGAAUAUAACAAGGCAUCCACAACAAAUAGUACAAAACAAAUUUUAAAUUCAUUCACACAACCCCUAUCUUUCCGUAUUUGGUUUUCUAACAUCAACAAUGACAAUUUUCCCUUUCUAUCAUAAUACUAUUUGAAAUCAAUCUGUUUGCUUAUGCAUUUCUUUACAUCCAUUGGGGAUAAUUUAAUGGAAGUGUUAAACACACUUAAUGUGUAUGAAAAAGUGUCAAAAUUCUCUACCAAUCAAUGACAUAAACUACAAUCAAGUUUAGUACAUCGUAACCCUAAAAUACCUUCAAACCCCUGUUUCUUGUAUGAACCCCCUUUUGAUUAGGUUACAAAUGUUGAAGUACUUUAUGCACCUGAUUAGGCGAACAACAAGUGUCAAGAUUGCAAGCCAUACAUAUAAAUAUGCAUAUAAAUUUAAAAUUGAAAGAAAAUAUUAUCAAAUUUUUUUUUUACUUUUCAUACAUUUGUUGAGCUUGUACCCCCUUUUUCUUUUUUACAUAUUCAUUGGAUCAUUUCUUUUAUUUCACCAAGAACUUUUUUUUUUCUAGAACUAGAAACCUUUUUCCUUAUUCAACUUGGGAUAUCAUAUACACCCACAACCUAACAUGGUAGUUUUAAAAUUAAUUAGUUAAAAAGAAUGAAAUAAUCCCAAAAUUUGUAAAUGUAACAUGAUUGUGUUUUUGCUUGAAAGUAACCCAUUUUGAAAAAAAUGUAUUUCGCCAUUUCAAUUAUUUAUAUUUAAAUUAAAAAUUUUUUAAUUGAUGUCAUUUUUUCAAAAAGAGGACAAAAAAAAUUGGAAGUUAAAUUUUCGGAUUUAGAUUUUUAAUGAAUAUUUUAAUCAAAUAACCCUUUGUUUUAUAUCACAUAAUGUUUCUUCUUCAUUGUUCUUUAAUCCCUUGUAAUUUAUUUAUUUUUAUAUAUACAACCUAUUAAAUUUGAAAAUUUUAAUAAUUCUUGUAAUGCAUGCCUACAUGCUUAUCACAUGGACCUCUUCAUUUAUAUUAAUAGGGGAUCCAUUUGGUAUUUGAAAAUAGUUAAAGGGGCUUUGCUUGAGAAAAGCUUAGAGAUAAAAAGAAACAAUGUUUUCAGAACCCAACUAGUUAUUGAAUAAAAAAAGUUAUUAUUUCACGAUUUAGUGGUUGAACCAGAAUUUGAACCACAGCCAAACUGGUGACAUUAUAAAGAUAUAAAUUAUAUAUUAAAAAUAAAUUAUAAAAUUAUAAAAUUUAUUUUUCAUCUUUGAUAUUACCAAACUUAAAUCAUGAAUAAAUAUAAAUGUAUUACUAUUUUAAUUUUUAUAAAUAAAAUUUGUAUAACAUUCAUAUGUGAAGAAAUAUAUUAAAAUAGAAGAAAAUUCUUUUAUUCAUAAUUUAUUUUACUUAUAUUAUAUUAUUUUAGUUAUAUUAAAAAAAAUUAAAUAAUUAUGUUAAUUUAGGUUUAGUUUGCAUUUUUAAAAUUAUAAUCAUUAAUAACAAAGUGGUGAUAACCUAAACAUGAUUUAAAGGUCCAUGGUUCAAACCUUCGAUUCCUCAUUGUUUUCUUGGUCCCAUUAGGUGGGCUAGGCUUGGUAUAUGAUGGGCUAACCUUCCACCCAUGAUCCAACCUUUUAGUUGAUGAAAAAAGAAGUGUAACCUAGAACCGACAUACCAUGGUUUAAAGUUACAGUCGCGGUCAUUAACUUGGAGGGUCAUGAGGCACAUCGGUCUUGACAUCUCGACUUGAUAUCCAACGAUAUGAUAAAUAAGAUAAAUAGAAAUUAUAAAAUUAUUAAAUUAUAAAAUAUUAUAAUAAAUAUUAAAAAAAUAAAUAUAAUUAAGCAAACUUAAAAAAUUAAUAAAAUAAAAUAUUAUGAAAAUUAAAAUUGUUCGAUAAGUUUUUAAUAUUGAAAUUGAAACCAAAAACUCUUUAAUUACCAAACUCGAAUUAAAAAAUAAAGUAAAAUGUGAUGAUUUUUACCACACCUUAACAUUUAAAAAUUGAAACAAUAAAAUAACAUAUAUUAUUGAUACUAGCAUUUAAAACAAUAAAUAUAUUGUUGAUAAUGACAUUUAAAACAAUAAAAUAGCGCAUUAGACUUGCAUUCAAAUCUUCAAUUCUCAAACACCACCAACCCACCCAUGAAUAAAGAGAGAGAAGAUAACCCUAGCAAAAGUAGAGAGCUUCCUUUGCAACCCACACCCACUCCUACAUUGACGUUGGUGACAAUAUGGAGAUGAAGUAGGGAGAUGAGAGAUCGACACCCAAGAUUAUUGCUAAUGGAGGAGAUGGGGUCCAAAAAGGUGUUGUAGUCCACCCCGUGGUGAGGUUAGCGAAGAAAUGCCCUCUACCUUUUCUUCUCAUACACCUCAAAGACAAUCAAGACUUGGACUAAAAAACUUUUCAAAGACUUCAUUGGGGUCAUCUUCAUCAUCACGAGUCUUCAAUCAUGGGUCAUGAUUCUCGUGAAAUUUUUUUCUUUUGAAGAGUCAUUGAUUUUUCAAAAAAUUCUUAGUUAUGGUUGUUGUUUUGGUGUUUUCUUUUUCUCAAUUUUGGGUGUUGUUUUGCUAUGAUUUGGAAAGACAUUUGUUUGUGUUAAGUUUAACUAAAAAAAAAAUUAGUAACUUGGAUGAUUCGCCCAAGUUAACUUAGUAUCUCAAUUAAAUCAACUAGGUUUAAUCAAUUCCUGGCCAAGUCUUUACUUAAGAUGGUAUAGGGUAUCGAACUUGGCAUGGAAGGGGUUGAGGCGGAUACAACUUGGUCGAGUCAUACUAGACUGGAUCGAUACUUUGAACCAUGCGACAAACUGGUUCAUUGAUUCAAUAGUCCAACCAUUAGUCUAUCCGAUUCAAGGCCGAUUCAUUGUGUACUCCGACCCAAAGGCCAAGCUAGACCAGGCUCCAAUCGAUAAUCCGACUUGGUUUUGGUUAGAUUUUUUAAUUCAUCCAAACUCUUAGGAAGUUUCAAAUGUAAAUACCAAUAAUAAUAAUGGAAAAUAUAUCAUUAUUUUCUAAUAGUUAAAUUGCAUAUUAUAUAAUGGUAAGGCUUUAGAGGAAUCUUAAAUAUAAAAAACUAAUAUUACCAUCUCUAAUUUCUAAAAAUGAGAAAAAUGAAUUUUAUUUCCAACUACAAUAAAUUGUAUAGUUUGAUAAAUAUAUCAAAAAUGGGUGUCAUAUUCAUCUUAGGGUGUGUUUGGUAUGUAAGAAUGAUGAACGAGAAUGAAUAUUUUGUUUCAAUUCUUAUUUCCCCUUGAAUAGGAAUGAAUUUGGUGAUUCCAAUUCUUGUGUUUGCAUGCAUAUAGGAAUGUAAAGUUGGAAAAACAAUUUGUUUCCAUUUCAAUGUUAAGUAAAAAUGGGAAUGAAAUUAAAAAUAUAUAUAAAUAAAUUAUUAAUAAUAUUCAAACAUAUAGUUUAAAAUAAUUUAAAAAAAAAUGAUUUGUUUUUACUGAAUAAAAAGCUAUCUAUUUCAAUGUAUGAUUUAAAAACAAAAUUAUUUUUAAAAAAAUUUAUACCUAGUUAUUGUUAUUUAGAAACAAUUUUUAAAAAUAAAGUAAACUAGAAAAUUGUUAUUCCAAUUUUUUUUUCAUUGGAGAAAAUAAAUUUCAAAUCAAGUGAAACUUUGUAUUGAAUUUAUUAAUAAGUUUAAUAAUUUUAAAAAAUAAAAUAAAACUCAAAAAAUUUAUGUAACAAUUAUAACAAAAUAAUAGAUAUAAUUAACACUUUAAAUUAUUUAAUAAAUAUUGUAAUUUUUAAGAAUAAUUUAAUAUUUAAAAAACUAAUUAAUUAAUUAUAGAUUAAAUAAAAUAAUUCAAAAUGUCAUCUUCGUAAUUGAAUAAUAAAUAUAUGCAUAUAAUAUUUAAGAGCUUCAUGGAGCUCAUCAAAUGUAAUUGGGGUGUCAUGUGUUUGAAUGACAUAGACUAGUUCUUUGUAUUCGUCAACAAGACCAUAAAAGAUUUUCCCUGUGACAUUCUUUUCAUCCAUUGGGGCACCAAGGAGAGUAAGUUCAUUGGCGCAAGCUUUAAUGGUCCAUAGGAAGGUAGUGAUACUUUGCAAACCCUUGGUGGAAUUCUUAAGGUGGAUAUUGACUUGUUUAAUGUAGACAUGAGAUAGUUUGACACAGGUAUUGGCGAAGAUGAUCUAUGCUUCAUGAGAGGUUGUGGCAUAGGCAAUGAAUGGAAUUAUGGUGGGUGAAAUGGAGCCAAUAAGUGCAUUUAGGAUCAAUUAAUCUUGACAAAGCCAUGAAGAAUAGGCUGGGUUGGGUAUUACGGUGUUGUUGGUAAUGAGAGUGGUGGGUGGACACGUUAUGGUUCCAUCAAUAUAGCUAAGGAGGUCAAAGCCAAUAAAUAAUGUUUGCAAUUGAAACCUUUAUGAUAUGUAGUUGGUAGUGGUUAGUUUAAGUGGGGCUUGAGCAAAAUUAUUUAUUGAAAUGAGUGUUUGGUGUGACUCAUAGGUGUUGUGAAUAUUGAGAGUAGAAGUUGCAAAAGUGGUGGCGUCUUAGGUGGCCAUGAGGCUAUGAUGAUGGGGAGGAGCACUAGAUGGCUUUGGUAGAGAAAAAGAGGUAAGAAGGAAAAACAUGUGGUGGCUAGGGUUUUCAAGUCAAGAAGCUUGAAUGCUUUGGUGCCAUAUUAAAGAAUGAGAUUGGUAAAUUAUUGCAUUUUUUUUUCCUUUGAUUAUGAAGAAUAUACAUACAUGUACAAAGAAUAUAAAUCUAGAAAGUUUAUAAUUACCUAAAAUCAUAACCUAGAAUAUAACUAAUUUACAAUCAAUAGGUUAUUUAUAAAAGGAACAAAUUAUUUACAAAAGAAAACAAAUUAGUGAUUGAAAUAGAAUUUGUUAACUUCCUUUACUAGUGUCAAGUUCAACACUCCCCACAUCAAAAGGUGUAUUUGGAACCAUGUACAUAUCUUUAUUCUUGAAUUUCAUUAAUUAAGAUGUCCAUCAUCAAUCUGGAAAUUGUAAUGGAAAGCUUCAACAAGCAUCAAUAGUCUCCCAAUCUAUCACCAAUCAAAGUGCAAAUGGCACUAUACAAGGUUUGCUACCAUCAUACGACCUAAUAAUAAUAAUAUCUUACCAAAAAUUUAUUCAUUAAAAAAUUAUAUUGAAACAUUUCAAAAAAUUAAUUUACCAAAAUAAUAAUAAUAAUAACAAUAACUUACCAAAAAUUAUAUUGAAACAUUUCAAAAAAAUUAAUUUACCAAAAUAAUAAUAAUAAUAGUAAUAAUAAUAAUAAUAAUAUCUUGCCAAAAAUUUAUUCAUUAAAAAGUUAUAUUGAAACAUUUCAAAAAAAUUAAUUUACCAAAAUGAUAAUAAUAAUAAUAAUAAAUAUUAAUUAAUUAAUUAAUUAAAUAAAUAAAACAAAAAUUACCUUACCAAAAUUCAAGUCAAAAUGAAUAUGUAUCUAAAUUAACUAAUUUGAAAUGCACCUACAAUGCAACCAAGUGGACUAAGUUAAAGUGUAACUAAAUGGAUUGGAAUGAUCUGAAGUGUGACUAAGUGAGCUUGCAUAAAAGAUGCCUAGGUGUGCCUAAGUGGGUUUAAGUGUGUUCAAAUGGGCCAGGUGUGUCUAAAUGAGUUAGGGUGCGUCUAUGUGACCUAAACUAGGCGUGAAGAGUAGCCAAGUUCAUAGUGAGGGUCCUGAUGAGCCCCUUUACACAAGGGUCCCCAAAGAUGGCUUAGAAAAAGAAGUUGUAUGAGUGUCAAUAGGUUACCAAGGAUUGAUCACAAGGUAAAAGAGGAACAUAGGGUAGAAACUAGCAUUACAUGUGCUAAGAGGACAAAAUGGAGGGUCUACAAUAGAUUGAUCAACUUGCUUACCACCUCUUAAGGUAAAGGUUGCUUUGACUUCAUCCUUCUUAGUAGAACUUUCACUUGUCUCUCCAAUUUCAUAGACUCUACUUGGAUUUUAUUGGGGUUGUGAAGAGAAUUCUCUUUUUUAUUCCACUGUAUGCAUGCUUGUGAGUUUAGAAAUAGCAAGUUGCAUAUUAUCAAUUUGUUUGUGUGAGAUUGGUUUGCAAGCUAUCAAAUUUCUGAUUGAAAGAUGUCUCCACAUGGUCUAUUCUUUGGUUUACUUGGGUAUUGAUAUUCUUUUGAUCACCAAUAAAAUCUCCCAAAAUUUUACUCAAGUUUAUAGUAGCUAGCACAACCAAAGAAACUUGUUGUGGAAAGUCUUCCAUGGAUUGUUGGCUUUAUGAGUAUUGGCUUGAAGAAAAUUGUUCUUGUCCACAAUUCCAUGAGAUGUUCGGAUGAUUCUCAACAAGUCUUUCCCCCAUAGCUGGUAUUGUAGGAUAAUCACUCAGUUCAUGUUUUAUAGAUUGACAACUAGAACAUUGCUCCAUGUAAAUUGGAUUAUCAUAUAUCGCAUUCACCUCAUGAAAUACCUUAGCUUUAAGUUCCUCUAGCCUUCUUGUCAAAGCUAUCAUUUUAGCUUGUAGAUCAACAUUUUCAUUCAACAUAUACAUUCCUCCAUUUGAAUUGCUUUGAGACUUGGACUUGUGUAAAUCCCUUUCAUGUGGUUCAUCCCAUGACUUUGAUAUUUCAGCCACAUAAUUCAAAAAUUCAAGGGCUUCAUCGGGACUUUUGCUCAUAAAGUCACCUCCACACAUGGUUUAUAGCAAUUACUUCAUAGUUGGCGACAUACCCUCAUAGAAGUAAUUCACCAACAUCCAUGUGUCAAAACCAUAAUGAGGACAAGCAUUGACUACUUUCAUAUAUCUUUCCUAACAAGCAUAAAAAUUUUCAUUGUCCAAUGUCGCAAAGUUGGUAAUUUGCCUUUCAAGCCACUUGUGUGAUGUGUGUGAAAAAAUUUCUUCUAGAAGGUUGUUUGUAGUUCCAACCAUGACCUUAUACUUUGGGGCCUUAGUGAGUUGAACCACAACUUAGCGUUAUCCUUCAAUGUGAAUGGAAAAAGCUUCAAUCUCAUAAACUUCAUGGAUGUGUUUCCCUCAUGAAAUGUAUGACAUACUUCUUCAAAAUCCUUUAUAUGAAUGUAAGGAUUCUCAUUCUCCAUUCCAUGAAAUUGAGGAAAAAGUGGUACCAAGUGAGUUUUUAUCACAAUAGGCUCAUUAGGAAGAACUAUACAUGAUCUCAUGCCUAUCCUUUGAGGAUGCAUAUAUUCUCUCAUUGAUCUAGACAUGUGAGAAUUGCCAUUGUUUGGUCCUUGUUGAGUUUGUUGAUCUUGCCCUUGAUUUUCCAUUUCCUUAACAAUUGGAUCACAAACCAAAGAUGAUUAGUAAUGUAAGUUCUUUGUAAUCUCUCCCCCAAAAUGUAUUCUCAAUGUAGCAUGCAAUGGAAAGCCUACAAAACAAGCCAAGAAAAACAAAAACAAAAUAAAAAGAACAAAAGAGAAAAAUAAAAAGAAAAAUGAAAUUUGAAAGAAAACUAAGAUGAAAGUGGAGAAUUGGUAAAGAGAACUUCGCCAAUCUUGUGAUGUGGAUCACAAGGGUUAAUCCUCACCAAAAAAAUUUUCCUUAAUCACCUUGGCACCACCCUUGACAACGAUGCCAUUUUUGAUCGAUUGAUUUUUCAUCAUUUAUUGAAUCAAAAAAAAAAAAAAACUUAAUUCACUAUUCUAGAGUAGCUUGUACCAGAUCAAAAAUGGUUUUAGUAGUGGUUUUUAGGUAUUGUCCACUAGGGUGGAUUAUUCUCGGUAAUUAAGGCUUGAAUGAGAGGAUAAGAAAUGAUUAUGAUCAAGUGACAUUGAAUUGAAAAUUCAUAGUGAAAAAUCAAUUUGAUAGUGGUCUCAAAUUGAAAAGAAAAAUGAAAUGUAAAAUAGAAGAAAAUUAAUAGGAAAUGAAAUUCUCAGAGUUAGGAUUUUCUAAAAAAUAAUUUCCAUGGUGAAUAGAUGUUGAGAUCUAAUUUUCAUCAAGAUAAACUGAAAACCUAAAUUUUCAUCUAAACCGAUUUUUGAUUUAGCUUUAGGUUUAGAUCUAAUUUCUUUUCAAACUAGGUUAUUUAAUCCAAGAGAUCAAUUCAAAUCAUAUAUUCAAUUCAUCUUAAAUUUUCUUCUAAUGAUUCACACAAUGCAAUUAUUCAAUUUCUUCAAAUCUAGCUUUAAGAAUUUAAUGAAUCUACCUAGUUUGCAUUGUAGUAAUCAUUCAAGACAAUUUGAAGAGAAAAAUCCCCAAAAAUCAAUUAAUAAAUCAAUUGGAUCAAAUUACCUUUGUAAUUCAAGCUCAUUUAUCUAAUUCACCAUGGAUCUUGCCUCUAGAUGUUUUCUCCUAUGAGAAAAACGAGAUUUAGCCACUCAUGAUUGGAGAUUUGGUCUCACAAGGCAUGUUUGGUUGGUGAGAAAAUAAGAGAAAAUGAAGAAAAAUUAAGAAUUCUAUUGAGAGAGAAAAUCUGGAAAAUUUUGCAAUUAGAAAUGUUCGAAAAGUUCAUCUCAUGAGAAAAUCAAGUUUCUAUUUAUAGGCCAAGGUCAAGUGGACACUUGGCAUCAUCUAAGAGGUUUUCCGAAAACUUCUUCAUUAAGAAAUCUGGAGUUUAAUAAUAAAAUGGUCAUUUCGCACGAUUGUGCAAAAUAAAAAAUGCAACAACAACAAUUUACAUAUUCCUGGAGCAUUUCGCAUGAUUGUGCUAAGUUUUCGUAUGAUCAUGUGAAAUUAGCUUUGAAAUUCCCCUUGGCUUGCAACACAAAUCCACCUUCUGGUCCAUUUUGCAUGAUCAUGCGAAAUUUUUGUAUGAUCAUGCGAAAUUUUUGCAUGAUCAUGCGAAAUGGAAAUAUUAAUUUUUAAACUCUUUUUUGUCAUUUCUUCCAUUUCUUUCUUUUGAAUCCACCUCAACCACUUCCAAAUUAGCUCCAAAUCUUGGUCCAAGUGCAUUGAUUAUUCCUCAUCAUCCACAUUAUUUGCCCUUCCUCAAUUCCAUUUCUCUUUUGUCUCUCAAUGCUUCAAAAAUCACCUUGAAAUAUCUCCAAAACAUUAUAAAAACCAUUAGUAUCUCUUGCAAGGGCAACAAUGUAUUACUUGGGCAUAUUAGGCAUAAUUACUACUCAAAAGGUAUGGAAUUCAUGAGAAUUAUUAUUUAAAAUGUGUUGUUUUUGAGUAGUAAUCAGUUGACUUGAUGAUUAUUUUGUAUAUAUUUCACAUGCCUUAAUGUACAUUGAUUCUUGUUAUUAUAUGUGUUUGCAUAUAUCUACUUAUGUCUGUAUAUAUCUAUUUUGCAUGAUUGUGUGAUGCAUGGCUACCUUGAUUCUGCAUAAUGCAUGUUUUGCUUUUUUGUGUAGGAUACACGUUUAUCCCUCUAUCUCGAACUCCCUGGCCUUGAUCAAUUUUCUUCUUUUGAUCACACAUUUGGUGUGUGAGACUUGGUGCCUUAUUUGUUUCCCGAGUAAGCUAGUGUUUAAAAGUAGGGUCUAGUUGUGGGUUGUAUGUAUGUUUGGGAGCACUUAGAGCAUUGUCAUGACAUCAUCAACUUCUUGAGAUCAUCACCUUAGAGGAUUUAUCAGAAUCCUAUUCGGUCACCUCAUCCCUACUAUCAUCCCACUUUGCCACAUCAUCCUACCUCACCAUGUCAUCACUUUGCCACAUCCCUAGUGCCUUAACAUCAUCUUACGCUGCCAUAUCAUCCUUGUCGCUUUAUUCUUAUCAUAUCAGCACUCUACCUUAUCAUCUCAUUCUUAUUGUCAUCCCCACUUUGCCUCAUCGUCAUAUUUUAUCAUUUCACCCCACAUUUUUUUUAUGUCAUCAUUCUAUAUUGUUGCAACAUCAUGAUGCCUUAGAGAGCAUCACAACAUCAUUGACCUCAUGUUAGUGGAGGUCACCACAUCAUCUCCACUUAGAGUUUGAUCAUUGAAGACUUGUAUAACUUAUGACUAGAUUCAAGAUAAAUGUGUGACCACUGUGUUUAUUUUAAUUUUUUUGCUUUAGUUUAAGAGGUUGUUUAGAUGCACUUAUGCCACACACUAUACACAUUAGAUCAUCUUGUAUGUGUGUUAAGAGAGUUAACAUGUGCUAAACAAUAGAAAACCUUAACCAUUAGGAAACCACCUUAAGAUGUCAAGGAAGUGCACGUGUAGAGGUGAUGACAACCUUGCAUGGAAGCUCUUAGUCUCUUUGGAGGAGUGUAGGAGGUUAUGUACCAACAAUGGGUAUGAUUGCUCCUACUAGAUACCUUUGAUCCUACCUUUUAGAGCCAUCUUUACCUUGUAGAAUGAGAAUUAGAUCCGUGGACCUAGGUAUCUACCCACACGUAGGUGCAUUCAUGUAUAGGAAUUUGAUAACAACAAUUUUGCAUCAACAUUAGAGUUCCAUUAACAUAGAUUAGUUGUAUUAUCAUCCUCUUUACUCUUCAUUAGUUGGAUUCAGUUAGUCAAUCUUCUAGGUUAUACAUUGGUCGAUCUUAUAUAGCCUUCUUCCCUUUAGAAUUUUGUCAACUUGAAGAUGUCUUAUAUAGAAAGGAUUGAUUUUUCUAAAUGUAUUGUCAAUGUUUUAGGUUGUUGUACAUUAAGUGUAGCAUUCUAGGAUAUGUUAUUUGACAUUUUUCAACCUAAGUCUAGGGUUUUGUGUUCCGUGGGUCAUUGAUAGGUUCCUUAGGUAACUCAUGUUAGUUAGAUUUUUGAGGACCUAGCUAGCUUCUUCUAGGUGAGAUGGUGGGUUGUUUGUCAAAGUUGGUGAGACUAUUUAUUUUUGUUGCAUCAAAACUAGUUGUCUUGGUUAUUGAGUUUGUGUUAGUCUUGUAGUGUAGUUAGAGUUUGUAUUCCUUGUCAAGUGUUUUGACUUGUUAGUAUUUGUUUCUAUUAUGGAUGUACAUUGAUCAUUAGACUUGACCUUUUUCAUUGAAUAUAUGUUUGUAUCUUAUGGUGCAUGUGUUAGACUUUUGAUAUGACGCAUUAUUCACUUGCAUAUCACGAUUAUUGGGCCUAACCCAUCAUAGAGGAUACAAAGCCCAUUAACCUAGGACUAAAGGAUCGACUUAGGGAGUUUAAGAUUGCGGCUUAUUUUUCUUAUCAUCAGAGUUGUACCUUAUCCACUUCCAUUUACACUUUGAUCUUUACAUCUUAUCUAUCUUGAGCCUUGUAUAACAUUUACCCUUUGACACCAUCACAUGACCUUUGCAUCCCUUCUUAUCAUAACUUAUACAACAUCAUCUACAUAGACAUAGUUCCAAUCUAUUUAUUUGUUUUUUGUACUUGAGGUUGAUUUUAUGAGACAAGAAGAGUGGCUUACGAUGAGCAAAGUGGUCGAUUGUAUUAGAUCAUUAACUAUUCUAUGGUUGAGAGAAACAUCUUGACAUUGUUACAAAACAUCAAGAAUAGGAUAUUUAUGCAUAAUUUUAGAGGGAUGGAAUGCCUAAAUUUUGAUAUUGUACACCAAUCUUUAGUGUUGACCAUGCCAGAGUUUAAGAGCAUGAUGUUUGAGGUUUUGACGAAAGAAUGGGUGGCCAUCAUUUCAUGAGCCUAUUUAUAUAAUCACCUUUGUGUAUAAAGUUACCCUUUGCUAGCCAAUUGAGUCAUGCAUAUUUGACAUUUUGAUUCAUGACCUUGCUUACCUUGUUUCUCAUACCUAUGGUUAGGGCCUCUCGGCACAUUUUUGCUUAUAGAUAAGAUCACCUAGGUUGUGGGCUCCUCAGCUGAUUCAUCUUUUGCAUUCAUUAUGUUCAUCUUGAUCAUUUGUAUUAUUUCAUAUGUACCUUUUCUCAAUACUUAUUGUACCCAUUUGAUCAUCGUUCAUUAUUCUAUCAUUAUGAGUUCAUAUAUAUACAUAUGACUUAGCCUUCUUGUACAUAUAUUAAGAUUUGUAUAGGUUACCUUAGGAUCCUUGUACAUGAUUGCAUUGAUUCAUUGGUUUGAUUAUUGUUAAAAAGAAGAAAAAAGAAAAAUUAUGAUGUUAGUCUUUGUUGACGACUUGUGUGAUAGUUUUGAUCUUUUCAUUAUAUAUAUCCCUCUUAUCUAUACAUCAAGUUAUGAUUGAGUUGUGGGUUUUAUACCUAACUAUGACAUUUUGCUUCUCUUAUACUGAAUUACUCUUUUUAUUUAGAGUUUUAUUCUCAUUCAUCUUGGUUAUGUUUUUUUUUUUUUUUGCUUAUAUAUUGAGUUAUCAUUCAUUGACAUUAUCUGCUUUACCUCUAGCCAUUGUUCUAUUCCUUUGAUUCUUUUGAGCCUAUUCUAGAGUCUUACCCUUGUCAUUUCCAUUUCUUUGACUCAUUCAUAUGGAUGGUUGGUAUUUGUGUAGUUCUGAUCUUGGUUUUUUUUUUCUUUCUUUUCAUUCAUUCAUGGUAUGUAUCAUAGUGUAUUUUUUUCAUUCAUUCAGUUAUCUAUAUCAUUGAGCAUCUAUGAGGUCUAUAAUCUUUGAGUUUCUUUAUCUAUUACAUUGUGUAUGCCAAAGGCAUGGGGAUUGUAUCAUUAGGAUUAUCGAGAUUAGUUUCCAUUCGUUUCUUUUGCCCUAUUACCUUAGCCUACAUUUCAUCUUAGGUCUCAAGACAACCUUGAGACCAUGACAUUAUGCAUUAUGCUUGAUAGCUCACACGUGGGCGACAUUUGAGAUUGGUUGAAGAUCACUUAGAGCAUUAUGGAUGAGAAACUAUGAGAGGGUUUACACUGGGGCAUAACCUCUCAUCAAUUAUUGAUUUUUGAUAUGAUAGCUUAUACUAGGGCAUUGCCAUUUCAUUCCCUCUCAUGGAGCAUGAUAGAUCAGGAGUCACUCAGAUUCAUAUUGACAUAUAUCUAUUUUUUAGAUAUAGGAUAAAGUUUGAUUUUGAUUAAACAAUUUACACUAUGGCAUAUCCAUCUCAAGGAGUUUAUAUUGGGUUGUAGCUCUUUUAUUGGUGAUUAAUUUUUUAGAUAAUAGCUUAUAUUGAGGCAUAGUCACUUCAUUCCUUCUCAUGGAGCAUGAUAGAUAAGGAGUGACUUAGAUUCAUAUCAACAUAUAUCCAUUUUUUAGAUUUGGGAUUGAGUUUGAUUUUGAUUUGACAAUUUACACUAAGGCACAACCACCUCAAAGAGUUUAUACUGGUGUAUAACCCUCUCAUUGAUGAUUGAUUUUAGAGAUGAUAGCUUAUUCUAAGGCAUAACCACUUUAUUCCUUCUCAUGGAGUAUGAUGGAUUAGGAGUCGCUUGGAUUCAUAUCAACAUAUAUAUAUAUAUAUAUAUAUAUAUAUAUCUAUUUUUGAGAUCUAGGAUAGAGUUUGAUUUUGAUUUGACGAUUUAUACUAGGGAAUAGCCACCUUAGAGAGUUUAUACUAGGGCAUAACCCUCACAUCAAUGAUUGUUUUUUGAGAUGAUAUCUUGUACUAGGGCAUGCCUUCAUUCCCUCUCAUAGAGCAUGAUGGAUUAAGAGUCACAUGGAUUGAUAUCGACAUAUAUCCAUUUUUGAGAUAUGGGAUGGAGUUUGGUUUUGAUUUGACAAUUUAUACUAAGGCAUAACCACUAUGCUCGAUUCCCUACACUAGGACAUAUUUGUCUUCUAGAGGAGAUUUGAUACUCCCUUCACAUUAUAGUAUGAAGAUACUUUAGGGAGUAGAGAUCUAUCUUGAUGAGAUUGUGUAUGUUACAACAUAACCAUUCUAGAGAUUACCUUGCACCAAGGUUUGACAUUUCAAAUGUUACCUUAUAUACUAGGGCAUACACCUCUUAUCAGUGUUUGUUUUGAAGAUGAUUAAUUUGUUUUGGCCUUACCCAAUUUGACUCGAUAUAUUCAUGUUGGGGCAUAACCCACUCAGUUGGUGAUUGAUUAUUUUUCGAAAUGACAAUUUAUACUGAGCAUAACCACGGUUUGAAUCCUUACAUUGGGGCAUAGCCAUUUUCUUGGAAAUGAUCAGACAUUCUUUUCAUAUUGGAGUAUGAGAGAUGCUUGAGAGAUAUUGAUUUGAUGUCUUUUAUAUUGGGGCAUAACCAUUUAAGGGAGUAUUUAUACUGGGGCAUGACCAUCUUAUUGAUCUUCUAGCUAGGAUAUUGAAAUUCGGCCACUUGAUUGAGGUUUUUUAUGGGUUUAGAGAUCAUGACACCUUGGAUUCAGUUUUCUUACCAUACCUGGUCUGAUUUAGAUACCCUCUUACAUUUAUUUCAUACCAAAACACUCCAUUUUUGCUAUCUUCACACUUAUAUCUUGUAUUCAAUCCACCCAUCUCAUUCCAUCAUGACGUAUAAACUUAUUUUGCUUCCAAAUCAUAGGAGGAUGUAGACCAAUCAUGAGUUUCCUAGUCAAACUUUCAUGUGCAUUUUGGAUACUGAAUUUACCCUCUUCCAUGAUGGCAAGGCUUGACAAAUUGUCGAUUGUUUGUGAUAUUUUUCAUUUGAUAGUCUACAUGUCAUGGCAUGACUUGGUGCAUAUUUAGACUUAAAGCUUUAGUUAGCUUUGUUUUUGUCCAUCAUUCAAUUUUAUUUUGAUAACAUGGUCCUAAGACCCAUAGUCCUAUUUAGCUUUUCUAAUUGUGGAUUAGACAUUUUCAUCUUAUUGUUGAUGAGUGUAUCCUAUAGUACAUCGGUUGUUGUAUAACAUUUCGUAUCUUUUGUAUUUUCUUUUUUUAGUCUAAUGUUAGUUGUCUUUUAAUCUUUGGUAUUUUCUUAGUCAUCAUUUGAACCCUAAGUUGUACCAUUACUUCAUCUUUGCCUCACCCUCGAUCAACCUCAAGCCACACUUUUAGGUCAUUAUUCAACCCUCAGUCAAACCUUCGUGUAUCUUUAGGUUUUCUCAUAUUUCCUUAUCUAUCUUGCUCAUCGAUCAGCCUCAACUUUAUUGUUAGAUCAUCUCUUUAUCAUUUUAGAUGAACCUUGAGCUUUAUGGUUAAAUCCUCUCAUCGAUCACCCUCUAACACCAAGCUAUGCCUUUAAAUCAUCAUUUGGCUAAGAACCACAUUUUUAGUAUUAUCCUAAUCACUUUUUCACUCAUCGUGACUAUGCCUUACUAUUAAAGUUUGACCCAUUUUUUAAGUUUUUGUUAGUCACACCUAACUAUUUAACAUUUUAUGUCUCUAUUAGUACUGCACCCUAAUUGUCCAACAUUUUUAUGUUUUUCUAUUAGUGUCAUGCCCUGAUUGUCUGACACCUUUUAUGUUUCUUAAUAUCGUGCCCUACCUGUCUAAACUUUUUUAUGCUUCUUGUUAAAUUCGCACCUUGACUAUUCCAACUUUUUUAUAUUUUUUUUUAGUACUACACCUUGACUAUUUGACCUCAUUUAUGCUUUCUUAGAGUUGUGUCAUGACUGUUUGACCUUUAUGUUUCUUGUUAGUGUCAUGCUAUGACUAUUUGACCUUUUUAUGUCUCCUAUUAGAGUUGUGCCUUGAUUGUCUUACUUUUCAUGUCUUUUCUUACAUUGUGCUUUGAAUUGUCCAACUUUUCUAUGUCUUGUUUUUAGUGUCACACCCUAACUAUCCAACCAUCUUAUACUUAUUUCAUUAUCGUGCUUCAAUUGCCCGGCCUUUUAUGUCUUCUUUUAAUGUCGCAUCCUAACAGUCCAAUCUUUUUAUGUCUUUUUUAAUGCUACGCCUUGAUUGUCUCGCCCUUUAUGUCUUAUUUUAGUGUCGUGUUAUGACUAUUCAACCUUUCUAUGUCUCUUUCAUGUCACGCUUAGAUUGUUUAACCUUUUUAUGCUUCUCCCAUUGUCGUGCCCUAAUCGUCUAGCCUUACUAUAUCAUUUUUAAUGUCCAGCCUUGACUAUCCAACCUUCUUAUGCUUAUCUCAUUAUCGCAUUUCGACUGUUUGGCUUUCAUGUCUUUUUUAAGUAUUAUACCUUGACUGUUCGACCUCCUUUUUAUGUUUCUCUUAAUGUUGCACUCUAACUAUCUAGCUUCUUUAUGUUUCUUUUUUAGUGUUGUGCCUCAAUUGUCAGGCCUUCUUAUGCUUCUCAUAUUGCUGCACCUCGACUAUUCAACCUUUCUAUGUCUUUUUUUUUUUUUUGUGUCGCACCCUGACUAUCUGAUCUUCUUAUGUUUCUUUCAUUAUUGCACUUCUAUUAUUCUGUCUUUCUAUAUAUAUUUUUGAGUGUUUUGCCCUUACUAUUUGGACUUUUUAAGUUUCUUUUAGUGUUGCACCUUGAUUAUCCGACUUCUUUAUGUUUCUAUUUAGUGUCACACCCUAACUGUUUGGCCUCCUUAUAUUUUCUUAAUGUUGCACCUUAAUUGUCUGACUUUUUUAUGUCUUUGUUAGUGUCACAACCUAAUUAUCCAAACUUUUUUUUUUUUAUGUUUUCUAUUAAUGUCAUGCCUCGACUAUCUGACUUCUUUUAUGUUUUCUUAGUAUCGCGCCUUGACUAUUUGACUUCUUUUUGUCUCUAUUAGUGUCAUGCUUUGAUUGUCUAACUUUUUCAUGUUUUUCUAGAGCUAUCUUGACUAUCCUACCUUUUCAUGUUUUCCUAAAGUUGAGCCUUGACUGUCCAACUUUUAUUAUGUUUUCCUAGAGUCGCACCUCGAUUGUUGGGUCUUCUUUGUGUUUUCUCUAGUGUCCAUGUCCUGACUACCCGACCUCUUUUCAUUUUUAUUUUAUUAGCCUUGAGUUUUUUCUCUAAUCAUUAGUAUCCUCUUUUUUCUUCUUACCUCUCUUGUUCACCCAUUCAUUCCCCCCUUUGGAUACCAGGGUCCCUAGUGUUUCACAUAGAUAUUAUCACUACCCUGUUCAAAAGAGUUUCCCUUAAGAUCCACGUAGAUAUUACAUGUUUCUCCACUAAUAGAUCAAUGAGCACAUUUCAUAACCUUAGAGAGCUUGUGUCUUAUUAGGACAAAUUUGGUGAUCUUUCUUGUACUUUAGUAGAGUCCACUUCAUUUAGUUGGUUUAUACACUUACUUCACGUGUGAACUCUUUUGAAAAUGGGCAUAUUUGUAUAUCCCAAAAUUUGCCCUAAGCCCACUCUUACUUUUUAUUUUAUUUUAUUAUUUUAUUAUUAUUAUUUAUUUGAUUUUUACUUUAUUUUUUUCUUCUUUUCUUUUUCUUUUUUUGUUCCUUCCUUGUUUUUCACCUUUUUUUUCCCACAUGUGUGCAACUACAGAACCCUUCCCCUUCUUAUUUUUCCCUCUUUUUUUUUCUUCUUUCUUUUUUGUUUUUCUUUCUUUUCUUUCUUUUUCUCUCUUCUCUCUACCUACCCUCUUUUCCAAACCCAUCUUCAGCUGUCAGCUACCUUCCCUCUUUUUCACUUUUCUUAUUUCUUCUCAUUCUGUUUUUCUUAUUGUUACCCAUUUCUCUCUCUCACCUUGAAGGUCCAUAACCAUGCUUGCCUUAUACUCAACACUCUUACCACUAGACAGUCGCCAUCGACGAGCCAUUAUUUGUCUGUGAUCCCUUUUCUCUCUUUUCUUUAUUUUCUCUCUCUUUCUCUUAUAUCACUCAUUUUCUUUUAUUUAUUUAUUUAUUUAUUUAUUUAUUUAUUUAUUUAUUUAUUUAUUAUUAUUAUUAUUAUCCCAUUCUUUCCCCUUAUCCCUUAUUCCACAUUGCAUUCAUGAAACGAGUAAGAUGUCAUUUUUCAUUUUCUUAUUUCUUUAGUCAUUUUAUUUUUUAUUCCUAUAGUAAUUUUUCUUAAUUGUUGAGUUUGCUUGUUUGGACUUUAGAUAAUUUUGCUUGAAAUUUGCAUAUUAGAUGUUGAUCUUUUCUUGGAUUUUAAUAAAUUAAGUUAUCUAAAAAAUCUUCUUUUAAAAAAAUAAAAUAGGUCCAAUAAGACAUUUUCAUUAAAUAAGAUAAAUGGACCCAAAAAUUUCUUUUAAUAAAAAUAAGUUUUAGACAUCUUUUUUAGAUAAAAUAGUCCAAAAUUUUUAUUUUAAUAAAAGAAACAAUUCAUAAUUUUAAAAUAAAUAAAUAAAUAAAAUGUCCAAAAAUAUUUUUUCAAAUAAAAUAAACUAAAAAUAUAAGUAAAACAAUCCAAUAAUCUUGUUUUAAUGAAAUAACAGUUCAAAAAAUAUUCUUUUUAAUAGAGAAAGUUUUCUUGAUAGAAAGUUGAGAAAAAAGUUUUUUAAGGAAUAUAAAUUUUUUUAAAUAAAAAUUCAAAAAAUUGUUUUUAAUAAUAAACAUUCUAGAAAUUCAUUUGUUUAACAAAAUUUUCCAAAAAUAAAAAAUAAAAAAUUGAGUUUUAAAUAAAAUUGUCUAACAAAAAUAAUUUUAAUAAAAUCAUCCAAAAAUUGAAUUUUGAAUAAAAUUCUCUUUCCUUGAUAAGAAUGGGAUUAUAAAUCAUUUUUAUAAAGAAAGGUCUUACUAAUUUUUUUUUAAUAAGAAUAGGAUAAGUAAACCUUCAAAUCGAAUGAAAGACAUUUUUUUAAUAAAUUGGUAAACUAAUCUCUUUCUAGAUGAAAUCCAAAAAUUCUUUCUUAAUAAAAUUGGAAUCCUUGGGAAUAAAUUUGUGAAAUUCUUUCUCUAAAUAAAUUAGUAAUAAAGAAUCUUUUUCUAGGUAAAAUAAAAAUAUAUAUAUUUUUAAAAAAACUAGGUUGAGAUUCCUUCUUAUAAACUUGUAAAUAUCUUUCUUUAAGUUUGUAGAUUUUUUUUUUUUAAAUAAAUAAAGAUUGAAUCAAAACACUUUUUAAAAUAAAUUAGUAAAAUUCACCCCUUCUUAAUAAGGUAAACAAAAAUCAUUUCUUGUAAAUCAAAUAAAAUCUUUUGUAAUAAAUUGAAGCCUUGUGAAUAAAUAAAUUCAAAUCACUAAUUUGAAAUUGUUGUUAAUAUAAAUGAAUUAUUUGAAAUAAUAAAAUCUUUCUAAUAAAUUAUUUUGUGUAUUUCUUAUCUAUCAUUUUUUCAUAUCCUUAUAAUUUGCUUUUGCAUUAUUCCAUAUACAUGUAUUAUUUUUUUUCAAUAUCCAUGAUUAAUUAAUUAAUUAUCAUAAUUCCCUUUUAUAUGCUUAGUAAAAACCUUUUUAAGGCUUAAAACGGUGCUAUUAUGAUACCUUCCCAAUGGGUAACUUGACCUUUGGAUUCAGACUCAGUUUUUUCUUACACAUCUUGUGGACUUGCGUUUCUCACGUGCGCCCCCACUUGAUAAGUGAGACUCGCUUUUAUUUGUGAAAAAUUUUAUUUUUUGAAAAGUCAGAGUCGCCACUUAUUUUAUUUUAUUUUAAAGGGAAAAUAAAACAAGAAAUAAAACCCUGAAAAAUGACUCCAUAGUUUUUGGAAAACUCGAGUUUAGGUUCAGGGAUCAGGUUACUUGUUGGGAAGGUACCUCUAAAAAGGUAGCACCAUCUAAGCCCUACAAAGGUCUCUACUGACUAAGUUAAGGGAAAUGUGGCAAUUAAUUGAUUAAUUGAGGAUACCUAGGUAGACUAAGGUGAUUUCAAAAAAUAUAGCAUGCCAAACAAGAUCAAAUCACAAUAAAGGAGAGUUAGGAUGCAUACCUGAACCGUUUCUCUAACGUUUUCAUAAAACAUUAGAGUUAGCAUAGAAAUAUAACACACGACAUGUAUUUAAUCAUAGCAAAUCAAGCACACAUCUAAGCACCUAAAGAUCACAUCAAACAUAAAUGAAAUUCACAAUAACAUGCAUGUUCAUAAAAUUUCGAAAGAGCGUACCUGGAUAGCAUGCAUAUUUUAUAAGAUUCCUCAAAAAAAAAAAACCUAGAGUGGUUAGGACAAGUAUAUAUCAUAUAAAAUCUUUAUUAUGUCUAAUAUACAUUGCCAAAGCCAAAAUCGAGCUAAGAUAAAUCAAAUAACUCCAAAAAUAAUACCAAUUCAAGCAAGUAUUGAGUCAUCAGCACGCAUAUAAUAAAGGGAGCAUCAAAAAAAUAAUUUCUAAAAAAAUGUCUCGGAGUGGAAUUUAAUCACAAAAAAUUGUGGGAAACAACUCCUACACAUCUAGAACAAGAUACCAAAAUCCAAACACUCAUUCAAAUGUCAAAUUGCAGAAAAGAUGCUCAAAAGUUCCACAAAGUCUAGAUUAGAUAAGAAAAAAAAAGUGACAUGCAUAAACGAAUUUAAAAAUAAUAAUAAAUGAUCACAUAAAAUCAUACAAAAAAUCACACACAUAUUUCAAAAUGUCUAUAUCACAUAAAAAAUGAAUUCAAGGUCGGAUAGUACUCAAAAACAUUUUUAAAACACUUAAGCUAAUCAACUAUCUAUAAUUUAGCAUGCAUAGUAGGUACAACUUUUAAAAAUCAUAUCUCCCUCAAAAAAACAUAUUUUUAAAUAUUUUAUGUGUCCAAUAUCAAUUUUAAAAAGCCUAUAAUUGAGGAAAAAUAUUGAAUCAAAUUUAAAAAGCCAUCUGGUAUUUUAUUUUUGCAAAAAUAUCUUAGGUAUCCAGAACUGGGUGAAAAUGGAGCCCCCCUAAAGACUUGUUUAUAUCUUCUAUUCCAGAAUGGCUUUCUAACUCAAACGAAACUUUAAAUUCAAGUUUGAGAAAUGAGGAAAGUCAUACAAGUUUUGGAAAUAUUUUAAAAAUAUUAUAAAGUUGCUAAAAUGAAUUUUAAAUCUAAAGGGUCAGUGGCUGAGCGAAAACUUGGUAGCAAGGAAGAGGUUUGAAACAUUUUCUUAUGUAGGGGUUUCACCAAUUCCCCAAUUAGUAUACACAAAUUUAGCCUAGAAUAAUCCCAUUUAUUUGGGACCACAAGCUUUGAUUCGUAUUUUAUUCAAAACCAAGAUUUUUAUUGAAAACUGAGAAGGAUGCAAACCAAUCAAAAAAAUGAUUGCAUAUUAUUUUAAGAAAAUGAGAUUGCAAUUCUAAGGACUCUAAUUCAAUUUUUAAAAUACAUUUUUAUGAGGAACAUUUUGAGAAAAGUAUCUUAUUCUAAAAAAAAAUAUUUUGAAAAAAACAACAAAAUGUACAAGACAAAACAUCAGGCAAAACAAAAGAAAACAAAAUCACCAAGAAGAAUUUUUGACAACCCAAAAAAAAAAUUGAAGUCGUGAGAAUGGAGACCAAUCUUCACUAUUUUCCGAUGGCCUCUGAAAAGUAAAUUUUACCAAAGACUACCUAAGCAAUAAACUAUUCAAACUUAAAUGAAUUAAAUUAAUGACUAAUAUUAAAAAAAACAUAUCAAUUAAGAGUAAUAAUAACAAAUUAGCACGUGAUCGAUUAAACAUACAAACACACCUUAGACCAAUUCAAAUGGACCAAAUCAAAUCAAGGCAAACAAUAAUUUUCAAUUUAAGAAUUAAUUUUAUUAACGAACUAAUAUUAUGGAAAAUACCUAAAUUGAAUUGAUGAGGGAAGUUAAAUCAGAAUAAACUAAGGACAUUCACAUUUGAAUAUAGAAUUGAUUUUAUUAAUAACUUAAAAUUAUUAACACAUCUAAAAUAAUUAAAAUGAAUCAAUUUAAAUGAAAGCAAACUAAAAACAAAAUAUGAAUUCAAGGAAUCUACUCUCUAAAUAAACUUACAUUAUUAAAAUGAAAUCUAGGCUUAAAAAAAAUAUUUUUAACACUAAUUAAGGCAAGUCUAAAAUCAAAUAUUUAACACUUAAAUUAAUUAUUUUAACAAACAAAAAUUUUACAAGAGCACCUUAACCUAAAUUUAAAUAAAAACACUAACCAUAAUAUAUUUUAAAACGAGAUAUCUAACCUAUAGAAUUAAUCUAUUGACACAUGGAUAAAAAGACAACACAUAAAUAAAUAAUAUAAUUAAAAAAAACAAAAUAUGAAUUAAUGGAGUCAAUUUUCUAAAUAAACUUACAUUACAAAAAUGAAAUCUAAGCUUAAAAUGAAUUAAACACUAAUUAAAGUCAAUCUAAACUUAAAUUCUUAACACGCAUGAUCAAUUAUUUUAACAAACUAAAAUUUUACCUUAACCAAAAAUUAAAUUAUAAAAUUACCUGAGACUAAAUUUCUAACCUAUAAAAUUAAACUCAUAAUCAAAUGGAUAAGUUGAUAACACAUAGACAAAUAAAUAUGAAUGAAACGAAAUACGAACUCAUGGAAUUAAAUAAUUUUUUAUUUUUUAUUUUUAAUAAACUUACGUUACUAAAAUAAAUUUGAGCUUAACAAACAUUUUUAACACUAAUUAAGGCAAGUUUAAAAUAUAAUAUUUAACACAUAAAAAUCAAUCAUUUCAACAAACUAAAAUUUUACUUAAACCUAAAACCAAUUCAAAUGACCUAUGGACUUUUUUUAUCAUUUUUUUUUUAAGAAAAAAUGAAUUUUUAACUCAUAGGUUCAAUAUUGUUAACAAAUAAAUAUAUAAAUAGAUUACAAAGCAUUAAAUUGAUGGCAAACAAAUAAACAAAUAAUCAAUAAUUAAGUGAAUCAAGACUAAAUUGAAUAAAGAACAAAUUAUAUAUAUAUAUAUUCAAAGUAAAGCUACAUAAAAUUAUGUUUUCUAAUCUUUAAACACAUGCUGCCAUAUUUAAAGCAAUUCACGCUGGAGCUAGUAAUGUUGGUCAAACCACCCAAUACAAUAAUAAUUUCACUAAUAAUAAUAAUAAUAAUAAUAAUAAUCUAGAUGUGCAUUGUUAUUGAAAACACAUAUAAUAACAAUUCUAAUCUUUAAACUCAUGCUGCCAUAUCCAAACCAAUACAUCUAGUAAAAGUCAAACCACCCAAUGUAAUAAUAAUUCCACUUGAAAAAGUAAUCUAGACUUGCACUGUUACUAAAAACCCAUACUAAAAAAAAACAAAUAACGCACCUAGUUGGCUUACCAAACAACUUGGUGGUGUGUAGCUGCUUUCAUUUCUCCAACGGUGCUCGGGAACAAUGGCGUGCUGGUUGAUGGGAAAUGAUAUUAUCUUUCCUCAUCCAAUACGUUUUCAAGGAUGUGCGGAUGGAUGGGUUGUUGUCCAGAUGGUCCAUUCGGUGAGUUUAAAUGUCGUCUCCCUUCGCUCUGAAAACUCCCUGUCGAUCCCUUCAAACAGCCGUAUUUAUCACGUUCUCAAAAACUCUUCCUUUCGAUCCCUUCAAAUAGCCCCUCUCAUUCUGUAAAAAAAAAAAAAAAAUCUUCUUUUUGAUACCCUCUAACAACCCUUCUAUCUCUGUAAAACCCUCCCUCUCUUAUCCCAAAACGACAACCUAGUGAUGAUAAAAAAAAUCAACAACAGCCCGUUGAUAAAAAAAAAAAAAAUCAGUAGCAGCCCGAUGAUGAUAAAAAAUCAUAGCAGCAGCAAUCCGCUCUUCCUUUUUUUUUUUUUUUUUUUUUCUUUAUGGCAGCCUCCUCCACUCUGAAAAACUCCUUCCCGCUCAUUUUAAAAUGGCACCCUUCCUCCCCUUAUUACCGAUCACUUCAAAUAUCCUCCCUCCCACGUUGUCCUCCUCUCAUUUUUUCUCAAAACUCUGUCAAACUCCUCUCUCUCAAUCAAUCCGUGGUUCCUCUCAUUAGUCCCGUUGACUCUACCAACAUGGAAAAAAUCCCUCACCAGUCUAGAGAAAACCAGUAAUCUUCCGCAUCAGUCCAACAUGAUUAGAACCCUCUCAUUUUGAACCUAGCCUUCAUUCCAUUCCUAUACACACCGAACAUCUUCUUUUCACCUGCCAAAAUCAGCUUUGGUAAGUUUCUAAACCUUCCCAUCUCUCUCUUUCUUCCCUUUUUCGUAUCUGUCUUGGGUUGAAUGCUCUUUCAAAUCACGGUCGAAUCUCCCUUCCAUAGAACCAUGCAAUAAAAAUAGUAAAAACAAAAUCAUCCAAUUAAAUAGUAAUAAUAAUAAUAAUAAUAAUAAUAAUAAUAAUAAUAAAUAAAUAAAUAAUAAUAAAGAUGAUUAAUCAUAUACAUGUACAAGAUAACCAAAAUAUUAUUUCAUGAUAAAGAAACAUAACGUUAGUAUCUUAUAAUCUCCUAAAAAUAAAUAAAUAAAAGAACAAAUAAACUAAAACCCACUUAAAACAAAAAUCAAACAAAUAGAAUUCCAGAAGACAAACCUCAGUGUACUAAGCUUAAAGAACUACCCAAGGGAUUCUAAGUGGGCCUAAAGUGGUGCCUAAGUGGACCUAGGAUGCCUAAGUAGGCCUAGAGUGAUACAUAAGUGGGCCUAAGUGGGCUUAGAGUGGGCCUAAGUGUAUCUAAGUGAACCUAGGAUGCCUAAGUGAGCUUAAAGUGGUGCCUAAUGGGUUAGGCAUGUCUAAUGGGCCUAAGGUGUACUAAGUGAACCUAAGGUGCCUAAGUGGUGCCUAAGUGGGCCUAAGUCUAAAUAGGGCUGCCAAAAGUCACAAUGGGGUUAGGUAAAUCCCUCAACCAAAAUCUCUAAGGUGGCUUAGAAAAAAUACGCUACAUGAGUAGCAAUGGGCCACCACGAAAUUACUGUCAAGUAUCGAACAAAUACCUAAUAGGACACGUGUUAGGAGAACAAAAUGGAGGGUCUACACAUCUUUUCUUUAAAAAUGGAGUUACACUAAGGUUGUAUUUCUUAUUUUGUUCUCUUUAAAAAAAAACCAAAAAUAAGUAACGACUCAAACUUUAAAAAAAAAAAAAAAUCAGUUUUUUACAAUAAAAACAAGUCUCACCAUCAAGUAGAAACACACAUGACAAAUGUAGGUUCACAAUUAUAUUUAGACUUAAAAUAUAAUACAAUUACUAAAUCAACGAAUGUUGUAAGUUUUAAAAUCUUUAAUCAUAAAAUAUUCAAAGCACAAUGAAACAAAUAGUUUUCAAAAGAAAAAAAAUGUUUAAAAUGGAAAAUCUAACAAUAAAGACAAUGAAACAAGGUGAUAUGGUAGGAGUUAAAUAGAAAAUUCUUUUAUCCAUGAAUUUAUAGUUUAUUUAGUAGAAAAAAGUUCAAAAGAAAUAUUGCAUACAUUAAUGGAUUAAGUAGAUAAAAGGGAUUUAAGUAAUUUGAUAUUUAUGCUUUAGUUAGAUAACAUAAAAUAGAAAUUUGAUAUUAUUAGUUUCCAUACUGAGUUUAGAAAUCUAUCAAAUGGAUGUUAGAUUAUCUUUCUUUGAAUGCUUAUAUAAAUUAAGUGUAUAUGGGGCAAUCUAAAGGAUUUAUUGUUAUAGGACAAGAACACAAAGUUAGGGAUAGAUACAUUUAGCUAGGUUGGUUUUUAACCAAUCCAAGAAUCAAAUAGGAGUUCAUUGGUUUUAACUAAAGUACAACAAAUUUAUUUAUUUACUCAAACUAAUCCAACCUAAUAUCAGUUCGAUUCACUUUCGUUAACUCAAUUUAGACAAAAAUAUUAAGUCUAUAUGUUUUUUUUCCACAUUGAUCAUACAACCAAAAUGAUCAAAUUGUUUUAGAUAAAUUUUUUUUUAUAUACAAAUAAUACAAUUAAAAAUUUUAAAAAUAAUGUGUAGGAGUUGACCUGUAGGUUAUUUGCUUGUUGGGAGUAAGUCAAUGAGUAGUAUUAUUGACAUAUUGGGUGCUUGUGACUUGAAAUUAUAUUAUCAUCAUUAUUAAGUCUCAAAGUACAAGGAUUUUAAGUUUUGGAUCAUGCUUAUGCCAUAAGCAACUUUUAAUUUGUAAUAAAGCCAUACAAGUUAGGCUCCAAGCCUCCAACACCAAACUAUAGCACAGCUAAGUUGGCUUUGGAUGAGCAUAGUUUGACUCACAAAGUCCUAAGAUUCUCCACAACACUCCAAAAUCCAAGCAAUUAUAUUUAUCCCACUCCUCUACUACUUGGGUUUGUUUGCUAGUCCACUUUUGGUAAGUGAACUAGGUUGAAUCUUCCAUAAGCCAAGUACAUAAAGUAGUUUGAUCUCUAGUUUCACUGUACUACCAAAAUAGAGUAAUUCAAGUAAGAAGACUUCUAAAGAGAAUAGUCUAGAGGGCUACUACAAAUGAGAAUAGUCUUUUAAACAUAUGUAAUCGAUUGUGCAUUACUUAAGUAAGAAGACUUCUAAAGUUGGAUAAGUUGUUUAGAAUUUUUAAGAGGGAAUUUGUAAACAUCAUAGAAUUGAUUUUAGAGACAUUUACUAAGUUCUAUCAUGAUAAUAAAGUAUUAAGGAAAAACUGUACCACCAAAACCAAGUUGUAUUUGUUAAUAAUACUUACUACAUUUCUAUUAAGAAAGAAAUUAUCUAGUGGUAGAAGACAAGUUGAUCAUUUUAGUUUGUGAAGUUUUCACUACCCAAGCUAACAUCAAAAGCUAUAACAAGACAAAUCCCAAUAAGGUAAGAUAAAAGGCUACAUAGAAGGGACAUCUUGCUCCUUGUUGAAAACCUCAUUCAAUUGCAAAUCUACUACAUCAAGAAUGCUCCCUCUUCUAUAAUUUUCUCAUUCCCAAUGUACAACACUAUUAUUAUAGUUGCUCUACAUGUUUUUUUUUUUUUUUUGGUUAUAGCAAUAACUUCAUUGGUGUGUUAAAUUCUCUUAUAGGUAAUUCCUCAAACAUGUUGUCCUCAUUGUUGCUAUUAAGUCUUGUAGUAUGAAACUAAAAAUUAAAAUUCUUGUAAUUAAAAUCAAAUGGAAGCACAAGAAUUAAAAAAAGCAAACACAAGAGAAACACUCAAAUCCAAUUACAAAGAGUAGCAUCAAAUUUUCCAUAUCUACAAAAUUCAAAUGUUUAGAUUUCCAAAAAUGAAAAUAAUAAUAAUAAUAAGGUUCAUUGAGAGAAGACAUACAUCUACAAAACAUCAAGGUGUAAGGUUAAGAGAGAAGAAUUCAAUCCAUACCUGAUAUGGAGACAUGGAGUCGAACACAUUGACUAGAUUUGAAUAAUGGAAUUCAUCUAUGGGAACUUGUGUACCAUAAGAGGGUUGGUUUUUGGAGGCACUGGAAGGUGGUCGGAGUAAUGGUUGUGGCCAUUGAAAGGGCCAAUGGUGGUGGGAAGCCAUAGUCGCUGGUGAAGAGGAAGGUAGGUGAAUUGGAGACUUGGUAAAGAAGAUAAUGCAAGCUUGAUAAAAUUUCCUCCAUCUUUUCCUUCUCUCUUAUUUUCCUCACUAAUUUUUAAGGAAAAUAGUAGAAAAAAGAUUACAAUAUUUUCUUUAGUAUUUUCCUUUAUAUUUUUUUUUCUAUCAUAUUUUUCAUGUCACACAAACUAAGGAAAAUAACUUUCCACAUUUUUUUUUCCUUUCCUUUACAUUUUCUGAAAACUAAACACAACUUUUAUAAAUAAAAAUUAAGAAUUACAGUAAGAUUGUAUAUUCUUCCUCUUUCUUCCUGCAUUUCUACAUCCAAUACUCUAUUUUACAUCAUAUUUUUACUCCCUUCUUCAAUUAGCAUUCCUCCCUUUAUAUAGAGUUAUCUUCACACCAAUUCAUAAGAUUAGAAAGAUGAAUGAACAUUGGGGCAAGGUUGGACAACUGGUGGCAGCUAUUCAGGGCUAGAAGUCAACUUUUGCUCGACUUUUUGGGCAUGGGCAGCAACAUGUGGACCCCUCUUUAGCAUGAAAAUGGCUAGAACAUGUUAAGCUCUCUUAUUAGAUGAUGUGUCAACUAUAGGGCAAUCAUAGGGUGGGGAAUAUAUGGCAAUUAUGCACAAAAAAAAAAAAUGAAAAAUAGAAAAAUUGGUAUCCAAUUAUAUAGAAAGACAUCUUCCAACAUUUGAUAUAAAUAAAUAAAAAUUAAGAGAAAAAUAUUUUUUUUUUAAAACAUAUUAAACCUAAAAUAGGGACUUAAUAAUAAAAUCAAGUAAAAAGGUAAAAUUAAAACCAAAUAUUAAAUAUGAAUAUAGUUUAAAUAUUAAAAAUAUUAUUAUUUAGGUUUAAUCAUUGGGUUUGCUAGAGGAGUUUAUAUAUAUAUAUAUUUCUUUUUUUUUUUUUAUAAUCCUAUGUUGAUGAUAUUAAUGCAUUGAAUUUGAUGUUACCUAAAACAAAAUUAUAUUUCAUGUCCUCUAUUAUAAGUGGACAACCAUUCCUCAUGUUAGAUUUUAGAUAAAGAACGAAUAUUGAAGAUUGGAGUUGUAAGAAAUUAGGAGAUCCUAAUUUUAAAUAUGUAACAAAGUUCUAUAAUCACUUCAAUUCACGUUUAAAAGUAGUAUUUCUUUCUAAUAUGGGAGCAAACUUUUCUUUCUUUUUUAUAAAUUUCAUUUGAGAAUGAUUUUAAAAUAAAUAAAUAAAAGCCCUGCUAAAUAUUAAAAAAAGACACUUAUAAAAAUUAAUGAGGUGGAUGGUAAGGUCAAAUUCGGGAUAGCUUCAUAUUUUUUUGCUUUAAGUGAAAAUUAAAGUAAUAAUUUUUAAGAUGUUGUAAAAUUUUUAUUAAACAUAAAAGAACUUCUUGUGUAAACAAAAAUAGAAUUAUAGAAUUCUUAUAAGAAAUAACAUUUGUAUGACUUCUAUGUGAAACCUUUUUUUUAACUCUUAAAAGUCCAUCCAAAUAAGAUUAAAACAUAUUUGAAAAUCAUUUUUAAAAAUCCAAAAAUGACUUAAAAAUAAUUUCUGAACUUUUUUUAAAUUUACAUUUAAAUACUAAAUGAUUCUUUUAAAAAUCAUUUAUAAUGUCAAAAUAUUUUUUUAUGGAUAAAAAUAUUACAAAUAAAAAACGUUUUAAUCACAACUAAUUUAUUUUUAAUUCAUGAAAUUUCAUUUAUUGUUAUUUAUUUUUUGGGAUUUAAUUCUUUACAAUUAUUUUUGAGUGUUUAUAAAGUAUAAUUAGGUUAUGCCCAAAUUUAUUCCUUUAACUCUAUCCAUCAGAUAUAAGUAGCGUGAAAUUUUGGCCCGUCUCCACAUUUCUUCGCUUCUGACAUUGACAUGCACUGCUUCGUGAACUCCAAACACAACGGCUAAGGAUCGAAGAAAAUGAGACAAUGGUCAAUGAAUAAUUUAUUAAUUUAUUUCUUAAUUUAAUAGCAUUGAAAUGUCAACUGGAACAAAAUGAAAGCUUAAUUUAAUACCACUCAUGACAACUUUCCUGCCAACUUAACAUAUUGACUUGGACUUGGAGGGUUCGGUCAAUUGCGGCAGCUUAGUUAAUUGUUAGUGUCUUUUCUGUAAACCAUAAAUUUAAAUGAUCAACUCCUACGUUUUAAUUUAGAAAAGCCAGUGAUUUGUUUUUACUAGUUAUUUGAAUUUAAGGAAGGAGGAAAGGGUUUACUUUAAUAUAAAAUAAAAAAAAUAAAAAAUAAAAAAUGAGAGUUGAAAAGUAAUUAAAUCACUAAAAAAAAAAACAGAUUUGGAGUUCUUUCGGUGUGGGGUUAGACUCAAUUUGUACUCAUGCAAUGGAAAUGGACAAUUUUUUUUUUUCCUUUUCCUUUAUCUUGGUGUAGAUCUUGUAAUAUUUUAUAAAAAUAUAAACUAUAUGCCAAUUAUUUUAACUUUAGGAAAAAACACUUAUUCUAAUUUAAAAUAAGUAAAUAAAAAAAGAACUGAUUUUAUCUCAAUUGUAUAAGACUUCAGAAAAAUUAUCUUAUUUGCAAAAUAUUUUCAGAUGUAAAAGUAAAAAUUAAACAAACCAUUUGAUGAUCUUUUUCAUAAGUAUCCAUUUAGAUCAUACUCUAAUUUAAAAAUAUUAGAAUAAAUCAAUUACUCUAAACUAUAUCAUUUAUAAUUUUUUUGAUUAUUAAUAUGCCUUCCAAGGAAUUGGAAUAAAAUAUGGAUAAUUAAAAAAUGUCAACUAUCCCAUUUCUAACUUUUCUAAUACGACAUGAUAUUUUAUCAUGUUGAAUGAAGUGGGUAUGGCCAAAAAUUGUCAACACAAUAGAUAAAGAUAUAUCUAUUGUGGACAUGGCAUUCAGAGGCUUCUUAACAUUGUAUUGGGCUAUUUAAUGAGUUGUUCAUAUUGAAAUUAAUUAAGGUUGAAACAGGAACACAACAUCUUUAUAGAUUUUUAACAAUCCAAGAAAUUGACAUUAAUAAUCCCAAAUACAAUAUUCUGCUACUUAACAUUAUUCUUUUUAUCUUAAUUGAAGAGGAAUACUAACUUAGUCAAAUAGAAAAUAAAUCACGAAAGCUUAAUAAUACAAAUAUUCAGUGAAAUCUUUGGCAUGUUAUUUCUUUGCAGCUUCAACAUGGUGGCAUGUCGGAUGGAGGAGGCAGCAUUUGAGCUUCUGGGUGUUUACCAUUUUUCACUAUGAACGCAGUUUCCAUGCCCCAAGUCAGAUGGCGUUCUACAUGGCAGUGCAUGAACCAUACUCCUGCAACAGAGAAAAUAUACCAACAUUACACCUAACUUAAUUGUAAUAUUAAGAAAAAUUAUUUCAUUGGUAUGCAGGUUGGCAAUUUCAAGGGUUUUUUUCUUUAAUAGAGGACAUGAAUUCUUGUAACAUACCAGGAUUGGAUGCCUCGAAUCUGAUUGCAACCCAACCUUUCGAAGGAACAGAAAUGGUAUUCUGAAGAGGAGGAUCCACCAGAUUAUAGCGCAAAGGGUCCCUAUUUCCAUCGAAAUUCCCAAAUCCCCAUCCAACAACAUAGAAACUGUAUCCAUGGAGAUGCAUGGGGUGAUGUGUCUCUGCAAGCACGGCUGUCCCUUGAAAAAUAAUCUCCACUGUGGAGUUAUACUCGAGCACCCUUACUUCUGUUCCGCUACUCGGCAACUGAUAGGUUAAUGGAAGAUAAUCAUAUGUAAAAUCGAACACAAAUGAUGGAAAGCUAGGAAAGUUAUUUCCAUAUACACCACUGAUGUUAAAAUAGUAAGCUUCCAAUAUGUCAAUUGUAGGCAAAUCGAAGGUUAUGUUGUUUAUACUUGAGGAGAACCGCGUCCCAUUGGGCCCUGCACAUGAAUCAUUGACGCAUGGGUACGAGUUCAUAGAAAGAAUGUAAAACAGGUUAGUGCUCGUGCUCAAUGGGACAUUGCAAGGAUGUUCCGCAUCUGCUAAGCUUCGGAGGCCGGCCAUGACCUGAACCGAUGCAUUUGUGUCAUUGUAUGCAGGAAGAUAAGGCAAGGAGGGAGGUGAAGAUGGAGUGUAGUAUCC